rnacentral:lncRNA from 1 species
UACACACAAACUCCGAUUCACACAAUCAACAAUCAAGAUUAAUCCACCGAGACAAUGUAAUCUCACGACAAUAAAGACAUCAGAUCUUCUCGAAUAAUAAUCUGCUAAAAAGAGACAAAGAACAAUAUUGUCUCGGGCAAAAAGAGAAAGAGAGGAUCGAUUAUUUGUUUAUUGAUCCACCCCUUAGAUAGAUUAGGACUGUAUGUUUUCAGCGACGGCGUCGAGUGAUCUGCAGAGGACGCACUUGCAGACAGAUUCGUCACAAAUCCCACCACAAUAGCCAUUAUCGACGCAUGUCUCGGCACAGGCCUUGGCGGCGCAGGCUGGAACUCUGGCUGCGGGGCCGUCCCAAUGCAACUCCCUGCUUGCACCAACAUCUAUGUGCAUAUACAGGAAAAAAAAUGGAGGUUUUGUCAUAAGAUAAGAGGUACUAUACGUAGUACUUACAGAAACUACAAAUUACGAUCUUUUAGAAUCAUACCGAAAGACGCAAGGAGCAGCGCCGACACCAAUACGAGGACGGUGAUCUUGAAAGCCAUGAUCGGCCAAGGAAUGGAAGUACAGAACACUAACUUUGGGCUUAAUAUCUGGUCUAGGUAGGUUGCAUGAGAAGAAGCAAUGCACGGUCUACAAGUUCAGAGUGUGGAUUUAUAGAGAAGCACAAGUGCUAUCCGUACGUAUGGAAAUAUAUCCUGGAUAUGCAAUUUAGGAAAUAUUUUGAUGUCUACCAUUUUGGUUUCUUUUUAUUGCUUACCGCAUAUAUCACGUUGUAUUUUAGAGAAGAUAGAGCUGAUAAUUCUAAUUAAUAGUAACCUUCCUCUUACUGGUAUUAAUUAAUAAAGAUUUGGGGUGGUUAAUGCUGAUGGCAUAGGGCGAUUCUAGGGAUCGGUUGCUUCCCAUCGGACUACAUUAGGCCGAAAAUACGAUUGCUUUCACCAGGAGCCUGCAAUGCUCCAGUCAAACGUGCAGUUUGUGAGACAGCUUGCGUACAGGAUUUUGCAUUAGUUAUGAUUAAUUUGUAUUCAAACAACUUCUUCCUCAAAUCAACGCAUGUCAUACACCUGCCGGUUGAGAUCUGUUGUACAUAUAGUGGAGUUUCUACACAGAUUUCAAGCGUGAGAGUCCUUACCUCCGAAAUGGAAUGGCUGUGUGAACGACCGUGUUGGAUCCAAUAUUUUAAUUUGCUUCGUCAAGUUAAUCUUUUUGUUUCGGAUUCUAAAAAAUUCUUUAUUUGUUUCCGUCAAAUUGCUUCCAUGGCAACUAAAUAAAGAUGAGUGCUUCGCUUAACUAGCAGGUAGUUCGCGGCAUGCCGCUGCGCCUCACUGGUUUGUCUGGGAAUUGUCGAACCAUUGCAGGAUUUUUAUUUAACUCAACAUAUAGAAAACUAUUGGUAAAAGCUAUAUUUCAAGGGAACCCAUGAGAAUUUGGUUUACUUGACUAUAUCAAAUCCAAAGAACUAUCAUGAAAAUCAAUAUUUUAGAGUUAACCUUUUUUUGCGGGUGAUAUUUUAGAGUUAACCUAAUGAGAACUUGCUAAAUUUCCGUGCAUUGCAACGGACUAACAAAAAAACGCACAUAGAAGCAUGGAAAUUAAUUUCCUCUCUCAAUAUAAAAAGACUCAAAAGGCAUAUCAAUUUAAUCUCGCUCAUCGAACAGUAUCGAUCCAACAACCUAGAUUGAUCCAUAAGGGCUCAACAUGUUUAGCCUGCAAUUAAUAUCAUACCAUAUAUAGUGGCAAUGCAAUCACAAAAUUGAUGCGUAAUUGAUGUCCUACCUAAUAUAAGCAUGGAAUUAAUUUGCUCUUUAGUUGAUAUUCUUUUGCCUGUCUUUUAGUAAGGCAGUCUUACAUAUAUGGUGUAAUUUCUAAAUUCUUAAUUAUAUAAUAUUUAUGUGAUUAAAUUGAAUUGGCACCUACCAAAGCAAGCACGAAAACCAAAAGAGUGUCGGACUACUCCAUUCGAUUUUUAGUGGGAGGGUGAAAAAACCAGCGUGGAGGGGUGGUAGUGGGAGGUGGAGGUGAAAAUAAACCAUGGAAACAAAAAUAAAUCAUGCAUAUCGGACUACCAAAUCCCCUAUUAGGAGUAGAGAUUUGUUGUACUCAACUGAAAAAACGACCUGCAAGAGGAAAUUUGAUGUAAGCAACAACAAAAGUAACACACGGUAACCCUAUUCGCAAAUAAAAACAUGGUAACCAAGUACAUAAUCACGAAAGUAGUUAGAAUAAAAAAUCGGAAGUCAUACAUAGAAAUAGAAUCUAAUUACAGAUACGCAUGCAUAUUCCAAUUUAUGAAGAUACAACUCAAGUUUUUUGUGCUCUAACAUAUACAGAAUAAACGUAUAGAUGAACAUAUCCUAUGAUUUUUUUUAAACGAAGGCUCAAGGAGAGCCCCGCUUUGAAUUAACAAAGCCAUCAAUCGGUCGGGAUUACAUUGAAUAAACAUAGGAAACAAUGAAAAAAAAACAGCCAAACGAUACAUGGUGUUGUGUAAAUAGCUAUCAGGCUACUACAAACUACUAGCAAAGAUAUGGAAACUAAAGCACAAGUUCAGCUAGAAGUCAAAGAAGCCAUCCACAGCGAGCAGAGCACCACGCAGGACACCAACAAAAGCUUGGGGAAGAAAACAACCAGUAGCUGGAGGAAUGUCGUUGUCAGCUCCAUGGGUUCUGGCCAUCGAUAUCGCCCUCCUCCACCUCAGAAGGAGGGCUCCCUGCCCCCUCGCCCUGGCACGAAGGGCGCCGAUCCGUCGAAUGUUGGAGACGCUCACCCGAGGGCUAAAGAGCGACCGACGCCAUUGCCAACCGGAAGACCACACUAGGACACCACCACCAAACUACAUGGAGCUCAGCCAAGGGAAGCAUCGGCAUUACAUGAUAUCUGCACAUGAGGAGAAGCAAACUACACGGCAAGGCUGCUGAAGACCAAGCAACCCCCAACCAGAACAAGCACACUUCCCACAAAGCUCACCAAAGACGGCGCCCACGGCGUCGCUACUGACCAAUCCCGAGGGAUUUGGGUUUUCACCCGGUACACAAGCAACACAGGAGGAAGAGGAGGGGGGAAGGGGCAUUUUACCAGCCCCUACAUGUAGGGGACAAGCCCAUGGACGUCGUCACCGGCAGGCCGGCAUAGCCAGCCACAGAUUUCUCCGGUCCCUUCUCCCACCCCCACCUCGAGGGGAGACACAGCUACGGUGCCCGGAGACCGCCGAAGAACGGAUCUGAGACGACGGUGACAAGAGGGUGAAAAGGAAGAUGCCUUCAGAUCUGAUGUGGGUGGCCCCGAGGCCACCGCGCACCAUAGCCAUCGCCCGUCGUCACCAUGCUGCCCGCAUGGCCGAGAUGGGCGGCCAGCACCCGCUACUGCCGUUUGCUAAGGACGACACAACACCACCGCCGAAGGUCGCCAUCUCGGCUCCAAGAUCCUCUACAGGGGCAGAGCGACCAGAUCCUCGCCGCCACCAUCCCCGGCGGCCACGUGGCGUUCCGGUGAUCCCCUCCGGCGGCGACGAGGGAGAGGAAAAGGGAGAGGGAGCCCCGACGGCGGGCUAGGGUUUGAGCCGCCCGAGUCGCCCCUGCGGGAGCGACGCGGGGGCCAAGCGGUUGUGUACGCUGAUAGAGAUGAUUUGGCCCGAUUAUUUGAAAUAGAAACUAAAAUUUGGAAAAUAUGAUGAAACUUCAAAGUUUAACUUGUACAAAGGACAAAUAUCUAACACAAAGUUCUUGUUAAUUUAUAUUGCUACUUAUUAACAUCCCUACCUGAGUAUGUGGCAGGGUAACAUGAUAUCAAAAUCAUCACUACCUGAGGAUAUCUACUGGAAAGGAAUUGAGGUUGACAUAUUUUUGGCCUGGAAGAACACUCAGAGAGCAUUCUUAUUUUGGAAUCAACAUCAGGGCAUGAAAGCCCACUUUUCUUCAUACAAUGGAAAUAAUGUCAUGUCUAUAUAUUGUGCAAAAUUGUUUAUAGAUGGAUCUAGAUCAUAUAACCUUCUAUAGUCACUAUAUCAACAAUGACAUCCUUCCCCUCUGAUAUCCUUCGUUAGGUAUUUUUUCUAAUAGUCUUGUAAUGAAAUCAGCAGCAAUCUCAACAAAUUGAAUGAGUAAUCAAACCAAGUGAACAAUUUUCGGUCAAUGCAAAAAUGAAAAAAAAAAUAGUAAGCCAACAAAAGAUAUGUUGAAUUUAUUUUAGGGUCAGCUUUCGUUUGCGGAGUCUCUCUAUUCGUUAUCUCUGGGAUCCGUUUGCACGGGGUGGAAAACUUGACCAAGAGAAGCCAGUUUUGCCUGGCAUGACCGCUCGUACGAGCGAGUGCACUAAUACCACAAGUCGUCUUAUUUUAUGGAAUUCUAAAAGCAGCACGGUUUCUUGACCAAAAAUAGGUAAUUUGCAAUAAAUGCUCCAAAUCCUCUAAUUCUAUAGAUUUUGGUGAAAUCAGACGAAAACAGACAAGCGAUUGCGGUAAAAUGCAAAAACUUGCAUGUCUACGAUGGAAAAAUACUAAGUAAAACAUGAAGCAAAAUGCAGGAAUUUCCUAUUGGACGCACAACAUACUGUCGAGGUUUGGGGGGACCGAGCGAUCGUUCGACUGGGCCGGCCCGUUUAAACUUUCAUCGUCCCCCGUUUUCAGAACCUUCUAGAGCUUCUAUGGCCCGAUCAUUACUGAAAUAAAAUCAAGAGCUUCUCUUUUGAAUUGUAAUUUUUCUUUCGAAGGUCGUGCAAUCAAUAUGGAUGCACAUAGAUUAGCUAAGUUUGCUUUAUCCUUAGUUCCGGGACGACAUGUAUGGCUUGGCCAGCCUCAUCCCCUGACUCGUAUUCCACACACGGUGGUAUUUGAUUAAUAAAGUUGGCUUUACCCCUCAAAAAAAAGAGGUUUCCAGCAGGUUUUUCUGGUUUUGAGAAACUUCUAGAAAGUUCCUGAACCUUUUUUUCCUUGUUCUUGUUUGCUGUUUUUCUUUGUUCUAUUUCCUUUUCUUUGUUUUUUCUUUUUUUGGCUCUCCAUUUGUUUUUUCUUUUGUCCUGCUUUUUUCAUAAAAUGUUUAAAAUUUGUUCACAUUUCCAAAAAUCAUCUGUAAGUUUAAUUAUUCUCAAAAUUUUAAAAAUGUUUGCAUUUUUGAAAAAAUGUUCAAAAUGCAAAAUAAAAAAAUGUUCAAAAUAUCCGAAGUUUGUUUGCCUUUCCAGCAAAUGCUAGGAUAUUUUCAAAUAAAAGACUGCAUUAUCUGUAAAAAAUGUUCGUGUUUUAUAAAAUUUGUUCAAAGAUUUCAAAAAAGUUUUUGGCUUUCAAAAUUUUGUCCACAUAUUCACAAAAUGUUUGUGCUUCCAUUUUUUUUGAAAUUGUUCUCCGUUUCAAAAUUUGUUCUCUAAUUUUAAAAGAUGUUCUUGCUUUAGAAAAUUGUCCACAAAUUUUGAAAAUGUUCAUGUCUUCAAAAAAUGUUUGUGCUUCCAUAUUUGUUCAUUAUUUCGAAAUUGUUCUCCGUUUCAAAAUUUGUUCUGAAAUUUUUAAAAAAGUGCUUGCUAUACAAAAUUGUUCACAAAUUCUGAAAAUAUUCAUGUUUUCAAAAAAUGUUUGUGCUUCCAUAUUUGUUCAGGAUUUCCCAAAUUGUUCUCAAAUUUUAAAAAUUUCUUGCUUUAGAGAACUGUUGACAAAUUCUCAUGUUCUCAAAAUAUGUUUGUGCUUCCAUAUUUGUUCAGGAUUUUUGAAAUUGUUCUUUGUUUCAAAAUUUGAUCUCAAAUUUUAAAAAAUGUUCUUGCUUUAGAAAAUUCUUCACAAAUUCUAAAAUUGUUCAUGUUUUCAAAAAACAUUUUGGAAAUUCAAAAUUUGUCCAUGAAAUCAUAAAAUUGUUUGCUAUUUUCAAAAAAAAUUGUACGGUCAAAAUUUCAUGAAAAUAUGGAAAAUCGUAAAGGAUUUUUUAAACAGUGUUAAGUCUUAUACUUUCUUUAGUUCUUAUAGUUUUCCGCUAUAUAUUUGUCAACCGAGCCGUUCUGUCGUAGUGUCUAGUAGCGUGCGCACGCGAAUCAGCAAUCCUGUGUUCGAUUCCCAUCCAUCGCGCCCUAUAUUAUUUUUGCAAUUUUUCACCUGCUAUUUUCGGCGCACUGUAAUGGGCCGGCCCAAUCGGCGCACCGUGACGACGUGCCUGUGCGAAAGGGCAGCAUUUUGACGCAGAACACGUCAUAUAGCAACUCCCCAAAAUCCACUCAUCACGUAGCAACCAAUUAGGGGGGAUGGGCUAUUAGGGGGUACACAUGGGCCGCAUUGGGCCUGCCACAUAUCACACAUAGAAGCAGCCCAUGGUACGGUAGAAGCAUGAGUAAAUUUUUUCCCUAGUUAGCCUUAUAAUAUACUAAGUAGAAUGCCCGUGCGUUGUUACGGGCUAUAACGCAUAUAUAAGUAAAUUAAAUAAAUAAAUAGGGUUAUCUUCAAGGUCGAAGUUCAUUUCUCCCUCGUACGUUCGGGCGUGUUCCAACAUUAGACGAGUGCCUAGUAGGCUCCCCAGAAUUUAAACGUCUAAAUAGUCCAGGCUCCCUAAAUCCAUAUCAUAUAUGGUGGAGAAAUAUGGAUGCCCGGACUAUUCUCCAUGUUAUCUCCAACAUGCAGACCCAACAGCAAAAACCACACUCCACGGCACACCCUUCCCUUUUUUUCCUAUCGGACCCUCCAUUUCCUACUCGAUUUUUCGUCAUACCGGGACAUUUCUCACUUGAGCCCUCACCUUUAGAACCAUAUGAUGUUCACCUCACCUUCGCCGUGCAUUGCAACAUGUAUGAAACUUUUUGUAUUUAUAAUAUAAUAGAGCGGGUAGAGCUAACAUAUACUAUUAACACAAAACAACAAAUAACUAUAGAGCUAAUUCAACUAUGCAAAUUAAGACUGACUUGUAAAGCGAGUGGCAACCUAAACAUAUUCCUCGUCUCCAAUAAGCUUCACCUCUAGCCCACACAACAUUCAUUGCUAACCUCUUCGUUCUUCUCUUCCUCGUCCUUCCCUACAUCUUUUAUUCCUAACCUCUUCGUCAAUCUUCGUUGGCGCCAACCAACACCAUGUCAACAUCAGUGUGUUCAUCAGUGACGUCUCAUCUUCUUCUUCCUCCUUCCAUGCUAGUUUUAGUUCUCGAUCCUACUAUUUUAUAGGAUACUCUUCCUUUCUUUUUUCACUUUAUUUUCUGGAACAUUCUUUUCUUAUCCAACACAAUGGAUCAUUUGGCCGCUUUAAUUCUUUUUCCUUCUUAUUCUUGGAACAUUCUUUCUUUCUACUACAAAAUGAACCACCUGACCGCUGUAGUGUCGUGAUGUCCUCGCCCGCGAAAGUUUGAGGAACCGUCGGCGUGUGGACAUACUGCAGAGCAUGGUCGUCAUGCAUCUUGGUGAACGCUUGGUGGACCAUGUCGCGAGCGCAUAUGGUGGCCGUUGUCUAUGGUGCUCGGCGACGCUGAGAGCCUGUUGACCGUCCUUGUCCGUGAGUGAUUUCAAAAUGAUUCGGCGCGAUUAACUGUCUACCUAACUCUACUAGAAGAAUGCCCGUGCGUUGCAACGGGGCCACAUUAACUUUAAGAGUUCAAUAUUACGACAUUGGCGACCUUUUUUACCAUCAAAUCCUCACACACACACUCUCUCCCCCUCUCUCUCUAACACAAACACAUAGCCUAUUCUCCCCGCCAAUAAGACUUACUCAAUUGGCAAUAAUGUGUGGACUUGUGGUGAGCUUGACUGAACUAAUGGAUAGUGUGAUAUAUUCCCCAAUCAUUUAACAAUGAAAUUUCAGAAAUGGGAAGAUUAUGUAACACCUCAAGUCGUUAGCUACAGUGACCUUCCCCUAAUGAUGCCAUGUCAUCAGGCUUGCUAAGCCAAACUGCCACUUGAUAAAAAUCAAAGCCCAAUUCAAAUUUAAAAUAAAGUGAAAUAAAUUAUUUUGUCAAACAGUAAAACCAAAAUGUUCAGCAUAUUCUAUAAAUUCUUCUAAUCUUUGACAUGUUGAGCCCAACAUUAUUUGACCAAAAAUUAAAUCUUGUCAAAUUAAUAAGAGGCCCAACAGUAGUUAAAAUAACCAAUUAAAUAUAAACCUAAUUUUAUGUAUUUCCUUUUGGACCCAAACUUUUUGUGCCACCUAAAAAUAUUGUGCUCGAAUUGUGUGCAUAGUUUCACAAUUAACAAAAUCCAUUUAGUUGAUAAAAGAAUAAAUAGAAAACGGCGUUAGAAAGGAGAAGCGGAUUAGAAUACAUUAAAAACCAAAAGGACGAUGAAAAAGGGGAUACCCCCUACCCCCGGCCUUGCCACCGAACUAGCCCAGUGAUCCAGUCCCCGCACAGUCAUCUUCUCCUGUUCCCCGAGCCCGUCGCUACAGAGCCGGGCUCCCGCCCGACCACCUCGCCGACAUCGAAGGGGAAUGGAUAAGGGUGACGCCCUGCCUCCCCUGCCCCCAUGGCCUCACUCCUCCUCGACGCCCCCUCCCAGAUCCACUUCUCCUCCUCGCUCGCUCGUUCCCGGUGAUCUGGACGAAGUCAGAUGCCAUGGCCACCAUGACCGACCCCGUCCAUACGGCCACUCCCCUCCCUGCUGGCUAGGAGCUUGUCGAGGAGCUUCGAAUGCCUCCGCUACUUCGUCUGCGCCAACGAGAUCAAGUCCAGCAUCCCCAGAUCGAUGUCAUUGUCGUCUUCCUCAACCUUCGGCCACCGCGACAUUGCCGUUCGAUCCGCGCUGCCCUGAGCUCCCCUGUCUUCCCAUAGGGUGCCAUUGACACCGCCGUGAUCUUCUCUUGCCUUUCCCCAGUUUCCCCUCUCAUUUGCUCUCGUUAGGUAUUUCGCCGUGGCCGAGAACCGCCGUCCGCCAUGGCCAUUGCAGGGGUAGCCACUGAGCUCCUCGGAUUGACCCCAUGGCACAUGCCCGCUCCUAUGCGCGCCCAUGCCCGAGCCUUCAGCUCUUAUUUCGCGCCCGCGGGGCCACUCCCUCUCUGGCUCUCCAUGCCCACGCACGUGCUACACCGCGUCCGUCGCGCCCGCCGUUGCCAUGACGCUCGCCACAGCCACCGCACCAUUGUGCCCCGCGCGACGCACAUCCUGGCCGCGCGUCACACUCUCGCUGGCUGCGCUCGCCCCAUCUGCUGCCACCUAUCCCUUCGCUCGCCCCGCUGUCGUGCCCCUGUCUCGCGCCGCCUCCUGUCGCGGCCAUCUUCUGCCGGCCGCACCCUCAGCCACGCCGGCCGCAUCUCUGCCCUCCAUCAUCGGCCGCUCGCCUCGCCUGCUGCGUGCUUCUUCCUGCUGCUAUGGCGCUGCUCUACCACCGAUACGCUGUUGCGCCAUGCCCUCGACACCGCCGUGGACAAACGUGGCGGAGGGAUUGUCAAUGGAGUACGAGGAGGAGGUGGUGGAGAAGGUGUGGAGAGGCAAGAGGUCUAGGGUGGCGCCAGCUGGCUGUGGUGGAGGUGAUUAUGCGAGAAGGAGCCGGAGCGGAAGGAGAGGUCAAAAUUAGAAAGAAUCGCAAAAAAAUCAUAACCCGGAGAUCUCAUUCCAAAAAAAUGCUAAUAUCGAUGAAGGGGUGAUUUUCUUCAAUAGGUGGAAAACAUAGGAAAUAUUGGAUGUUAUCAAGGAAAGGUAAAAAUUUAGGAAAGUUAGGAUUUUGAAUUGAUUUCUAUGCAAAUGGGGUUUUAUUGUUUGGUAACAUGCCCAUUUGUUAGGUGUCUGAUUAGAAAAGUUUGCAAAUGUUAAGAAACUAUUUAUUGAGAGGAAAGUCUGUGACGUGUCUGUUAUUUUUUCCUAAAACAAAUUUCACAAAUGAGAGAUAUCGAUUGAUUUAGAUAUGUUACGAAAGUUAGAUUGAAAUCUAUUAUUUGUUUCUUAAAUUUUUUUAUUUGUUUCCUAAGACAAAUUGAACCAAUAAAAUUAAUCGAUUGAUAUGAUUUAUUAGAUCCGUGAUUUGUUAUACGUUAGGAAAGUCCUGGUUCUAAUAAAGAGUGGAGAGAAAAAUAAACCGAUGGACCAGGAUGGGAGGGGGUGGUGGGAGGAAGACGAAAAAACCCAACAAAAAUAAACCGUGGAGACUAUUCACCAACUGCUCCACUAGGAGUAGAGAUGUAUGACUAAUUAACUGACAAUUAAAUCAAUUAAUUAUCUAGAUAAUUGGGAAAAUCCCUACUUCAAAUUUCCUGACAUUUCAAUGGUACACUUGAUUUAAGAAUAUAUCCUGGCUGGCUAUCUGUAUGACUGACAAGAAAUAUAAUAUGAUCGCGUCCACAAACAUGUACGUGGCGGCCCGAUGACCCGCCUUCCUCCCAGCCGUCCUCGACGCCAAGCUCCCGCCAUGGCAUUCUCGAGCAUUACAUCGGCGUCAGGCCCGGACACGGCGUCCCUCCGCAGGGGCGCGCAGAUGCAUAUGCCCAUAAGAAUUUUUUUAUUUUGUUAGGAAACUUGUGACUGUCAAUUAAUAAUAGAGGUAAUGUUAAUGAUAAAUGGCAUAAUGCGGUAUUAGCCAUUUGUUAAUGAGGAAUAUCUGAUUUUUUGGAAGGUUAUCGAGAAAAAUCUUUUGUCUCUAUUUUAGGCAAGUGAUCUCAGAUGUAUGGUAUGGUUUCUGAAUCCUUAUUUAUCUAUUAUUUUGGAAUCAGCACCUACCAAAGUAAGCACGAAACCGUAUCUCCCCCUUUAAUGGGAUUUGGGUUUUUAAUUGGAAAAAGAAAAAUUCAGUGACAGUGACAGGGGUGAUGAGAGGUGAAGCGUAAAAAAUGAGACAAAAAUAAACCGGUGAUGAGAAGCUACCAACUCCCCCUUUAGGAGUAUAGAUUCCUAUUUCUAAUUAUCUACAUGCUUAUUUAACUAUCAGCAUAAUUGAUUAAUUUCAUUAAUAACUCAUUAUUCAAAUUGAUUACGCGCUAAAAAAUUCCUAUUGAAAUGGACUUAACUAAUUGCAUAAAUAAUUAACAAUCUGGCAAUUAAUUACAUUAAUGGCUUGAUUAUUGUUUUGGCAUCUGGUUUCCAAACUAUUUUCACCAUUGUCCUCGAUGGGGCGGUCAAAACCUUUUGUCGUGAGUGUUUGGUUGUCCUUGAGCACAUGUUGACCUCACCUAUGAAUGUUUGGCAACUGUGAGUGUACGGACGUCUACAGAGCAUGGUUAUCAUCCAUCUUAUCGACCCUUUGGUCGCCCACAUCCAAAGCGCGUGGUGGCCAUUGUCCAUAUUCAAAAGCACUGGUCGGUGAUGUCGCUGAAAGCCCAUUAGCAGUCGGUGAGAACCUGCUGUCCAUCCUCACCAGCGAGCUUUUCAAAUUGUUGGACACGCUUGAUUGUUUGCCUAGUUAAUGAAUUACGGGAUCAAUUAACUGCAUGCCUAAUUAUCCAAAGGCCGAAUUAAUUACCUACCUAAUUAAUUAAUUGCCCGCCAAAUUGAAAUAAAAUUUUAGUUCUAAUUAUCUACAAGGCUAAUUAAAUGUAUGUGUAAUGAAUUAAUUGCAUUAAUGGCUUGGUUUUAAAAUUGAUUCCGUGUGAAAAAUCCUUAUUUAAAUGAACCAAAUUAACUUGCAUGCACAAUUAACAAUCAAGUAAUUAAUUGCAUUAAUGGUUUGAUUUGUUAAUUGAUUCGGCAGUCGGUUUACAAACUAUUUUCGCAUUAAUGACUACAUGCGAACCAAACAAACGAAGUACGGACUCGUCCAUUAAGAAUAGAGAUUUAUUUGUUUUCUCUGGCUUUUAUUUUGAUAAUACAAGAGUAAGCUAGUCCAGGGGUAGCUAUGCCGGUCUCCACGUAGAUAAUACAAGAGUAAGCUUGAUGUAGGGUAGAACCCUAGGUGAGAGAUCUUUCACGAAUUGGAGGGGAAUCCCCUAUGAACAAGAUGAACAAAAGAGGGAAAACAAGAGGAACACUCAAGAACAAGUCCAAUCACACAUCCACUAGACAAUCAAACACAUAAGAUCCACAAGGUACAUGAACAACAAAGGGAAAUAAGAUACAUGGUAGAGUUCAUCCCAAAUCCUAUGAAGGAGAUGAGGGCUUGAUGAUCUAGAUAGAUCCUUCCCACAAAGGGGGUCUUCAUCCACUAGGGAUCUUCUCCAAUGGAGGCCUUGAACUCCAAUGGAGUGUCUCUCUCUCUCUCAAGAGGAAUCCCACAAGGGGAGGUACAUGAGCUAGGCUCUAGUGUUUAGAUCUAUCCUUAGCUAAGUCUAAAUGGAGGAGAUGAAGGAGUAUAUAUAGUCCUAGGCAAAGAGAGGGGUAAGUGGGGGCGAAAUGGUAAAACAAGGGCAAAGCCCGCAAUAUCUCUCAGGGGGCCCCGUGUGCACGGGGUAAGUGGAGCCCGAGCGCACGGGGUAUCCAGGGACCGGACACAAGGGCCCGUGCGCACGGGGUCCGUUAGGCCCGUGGACACGGGGGUCCCGUGGGCACGGUACAAGCCCGUGCGCACGGGGUCUUCAGGACUGCCAGCCUGGGAGGCCCGUGGGCACGGGGUCGGAGGGGCCCGUGCGCACGGGGUCGCCUGGGAGUUGCUGCCUUCUUCUUGGCGCUUCCUUCUCCGCUUCCAGGCUUCCGUCUUGGAUGGUGUAGAUGUUCUCUUCUGCUUGGACUCCUCCGUGAUGAAUGUGUAGCUCCGCUCACACCUAAGUAUGCACACGAGAGAGGGGUGAAGUAGUAUACCAUCCUCGAAGGAUACAAGUGGACACGUGUAAAGGAGAUGGUUCACCUUUGUAUGCACGAAGUAGAUGUGGCACGUGUCACUUAUCAAAUGGACUCUUGACAUGGUGAUGUCCAUAGGAUGCUCCGCAUCAUCCCCUCCCCCUUGGGAAAGAUCCGACCUCGGAUCGAAAUCCAAAUCACCAUGGGAAAGAGAUGAUGUCGUCGUGUAGAAGUGGACGAUCACCAAGCAUUCGUCAUCUUGUAGUUCCAAAUGGGCACUCUCCGAUGUCGCACCGUCUUGUAAUUCCUUCAGAAGUAGCAAAGAUAACAAGCACUUGGAAAAACAAAUGUGGUUGUCGUAAGAGCAAAACCAAGCAUUCAAGAGGUGAUUCACCCAACAAGUGUUGUCAUCAAGCAUAGCAUAUGGUUUGACAAAGAAGUGUGUCAUGGCAUUUGAGCAUAUAAAUUGAGCACAAUCAAUUACAUCAUGGGAACAAGCAUGUAAAUGGGAGGUCAAGAUGCAAAUAUAUGUGAUAAGUGAACAAGCAUCUACCUCAAGGUCAUAGCAAGAAUGCAUAAAGUGCUCAACAAAUGGUCUAUGGUAUGCAUAUGAAUCGUUCACAACACCAAAUAUAGUGAAGUGUCUAAACACAUGGGGAAAGUGCAAGGCAAUCCAAGCAUAACGUGCAUAUGGUGUAGUGAAGAUAUCGAGGCACUCAACACAAUGGAAAGAGCAAUUGUUCAACAUGUGUGAGGCAAUCAAGUCAAGCAUGUGAUAAGCAAAGGGACAUGGCAUAUGUGAAGAACUAGAUGCAACACUCAAGGCAUAUAUGUCGUGAGGCAUAGCAAUGUGGUAAUGAGAAGUCGAAGCAAGAUCACUAGCAUGUGUGCAAAGUGUCGUGGAGCAAGCAACACAUGAAGUAUGAUCCACAAUAUGCAUGCUCAUGGUUUGGGUGAUCUCGAGAUAGAAGGAUAUCACCUCGAAAGCAUGUCCUUGUGCGUCCAUCACAAUGCCGAAGUGGUAGGAAAUGUGGUGUAGAAGCGAGUCGUGGUCGAAUGUAUGAGGCUCGCUCUCAAGAGCUCGAAUGGUCAACUCACGUGAAGUGGAAGUCGACACGAAGUCCAAGUAUCCUACACAUGCACACAACAAAACAAAGAGCGUAUGAGCAUGGUAGAUAAACACAUCAUCCAUCAUGAUGGUUCUCUUCUCUUGCACAUAACCAUUAGAAGCACAAGUAAAUGAAUAAUAUGAUGCAACAAUGGCGAUAUUCAAGGCACUAGGUAUAUGGUGCAAAGAGGUAAGACAAGCAUGCUUCACAAGGAAUAUGUCAACAUCUCCAAACAUAUGUAAGAAUGCUAUGGGGGCAAUCUUAAGAGCAACACUAUAAGCAUUGUUGCACUCAAUACAUGGCAAAUCAUCUAGCAUGAGAGAGGCAACACAUGGAGAUAUAUGACACGAAGCAAUAUGAAUCAUGUGCAAAGCAUAUAGAUGGUUGUCAUCAACCGCGUGAGAUGAGCAAGUAUGACGCAAGAGACAAUGAUCAAGAUAUAGCAUGUGAGAGGCAUGAGUAUAUAUGUCAUCAACCCAAGAAAGCAAGUAAUAGUGGAACAUGGGUGAUGCAACAUAGCAAGCAAUCAUAGCAAUCAAGUCAAGUAAGCUAGUAGUGCGAAGAUGCAACAUACUAGAAGGAAUCAUGGCAAACAUGUCAUUGGUGCAAAUAGUGGGCAUGAAUAAUUCACAUGACAUAGCACAAGCAUGAAAGCAAGAUAUGAGGACAAUAGCAUGGGGCACAUGAUAAACAUGGCAAUAGCAACAAGGAUCUCUACCAAGCAUGCAAAUACACAUAGAAGUAGCAUAAUUAUGAAACAUGGGUAGAUGCAAGCAAGGGUCACAAUUGCAUGGCAAAGGCAUAGAAGCAAGCAUAGCAUGCAAAGUGAACACGGUAAAAUGAGCAUAAGGUGACAAGUGGUAAAUGGCCCAUAGCCGUGUGAGAGCCAAGUAGAGGAGUUGCACGUAGUCCUUGCGCGAAGGGAACGGUGGUAAGGAUAGUCCAUGGGAUCCCAAGUCAUCAUUGCUCUCUAGAGCUCGUUUGAAGUGGCAUAUGCAUAGUCACUAUGAAGAGAUUGUCAUCUAUGCCAGAAGUGCAAAUUGGGUUUAUUUUAAUGGCAUAUGCAUAGUCACUAUGAAGAGAUUGCAAAUAUGACAUAUGAUGGAUCUCAUGCAUAGCAUAUGACAAGUCAAGCGGAUUAUCAAACAUGAUGUGACCAAGAGAAUUAUGACAAGACAUCCUAUGUAACAUGGCAUCACAACUAAUAGACUCCUCAUGGCAAUCAUCAUAGUCAUCAUAAAUGGGCAAAUCAUCACAUGGGAAAUUCAUACUAGCGUGAAUCAUGGUACUAAGUGGAUCAACAUCAUGCAAGCAAUCAAUCUCAAGAAUGUCCACUAGUGGGACUAGAGCAUCACCUUCACCUUUGUUACCUUUGUCAUUCCACUCAAGUGGUGUAGGUGAGGUGGGAAAGACCAAAUGGUGGUCAUCUUCAUCUUGAUGGAACCAUGUGGGGGGUGCAUCAUAUUCCACCAUGGUCAUCGUCAUGUCCAAAGGGAGGAUGAAGUCGUCGAGGAUCGGCGCGUCAUCAUAAAUGGGACGUAGCACCAAAUGAGAAGACACAAUAGAGGUAGAGGUCAAGUUGUUAGAAAUGCAAAUGGCCUCAUGAGACCUAUCAACUAUCUCACUCUCUCUAUGUGGUGGUGAAGGAAAUAUGCCCUAGAGGCAAUAAUAAAGUUAUUAUCUAUUUCCUCAUAUAAUGAUAAAUGUUUAUUAUUCAUGCUAGAAUUGUAUUAACCGGAAACAUGAUACAUGUGUGAAUACAUAGACAAAACAAUAGUCACUAGUAUGCCUCUACUUGACUAGCUCAUUAAUCAAAGAUGGUUAUGUUUCCAAACCAUAGACAUGUGUUGUCAUUUGAUUAAUGGGAUCACAUCAUUAGGAGAAUGAUGUGAUUGACAUGACCCAUUCCGUUAGACUAGCACUUGAUCAUUUAGUAUACUACUAUUGCUUUCUUCAUGACUUAUACAAAGUUCCUGCAACUAUGAGAUUGUGCAACUCCCGUAUAUCGGAAGAACACUUUGUGUGCUACCAAACGUCACAACGUAACUGGGUGAUUAUAAAGGUGCUCUACAGGUGUUUCCGAAGGUACAUGUUGGGUUGGCAUAAUUCGAGAUUAGGUUUUGUCACUCCGAUUGUCGGAGAGGUAUCUCUGGGCCCUCUCGGUAAUACUCAUCACCUAAGCCUUGCAAGCAUGUAACUAAUGAGUUAGUUAUGAGAUGAUGUAUUACGGAACGAGUAAAGAGACUUGCCGGUAACGAGAUUGAACUAGGUAUAGGAUACCGACGAUCAAAUCUCGGGCAAGUAACAUACCGAUGACAAAGGGAACAAAGUAUGUUGUUAUGCGGUUUGACCGAUAAAGAUCUUCAUAGAAUAUGUAGGAACCAAUAUGGGCAUCCAGGUCCCGCUAUUGGCUAUUGACCGAGAAUGGUUCUAGGUCAUGUCUACAUAGUUCUCGAACCCGUAGGGUCCGCACGCUUAACGUUUCAAUGAUAGUUUUAUUAUGAGUUUAUAAGUUUUGAUGUACCGAAGUUUGUUCGGAGUCCCGGAUAUGAUCAAGGACAUGACGAGGAGUCUCGGAAUGGUCGAGACAUAAAGAUUGAUAUAUUGGAAGCCUAUAUUUGGAUAUCGGAAAGGUUCCGGGUGAAAUCAGCAUUUUACCGGAGUACCGGGAGGUUACCGGAACCCCCCGGGGGUUAAUGGGCCUACAUGGGCCAAGAGGGAGAAGAGGGAAGGAGCCAGGAGGGGGCCGCGCGCCCCUCCCCCUCCUAGUCUGAAUAGGACAAGGGAAGGGGGGCGGCGCCCCCCUUUCCUUCCCCUCUUCCUCAUCUUUCCCCCCUUCUUCUACUCCUACUUGGAAAAGGGGAGUCCUACUCCCGGUGGGAGUAGGACUCCCCCCCUUGGCGCGCCCUCUAGGCCAGCCGCCUCCUCCCCCCUGGCUUCUUUAUAUACGGGGGCGGGGGGCACCCGAAAGACACAAGUUGAUCUACGGAUCGUUCCUUAGCCGUGUGCGGUGCCCCCUUCCACCAUAUUCCACCUCGGUCAUAUCGUCGCGGAGUUUAGGCGAAGCCCUGCGCCGGUAGAACAUCAUCAUCGUCACCACGCCGUCGUGCCGACGGAACUCAUCUCCGGAGCUCGGCUGGAUCGGAGGUCGGAGAUUGUCAUCGAGCUGAACGUGUGCUGAACUCGGAGGCUCCGUACGUUCGGUGCUUGGAUCGGUCGGAUCGUGAAGACGUACGACUACAUCAACCGCGUUGUGCUAACGCUUCCGCUUAUGGUCUACAAGGGUACGUGGACGAAUACUCUCCCCUCUCGUUGCUAUGCCAUCACCAUGAUCUUGCAUGUGCGUAGGAAUUUUUUUGAAAUUACUACGUUCCCCAACAGUGGCAUCCGAGCCUAGGUUUUAUGCGUUGAUGUUAUAUGCACGAGUAGAACACAAGUGAGUUGUGGGCGAUACAAGUCAUACUGCUUACCAGCAUGUCAUACUUUGGUUCGGCGGUAUUGUGAGAUGAAGCGGCCUGGACCGACAUUACGCGUACGCUUACGCGAGACUGGUUUCACCAUUACAAGCACUCGUGCUUAAAGGUGGCUGGCGGGUGUCUGUCUCUCUCACUUUAGCUGAAUCGAGUGUGGCUACGCCCGGUCCUUGCGAAGGUUAAAACAGCACCAACUUGACGAACUAUCGUUGUGGUUUUUGAUGCGUAGGUAAGAACGGUUCUUGCUAAGCCCGUAGCAGCCACGUAAAAUUUGCAACAACAAAGUAGAGGACGUCUAACUUGUUUUUGCAGGGUAUGUUGUGAUGUGAUAUGGUCAAGACGUGAUGCUAUAUUUUAUUGUAUGAGAUGAUCAUGUUUUGUAACCGAAGUUAUCGGCAAUUGGCAGGAGCCAUAUGGUUGUUGCUUUAUUGUAUGAAAUGCAAACACCCUGUAAUUUCUUUACUUUAUCACUAAGCGGUAGCGAUAGUCGUAGAAGCAAUAGAUGGCGUAAACGACAAUGAUGCUACGAUGGAGAUCAAGGUGUCGCGCCGGUGACGAUGGUGAUCACGACGGUGCUUCGGAGAUGGAGAUCACAAGCACAAGAUGAUGAUGGCCAUAUCAUAUCACUUAUAUUGAUUGCAUGUGAUGUUUAUCCUUUAUGCAUCUUAUCUUGCUUUGAUUGAUGGUAGCAUUUUAAGAUGAUCUCUCACUAAAAUUAUCAAGAAGUGUUCUCCCUGAGUAUGCACCGUUGCGAAAGUUCGUCGUGCCGAGACACCACGUGAUGAUCGGGUGUGAUAAGCUCUACGUCCAUCUACAACGGGUGCAAGCCAGUUUUGCACACGCAGAAUACUCAGGUUAAACUUGACGAGCCUAGCAUAUGCAGAUAUGGCCUCGGAACACGGAGACCGAAAGGUCGAGCGUGAAUCAUAUAGUAGAUAUGAUCAACAUAGUGAUGUUCACCAUUGAAAACUACUGCAUCUCACGUGAUGAUCGGUUAUGGUUUAGUUGAUUUGGAUCACGUGAUCACUUAGAUGACUAGAGAUGUCUGUCUAAGUGGGAGUUCUUAAGUAAUAUGAUUAAUUGAACUUAAAUUUAUCAUGAACUUAGUACCUGAUAGUAUCUUGCUUGUCUAUGUUUGUUUGUAGAUAGAUGGCUCGUGCUGUUGUUCCGUUGAAUUUUAAUGCGUUCCUUGAGAAAGCAAAGUUGAAAGAUGAUGGUAGCAAUUACACGGACUGGGUCCGUAACCUGAGGAUUAUCCUCAUUGCUGCACAGAAAAGUUACGUCCUGGAAGCACCGCUGGGUGCCAGGCCUGCUGCUGAUGCAACUGACGAUGUUAAGAACGUCUAGCAGAGCAAAGCUGAUGACUACUCUAUAGUUCAGUGUUGCAUGCUAUACGGCUUAGAACCGGGUCUUCAACGACGUUUUGAACGUCAUGGAGCAUAUGAGAUGUUCCAAGAGUUGAAGUUAAUAUUUCAAGCAAAUGCCCAGAUGAAGUCUCCAAUAAGUUCCAUAGCUGCAAGAUGGAGGAGAAUAGUUCUGUCAGUGAACACAUACUCAGAAUGUCUGGGUAUAAUAAUCACUUGAUUCAACUGGGAGUUAAUCUUCCUGAUGAUAGUGUCAUUGACAGAAUUCUCCAAUCACUGCCACCAAGCUACAAGAGCUUUGUGAUGAACUAUAAUAUGCAAGGGAUGAACAAGACUAUUCCCGAGCUCUUCGCAAUGCUAAAAGCCGCGGAGGUAGAAAUCAAGAAGGAGCAUCAAGUGUUGAUGGUCAACAAGACCACUAGUUUCAAGAAAAAGGGCAAAGGGAAGAAGAAGGGGAACUUCAAAAAGAACGGCAAGCAAGUUGCUGCUCAAGAGAAGAAACCCAAGUCUGGACCUAAGCCUGAAAGUGAGUGCUUCUACUGCAAGCAGACUGGUCACUGGAAGCGGAACUGCCCCAAGUAUUUGGCGGAUAAGAAGGAUGGCAAAGUGAACAAAGGUAUAUGUGAUAUACAUGUUAUUGAUGUGUACCUAACUAGAGCUCGUAGUAGCACCUGGGUAUUUGAUACUGGUUCUGUUGCUAAUAUUUGCAACUCGAAACAGGGACUACGGAAUAAGCGAGCACUGGCCAAGGAUGAGGUGACGAUGCGCGUGGGAAACGGUUCCAAAGUCGAUGUAAUCGCGGUCGGCACGCUACCUUUACAUCUACCUUCGGGAUUAGUUUUAGACCUGAAUAAUUGUUAUUUGGUGCCAGCGUUGAGCAUGAACAUUAUAUCUGGAUCUUGUUUAAUGCGAGACGGUUAUUCAUUUAAAUCAGAGAAUAAUGGUUGUUCUAUUUAUAUGAGUAAUAUCUUUUAUGGUCAUGCACCCUUGAAGAAUGGUCUAUUUUUAUUGAAUCUCGAUAGUAGUGAUACACAUAUUCAUAAUGUUGAAACCAAAAGAUGCAGAGUUGUUAAUGAUAGUGCAACUUAUUUGUGACACUGCCGUUUAGGUCAUAUCGGUGUAAAACGCAUGAAGAAACUCCAUACAGAUGGACUUCUGGAAUCACUUGAUUAUGAAUCACUUGGUACUUGCGAACCGUGCCUCAUGGGCAAGAUGACUAAAACACCGUUCUCCGGAACUAUGGAGAGAGCAACAGAUUUGUUGGAAAUCAUACAUACAGAUGUAUGUGGUCCGAUGAAUAUUGAGGCUCGUGGAGGAUAUCGUUAUUUUCUCACCUUCUCAGAUGAUUUGAGCAGAUAUGGGUAUAUCUACUUAAUGAAGCACAAGUCUGAAACAUUUGAAAAGUUCAAAGAAUUUCAGAAUGAAGUGGAGAAUCAUCGUAACAAGAAAAUAAAGUUUCUAUGAUGUGAUCGUGGAGGAGAAUAUUUGAGUUACGAGUUUGGUUUACAUUUGAAACAAUGGGGAAUAGUUUCGCAACUCACACCACCCGGAACACCACAACGAAAUGGUGUGUCCGAACGUCGUAAUCGUACUUUACUUGAUAUUGUGCGAUCUAUGAUGUCUCUUACCGAUUUACCGCUAUCGUUUUGGGGUUAUGCUUUAGAGACGGCCGCAUUCACGUUAAAUAGGGCACCAUCAAAAUCCGUUGAGAUGACGCCUUAUGAACUAUGGUUUGGCAAGAAACCAAAGUUGUCGUUUCUUAAAGUUUGGGGCUGCGAUGCUUAUGUGAAGAAACUUCAACCAGAUAAGCUCGAACCCAAAUCGGAGAAAUGUGUCUUCAUAGGAUAUCCAAAAGAGACUGUUGGAUACACCUUCUAUCACAGAUCCGAAGGCAAUACAUUCGUUGCUAAGAAUGGAUCCUUUCUAGAGAAGGAGUUUCUCUCGAAAGAAGUAAGUGGGAGGAAAGUAGAACUUGAUGAGAUAACUGUAUCUACUCCCUUAUUGGAAAGUAGUUCAUCAUGAGAACCGGUUCCUGUGACGACUACACCAAUUAGUGAGGAAGCUAAUGAUAUUGAUCAUGAAACUUCAGAUCAAGUUUCUACUGAACCCCGUAGGUCUACCAGAGUAAUAUCCGCACCAGAGUGGUACGGUAAUCCUAUUCUGGAAGUCAUGUUACUUGACCAUGAUGAACCUACGAACUAUGAGGAAGCGAUGAUGAGCCCAGAUUCCGCAAAAUGGCUAGAGGCCAUGAAAUCUGAGAUGGGAUCCAUGUAUGAAAACAAAGUAUGGACUUUGGUUGACUUGCCCGAUGAUCGGCAAGCCAUUGAGAAUAAAUGGAUCUUUAAGAAGAAGACUGACGCUGAUGGUAAUGUAACUGUCUAUAAAGCUCGACUUGUUGCGAAAGGUUUUCGACAAGUUCAAGGGAUUGACUACGAUGAGACUUUCUCACCCGUAGCGAUGCUUAAGUCUGUCCGAAUCAUGUUAGCUAUUGCUGCAUUUCAUGAUUAUGAAAUUUGGCAAAUGGAUGUCAAGACUGCAUUCUUGAAUGGAUUUCUAGAAGAAGAGUUGUAUAUGAUGCAGCCGGAAGGUUUUGUUGAUCCAAAAGGUGCUAACAAAGUAUGCAAGCUCCAGCGUUCCAUUUAUGGACUGGUGCAAGCAUCUCGGAGUUGGAAUAAAUGCUUUGAUAGUGUGAUCAAAGCAUAUGGUUUUAUACAGACUUUUGGAGAAGCCUGUAUUUACAAGAAAGUGAGUGGGAGCUCUGUAGCAUUUCUAGUUUUAUAUGUAGAUGACAUAUUAUUAAUUGGAAAUGAUAUAGAAUUUCUGGAUAGCAUAAAGGGAUACUUGAAUAAAAGUUUUUCAAUGAAAGACCUCGGUGAAGCUGCUUACAUAUUGGGCAUCAAGAUCUAUAGAGAUAGAUCAAGACGCUUAAUAGGACUUUCACAAAGCACAUACCUUGACAAAAUUUUGAAAAAGUUCAAAAUGGAUCAGGCAAAGAAAGGAUUCUUGCAUGUGCUACAAGGUGUGAAGUUGAGUCAAACUCAAUGCCCGACCACAGCAGAAGAUAGAGAGAAAAUGAAAAAUGUUCGCUAUGCUUCAGCCAUCGGCUCUAUCAUGUAUGCAAUGCUGUGUACCAGACCUGACGUAUGCUUAGCAAUAAGCUUGACAGGAAGGUACCAAAGUAAUCCAGGAGUGGAUCACUGGACAGCGGUCAAGAACAUCCUGAAAUACCUGAAAAGGACUAAGGAUAUGUUUCUCGUAUAUGGAGGUGACAAAGAGCUAGUCAUAAAUGGUUACGUUGAUGCAAGCUUUGACACUGAUCCGGACGAUUCUAAAUCGCAAACCGGAUACGUGUUUUUAUUAAACGGUGGAGCUGUAAGUUGGUGCAGUUCUAAACAAAGCGUCGUGGCGGGAUCUACAUGUGAAGCGGAGUACAUAGCUGCUUCUGAAGCAGCGAAUGAAGGAGUCUGGAUGAAGGAGUUCAUUUCCUAUCUAGGUGUCAUACCUAGUGCAACGGGACCAAUGAAGAUCUUCUGUGACAAUACUGGUGCAAUUGCUUUGGCAAAGGAAUCCAGAUUUCACAAGAGGACCAAACACAUCAAUGGACGCUUCAAUUCCAUUCGGGAUCAAGUCCAAGUGGGAGACAUAGAGAUUUGCAAGAUACAUACGGAUCUGAAUGUUGCAGACCCAUUGACUAAGCCUCUCUCACGAGCAAAACAUGAUCAGCACCAAGACUCCAUGGGUGUUAGAAUCAUUACUAUGUAAUCUAGAUUAUUGACUCUAGUGCAAGUGGGAGACUGAAGGAAAUAUGCCCUAGAGGCAAUAAUAAAGUUAUUAUUUAUUUCCUCAUAUCAUGAUAAAUGUUUUAUUAUUCAUGCUAGAAUUGUAUUAACCGGAAACAUGAUACACGUGUGAAUACAUAGACAAAACAAUAGUCACUAGUAUGCCUCUACUUGACUAGCUCAUUAAUCAAAGAUGGUUAUGUUUCCAAACCAUAGACAUGUGUUGUCAUUUGAUUAAUGGGAUCACAUCAUUAGGAGAAUGAUGUGAUUGACAUGACCCAUUACGUUAGCCUAGCACUUGAUCGUUUAGUAUACUGCUAGUGCUUUCUUCAUGACUUAUACAAAGUUCCUGCAACUAUGAGAUUGUGCAACUCCCGUAUACCAGAAGAACACUUUGUGUGCUACCAAACGUCACAACAUAACUGGGUGAUUAUAAAGGUGCUCUACAGGUGUUUCCGAAGGUACAUGUUGGGUUGGCAUAAUUCGAGAUUAGGUUUUGUCACUCCGAUUGUCGGAGAGGUAUCUCUGGGCCCUCUCGGUAAUACUCAUCACCUAAGCCUUGCAAGCAUGUAACUAAUGAGUUAGUUAUGAGAUGAUGUAUUACGGAACGAGUAAAGAGACUUGCCGGUAACGAGAUUGAACUAGGUAUAGGAUACCGACGAUCAAAUCCCGGGCAAGUAACAUACCAAUGACAAAGGGAACAAAGUAUGUUGUUAUGCGGUUUGACCGAUAAAGCUCUUCGUAGAAUAUGUAGGAACCAAUAUGGGCAUCCAGGUCCCGCUAUUGGUUAUUGACCGAGAAUGGUUCUAGGUCAUGUCUACAUAGUUCUCGAACCCGUAGGGUCCGCACGCUUAACGUUUUGAUGACAGUUUUAUUAUGAGUUUAUAAGUUUUGAUGUACCGAAGUUUGUUCGGAGUCCCGGAUAUGAUCACGGACAUGACGAGGAGUCUCGGAAUGGUCGAGACAUAAAGAUUGAUAUAUUGGAAGCCUAUAUUUGGAUAUCGGCAAGGUUCCGGGUGAAAUCGGCAUUUUACCGGAGUACCGGGAGGUUACCGGAACCCCUCCCGGUGGUUAAUGGGCCUACAUGGGCCAAGAGGGAGAAGAGGGAUGGAGCCAGGAGGGGGCCGCGCGCCCCUCCCCCUCCUAGUCCGAAUAGGACAAGGGAAGGGGGCCGGCGCCCCCCCUUUCCUUCCCCUCUUCCUCCUCUUUCCCCCCUUCUCCUACUCCUACUUGGAAAAGGGGAGUCCUAUUCCCGGUGGGAGUAGGACUCCCCCCCUUGGCGCGCCCUCUAGGCUGGCCGCCUCCUCCCCCUGGCUCCUUUAUAUACGGGGGCGGGGGGCACCCCAAAGACACAAGUUGAUCUACGGAUCGUUCCUUAGCCAUGUGCGGUGCCCCCUUCCACCAUAUUCCACCUCGGUCAUAUCGUCGUGCAGUUUAGGCGAAGCCCUGCACCGGUAGAACAUCAUCAUCAUCACCACGCCGUCGUGCUGACGGAACUCAUCUCCGGAGCUCGGCUGGAUCGGAGGCCGGAGAUCAUCAUCGAGCUGAACGUGUGCUGAACUUGGAGGCUCCGUACGUUCGGUGCUUCGAUCGGUCGGGUCGUGAAGAUGUACGACUACAUCAACCGCGUUGUGCUAACGCUUCCUCUUACGUUCUACGAGGGUACGUGGACGAAUACUCUCCCCUCUCGUUGCUAUGCCAUCACCAUGAUCUUGCGUGUGCGUAGGAAAUUUUUUGAAAUUACUACGUUCCCCAACAGGUGGUUCACUCACUCCCUCAAAGUAGGUGCACUCAAAGUCACAUAUGGUGGAGUCACUCAUCUCACUCAAGUGGUGGGGGUUGUGGAUCUCCUCACAUGGAAAGUGUGGCAACUCAUUAUAUAUGGGGCUAGUGGUGAAGUCACUCUCACUCUCAAUAUGGUGGCAAAAGUCACUCAAGUCAUCAUACAUCGCCGUGGUCGAAGGGAAGAUCCCAUGCUCAACCAUCUCGUCGUGGUCGCCGUGGAUGAAGGCCGAAGAUGGCACAUCAUCACUCUCGUCGUGGAUGAAGGCCGAAGAUGGCUCAACAUCACUCUCGUCAUGGAUGAAGGCCGAAGAUGGCACAUCAUCACUCUCGCCUCCUAAGAUGGAAGCAUCAUCCUUGCUCGCCACCUUGUUGUUCGCCUCCAAAGCUUGGUCCUUGAAGGUCUCCGUAGUCGUACUCGUCGCUGCACCAUCGUGAAAAAGAUUCGAAGUAUACUCGGCAUCAUCAAUGCCACAAAGAGGGAUGGCGGUGAAGUCGCACUUGGGAGCAUCGUCUUGGAGCUUGUCGGCCUUGGACAUCGUGGUGGUACUAGCCUCAUGCUUGUCGUAGAUCUUGGUCGCCGCGAAGUGUGCUUGGGGUGGAGAAGCCUUGGCCUUCAUGAGUUCUUGUUCCGCCUUGAGAGCACCAAUGUAGUAGUCGUCGAUGGACUUGUAGUUCUCGAUGAAGAUGGUCUUGGAGAUGUCGUUGUGCAAUCCCAUCAUGAAGUGGAACUUCAUUGAUAUGGGGUCGUCCACGCCGGCUCGUCGCAAUGCAAUCGUCAUCUCCUUGAAGUACUUGUCGAUGGACUUGGAUCCUUGGGUGGUGUUCUCCAAUUGGCGUCGAAGUUGUUCCGUGUAGGUUGGAGGCACAAACUCUCGCCGUAAAGCUCUCUUCGUCUUGGGCCAACUCAUCUCGUAGCUCUCCGAAGGUGUGUGAAGCCACCAUGUCGAGGCGUAGUCGUGGAAGUUUCUUGUGGCGCACUUCACUUGAUCUUCGGGACGAACUUGAUGUAGCUUGAGGUAGUCGUCCAUCAAACGUUCCCACUCGAGGUACUCCUCGGGUUCUUGAGUCCCAUAGAAAGGAAUCUUGUGGUCGGUGUCGAGGUCGUAGUAGCUCGUGGAAGUCGCGGACUUGAGCUUGGGUAGCUUCUCUUGAGUGUAGUCUUGAGGUGCUUGUUGGCAAAGAUGCCCAAUAUCCGAAGGCGAAGAUGCCUUGUAGUCACUUGGCGAAGAUGCCAUCGGUGUUCAAGAAGCUGAAGUCUUGAGGUCGAUGUCGCGGCUCUAUAUAGCCCGUGUGCACGAGGGUACAGGAGGCCGUGUGCACGGGGUCCCGUGUGCACGGGGGUCGAAGGCCCGUGUGCACGGGGUUGGCAGAGAAGCCAACUCUCGUCCAGAAGCUCUCUCUUCAUGGUCAUGUCGAUGCCGAUGCUUGUGUGUACUUGCCGGAGAUGGUAGCACGGAAAUCUUUGCACUUGAGCGUCUUCUCGAAGAUGAGGAAGACCGCUUGCGGUUCUUGAUGAGGGCCUUGAUCUCCUCCAUGCGCUUUUCCAUCUUGGCGUCGGAGUUGUUGUUCAUGGCAUCGAACUCGUUGUUGUUGUAGACCGAAGGUGAAAUGCCUUGCCUAUCCAUCACAAGACUCGAGUAUAGGUGAGUAGGAAAUGAGAUAAACAAUACCAAGUUACCUUUUCCCAAAGUUGAGGAUGUAUCUUGUAUCACUCAAUGUGAAUUGAAAGAAUAGUGGAAUUGGUACCGGACUUGUUCACUCACACCUACAAGUAAAGGCUUAUGGUAGAGCUCGGUGAGGAUAGUGGCACAAAAAUUUGAUGCAAAAUGUUAGCAAGAGUCAAUAAUGUUGAAAAAGAUUCACAAAUUCGCAAGUGAAACAAGUAGACCAAUAGCAAAUGGUACACGGAAACACACACACGGAUAGAUAAAUGGGGUCGUGCAACCAAGGAAUGAGCACAAAAUGUGGAGUCCACGGAAAACGCUCGUGUUGCACAACUCAAGAGAGAUGCUAGCACGAUUGCUCAAUAGGCGGAUACGACACUUGUGCACAACCUAUAAGAUGCAAAAUGGAUAAACUUCUUUCCCAAGUAAGCUAUGUAUGUAUGGUUCCCGGUGUUUCUCUCAAGCAUGAUACCAUAUGAUGUAGAUUUUGGUAUGGCUCUUUUUGUGCAAUGGGGUAUGAUGCUAUGGCACUUGCUCACGAGCUCUUUGCUCUCUUUUUGCUUAAAAGCUUCUUCUCUUUUUUUUUCAAUGGCCACUUUUGCACAAUGCACAAACCAAGAUAGUUAUUGUGUAUAUGUGGGAACGAUAUUGUGACACAAAGGAUGAUAUGAUACCAAUAUGAUAUGGGAUGUAUGCAAUGGAAUGGUGGAUCACUAAUGUGCACAAGUAACGUUGCCGGCAAUACUCAAAUGGCUAGUCUCGAUAGGCAAGUAACGCAAAAUGGGUUAGGGGUUAACAAUGCAAUUGCAAGGGUAAUAUACAAUGGUGUCGUCGAGGUUACCAUCCUUUGCGAUGAUGAGUGGCGGUGUUCUUGAUGUAGAUACCAAGAUGAUGUAGACCCGUCCCUAAGUAGCCAAAACACCUUAGGAAACGGUAAAAACCGCAAACUCAAAAUCUCAAAUGACAAAUGUCAAAUGGUGGAAGUGGGAAUGGCAAUGUGGAAGUGGUGGUGGUUUGUGAAGAAGCAAAUGUCCCUAAGUAGCCGAAACACCUUAGGAGACUCAUGUCGCCACUCAAACAACCACAAAUGCUAAGGGGAUCAAGAUGGGUUAGGUUGCGAAAGUCUAUGGUUGUUUUGCGGAUGAUAUGGUGGAGGGCCUAGGCAAAGAUGCCAAAAUGUCAAAAUUUUGAUGGAGUAAAAUGGAGAUGGAACCUAUCUAGGUGGAUGGGGGAUGUCAAUAACUACUCAACGAGCUAAAGAACGCGAAAAUCGGACUCCGGAUGUGGAAGUUACGGGCAAAACUGUGAACUGCUUGCUGCUGGCCUGGGGGGCCGUUCGCACGGGGUCCAGGGCCCGUGGGCACGGGGUCCCGUGCGCACGGUACACGUAUCGAGGACACGGGGUCACCAGAGACUUCGCGGGGGCCCGUGGGCACGGGGUGGGGAGCCCGUGGGCACGGGGUAGGCGGAAAUUUUGCGAUUUUCUUGUCAAAUUCGAAAGGGGAAAGAAAAAUUGGGGUAUGGGGACACAAGAGGGGGUAGAUCUACUUGCAAUACAUCAAAUCCAUGGAUCAAAUCCAACAAAAUCAAUCUAAACCAACAAAUCACAAAAAAUUUUGGGGCUAUUUUUGGUGGGGAAUUUUCGGAUUUAGGACGAAAUCACACAAAACAAGGCUAGAAAACACGGGGCAGGGGCUCCAAAAACGUGAUCAACGUGGCUCAUGAUACCAUAUGAUGUUGGGUAGAACCCUAGGUGAGAGAUCUUUCACGAAUUGGAGGGGAAUCCCCUAUGAACAAGAUGAACAAAAGAGGGAAAACAAGAGGAACACUCAAGAACAAGUCCAAUCACACAUCCACUAGACAAUCAAACACAUAAGAUCCACAAGGUACAUGAACAACAAAGGGAAAUAAGAUACAUGGUAGAGUUCAUCCCAAAUCCUAUGAAGGAGAUGAGGGCUUGAUGAUCUAGAUAGAUCCUUCCCACAAAGGGGGUCUUCAUCCACUAGGGAUCUUCUCCAAUGGAGGCCUUGAACUCCAAUGGAGUGUCUCUCUCUCUCAAGAGGAAUCCCACAAGGGGAGGUACAUGAGCUAGGCUCUAGUGUUUAGAUCUAUCCUUAGCUAAGUCUAAAUGGAGGAGAUGAAGGAGUAUAUAUAGUCCUAGGCAAAGAGAGGGGUAAGUGGGGGCGAAAUGGUAAAACAAGGGCAAAGCCCGCAACAUCUCUCAGGGGGCCCCGUGUGCACGGGGUAAGUGGAGCCCGUGCGCACGGGGUAUCCAGGGACCGGACGCAAGGGCCCGUGCGCACGGGGUCCGUUAGGCCCGUGGACACGGGGGUCCCAUGGGCACGGUACACGACCGUGCGCACGGGGUCUUCAGGACCGCCAGCCUGGGAGGCCCGUGGGCAUGGGGUCAGAGGGGCCCGUGCGCACGGGGUCGCCUGGGAGUUGCUGCCUUCUUCUUGGCGCUUCCUUCUCCGCUUCCAGGCUUCCGUCUUGGAUGGUGUAGAUGUUCUCUUCCGCUUGGACUCCUCCGUGAUGAAUGUGUAGCUCCGCUCACACCUAAGUAUGCACACGAGAGAGGGGUCAAGUAGUAUACCAUCCUCGAAGGGUACAAGUGGACACGUGUAAAGGAGAUGGUUCACCUUUGUAUGCAUGAAGUAGAUGUGGCACGUGUCACUUGUCAAAUGGUCUCUUGACAUGGUGAUGUCCAUAGGAUGCUCCGCAUCAUCCCCUCCCCCUUGGGAAAGAUCCGACCUCGGAUCGAAAUCCAAAUCACCAUGGGAAAGAGAUGAUGUCGUCGUGUAGAAGUGGACGAUCACCAAGCAUUCGUCAUCUUGUAGUUCCAAAUGGGCACUCUCCGAUGUCGCACCGUCUUGUAAUUCCUUCAGAAGUAGCAAAGAUAACAAGCACUUGGAAAAACAAAUGUGGUUGUCGUAAGAGCAAAACCAAGCAUUCAAGAGGUGAUUCACCCAACAAGUGUUGUCAUCAAGCAUAGCAUAUGGUUUGACAAAGAAGUGUGUCAUGGCAUUUGAGCAUAUAAAUUGAGCACAAUCAAUUACAUCAUGGGAACAAGCAUGUAAAUGGGAGGUCAAGAUGCAAAUAUAUGUGAUAAGUGAACAAGCAUCAACCUCAAGGUCAUAGCAAGAAUGCAUAAAGUGCUCAACAAAUGGUCUAUGGUAUGCAUAUGAAUCGUUCACAACACCAAAUAUAGUGAAAUGUCUAAACACAUGGGGAAAGUGCAAGGCAAUCCAAGCAUAACGUGCAUAUGGUGUAGUGAAGAUAUCGUGGCACUCAACACAAUGGAAAGAGCAAUUGUUCAACAUGUGUGAGGCAAUCAAGUCAAGCAUGUGAUAAGCAAAGGGACAUGGCAUAUGUGAAGAACUAGAUGCAACACUCAAGGCAUAUAUGUCAUGAGGCAUAGCAAUGUGGUAAUGAGAAGUCGAAGCAAGAUCACUAGCAUGUGUGCAAAGUGUCGUGGAGCAAGAAACACAUGAAGUAUGAUCCACAAUAUGCAUGCUCAUGGUUUGGGUGAUCUUGAGAUAGAAGGAUAUCACCUCGAAAGCAUGUCCUUGUGCGUCCUUCACAAUGCCGAAGUGGUAGGAAAUAUGGUGUAGAAGCGAGUCGUGGUCGAAUGUAUGAGGCUCGCUCUCAAGAGCUCGAAUGGUCAACUCACGUGAAGUGGAAGUCGACACGAAGUCCAAGUAUCCUACACAUGCACACAACAAAACAAAGAGCGUAUGCGCAUGGUAGAUAAACACAUCAUCCAUCAUGAUGGUUCUCUUCUCUUGCACAUAACGAUUAGAAGCACAAGUGCAUGAAUAAUAUGAUGCAACAAUGGCGAUAUUCAAGGCACUAGGUAUAUGGUGCAAAGAGGUAAGACAAGCAUGCUUCACAAGGAAUAUGUCAACAUCUCCAAACAUAUGUAAGAAUGCUAUGGGGGCAAUCUUAAGAGCAAGACUAUAAGCAUUGUUGCACUCAAUACAUGGCAAAUCAUCUAGCAUGAGAGAGGCAACACAUGGAGAUAUAUGACACGAAGCAAUAUGAAUCAUGUGCAAAGCAUAUAGAUGGUUGUCAUCAACCGCGUGAGAUGAGCAAGUAUGACGCAAGAGACAAUGAUCAAGAUAUAGCAUGUGAGAGGCAUGAGCAUAUAUGUCAUCAACCCAAGAAAGCAAGUAAUAGUGGAACAUGGGUGAUGCAACAUAGCAAGCAAUCAUAGCAAUCAAGUCAAGUAAGCUAGUAGUGCGAAGAUGCAACAUACUAGAAGGAAUCAUGGCAAACAUGUCAUUGGUGCAAAUAGUGGGCAUGAAUAAUUCACAUGACAUAGCACAAGCAUGAAAGCAAGAUAUGAGGACAAUAGCAUGGGGCACAUGAUAAACAUGGCAAUAGCAACAAGGAUCUCUACCAAGCAUGCAAAUACACAUAGAAGUAGCAUAAUUAUGAAACAUGGGUAGAUGCAAGCAAGGGUCACAAUUGCAUGGCAAAGGCAUAGAAGCAAGCAUAGCAUGCAAAGUGAACACGGUAAAAUGAGCAUAAGGUGACAAGUGGUAAAUGGCCCAUAGUCGUGUGAGAGCCAAGUACAGGAGUUGCGCGUAGUCCUUGCGCGAAGGGAACGGUGGUAAGGAUAGUCCAUGGGAUCCCAAGUCAUCAUUGCUCUCUAGAGCUCGUUUGAAGUGGCAUAUGCAUAGUCACUAUGAAGAGAUUGUCAUCUAUGCCAGAAGUGCAAAUUGGGUUUAUUUUAAUGGCAUAUGCAUAGUCACUAUGAAGAGAUUGCAAAUAUGACAUAUGAUGGAUCUCAUGCAUAGCAUAUGACAAGUCAAGCGGAUUAUCAAACAUGGUGAGACCAAGAGAAUUAUCACAAGACAUCCUAUGUAACAUGGCAUCACAACUAAUAGACUCCUCAUGGCAAUAAUCAUACUCAUCAUAAAUGGGCAAAUCAUCACAUGGGAAAAUCAUACUAGCGUGAAUCAUGGUACUAAGUGGAUCAACAUCAUGCAAGCAAUCAAUCUCAAGAAUGUCCGCUAGUGGGACUAGAGCAUCACCUUCACCUUUGUUACCUUUGUCAUUCCACUCAAGUGGUGUAGGUGAGGUGGGAAAGACCAAAUGGUGGUCAUCUUCAUCUUGAUGGAACCAUGUGGGGGGUGCAUCAUAUUCCACCAUGGUCAUCGUCAUGUCCAAAGGGAGGACGAAGUCGUCGAGGAUCGGCGCGUCAUCAUAAAUGGGACCUAGCACCAAAUGAGAAGACACAAUAGAGGUAGAGGUCAAGUUGUUAGAAAUGCAAAUGGCCUCAUGAGACCUAUCAACUAUCUCACUCUCUCUAUGUGGUGGUGAAGGAAAUAUGGCCUAGAGGCAAUAAUAAAGUUAUUAUUUAUUUCCUCAUAUCAUGAUAAAUGUUUAUUAUUCAUGCUAGAAUUGUAUUAACCGGAAACAUGGUAAAUGUGUGAAUACAUAGACAAAACAAUAGUCACUAGUAUGCCUCUACUUGACUAGCUCAUUAAUCAAAGAUGGUUAUGUUUCCAAACCAUAGACAUGUGUUGUCAUUUGAUUAAUGGGAUCACAUCAUUAGGAGAAUGAUGUGAUUGAGAUGACCCAUUCCGUUAGCCUAGCACUUGCUCAUUUAGUAUACUGCUAUUGCUUUCUUCAUGACUUAUACAAAGUUCCUGCAACUAUGAGAUUGUGCAACUCCCGUAUACCGGAAGAACACUUUGUGUGCUACCAAACGUCACAACGUAACUGGGUGAUUAUAAAGGUGCUCUACAGGUGUUUCCGAAGGUACAUGUUGGGUUGGCAUAAUUCGAGAUUAGGUUUUGUCACUCCGAUUGUCGGAGAGGUAUCUCUGGGCCCUCUCGGUAAUACUCAUCACCUAAGCCUUGCAAGCAUGUAACUAAUGAGUUAGUUAUGAGAUGAUGUAUUACGGAACGAGUAAAGAGACUUGCCGGUAACGAGAUUGAACUAGGUAUAGGAUACCGACGAUCAAAUCCCGGGCAAGUAACAUACCGAUGACAAAGGGAACAAAGUAUGUUGUUAUGCGGUUUGACCGAUAAAGAUCUUCGUAGAAUAUGUAGGAACCAAUAUGGGCAUCCAGGUCCCGCUAUUGGUUAUUGACCGAGAAUGGUUCUAGGUCAUGUCUACAUAGUUCUCGAACCCGUAGGGUCCGCACGCUUAACGUUUCGAUGACAGUUUUAUUAAGAGUUUAUAAGUUUUGAUGUACCGAAGUUUGUUCGGAGUCCCGGAUAUGAUCACGGACAUGACGAGGAGUCUCGGAAUGGUUGAGACAUAAAGAUUGAUAUAUUGGAAGCCUAUAUUUGGAUAUCGGAAAGGUUCCGGGUGAAAUCGGCAUUUUACCGGAGUACCGGGAGGUUACCGGAACCCCCCGGGGGUUAAUGGGCCUACAUGGGCCAAGAGGGAGAAGAGGGAAGGAGCCAGGAGGGGGCCGCGUGCCCCUCCCCCUCCUAGUCCGAAUAGGACAAGGGAAGGGGGGGCGACGCCCCCCUUUCCUUCCCCUCUUCGUCCUCUUUCCCCCCUUCUCCUACUCCUACUUGGAAAAGGGGAGUCCUACUCCCGGUGGGAGUAGGACUCCCCCCCUUGGCGCGCCCUCUAGGCCGGCCGCCUCCUCCCCCCUGGCUCCUUUAUAUACGGGGGCGGGGGGCACCCCAAAGACACAAGUUGAUCUACGGAUCGUUCCUUAGCCGUGUGCGGUGCCCCCUUCCACCAUAUUCCACCUCGGUCAUAUCGUCGCGGAGUUUAGGCAAAGCCCUGCGCCGGUAGAACAUCAUCAUCGUCACCACGCCGUCAUGCUGACGGAACUCAUCUCCGGAGCUCGGUUGGAUCGGAGGCCGGAGAUCGUCAUCAAGCUGAACGUGUGCUGAACUCGGAGGCUCCGUACGUUCGGUGCUUGGAUCGGUCGGAUCGUGAAGACGUACGACUACAUCAACCGCGUUGUGCUAACGCUUCCGCUUAUGGUCUACGAGGGUACAUGGACGAAUACUCUCCCCUCUCGUUGCUAUGCCAUCACCAUGAUCUUGCGUGUGCAUAGGAAUUUUUUUAAAAUUACAACGUUCCCCAACAGUGGCAUCCGAGCCUAGGUUUUAUGCGUUGAUGUUAUAUGCACGAGUAGAACACAAGUGAGUUGUGGGCGAUACAAGUCAUACUGCUUACGACUACGGGAUUGGCCAACCACGCAGGAUGGAGCACUCCUCUGACAAGGCCUACUGCUUCCAACUUCUUGAUCUCUUCUGCAAUGAAUUCUUGGCGCUCCACUGCUUGUUUCCUUACUUUCUGCUUGACGGGCCGUGCGUGAGGACAGACGGCAAGAUGGUGCUCAAUUACUUCCCUGGGAACACCGGGGAUGUCAUACGGUUGCACAAAAAUUUGAUGCAAAAUGUUAGCAAGAGUCAAUAAUGUUGAAAAAGAUUCACAAAUUCGCAAGUGAAACAAGUAGACCAAUAGCAAAUGGUACACGGAAACACACACACACGGAUAGAUAAAUGGGGUCGUGCAACCAAGGAAUGAGCACAAAAUGUGGAGUCCACGGAAAACGCUCGUGUUGCACAACUCAAGAGAGACGCUAGCACGAUUGCUCAAUAGGCGGAUACGACACUUGUGCACAACCUAUAAGAUGCAAAAUGGAUAAACUUCUUUCCCAAGUAAGCUAUGUAUGUAUGGUUCCCGGUGUUUCUCUCAAGCAUGAUACCAUAUGAUGUAGAUUUUGGUAUGGCUCUUUUUGUGCAAUGGGGUAUGAUGCUAUGGCACUUGCUCACGAGCUCUUUGCUCUCUUUUUGCUUAAAAGUUUUUUCUCUUUUUUUUCAAUGGCCACUUUUGCACAAUGCACAAACCAAGAUAGUUAUUGUGUAUAUGCGGGAACGAUAUUGUGACACAAAGGAUGAUAUGAUACCAAUAUGAUAUGGGAUGUAUGCAAUGGAAUGGUGGAUCACUAAUGUGCACAAGUAACGUUGCCGGCAAUACUCAAAUGGCUAGUCUCGAUAGGCAAGUAACGCAAAAUGGGCUAGGGGUUAACAAUACAAUUGCAAGGGUAAUAUACAAUGGUGUCGUCGAGGUUACCGUCCUUUGCGAUGAUGAGUGGCGGUGUUCUUGAUGUAGAUACCAAGAUGAUGUAGACCCGUCCCUAAGUAGCCAAAACACCUUAGGAAACGGUAAAAACCGCAAACUCAAAAUCUCAAAUGACAAAUGUCAAAUGGUGGAAGUGGGAAUGGCAAUGUGGAAGUGGUGGUGGUUUGUGAAGAAGCAAAUGUCCCUAAGUAGCCGAAACACCUUAGGAGACUCACGUCGCCACUCAAACAACCACAAAUGCUAAGGGGAUCAAGAUGGGUUAGGUUGCGAAAGUCUAUGGUUGUUUUGCGGAUGAUAUGGUGGAGGGCCUAGGCAAAGAUGCCAAAAUGUCAAAAUUUUGAUGGAGUGGGGGAUGUCAAUAGCUACUCAAUGAGCUAAAGAACGCGAAAAUCGUACUCCGGAUGUGGAAGUUACGGGCAAAACAGUGAACUGCUCGCUGCUGGCCUGGGGGGGCCAUGCGCACGGGGUCCCAUGCGCACGGUACACGUAUCGAGGACACGGGGUCACCAGAGACUUCGCGGGGGCCCGUGGGCACGGGGUGGGGAGCCCGUGGGCACGGGGUAGGCGGAAAUUUUGCGAUUUUCUUGUCAAAUUCGAAGGGGAAAGAAAAAUUGGGGUAUGGGGACACAAGAGGGGGUAGAUCUACUUGCAAUACAUCAAAUCCAUGGAUCAAAUCCAACAAAAUCAAUCUAAACCAACAAAUCACAAAAACAUUUGGGGCUAUUUUUGGUGGGGAAUUUUCGGAUUUAGGACGAAAUCACACAAAACAACGCUAGAAAACACGGGGCAAGGGCUCCAAAAACAUGAUCAACGUGGCUCAUGAUACCAUAUGAUGUUGGGUAGAACCCUAGGUGAGAGAUCUUUCACGAAUUGGAGGGGAAUCCCCUAUGAACAAGAUGAACAAAAGAGGGAAAACAAGAGGAACACUCAAGAACAAGUCCAAUCACACAUCCACUAGACAAUCAAACACAUAAGAUCCACAAGGUACAUGAACAACAAAGGGAAAUAAGAUACAUGGUAGAGUUCAACCCAAAUCCUAUGAAGGAGAUGAGGGCUUGAUGAUCUAGAUAGAUCCUUCCCACAAAGGGGGUCUUCAUCCACUAGGGAUCUUCUCCAAUGGAGGCCUUGAACUCCAAUGGAGUGUCUCUCUGUCUCUCAAGAGGAAUCCCACAAGGGGAGGUACAUGAGCUAGGCUCUAGUGUUUAGAUCUAUCCUUAGCUAAGUCUAAAUGGAGGAGAUGAAGGAGUAUAUAUAGUCCUAGGCAAAGAGAGGGGUAAUUGGGGGCAAAAUGGUAAAACAAGGGCAAAGCCCGCAACAUCUCUCAGGGGGCCCCGUGUGCACGGGGUAAGUGGAGCCCGUGCGCACGGGGUAUCCAGGGACCGGACGCAAGGGCCCAUGCGCACGGGGUCCGUUAGGCCCGUGGACACGGGGGGUCCCGUGGGCACGGUACACGCCCGUGCGCACGGGGUCUUCAGGACCGCCAGCCUGGGAGGCCCGUGGGCAUGGGGUCGGAGGGGCCCGUGCGCACGGGGUCGCCUGGGAGUUGUUGCCUUCUUCUUGGCGCUUCCUUCUCCGCUUCCAGGCUUCUGUCUUGGAUGGUGUAGAUGUUCUCUUCCGCUUGGAUUCCUCCGUGAUGAAUGUGUAGCUCCGCUCACACCUAAGUAUGCACACGAGAGAGGGGUCAAGUAGUGUAGCAUCCUCGAAGGGUACAAGUGGACACGUGUAAAGGAGAUGGUUCACCUUUGUAUGCAUGAAGUAGAUGUGGCACGUGUCACUUGUCAAAUGGACUCUUGAGAUGGUGAUGUCCAUAGGAUGCUCCGCAUCAAAGCUAGGCCGGUCUCCACGUAGCACCCGGGGCCAAGUCAUUAGCCAGGGUUUUAAGGUCCAUUUCCAGAAUAACCUUGCCAUUAAAAAAAUUCACCAAGGUCUCCAGCCCCAUUUGAGCCGCAGCGGCUUCUGCCUCCUCAAUAAGCAUGCAAGGAUACAUUUUUAUAUACUGUUUGUCAGAGUGAACUUUGUCGGUUGUGUGCAUUUUAAUUAUGCAGAGACCGGGUGUAAUACUUAAAUUUUUUUAGUAAUAAAGCAGCCUUAUCAGGAAAAAAACCUGGCCAUCAUGGUUCCUGGCAACUUCCCCUCUAACAUGACCUAGUAGGGGCCAUCUCUGAAUUUGCACACAAUUUGGAAGAACACAAGAAAUUCGGUGGGAAAUUUGGGGAUUGAUACACUCAGAUCCGAAGCAGGAAGCUAGGGUUUUCGCCAGCCGGAACACGGCGGCUACAAGGGCCAAGCCUAGGAUAAUCCAGAGUGCCCCUCUCCACAAGCCGGAGGGGGUUAUAUAAAGCAAAAUCCAGGUAAAGUAGACAGCGACAGGUUCAACAGGUAAAAGGACAGCACGGUAACUUCUAAAAAGUAGAGCGAAACGAUUCCAGCCGUCCAGAUGAAGAUCAACGGUUGAGGACACACUUAAACGACGAAGCGGUAAGUACUUCACCUCGCCGUCCGAUCGCAGAUCAACGGUCCUAGCUCCUCCAAACAAAACUCACAGCACUGUGGAUCAUCAGAUGAACUUCAACAGUGGGCAGGCCUGACAAUUCCCCCCUGCUAACAACAGACUUGCCCUCAAGGAUGGAAUUCUGGGAAAAUCUUCUGUAUGAACGCCGCAUCCUCCCAGGUUGCAUUCUCCACUGGUAAAUUGAGCCACUUGAUGUGCCAUUGCACCACUGGAAUACUAAUAUCACCCUAAACCCGAGGGAUCAACCUUCUGUCCAGCAGAGUUUUAGGUUGAAUUAGAAUGUGACCCUGUUCAUCGAGGAGCGGUAAGGUUGGGUUUGGGACAGCUUCCGGCCCAAUGUGCUUUUUGAGUUGACUGACAUGGAAGGUGGGGUGGAGCUGACAGCCCUCAGGAAGAAGGAGGCGAUAAGCUACAGCUCCAAUUCUUUCCAUGACUCUGAAGGGACCAUAGUACUUGGAAUGGAGCUUCAGAUGUCUGUGUAUACUUAAGCUAGUGUGCAUGUAUGGUUGCAAUUUUACAUAGACCAUAUCUCCCACUGCAAGCUGUCUUUCAGAUCUCUUUUUGUCUGCAAAGAACUUCAUUCUUUCUUGUGCUUUGAGCAAGUUGUCCUUUAUCUGUUGAGCUAUUGUGUCCCUGUCCAACUGAGCAUGGUGACCUUCUCCUUCCACUGGUGGUAGCAUUAGUUCUGCAAUUAGGGGAGGAGGUCUUGCAUACAGAGCUUGGAAAGGGGUCAUUUUCAGAGAAGUGUGGAAGGUGGUGUUGUACCACCACUCAGCCAUGGAGAGCCAAGAGUGCCAUUUCUUGGGCCGAGCAAAGGCCAUGCAUCUUAAGUAAUUUUCAAGACACUGGUUCACCCUUUCAGUUUGACCAUCUGAUUGUGGGUGGUAGGAAGUACUCAUGUGCAGUUUGACUCCCAUUUUGGUGAACAGAUGUUGCCAAAUAUGACUAGUGAAAAUCCUAUCUCUGUCUGUUACUAUGACAGUGGGCAGUCCAUGCAAUCUGAAUAUAUUGUCAGUAAAAGCUUGAGCUAUUGUUUUGACAGUAAUUGGGUGCCUCAUAGCAACAAAAUGAGCAUAUUUGGUGAAACGAUCCACCACCACCAAGAUCAUGUCUUUGUGUUCAGAUUUUGGUAGGCCUUCCACAAAGUCCAUGCUUAUAUGAGUCCAAGCAAAAUCAGGGACUGGGAGGGGUUGCAGCAAGCCAGGAGGGUGCACAUGUUGGGCUUUGUUCAAUUGGUAGACAGGGCACUGUUGAACAAAGGUUUGCACAACUUUUCUCAUGCCAGGCCAAGUGAAAAGUAUUUUCAGUCUGUGAUAUGUAGCUCUUUCUCCAGAGUGGCCUCCUAGUUCAGACUUAUGGAAGGAAGUCAGCAGGGAGGUUUUGAGUUCACUGUUAUUGCCAACCAUGAUUUCGCCCUUGUACUUGAGCACUCCACUGGUAAGAGUGUAAGGAGGCUGAGCAGCUGGAUCAAUUGCAAGUUUAGUAAUGAGUUCAGAACAUUUAGUGUCCCCCUUGUAACUAUUCACAACUUCAGUAAUCCAGGAUGGAAUUGUUGUGCUAGAACCCAAAACAUUGAGAGCAUGUUUAACUCUGGAAAGAGCAUCUGCUACUCUGUUUUCUCUGCCUUUCUUGUAUUCCACUGUGAACUUGUAACCAUUAAUUUAAUGAGAAGUUUGUGCUGAAUCCCUUCAGUGACCUUUUGCUCUUGUAUGUAUUUCAAACUCUCCUAGUCAGUUCUGAUAAUCAGAGAAGAUGAAGCAAAGUAGUGCUUCCAUUUCUUAAUUGCUUUAAUGAUUGCCAAUGCUUCCUUAUCAUAAGUGGACCAUCCAACAGCUUUAGGCCCUAAGGCUUUGCUGAUGUAUGCAAUAGGCUGUCCUUUCUGCAUGAGGACUGCUCCAAUUCCAUAUCCAGAAGCAUCUGCUUCCAAUACAAAGGGCAAGGAGAAAUCAGGUAAGGCAAGAACUGGGGCAGAGGUCAUUCUGUUCUUAAGUUGCUGCAAAGUAGCUUGUUGUGUUUCAGUCCAAAUAAAUCCAUCCUUUUUCAAGGCAUCAAAUAGUGGCUUGCAGAUCAGACCAUAAUUCUGAACAAAACUCCUGUAGUACCCAGCUAAUCCCAAAAAGCUCCUCAAGUGUGUCACAUUCUGGGGUGUGGGCCAGUUUAAAAUUGCCUCUACUUUAGCAGGGUCUGUAGAAACUCCCUUGUCAGAGAUCACAUAGCCCAAGUAUUCCACUUUGUUUUGUGCAAAUGUGCACUUAGAGAGCUUUGCAUACAAUUGAUGUUUUCUGAGUGCUUCCAGAACCAAGGCUACAUGUUCCAAGUGCUCCUUGUAUGUGUUGCUAAAGAUGAGGAUAUCAUCAAAGAAAACUAGCACACAGUGUCUCAGAAGGGGUCCCAAGACUGUGUGCAUGAGUUCUGUAAAUGUAGGAGGGCUAUUGGUUACUCCAAAGGGCAUUACUAGGAACUCAAACAGGCCUAUGUGUGUGCUGAAGGUUGUUUUCUCUAUGUCCCCCUCCUUCAUUCUGAUUUGAUGAUAACCACUCCUCAGAUCCAGUUUGGUGAAUAUUUUAGCUCCAUUAAGUUCAUCCAAAAGAUCCUCAAUCAUGGGUAUAGGAUACUUGUUCUUGAUGGUGUGAGUAUUCAGUUUCCUGUAGUCAAUGCAGAGUCUCCAAGUCAUAUCCUUUUUCUUUACUAGAAUAGCAGGAGAGGAAUAUGGACUGUGACUUAGUCUGAUAAUCCCUUUAUUGAGAAGAUCUUUAAUGAUUUCCUCUAGAGCAUUUUUCUGGUGAUGUGGCAACCUGUAUCCUCUCUGGUUUAUAAUGGGGCUCCAGGCUCCAGGUUAAUUGCAUGGUCACAUUCUCUUUGAGGAGGUAGACCAGUAGGCUUUGCAAAAACAUCCUUGAAGUUCUCUAAAAGUGUAGUAAUUCCAGGUUUCUUUAUAGAGUCAUCUAUGGUUUCAAGUUGCACUGGUUCCAUCCACAUCAGGGCUCCAGUGAGCAAGUCAUCUAUUAUGUUCUCCAUAUCUUGCAGUAAAGGAGUACAGGGACUUGUGGGCAAGCUCUCAUCCAAGAAGGUUAUUUGUUUUCCAUUGAUAAGCAUAAUUCCAAGCUUCAUGUUAGGCAGAUCAAAAAUGACAGGACUGUGCUUAUACAUCCAGUCAGCUCCAAGUAUGAUAUCAUAUCCAGUAAGUUUCAACAUCCUGAAAUCAGACUCUAAUUCCACCCCUUGGACAGUGCAUUUGGUGUUGUAGAGAGAGAAGUCACUGUAUAGCUUGCCCCCAUUUGCAUCAGUUACUUGCACUUGUUUCACUGGUGUGGCUAGACAUCCAGAUUGUAAAGCUAGGGCAGGAGAAAUGUAGGUGGUAGUACUACCACUAUCCACUAAGGCCAGGCCUACUGUGUUUCCAAUUUGGACCUGCAGAGUGAAAGUGUAUUUCUUUUUGUCUUGAGGUACUCCUGUAGCAGCAUGCAUAGAAAUUUUGAGCUCUUGCUGAUCAGGAGGCUCUUCCUCCCCAUCUGACUGUACCUCCUCUGCAUCUACUAUGUAGAUGAUGUCAGGAUUUUCUGCGUGUUCUUGUAAUGCUUGAAUUUGAGCUUUCUGUGACAGUUUGCACACCUGCUUAUGUCCUGGAAACCAUGGCUCUCUGCAUUUAUAACAAAUGCCCUUUUCUCUGGCCUGUUGUAUAACAGUAGCAGGUGAUGUACUUGCAGGGAUCACAGGUUUAGAGAUUUCUCCCGGAGUUCCUCUUUUGUAGUUUGGCACAUAGGACUUUUGAGUUGUAGUUGUAGGACAUGAUUUCUCAAUUCUUCUAGCUAACCACAUAGCUUUGGUCAUGUCAGUAGGUUCUAAACAUUCCAAGUGACUUUGGAUAUAAGGAUUUAGACCUGCAAUGAAACUAUGCAUGUAAUAGUCAUCUGGUACUGCAGGGUUGUCCCUUCUCAUCAAGUUCAUGUGCUGCUCAAAAUCAGCUAUAUACUGGGCAACUGAAGUUUGCUGAGUUAACUUGUGGAAUGCUUUCACAUUUUCACGCAUAGAUGUUAUGGCAAAUCUUUGUGUAAUAGCAGAGCAGAACUUGUGCCAAGGGGUGUGAUGAGAAAUGAACCCAGUACCUCUCCACCAUUGUAUGGCCUCUCCCUUCAAAUAGGAAACAACUAUCUCAGUCCUGUGUUCAAUUGGUGUCCUUGCAGCUGAGAAGUAUUGUUCAAUGUUUUGUAUCCAUGAGUCAGCAUCCACUCCAUCAAAUUCACCAAUGUUUAAUUUUGCAGGUUUAACACUCAUAAGGUUUCUUCUGACUUCAGGAACAUAGGGCCUGUUUCUUUCUCUUCUCCCCUCUGCUUCAGGCAAUUCCUCUACUGUCAUAAAUUGUCUUAUGACUUGUCCUUGCUGUUGUGGAGGUGUGAUGAAUUUCUGCUUAUUAACAGCAUGGUUAGGAUGCCUAGAAGGUGCUUUAGGAGUGCCAUCCAUAUCUAGUUCUCUGCCUGUAGCUUUGUCCACCAGAACAGCAGAUCCGACAGUUGCAGGAUCAUGUUUAUCAGGAGGAAAAUGGUUGUUCGGCAGCUGUUUUGGUCUCCCUGGAGGAACCACUGUGCUUCCUUGGCCAGAUAAUGGAUCUGGUCUUUCUUCCUCCUCCUCUUCUUCUUCCCCUGUUUGUUCUGCAGUUAACUUCAGCAGGGUGGUCUGAAUUUUCUUGAAAUUCUUCUGUAUGCUAGCGAAAUUCUUGUUCACCGAAUCAGUGAAAUGAUAGAAUUCCUUUCUAUCUUCCUCUCUUUCUUGCCGGAGUGUUUUUAUGUCAAGCUGUAGCGAUUCAAGCUCCAAACACUCAGUGUCUUGCGUCUCACCAGCCAUGUCUUCAGGGUUUUUGUUGGUCAUUCCUUGCAGAUCUGGUCCAAGGGCGAAACUUGAGAAGAACAGAAGGAAUUUUACACCGGUGGCCCGGAAACCCACCACUCUGACUCGAUUUCACUCAUCAGAUCUGACAGAAUAGCGCCGCAAGAGCAACAGCCUGAAGGGAGGGUUGGGUGGGAUUUUGCACUGAAGAAAAGUUCUUCAGAAACCACGACUCCACCUUCUGCUGCCGAUCGAUCCUCCGCCGCCACUCGCCGUCGAUACUGCCGCCGCGCUGGUCGAGAGGCCAGAUCGGAUCUGGGCUCGGAUCCCGCCUCCAAGGACUACAACCUACGCUCUGUAUACCACUUGACAGGACCUAGUAGGGGCCGUCUCUGAAUUUGCACACAAUUUGGAAGAACACAAGAAAUUCGGUGGGAAAUUUGGGGAUUGAUUCACUCAGAUCCGAAAUAGGAAGCUAGGGUUUUCGCUAGCCGGAACACGGCGGCUACAAGGGCCAAGCCCAGGAUAAUCCAGAGUGCCCCUCUCCACAAGCCGGAGGGGGUUAUAUAAAGCAAAAUUCAGGUAAAGUAGACAGCGACAGGUUCGACAGGUAAAAGGACAGCGCGAUAACUUUUAAAAAGUAGAGCGAAACGAUUCCAGCCGUCCAGAUGAAGAUCAACAGCUGAGGACACACUUAAACAGCGAAGCGGUAAGUACUUCACCUCGCCGCCCGAUCGCAUAUCAACGGUCCUAGCUCCUCCAGACAAAACUCACAGCACUGUGGAUCAUCAGAUGAACUUCAACUGUGGGCAGGCCUGACACCCUCCCCAGGUUUGUCCCGUGUCCGCCACGUACCCGGCAUCGAUGUUUAAUUUUACAACAUCGGUUGGUGGGAGUGUCCACUUUCCGGUAGUGAUCGAUUCUCUAACUGUCCGUGCCUUCACCACUUGCUUCCCAUCUCUCAUCUGGAUUGCCAAGUUCUGCUGUAGUUUACCUGGAUCUCUUGGGAUCAGUGAGUUCUCCUUUUGCCCCCCGGGCUUUGCUGUGCCGUAGUUGAAUAGCUCCGACUCCAUUUUACUGAGAAACCCCACUGAUCUGCUCAUCGAUUCUUUGCCUGCCCCAUGGAUGCAAUCAUCUCCAAGCAACAGUAGUUUUCUCCGGCUUUUCUCAUGUGCCAUGCAGCGGGAAUACAAGUUGCAACGACUGGGGAGUACAUGUUACAUCUGCAAUGUAGUUGUGCUUCAUGUCUGGAGCACAUGCAACACACACGAAGCACAUAUUGUGUCACAUUGGGAGGACAAGCCAUAAUAUAGUACACUAGAAAGUUCGACUUUACUUUGAUUGAGAAUAGCAUGCUUACUUUAUUUCCUAAAAUUAAUUUGACGUUUCUUUUUUUAUUUUGGAUCGGAGUUGUAUAAAUGCUAGAAAUUUGAGUAUUUCAUUGUGUUAUUCUAAAAUAAACUAAGACCCUUUUAUAAGUACAUGUCAAUCUGCCAAUCUUGCGCUCCACGGGAGCACACUAAACAACCGUGUGAAGUACACAUAUGUUGUCUCGAGGAGCACAAGUUAGUUCUCAAUGGGGGUACAAGUUGCGCUCGAAGAAGUUCAUUGAAACCUCUAAAAAUGGAUCUAAUUUUGAAGAUUUUAACGCGAGGGAUGCAACAGUGUAAAUGGUCCGUAAUUUGGACACUCGGUUCAAUAGAUAUUCCAUUAUAAAAAUCUGAUACAUUAAAAACGACACAAAAGCACAAACCACCCUUCUCCUCCCGUGAGAAGAAACCCAACUAACUCUUCUGAUGGUGAUAAGAGAUGCACAUAAGUAUCGACAUUUAUUCCCAUUAAUGAUUUCGAUAGUCCAGAUGGCAGCCACUUAUAAUGGCUUCCGUAACAUAUAGAAAAGCUUCACAAGCACAUAAUGUUUCAAGCAAUGCAGAUAAACUUUUGAAUUCUUUCUCAUGACUUGACUGGAGCCUUAACAAACACACAAAACACGGAAGAUGGUAGCAUGGGUCGAAGCCUACGCCUUCCACAUCCAUACAUAAUGUUGCCCCUUUGGAAGGGAAAGACAACCAUGCCAUGGUGGCAGAGCUAACCUUAGACUUGAGUUGGCGGUGCAGGAGCAAAAGCGUUGCAACCGACUUUAGAUGUUGUUGGCACCAGAGGAAGAUUACUGCCAACGUAUUCUUAGUAGUGGUCCUUCUUCCGAACUAGGCGGUAUGAGGCAACCUCAAGAGCGGCAACUACAAGAAACAAAAACGUCGCGAUCACAAAAAUUGCGACACCUCCGACAGUCCUAGCAUUCCCAACAGUUUUCUUUGCAGAGCCUUCAAACCCUAACAUGGCGCCUGCCAGAAAUAGUAGCACUGCUAUGAUCGCAAGGACCCUGAAAGUAUAGACACAUGGUGUAGAGACCAUAUUAAUUAUACAAGUUAAAUCAACAAGCCACCAAGUAGAUAUAGAUUCUGUAUUAAGUUUAGUUUUCAAAUUCUAAGAGAAAUGAUAAAAGAACAAUGAAUUCUAAAGCUCUCGGGCCGCGCCACCACUUAGCACACAACGCACCACUAGACUAGCAAUAAUUUUAAUGACAAUAUUUUCCUUGAUUAGCGACAAAAAGGAGGCGGCAUAUCGAGUUGUGAAUAACCAAAUUAUUUAUGUACCAUGAGAUGAUGAAGAAGACCACCGCCGCGAUGCGCUUGGCCCCCUUUGUUAUCCGCCACGCCCCACAGCAGCAGAUGGCCAUGCUGGCAAGAAUCUGCGUCAUCAACGCCAACCCGGCCGCUACCACGCCACAUGUCAUUGCCGGCGAUCGCCGGUACGUAGAGAACUCGCCACGGUCAUCUUGAUGAUGUUUCUGCAUGAAUAAAUGCACGCCGUUAAGAAGAAUCAACAAUAUUAUUAUCAACUAGGUUAUGCUUGGCCGGAGUUUCUUAUUUUGAAAUCUUGGCCUAAGGUUAGAGUGAGAAAGAGAUAGCAUGUAGCAGGUUACAAUGACAAAGACAUAAUAUCUAGCGUGCGAUGUGUGCAUACCAGCGCCAAGAGAACCGCGCUGAUGACUCCGAACACGAUCGUCAUCACAGCGAGGAUGCUGGUCACCACCAUGAGACCUUUCCUCCCCAUCGAUGAUCUCACUACUAAUCGCAGCAGAUGAGUUAAAUAGUGCAUUGCCACACGCAAAUAGAUAGACAGAGAUGAACAAGUGCAUGAAUGCGAGUAUGCAAUGUUAGCUCGAAUAAGGUUACUCGAGGACGGGCUACCUCAUGCAUGAAGAUUGUCACCCGCAUUGCUCCAUUUCUUGAAAGCUAUAUAAAGUUGGUAAAUGUAUAUUUUAAUUAAUUAAACUACCUAAAAUAUAUGUCAUUCAGUUGCAUGUAACCAAAGAUCUGUGGAGGAUUCACACGACUCCGAGUGGAGCGGUGUCAAGAUUCCCACCCCACCAAGCAUGGCAAAAACUUUGAGAUCUGUGUGGUGUCUUUGUUGCCGGCUUAUAUGGGCAAAGACCGUACUGUCGUUUCUAUUGGUCAGAAAACAAGGAUUUCAAAGUGUAUUGCCUACUGAUCCUGUGUUUGUUGUAACCAUGGGUUGUGCUGCAGAAAAGAAGACUACAAGGCUUGCUUAGUGAGAUUUCUAAAAGACUCUGCCCUGUGGUGGGAGAAGUCUCCAAACACUCGCAUGGAUGUGGCCCUGCUGUCCGACGACUCUGUUGAUUUUGAAAGGAUAACAUUGUGUCAAGAUGAUAGAUGUCUUUGGUUGCUUCAUGCGGUAGUCUGGAUUAUGUGGUCAUUGACAUCCCAUCCUUUAGAUGUGGUCAAGUAUCUAGGGAAGUAUGAUCUCAAUGGGUACUUGUUGUGCUUGUACUGUGACUCGAUUGUCGUAAUGAAAAUGGAGCAGUGUAGCCCCUUCGAUAAAGGAAAAGGCAUGGCGCAGACAAGCAAGGUCGCAGCACGCAAAAAACAAAACUUAGAUCAGCAAAUAGACAUCAAGAUAGAGGCACCGCGAACUAUCACAUUGCGGGUAUAAAUAGAACUGAAACCUGUUUUUUUUUAGAAAAAGGAGGAUGACCCCCGGCCUCUGCAUCCGGGAGAUGCAUACGGCCACUUUAUUAAUUAUUCUCACAAGACCUUACAAAGUAAUACAACAGUAAGACUAAAGCCGCCGUCUAAGCAACAAACUGUCGCUACACCUAUCCAGUUGAUGAAGGGGCGCAGAUAGCCUGGGCCUAAUACCAAACAGACAUCGCAGCCAAACCUAACAUCUAAGACCUGAGGACCCAUCCAGGACGCCUGCCGGGCAUGGGUCUCGCCGGUCCGGCGUGCUCUCAGAGGCCGCCGCCGCCAACUGCCACCGCUCCAUCUUCAGAACUGUACUGAUGCAUCAACCUUGCUCGGUCUAGCUAUCGUCGACGCCACCACGGCGCCCAACGGUACCUCCUCCCUGCGCGCAAACAGUUGAGCACGUCGCGGUCGCCGCUGAUACACCUCAGCACCAUGCUGCCAAGUACCACCAGCCGACACAGCUUGAAGUCUUUGGAAGAUCUGUCGUGCGUAGCACCUGCCGACCAGGCAUGACUCAGCGUAGCACCUGUCGAUCAGGCAUGACUUGACAGCUCCACCGAAGCUCCGUGCAAGACGAAGCCGCUCCACCUCCCGCCUCUGUCUUCUAGCGCUGCUCCACAAACGAUGCUCCCAAGAGAGAGACGGCACCGUAGUACCGCCAUCGUCCGAUCUGGAAGGCCAGAUCCGAGGGUUUCCCCCGAAGCAGCACGAGUGGGUUGACAACAGUUACACGACGAUGCCUUCAUCAAGGUAACGACGCAAAACGCCGCCAUCGCCCGCCAACGGCUCAGUUUUCACCGGCAACUAUGUCUCCCCGACUCGUAGCCGGGACUAGCUGACGGAUCUCGAGAUCCGAUCACCCAGCCGCAGGCCGAUCACCUCUGACAGAAAAGAUGACCACCACCGUCGACUGCACCGGUCAGAACAGAUCUGACGAAGGUGCCGCCUACGCGACCACCAGGCCCUCCACGCCGCCGCCGCCGAUCCAAAGGCAGAUGGCGCGCCGCCGCCGUCGCCGACCGCAGUGCCGCCUCCGCCCGAACAUUGCUGGUCGCCGCGCCCGCAGCCCGCGCCAACUCCGACGCCGCCGCGCCGCAGCCAUCGCCGUUGCCGAUCGGAUCUGAGGCGCCUCCACACGAUUCGGGGAUCCGCACAACCCCAGAUCCACGGGAGAGAGGUGAUGUCCUCCGCCACCGCCGUCGGCCCCCGGGCUUAGACCGGCAGCGUCCCCCGGCGGCGGCGGAGGGUGGGGAGGAAGGAGUAUACGCCCCCGGCGGCUGGGUAGGGAGCCGCCCGAGCCGCCCUAGCGGGGACGACGCGAGGGCUGUUAUCAAAUCGACCUGUUAGGUUGAUCUCGUACCGAUCGAGCCCAACGGCUCGACGGACCCCUUGGCUUGCGCCCUGAUCGGGGGCGCCCAACCCUUUUAUGGGUGGUGGGCCCCUGUCGCAGCGCUAUAUAAAGAGGUGGGGGAGCCGGCUGCACGCGGUACGAGGUUCAUCGUGCGCCGCAACCCCCACCGAUAUCCCUACCGAUCUAGGAUUAGCGCACAAGCGACGGAAAGCUCCGCCACCAGCCACUUCACCCUCAUCAUUACUCUCUGCCAUCGCCGUCACCAUCCACCAUGGCGGCCGCCUCGAGCUCAUCCGGCCAGGCAGAAGGUAAAUCACCGGAUUGAUCUAACCCUACCCAAUCCAAGAGGUUUAAUAAAACCAAUCUCCUGGGGUACUAAACUACUCCCUCCAUUCCGAAUUACUUGUCACAUUCUAUUCAUUUAUGCGACAAGUAAUUCAUGAUGGAGUGAGUUUAUCCAUUUCUGUGACAAGUAACUUGGAAUGGAGGUAGUAGCUGAAAAAGACGAGGAGCAGAGGAAUCUUUACGUUAUACUCCCUCCGUUCUCAAAUAAUUGUCUUUCUAACCAUCUCAAAUGGACUACAACAUACGGAGGUAUGUAGACAUGUUUUAGAGUGUAGAUUCACUCAUUUUGAUCCGUAUGUAGUCGCUUGUUGAAAUCUCUAGAAAGAUAAUUAUUUAGGAACGGAGGGAGUAGCUCCAAAUCGAUGGGAACCAGCCGAAAUCUAGAAAGUGACCGCCGAACCCUACACAAUGAAGCCGAAAUGUAGAAAGUGACGGAAACCAAACCUUUUGGUGUGGGAAGCCAGAGCGAGAGGGGUGAUGAUAUGAGAGGAGUGGGAGGGCCUUGUCCGUGACAGAUUUUCAUGCAUGUGAUGCAGGAUCCAUACAACCAUAUGAACAUGCGUACAUAGUACCACAUGACAGAAUUUUGGCUGGCUUCGCCCCAUGUCCGGUUCAGCCAUCAACGUCCACGCGCGCGGUCGACAUGCCUUGAUGUGCCACACCACACCAAAAGUUGAUGUCGACGGAAACAUGAGAUUCACUUUUUCCCCCAAAUUAAAGGGCAGAAGCCGAGUUGGACACUCAUAGGAGAGUGCGAAAAAUAGAAAUCACGGACGUGCUCAAAGCGUGGUCGCUCUUGCCGCCCACACAACACAAACCACAGUCCGAGGGUGGCUGGGAAGUCAAAAAUAUCAUACGGAAACCAAUAUACGAAGCAAAUUUUUCUAAAGAAAUGCAUUUGAAAUUUUUCAAAAAAAAUACGGAUGUUAAGAGGAUAAUGUCCUAUUGUCAUGUGAAGUUUCAAGUAAGAACAUAUUACAGAAUGAGCCAUGAAAAAGACAAAUUGGGGGCAGUGAAUAGUGUCAUUACUGUUUGGCACUAUUCAGUAAUAAUUUUGUCUUUUUCAUAGCUGACAUCACGUAAUGUGAUUAAAUUUAAAAAUUUGCACGAGAGUAGAACAUCACCUAUGUUAACCUCUUAUAUAUUUUUUAGAUCUUUUUAAAACUUCAAAACAUCAUUUUCACGUGCUGAUUUUUAUUGGUUUUUCACUAAAUGUUGGUUUCUGUACUUUAUUUUCCCGGCCGGAAAGUGUCUCCUAAUCCCGCCGGGAGAACUAAACUAGCAGAAAAAGACGAGUCAAUGGAUGAGAGCAGAGGAAUCCUUACCUGGACGAAGCGCAGCAAUAUAAUGGCCAAGGGAUCGUUACUCGGGAGGAACCAAACCUCGCCGGAGAUUGGGACGGAAACCUCACCGGAGCAGUACGGUCUUGGGUUGGUUGUGGGUGAAGCAGCGUCCGCGAACGAAUGGAUUCCGAGUUCUAUUUGCCUUCGGAGUCCAUCCACUAUAUAUCCCCGGCCGACACAAAAAUAAGUGGAUAGCAACUUAUCUCGAUCUCGUGACUCAGAUACGUUUUCGAAGCGAGAGAAUCAGAAGCGGACACGUACGUACGUACGUGCGGCCUGUCGACCGCUUCCACUAGCCAGUAGAAAGUUCAAGGAUUGCAUGAGGUGCACGAUGCAUAUUUUAUGGUUGGUCGCAAUUUCUUUAUAGGAGCUUCGGUUUUGGUGUUUUUGAGCUUGUUGGACUGCUAGCAAAAGCCCGAUGAGUUUGUGGCCUUCGAUCAUCCUUUGGACAUUUUGAUAAAUAUCAAAUCAUCAAACUCUCUGAAGGGUCUUGAUUUGGUGCCCGGAACACCUCCGGUUUGACCCCUAGCUUGAUUCUUUUGAUGUCCCAAGUCCAUAAACACGUCAACACACCUACAAAGACCACAAAUGAAAGGAAAACUAAUAUAAACCAAAUAAAAAUAAAAAGUGUGCAAGAAAGUUGGUAAAACAAGUAAAUACCGAAAACUAUGCGUUGAAGACAUGAAUAAGUGCUAGAUGGGUAUGAUAUGAGGGAUUUUGGCACUAGAAUAUACUCUAAGAAGUAUGCAUAAAAUCCACUCACCAACUGCCACGCUAACCACUCAUCGCGGAUACUGUGACGGAAAGCCGGGAUCGCUUCUGCAUCCUGGCAAUCGACUAUCGAGUUCUUUUAAGUUAUGAACCGAUUACAGAACUUCCUGGCCGACUCGCCAGGCUACUGGAUGAUAUGGCUAAGGUCGUCGGCAUUCAGGGGAUGAACGUAUGUGCCCUGGAAGUUUGCCCUCAAGGCCUCUUCUAGCUCCUCCCAGCUUCCAAUAGAGUUCUUGUGCAUGCUGUUAAGCCAAUGCCUUGCCAGUCCUUUGAGCUUGAGCGGUGGCUAUUUACUUGAGCCAUGUGGAUGUGGAGAAAAAAAUCUUCGAUCCAGAUAGCCCGGUCAGUGGUUCCAUCGUAUGAUUCAAUAUUAACAGGUUUAAACCCCUCUGGGAACUUAUGCACCAAGACCUCAUUUGUAAAACAUAUCGGAUGUGUUGGCCCUCGAAAACGAGCGAUUUCAUGCCGGAGGUCGAAUGUCGUCCGUGCACGUGUUUGCUCCCGAGUCCUUGCAUAACUAUCGAACCAUGCUUCAUAGCCGUCCCGUCCAGUUGGAGCAUGUCCACUUGAUCCGCACAUGGAACUUGUUGGCAGGGACGAAUCCAAGGGGGGCGAGGGGGGGCUAGACCCCCCCUAACGAUCUCAUUUUACUCGGUAGCGAUNNNNNNNNNNNNNNNNNNNNNNNNNNNNNNNNNNNNNNNNNNNNNNNNNNNNNNNNNNNNNNNNNNNNNNNNNNNNNNNNNNNNNNNNNNNNNNNNNNNNNNNNNNNNNNNNNNNNNNNNNNNNNNNNNNNNNNNNNNNNNNNNNNNNNNNNNNNNNNNNNNNNNNNNNNNNNNNNNNNNNNNNNNNNNNNNNNNNNNNNNNNNNNNNNNNNNNNNNNNNNNNNNNNNNNNNNNNNNNNNNNNNNNNNNNNNNNNNNNNNNNNNNNNNNNNNNNNNNNNNCUUUUAACACCCCGCAGGAAAUAGCCCAGCGCGAAGGGAGACGGUCAUAUCGUUUGAUUUUCCAUCGUCCGAUGCCUGUCGCCAAGGUUAGCUGUCUAGGAUAGUUCCUGACCAGCGCCAUUUCAAUCUGAGUUCUACGGCAGUUCAUGACCAGCGCCGUUUCAAUCUGAGUUCUACGGCAGUUCAUGACCAGCGCCGUUUCAAUUUGAGCGGACAAUCCUUGCUUGGACGAGAUAGCGUCUAACGUGAACGAGGGCCAUCUUGCGUGGACGCGCGGCCGGCCGGCCGCGCAACCAGUGGAGAGAAGCGGCGACCAAGGAAAGGUUAGGUUAGUCUGUUUCUCACUCAUUGGUUUGUCCUUGCUUAUGUUUCUAAAUCAGAUUAAUGGAUGCCUUCAGAACUACACAAGUCGAAUGGUAGUAACUGUAUAAAAGUAAAAGAUUGGGGACAUAUCCCUGUACCCAUCGGACAAGCUUUUGCAUUGUUUAUCCCAUCCAAUAGUAGAAAGAUUUAGUUCAUUAACACGUGAAUUGCUUUGGCAUUUGCCUGAUAGUAACUUUUGAUAAAAAUUCAACUUGCUCACAGCGGAAUAUGUUUUGACGAAGAUUUAGUUCGUUAACAAGGCUGUCUCUUCUAUUUUUUUUACGAGUCUCUACACUACUAGAGGAAUUUUUUUUGCCCCCCUAUGUUCAAAUCCUGGCUCCGUCCCUGCUUGUUGGGACGGGAUUUACAUUUAAUUUUCUUCGCAAAUCGUAAGACUCAGCUAGUAGUGUUNNNNNNNNNNNNNNNNNNNNNNNNNNNNNNNNNNNNNNNNNNNNNNNNNNNNNNNNNNNNNNNNNNNNNNNNNNNNNNNNNNNNNNNNNNNNNNNNNNNNNNNNNNNNNNNNNNNNNNNNNNNNNNNNNNNNNNNNNNNNNNNNNNNNNNNNNNNNNNNNNNNNNNNNNNNNNNNNNNNNNNNNNNCCUCCAGUGGGCCUAUCUCGUCUGCGAGGAGGACGAUCAGGCUCGUCAGCCCAGUCAUGCUUGCUUUGAUAGCACGUUGUUGGCGACUUCGUUGUUGAACGCGGGAAGUAAGCGCCGACAUGGGUAGGUUUUGACUUUGUCCUCGCGCCGUAACUCAAAGUCUUGCUCGGCUGCGAGGACCUCGACCCACUUAUUAUUGAGCGUAUUAUGAUCAACUUGGAGUUGUUGUUGUUGUUUAUUUUUCAUACUUCGGGUGGUGGCAAGGAGCCACCGCCCAAAUCAUUCUUUCUCGUAUGGGUACUCGGGGAUGAUGAAAUCCUCGGGUCCGAACUGAUAUCGCCCUCGGAUUGGGGAGGUAAUUGUUAUCCUCCUCAUCCUCAAGGUCUUCGAGAUUCUCCUCGUCGGAUAUCCCUAUGGGGUCAUUGACCUGACCGGGCGUGGUGUGACCGCCAUUACCCUGGUCCUCAGCGUCUUCUUGUGUAGCGCCGUUAUCAGUGGCAUCUAUCAUGUUGUUUUGGCUUUCCCUGCCUCUACCGGCACUCUUGGACCGCUUCUAGCCAUGUCGGCACUUGGGAGGAUCUGGUUUCUCUUCUCCAUCCUUCUUAGGGGUGUCUACCAAGGUUUGUGGGUCACACCUACUCCAGGACACCGUCAGUACCCCCAUCAAGACUGUUGUCCGAAGAUCCAUGUAAUGACUUGAUUCGGGGAGAAGAUUUCGAUGCGUCCGAGGUGGCCGGUCAAGUCGGCAUGAAGCACGAUGCUGUCGAACGUGAAAGGCUGGCCGGGGACGAAGAUGUCACCGCAUCCGAUGUUGCUGUUAAUCUGGAGACAAGCCAUCGAUCAUUUAUGACCACAUAGCCGGAACUGUAUGGGCCUCCAAUGUCGGUACUAAAGCAGGCAAAUCUCGGGUAGGGGGUCCCGAGCUAUGGAUCUGGGAACGAUGGUGAAGAGAAGACAAGGGAGACAGUGUUUACCCAGGUUUGGACCCUCUCUAAGAGGUAAAACCCUACAUCAUGUUUGAUUAUAUUUAUGAUGGAGUAUCAAGUAUAGGUCGAUCUACCUCGAGACUAUGUGUUGUGUUCUAAACCCUAAGGCUAGUAAUUGUGAUUCUGUCUUCUACGGACUAAACCCUCUGGUUUAUGUAGGCACUAGGGGUAUUUAAGGUUACACAUUGUCGGUUGCUCACUAGGAAUAAACAUGCUGAUAUAUGGAACUAUCCUUGAAGUGUACGCCAAGUCUUCCGCAGUGUCCAUCUUAAUCACGAGUGGGUUCACCAGUAGAAAAAGGGUCAAACAUGAAGCACAUUAGUGUCGGUUUGAUUUUGGCCCGGUACUAAUGGUACCAUUAGUGCCGGUUCAAACGGAUUUGCAUUAAUGCCGGUUCGUGUUGAACCUUUAGUACCGGUUCGUGGCACGAACCGGUACUAAAGGGGUGGUGGCAGGCUGGCGUCAGGCCGGGGCCCCACGAUCACCUUUAGUACCGGUUUGUGACACAAAGCAGCACUACAGCGUAAUNNNNNNNNNNNNNNNNNNNNNNNNNNNNNNNNNNNNNNNNNNNNNNNNNNNNNNNNNNNNNNNNNNNNNNNNNNNNNNNNNNNNNNNNNNNNNNNNNNNNNNNNNNNNNNNNNNNNNNNNNNNNNNNNNNNNNNNNNNNNNNNNNNNNNNNNNNNNNNNNNNNNNNNNNNNNNNNNNNNNNNNNNNNNNNNNNNNNNNNNNNNNNNNNNNNNNNNNNNNNNNNNNNNNNNNNNNNNNNNNNNNNNNNNNNNNNNNNNNNNNNNNNNNNNNNNNNNNNNNNNNNNNNNNNNNNNNNNNNNNNNNNNNNAGUUCUGAAAAAAUCAAAAGAAAAUGAUAAAAACUUCAAAAAAUAAAAUCCUUCAAGAGGUAGUUAUAUUACUACAUUUACUAGUUAGGAAAAUUUGAAAACUACAAUUUGGACAUGUUUUGCAAAAAGUGUAGGGAAAAUGUAAAACGGCUAUAACUUUUGCAUACGAUGUCGGAAAAAAACGUAUAAUAUAUCAAAAAAUUCAACAAGAAAAUCGCAUCCGAUGGAGACCGCCUAUGGCCUGUUUGGAAUUUUUUAGAAUCCUCAAAUUCCAAAAGGAAAAAAGAUAUGGUUAAAUUUCAGUUUUUUUAAAAAAAAUUGUUUAAAUCUGGUCAAACUACUUAUUCAAGAAGUAUUAAUGUUACUACAUAAUUAUUCAAGAAUAUUAGUGUUACCAAAUAAUUAUUUCAAUUUUUUGAAUUAUGGUCAAAUCUGGUCAAACUGUGGUCAAACUGUGGUCAAACUAUGGUCAAACUUAUUUAAGAAAUAUUAGCGUUACUAAAUAAUUACUGUUUUUUUAGAAUAAUAGUUUCAAACUCAAACGGUGAAAUGUGUGACUUCAUGCUCAAGCUAAACUCCUGAGGGUUAAUAGGAUUGACAUCUUACUAUUAUCAGGAAAACAACAAGUGCAGACUCGGAAGCGAAGGAGAAUAGAACCCGAAAGUUAAGCGUGCUCGGGCUAGAGUAGUGAGAGGGAUGGGUGACCGGUCGGGAAGUUAGAUGAUUUGGAAUGAGUGAUCCACACUUGAGCAGUUAAGAGAGGUGAUUAGAGACUAAAUCAUCAAAUAAUUCAAAAAAAAUAAAAAUCGAAAAAAUGAAAAAAAAUCCAAAAUUUUCAAAAAAACCUUUAGUACCGGUUGGUAACACCAACCGCCCAUACUAGGGCGCGAGCUCACCCUUUAGCGCCGGUUCGUGCCGAAGCGGUACUAAAGGGGGGGCCCUUUAGUGCCCACCCUUUAGUGCCAGUUAUGGAACCGGCACUAAAGGCCCUUACAAACCGGCGCUAAAGCUCCGUUUUCUACUAGUGGUUCGAGGCCUUUGGAGUCCUCCCUAAGAUAGGUGGGGCCAUAGGUAUGGCCCAAGGAUUGUGGGUCACCUUGGUGGGGACCUGUUGGGGAACGUAGCAGAAAUUCAAAAUUUUCUACGCAUCACCAAGAUCAAUCUAUGGAGAUUCUAGCAACAAGAGAGAGGGGAGUGUAUCUUCAUACCCUUGAAGAUCGCGAAGCGGAAGCGUUACAAGAACGCGGUCUGUGGAGUCGUUCACGAAGCGAUUCAGAUCGCGAACGAAUCCGAUCUAAGCACCGAAUAACGGUGCCUCCGCGUUCAACACACGUACAGCCCGGGGACGUCUCCUCCUUCUUGAUCCAGCAAGGGGAGAGGAGAAGUUGAGGGAAAAAUCGGACAGCACGACGGCAUGGUGGUGAUGGAGCUCGUGGUUCUCCGGCAGGGCUUCGCCAAGCACUACGGAGGAGGAGGAGGUGUUUGAGGAGGGAGAGGGCCGCGCCAGGGGAAGGGUGCGGCUGCCCUCUCUCUCCCUCACUAUAUAUAGGGGGAAGGGAGGAGGGGGAUGCACCCUAGGGUUCCCUAGGGGAGGGGCGGCGGCCACAGGGAAACCCUAGAUGGGUUUUGGCGCCCCCACCCCCUAGGAAACUUGCCCCCCAAGCCGGGAGGGGCGGCUGCCCUAGGGGUGGCGCCCCCACCUCUCCUGGUUACAUGAGAUGGGGUGGGAGGGGCGCUCAGCCCCUUAGUGGGCUGAUGUGCCCUCUCCAGUUGGCCCAUAAGGCCCCCCAACGCUUGCCGGGGCCUCCGAAACCCCUUUCGGACACGCUGGUCAUCACCUGGUACCCCCGGAACAAUUCCGGACUCCAAUACCCUUCGUCCAAUAUACCGAUCUUCACCUCCGGACCAUUCCGGAGCUCCUCGUCAUGUCCGGGAUCUCAUCUGGGACUCCAAACAACCUUCGGUAACCACAUACUAUUUCCCAUAACAACUCUGGCGACACCGAACCUUAAGUGUGUAGACCCUACGGGUUCGGGAACAAUGUAGACAUGACCGAGACGUUCUCUGGUCAAUAACAAACAGCGGGAUCUGGAUACCCAUGUUGGCUCCCACAUGUUCCACGAUGAUCUCAUCGGAUGAAUCACGAUGUCAAGGAUUCAAGCAAUCCCAUAUGCAAUUCCCUUUGUCAAUCGGUAUGUUACUUGCCUGAGAUUCGACCGUCGGUAUCCCAAUACCUCGUUCAAUCUCGUUACCGGCAAGUCACUUUACUCGUUUUAUAAUGCAUGAUCCCGUGACUAACUACUUAGUCACAUUGAGCUCAUUAUGAUGAUGCAUUACCGAGUGGGCCCAGAGAUACCUCUCCGUCAUACGGAGUGACAAAUCCCAGUCUCGAUGCGUGCCAACCCAACAGACACUUUCGGAGAUACCCGUAGUGCACCUUUAUAGCCACCCAGUUACGUUGUGACGUUUGGCACACCCAAAGCAUUCCUACGGUAUCCAGGAGUUGCACAAUCUCAUGGUCUAAGGAAAUGAUACUUGACAUUAGAAAAGCUUUUAGCAAACGAACUACACGAUCUUGUGCUAUGCUUAGGAUUGGGUCUUGUCCAUCACAUCAUUCUCCUAAUGAUGUGAUCCCGUUAUCAAUGACAUCCAAUGUCCAUGGUCAGGAAACCAUAACCAUCUAUUGAUCAACGAGCUAGUCAACUAGAGGCUCACUAGGGAAAUGUUAUGGUCUAUGUAUUCACACAUGUAUUACGGUUUCCAGUUAAUACAAUUAUAGCAUGAACAAUAGACAAUUUUCAUGAACAAGGAAAUAUAAUAAUAACCAUUUUAUUAUUGCCUCUAGGGCAUAUUUCCAACAGUCUCCCACUUGCACUAGAGUCAAUAAUCUAGUUCACAUCACUAUGUGAUUGCAAUGAAUUCAACACCCAUUGGGUUUGAUCAUAUCUCGCUUGUGAGAGAGGUUAUUAGUUAACGGGUCUGAAUCUUUCAGAUCCGUGUGUGCUUAACAAAUCUAUAUGUCAUCUCCUAGAUGCAGCUACCACGUGCUAUUUGGAACUAUUCCAAAUAACUGCUCUACUAUACGAAUCCAGUUUACUACUCAGAGUCAUCCGGAUUAGUGUCAAAGUUUGCAUCGACGUAACCCUUUACGACGAACUCUUUUACCACCUCCAUAAUCGAGAAAAUUCCUUAGUCAACUAGUUACUAAGGAUAAGUUUGACCGCUAUGAUGUGAUCCAUUCCUGGAUCGCUCUUGUACCCCUUGAUGGACUUCAUGUCAAGGCACACUUCGGGUGCGGUACACAACACAGCAUACUAUAGAGCCUACGUCUAAAGCAUAGGGGACGACCUUUGUCCUUUCUCUCUCUUCUGCCGUGGUCAGAUCUUGAGUCUUACUCAAUGCUCACACCUUAUAACACAACCAAGAACUCCUUCUUUGCUGAUUUGUUUGAACUCCUUCAAAAUCUUGUCACGGUAUGUAUUCAUUUGAAAGUACUAUUAAGCACUUUUUGAUCUAUCCUUAUAGAUCUUGAUGCUCAACGUUCAAGCAGCUUAAUCCAGGUUUUCCAUUGAAAAACACCUUUUCAAAUACCCUAUAUGCUUUCUAGAAAUUCUAUAUCAUUUCUGAUUAACAAUACGUCAACAACAUAUAUAUACUCACCAGAAAUUCUAUAGUGCUCCCAUUCACUUCUUCGGAAAUAUAAGUUUCUCAUAAACUUUGUAUAAAUCAAAAAUCUUUGAUCAUCUCAUCAAAGCGUAUAUUCCAACUCCGAGAUGCUUACUCCAGUCCUUAGAAGGAUUGCUAGAGCUUUGCAUACUUGUUAGCAUCUUUUAGGAUUGUCAAAACCUUCUGGUUGUAUCAGAUACAACCUUUCCUCAAGAAAAUCAUCGAGGAAACUAUAUUUUGACAUCCUAUCUGCAAGAUUUCAUAAAUAAUGUAGUAGCUGCUAAUAUAAUUCUAACAGACUCUUAGCAUCGCUACGAGUGAGAAAGUAUCAUCGUAGUCAACUCCUUGAACUUGUCGGAAAACAUCUCAGCGACAAGUCGAGCUUUGUUAAUGGUGACACUUACCGUCAUUGUCCGUCUUCCCUUUAAAAUCCAUCUGUACCCAAUGCCUUACGACCAUCAAGUAGUUCUUCCAAAGUCUAUACUUUGUUUUCAUACAUGGAUCCUUUCUCGGAUUUUAUGGCCUCGAGCCAUUCGUCGGAAUCCGGGCCCACCAUCGCUUCUCCAUAGCUCGUAGGUUCAUGGUUGUCUAGCAACAUGACCUUCAAGACAGGAUUACUGUACCACUCUGAAGUAGUACGCAUCCUUGUCACCCUACGAAGUAUGGUAGUGACUUGAUCCGAAGCUUCAUGAUCACUAUCAUAAGCUUCUACUUCAAUUAGUGUAGGCGCCACAGGAACAACUUCAUGUGCCUUGCUACACACUAGUUGAAGUGACGGUUCAAUAACCUCAUCAAGUCUCCACCAUCCUCCCACUCAAUUCUUUCGAGAGAAACAUUUCCUCGAGAAAGGACCCGUUUCCAGAAACAAUCACUUUUGCUUCCAGAUCUGAAUUAGGAGGUAUACCCAACUGUUUUAGGUGUCCUAUGAAGAUGCAUUUAUCCGCUUUGGGUUCGAGCUUAUCAGGCAAAACUUUUCCACAUAAGCGUCGCAGCCCCAAACUUUUAAGAAACGACAGCUUACGUUUCUCUAAACCGGUGUCAUCUCAACGGAAUUACGUGGUGCCCUAUUAAAGUGAAUGCGGUUGUCUCUAAUGCCUAACCCAUAAACGAUAGUGGUAAUUCAAUAAGAGACAUCAUGGUAUGCACCAUAUCCAACAGGGUGCAGUUAUGAUGUUUGGACACACCAUCACACUAUGGUGUUCCAGGCAGUAUUAGUUGUGAAACAAUUUCCACAAGGUCUUAAUUGUGUACCAAACUCGUAACUCAGGUAUUCAUCUCUAUGAUCAUAUCAUAGACAUUUUAUCCUCUUUUCACGACGAUCUUCAACUUCACUAUGAAAUUACUUGAACCUUUCAAUAAUUUAGACUUGUGUUUCAUCAAGUAAAUAUACUCAGAAUCUACUCAAUCAUCUGUGAAGUAAGAACAUAACGAUAUUCACUGCGUGCCUCAGCACUCAUUGGAUUGCACACAUCAAAUGUAUUACUUCCAACAAUUUGCUCUCUAGUUUCAUCUCACUGAAAAACGAGGCCUUUCAGUCAUCUUGCCCAUGUGGUAUAAUUUGCAUGUCUCAAGUGAUUGAAAAUCAAGUGAGUCCAGACGAUCCAUCUGUAUGGAGUUUCUUCAUGCAUAUAUACCAAUAGACAUGGUUCGUAUGUCUCAAUCUGUUCAAAAAACAAGUGAGUCCAAAGAUCCAUCAACAUGGAGCUUCUUCAUGCGUUUUAUACCAAUAUGACUCAAGUGGCAGUGCCACAAGUAUGUGGUACUAUCAUUACUAUCUUAUAACUUUUGGCAUGAACAUGUGUAUCACUACGAUCGAGAUUCAAUAAACCAUUCAUAUUAGGUGCAAGACCGUUGAAGGUAUUAUUCAAAUAAACAGAGUAACCAUUAUUCUCCUUAAAUGAAUAACCGUAUUGCGAUAAACAUAAUCCAAUCAUUUCUAUGCUCAACACAAACACCAAAUAACAAUUAUUGAGGUUUAACACCAAUCUCGAUGGUAGAGGGAGCAUGCGAUGCUUGAUCACAUCAACCUUGGAAACACUUCCAACACAUAUCGUCAUCUCACCUUUAGCUAGUCUCGCUUAUUCCGUAGCUCUUUUAUUUCGAGUUACUAACACUUAGCAACCGAACCGGUAUCUUAAUACCCUGGUGCUACUAGGAGUACUAGUAAAGUACACAUUAAUAUAAUGUAUAUCCAAUAUACUUCUAUUGACCUUGCCAACCUUCUCAUCUACCAAGUAUCUAGGGUAGUUCCGCUUCAGUGACCGUUCCCCUUAUUUCAGAAGCACUUAGUCUCGGGUUUGGGUUCAACCUUGGGUUUCUUCACUAGAGAAGCAACUGAUUUGCCGUUUCAUGAAGUAUCCCUUCUUGCCCUUGCCCUUCUUGAAACUAGUGGUUUUACCAACCAUCAAUAAUUGAUGCUCCUAUUUGAUUUCUACUUUCGCGGUGUCAAACAUCGCGAAUUGCUCAAGGAUCAUCAUGUCUAUCACUUAUAUGUUAUGGUUCAUCACGAAGCUCUAAUAGCUUGGUGGCAGUGACUAUGCAGAACCAUCACUAUCUCAUCUGGAAGAUUAACUCCCACUCGAUUCAAGUGAUUGUAGUACUCAGACAAUCUGAGCACAUGCUCAAUGAUUGAGCUUUUCUCCCUUAGUUUGCAGGCUUAAGAAACUCGUCAGAGGUAUCAUACCUCUUGAUGCGGGCACGAGCCUGAAAUCCCAAUUUCAUCCCUUUGAACAUCUCAUAUGUUCCACGACGUUUUAGAAACGUCUUUGUCGCCUCAAUUCUAAACCGUUUAACAUUACCGAACUAUCACGUAGUUAUCAAAACGUGUAUGUCAGAUGUUCGCAACAUCCACAGACGACGUUCGAGGUUCAGCACACCGAGCGGUGCAAUAACGACAUAAGCCUUCUAUGCAGCAAUGAGGACAAUCCUCAGUUUACGGACCCAGUCCGCAUAAUUGCUACUAUCAACUUUCAACUAAAUUUUCUCUAGGAUCAUAUCUAAAACAAUAGAACUAAAGCGCAAGCUACGACAUAAUUUGCAAAAACCUUUUGACUAUGUUUAGGAUAAUUAAGUUCAUCUUAUGAACUCCCACUCAGAUAGACAUCCCUCUAGUCAUCUAAUUGAUACAUGAUCCGAGUCAACUAGGCCGUGUCCGAUCAUCACGUGAGACGGACUAGUCAUCAUCGGUGAACAUCUUCAUGUUGAUCGUAUCCACUAUAUGACUCAUGUUUGACCUUUCGUUCUCUUGUGUUCCGAGGCCAUGUCUGUACAUGCUAGGCUCGUCAAGUCAACCUAAGUGUUUCGCGUGUGUAAAUCUGGCUUACACCCGUUGUAGGUGAAUGUUAGAAUCUAUCACACCCGAUCAUCACGUGGUGCUUCGAAACAACGAACUUCCGCAACGGUGCACAGUUAGGGGGAACACUUUCUUGAAAUUAUUAUGAGGGAUCAUCGUAUUUACUACCGUCGUUCUAGGCAAAUAAGAUGCAUAAACAUGAUAAACAUCACAUGCAAUCAAAUAGUGACAUGAUAUGGCCAAUAUCAUUUUGCUCCUUUUGAUCUCCAUCUUCGGGGCUCCAUGAUCAUCAUCGUCACUGGCAUGACACCAUGAUCUCCAUCAUCAUGAUCUCCAUCAUCGUGUCUUCAUGAAGUUCUCUCGCCAAGUAUUACUUCUACUACUAUGGCUAACGGUUUAGCAAUGAAGUAAAGUAAUUACAUGGUGUUAUUCAGUGACACACAGGCCAUACAAUAAAUAAAGACAACUCCUAUGGCUCCUGCCGGUGGUCAUACUCAUCGACAUGCAAGUCGUGAUUCCUAUUACAAGAAUAUGAUCAAUCUCAUACAUCACAUAUAUUUCAUUCAUCACAUCCUUCUUGGCCAUAUCACAUCACACGGCAUAUGCUGCAAAAACAAGUUAGACGUCCUCUAAUUGUUGUUGCAAGUUUUUACGUGGUUGCUACGGGUUUCUAGCAAGAACGUUUCUUACCUACGCCAAAACCACAACAUGAUAUGCCAAUUGCUAUUUACCCUUCAUGAGGACCCUUUUCAUCGAAUCCGAUCCGGCUAAAGUGGGGGAGACUGGCACCCGCUAGCCACCUUAUGCAACAAGUGCAUGUCAGUCGGUGGAACCUGUCUCACAUAAGUGUAUGUGUAAGGUCGGUUCGGGCCGCUUCAUCCCACAAUACCAUCGAAACAAGAUAGGACUAGUAACGGUAAGCAUAUUGAACAAAAUCAAUGCCCACAACAACUUGUGUUCUACUCGUGCAUAGAAUCUACACAAUAGACCUAGCUCAUGAUGCCACUGUUGGGGAACGUAGCAGAAAUUCAAAAUUUUCUAUGCAUCACCAAGAUCAAUCUAUGGAGAUUCUAGCAACAAGAGAGAGGGGAGUGUAUCUUCAUACCCUUGAAGAUCGCAAAGCGGAAGCGUUACAAGAACGCGGUCGGUGGAGUCGUUCACAAAGCGAUUCAGAUCGCGGCCGAAUCCGAUCUAAGCACCGAACAACGGUGCCUCCGCGUUCAACACACGUACAGCCCGGGGACGUCUCCUCCUUGAUCCAGCAAGGGGAGAGUUGAAGUUGAGGGAAAACUCCGACAGCACGACGGCAUGGUGGUGAUGGAGCUCGUGGUUCUCCGGCAGGCCUUCGCCAAGCACUACGGAGGAGGAGGAGGUGUUGGAGGAGGGAGAGGGCUGCGCCAGGGGAAGGGUGCGUCUGCCCUCUCUCUCCCUCACUAUAUAUAGGGGGAAGGGAGGAGGGGGAGGCGCCCUAGGGUUCCCUAGGGGAGGGGCGGUGGCCACAGGGAAACCCUAGAUGGGUUUGGGCGCCCCCACCCCCUAGGAAACUUGCCCCCCAAGCCGGGAGGGGCGGCUGCCCUAGGGGUGGCGCCCCCACCUCUCCUGGUUAUGUGAGAUGGGGUGGGAGAGGCCUUCAGCCCCUUAGUGGGCUGAUGUGUCCUCUCCCCUUGGCCCAUAAGGCCCCCAACGCUUGCCAGGGCCUCCAAAACCCCUUUCGGACACGCUGGUCAUCACCUGGUACCCCCGGAACAAUUCCGGACUCCAAUACCCUUCGUCCAAUGUACUGAUCUUCACCUCCGGACCAUUCCAGAGCUCCUCGUCAUGUCCGGGAUCUCAUCUGGGACUCCGAACAACCUUCGUUAACCACAUACUAUUUCCCAUAACAACUCUAGCAUCACCGAACCUUAAGUGUGUAGACCCUACGGGUUCGGGAACCAUGCAGACAUGACCGAGACAUUCUUCGGUCAAUAACCAACAGCGGGAUCUGGAUACCCAUGUUGGCUCCCACAUGUUCCACGAUGAUCUCAUCGGAUGAACCCCAAUGUCAAGGAUUCAAGCAAUCCCGUAUGCAAUUCCCUUUGUCAAUCGGUAUGUUACUUGCCCGAGAUUCGAUCGUCGGUAUCCCAAUACCUCAUUCAAUCUCGUUACCGGCAUGUCACUUUACUCGUUCCAUAAUGCAUGAUCCCGUGACUAACUACUUAGUCACAUUGAGCUCAUUAUGAUGAUGCAUUACCGAGUGGGCCCAGAGAUACCUCUCCGUCAUACGGAGUGACAAAUCCCAGUCUCGAUGCGUGCCAACCCAACAGACACUUUCGGAGAUACCCGUAGUGCACCUUUAUAGCCACCUAGUUACGUUGUGACGUUUGGCACACUCAAAACAUUCGUACGGUAUCCGGGAGUUGCACAAUCUCAUGGUCUAAGGAAAUGAUACUUGACAUUAGAAAAGCUUUUAGCAAACGAACUACACGAUCUUGUGCUAUGCUUAGGAUUGGUUCUUGUCCAUCACAUCAUUUUCCUAAUGAUGUGAUCCCGUUAUCAAUGACAUCCAAUGUCCAUGGUCAGGAAACCAUAACCAUCUAUUGAUCAACGAGUUAGUCAACUAGAGGCUCACUAGGGAAAUGUUGUGGUCUAUGUAUUCAGACAUGUAUUACGGUUUCCAGUUAAUACAAUUAUAGCAUGAACAAUAGACAAUUAUCAUGAACAAGGAAAUAUAAUAAUAACCAUUUUAUUAUUGCCUCUAGGGCAUAUUUCCAACAGGACCUCCUAGUCCAGGACACCGUCAGUCGGGUAGCAAUACUAGGGAAAACCUUAUACAUAGAAUCUUAGCAGUAGCGCUGGGUAAAAUGAGGCGUUGCUGCUACUUAGUACUAGCGUGUGUCAGUAAGACGCGCUACUACUAUCCUUUUAGCAGCAGCGCGUUUUAGCGAAAUGCGCUGCAGCUAACUUUAACUAGGCACAUAUGGCUAGCCCCACUUAGCAGCAGCGCAUAUCCCGAUACCACGCAACUACUAUGCUCCAUAGUAGUAGCGCCUUUCUUAGACACACGCUACUACUAACCCUACCUUAUCGUCCCCGCACGACUGACGACCCCCCUUACUCUUCCUCUCACUCACUCUCUCCCCCGUGCCCCCGUCCUCCGCCACCGCUGUCGGUGUCAAAACCGGCGGAUCUCGGGUAGGGGGUCCCGAUCUGUGCGUCUUAAGCUAAUGGUAACAGGAGGCAAGGGACACAAUGUUUACCCAGGUUCGGGCCCUCUCGAUGGAGGUAAAACCCUACUUCCUGCUUGAUUGAUAUUGAUGAUAUGAGUAGUACAAGAGUUGAUCUACCACGAGAUCGUAGAGGCUAAACCCUAGAAGCUAGCCUAUGCUGAUUAUGAUUGUGAUCGCCCCUCUAAGGAUUAAACCCUCCGGUUUAUAUAGACACCGGAGGGGGCUAGGGUUUACCAGGAGUCGGUUACAAAUAAGGAAACAUAAUAUCCGAAUCGCCAAGCUUGUCUUCCACGCAAAGGAGAGUCCUAUCCGGACAUGGGACGCUGUCUGGAGUGUUGUAUCUUCACGGUCCUAUAGUCCGGCCAAAGUAUAUAGUCCGGCAGUCCGGAUACCCCCUAAUCCAGGACUCCCUCAGUAGCCCCUGAACCAGGCUUCAAUGACGAUGAGUCCGGCGCGCAGUUUUAUCUUCGACAUUGCAAGGCGGGUUCCAUCUCCGAAUACUCCAAAGUAAUUAUCGAACACUUAGACCGUAUCCGGAUCUGCAAGAUGAUCUUUGUGACGCCCGGAUACUUAAGCUACAGUGAUCCCCGCUAAUAAUGCCACGUCACCUCGGUUACUGUGGAUAAACUCACGUUAGUUCGAAACCUAGUUCGAAUUUCAAAUUUAAAACCGAGGCAAACAAUAAAAGUUUUAAAAUAUUGAACAAAAAUGUCCGGUGUGUGACCAAUAUUGCUAAAGUAAUUAUAUUGAAGAAAGCAUAAUUUUACAAAGUGCCUAAGUGCUUUAAACUAAAUAAAACAGAAAAGAAAAAGAAAUAAAAGAAAACAGAAAGCAAACUAACAAAAAAGGAGAAAGGCCCCACUGAGCUUCGGCCCAGCAGGCCGGCCCAUUCGGCCACACCGACCGGCCCAACCCCUCCCCUCGAUAACCCCACCAGGAGAAACCCUAACUUACCCACUCCCCAAUCCCCACUCCCCCCACUCUUCCCUCACUCCCCCGAUCUGGAUCGAGAUCGGGGUGACCACGCCACCGCCCCGGAUCGCUGUCGCCGUUGCCUUCUCGCCCCCCUCGCCUCGCGCAACCCCCACCUGAAGCCGACGCCACCCGUCUCCGACCCUGUCGCCCUCGCUUGCCGCGACGACCGCACGCGGGCGCCUCGGAGCUCGCCGACCCCGCCCCGCACCAAGACGCCACCUCGCCGGCCUGCCUCCUCUACGCCGUCGUCGCCAUCUUCCUCCUCAACCCCCGUUGCCUAGACCCCACGCUCCCAUGGUGAGCUUCUACGCCGAACGCGCCGUCCCUUGUCCCCCUUUCGACCUCGUCGGCCUAGUCGCCGCCGCCCCUGUAGUUCGUCCCGCGCCUCUAUGUUCCGCCCCUGCCCGCGUGUCCCCGCGGCCCGUGCGCGCCGUGGCCGCGCCAUGCCUCACUCCGGGGACGCGCUCGCCGUGCCCGCGACCUCCCGUGGCCGCGCCCGGAGUUCUGGUCCCCUGCGCUUGCUCCACUCCCUCCGCGCCCUGGCCGGACCCACCUGCACCCAGCCGCCCGUGCCUACUCCCGCCGCCACUCCCGCUGCUGCACGGCUCCGCCGCCCUACGCCACUUCGGUCGGCUGUGCCUCGCCGGCGCCAAACCCCGAGCCCCACCCCGUGGCUGGCCUUGCCCAAUGCCUAGUCGGGCUCACGCCCGCACCAGCACCGCCCUGUGCCCGCUAAGGCCUCCGUGCCUUUAACAUCUGGGGCCGCCCCAGAACGUUUAAAAAAAAGAAGAAUUAGAAAAAUAUUAAUUAAUUAAUUAAUUAAUUAGAUAAUUAAUUAACUUAAUUAGAUAUGCUAAUUAACCUGAUUAACUCUGAUUAGAUAACCUAAUGAUUAAUUAACUAGUUAAUUAGGUUUAGUUGAACUAUGACUAUGACAAGUGGGACCCACACAUAAGUUUGACUAAGUCAACAGGACUGUUGACUGCUGACUGGGCCUGUUGACCGGGCUGUUGACCCAGUCAAUGGCCCCAUCUGUCAGGUUGACCAGUCAACUCCGUUGACUGCUGACGUCAGCAUGACAUCAUGCUGAUGUCAUAAAUCCAUUUUCGAAUUAAAUUAAAUAGUUAAUUAAAUUCCAGAAAUUAAUAAAAUCUUUAGAAAAUCAUAUCUUUUAAACCGUAACUCGGAUUAAAUUAUUUUCAACAUGAAAUUUGCUCAGAACGACGAGAUGAAUCCAAAAACGCAGCCCGUUCGUCCGCCACGCAUCCCUAACCUAUCGAACUCGCAACUUUCCCCCUCCGGCUCCUCUGCCGAAAACACGAAACACCGGGGAUACUUUCCCGGAUGUUUCCCCCCUUCACCGGCAUCACCUCAUACCGCGUUAGGGCACGCCUAGCAUCACGCUUUGCUUCGUCAUGCAUCUGUUUGCAUUGUAUUCAUUGUUUCUUCCCCCUCUUCUUCCGCUAGACACCGAGACCAACGCUGCUGCUGCCCUGUUCGACUACGGAGUUGACGACCCCUCUCUCUUGCCAGAGCAACCAGGCAAGCCCCCCCCCUUGAUCACCAGAUAUCGCCUAUUCUCCUCUAUAAUGCUUGCAUUAGAAUAGUGUAGCAUGUUACUGCUUUCCGUUAAUCCUAUUCUGAUGCAUAGCCUGACAUUGUUGCUACAUCUGUUGAUACCUUACCUGCAAUCCUAAAUACUGAGUAUAGGAUGCUAGUUUAUCAUCAUUGGCCCUACAUUCUUGUCAGUCUGCCUUGCUAUACUAUUGGGCCGUGAUCACUCGGGAGGUGAUCACGGGUAUAUACUAUACAUACAUACAUACUGUACAGAUUGUGACUAAAGUUGGGUCAGCUCGAUGAGUACCCGCAAGUGAUUCUGAUGAGGGGGCUGAAAGGACAGGCGGCUCCUUCCCGGUAGAGGUGGGCCUGGGUUCCCGGCGGCCCCCGACUGUUACUUUGUGGCGGAGCGACAGGGCAGGUUGAGACCACCUAGGAGACAGGUGGGCCUGGCCCUGUUCGGCGUUCACGGAUACUUAACACGCUUAACGAGAUCUUGGUAUUUGAUCUGAGUCUGGCUACUGGCCUAUACGCACUAACCCACUACGCGGGAACAAUUAUGGGCACUCGACGUCGUGGUAUCAGCCGAAGCCUUCUUGACGUCAGCGACGGAGCGGCGCGCGCCGGAUUGGACUGGAAUGCCUACUCUUGUAUAAGAGAGGCUAGGUCUGCUUCCGGCCACCCUCGCAACGUGCAGGUGUGCAAUGGGCGAUGGGCCCAGACCCCUGCGCGCAUAGGAUUUAGACCGGCGUGUUGACCUAUCUGUUGUGCCUAGGUGGGGCUGCGACGUGUUGAUCUUCCGAGGCCGGGCAUGACCCAGGAAAGUGUGUCCGGCCAAAUGGGAUCGAGCGUGUUGGGUUAUCUGGUGCACCCCUGCUGGGAAGUUAAUCUAUUCGAAUAGCGUGUCCCUCGGUAAAAGGACGAACCGGAGUUGUACCUUGACCUUAUGACAACUAGAACCGAAUACUUAAUAAAACACACCCUUCCAAGUGCCAGAUACAACCCGGUGAUCGCUCUCUAAUAGGGCGACAAGGAGAGGAUCGCCGGGUAGGAUUAUGCUAUGCGAUGCUACUGGAGAUGCUACUUGGAGAUGCUACUUGGAGAUGCUACUUGGAGGACUUCAAUCUACUCUCUUCUACAUGCUGCAAGACGGUGGCUGCCAGAAGCGUAGUCUUCGAUAGGACUAGCUAUCCCCCUCUUAUUCUGGCAUUCUGCAGUUCAGUCCACUGAUAUGGCCUCCUUACACAUAUACCCAUGCAUAUGUAGUGUAGUUCCUUGCUUGCGAGUACUUUGGAUGAGUACUCACGGUUGCUUUCUCCCCCCUUUUCCCCCCUUUCCUUUCUUUCUGGUUGUCGCAACCAGAUGCUGGACUCCAGGAGCCAGACGCCACCGUCGACGACGACCCCUACUACACUGGAGGUGCCUACUACUACGUGCAGCCCGCUGACGACGACCAGCAGUAGUUGGGAGGAUCCCAGGCAGGAGGCCUGCGCCUCUUUCGAUCUGUAUCCCAGUUUGUGCUAGCCUUCUUAAGGCAAACUUGUUUAACUUAUGUCUGUACUCAGAUAUUGUUGCUUCCGCUGACUCGUCUAUGAUCGAGCACUUGUAUUCGAGCCCUCGAGGCUCCUGGCUUGUAUUACGAUGCUUGUAUGACUUAUUUAUGUUUUAGAGUUGUGUUGUGAUAUCUUCCCGUGAGUCCCUGAUCUUGAUCGUACACAUUUGCGUGCAUGAUUAGUGUACGAUUGAAUCGCGGGCGUCACAAGUUGGUAUCAUAGCCGACUGCCUGUAGGAAUCCCUCUUCCACACUCCUUGGCCGAAGUCGAGUCUAGUCACUACAAAACUUUUACUAACUUGGUUGUGUGCCUUACGGGCCCACGUCGCCAUUGGGUGGUAUUAGGAUCUUUUACUUCUCGACCUUUACUCUGGGGCUCUGAACUCUCUCCUACUCGGGUUAAAUGAAUUUUGCUAAAUCUAACAUUAGGAUCUCGUUAUCACUUUCACCCGGAGAGCCCCUUAUUACUGAUGAUCGUCUGCUGCACGUGAAGACCCUGAAGAUACUCUCCGCUGUUAACCCGAGAACUUGUGUUCAUCGCGUUUGCAAUUCCUCUUCCACCGUAAACCCUUAUGGAUAACUACUUGCAGUUGUUAUUCUUACCUUCAUCCCCAGUUGGUCUUGUUAUUACAAGAUACCCUGAAAAACUCGUCGUUGUUUCGAUAAUCCUUUGAGCUUACUGCCUUGUUGUUCUUUGUCACCUGAAUACCCCUAUGGUUAAUUCUCGCACUUAUCGAGUAUCCGCUCAUCCCCCAGUUGUUCAUGUGUUACACAAAAGUCUUCAAAAUGCUAUUUGAACUUCCGAAAAUCCUGAGUCGCCUAUUGCACUUGAAAUUCUUGCUUGCUGGCAUUAUGGUUAAUCCCAUAAGUCCCGUAGUCUUAUUGACAUUCCUUGUCAUUAUCAUUUUGAGUCUGUUGACUCAAUAUGUUUGCGAAUACACGCAAUCAUCAUUGAUAUAAAUUACCUUUCCGGCUGAGCUGCCAUUCUUUUAACUGGAAUUAGUUCUCGACCAAUCCAAUUGUCGUUGAUUGUACCCUAAGGCUAUUCAACUUAUCCAUCCCUAAUCAGAGCAUUGCUUCUGAUCCCUUGAUUUGGAAAUCAUAAUUCCUUUGCAUUUGACAAUUGAGUUAGUCAGUUGUUUCUAUAAUCUGAUCUCCUUGUAUUCUUAUUCCUCUAGUUGAGUACCGAUGCUCAUGUCAGAUCCCUUGUGGACCACCAGAUCCUUUGUUGGAUUUUAUCUGACAACGCCCUUCAUAUUCAAUAACCUUGUGAGCCUUUCCAUGGGUAUAUAAUGCCUUUGGUAAUUUGUAACCUCUACUUUGAUAACCAUACUCUAGUUUCGAGCUUGUAUUAUCUACUCCGAAGCUUGUGGUACAUUUUUCUAAGAAGCCCUUAUGGGUUGAACAUAUGCCUUCUCUAAACCGUGUGAACCCGAAAGUUUUCACGAGUCAUACCAUUCUGGUGUUUUUACCAGAUAAUUUUCUGCUCUACAACUUCUUCAAAAAACGAGAAGUAAAUGAUAGGUUAGGCAUUGAAGAAGUGGGAGUCGACCUUGAACUUUGUGUUCAUGCCCAUGGACACGAUGCAGAUCUUAUCAUGGAAGCUUCUCUUAAAUUAAUUAUCCCCUUGGUAUAAGUUCAUCUUAUAUCUGGGAUUUGAUCUUUUGCAAUCGUGGUUCCGGCCAUAUUGUUCUUCUUUGAUCCCGUUUCUCGGACAAGUUAAAUUGCUUGUCUUCUGCACAUCAUUUCACCUGUCAAGCUUCUAUUCUAGUCUACUUCGAGUAUUACCCCCUGGUGUCUCAAGGAUAUCAACCCAUUGCACUUCAUCUUAUGAAUUUCUGACGAAGUAAUACCUUUCCCGUCAUAGUCACUCCACGGGUUCUAGGUUGUCGUCAACCGAAAAUACCGGGUUGUGACUCGAAUCAACACUGAGAUUAGUACUCCCAGUACAUUGUUGUUGAGAAUUUUAAUACUCCAUCAAGUCAUUCUUAGCCUGAUCGGCUAUAUUGUUAUCAUGCUAAAUUUUAAUUGUGCUACCUGGUCCUUAUUCCCGGAGCACAACUUUCGACGAUAGCUAGCUUACGGCGAUCGUCCUCGGCAUAUCAUUUCGCCUUGAACAACAAUCUUUGAUUUCAAGUUUGUAUUGUACUAGUGGUUUCAAUAACCUUUCGCUUCAUCAUUCCCUUGACUUGUUGUCAUCGCCGAUCAAUUACACCUUCAUGAAAUCUCUCGACAAUUGUGUCGGAUCACCUUCAACACUUUGACUUCUUCCGAGAUGUUAACUGUGUUCAUGAUGAGAAAUACCCUCCUUGCCCUCGAUGAUUUUAUUAUCAUCGACAACACCCUUGACUUCCUUUCAUCGCGAGCUUGUCCACAUUAUGAAUACAACCUGCUCUCCAGCUAAUGUUGUGUUCUGCCUUGAAGUAUUACUGUCUUUUCUAUCAAGAACGUGGUGAGGAUUGCUCCACCUCUUAAGAAUUCUUGAAAUAGUGAUACUUCUCCCCAUCACCUUCUUUCUUGGUCCCCGUGUUGUUUCUAACCGGAAUACUAACAAUUGAACUAUGAUGUGUGAAUUCAAAAUUCCUAGCAACCCUAUUGCUUUGAAGUGAAUGGUCAAUAACUCCAUUCUAAGUCUUUUGGUUAUUGAAUCGCCAUUCUAACAUUGAUCAUGCUACCUAAGCCCGUAUUUCAGGGUGCACCUUUCAACUGUUGUUUACUUGGGUAUGUUUUCCUCGAGCAUAUCUCAUUAUAUCAUUUGAUCUGACAAAUGUUAUCUCCUUGUUCACAUAAUUGUGGAAAUCCAUCCUUUGAAAUUCUCAAUGAAUUGUUGCCGAGUCAAUCAGCCACCUCCUCACCUCUCCUUGAUUUAAUGAAGAACUCUUGUUUUGGAACUCACUUCCAUAGUUCAAUUCUCUAGAAUCUUACAAUGUCAUCUCGACAACUUGUGUUGCACCUUCCUUCUUCGGCGUCAUGAGUCUAAGGUAUCCUGACACCAAUCAGAACUGAAUCUCGGUCAGAUAUGAUGGUUGGAACAUAUUUCCAUGAGAUAUAACAUGGGCCUUUAUAUGACUCGGUAAUAUGAUGUCAUGCCUAGCACCCCCCCCCCUUAUUGGAGGACCUAUCAUUAUAAUUUCUUUCACAAGGAUAACCAUUCUUCCUGGAGGAAAUUAUAAGACUUAUUUUAUAAGUUGCUCCUAAUGGAUCAUUUGUGUAUCCAAAGUCCGACCCUUGAUUGAAACACCAUCUCAAUGCUACCUCGAAGCAUGACUAUGAUACCCCGCUCUUCAACAAGAACAUUGGAGGCGUGAUGCUAAAUAUUUCUUGGUCAGUUACCCAAACACCGUUGUAUGGGUAACAUCAUAAUUAAUCCUUGCCUCUUAUCUGAAUGUUGGGUACUUGCUCUCCUACCCUAUAUGCCAUGCUCUGCUUGUACAUGGGAAGGAUAUACUCCUUAUAAUUGUGUGUAAUCACAAUUUUCCUUUCCAUUCUUUCGUUUAUCCUUUCCUGAAUCUGACUUAACUAAGUAGAGAUAAUUCCCUGCUUAGGUAGGCACCUUGUUGUAACAUUCUGUCUGUAAGAUCCUGUUACUAUUGUUGAUGACAUUCCGGUAACCACCGAUGGGUGAUAACUUUGCCAAUUGGUUCACCUCGUUCAACAAGCAAGAAAAAUUGCUCUCUUAAUUCCCCGUCCUUGGUACCGACAUUGUUGCCGACAUAGCUGACAAGCUAUUCACUGGCAUGCCUCCUUGUCUCCACUUUGCAAGAUGUCACCACCCUUCCUACUUUCAACCCACAUGGUGGGCCCAUGACGCACAGGUCCACUGGAUCGAAACCUGACUCUCCUUUACAACCCGAAUUCUAAUGUAUCCUUUGCACCUAGCUUCGUAUGUGAUUCACGAGCUGAAUGCUAUACCAUUAUUCAUCCUGGAAUCAAACACCAUGUUAUUCUCGUUGUUCAAACCCCCAUUCUAGCUUCUGUCUAGUCAUGAAUGGUUGCCUACCCGUUUGGAACUUUGGUACCAUUGUAUAUUGCACUCAACGAAUUCUCUGAAAUACAACUCGUUGGGUACCUUGUGUAUUUCCCAUUCCGUUCACUGUCAGAUGCCUAGCCUUGUGGAGAUGCGUUCUUCCAGAGUUUUUCUCCUUGGUCGCGUUCGUAGGACGAUGGAGAUCCCGAAGAAAGGAUGACGAUUUGAUCAUGGUGCCUUGAAGCAGAGAAAUGAAGACAUCAACGAAAGAGAUCAACCUCUUCGAAAGGGGAGCCAAGACCAAGAAGACUCGUUAGGUUUUUCGCUACCAGCACCUUUCCCCCUUUCACUACCUCUUAAAUCUCGGGACGAGAUUUCUUGUAGUGGAGGAGACUUGUGACGCCCGGAUACUUAAGCUACAGUGAUCCCCGCUAAUGAUGCCACGUCACCUCGGUUACCGUGGAUAAACUCGCGUUAGUUCGAAACCUAGUUCGAAUUUCAAAUUUAAAACCGAGGCAAACAAUAAAAGUUUUAAAAUAUUAAACAAAAAUGUUCGGUGUGUGACCAAUAUUGCUAAAGUAAUUAUAUUGAAGAAAGCAUAAUUUUACAAAGUGCCUAAGUGCUUUAAACUAAAUAAAACAGAAAAGAAAAAGAAAUAAAAGAAAACAGAAAGCAAACUAACAAAAAAAAGAGAAAGGCCCCACUGAGCUUCGGCCCAGCAGGCCGGCCCAUUGGGCCACACCGACCGGCCCAACCCCUCCCCUCAAUAACCCCACCAGGAGAAACCCUAACUUACCCACUCCCCGAUCCCCACUCCCCCACUCUCCCCUCACUCCCCCGAUCUGGAUCGAGAUCGGGGCGACCACGCCACCGCCCAGGAUCGCUGUCACCGUUGCCUUCUCGCCCCCCCUCGCCUCGCGCGACCCCCACCUGAAGCCGGCGCCACCCGUCUCCGACCCUGUCGCCCUCGCUCGCCGCGACGACCGCACGCGGGCUCCUCAGAGCUCGCCGACCCCGCCCCGCACCAAGACGCCACCUCGCCAGCCUGCCUCCUCUACGCCGUCGUCGCCAUCUUCCUCCUCAACCCCCGUUGCCUAGACCCCACGCUCCCACGGUGAGCUUCUACGCCGAACGCGCCGUCCCUUGUCCCCCUUUCGACCUCGUCGGCCUAGUCGCCGCCGCCCCUAUAGUUCGUCCCGCACCUCUGUGUUCCGCCCUUGCCCGCGUGUCCCCGCGGCCCGUGCGCGCCGUGGCCGCGCCAUGCCUCACUCCGGGGACGCGCUCGCCGCGCCCGCGUCCUCCCGUGGCCGCGCCCGGAGUUCUGCUCCCCUGCGCCUGCUCCACUCCCUCCGCGCCCUGGCUGCACCCACCUGCACCCAGCCGCCCGUGCCUACUCCCGCCGCCACUCCCGCUGCUGCACGGCUCCGCCGCCCCGCGCCAAACCCCGAGCCCCACCCCGUGGCUGGCCUUGCCCAGUGCCCAGUCGGGCUCACGUCCACACCCGCACCGCCCUGUGCCCGCUAAGGCCUCCGUGCCUUUGACAUGUGGGGCCGCCCCCAGAACAUUUAAAAAAAAAGAAGAAUUAGAAAAAUAUUAAUUAAUUAAUUAGAUAAUUAAUUAACCUAAUUAGAUCUGCUAAUUAACUUGAUUAACUCUGAUUAGAUAACCUAAUGAUUAAUUAACUAGUUAAUUUGGUUUAGUUAAGCUGUGACUAUGACAAGUGGGACCCACGCAUAAGUUUGACUAAGUCAACAGGACUGUUGACUGUUGACUGGGCCUGCUGACCGUGCUGUUGACCCAGUCAAUGGCCCCAUCUGUCAGGUUGACCGGUCAACUCCGUUGACUGCUGACGUCAGCAUGACAUCAUGCUGAUGUCAUAAAUCCAUUUUCGAAUUAAAUUAAAUAGUUAAUUAAAUUCCAGAAAUUAAUAAAAUCUUUAGAAAAUCAUAUCUUUUAAAUCGUAACUCGGAUUAAAUUAUUUUCAACAAGAAAGUUGCUCAGAACGAUGAGACGAAUCCAGAAACGCAGCCCGUUCGUCUGCCACGCAUCCCUAACCUAUCGAACUCGCAACUUUCCCCCUCCGGCUCCUCUGCCCGAAAACACGAAACACCGGGGAUACUUUCUCGGAUGUUUCCCCCCUUCACCGGCAUCACCUCAUACCGCGUUAGGGCACGCCUAGCAUCACGCUUUGCUUUGUCAUGCAUCUGUUUGCAUUGUAUUCAUUGUUUCUUCCCCCUCUUCUUCCGCUAGACACCGAGACCAACGCUGCUGCUGCCCAGUUCGACUAAGGAGUUGACGACCCCUCUCUCUUGCCAGAGCAACCAGGCAAGCCCCCCUCCCCCUGAUCACCAGAUAUCGCCUACUCUCCUCUAUACUUCUUGCAUUAGAGUAGUGUAGCAUGUUACUGCUUUCCGUUACUCCUAUUCUGAUGCAUAGCCUGACAUUGUUGCUACAUCUGUUGAUACCUUACCUGCAAUCCUAAAUACUUAGUAUAGGAUGCUAGUUUAUCAUCAUUGGCCCUACAUUCUUGUCAGUCUGCCUUGCUAUACUAUUGGGACGUGAUCACUCGGGAGGUGAUCACGGGUAUAUACUAUACAUACAUACAUACUCUACAGAUUGUGACUAAUGUCGGGUCAGCUCGAUGAGUACCCGCAAGUGAUUCUGAUGAGGGGGCUGAAAGGACAGGUGGCUCCAUCCCGGUAGAGGUGGGCCUGGGUUCCCGACGGCCCCCGACUGUUACUUUGUGGCGGAGCGACAGGGCAGGUUGAGACCACCUAGGAGACAGGUGGGCCUGGCCCUGUUCGGCGUUCGCGGAUACUUAACACGCUUAACGAGAUCUUGGUAUUUGAUCUGAGUCUGGCUACUAGCCUAUACGCACUAACCAACUACGCGGGAACAGUUAUGGGCACUCGACAUCGUGGUAUCAGCCGAAGCCUUCUUGACGUCAGCGACGGAGCGGCGCGCGCCGGAUUGGACUGGAACGCCUACUCUUGUAUAAGAGAAGCUAGGUCUGCUUCUGGCCGCCCUCGCAACGUGCAGGUGUGCAAUGGGCGAUGGGCCCAGACCCCUGCGCGCAUAGGAUUUAGACCGGCGUGUUGACCUCUCUGUUGUGCCUAGGUGGGGCUGCGAUGUGUUGAUCUUCCGAGGCCGGGCAUGACCCAGGAAAGUGUGUCCGGCCAAAUGGGAUCGAGCGUGUUGGGUUAUGUGGUGCACCCCUGCAGGGAAGUUAAUCUAUUCGAAUAGCCGUGUCCCUCGGUAAAAGGACGACCCGACGUUGUACCUUGACCUUAUGACAACUAGAACCGGAUACUUAAUAAAACACACCCUUCCAAGUGCCAGAUACAACCCGGUGAUCGCUCUCUAACAGGGCGACGAGGAGAGGAUCGCCGAGUAGGAUUAUGCUAUGCGAUGCUACUGGAGAUGCUACUUGGAGAUGCUACUUGGAGGACUUCAAUCUACCCUCUUCUACAUGCUGCAAGACGGUGGCUGCAAGAAGCGUAGUCUUCGAUAGGACUAGCUAUCCCUGUUGGGUAACGUAGCAGAAAUUCAAAAUUUUCCUACGUGUCACCAAGAUCUAUCUAUGGAGAAACCAGCAACGAGGGGAAGGAGAGUGCAUCUACAUACCCUUGUAGAUCGCUAAGCGGAAGUGUUCAAGAGAACGGCGUUGAAGGAGUCGUACUCACCGUGAUCCAAAUCACCGGAGAUCCUAGUGCCGAACGGACGGCACCUCCGCGUUCAACACACGUACAGCCCGGUGACGUCUCCCACGCCUUGAUCCAGCAAGGAGAGAGGGAGAGGUUGAGGAAGACUCCAUCCAGCAGCAGCACAACGGCGUGGUGGUGAUGGAGGAGCGUGGUAGUCUACCAGGGCUUCGCCAAGCACCGCGAGAUAUGAGGAGAAGGGAGAGAGGUAGGGCUGCGCCAAGAGGAGAAGGGAGAGAUUCUCGUGUGUUGGGCAGCCCCUAGGCCUCAAGUAUUUAUAGGGGGAGGAGAGGGGGCUGCGCCCCCUCUAGGGUUCCCUCCCCAGGGGUGGCGGCAGCCCCCAGAUCCCAUCUGGGUGGCGGCAGCCCCCAGAUCCCAUCUGGGUGGCGGCCAGAAGGGGAGAGGGGGGAGGCGCACCCAGGGUGGGCCUUAGGGCCCAUUUGCCCUAGGGUUUGCCCCCCCUUCCCCACUUCCUGCACCUUGGGCCCUGUGGGGGGGCGCACCAGCCCACCUGGGGCUGGUCCCCUCCCACACUUGGCCCAUGCAGCCCUCCAAGGUUGGUGGCCCCACUUGUUGGACCCCCAGGACCCUCCCGGUGGUCCCGGUACGUUACCGGAAAAACUCGAAACUUUUCCGGUGACAAAAAUAGGACUUCCAAUAUAUAAAUCUUUACCUCCGGACCAUUCCGGAACUCCUCGUGAUGUCCGGGAUCUCAUCCGGGACUCCGAACAACAUUCGGUAACCACAUACAAACUUCCUUUAUAACCCUAGCAUCAUCGAACUUUAAGUGUGUAGACCCUACGGGUUCGGGAGACAUGUAGACAUGACCGAGACGUUCUCCAGUCAAUAACCAACAGCGGGAUCUGGAUACCCAUGUUGGCUCCCACAUGUUCCACAAUGAUCUCAUCGGAUGAACCACGAUGUCAAGGACUCAGUCGAUCCCGUAUACAAUUCCCUUUGUCUAACGGUAUUUUACUUGCCCGAGAUUCGAUCGUCGGUAUACCGAUACCUUGUUCAAUCUCGUUACCGGCAAGUCUCUUUACUCGUUACGUAACACAUCAUCCCGUGAUCAACCCCUUGGUCACAUUGUGCACAUUAUGAUGAUGUCCUACCGAGUGGGCCCAGAGAUACCUCUCCGUUUACACGGAGUGACAAAUCCCAGUCUCGAUCCGUGUCAACCCAACAGACACUUUCGGAGAUACCUGUAGUGCACCUUUAUAGUCACCCAGUUACGUUGUGACGUUUGAUACACCCAAAGCACUCCUACGGUAUCUGGGAGUUACACGAUCUCAUGAUCUAAGGAAGAGAUACUUGACAUUGGAAAAGCUCUAGCAAACGAACUACACGGUCUUUGUGCUAUGCUUAGGAUUGGGUCUUGUCCAUCACAUCAUUCUCCUAAUGAUGUGAUCCCAUUAUCAACGACAUCCAAUGUCCAUAGCCAGGAAACCAUGACUAUCUGUUGAUCACAACGAGCUAGUCAACUAGAGGCUCACUAAGGACAUAUUGUGGUCUAUGUAUUCACACGUGUAUUACGAUUUCCGGAUAAUACAGUUAUAGCAUGAAUAAAAGACAAUUAUCAUGAACAAGGAAAUAUAAUAAUAAUACUUUUAUUAUUGCCUCUAGGGCAUAUUUCCAACAGUCUCCCACUUGCACUAGAGUCAAUAAUCUAGUUCACAUCGCCAUGUGAUUAACACUCACAGGUCACAUCACCAUGUGACCAACAUCCAAAGAGUUUACUAGUGUCAUUAAACUAGUUCACAUCAUCAUGUGAUUAAGACUCAAUGAGUUCUGGGGUUUGAUCAUGUUUUGCUUGCAAGAGAGGUUUUUUGUCAAUGGGUCUGCAACUUUCAGAUCCGUAUGUACUUCGCAAAUUUCUGGGUCAUAUUGUAAAUGUUGCUUCCACGCUCCACUUGGAUCUAUUCCAAAUGGUUUCUCCACUAUACGUAUCCGGUUUGCUACUCAAAGUCACUCGGAUAGGUGUUAAAGCUUGCAUCGACGUAACCCUUUACGCCGAACUCUUUAUCACUUCCAUAAUCGAGAAACAUGUCCUUAUUUACUCCAAGGACAAUUUUGACCACUGUCCAAUGAUCCAUUCCUGGAUCAUUCUUGUACCCCUUGACUGACUCGUGGCAAGGCACACUUCCGGUGCGGUACACAGCAUAGCAUACUAUAGAGCCUAUGUCUGAAACAUAGGGGACGACCAUCGUCCUUUCUCUCUCUUCUGCCGUGGUCGAGCUUUAACUCUUAACUUCAUACCUUACAACUCAGGCAAGAACUCCUUCUUUAACUGAUCCAUCUUGAACACCUUCAAGAUCAUGUCAAGGUAUGUGCUCAUUUUGAAAGUACCAUUAAGCGUUUUUGAUCUAUCAUUAUAGAUCUUAAUGCUCAAUGCUCAAGUAGCUUCAUCCAGGUUUUCCAUUGAAAAACACUUUUCAAAUAACCCUAUAUGCUUUCUAGAAAUUCUACAUUGUUUCUGAUCAACAAUAUGUCAACAACAUAUACUCAUCAGAAAUUCUAUAGUGCUCCCUCUCACUUCUUUGGAAAUACAAGUUUCUCAUAAACAUUGUAUAAACAAAAAAUCUUUGAUCAUCUUAUCAAAGUACAUAUUCCAACUCCGAGAUGCUUACUCCAGUCCUUAGAAGGAUCGCUGGAGCUAGCAUACCUUUUAGCAUCCUUAGGAUAGACAAAACCUUUCUGAUUGUAUCACAUACAACCUUUCCUUACGAAAACCGGUAAGGAAGCUCGUUUUGACAUCCAUCUGCCAGAUUUUAUAAAUGCAGCUAAUGCUAACUUGAUUCCGACGGACUUAAGCAUCGCCACGGAUGAGAAAAUCUCAUCGUAGUCAACUCUUUGAACUUGUGAAAAAACUCUUCGCCACAAGUCGAGCUUCAUAGAUGGUGACAUUACCAUCCACGUCCAUCUUCUUCUUGAAGAUCCAUUUAUCUCAAUGGUUUGCCGAUCAUUGGGCAAGUCCACCAAAGUCCAUGCUUUGUUCUGAUACAUGGAUCCUAUCUCAGAUUUCAUGGCUUCUAACCAUUUGUCGGAAUUUGGGCCCACCAUCGCUUCUCCAUAUCUCGUAGGUUCAUUGUUGUCUAGCAACAUGACCUUCAAGACAGGAUUACUGUACCACUCCGAAGCAGUACACAUCCUUGUCACCCUACGAGGUACGGUAGUGACUUGAUCCGAAGUUUCAUGAUCACUAUCAUAAGCUUCUACUUCAAUUGGUGUAGGUGCCACAGGAACAACUUCCUGUGCCCUGCUACACACUAGUUGUAGUGACGGUUCAAUAACCACAUCAAGUCUCCACCAUCCUCCCACUCAACUUUUCGAGACAAACUUUUACUCGAGAAAGGACCCGAUUCAAGAAACAAUCCCUAUUGCUUUCGGAUCUGAAUUAGGAGGUAUACCCAACUUUUUUGGGUGUCCUAUGAAGAUGCAUUUUAUCCGCUUUGGGUUCGAGCUUAUCAACCUGAAACUUUUUCACAUAAGCGUCGCAGUCCCAAACCUUUAAGAAAUGACAGCUUAGGUUUCUCUAAACCAUAGUUCAUACGGUGUCAUCUCAACGGAAUUACGUGGUGCCCUAUUUAAAGUGAAUGUGGUUGUCUCUAAUGCCUAACCCAUAAACGAUAGUGGUAAUUCGAUAAGAGACAUCAUGGUACACACCAUGUCCAAUAGGGUGCAACUAUGAUGUUCGGACACACCAUCAAACUAUGGUGUUCCAGGCGGUAUUAAUUGUGAAACAAUUUCCACAAUGUCUUAAUUGCGUGCCAAAGCUCGUAACUCAGAUACUCAUCUCUAUGAUCAUAUCAUAGACAUUUCAUCCUCUUGUCACGAUGAUCUUCAACUUCACUCUGAAAUUACUUGAACCAUUCAAUAAUUCAGACUUGUGUUUCAUCAAGUAAAUAUACUCUACAUCUACUCGAAUCAUCUGUGAAGUAAGAACAUAACGAUAUUCACUGCAUGCCUCAGCACUCAUUGGACUGCACAUAUCAAAAUGUGUUACUUCCAACAAGUUGCUAUCUUGUUCCAUCUUACUGAAAACGAGGCUUUUCAGUCAUCUUGCCCAUGUGGUAUGAUUUGCAUAUCUCAAGUGAUUCAAAAUCAAGUGAGUCCAAACGAUCCAUCUGCAUGGAGUUUCUUCAUGCAUAUACAUCAAUAGACAUGGUUCGCAUGUCUCAAACAUUUCAAAAACGAGUGAGUCCAAAGAUCCAUCAACAUGGAGCUUCUUCAUGCGUUUUACUCCAAUAUGACUUACAUGGCAGUGCCACAAGUAAGUGGUACUAUCAUUACUAUCUUAUAUCCUUUUUGGCAUGAAAUUGUGUAUCACUACAAUCGAGAUUCAAUAAACCAUUCCUUUAGGUGCAAGACCAUUGAAGGUAUUAUUCAAAUAAAUAGAGUAACCAUUAUUCUCCUUAAAUGAAUAACCGUAUUGUGAUAGACAUAAUCCAAUCAUGUCUAUGCUCAACGCAAACACCAAGUCUCGAUGGUAGAGGGAGCGUGCGAUGCUUGAUCACAUCAACCUUGGAAACACUUCCAAUACAUAUCGUCAGCUCACCUUUAGCUAGUCUCCGUUUAUUCCGUAGCUUUUAUUUCGAGUUACUAACACUUAGCAACCGAACCGGUAUCUAAUACCCUGGUGCUACUAGGAGUACUAGUAAAGUACACAUUAACAUAAUGUAUAUCCAAUAUACUUCUAUCGACCUUGCCAGCCUUCUCAUCUACCAACUAUCUAGGGUAAUUCUGCUCCAGUGGUUGUUCCCCUUAUUACAGGAGCACUUAGUCUCGGGUUUGGGUUCAACCUUGGGUUUCUUCACUAGAGCAGCAGCUGAUUUGCCGUUUCAUGAAGUAUCCCUUCUUGCCCUUGCCCUUCUUGAAACUAGUGGUUUCAUCAACAAUUGAUGCUCCUUCUUGAUUUCUACUUUCGCAGUGUCAAACAUCGUGAAUACCUUAAGGAUCAUCAUAUCUAUCCCUGAUAUGUUAUAGUUCAUCACGAAGCUCUAGCAGCUUGGUGGUAAUGACUUUGGAGAAACAUCACUAUCUCAUCUGGAAGAUUAACUCCCACUCGAUUCAAGUGAUUGUUGCACUCAGACAAUCUGAGCACAAGCUCAAUGAUUGAGCUUUUCUCCGUUAGUUUGCAGGCUAAGAAAAUCGUCGGAGGUCUCAUACCUCUUGACGUGGGCACGAGCCUGAAAUCUCAAUUUCAGCCCUCGAAACAUCUCAUAUGUUCCGUGACAUUUCGAAAACGUCUUUGGUGUCUCAACUCUAAACCAUUUAACUGAACUAUCACGUAGUUAUCAAAACGUGUAUGUCUGAUGUUCGCAACAUCCACAAACGACGUUUGGGGUUCAGCACACUGAGCGGUGCAUUAAGGACAUAAGCUUUCUACUGUCCGCAUAAUCGCUAUUGUCAACUUUCAACUAUAUUUUCUCUAGGAACAUAUCUAAACAGUGGAACUAAAGCGCGAGCUUACGACAUAAUUUGCAAAGAUCUUUUGACUAUGUUCAGGAUAAUUAAGUUCAUCUUAUGAACUCCCACUCAGAUAGACAUCCCUCUAGUCAUCUAAGUGAUUACAUGAUCUGAGUCAACUAGGCCGUGUCCGAUCAUCACGUGAGACGGACUAGUCAUCAUCGGUGAACAUCUUCAUGUUGAUUGUAUCUACUAUACGACUCACGCUCGACCUUUCGGUCUCCGUGUUCCGAGGCCAUGUCUGUACAUGCUAGGCUCGUCAAGUUAACCCUAAGUGUUUUGCGUGUGUAAAUCUGUCUUACACCCGUUGUAUGUGAACGUAAGAAUCCAUCACACCCGAUCAUCACGUGGUGCUUAGAAGCGACGAACUUUAGCAACGGUGCACAGUUAGGGGAGAACACUUCUUGAAAUUUUGUAAGGGAUCAUCUUAUUUACUACCGUCGUUCUAAGUAAACAAGAUGCAUAAACAUGAUAAACAUCACAUACAAUCAAAUAGUGACAUGAUAUGGCCAAUAUCAUUUUGCUCCUUUUGAUCUCCAUCUUCGGGGCUCCAUGAUCAUCAUCGUCACCGGCAUGACACCAUGAUCUCCAUCAUCGUGUCUCCAUGAAGUUGUCUCGCCAACUUAUUACUUCUACUACUAUGGCUACCGGUUAGCAGUCAUACAAUAAAUAAAGACAACUCCUACGGCUCCUGCCGGUUGUCAUACUCAUCGACAUGCAAGUCGUGAUUCCUAUUACAAGAACAUGAUCAAUCUCAUACAUCACAUGUCAUUCAUCACAUUCUUCUCGGCCAUAUCACAUCACAUAGCAUACCCUGCAAAAACAAGUUAGACGUCCUCUAAUUGUUGUUGCAUGUUUUACGUGGUUGCUAUGGGUUUCUAGCAAGAACAUUUCUUACCUACGCAAAACCACAACGUGAUAUGCCAAUUGCUAUUUACCCUUCAUAAGGACCCUUUUCAUCGAAUCCGUUUCGACUAAAGUGGGAGAGACUGGCACCCGCUAGCCACCUUAUGCACGAAGUGCAUGUCAAUCGGUGGAACCUGUCUCACGUAAGAGUACGUGUAAGGUCGGUCCGGGCCGCUUCAUCCCACAAUACCGUCGAAACAAGAUUGGACUAGUAAAGGUAAGCAUAUUGAACAAAAUCAACGCCCACAACUACUUUGUGUUCUACUCGUGCAAAGAAUCUACGCAAUAGACCUAGCUCUGAUACCACUGUUGGGUAACGUAGCAGAAAUUCAAAAGUUAAAAACGUGUCACCAAGAUCUAUCUAUGGAGAAACCAGCAACGAGGGGAAGGAGAGUGCAUCUACAUACCCUUGUAGAUCGCUAAGCGGAAGCGUUCAAGAGAACGGGGUUGAAGGAGUCGUACUCGCCGUGAUCCAAAUCACCGGAGAUCCUAGUGCCGAACGGACGGCACCUCCGCGUUCAACACACGUACAGCCCGGUGACGUCUCCCACGCCUUGAUCCAGCAAGGAGAGAGGGAGAGGUUGAGGAAGACUCCAUCCAGCAGCAGCACAAUAGCGUGGUGGUGAUGGAGGAGCAUGGUAGUCUAGCAGGGCUUCGCCAAGCAUCGCGAGAUAUGAGGAGAAGGGAGAGAGGUAGGGCUGCGCCAAGAGGAGAAGGGAGAGAUUCUCGUGUGUUGGGCAGCCCCUAGGCCUCAAGUAUUUAUAGGGGGAGGGGAGGGGGCUGCGCCCCCUCUAGGGUUCCCUCCCCAGGGGUGGCGGCAGCCCCCAGAUCCCAUCUGGGUGGCGGCCAGAAGGGGAGAGGGGGGAGGCGCACCCAGGGUGGGCCUUAGGGCCCAUCUGCCCUAGGGUUUGCCCCCCUUCCCCACUUCUUGCGCCUUGGGCCCUGUGGGGGGCGCACCAGCCCACCUGGGGCUGGUCCCCUUCCACACUUGGCCCAUGCAGCCCUCCAAGGUUGGUGGCCCCACUUGGUGGACCCCCGGGACCCUCCCGGUGGUCCCGGUACGUUACCAGAAAAACCCAAAACUUUUCCGGUGACCAAAAUAGGACUUCCAAUAUAUAAAUCUUUACCUCCGGACCAUUCCGGAACUCCUCGUGAUGUCCGGGAUCUCAUCCGGGACUCCGAACAACAUUCGGUAACCACAUACAAACUUCCUUUAUAAUCCUAGUGUCAUCGAACCUUAAGUGUGUAGACCCUACGGGUUCGGGAGACAUGUAGACAUGACCGAGACGUUCUCCGGUCAAUAACCAACAGCUGGAUCUGGAUACCCAUGUUGGCUCCCACAUGUUCCACGAUGAUCUCAUCGGAUGAACCAUGAUGUCAAGGACUCAGUUGAUCCCGUAUACAAUUCCCUUUGUCUAACGGUAUUUUACUUGCCCGAGUUUCGAUCGUCGGUAUACCGAUACCUUGUUCAAUCUCGUUACCGGCAAGUCUCUUUACUCGUUCCGUAACACAUCAUCCCGUGAUCAACCCCUUGGUCACAUUGUGCACAUUAUGAUGAUGUCCUACCGAGUGGGCCCAGAGAUACCUCUCCGUUUACACGGAGUGUCAAAUCCCAGUCUCGAUCCGUGUCAACCCAACAGACACUUUCGGAGAUACCUGUAGUGCACCUUUAUAGUCACCCAGUUACGUUGUGACGUUUGAUACACCCAAAGCACUCCUACGGUAUCCGGGAGUUACACGAUCUCAUGGUCUAAGGAAGAGAUACUUGACAUUGGAAAAGCUCUAGCAAACGAACUACACGAUCUUUGUGCUAUGCUUAGGAUUGGGUCUUGUCCAUCACAUCAUUCUCCUAAUGAUGUGAUCCCGUUAUCAACGACAUCCAAUGUCCAUAGCCAGGAAACCAUGACUAUCUGUUGAUCACAAUGAGCUAGUCAACUAGAGGCUCACUAGGGACAUAUUGUGGUCUAUGUAUUCACACGUGUAUUACGAUUUCCGGAUAAUAUAGUUAUAGCAUGAAUAAAAGACAAUUAUCAUGAACAAGGAAAUAUAAUAAUAAUACUUUUAUUAUUGCCUCUAGGGCAUAUUUCCAACAAUCCCCCUCUUAUUCUGGCAUUCUGUAGUUCAGUCCACUGAUAUGGCCUCCUUACACAUAUACCCAUGCAUAUGUAUUGUAGUUCCUUGCUUGCGAGUACUUUGGAUGAGUACUCACGGUUGCUUUCUCCCCCCUUUUCCCCCCUUUCCUUUCUUUCUGGUUGUUGCAACCAUAUGCUGGAGUCCAGGAGCCAGACGCCACCGUCGACGACGACCCCUACUACACUGGAGGUGCCUACUACUACGUGCAGCCCGCUGAUGACGACCAGGAGUAGUUAGGAGGAUCCCAGGCAGGAGGCCUACGCCUCUUUCGAUCUGUAUCCCAGUUUGUGCUAGCCUUCUUAAGGCAAACUUGUUUAACUUAUGUCUGUACUCAGAUAUUGUUGCUUCCGCUGACUCGUCUAUGAUCGAGCACUUGUAUUCGAGCCCUCGAGGCCCCUGGCUUGUAUUAUGAUGCUUGUAUGACUUAUUUAUGUUUUAGAGUUGUGUUGUGUUAUCUUCCCGUGAGUCCCUGAUCUUGAUCGUACACAUUUGCGUGCAUGAUUAGUGUACGAUUGAAUCGGGGGCAUCACAAUCUUCACAUACCAUCGUAGGGAGCAUAGCAUAAAUCUGAUCUGCUGACAAUCUUUGUACGUCGUGCCCUUGCAUCGUGGCCCGGCCCAACAUGAACCGGUUCUUCUUAGCCCACCUCGAUACACGUUGCGAGGCAGUUUUAUUGGCACGCCCUGCCAAAGCAGAGAUCGUGUUCCCCUUAUUAUGGGAUCUUCCAUCAAUACGGGCCUGCGCAACCCCAUGACGACUGUUGGUAUGACUCCGUGUUUUUAGAUAAGUCUCAAGCGGUCACACUGAGGACUCUUGAUAUUCACCCCUUAUAAAGGGGUCGAGGCCUAUACCUCUUUUCCACCACCCUUGCGCCCUUUCGCAUCUCGAGUUCUAACACCCGAGACCCAAACUCAAACACCCCAGAUCCUCCAAUAUGUCCGGAUCCAACCCUCAAGGCCGGUGGGUGGCCUCCUUGGUCAAAGAGGAGGACAUUGCGAGGCUUAGGGAGGUCGGAUAUCUGACUGCCGACAUCCAGCACAGGCUUCUUGCUCCAGGGCAAGUCAUCCCUACUCCCGAGCCUAAUGAGAGCGUCGUAUUUGUUCCUCACUUCCUUCGUGGCUUGAGCCUCAUCCUUGAUCCCUUUGUGAGGGGGCUUAUGUUCUAUUACGGGUUAGAUUUUCACGGUCUAGCUCCGGACGCUAUCCUCCACAUCUCGUCGUUCAUCAUUGUGUGCGAGGCUUUUCUCGACGUCACUCGACACUUCGGCUUAUGGCUCAAGACCUUCAAUGUGAAGCCGAAGAUGAUCGAGGGGAGACAUGCGGAGUGCGGAGGUGCCAUAAUAAGCAGGAACGCCGAUGCCCCAUGGCCAGAGGGUUCUUUCCCAGAGGUACCCGAUUUAUGGCAGCGAAGGUGGUUUUACGUCAUGGCUCCUAGAGGCACAAAGUGGGUGGCUGCCCCCGACUUCCGCUCAGGCCCUCCGUCACAACUGGCGUCAUGGACCAAUGUAGGACGGGAUUGGGGGUCUGCUAGUGAUGUACAAACACUGCAGAGCCGUAUCCGGGAGCUUCUUGAGAGGGACUUUAAGCUUGUCAGCAUAAUUCAGGUAAUGCUAAUCCGACGGAUGUUGCCGUGCAAACACCGGCCUCUCCGGAUGUGGGAGUUCAAUCCAGAGGGUCCGCGGACUAUUCUGUACUUCUCGGCCUAACACUCGAAGGGAUGUGUCCGAACACCACCGAGGAUGCGGGCCUAAGCUGCAAUCGCCUAGAUACCCAAGUAAGUAACCCCGAAACCGGACACUUUGUUUAUAUUUGUCAUAAUCAUCAUUCUGAAAAUCCUCCGUGGCCAGGAAUGGCUCGACAAGGCGGAGAGAAUCAGGUCUCCGGUGCCACUUCCCGAAGGCUCGCCUAGUCCCACCGUAGCCAAGAUGCUUGGCCGGGUGCUUAGAAAAAUGCCCUCAGGGAAAGACGAAGGGAAGAACAGAGAAGCUGAACUUCACACACUGCGCAUCCAAACCGGGGGAAUUGCUACCUCCCCAAAGGAGGAUAGUCGGGGAGGGGAAUCUAAGGCCUCCUCCCUGCACGGGAAGAAGAGGGCCGCCUUCGAAGACUUGGAGACGGAGAUGCCCAAACAGGGGAAGAAAGCGUCACCAGGGGGCCCUGCCCUGAAGGGCGCCCUCACCGCGUCAUGCCCGCCAACGGUCCAGGCCUCAACCGAGCUGUAAGUUAACCGUAAAUUCAAAGGUACUGCUUUUCUCCGAGUACAAUAACCAGGAUCCAUUCUUUGCAGUCCGGCUAGCAGCUCUUCUCGACAGAGUUCGUCUUCGGGGGAUCUCCCUCCGGAGAUGAUGUAGAGUGAGACCCCACCAACCUCUCCGCCUCAUGAGGCGUGGGACCCCGAGGUGUCGUCACGGAGGAGUCCGGAUCUGCCGAAGCCAGAAGCUACUCCUUCGGCCGCCCUGAGCCUGGAGCGUUCGGCUCCCACGGGGGGCGAUGAGAAGGGUCCGACACAGGUUGGUGUCCGGGCGGACACACUGACAGGCCUUCUGGAGCGAGCUGCUCUCUUGGAAGAGCACCGCUCAUUAAUUAGCACGGUGCUCAAGAAGAUUUCAUCCGCCACAAGCGGUUUGAAUGAAGCAUUUACGAGCCUGCUCAGAGGCUUUGAGGUAUGUAAUGAAAAAUACAUGAUUUUUUGGCUGUGAGGCACGCGCUAGAUGUGCUCCAUAUGGAUAGUAGCCCCUGAGACUCUGGUUGCCCGCCCUAGGCGGCAAACGGAGGAUCAUAUUGUGUAAGUAAUGAUUGCGCUGUAUAUAUGCGCAGGUGUCUAAGGAUCCGGCAGCCGACCAGUCCGUUGAAGUUGCCGAACUAAGGAGGCAUAUUGGAGCUAUUGAUGCCAAUAUCACGCUGGUGAACGAGCGGCUGAACGAGUCACAAGGUAUGUGCUUUGCUUUCCUUAUUAUGUUGUAUAGCAAAAUUUGAGAGGGGCAUAAUAUUAAUGUGAUAUGCUUGGACUACAGAUGGUGCUGCUGCUGUGGAAGCCCUGAGGGCGGAACUUGCCCAGGCCAAGGAACAAGCUUGGGCUAGCAAUGCGGCUGCCCAAAAGGCGGCCGAAGAGUUGAGAGCCGAACAGGCUGCUCAUCGCCGAAGCGAAGACAAGAUAGCCGAAAUGGCUGUGGAGCUGAAAAAUGCCGCCGACCGGUAUGAGCUCCUUGAAAAGGAGAAUCAGGUUAAUUCGGCUGACCUGAACAAGGCACUUAAUGCCGCCAAGGAGAUGCGGACCGAAAUCAGGGAUGUGCGGGAGGAGCUUCGACAGGCCGGAAAAAUCGCGGCUGGAAACCCCUACUUAUUGUGGAUGAAGUUUUUGGAUCCGAAGUAUGCUCCCCUAGAUCGAUGCUGGAGUCCUGUAGACGUGUAUGCGGACUUGGCGAAGAGUACGGCUGAUGCGGCCAAGUUUUUCGAGGAUCAAGGUGAUAAAGAAGUGGAUAAGUUGUUCUGGUCACAAUUCAAUGCUCCCGCGCGCCCAUUACCGUUGAGUGAGAAGAUGGCUGCUGUUGCUAAGCUUCAUAGGUUGUCCGAUCUUGCGAUGCGGUCUGUAAUAGACCAUCUUUGGCUGAAGGAGCCGAAGCCAGACAGUUAUUUUGGUUUAGUGCAACAAUUCCUUGGUGCCGUAUCACGGAUCGAUGCCAUGAGAAGGUCAGCGUGUAUAGAGGGUGCACGAAUGGCCCUUGCCCGCGUUAAAGCAUAUUGGACAGAUAUGGAGGCCACCAUCGUUGUGACCCGAAUCCGACGGGAGGCCAGGAUCCGGCCAAGCACUACUUGGAGCAGGUAACAGAAGGUGCUUGUUUAAUAGAGGCGCGGUGCUCGAAGAAUGUCUUGUUCGAGUGACAAAUCAUGUCAUUGUAAAAACAAUGUUAUUUUGAUUACAAGGCUAUAUUUAUACUUUUUGCCCGAAAGUAUUAUUGUGCCUCCCGUCGGCCAUUUUUAUGUAUAUGUGUAAUCUGAAAGUUAGCAGUCGUUGGCUUCAGCCCCCACGCAUAAAAUGCGGGGGUGUUCGCGAAAAAUAUGCGUAAUCACACUUGAUCGAAUGUCUUGGUCUAUUAAGGAGGUGAUCGCACGUCGAACUAGGCAACCGGACUAUACAGCUGUAACACUUUCACUUAGCCAUAGGAGUUUGAUGGUGGGGCUACUAUGUAGCCCCUGGUACCUUCGCGUGCACCCGAAUACGGGCGCGUGUGUACAUGAGCAGGAAACAGUCCUUCAUUAAUGUGGAGGAAUCCUAAAGAUUCCGAUAGGUCUUCGAGUGGUUGAACAGUCUCUCGCUAUAUCAUGACAGUCAGUUUUCGGCUUUCUCUACUGAGGUGCUCAUCCGAAAUAACCAGGGCACAAUCGCAGUAGUUCUCCUUUGGCUACCUUAACCGAUAAGAACGGAACGUAAGGCGGCAAACCCAGGAGCCGGGAAACCCCAACAUUUGACCAAAGACAUGAUUCGGAGCUGAUGCCUAUAAGGCCAAACUCGCGACACCGAACACUCCCGAAGGUAUUCGGACUUUAUGACAUAUACUGGGCUGAGUAACGCCCUUUAUUAUGAACCGUGUAUUUCCAGGUACGUGCAUUAGUCUGUCGUGGCGAAAUGCCAAUAAUGGCAGUAUCCUCUGUGGGUGUAGUACCCAUGGGAUGUAUCAACAACAAGAGGCAAUAAAAAAGGUUUACACAUGGGCUUAAUCUAAAGAGAAACCUUUGAGCGGGGCCCUGCUGCACGUCUGUGCCUUUGUCUCCGUUGUGCCGUGUCCUGGAAGGGUAUCGCAUGAAUAGUGUCUGUAGAAAGAAAAACUCAUGUAGAAGAGCAUAACGUGAGCAUGUGAUGGAUAAUAAAAGUGUAAGACAUUGGCCUGUAAAUAAGGUCAAGCCAACAGUGGGGCUUUAUUAAAUAUUUAUAGCCCCUGGUGUCCUUUAUGGGAUUACAUAUAUGGCGCCCUAGCUCAGGUUUAUCCGGGCUGCCGGACUCGUCUAACCGUGUCCGUGGUCUUAACGACCAGCCAUGCUUUCUGGUGUUAGAGGCCGCUUAGAGUCCGGCUGCUAGAGCCGUCGCAUAUUCCACCGCGCGUGCGGGGCGCUCUAUGUUUCCGUUAACGGUGAUGACGCCUCGUGGACUAUGCAUCUUGAGUGUGAGGUAGGCGUAUUGCAGUACUGCGUUGAAGCGGGCGAAUGCCGUUAUCCUGAGCAAUGCGUGAUAGCCGCUUUGGAGGGGGGUGAUGGUGAAGAGUAGUUCUUCGCUUCUGGAGUUGUCGGGGGAACCGAAUGUUACCUCCAGUAUGAUGCAGCCCCUGCCGUGGGCUUCAACGCCUAGUAUCACCCCUUCAAAGGUGGUGUUGCUUUGGCUGAUUCUAGAUGGGUCUAUCCCCAUCCUGCGGACAGUGUCCUGGUAUAUUAAAUUGAGACUACUGCCACCGUCCAUGAGGACGUGAGUAAGAUGGUAUCCGUCGAUUAUUGGGUCGAGCACCAAGGCAUCUGAUCCUCUACGCUGAAUACUAGUCAGGCAGUCCAUGUGAUCGAAAGUGAUCGGACAAGCCGACCAGUGGUUAGGUUUGGGUAUGACGGGCUCUAUAGCGUAUGCGUCUCUGAGCACGCAUUCGUGCCUUCUCGUGGAUGUGUGAGUCGCGUGGAUCAUGUUUACUGUUUUUACCUCUGGUGGGAUUUUUUUCUGUCCCCCGGUGUUCGGCUGGCGAGGCUCAUCCUCGUCUUCACUUGGUGUUUCCCUUCCCUUGUGUUCGGCAUUUAAUUUUCUGGCCUUCUUGAAGACCCGUCAUUCUCUGUGAGUGUGGUUCGCAGGUUUGUCGGGGUGCCAUGAAUUUGGCACAGUCUGUCCAGGACUCUGUUCAGACCGGACAGUCCCUCUUUGUUGUCUUUACAUGGCUUCUUUUGCUGACCAGGUCGAGAGCCCCUGAAUCCGGCGUUGGCCGCUGUGUUGCCCGGGCUCUCUUCCUUGUUUUGACGUUUGUUUUUAUUGUGCCGUGGCUUCCCGUUGCCAUCCCUUAUUUCGGAUGUGCUUGGGUCACUGGUGCCUUUACGGGCCAACCAGCUAUCUUCACCCGCGCAAAAGUGUGUCAUAAGGCUUGUUAAGGCUGCCAUUGUCCUUGGCUUUUCUUGGCCGAGGUGUCUGGCGAGCCACUCGUCUCGGAUGCUGUGUUUGAAGGCCGCUAAGGCUUCGGCAUCCGGACAAUCAACAAUUUGAUUCUUCUUAGUGAGGAAUCUGUUCCAAAGCUUGCGGGCAGACUCUCCGGGCUGUUGGAUUAUGUGACUUAAAUCGUCCGCAUCCGGAGGCCGGACAUAAGUCCCUUGAAAAUUGGCCCUGAAAGCGUCCUCGAGUUCCUCCCAACUUCCAAUUGAAUUUUUGGGGAGGCUUUUCAACCAGUGUCAAGCUGGCCCCUUCAACUUGAGGGGAAGGUAUUUGAUGGCGUGGAGGUCGUCCCCACGAGCCAUGUGUAUAUGCAGGAUAAAAUCCUCGAUCCAGACCCCUGGGUCUGUUAUUCUGUUGUAUGCCUCUAUGUUCACAGGUUUAAAACCCUGUGGAAAUUCAUGGUCCAGUACUUCUUCGGUGAAGCACAGGGGGUGAGUAGCCCUCUGUAUCUGGACGUGAUGUGGCAUGCCGUCGGCUGUUGUUGUGUCCGGUGUUGAUUCCGAACUAGUAUCUGAUCGGUAUGAUCAUUUUGGUGACCAUAGUCCUGCGCCGGGGAGUGUCCUUUGGAUCCAUAGAUGGACCUAUCCGCGCCGGCUUUCUUAUCCAGGAGCUCAUGUAAAUCGUGUACGGCGUCGGUAGCUGCUCUGUUGCGGUUAUGAAGUGGUUUGUCCGGCCUACAGGCCAUGUUAUUCUUUGGUGGAACGGCCUCGUCAUUGAAUUCUGGCAGCAACUUGCGUUUUGGAUAGCUCUUUGUAUGGCGAUCAUCGCCGUACUUUUCUUCAGUGUCUAGCACUUUAUUCCAUCUACGAUUGAGCGUUUCCUGUGCGGCCUUUAGCCGUUGCUUCUGCUUCUUUAGACUUCUCGCAGCGGCCAUAAGCCUUCUGUGGAGGUUAUCUUGUUCCAAGCGUGUUUCCGGGAUGAUGAAUGCAUCGUCAUCCGGACUGUGUUCUUGUUCCGGGGCGGUUUGAUGAAUUCGUCCCUCGGGAUCAUUGAUAUUGGGUAUCUGCUCCGAGCUGUGUUCAGUGUGACCUGGCUCAUCCUGCUCCAUUGCUGGGUCCAUAUGGUCGUUGUUGUCUUCGGAGUUGACUGGGGUGUCGAUCUUUCUGGCGCUCUUAUCGCUAUUUUUACUGUUGCUGGACUUGGAGCGGCGUCUAUGUCGUCGUUUUGGCUUUUUCCCGAGAGUUUUAUCUUCCGGAUUGUCGCCGUCGUUCUCCUUAUGCGUAUCCACCAUGUAUAUAUCGUAUGACGAGGUGGCAGUCCAGCGCCUUAGUGAUUCUGAAUCGUCUCCUGCGCCGACGUCAUACCGUCGGUAUCAUCAGAGUCGAAGUCAAGCAUAUCUGAUACAUCGUCGAUAGUGGCUAUGAAGUGGGUGGUGGGUGGGAAACGAAUUCCUUCGUCGCCUGCUUCCCAUUCGAGCCGGAUGAUAACCCACAAGUGUAGGGGAUCGCAACAGCUUUCGAGGGUAAAGUAUUCUACCCAAAUUUAUUGAUUCGACACAAGGGGAGCCAAAGAAUAUUCUUGAGUAUUAGCAGUUGAGUUGUCAAUUCAACCACACCUGGAUAACUUAGUAUCUGUAGCAAAGUAUUUAGUAGCAAAAGUGGUAUGAUAAUAAAGGUAACGGUAGCAAAAGUAAAGAUAAAUGUUUUUGGGUUUUUGUAGUAGUUGUAAUAGUAGCAACGGAAAAGUAAAUAAGCGAAGAACAAUAUGUGAAAAGCUCGUAGGCAAUGGAUCAGUGAUGGAUAAUUAUGCCGGAUGCGAUUCCUCAUGCAAUAGUUAUAACAUAGGGUGAUGUCGUGGUUCUAAGCCUGACAGUAGAGUGGGGGUAGGUAUGGAGAGGCAAGGUCCUAGCUAUGGAGAGGUUGUAAACACAAGGGAUGUACGAGUUCAGGCCCUUCUCGGAAGAAGUAAUAGCCCUACGUCUCGGAGCCCGGAGGCGGUCGAGUGGAUUAUGAGUAUAUGAGUUACAAGGUGCCGAACCCCUCUGCCUGUGGAGGGGGGUGGCUUAUAUAGAGUGCGCCAGGACCCCAGCCAGCCCAUGUAGGAGAGGGUUUACGGUGAGUUAAGUCUGGGGCGUUACUGGUAACGCCCCACAUAAAGUGUCUUUACUAUCAUAAAGCCUACUUAAUUACAGACCGUUGCAGUGCAGAGUGCCUCUUGACCUCCCGGUGGUCGAGUGAGUCUUCGUGGUCGAGUCCUUCAAGUCAGUCAAGUGAAUCCCUCGUUGGUCGACUGGAAGGCGACCUCUUCUAAGGGUGUCCUAGGGUAAGUUCGUGACCCUACCCUAGGUACAUGACCCCAUCAUUAGCCCCCGAAUGGAUUGAGGCUUCGAGUGAGGAAGGAGUUGAUGUCGUUUCCGAUUAACCUUUGCGCUCUGGUCGUGCGUUGUUCUGGACCAAAGAAUCUCUUCGUCGAUGGUGAGCAACUUGUCUUCAGUCGACUCGAUUCAUUCUCUUCUUUCGUCGAGUGAUCUUUCGGGCUUCGACGAUCCCCGAGCGACGGAUCGCGGGAAACCCCGCGUCUGACAGACUGAUCUGCCGUUCGCAGAUUCCGCGGGAUGCGAAAUUUGGGGACGCGCGCGAAGCGGAGCGGACCGCGGCGUUCGGAUGGGACGGGACAUAGACGCCUCGAUCUCCGCGCCGCUUUCUUCGCCACGUAUCCCGUCUGCAUAACUGCUCCCGGAUAUGAUUAGAUCGACCGGGCCCACCUGUCAUCCACUCGGAAGGGACCUUAUAAAUGCGCCCGGCGAGGAUUUCUGUGCUGUGCCUCAGCAUUCUCUCUCUCUCUGCUCCCUUCGUCCCCGUCCAGCGCGCUCGCUCUCGCCCUCGCACAACUUCCCUUCGCGCAUCUCGCCGGCAACCAUGGCCAAGGAGAAGACGGCGGCGCUGGAACGUGCGAAGAAGGCGUCGGUGUCGGAGAAGGCAAAGGGGAGAUCUACCAGCCGCGGCGGGUCCUCGUCCAAAUCCCGCCUGCCUAAGGGCUGGGUCCAAGGAGACUGGAUCCAGUCGACCAUCACAGAGAAAGACCUCCUCGACAUGGCCAACGAGGGCUUGAUCCCUCAUGGAGCUGCGAGGCUUCCGGGGAAGGAGUGGCAGCCCCAGCCAGAAGAGGGUGAGUGUGUGCUCUUGGCCACCCAUGUUGAUCGUGGAUUUUCUUUGCCGCCGAGUAUUUUCUUCCGUGGCUUCUUGAACUUCUUUGGAGCGCAGCUCCACCACUUUACCCCAAAUUCUAUCGCCUAUCUUGCCGCAUUCGUGUCCAUGUGUGAGGGUUUCCUGGGUUGUCGACCGCACUGGGGUUUGUUCAAGCAUAUAUUCAUAUGUCGCUCUCAGACCGUGAAGAAGGCGAGCCCAGGCGAUGAAAGAACCCGAGUCGUCCAAAUGUGUGGGGGUCUGGGGAUCCAGGUGAGGAAUAAGAGCACCUUCCCGCCCAUGACCUUUCCCGAGUCAGUCAGAGGCUGGCAGUCGACUUGGUUCUACUGCCAGGACCAGUCGACGCCGGGGCAGUCGAGUGGACUCCCUCAGUUUACCAUGGACCGAGUGAACAAGCCCUCCUCUCUGAAGUUGAUUCCGGAGGAGAAAGCUGACGUGAAGAUGUUGAUGGAGCGCGUGGUGCAGUUGGUUCGGGAGGGAGUGACGGGCAUGGAUCUCCUGGAGGUCUUCCUUAGGCGUCGCAUCCAGCCCCUUCAGUUCCGGAGCCACUGCAUGUGGUUGUACUGUGGGACUGAAGACGAGACUAGAGUCCAUCCAGAAGCAGUCGACGACGUCACUCUGGAAAGAUGGAUGGUAGCCGUUACCGGAAACAAGUAUAACCCACGCGGAGCCAGAAGGAUCCCUCCACUCGACCACAACAGCGAUCCAAACAAGGUACGUUUGCUCUGCUCUCCACUGUGUUCUUGUUCACAUUCAUUUCGGUUUAUCCUGUCGACUGGUCGAUUGAUCCUUGUCUUGAUGUCUGCUAGGCCCUCACCGAGCUGUACUCGAUGCCCAAUGGGGCACAAGCUCCGACUGAGGAGGGUGAGGCGAGUGGGGGCGAGAGCCAGGAAGAGGAGGAAUGGGACUCGGACGUUGCAGAGGAUGAUGACGACGAUGAUGAUGAUGACGGUGAUGAAGAUGACGUUGAGGACGAGGAAGAAGAGGAGGAGGAGGUCGUACCACCGCGCUCGGAAAGGCGGUCGAAGCUUGUCCACGACCCUUCGACUGAACGUGGCAAGGGGGUUGCGACCGUUGUUCAGUCGACCAAGCGCCCUCGGACCACCUCUCCGGUGCCGACUGAAAAGGCGCCGAAGCAGCCCAGGGCGGCCCCGUCGAAGACGAUUAAGCUCCUACCGAAGAUGAAGGUGUCCAUCCCCACCAUAUCAGGGUAAUCGUGCUGCUUGAAUCUUCUUAUUUUGUGUGAACUUUGUCUCUGGUCGACGCUGAAGUUAGUCGACUGAUCCUUUGGAGUUGCAGUGCUGCUACUUCUGAAACCUCAGCCCGGGCUGAUGACCAUGAGAUGGAGGACGCAGCAACUUCAAAACUAGGUACUGUAUUCUUAACGCCGUUCUUAGUCGACUGACUCACGAUCUCUGAUCCUGAUUCUUCUCCGUAGCUCCACCCAAUGCUGUUAUCAAUCUCCCUGAUGAUGAUGAGGAUGAAGAACCACUGAAGCGCAGGAGGAGUAGGAAAGCGUCCGCCAGCAAGGUGCCCCGGGAUGUGACGGCGCCUGAGAUUCUGAUUGCGGAGGAAGAGAACACCACUCGACACACGGUGUCCUUCGCAGAUCCAUUGACAAGUGCUCAGCAGCCCUCCCUCUUCACGACGCACCACGUCCCAGAGGACCAAGCUGGCGCGGCGAAGGAAGCGAUACGCCAGGCGGGAAUCAUGAUGGAGCAGUUGAAGACCAUCCGGGAUGCGAGCCAGGCAGCUUAUGACGCCAGUUCUGCCCUUCAAAGCAAUGUUCAGGUCAGUCGACCACCGUUUGUUCUGUUGGAUAUGCUACCAAAAACUUUUCCUUUCCGGAAUUUAUAGUAGUCACCCAGUGGGUGUGUCGAUUAAACUCCGUGUUAGCGGGGGCACGCUGAGUGCACCCGCUGGGUGUAGUCCCCAAGGCUAAGGUCGACUGCUGGCAGUCGGCCUUAGGCUUUAUGAUGUCAAUCUUUCUGUCAGUCGACUAUGUCGACUGGAUUUCACAAACCGGUGGGGGCACGCUGAGUGCACCCACUGGGUGUAGUCCCCGAGACUGUGGUCGAUUGCUUGCAGUUGAUCACAGUCUUAAAGAAUACAUCUCUUUUUUUUGAGGUCGACUGGUCGACUUUAUCUUCAACAGGAUUAGUGGGGGCACGCUGAGUGCACCCACUGGGUGUAGUCCCCGAGACUACGGUCGAAUGCUUGUAUUCGGCUGUAGUCUUAGAAACGUGUGUUUUUUCCUUUUUCACUCGGAAGUGAAUUAUAUUUGACAUUUAGUCGAUUGGUUCUUCGCAGAACUCUUGUGAUCUUGUGGCUCGCUACUCUGAGCUGGAAAAGAAGCACACUCAACUCGAGCUGAGCCUGAAGCUGGUUCAGGAGAAGCUGACAAAGGCAAAGGAGGAGACCGAAGGUAUAUUUGGUGAGACUCUGACGACUGCUUUUCCCCUUGCUUGUUUCAAAAUCUAAUCUUGCUGUAACUUGCAGGUAAGGUAAGGGAGGCCCAACAGAAGAAAGACCUCGAACUAGCUGAGAAGAUCAAGCUUGCUGACGAGAAGUUAGCUUCAGUCACCAAGCUUGAACAAGACAAUACGAAUCUGAAAGCUGCUCUUGGGAUCGCCAACAAGGAGGUCAGUCGACUAAAAACUGAUAAAGCUCCCCUGACCGACCAAGUCAGUAAGUUGACUGGGAAGAAAAAUGAUCUGGAGGCCUUCCUGAGUGGUCUUGCCAAGAAGCUGUUUCUUAUGCUUGAAGGUAAACCUCUAUGCUCGGCGAACAUUUCCAAUUGUGGUUUUUCCAUUCGACCAUCCCCUUGACUUAGUGAUCAUCUUUGCAGAAUUUUGUCAAAACUUUGAAGAAGAAACUAGCCGGCUGGAGCCAAACCUCGACCCCGUCAAUUCUCCGGUGAACGACGAAGUUGCCAUGGAUGUUUUCUGACUGGAGUCUCGUGUUGCAGCUGUCAUGGACUAUCUCGCAAGGCUGAAGGCCGCCACAACUCGCAUCGACUCGACGUUCUGGCCUGAGGAGACACUUCAGAAUGACCUUGAGUCGCUGAUGGCCUGCUUGAACUCGAUCCCUGGUCGAGUGCAGGAAUGGAAGUAGUCCUCGGCUCGGUGUGGUGCAGAUGUUGCUCUGUGUCUGGCUCGAGUCCACUGUAAAGAUGCGUGAGAAGAGAAGCUGGCGGCCCUUCGGGUGGCCAACACCAAGAAACACGACUUCAGGUCCUUUAUGGAAACUUUCCUUGCAGCUGCCACUCGGAUCGCCGACGGAAUUGACCUUGAUGAAUUCGUUGCACCUUCCAGCCCUCCACAGGAGGGGUAAAAAACUUCUUCUGGCUCGACGCUUUAAAUUUGCCUCGGUAUGCCGAGUGGAAUUGUAACCGAUAAACCUUAACAGGCUUAACGCCUGAGCACUUUCGGUUCCUUUAGAUAUCGAUUCAAACUUGAAUUUGGUGCUUGAAUACGAUUGCCUUUGGCUCGAAAUGUCCUUUGCAGGUUCAAAGCAAGGCGCCUUUACUGCAAUCGACUUAUUCUUUAGUCCACUUAGGCGAGCACUGGGCUGCGGCUAAGCCUCCGAGUGAGAGGUUUACUCUUCACUCGGUAGGAUUUUGAUAACUUAGGCUAGCACUGGGCUGCAGCUAAGCCUCCGAGUGAGAGGUUUGCUCUUGACUUGGUAGGAUUUUUAUAACUUAGGCGAGCACUGGGCUGCAGCUAAGCCUCCGAGUGAGAGGUUUGCUCUUCACUUGGUAGGAUUUUUAUAACUUAGGCGAGUGCUUGGACUGCAGCUAAGCCUCCGAGUGAGAGGGUCGCUCUUCACUUGGUAGGAUUUUGAUAACUUAGGCUAGUGCUUGGACUGCAGCUAAGCCCCCGAGUGAGAGGUUUGCUCUCCACUCGGUAGGAUUUUGACAAACUUAGGCGANNNNNNNNNNNNNNNNNNNNNNNNNNNNNNNNNNNNNNNNNNNNNNNNNNNNNNNNNNNNNNNNNNNNNNNNNNNNNNNNNNNNNNNNNNNNNNNNNNNNNNNNNNNNNNNNNNNNNNNNNNNNNNNNNNNNNNNNNNNNNNNNNNNNNNNNNNNNNNNNNNNNNNNNUUUUAUAACUUAGGCGAGCACUGGGCUGCAGCUAAGCCUCCGAGUGAGAGGUUUGCUCUUCACUCGGUAGGAUUUUUGUAACUUAGGCGAGCACAGGGCUGCAGCUAAGCCUCCGAGUGAAAGUCUGGCUUACCACUCGGUAGGAUUUUGAUAACUUAGGCGAGUGCUUGGACUGCAGCUAAGCCCCCGAGUGAGAGGUUUGCUCUCCACUCGGUAGGAUUUUGACAAACUUAGGCGAGUGCUGGACUGCAGCUAAGCCCCCGAGUGAGAGGUUUGCUCUUCACUUGGUAGGAUUUUUAUAACUUAGGCGAGUCCUUGGACUGCAGCUAAGCCUCCGAGUGGAAGUCUCGCUUACCACUCGGUAGGAUUUUGAUAACUUAGGCAAAACGGAUUCGCAGCUAAGCCUCCGAGUGGGAGUCUGGCUCACCACUCGGUAGGAUUUUUACAAACUUAGGUGAAACGGAUUCGCAGCUAAGUCACCCACUGCGGGGGAAUUUUAUUGGACAAAAAUAAAAAGUGACAGAAAUUAUGGAGGAACUAUGACACUAUUAUUUUGAGGUCCAUGAACUACAGAAGUACUUUAUUGCAACUCAUCCGAGUGUUAAAACUUAAGUAUAAAAUGGGCGGAGUAGUUCCGCGUUCCAAGCUCGGGGCUCGUCGAUAUUAUGCUCGACGUUGUAAAGACGGUACGCCCCGUUGUGGAGAACCUUGGUGACGAUGAAGGGACCUUCCCAAGAAGGAGCAAGCUUGUGUGGUUUGUGCUGAUCCACUCGGAGAACUAAAUCUCCUUCCUGGAAGGCUCGACCUCUCACAUUUCUGGCGUGGAAACGACGCAAAUCUUGUUGGUAGAUGGUCGACCGGAUCAGAGCCAUCUCCCUUUCUUCCUCUAAAAGGUCGACUGCGUCCUGCCGCGCUUGUUCAGCCUCUGCUUCGUUGUAGAUUUCAACUCGAGGAGCAUUGUGGAGAAGAUCACUCGGCAAGACUGCUUCAUCUCCGUAGACCAAGAAGAAUGGAGUUCUUCCGGUCGACCGAUUAGGUGUGGUCCGCAGCCCCCAAAGCACUGAGGGAAGUUCGUAGACCCAAGCUCUAGCCGCGUGUUUGAGAUCACGCAUCAGUCGGGGCUUCAAUCCCUUAAGAAUCAGUCCAUUAGCUCGCUCUGCUUGUCCAUUCGACUGCGGAUGGGGGACUGAAGCGUAGUCGACCCGUGUGCCUUGGGAUUUGCAGAAAGCUCUGAAUUCCUCCGAGUCAAAGUUCGACCCAUUAUCCGUAAUGAUGCUGUGCGGGACUCCAUAUCUGAAUAUUAGUUCCCUGAUGAAGCUAACAGCAGUACCGGUGUCAAGGUUCUUGAUUGGUUUAGCCUCGAUCCACUUGGUGAACUUGUCGACUGCCACCAGUACAUGCGUGAAGCCACUUCGUCCUGUUCUCAAAGGACCGACCAUGUCCAGUCCCCAUACUGCGAAAGGCCAGACGAGUGGGAUGGUCUUCAGAGCCGACGCAGGCUUGUGCAACAUAUUCGAGUAGAACUGACAUCCCUCGCACUUAUCCACUAUCUCUUUUGCCAUCUCAUUCGCCUUUGGCCAGUAAAAUCCGGCUCGGUAUGCUUUGGCCACGAUGGUCCGAGAGGACGCAUGAUGACCACAGGUUCCCGAGUGGAUAUCAUUGAGGAUGAGUCGACCUUCUUCUGGUGUUAUGCACUUCUGACCGACUCCAGUCGCGCUUUCUCUGUAUAAUUGUCCUUUGAUUACGGUAAAGGCCUUAGAUCGUCGGACGAUCUGUUGAGCCUCUUCCUCAUCCUCCGGAAGCUCUUUUCUCAGGAUAUACACGACAUAUGGAACUGUCCAGUCGGGAAUGACCACCAAGACCUCCAUGAUCAAGUCGACCACCGCUGGGACUUCAACUUCAGUCGGAUCUGUGGCACUCUUGGGCUGUGGAGUUUCUUCGGUGAAAGGAUCUUCUUUGACUGACGGAGUGUGUAUAUGCUCCAAGAACACACCACUCGGAAUGGCUUCUCUCUUGGAACCUAUCUUUGCUAGAUCAUCAGCUGCUUGAUUUUUCAGUCGGGGUAUAUGAUGGAGCUCCAACCCCUCGAACUUCUUUUCCAGCUUCCUCACUGCACUGCAGUAUCCAGUCAUGGCUGGGCUUCUCACGUCCCACUCUUUCAUCACCUGGUUGACCACUAAAUCCGAGUCGCCAUAGACCAUCAGGCGACGGACGCCGAGUGAAAUGGCCAUGCGCAACCCAUAUAAGAGGGCCUCAUAUUCUGCCUCAUUGUUGGAGGAAUCAAAGUGAAUCUGGAGCACAUAUCUGAGCUUAUCUCCUCUGGGGGAAACCAGGACAACCCCAGCACCGGAACCAUUCAACAUCUUAGAGCCAUCAAAGAACAUGGUCCAAUGCUCCGAGUGAACUUCAGUCGGCUGCUGUUGUUCAAUCCACUCGGCGAGGAAAUAUGCUAUUGCCUGGGACUUAAUGGCUUUCUUUGCCUCAAACUUGAUAUCAAGGGGAAGAAGUUCAAUCGCCCAUUUGGCCACUCGACCAGUUGCAUCUCUGUUGUGUAAAAUCUCGGAUAGUGGAGCGUCGCUGACGACUGUGAUGGAAUGAUCAGAAAAAUAAUGAGCAACCUUCUUUGUGGUCAUGUAUAUUCCAUACACAAGCUUCUGAUAAUGAGGAUAUCUCUGCUUGGAUGGAGUCAAGACUUCAGACAAAUAAUACACUGGGCGCUGAACUUUGAGAGCUUUUCCUUCUUCUUCCCGCUCGACCGUAAGCAUAGUACUGACGACUUGUCCUGUGGCUGCGAUAUAGAGCAACAGAGGCUCUUUGCUGAUUGGAGCAGCAAGCACCGGCUGGGUGGAGAGCAGAGAUUUUAGCUCGGCAAAUGUUGCAUCAGCUUCUGGAGUCCACUCGAACUUGUCUGUCUUCUUCAUCAGUCGGUAAAGAGGCAAUGCCUUUUCACAGAGUCGUGAGAUGAAUCGACUUAAUGCGGCCAAGCAUCCAGUAAGCUUCUGGACAUCGUGCACUCGCGCAGGGCGUUUCAUUCGGAGAAUAGUGCCAAUCUUCUCUGGGUUAGUGUCGAUUCCCCGUUCGGAAACGAGAAAACCGAGUAACUUGCCACCAGGAACUCCAAAUGUGCACUUUGAUGGAUUGAGCUUGAUAUCAUAUCUUCUGAGGUUGGCAAAUGUUUCGGUGAGAUCAGCGAGCAGGUCGGAACCUUUUCGUGAUUUGACAACGAUAUCAUCCAUAUAUGCUUCCACAUUCCGACUGAUUUGAUUGAGUAGACACUUCUGAAUCAUUCGCAUAAAUGUGGCUCCGGCAUUCUUGAGGCCGAAUGGCAUGGUGAUAUAGCAGAAGCACCCGAAUGGAGUGAUGAAAGCUGUUUUUACCUCGUCGGGUCCGUACAGACGGAUCUGGUGGUACCCGGAGUAGGCAUCUAAAAAAGAUAGCCUCUCGCAUCCCGCGGUCGAGUCAACAAUUUGAUCUAUGCGAGGGAGAGGAAAAUGAUCUUUCGGGCAGGCCCGGUUGAUGUGCUUGAAAUCAAUGCACAUUCGGAGCGACUUGUCCUUCUUAGGAACCAUGACCACAUUAGCGAGCCACUCGGAGUGGUAUAUCUCUCGGAUAAAUCCUGCCGCCAACAGUCGAGCCACUUCUUCACCAAUGGCUUUUCUCUUCUGGACGGCGGACCGCCGAAGAUGCUCUUUGACUGGUUUUGCAGAUGAGUCGACUCUUAGGCGAUGCUCAGCCAGUCCCCUGGGAACACCUGGCAUGUCAGCGGGCUUCCAUGCAAAAAUGUCCCAGUUCUCACGGAGGAACUGGAUGAGCGCUUCUUCCUAUUUUGGGUCGAGUGUUGUGGAGAUGCGGGUCGGAGCUGCAUCGGGGUCGGUCGGGUGAAUGUGAACAGGCUUCGUCUCACCGGACGACUGGAAUGCAGACUAUGUGGCGGGUUUCUUUGAUCGCAGCAAGUCACUCGGAUCUGCGUUUUGCUUGUAUUCCUCGAACUCGACCGCUGUCACCUGGGAAUCGGCAAUCUUGGAGCCCUUCUGAAAGCACUCUUCUGCCUUUUUCCUAUCACCGGUGACAGUGAUCACUCCUUUGGGGCCGGGCAUCUUCAAUUUGAGGUACACGUAACAUGGUCGAGCCAUGAACCGUGCGUAAGCUGGUCUCCCCAAAAUGGCAUGAUAUGCACUCUGAAAAUCCACGACCUCAAACGUCAACUUUUCUUUGCGAAAAUGUUUCGAAUCACCAAACACCACGUCCAAAGCUAUUUGGCCGAGUGACUCGGCUUUCUUCCCUGGUAUAACUCCAUGAAAGCUCAUGUUACUAGUGCUCAGUCGGGACAUCGGAAUGCCCAUUCCUUUCAGUGUGUCUGCAUACAACAAAUUCAGCCCGCUUCCACCAUCCAUCAGCACCUUUGUCAGUCGAGUGCCUUCGACAACUGGAUCGACCACCAAAGCUUGCCUCCCAGGGGUGGCAAUAUGAGUCGGGUGAUCAGAUUGGUCGAAUGUGAUGGGUAUUUGAGACCAUUUCAGAUAAUUUGCUUUUGCUGGGGCAACCAUGUUCACCUCUCGGUUAAUGACUUUCAGUCGACUCCUGCUUUCCACAUAUGCAAAGAUCAUCAGAGUGGAGUUGAUAUGCGGAUAUCCUUCCUCACUGUCCUCCUUGUCUUCAGCCUUGUCCGACUCCUUCUCCUUGUCCUUAGACUGUUUUCCCUAAAACUGCUGGAUCAGGAGUCGACAUUGGCGAGUGGUGUGCUUCGGGUAGAUGAUAUUCCCCUCUUCGUCUUUCUUCGUGUGGAUGUGACAUGGCAUAUCCAUUACGUCGUUCCCUUCUUUAUCCUUUACCUUCUUGGGGUUCCAGGAUCCUUUUGGUUUCCCCUUAAACUUUCCCUGAGUCACGGCUAGAGCCUCUCCAGGAGCUGCCGGUUCAGCCUUGCGCUUCUGUUUCCGACUGGUGUUUCCUUUUUCCGACUGACUCGGCUUGUGCUUGCCGCUUCGGAGUCGGUCUUCUUCUUCGCCGUUGGCGUGCUUGGUAGCAAUCUCCAUCAUCCGACUCAAGGUCAUGUCACCAGUUCGACCAAACUUCAAACUCAGUUCUCUGUUCUUGACGCCAUCUUUGAAGGCGCAGACUGCUUGAUGAUCAGACACAUUCUCCACAGUGUGGUGCAAAGUGAUCCACCUCUGAAUAUACUCUCUGAGAGUCUCAUUAGCCUUCUGCACGCAGACUUGCAACUCUGUCAAUCCAGCUGGUCGCUUGCAAGUUCCUUCAAACGUUCUGAUGAACACUCGGGACAGAUCUUCCCAAGUGUAAAUGCUGCUAGGAGGUAAUUGAGUCAACCAUGCCCUGGCAGAACCUUCCAGCAUGAGGGGCAAAUGCUUCAUGGCCACCUCGUCGUUCCCACCACCAAUCUGAACUGCCACUCGGUAAUCUUCAAGCCAAGUUUCGGGCUUAGACUCACCAGUGAACUUGCUGACUCCUAUUGCCAACCUGAAAUUGGGAGGGAUAAAUGCGGCUCUGAUAGCUCUGCUGAAACAUUCAGGACCAGAAACAUGCACUCGACUGCUUGUGGGUGCAUCUCUGUCGAGUCCGCUUCGAUGGGCUCUAUUCCGGUCGACCAAACCUUGCACGAUAAUGGAUCGCGCGUCGAAGCCUGGUUCUCUGGGGUCGACUGGAACCCUUCGUCCUGUACUGUACUGACGCUUGUCAUCUUGCUGCCGAGGAGCGUAAGACCCACCCCUCGGAGGGGAAUUGGGCACUCGACGCCUAUCAUCUCGGUAGAGUCUGUCGCCAUAUUGAUCUCGCCGAUUCUCGCGCCCUUCACGCCGCGGAGGCGAUCUGGGGCUGUGAGCCGACUGAACCGUAUUCGCAGUGACGGAUCGACUGUGAAUUCUGUUGCGCGACUGAGACACGGCUGAAUUCUGAUCUCCUGCUGCCCGGAGCAGAUCCCUGAUCUGCAGCAAACCUCUGCCAGCUUCCGACUGCGAAGGCUGGAUGGACUCUGCUAUACGGGUCGCAGCUGCUAAAUUCUGGAUUGGGGUUCGAUAUACCUGAGUCGGCGGGAAGAGUUGACGUCGACUGGCGUCGGGAACUCGUUGCCGCGCGCGCUCGUCGAGUGCUCGCUGAAGAUUCUCCAGUCGAGUGCGUUCGGCCAAAUUGGCCAGACGUGCCUCCUCCAAGGCACGAGCCUCGGGGGUUUCUCCUGCGAUGGGAGUACGCAGAGCAUCCACGUUCCUGCGGCGAAGUUCCUCUCUUUGCAGAGAGUCGAGUGGCUCGGGCUGGUACUCUUCGUGGCCUCGUGCGGGGUCGCCUCCGUCACCUGCUCCACCAUCACGGGCGAAGCCAGGGGGACUGCGGGGCCCGUCGACCAUCAAGAUUUCCGCCGCUGGAUCACUGCUACCGCACUCGGAUGCUGUCUCUACGGAGCCAGUCGACAGAUCGAACAAGCCGUAGAGAGAUUCGUCGGGCUCGAUUGCCGCAACUUGGGUGGUGGCCGAUUGGCGAGCCACCGCGUGCCUCACCCAUCGCUGAAGCCUCGACCGGCCCGAGCGCUUGCGCUGGCGGGAGACCGGGAGGGUGGACGAUGGAGGAGCCGACCGAUACGGGGUCGACGGUUGCCGCAGCAGAACACCGCGGACACAUGCGCGAAAAUGCGUCGCACCGCGAACGGGGAGCGCAUCAACGUCGAGUGGAGCCUCCUGGAGCCACGCGGAGUCGUCGGCAAUGAAGGUGAGAGUGCCGAGACGGAUCUCUCGACCCUCGACCAAAACUCCAGCAGACACCAUGAUGAAAGUACUCGGAAGAAUCGCAACUUCUCCACAAAAUCGCUAAAACACCUGCCCCAAGGUGGGCGCCAACUGUCGGGGUUCUAAGCCUGACAGUAGAGUGGGGGGUAGGUAUGGAGAGGCAAGGUCCUAGCUAUGGAGAGGUUGUAAACACAAGGGAUGUACGAGUUCAGGCCCUUCUCGGAAGAAGUAAUAGCCCUACGUCUCGGAGCCCGGAGGCGGUCGAGUGGAUUAUGAGUAUAUGAGUUACAAGGUGCCGAACCCCUCUGCCUGUGGAGGGGGGUGCUUAUAUAGAGUGCGCCAGGACCCCAGCCAGCCCACGUAGGAGAGGGUUUAAGGUCAGUUAAGUCUGGGGCGUUACUGGUAACUCCCCACAUAAAGUGUCUUUACUAUCAUAAAGCCUACUUAAUUACAGGCCGUUGCAGUGCAGAGUGCCUCUUGACCUCCCGGUGGUCGAGUGAGUCUUCGUGGUCGAGUCCUUCAAGUCAGUCGAGUGAAUCCCUCGUUGGUCGACUGGAAGGCGACCUCUUCUAAGGGUGUCCUAGGGUAGGUUCGUGACCCUACCCUAGGUACAUGACACCAUCAGGUGAUAUAGAACUAGCUCCAAUUCAUCAAUGUAAUGUAGGCAUGUAUUCCGUAAAUAGUCAUACGUGCUUAUGGAAAAGAACUUGCAUGACAUCUUUUGUCCUACCCUCCCGUGGAAGCGGGGUCCUAGCGGAAACUAAGGGAUAUUAAGGCCUCCUUUUAAUAGAGAACCGGAACAAAGCAUUAGCACAUAGUGAAUACAUGAACUCCUCAAACUACGGUCAUCAUCGAGAAGUAUCCCGAUUAUUGUCACUUCGGGGUUGUCGGAUCAUAACACAUAAUAGGUGACUAUAGACUUGCAAGAUAGGAUCAAGAACACACAUAUAUUCAUGAAAACAUAAUAGGUUCAGAUCUGAAAUCAUGGCACUCGGGCCCUAGUGACAAGCAUUAAGCAUAGCAAAGUCAUAGCAACAUCAAUCUCAGAACAUAGUGGAUAGUAGGGAUCAAACCCUAACAAAACUAACUUGAUUACAUGAUAAAUCUCAUCCAACCCAUCACCGUCCAGCAAGCCUACGAUGGAAUUACUCACGCACGGCGGUGAGCAUCAUGAAAUUGGUGAUGGAGGAUGGUUGAUAAUGACGACGGCGAUGAAUCCCCCUCUUCGGACCCCCGAACGGACUCCAGAUCAUCCCUCCCGAGAGAGAUUAGGGCUUGGCGGCGGCUCCAUGUCGUAAAACGCGAUGAAACUUUCUCUCUUGAUUUUUUUCUCCCCGAGACGGAAUAUAUGGAGUUGGAGUUGAGGUCGGUGGAGGUCCAGGGGGCCCACGAGAUAGGAGGCCGCGCCCUAGGGGGGCGCCCCCUGUCUCGUGGACAGCCUGUGGGCCCCCUGGCAUUGAUUCUUUCGCCAAAAAUUCUUAAUAAUUCCAAAAAGUGCCUCCGUGGAUUUCCAUGACAUUCCGAGAACUUUUCUUUUCUACACAUAAAACAACAUCAUGGUAGUUCUGCUGAAAACAGCGUCUGUCCGGGUUAGUUUCAUUCAAAUCAUGCAAGUUAGAGUCCAAAACAAGGGCAAAAGUGUUUGCAAAAGUAGAUACGUUGGAGACGUAUCAACUCCCCCAAGCUUAAACCUUUGCUUGUCCUCAAGCAAUUCAGUUGAUAAUUUGAAAGUGAUAGAGAAAAACUUUUACAAACUCUGUUUGCUCUUGUUGUUGUAAACAUGACAAGUCAGCAUUCAAGUUUCAGCAAAUAUUAUGAACUAACCAUACUCAGAAUAACACUUAGGUCUCACAAUUACUCAUAUCAAUAACAUAAUCAGCUAGCGAGCCAUAAUAAUAAAAAUCGGAUGACAACACUUUCUCAAAAUAAUCAUAACAUGAUAUAACAAAAUGGUAUCUCGCUAGCCCUUCCUGAGACCGCAAAACAUAAAUGCAGAGCACCUUUAAAGAUCAAGGACUGACUAAACAUUGUAAUUCAUGGUAAAAGAGAUCCAGUCAAGUCAUACCCGAUAUAAACCAAUAAUAAUGAAUGCAAAUGACAGUGUGCUCUCGAGCGGGUGCUUUAAAUAAGAAGGGUGAUGACUCAACAUAAAAGUAAAUAGAUAGGCCCUUCGCAGAGGGAAGCAGGGAUUUGUAGAGGUGCCAGAGCUCGAUUUUAAAAUAGAGAUUGAAUAACAUUUUGAGCGGCAUACUUUCACUGUCCACGCAACAACUAUGAGAUGGUUGUAUCUUCCAUACUACAUGCAUUAUAGGUGGUUCCCAAACAGAAUGGUAAAGGUUUAUACUCCCCCAACCAGCAACAAGCAUCAAUCCAUGGCUUGCUCGAAACAACGAGUGCCUCCAACAUACAACAGCCCUGGGGGCGUUUUGUUUAAUUAUUUUGAUUUGCUUUGAUCUUUUUGGAUCAUGGGACUUGGCAUCCCGGUUACCGACCCUUUCUCGUGAAUGAGGAGCGGAGUCCACUCCUCUUGAGAAUAACCCACCUAGCAUGGAAGAUAUAGGCAUCCCUAGUUGUAACAUGAGCUGCUCGAGCAUACAAAACAGAAUUUAAUUUGAAGGUUUGGAGUUUGGCACAUACAAAUUUACUUGGAACGGCAGGUAAAUACCGCAUAUAGGAAGGUAUAGUGGACUCAUAUGGAACAACUUUGGGAUUUAAGGAGUUUGGAUGCACAAGCAGUAUUCCCGCUUAGUACAGGUGAAGGAUAGCAAAAGACUGGGAAGCGACCAACUGAGAGAGCGACAACAGUCAUAAACAUGCAUUAAAAUUAAUUCACACCGAAUACAAGCAUGAGUAGGAUAUAAUCCACCAUGAACAUAAACAUCAUGAAGGCUAUGUUGAUUUGAUUCAACUACAUGCGUGAACAUGUGCCAAGUCGAGUCACUCAAUUCAUUCAAAGGAGGAUACCAUCCCAUCAUAUCACAUCAUAAUCAUUCUCAUAGCAUGUUGGCACGCAAGGUAAACCAUUAUAACUCAUAGCUAAUCAAGCAUGGCACAAGCAACUAUAAUCUCUAAAUGUCAUUGCAAAUAUGUUUACUUCAUAAUAGCUGACCCAGGAACGAUGAAUCAUCAUAUUUACAAAAACAAGAGAGGUCGAGUUCAUACCAGCUUUUCUCAUCCCAAUAAGUCCAUCAUAUAUCGCCAUUAUUGCCUUUCACUUGCACGACCGAACGAUGUGUAUAAUAAUAAGAGUGCACGUGCAUUGGACUAAGCUGGAAUCUGCAAGCAUUCAACUCAAGAGACAAGACAAGUAAUAUGGGCUCUAAGUUAAAUAAACAAUUAUGCAUAUAAGAGCCACUAAGCAUUUUCAAUAUGGUCUUCUCGACCCCCAAAGGAAAGAAAAGAAAAUAAAACUAUUUACACGGGAAAGCUCCCAACAAGUAAGAAGAAGAAAAAGAAAUAUUUUUCGGUUUUCAUUUUAAAUUCUACUACAAACAUGGAAAUUAAACUAACUAAUUUUUUUGGUUUUUCAUAAAGUUUAUCAAACACACAAGAAGAAAACUAGAAAAAGAAAUUUAAACUAGCAUGGAUAAUACAAUGAAAGAGUAUGAGCACCGACGACUAGUGUGUGAAUAUGAAUGUAAAGUCGGUGAGAAAUACGUACUCCCCCAAGCUUAGGCUUUUGGCCUAAGUUGGUUUAAUACCAAGGACCGCCGCUACUCUCCCCGGUGUAGUGGGAGGUGUAAUCAGGAUACCACUGGCUGGUCAUCUGUGGAUCUCACUGGACAGAUGAUGCACGAUAAGGGUCCAGUUCAGGUUCCGGCUCAGGUUCGUUCUGGAGUAAAAGCUUGAGCUCGAUGGUUGUUCACCGCUUCCGGCGUGACAAGAUGAUUUUCUGCAACCAAAUCAAACAACAGAGGUGCAGGCAAGAUAAUAACCUCAAUGUGUUUCUUAUUAAAUCUAAGUUUAUACAAGAGCAUCUUCUCUUCAUUGUCAAUAAUAAACUUGUGUGCUACCAUGCUCUUGUAAUCUAAAAUGUGAGGAUGCAAUUUUAUCUCAUCCUCCUCAUGGUGCCUAAUGGGUAUCCGAAAAUGUUCAGCAAUACGUGCAGCAUAGAUACCUCCAAAUAUGGGGCCUUUUGUACGAUUCAGGGCUAGCCGUUUAGCAACGACGACACCCAUACUAAAAGUAUUGUCUCCUAGCAAAGCAUGUGGAAGAAUAAUAAUAUCUAGAAUGCUCAAAUUUCCACUAUUUCCACAACCAAUCAAGCAUCUACUAGCAAAUAUGGCAAAGUAGAGUAAAACAGGAAAGUGUAUGCUAGAGACUUUUGGCUCAGAGCCCUUCUUUGUCUCUUCCACGGCAAUAGUUUUAACGAAGCCACCCACAUCUUCACGAUGGGGUUCCUCUAAUUCUCCCUCAUAAGGUAUCCUACAUACCGCACAAAAAUGACGUAAAGACAUUUCUUUGAAUUCAUCAUAUAAAUGAAAUGAUACUGCAGGCGGUGACUUCUUAGGAUAAUAAUAAAAGUUUUGCACGAAAGUAUUGGUGAGUAAGAGAUACUGAUCGAUUCGGUCGUUGAUGAAACCGUUGAGGCCUGCAAUCUCGAUUAAAGCAUAAAAGUCUUCAUGAAUUCCGGCUUCUUUCAAGAAAUCCUCGCAUGGCCAUUCACACGACCAUACUUCCGCUACGCGAGCAAGAUUAUACUUGGCUUUUUCCUUCUCUUUGGCUUGUUUUUCCUGAGAGCUUCGGCUAGAAGAGCCUUUAAAGAUCCUCCUUAACAUUUUCAAGAAACAAUCUCCCAAAGCAGCUUUGUGAAUGGAGCUUUGAGCUAAGAGAUCGAAAAUCGCAGCAAAACGAGCUAGAACUCGUGCUUGAGCUGGAUGGGGAUUUUUUUUGGUAGAAGAUGAAGUGUGUGGGUGCUGGCAUAAGUGGAGGGGAGCCACUAGGGGCCCACGAGAUAGGGGGCGCGCCCUCCACUCUCGUGGCCUGGUGCUUGCCCCUCCUGCAGUGUUUUCAGUGCCUAAAAUCCUCAAAUAUUCCAGAAAAAAUCAUACUAAAUUUGCAGGGCAUUUGGAGCACUUUAUUUUCGGACUAUUUUCUUAAUGCAUGGAUAAUUCAGAAAACAGACAGAUAAUACUAUUUUUGCUUUAUUUAUUCUAAAUAACAGAAAGUAAAAAGAGGGUACAGAAGGUUGUGCCUUCUAGUUUCAUCCAUCUCGUGAUCAUCAAAAUGAAUCCACUAACAAGGUUGAUCAAGUCUUGUUAACAAACGCAUUCCGAAUAACACGGAACCGGAGAAAUUUCGAAUAACACUAAGUUACCUCAACGACGAUACGAAAAUCCCCAACAAUAAGAAUAUCAUACUUUUUCUUGACAGUAGGGAGAGGAAAUUCAAAACCUCCAAAAAUGAUAGUUGGAACUUUUUCAAUAGAAUUGAUGCUAUGAACUUGAGAUUGUUUCCUCGGAAAGUGUACAAUAUGCUCAAUACCAUUAACAUGAAAAGUGACAUUGCCUUUGUUGCAAUCAAUAACAGCCCCUGCAGUAUUAAGAAAAGGUCUACCAAGGAUAAUAUACAUACUAUCGUCCUCGGGAAUAUCAAGAAUAACAAUGUCCGUUAAGAUAGUGACAUUUGCAACCACAACAGGCACAUCCUCGCAAACACUGACAGGUAUAGCAGUUGAUUUAUCAGCCAUUUGCAAAGAUAUUUUAGUAGGUGUCAACUUAUUCAAUUCAAGUCUACGAUAUAAAGAGAGAGGCAUAACACUAACACCGGCUCCAAGAUCACAUAAAGCAGUUCUAACAUAAUUUCUUUUAAUGGAGCAUGGUAUAGUUGGAACACCCGGAUCUCCAAGUUUCUUUGGUAUUCCACCCUUAAAAGUGUAAUUAGCAAGCAUGGUGGAAAUUUCAGCUUCCGGUAUCUUUCUUUUGUUUGUGAUAAUAUCCUUCAUGUACUUAGCAUAAGGAUUUACUUUAAGCAUAUCAUUUAAGCGCAUACGUAAGUAAAUAGGUCUAAUCAUUUCAACAAAGCGCUCAAAAUCCUCAUCAUCCUUUGACUUGGAUGUUUUAGGAGGAAAGGGCAUGGGUUUCUGAACCCAUGGUUCUCUUUCUUUACCGUGCUUCCUAGCAACAAAAUCUCUCUUAUCAUAAUGUUGAUUCUUUGAUUGUGGGUUAUCAAGAUCAACAGCAGGUUCAAUCUCUACAUCAUUGUUUUUGCUAGGUUGAGCAUCAACAUGAACAUUAUCAUUAACAUUAUCACUAGGUUCAUGUUCAUCACCUGAUUGAGUUUUAGCAUCAGAAAUAGAAAUAUCAUUGGGAUUCUCAGGUGUGUCUACAGUAGGUUCACUAGAAGCAUGCAAAGUCCUAUCAUUUUUCUUCUUCUUCUUUUUAGAAGAACUAGGUGCCUCUAAAUUAUUUCUCUGAGAAUCUUGCUCGAUUCUCUUAGGGUGGCCUUCAGGAUACAAAGGUUCCUGAGUCAUUCUACCAGUUCUAGUAACCACUCUUACAACAAAGUCAUUCUUAUUAUUUAAUUCAUCAAGCAAAUCAUUUGGAGCUUUAAGUACUUGCUCAGCUUGAGUAGCAACCAUAGAAGCAUAUUUGCUAACGCAGUGAAGUUCAUCUUUAACUCUAGCCAGAUUAUCACUUACGCGUCCUAUCUCGAAAGCAUUAUUCUUUAACUCUCUACCAACAUAAGCAUUAAAACUUUCUUGUCUAGCCAUGAAGUCCUCAAAUUCAUCUAAGCAUGGGCUAUGAAAAAUUUAGUAGAGGGUAUUUCAACUUUAUCAUACCUAUAGAGAGAAUUUACCUUUACUACCUGUGUCGGGUUAUCAAGACAAUGUGGUUCUUCAAGCGGUAUAUUAAGACCAUGUAUUUCUUCAAUAGGAGGUAAAUUCUUAACAUAUUCAGCUUUAAUACCUUUUUUCUUUCAUUGAUUUCUUUGCCUCUUGCAUAUCUUCAGGACUGAGAAAUAAAACACCUCUCUUCUUCGGAGUGGGUUUAGGAAUAGGCUCUGGAGUUGGCUCAAUUGGUUCAGGAAUUACUUCAGGAACUGGCUAGGGAAGAGUCCAAUUAUUUUCAUUAGUCAACAUAUUAUUCAAUAAUAUUUCAGCUUCAUCGACUGUUCUUUCCCUGAAACACAACCAGCACAACUAUCCAAGUAGUCCUUGGAAGCAUCGAUUAGUCCAUUAUAAAAGAUAUCGAGUAUUUCAUUUUUCUUAAGAGGAUGAUCGGGCAAAGCCUUAAGUAACCGGAGAAGCCUCCCCCAAGCUUGUGGGAGACUCUCUUCUUUGAUUUGCACAAAAUUAUAUAUUUCCCGCAAGGCAGCCUGUUUCUUAUGAGCAGGGAAAUAUUUAGCAGAGAAGUAAUAAAUCAUAUCCUGGGGACUACGCACACAACCAGGAGCAAGAGAAUUAUACCAAGUCUUAGCAUCACCCUUUAAUGAGAAUAGAAAUAUCUUAAGGAUAUAUAAAUAUUGAGACUUCUCAUCAUUAGUAAACAGGGUGGCUAUAUCAUUCAACUUGGUGAGAUGUGCCACAACAGUUUCAGAUUCAAGGCCAUAAAAAGGAUCAGAUUCAACUAAAGUAAUAAUUUCAGGAUCAACAGAGAAUUCAUAAUCAUUAUCAGUAACACAGAUAGGUGAAGUAGCAAAAGCAGGGUCAGGUUUCAUUCUAGCAUUAAGAGACUGCUGCUUCCAUUUAGCUAAUAAUUUCUUAAGAUCAUUUCUAUCAUUGCAAGCAAGAAUUUCCCUAGCAGCUUCUUCAUUCAUAACAUAACCCUAAGGAACAACAGGUAAUACAUAAUCAUUGGGGGGACCUUCAUCAUAACUAUCAUCAGUAAUAGGAUCUUCAGUAAUCAUUCCCCCUAACUCUAGCAAGUUGUUCAUCAAGAAAUUCACCUAAUGGCAAAGUAGUAUCACGCACAGAAGUAGUUUCAUCAUGCAUAACAGAAGUGGCAUCAUCAAUAACAUGCGACAUAUCAGAAUUCAUAGCAGUAGUAGGUUUAGGUGUCGCAAGCCUACUAAUAACGGAAGGAGAAUCUAGUGUAGAGCUAGAUGGCAGUUCCUUACCUCCCCUCGUAGUUGAGGGCAAAAUCUUUGUCUUAGCGUCUUUCAAGUUCUUCAUAGUGAUCAACAGAUAUAAGUCCCAAGCGACUCAGAGAAUAGGGCUAUGCUCCUCGGCAACGGCGCCAGAAAUUAGUCUUGAUAACCCACAAGUGUAGGGGAUCGCAACAGCUUUCGAGGGUAAAGUAUUCAACCCAAAUUAUUGAUUCGACACAAGGGAAGCCAAAGAAUAUUCUUGAGUAUUAGUAGUUGAGUUGUCAAUUCAACCACACCUGGAUAAUUUAGUAUCUGUAGCAAAGUAUUUAGUAGCAAAAGUGGUAUGAUAAUAAAGGUAACGCUAGCAAAAGUAAAGAUAAAUGUUUUUGGGGUUUUGUAGUAGUUGUAACAGUAGCAACGGAAAAGUAAAUAAGCGAAGAACAAUAUGUGAAAAGCUCGUAGGCAAUGGAUCAGUGAUGGAUAAUUAUGCCAGAUGCGAUUCCUCAUGCAAUAGUUAUAACAUAGGGUGCUAUAGAACUAGCUCCAAUUCAUCAAUGUAAUGUAGGCAUGUAUUCCGUAAAUAGUCAUACGUGCUUAUGGAAAAGAACUUGCAUGACAUCUUUUGUCCUAUCCUCCCGUGGAAGCGGGGUCCUAGCGGUAACUAAGGGAUAUUAAGGCCUCCUUUUAAUAGAGAACCGGAACAAAGCAUUAGCACAUAGUGAAUACAUGAACUCCUCAAACUACGGUCAUCACCGAGAAGUAUCCCGAUUAUUGUCACUUCGGGGUUGUCGGAUCAUAACACAUAAUAGGUGACUAUAGACUUGCAAGAUAGGAUCAAGAACACACAUAUAUUCAUGAAAACAUAAUAGGUUCAGAUCUGAAAUCAUGGCACUCGGACCCUAGUGACAAGCAUUAAGCAUAGCAAAGUCAUCGCAACAUCAAUCUCAGAACAUAGUGGAUACUAGGGAUCAAACCCUAACAAAACAAACUUGAUUACAUGGUAAAUCUCAUCCAACCCAUCACCGUCCAACAAGCCUACGAUGGAAUUACUCACGCACGGCGGUGAGCAUCAUGAAAUUGGUGAUGGAGGAUGGUUGAUGAUGACGACGGCGACGAAUCCCCCUCUCUGGAGCCCCGAACGGACUCCGGAUCAGCCCUCCCGAGAGAGAUUAGGGCUUGGAGGCGGCUCCGUGUCGUAAAAUGCGAUGAAACUUCCUCUCUUGAUUUUUUCUCCCUGAGACGGAAUAUAUGGAGUUGGAGUUGAGGUCGGUGGAGGUCCAGGGGGGCCAGAAGAUAGGAGGCCGCGCCCUAGGGGGGCGCCCCCCCUAUCUCGUGGACAGCCUGUGGGCCCCCUGGCAUUGAUUCUUUCGCCAAAAAUUCUUAUUAAUUCCAAAAAGUGCCUCCGUGGAUUUCCAAGACAUUCCGAGAACUUUUCUUUUCUACACAUAAAACAACAUCAUGGUAGUUCUGCUCAAAACAGUGUCAAUCCGGGUUAGUUUAUUCAAAUCAUGCAAGUUAGAGUCCAAAACAAGGGCAAAAGUGUUUAGAAAAGUAGAUGCGUUGGAGACGUAUCACCGAACAUAGUUUGGCCGAGAGUCUCCUGACAAAGAGAGGGAUUUUAAGGAGUUCAGCACGUCGCCAAAGGGCGAGUGCUGGAAGAUAUUCGCGGCGGUGAACUCCAUUAUCGGAGCCCAACCAGAUUCGGCGGGCUUAGAGGCGCGCAGACUGGAACCUACAACCGGGUACGAGUCCGGUGGUCUGGUGUCACAGGCUUCCUUGAAGGUGAAGUCUGUGUUCGUCUCUACCGCCGAUGAGUGUGUGGCCUCUGGGGCGGGGUCCAUCCACCCGUCCUUGGGCAACGUAGUCUGCUCCAGAUUUAGGCCUGGGGCUACUGCAGGGGUGAUAUCCCGAGCAUUGUCCGACAGCAGGUCUAAGCCAUGCUCAUCGUGACUGUCUGGCGCUCCUGGCACAGGUCCGAAUCCGUUGAGGAUCAAGUCUCCACGGAUAUCUGCCGUGUAGUUCAAGUUUACGAACCUGUCCUGGUGGCCAGGGGCGCAUCUGCCGAUCUGCUCCACAUGGCCAAGCGAAUUAGCCCACAGUGCGAAGCCGCCGAACAUGAAGAUCUGUUCGGGGAGAAAAGUCUCACCCUGGACCGUGUCGUUGUUGAUGAUUGGAGGAGCCAUCGAGCCUUGCAGCGACGACACAGAGGAACUCUCGAUGAAAGAACCAAUGUCGGUGUCAAAACCGGCGGAUCUCGGGUAGGGGGUCCCGAUCUGUGUGUCUUAGGCUAAUGGUAACAGGAGGCAAGGGACACAAUGUUUACCCAGGUUCAGGCCCUCUCAAUGGAGGUAAAACCCUACUUCCUGCGUGAUUGAUAUUGAUGAUAUGAGUUGUACAAGAGUUGAUCUACCACGCGAUCGUAGAGGCUAAACCCUAGAAGCUAGCCUAUGCUGAUUAUGAUUGUGAUCGUCCCUCUAAGGACUAAACCCUCCGGUUUAUAUAGACACCGGAGGGGUCUAGGGUUUACCCGGAGUCGGUUACAAAGAAGAAAACAUAAUAUCCGAAUCGCCAAGCUUGUCUUCCACGCAAAGGAGAGUCCUAUCCGGACACGGGACGAAGUCUUGAGUCUUGUAUCUUCACGGUCCUACAGUCCGGCUAAAGUAUAUAGUCCGGCAGUCCGGAUACCACCUAAUCCAGGACUCCCUCAGCCGCCGCCAUUCCCCGAUGACCGUCGUCGCCCACCACUGCCGUUCCUCCUCCACUCAGGUAGUCCCUCCUCCCCUCCUCCCUCCUCCACCGGCCACCCCCUCCUGCCUCCCCACCGACCGCCCNNNNNNNNNNNNNNNNNNNNNNNNNNNNNNNNNNNNNNNNNNNNNNNNNNNNNNNNNNNNNNNNNNNNNNNNNNNNNNNNNNNNNNNNNNNNNNNNNNNNNNNNNNNNNNNNNNNNNNNNNNNNNNNNNNNNNNNNNNNNNNNNNNNNNNNNNNNNNNNNNNNNNNNNNNNNNNNNNNNNNNNNNNNNNNNNNNNNNNNNNNNNNNNNNNNNNNNNNNNNNNNNNNNNNNNNNNNNNNNNNNNNNNNNNNNUCUUGUAUAAUGUAAAAUUGUUUUGCUGUUUUUUAGUAAGUGUUUAAUAGAAUUAGUAAGAAAAUUAAUAAAACAAGUUGAACUAGUUUUUUAGUAAGAAUUAGUUUAUUUUUAUUUAUAGUAAGUGCUUAGUUGAACUCGUUGAAUUAGUAGAACUAUUUUAUUUUUAGUAAGAAAACUUAGGUAUAUGAGAUUUGAUGAUCUAAUUAAAAUGUUACUAUAGAACUAGUUUAUUUUUAGUAAGGACUAGUUUAUUUUUAGUAAGAACUAGUUUAUUUUUAUUUAUAGUAAGUGUUUAGUUGAAGUAGUUCAAUUAAUAGAACUAGUUUAUUUUUAGUAAGAAAAUUUAGGUUUGUGAGAUUUGAUGAUCUAAUCAAAAUUUUACUAUAGAAUUAGUUUAUUUUUAGUAAGAAAAUUAAUAGAACUAGUUUAUUUUUUUAGUUGAAGCAAUUAUUCCCGCAUCGAUGUCGACGAUGCCUAUCCCGCAUCCUCGUCGUCGACUGGAUGGAGGAGGCCUGCUUCAUCAGAGGGGCCAUGUCCGGGACUGGGCUCCGCCAGGCUGGUAGUGGGAUGUGCUACCUUCCGGGGGCGCGGCUUGGUGAGGAGCCAGCCUGUCGUUGACCCGAACCCUCUGUGGUGGCGGUCGCGUGAGCCAGUGACGGUGCGAAGGCUUGAGGACCCCGUGGAGGUGGUACGUCAUCGUGUCAGUGAGGAGGACAAGCACGUCCGUCGCUGCAUGGUUGCGUUGGAGGGCAGGUUCUCCAGUACCUGGUAGGUUCUUCAGGGGUCUCACUGAAGCUGUGAUCCUGUGAUGGUUCCUUCUCUUUGGGUGUCCACCGCCCGGGCCGAUACCCGUCGUUCGCUAGGGUUUUAGCUAUAUUAGUGAGGUUAUAUGUAUGAUACUAUUCGAGAUGUAUUAGUGAUAAUAUUCGACGAUGUACGGACACAAGAGAUGAUUUAGUGAAUGCAUGCUACUUUGAGUACUAAUUUAUUUUAUGAUUUAGUUUUGCUUAUUGAAUCCUCAAAUUGGAGAACUACUCCUAUUUUGAAUGCUCAAAUUGGAGAGCACUAUGCAAGGCGUAUGCAUUUGAUUGGUUGAUAGCUUAUAGGGUUUCACUAAGUCCUAAGAUGAGGAUAAUAAAGUUUUUAUUUAUAUUUUGUGUUUGCAGCCAAAUCUCCAUGUCGUCUUCGCUGUUGUCCCCUUCACGGACCCCCUCCGACCUCAAGGUGAGACCAGCCAAAUCUCCAUGUCAAUAUGAGUCCUAUAAGAUAUUUUGAAAUGUUUUUGUUCAUAUUUUCAACCAUUGAAAUGCAAUGACCAUCAAGUUUGAAUGCAAUGACCAUCAAGUUUGAAGGCAAAUAGGAUAUGUGCUUGCUCAAGUGGCCAUGUUUGCAGGUAAUACCUUCGAGUGGCCUAUGUUUCGCCGGAGUGUUGAUUAAUUUUUGUUCCGGCGAAUUUCAGGUGCUCGAUAUGUCCUUUUUUAGCAAAGUUCAUGCCGGAUUUUUCCAUGAAUUUUGGCAUGAAUUGUGCGAGAAUAUGUAGGAAAUAUCGAGUGGCCUGGAUUUUCUAGAAAGAUAGUUAAACGACAUUUUGGGUUGACUUUAAGUCUGUCGAGGCUCCAUACAUGACAAUCAAAAAAUGAGUGAGGGAGAAAGUAUGCACCAUAUAUGAGAGAGGAAGAAUCCCGACUGUUGUCGUGGCGGUCGUUUGUCCUUCUUCUCCUUGUCCUAUACCUUUGUUAUCCACUCGGGGAAGGAGGAGUAACGACCAUCACCGACGGUCGAAAAAUUAGUGGGGCAGUGUGUGUACACCAUAUAUGAGAGAGGAAGAAUGCCGACUGUUGUCAUGGGGGUCGCUUCUCCUUCGUUCCCUGUGCUAUACAUUUUGGUUUAAUGCACUCGGGGACAAAGGGAGGAGCGACCAUCACCAACGGUCGAAUAUAUACACCACGUGAGCUGAGAGUUUUCAAAAAAAGACUCGACGGACCGAUAGUCAACCCAUGCUGAAUAAUAAUUAUCUAAUUUAGUUUUUGUAGUACAUAUAUUGAAUUUUAGAAGUUUAAUCUUUGAAUUAUGAACAUCGGAAAUGUCGUCGGACGAUGAAAGUCUCGCGGAGUGCUCCUGGUGCGGCGACAACUAGGGUUUUUGCGACAUGCCUCACUUGGUAGAAGGUCGGUGCUUCAGCAUUAAACUCCAUGAGACAUCCGAUGUUGAAACGGUACGCAACGAUGCAAAGAGUUUUUUUCGUAAUUAAGCUCGACUUCUUCUUCUUCAACGUGUAAUUUUCGCCUUUUACAAUUCGACUAGCUUAUCCCAUGCCAUGCAAGACGCUAUGUCUUGGAGAGGAUGGAUUUUGAAGAUCAUGAAAAUAUGGAAACAAAGAUAGUUCACCUAAGGACCCAUCAUGGUUUUGAUUUCCUGUAAAUCUAUACAAUUAUAUGAGCGGAUCCCAUUUUGGAUGCCCAAAUUGGGACGCACUUUGCAAGGCAUAUGAUUUCCAUGAGGGUAUGCUUGUCACCAUGGAUCCUCAUGAGCCUGACAUCGAGGAAGACAAUAUGAACAUUUGGGUCCUUGUUGAAUACGCUUCCAAUUCUACCGCUAUGUGAGUUUCUCAAACAUAGUUAUUAAGUAAUUUAUAUUGUUUAUUUCAAAAUAGUUGACAGCUUAUUUCCAUUGAUAGCUUAUUUUCAUUCUUCAAAGAAUAUGCGAAAGAUGCUAGACAUAACCUACUACACCGAUGGCGCGGAAUUAACUUAUCAGGAGAAAAAUCAUCUAAUCUCGGUUAUUAAUGAUCUUGAGAUUUACAAUAUCUAUAAUCAAACUCCUGCGCAGUAUGGUCAAUACGUGCCACUAGUGCACGUGUUGAACUACGGUAACAUCCAUGGAGAUGGCAUGGUAAGAUUUUUUUACUAUUACGACAUCCGUGCAUCUUUUGCAUAAAUUCUUCUAAAACUAAACUACAUUGCUAACUACGAAGUUAUUACUAUGUUUUUCAACAGAAAAUCCUGAAGGAUUGUGUGCCUCAUCUAAUGUUUCCGAAAGGUCGCCUUGAUGUUAUGAGCUUACAGCCAGGUCAUCCUACGCAUCACAGUUGUUCAUACCAGAUUUCUAAAACUGAUGAAGACAUGACAAUCAAAGAUUGGAAACAAUGUAUGGUCAGUCGUAGGGAGGUACUUGGAAGCAACAUUGUGCGACGCGCAAGAGUUGGAGAUAGGAUAAUCUCGAUUCUCCAUAAUGGAGAGUCAGGGCCUAUCUUCUUUUAUCCUAUUUUACCUAAGAGAGUGUAGUAGGUCCUAUCAGAGAGGAGUAGGUCCGGUACAAUGUGUUAUUAUGUGGUACAAUGUGUUAGAGUUGAUGAGGAGGAGGAGGAGGACUUGUGAUUAUGACUAGUGACCAACUUGCUAUAUGAUGUCUCAUGAAAAUGAUGAUCAUGAGGAGGUGUUAUAUGAUGGUAAGUUGUUAAUGAUAUGAUGGUGAUGAUGAUAUUUAUUAUAUCAUUGGGUGAAAGAACCGCUGAUUAGUUUCAAGUGGAUGUCCAUCCACUUGAAACUAGUCCAUGAUUCUUUCACCCAGUGAUGUAAUAACUCAUUAUGACGUAAAAACAAUCUCUAAAUUGCUACUAUGAAAACUUGUAUAAAGGUGUAUGAAUACAACAUGAAAUAAAAAAUAAAUAGAAUACGGAAUAAUAGUAGUAGCGUGGGCUACGAGAAGCGCUACUAGUAAUUACCAGUAGCGUUGUCACCCACGCUGAUGGUAGGCCAAAAACCCGCUCUACUGCUAGACUUUCCCUAGUAGUGUAGACCUCGCUGUGAGCCCUUCGGAUGACGCCCCCUCGGGUCCGUCGCCCCUGCUUCGGCUUCACCGCUACUUGUGGCUGCUCCCGCGGGUCUUGACUCGGUGUCACCACCACCUACGGCUGGUUACACGGGUCCUCUCACCUGCGCACACGCUGGGGUCUUUCGUCCGAGCUUGCGGUAUGCUCCAGAUGAGUAUGUCUGCACAACAUCCACUUCCGCGCCUUCGCCCUUGCCGGCCUCUGCCCUGGUGGCACUUUGCAACCCUCUUUGGUUCGCUGCAAUGCAGGAGGAUUUUGAUGCAAUGCAGCGAAAUCGGACUUGGCAGCUUGUCCAACGACCUCGGCACACUAAGAUCAUCACCGGGAAGUAGGUCUUGAAGCACAAGCUCUGACUAGAUGAUACACUUGACUGCUAUAAUGCAUGUUGGGUGGUUUGUGGCUUCCGACAACAUGCAGGCAUCGACUUCAUUGACACUUUCACCCCAGUUGUCAAAUCAGGGACGAUUUGCACUGUUCUUCAGCUUGCGGUGUCAGCGGCCCAUGGGGUUCGUUCAUAUGGCACACCCGGAUCAUUCAUGCCUGCUUUCGUGCUCCUUAUAUGGGCUCAAGCAAGCUCCAUGCGCCUGGUAGCAGCGCAUCGCAACGUUUCUUCACUGACUCGGCUUCUGAUCUACACACUCUGAUGCUUUGUUGUUUAUCUAUCACUAGGGCCCUAACAGAGCUUAUCUGCUCCUCAACAUCGACGACAUCAUCCUGGCAGCAUGCACGACUGGUCUUCUUCAAUGGCUCACUGGUGAUCUUUGCGUUGGGUUUGCCAUCAAGGGCUUGGGUCAUUUGCCCUACUUCCUCGGGGUCAAGGUGGUGCGUCGUUCGGAUGGCUUCUUUCUUCACUAGUGGAAGUAUGCUCAUGAGAUCCUUUACCGUGCUGGGAUGCUUAAUUGCAAACUUGCGGCCACGCCUAUCGAUACGAAGGCCAAGCUCUCUACCACUAAUGUGUCCCCUGCUACGGAUGGUUCAUUUAAUCGGUCUAUUGUUGGUGCUCUUCAGUACCUUACACUUAGUUACACGACCGGUGCUGUAGUAUGUUGUUCAGCAUGUGUGUUUUCAUAUGCAUGUUCCACACGAUGCUCACUAGACUUUAGUGAAGCGGAUUAUUCAAUAUAUCUGUGGCACUGAUGUCUACUACACAACCAUCUUCUUGUAGACGGUGUUGGGCCUCCAAGUGCAGAGGUUUGUAGGAAAGUAGAAAAUUUCCCUCAAGUGGAUGACCUAAGGUUUAUCAAUAUGUGGGAGGCGUAGGAUGAAGAUGGUCUCUCUCAAGCAACCCUGCAACCAAAUAACAAAGAAACUCUUGUGUCCCCAACACACCUAAUACAAUGGUAAAUGGUAUAGGUGCACUAGUUCGGUGAAGAGAUGGUGAUACAAGUGCAAUCUGGAUGGUAGAUAUAGGUUUCCGUAAUCUGAAAAUAUAAAAACAGCAAGGUAACUAACGAUAAAAGUGAGCACAAAGGAUAUUACAAUGCAAGGAAACAAGGCCUAGGGUUCAUACUUUCACUAGUGCAAGUUCUCUCAACAAUAAUAACAUAACUGGAUCAUAUAACUAUCCCUCAACAUGCAACAAAGAGUCACUCCAAAGUCACUAAUGGCGGAGAACAAACGAAGAGAUUAUUGUAGGGUACGAAACCACCUGAAAGUUAUCCUUUCUGAUCGAUCUAUUCAAGAGUUCGUAGUAAAAUAACACGAAGCUAUUCUUUCCAUUCGAUCUAUCAUAGAGUUCGUGCUAGAAUAACACCAUAACACACAAAUCAACCAAAACCCUAAUGUCACCUAGAUACUCCAAUGUCACCUCAAGUAUAUGUGGGCAUGAUUAUACGAUAUGCAUCACACAAUCUCCGAUUCAUCUAUUAAACCAACACAAAGUACUUCAAAGAGUGCCCCAAAGUUUCUACCGGAGAAUUAAGACGACAACGUGUGCCAACCCCUAUGCAUAAGUUCACAAGGUCACUGAACCCGCAAGUUGAUCACCAAAACAUGGAUCAAGUGAAUCAUGUGAUAUCCCAUUGUCACCACAGAUAAGCACAUGCAAGACAUACAUAAGUGUUCUCAAAUCCUUAAAGACUCAAUCCGAUAAGAUAACUUCAAAGGGAAAACUCAAUCCAUUACAAGAGAGUAGAGGGGAGAAACAUCAUAAGAUCCAACUAUAAUAGCAAAGCUCGCGAUACGUCAAGAUCGUACCACCUCAAGAACAUGAGAGAGAGAGAGAGAUCAAACACAUAGCUACUGGUACAUACCCUCAGCCCCGAGGGUGAACUACCCCCUCCUCGUCAUGGAGAGCGCCAGGAUGAUGAAGAUGGCCACCGGGGAGGGAUCCCCCCUCCGGCAGGGUGCCGGAACAGGGUCCCGAUUGGUUUUUGGUGGCUACAGAGGCUUGCGGCGGCGGAACUCCCGAUCUAUGGUGCUCCUCGAUGUUUUCGGGGUAUAUGGACAUAUAUGUUGUGGAACAUAGCAGAAAUUCAAAAUUUUCUACGCAUCACCAAGAUCAAUCUAUGGAGAGACUAGCAACGAGAGAGAGGGGAGUGCCUCUUCAUACCCUUGAAGAUUGCGAUGUGGAAGCGUUACAAGAACGCGGAUGAGGGAGUCGUACUCGCGGCGAUUCAAAUCGCAGAAGAUCCGAUCUAACGCCGAACGGACGGCGCCUCCGCGUUCAACACACGUGCAGCCCGAUGACGUCUCUCGUGCCUUGAUCCAGCAAGGGGAGAGGGAGAGGUUGGGGAAGACUCCGUCCAGCAGCAGCACGACGGCGUGGUGGUGGUGGAGUAGCAUGGCACUCCAGUAGGGCUUCGCCAAGCACCGCAAGAGACGAGGAGGGAGAGGGGUAGGGCAGCGCCAAGAGGGAGAGAAUAACUCAUGUGUUGGGCAGCCCCUAGACCUCAACUAUAUAUAGGGGAGGGGAGGGGGCUGCGCCCCCUCUAGAGUUCCCACCCCAAGAGGUGCGGCAGCCCCAGAUCCCAUCUAGGGUGGCGGCCAAAAGGGGAGAGGGGGAGGCACACCUGGGGUGGGCCUUAGGGCUCAUCUGCCCUAGGGUUUUGUCCCCCCUCUUCUCUUGAGGCGCCUUGGGCCUUGGUGGGGGCACCCCAGCCCACCUAGGGGCUGGUCCCCUCCCACACUUGGCCCACGCAGCCCUCUGGGGCCGGUGGCCCCACCUGCUGGACCCCCGGGACCCUCCCGGUGGUCCUGGUACGUUACCGAUAGCACCCAAAACUUUUCCGGUGACCAAAACAGGACUUCCCAUAUAUAAAUCUUUACCUCCGGACCAUUCCGGAACUCCUCGUGACGUCCGGGAUCUCAUCCGGGACUCCGAACAACAUUCGGUAACCACGUACUACAUUCCCUUAUAACCCUAGCGUCAUCGAACCUUAAGUGUGGAGACCCUACGGGUUCGGGAACCAUGUAGACAUGACCGAGACAACUCUCCGGCCAAUAACCAACAGCGAGAUCUGGAUACCCAUGUUGGUUCCCACAUGUUCCACGAUGAUCUCAUCGGAUGAACCACGAUGUCAAGGAUUCAAUCAAUCCCGAAUACAAUUCCCUUUGUCUACCGGUAUAGUACUUGCCCGAGAUUCGAUCGUCGGUAUACCGAUACCUUGUUCAAUCUCGUUAUGGCAAGUCUCUUUACUCGUUCUGUAACACAUCAUCCCGUGAUCAACUCCUUUGAUCACAUUGUGCACAUUAUGAUGAUGUCCUACUGAGUGGGCCCAGAGAUACCUCUCCGUCACACGGAGUGACAAAUCCCAGUCUUGAUUCGUGCCAACCCAACAGACACUUUCGAAUAUACCUAUAGUGCACCUUUAUAGCCACCCAGUUACGUUGUGACGUUUGGUACACCCAAAGCACUACUACGGUAUCCGGGAGUUGCACAAUCUCAUGGUCUAAGGAAAUGAUACUUGACAUUUAGAAAAGCUUUAGCAAAACGAACUACACAAUCUUGUGCUAUGCUUAGGAUUGGGUCUUGUCCAUCACAUCAUUCUCCUAAUGAUGUGAUCCCGUUAUCAAUGACAUCCUAUGUCCAUGGUCAGGAAACCAUAACCAUCUAUUGAUCAACGAGCUAGUCAACUAGAGGCUCACUAGGGACAUGUUGUGGUCUAUGUAUUCACACAUGUAUUACGGUUUCCAGUUAAUACAAUUAUAGCAUGAACAAUAGACAAUUAUCAUGAACAAGGAAAUAUAAUAAUAACCAUUUUAUUAUUGCCUCUAGGGCAUAUUUCCAACAGUCUCCCACUUGCACUAGAGUCAAUAAUCUAGUUCACAUCAUUAUGUGAUUGCAUUGAAUCCAACACCCAUGAUGUUUGAUCAUAUCUCGCUUGUGAGAGAGGUUUAUUAGUCAACGGGUCUGAAUCUUUCUGAUCCGUGUGUGCUCUACAAAUCUCUAUGUCAUCUCCUAGAUGUAGCUACCAUGCUCUAUUUGGAGCUAUUCCAAAUAACUGUUCUACUAUACGAUCCCGGUUUACUACUCGGAGUCAUCCGGAUUAUUGUCAAAGUUUGCAUCGACACUAGUUACUAAGAUUAAGUUUGACCGCUGUCAUGUGAUCCAUUCUUGGAUCACUCUUGUACCCCUUGACUGACUCAAGGCACACUUCAGGUGCGGUACAUAGCACAGCAUACUGUAGAGCCUAUUUCUGAAGCAUAGGGGACGACUUUCGUCCAUUCUCUCUCUUCUGCCGUGGUCAGGUCUUGAGUCUUACUCAAUACUCACACCUUAUAACACAGCCAAGAACUCCUUCUUUGCCGAUCUAUUUUGAACUCCUUCAAAAACUUGUCAUGGUGCAUACUCAUUUGAAAGUACUAUCAAGCGAUUUUGAUCUAUCCUUAUAGAUCUUGAUGCUCAAUGUUCAAGUAGCUUAAUCUAGGUUUUCCAUUAAAAACACUUUUCAAAUAACCCUAUAUGCUUUCCAGAAAUUCUAUACCAUUUCUGAUCAACAAUAUGUCAACAACAUAUUCUCAUCAGAAAUUUUAUAGUGCUCCCACUCACUUCUUUGGAAAUACAAGUUUCUCAUAAACUUUGUAUAAACCCAAAAUCUUUGAUCAUCUCAUCAAAGCGUAUACUCCAACUCUGAGAUGCUUACUCCGGUCCUUAGAAGGAUUGCUGGAGCUUUGCAAACUUGUUAGCAUCUUUCAGGAUUGACAAAACCUUUUGGUUUUAUCACAUACAAACUUUCCUCAAGAAAAACGUCGAGGAAACAAUGUUUUUUGACAUCCUAUCUGCAAGAUUUCAUAAAUAAUGCAGUAACUGCUAAUAUAAUUCCAAUAUACUCUUAGCAUCGCUACGAUUGAGAAAGUCUCAUCGUAGUCAACUCCUUGAACUUGUCGAAAAACAUCUUAGCGACAAGUCGAGCUUUCUUAAUGGUGACACUUACCAUCAUUGUCUGUCUUCCUUUUAAAAUCCAUCUGUACUCAACAGCCUUACGAUCAUCGAGUAGUUCUUCCAAAGUCUAUACUUUGUUUACAUGGAUCCUCUCUCGGAUUUUAUGGCCUCGAGCCAUUCGUCGGAAUCCGGGUCCACCAUCGCUACUCCAUAGCUCGUAGGUUCAUUGUUGACUAGCAACAUGACCUCCAAGACAGGAUUAAGUACCUCUCUGAAGUAGUAUGCAUCCUCGUCGACCUACGAGGUUUGGUAGUGACUUGAUCUGAAGUUUCAUGAUCACUAUCAUUAGCUUCCACUUCAAUUGGUGUAGGCGCCAUAGGAACAACUUCCUGUGCCCUGCUACACACUAGUUGAAGUGAUGGUUCAAUAACCUCAUCAAGUCUCCACCAUCCUCCCACUCAAUUCUUUCAAGAGAAACUUUUCCUCGUGAAAGGACCCGAUUCUGGAAACAAUCCCUUUUGCUUUCGGAACUGAGACAGGAGGUAUACCCAACUGUUUUGGGUGUCCUAUGAAGAUGCAUUUAUCUGCUUUGGGUUCGAGCUUAUCAGGCUAACACCUUUCACAUAAGCGUCGCAGCCCCAAACUUUUAAGAAACGACAGCUUAGGUUUCUCUAAACAAUAGUUCAUACGGCGUCAUCUCAAUGGAAUUACGUGGUGCCCUAUUUAAAGUGAAUGUGGUUGUCUCUAAUGCCUAACCCAUAAAUGAUAGUGGUAAUUCGAUAAGAUACAUCAUGGUAUGCACCAUAUCCAAUAGGGUGCAGUUAUGAUGUUCGGGCACACCAUCACACUAUGGUGUUCCAGGCGGUAUUGGUUGUGAAACAAUUUCCACAAUGUCUUAAUUGUAUGCCAAACUCGUAACUCAGAUACUCAUCUCUAUGAUCAUAUCAUAGACAUUUUUAUCCUCCUAUCACGACGAUCUCCAACUUCACUCUGAAAUUACUUGAACCUUUCAAUAAUUCAGAUUUGUGUUUCAUCAAGUAAAUAUACUCAGUAUCUACUCAAAUCAUCUGUGAAGUAAGUACAUAACGAUAUCCACUGCGUGCCUCAGCACUCAUUGGACUGCACACAUCAAAAUGUAUUACUUCCAACAAGUUGCUUUCACGUUCCAUCUUACUGAAACCGAGGCUUUCAGUCAUCUUGCCCAUGUGUUAUGAUUUGCAUGUCUCAAGUGAUUCAAAAUCAAGUGAGUCCAAACGGUCCAUCGGCAUGGAGUUUCUUCAUGCGUAUAUACCAACAUACAUGGUUCACAAGUCUCAACCUUUUCAAAAACGAGUGAGUCCAAAAAUCCAUCAACAUGGAGCUUCUUCAUGCGUUUUAUACCAAUAUGACUCAAAUGGCAGUGCCACAAGUAGGUGGCACUAUAUCAUUACUAUCUUAUAUCUUUUGGCAUGAACAUGUGUAUCACUAUGAUCGAGAUUCAAUAAACCAUUCUUUUUAGGUGCAAGACCAUUGAAGGUAUUAUUCAAAUAAACAGAGUAACCAUUAUUCUCCUUAAAUGAAUAACCGUGUUGCGAUAAACAUAAUCCAAUCAUGUCUAUGCUCAACGCAAACACCAAAUGACAAUUAUUUAGGUUUAACACCAAUCUCGAUGGUAGAGGGAGCGUGCGAUGCUUGAUCACAUCAACCUUGGAAACACUUCCAACACAUAUCGUCAGCUCACCUUUAGCUAGUCUCCGUUUUUUCCGUAGCUUUUAUUUCGAGUUACUAACACUUAGCAACCGAACCGGUAUCUAAUACCCUGGUGCUACUAGGAGUACUAGUAAACUACACCUUAACAUAAUGUAUAUCCAAUAUACUUCUAUCGACCUUGCCAGCCUUCUCAUCUACCAAGUAUCUAGGGUAGUUCCACUUCAGUGACCGUCCCCCUUAUUUCAGAAGCACUUAGUCUCGGGUGGGUUCAAACUUUGGGUUUCUUCACUAGAGCAGCAACUGAUUUGCCCUUUCAUGAAGUAUCCCUUCUUGCCCUUGCCCUUCUUGAAACUAGUGGUUUCACUAACCAUCAACAAUUGAUGCUCCUUCUUGAUUUCUACUUUCGCGGUGUCAAACAUCGCGAAUAUUUCAAGGAUUAUCAUAUUUAUCCCUGAUAUGUUAUAGUUCAUCACGAAGCUCUAGUAGCUUCGUGGAAAUGACUUUGGAGAAACAUCACUAUCUCAUCUGGAAGAUUAACUCCCACUCGAUUCAAGUGAUUGUUGUACUCAGACAAUCUGAGCACAAGCUCAACGAUUGAGCUUUUCUCCCUCAGUUUUCAGGCUAAGAAACUCAUCAGAGGUCUUAUACCUCUUGACGUGGGCACGAGCCUGAAAUCCCAAUUUCAGCUCUUGGAACAUCUCAUAUGUUCCGUGACGUUUUAAAAUGUCUUCGGUGCCUCAAUUCUAAACCGUUUAACAUUACUGAACUAUCAUGUAGUUAUCAAAACGUGUAUGUCAAAUGUUCGCAACAUCCACAGGCGACGUUCAAGGUUCAGCACACCGAGCGGUGCAUUUAGAGCAUAAGUCUUCUACGAAGCUACGAGGACAAUCCUCAGUUUACGGACCUAGUCCGCGUAAUUGCUACUAUCAACUUUCAACUGAAUUUUCUCUAGGAACAUAUCUAAAACAGUAGAACUAAAGCGUGAGCUAUGACAUAAUUUGCAAAAACCUUUUGACUAUGUUCAGGAUAAUUAAGUUCAUCUUAUGAACUCCCACUCAGAUAGACAUCCCUCUAGUCAUCUAAGUGAUACAUGAUCCAAGUCAACUAGGCCGUGUCCGAUCAUCACGUGAGACGGACUAGUCAUCAUCGGUGAACAUCUUCAUGUUGAUCGUAUCCACUAUACGACUCAUGUUCGACCUUUCGGUCUCUUGUGUUCUGAGGCCAUGUCUGUACAUGCUAUGCUCGUCAAGUCAACCUAAGUGUUUUGCGUGUGUAAAUCUAGCUUACACUCGUUGUAUGUGAACGUUAGAAUCUAUCACACCCGAUCAUCACGUGGUGCUUUGAAACAACGAACUUUCGCAACGGUGCACAGUUAGGGGGAACACUUUCUUGAAAUUAUUAUGAGGGAUGAUCUUAUUUACUACCGUCGUUCUAAGAAAAUAAGAUGCAUAAACAUGAUAAACAUCACAUGCAAUCAAAUAGUGACAUGAUAUGGCCAAUAUCAUUUUGCUCCUUUUGAUCUCCAUCUUCAGAGCUCCAUGAUCAUCAUCGUCACUGGCAUGACACCAUGAUCUCCAUCAUCGUGUCUUCAUGAAGUUGUCUCGCCAACUAUUACUUCUACUACUAUGGCUAACGGUUAGCAAUAAAGUAAAGUAAUUACAUGGCGUUAUUAUUGAUACGCAGGUCAUACAAUAAAUAAGACAACUCCUAUGGCUCCUGUCGGUUGUCAUACUCAUCGACAUGCAAGUCGUGAUUCCUAUUACAAGAACAUGAUCAAUCUCAUACAUCACAUAUAUCAUUCAUCACAAUCUUUUGGCCAUAUCACAUCACAUAGCAUACCCUGCAAAAACAAGUUAGACGUCCUCUAAUUAAUGUUGCAUCUUUUACGUGGCUGCUAUGGGUUUCUAGCAAGAACGUUUCUUACCUACGCAAAGCCACAACGGUGAUAUGCCAAUUGCUAUUUACCCUUCAUAAGGACCCUUUUCAACGAAUCCGAUCUGACUAAAGUGGGAGAGACUGGCACCCGCUAGCCACCUUAUGCAACAAGUGCAUGUCAGUCGGUGGAACCUGUCUCACGUAAGCGUACGUGUAAGGUCGGUCUGGGCCGCUUCAUCCCACAAUGCCGCCGAAUCAAGAUAGGACUAGUAACGGUAAGCAAACUGUACAAACCAUCACCCACAACUACUUGUGUUCUACUCGUGCAAAGAAUCUACGCAAUAAACCUGGUCUGAUACCACUGUUGGGGAACGUAGCAGAAAUUCAAAAUUUUCUACGCAUCACCAAGAUCAAUCUAUGGAGAGACUAGCAACGAGAGAGAGGGGGGUGCAUCUUCAUACCCUUGAAGAUCGCGAUGCGGAAGCGUUACAAGAACGCGGAUGAGGGAGUCGUAUUCGCGGCGAUUCAAAUCACGGAAGAUCCGAUCUAACGCCGAACGGACGGCGCCUCCGCGUUCAACACACAUGCAGCCCGAUGACGUCUCCCGUGCCUUGAUCUAGCAAGGGGAGAGGGAGAGGUUCGGGAAGACUCCAUCCAGAAGUAGCACGACAGCGUGGUGGUGGUGGAGGAGCGUGGCACUCUAGCAGGGCUUCACCAAGCACCGCAAGAGACGAGGAGGAAGAGGGGUAGGGCUGCGCCAAGAGGGAGAGAAUAAGUCAUGUGUUGGGCAGCCCCUAGACCUCAACUAUAUAUAGGGGAGGGGAGGUGGCUGCGCCCCCUCUAGGGUUCCCACCCCAAGGGGUGCGGCAGCCCCAGAUCCCAUUUAGGGUGGCGGCCAAAAGGGGAGAGGGGGAGGCACACCUCGGGUGGGCCUUAGGGCUCAUCUGCCCUAGGGUUUUGUCCCCCCUCUUCUCUUGAGGCGCCUUGGGCCUUGGUGGGGGGCGCCCCAGCCCACCUAGGGGCUGGUCCCCUCCCACACUUGGCCCACGCAGCCCUUUGGGGCCGGUGGCCCCACCUGGUGGACCCCCGGGUCCCUCCCGGUGGUCCCGGUACGUUACCGAUAGCACCCGAAACUUUUCCGGUGACCAAAACAGGACUUUCCAUAUAUAAAUCUUUACCUCCGGACCAUUCCGGAACUCCUCGUGACGUCCGGGAUCUCAUCCGGGACUCCGAACAACAUUCGGUAACCACGUACUACAUUCCCUUAUAACCCUAGCAUCAUCGAACCUUAAGUGUGUAGACCCUACUGGUUCGGGAACCAUGUAGACAUGACUGAGACAACUCUCCGACCAAUAACCAACAGCGGGAUCUGGAUACCCAUGUUGGUUCCCACAUGUUCCACGAUGAUCUCAUCGGAUGAACCACGAUGUCAAGGAUUCAAUCAAUCCCAUAUACAAUUCCCUUUGUCUACCGGUAUAGUACUUGCCCGAGAUUCGAUCGUCGGUAUACCGAUACCUUGUUCAAUCUCGUUAUGGCAAGUCUCUUUACUCGUUCUGUAACACAUCAUCCCGUGAUCAACUCCUUUGAUCACAUUGUGCCUUUAUGAUGAUGUCCUACCGAGUGGGCCCAGAGAUACAUCUCCGUCACACAGAAUGACAAAUCCCAGUCUCGAUUCAUGCCAACCCAACAGACACUUUCGGAGAUACCUGUAGUGCACCUUUAUAGCCACCCAGUUACUUGUGACGUUUGGUACACCCAAAGCACUCCUACGGUAUCCGGGAGUUGCACAAUCUCAUGGUCUAAGGAAAUGAUACUUGACAUUUAGAAAAGCUUUAGCAAAACAAACUACACGAUCUUGUGCUAUGCUUAGGAUUGGGUCUUGUCCAUCACAUCAUUCUCCUAAUGAUGUGAUCCCGUUAUCAAUGACAUCCUAUGUCCGUGGUCAGGAAACCAUAACCAUCUAUUGAUCAACGAGCUAGUCAACUAGAGGCUCACAAGGGACAUGUUGUGGUCUAUGUAUUCACACAUGUAUUACGGUUUCCAGUUAAUACAAUUAUAGCAUGAACAAUAGAAAAUUAUCAUGAACAAGGAAAUAUAAUAAUAACCAUUUUAUUAUUGCCUCUAGGGCAUAUUUCCAACAAUAUAUAGGUGAAAGAAGUCGGUCAGGGGAGGCACGAGGGGCCCACGAGGGUGGGGGGCGCGCCCAGGGCGGUAGGGCGCAGCCUGGACCCUCAUGGCCACCUUGAAGCUUCCCUGACGUCUACUCCAAGUCUCCUGGAUUGAUUCAGUUCCAAAAAUAACUCUCCCGAAGGUUUCAUUCCAUUUGGACUCUGUUUGAUAUUCCUUUUCUUCGAAACACUGAAAUAGGCAAGAAAACAGCAAUUUGGGCUGGGCCUCCGGUUAAUAGGUUAGUCCCAAAAAUGAUAUAAAAGUGUAUAGUAAAGGCCAUAAACAUCCAAAACAGGUAAUAUAAUAGCAUGGAACAAUCAAAAAUUAUAGAUACGUUGGAGAUGUAUCAAGCAUCCCGAAGCUUAUUUCCUGCUCGUCCUCGAGUAGGUAAAUGAUAAAAACAGAAUUUUUGAUGUGGAAUGCUACCUAGCAUAUUUCCCAAUGUAAUUUUCUUUAGUGUGGCAUGAAUGUUCAGAUCCAAAUGAUUCAAGAUAAAAGUUUAUAUUGACAUAAGAGUAAUAAUAUUUCAAGCAUACUAACAAAGUAAUCAUGUCUUCUCAAAAUAACAUGGCCAAAGAAAGUUUCUCCCUACAAAAUCAUAUAGUUAGGCUAUGUUUCAUUUUCGUUACACAAAAUAAUCCCAUCAUGCACAAGUUCGGUUUCAGACAAGCAAUUGGUUCAUACUUUUUAACGCGCUUUAGCUUUUUCAACUCUCACGCAAUACAUGAGCGUAAGCCAUGGAUAUAGCACUAUGGGUGGAAUAGAAUAUGAUGAUGGAGGUUGUGUGGAGAAGACAAAAAAGAAGAAAGUCUCACGUUGACGAGGCUAAUCAAUGGGCUAUGGAGAUGCCCAUCAAUUGAUGUCAACAUGAGGAGUAGGGAUUGCCAUGUAAUGGAUGCACUCGAGCUAUAAAUGUAUGAAAGCUCAACAAAAGAAACUAAGUGGGUGUGCAUCCAACUUGCUUUCUCAUGAAGACCUAGGGCAUUUUGAGGAAGCCCAUUGUUGGAAUAUACAAGCCAAGUUCUAUAAUGAAAAAUUCCCACUAGUAUAUGAAAGUGACAACAUAAGAGACUCUCUAUCAUAGUGAGCACAAACGAUAUUGCAAUGCUAGGAAACAAGGCCUAGGGUUCAUACUUUCACUAGUGCAAGUUCUCUCAACAAUAAUAACAUAACUGGAUCAUAUAGCUAUCCCUGAACAUGCAACAAAGAGUCACUCCAAAGUCACUAAUGGCGGAGAACAAACGAAGAGAUUAUUGUAGGGUACGAAACCACCUCAAAGUUAUCCUUUCUGAUCGAUCUAUUCAAGAGUCCAUAGUAAAAUAACACGAAGCUAUUCUUUCCGUUCGAUCUAUCAUAGAGUUCGUACUAGAAUAAUACCUGAAGACACAAAUCAACCAAAACCCUAAUGUCACCUAGAUACUCCAAUGUCACCUCAAGUAUCCGUUGGCAUGAUUAUACGAUAUGCAUCACACAAUCUCAGAUUCAUCUAUUCAACAAACACAAAGUACUUCAAUGAGUACCCCAAAGUUUCUACCGGAGAGUCAAGACGAAAAUGUGUGCCAACCCCUAUGUAUAAGUUCACAAGGUCACUGAACCCGCAAGUUGAUCACAAAAACAUACAUCAAGUGAAUCACGUGAUAUCCCAUUGUCACCACAGAUAAGCACAUGCAAGACAUACAUAAGUGUUCUCAAAUCCUUAAAGACUCAAUCCGACAAGAUAACUUCAAAGGGAAAACUCAAUCCAUUACAAGAGAGUAGAGGGGGAGAAACAUCAUAAGAUCCAACUAUAAUAGCAAAGCUCGCGAUACAUCAAGAUCAUACCACCUCAAGAACACGAGAGAGAGAGAGAGAGAGAGAGAGAGAGAGAGAGAUCAAACACAUAGCUACGGGUACAUACCCUCAGCCCUGAGGGUGAACUACUCCCUACUCGUCAUGGAGAGCGCCUUCAUGGAGAGCGCCGGAAUAUAACUAGCACAUUUGAGUCUAACCCACUUCCUAUGCAUAGCGAUUUUGUGAGCAAACAACUUAUGGGAACAAUAAUCAACUAGCAUAGGAAGGCAAAACAAGCAAAUCUUCAAGAUCUUCAACACGUGGAGAGGAAACUUGAUAUUAUUACAAUAUGUAGAAGCAUAUGAUCCUCUCUCAUAAUAAUUUUCAGUAGCAUCAUGAAUGAAUUCAACCAUAUAAUCAGCACAUAAAGCAUUCUUUUCAUGAUCUACUUGCAUAGAAAAUUUACUACUCUCCACAUAAGCAAAUUUCUUCUCAUGAAUAGUAGUGGGAGCAAACUCAACAAAAUAAUUAUCAUGUGAGGCAUAAUCCAAUUGAUUAAUAAAAUCAUGAUGACAAGUUUCAUGGUUAUAUUUAUUCUUUAUAGCAUACAUGUCAUCACAAUAAUCAUCAUAAAUAGGAGGCAUGUUAUCAUCAUAAUAAAUAUUCUCAUCAAAACUUGGGAGACUAAACAUACCAUCUUCAUCAAACAUAGCAUCCCCAAGCUUGUGGCUUUGCAUAUCAUUAGCAUCAUGGGUAUUCAAAUAAUUCAUACUAACAACAUUGCAAUCAUGCUCAUCAUUCAAAAUUUUAGUGCCAAACUUUUUAAUGCAUUCUUGUUCUAACACUUGGGCCCAAUUUUUCUUUCCAUCAUUUUCACGAAAGACAUUAAAAAGAUGAAGCAUAUGAGGCAACCUUAAUUCCAUUAUUUUUUGUAGUUUUCUUUUAUAAACUAAACUAACUAGUGAUAAAACAAGAAACUAAAAGAUUCGAUUGCAAGAUCUAAAGAUAUACCUUCAAGCACUCACCUCCCCGGCAACGGCGCUAGAAAAGAACUUGAUGUCUACUACACAACCUUCUUCUUGUAGAUGUUGUUGGGCCUCCAAGUGCAGAGGUUUGUGGGACAGUAGCAAAUUUCCCUCAAGUGGAUGACCUAAGGUUUAUCAACCCUGGGAGGCGUAGGAUGAAUAUGGUCUCUCUCAAGCAACCCUGCAACCAAAUAACAAAGAGUCUCUUGUGUCCCCAACACACCCAAUAUAAUGGUAAAUUGUAGAGGUGCACUAGUUUAGCGAAGAAAUGGUGAUACAAGUGCAAUAUGGAUGGUAGAUAUAGGUUUUUGUAAUCUGAAAAUAUAAAAACAGCAAGGUAACUAAUGAUAAAAGUGAGCAUAAACGAUAUUGCAAUGCUAGGAAACAAGGCCUAGGGUUCAUACUUUCACUAGUGCAAGUUCUCUCAACAAUAAUAACAUAACUGGAUCAUAUAACUAUCCCUCAACAUGCAACAAAGAGUCACUCCAAAGUCAGUAAUGGCGGAGAACAAACGAAGAGAUUAUUGUAGGGUACGAAACCACCUCAAAGUUAUCCUUUCCGAUCGAUCUAUUCAAGAGUCCGUAGUAAAAUAACAUGAAGCUAUUCUUUCCGUUCGAUCUACCAUAGAGUCCGUACUAGAAUAAUACCUUAAGACACAAAUCAACCAAAACCCUAAUGUCACCUAGAUACUCCAAUGUCACCUCAAGUAUCCGUUGGCAUGAUUAUACGAUAUGCAUCACACAAUAUCAGAUUCAUCUAUUCAACCAACACAAAGUACUUCAAUGAGUGCCCCAAAGUUUCUACCAGAGAUUCAAGACGAAAAUGUGUGCCAACCCCUAUGCAUAAGUUCACAAGGUCACUGAACUCGCAAGUUGAUCACCAAAACAUACAUCAAGUGAAUCACGUGAUAUCCCAUUGUCACCACAGAUAAGCACAUGCAAGACAUACAUAAGUGUUCUCAAAUCCUUAAAGACUCAAUCCGAUAAGAUAACUUCAAAGGGAAAACUCAAUCCAUUACAAGAGAGUAGAGGGGGAGAAACGUCAUAAGAUCCAACUAUAAUAGCAAAGCUCGCGAUACGUCAAGAUCGUACCACCUCAAGAACACGAGAGAGAGAGAGAGAGAGAGAGAGAGAGAGAUCAAACACAUAGCUACGGGUACAUACCCUCAGCCCCGAGGGUGAACUACUCCCUCCUCGUCAUCGAGAGCGCUGGGAUGAUGAAGAUGGCCACCGGGGAGGGAUCCCCCCUUCGGCAGGGUGCCGGAACAAGGUCCCGAUUGGUUUUUGGUGGCUAUAGAGGCUUGCGGCGGCGGAACUCCCGAUCUAUGGUGCUCCUUGAUGUUUUCGGGGUAUAUGGACAUAUAUAGGUGAAAGAAGUCGGUCAGGGGAGCCACGAGGGGCCCACAAGGGUGGGGGCGCGCCCAGGGAGGUAGGGGCACCCUGGACCCUCGUGGCCACCUCGAAGCUUCCCUGACGUCUACUCCAAGUCUCCUAGAUUGCUUCCGUUCCAGAAAUUAAGUCUCCCGAAGGUUUCAUUCCGUUUGGACUCCGUUUGAUAUUCCUUUUCUUUGAAACACUGAUAUAGGCAAGAAAACAACAAUUUGGGCUGGGCCUCCGGUUAAUAGGUUAAUCCCAAAAAUGAUAUAAAAGUGUAUAGUAAAGCCCAUAAACAUCCAAAACAGGUAAUAUAAUAGCAUGAAACAAUCAAAAAUUAUAGAUAUGUUGGAGACGUAUCAGGCACCAUGGAUCUCGACAUCAUGUUACGCGCCUCCACCGCCACUGACAUCACUGCCUACUUCGACACUGACUGGGCGUCUGCCCUGAUACACGAUGUUCCACUUCUGGAUAUUGUGUCUUCCUUGGUCCAUCACUUAUUCCGUGGUUGUCCAAGUGGCAGUCCACGGUCUCCCAUUCCAGUGCUGAGGCCGAGUAUCAUGCAGUGGCUAAUGUCAUCGUUCAAUACUACUGGCUUCGCCGGCUUCUCCUUGAGCUCUCGUGCCCUGUCGACAAGGCCACUGUGUUAUAGUGCGAUAACGUCUAUGCCGUCUAACUCUCUGCCAACCCGGCCAUCAUCGUCGUACCAAGCACAUCGAGCUUGACAUUCAUUUUGUUCAAGAACAGGUUCUUGGCCAUAUACGUGUUCUACAUGUACCCACCUCCCAACAAUUUGCAGAUAUCAUGACCAAGGGCUUGCUUAUGGCGUCCUUCGAGGAGUCUCGGUUGUGGCUUGGAGGGACGUCCCUCUGUCGAGGAGUUACGGAUCCCGGCUGGGCAAAGCCCGUGCGGGGGGAUGAUGACAGCGACGGGACGUCCCUCCAUUGCAGCUUGGAGGCGUGGUUGUGACGGUGGAUCUUGAGCGGGCGCCUUGGGACGAUGUGUGUGGCCAUGACGCCGGUCACGCGGCGAUGUGACCUCCUCUACCUUUGGUUGUCUUCAUCGUCGGUGGGUUUGCCUUGCGGUGGCUUCCCCACGGCGGAUCAAGUGGAGGAGGAGAUGGUGGCCUAGCUGCUGAAGUGAGUGAGGAUGCCACCAUCGACGGCGGCGCCCGUGGGUGUCGUUUUCCUCGUGGGAGGCGUUGGUGGGGGCGUUGAUGGUGCCCUAGCUGCUGAAUUGGGUGAGAAGGCUACCAUUGACGGCGGCGCCUGUGGGCGUCAUAGCCCUCGUUGGAGGCAUUGAGGGACCUCUUGGAUCGAAUGAUGGCGAUGUCUUCGUCGUUACCCCCAUAGGGGUAUCAUCUUUGGAGACAUUCAUCGGUUGGAUGGACACGUGGAUGGCUUGGUGGUUGGGCAUCGGUAGGUGGUGGAGCGGUGAUUCAUCCUACACAUCGAUGGCGGUGGAUCUCGGCGGCAUGGCGCAGUGAAGACUCGGCGUCCGAUGGGUGGCGAUGGACUCAUGCAGGAGGACGACGCUGUCUGGCGUCGUGGUGGUGUCAAUGGAAGAGAGGCCUGGCAAGGUCGAUGCGUCAGUAUCUGAUCUGAGGAUGAAUCGAUGGAUGAAGGAGGUGAUGGCCCUUGCAGCUUGUGCAUGUGGUGCCCACUGAAAGUGCGUCGGACCGGUGUGUAACCCAGUCCAGGUAUUGUGGCUUGGGUGGGGUAUCCGGCAUUAGAUGUUAGGUGUUGGUGCGAUAUCUGUUUGGUAUUAGGCUCGGACAUUCGGCACUCCUUCAUCACGGGGAUAGGAGUAGCGACUGGUGUUGCCAAGAUCGUGGCUUCAGACUUACUAAUGUAUUACCUUGCAAGGGCUUUGUGAAUAAUUAAUAUAAUGGAUGCAUGCAUCACCCAAAUGCAGAGACCGCGGGUACAUUCUCCUUUAAAAAAAAGCACCCAAUAAAUAUUGAAAGUUGCAUCCUAAUUGUCUACACACUCCUUGCCAGUAUUAUUUACGUAGUUGGGUAUUUUGUGGCAAUACCCAAACUGACCGCAUAACCUCCCACAGUAUGCGUGCAUGAUCGCAUCUAACUAGGGCGUGAUAUGUAGUUUUGGCCUCCGUGUCGCAUAUAGGACAUGUAUCCCUAGUAGGAAUAUGUCCGGAGUUUUUGCACAAAUUGGUAGAUAAUACACUCGUUGUUGCCUUCCAUGCACAGAUUUUCAUUUUCUAAGGUACAUACGAAAUAAAAUGAGUGAAUCUACAUUCUAAAAUAUGUCUAUAUACGACAGUAUAUAGUUCGUAUUGAAAUCUCUAAAUAGACUUAUAUUUAGAAACUGAGGGAGUAGUAUUUAUAACAAAGAAUGAGAGAGUAAUCAAAAUGACCAAAAGGCUCGCACCCGGUUUAUCAAUAAAGCACCAACCAACAUCUAGUUCAACCCAUACAACUUGACACCACAAUACAGGCAGGGUCUCAUAACCCCAUACCACUCCAAGCAAUCUACUACACGUAGGAACCUAAGGCACCACUUGAAGUGUCCAGAGCCCUCAAUCGUGAACGAGUCGUCACGAAGGAAUAAAACUCUGUGCGCGAAGAACCGAGUAUUCCAAGACGGUGGGAAGGCAGAGCAAGCCAUAAUAUAAUAAACUAGAAAAUUUGACUUUACUUCGAUUUAGAAUAGCAUGCUUACUUUAAUUUCUAAAAAUAGUUUCAGGUUUCCUUAUUAUUUCGGAUCGGAGUAGUACAAUUGCUAGAAAAUUGAGUAUUUCAUUGCAGAAUUUUAAAAUAAACUAAGUCCCUUUUUUAAGUACACGUCAAUCUGCCAAUCUUGUGCUGCACGGGGGUACACCAAGCAACCGUGGAAGUACACAUAUGUUGUUUCGGAGGGUACAAGUUAGUUCUUGAUGGGAUACAAGUUACGCUCGAAAAAGUUCAUCGAAACCUACAAAAUAGAUCUAGUUUUGAAGAUUUUAACAAGACAGACGCAACGGUGUAAAUGGUCCGUAAUUUGGACACUCGGUUCAACAGAUAUUCCAUUUUAUAAUCGGAUACAUUAAGAGAUGCACAUGAGUGACAACAUUUAUUCCCAUAAAUGAUUUCAAUAGUCCAGAUGGCAGCCAUCUAUAAUGGCUUUCGUAACAUCUAUAUCUAUACUAAUAUAAAAAGACCAAAGGAAUAGAUUCAAUUAAUCUCGGCAACAAAUCAUGUCAAUCUAACGACCUAGAUUGUUUCAAUGAUGAACACUCAACACGUUUAGCGUACAGUUAAUUUCAUGCCAAAUAUAGUACUAAUCACAUAAUAAUACGCAAAUAAUACCCUACUUAAUAUCCGCAUGCACUUAAUAAACUUCCAAAUUAACGUACAUUGCACGUACACAUUGACUAAUGCCAGUCCAACGACCUAGACCGCUUCAAUGUCAAAGCGCUCAACACGUUUAGCGUGCAAUUAAUUUCAUGCCAAAAAUAAUGUUAAUCACAUAAUAACACGCAAAUAAUAUCCUACUUAAUGCCGUAUUGCACGUACACAUUGACUAGUAUAAAAAGCUUCACAAGCACAUAAUGUUUCAAGCAAUGCAGAUAAACUUCACAAGCACACUUGAGUGGAGCCGUAACAAACACACAAAACACGCAAGAUGGUAGCAUGGGUCCAAGCCUACGCCUUCCACCUACCGCAGUUCAUACAGCGCGCUCCUCCUUUGGAAGGGAAAGACAACCAUGCCAUGGUGGCAGAGCUAACCUUAGACUUGAUUUGGCGGUGGAGGAGCAGAACCGUAGGGAGCGUCUUUAGAUGGCACAAAAGGAGGAUUACUGCCAACAUAUGCUUGGUAGUGGUCCUUCUUCCGAACUAGGCGGUAUGAGGCAACAUCAAGGGCGGCGACUACAAGAAACAAAAAUGUCGCGAUCACGAAAAUUGCGACACCUCCGACAAUCCUAGCAUUCCCAACAGUUUUCUUUGCAGAGCCUUCAAAUCCUAACAUGGCCCCUGCCAGAAAUAGUAGCACUGCUAUGAUCGCGAGGACCCUGCAAGUAUAUACACAUGGCGUAGAGACUAUAUUAAUUAUACAACUUAAAUGAACAAGACACCAAGUAGAUAUAGAUUCUGUAUUAAAGUUCAGUUUUCAAAUUCUAUGAGAAAUGAUAAAAAAACAAUGAAUCAUAAAGUUCUCGGGCCCCGCCACCACUUAGCGGCUAGCGCACCACGCCACAUAGGCUGGCAUUAAUGUUAAUGAUGAUAUUUUUCUUGAUUAGCAACAGAAAUCAGGCCGGAUAUCGAGUUGUGAAUAACCAAAUUAUUUAUGUACCAUGAGGUGAUGAAGAAGACCACCGCGGCGAUGCGCUUGGCCCCCUUAGUUACCCGCCACGCCCCAAAGCAGCAGAUCGCCACGCCGGCAAGAAUCUGCGUCAUCGAUGCCAACACGGCCGCUACCACGCCACAUGGCAUCGCCGGCGAUCGUCGGUACGUAGAGAACUCGCCAUUGUCAUCUUGAUGAUGUUUCUGCAUGAAUGAAUGCACACCGUUAAGAAGAAUCAACAAUAUUAUUAUCAACUAGAUUAUGCUUGGCCGAAGUUUUUUUUUUCUUUUGAAAUCUUGGCCGAAGGUUAGAGUGAGAAAGAGAUGGCAUCUAGCAGGUUUUUUUAGAGAUAGCAUCUAGCAGGUUACAAUGAGAAAGAUAUAAUAUCUAGCGUGUGAUGCAUGCAUACCAUUGCCAAGAGAACCGCGCUGAUGAUUCCGAAAACGACCGUCAUCACGGCCAGGAUGCUGGUCACCACCAUGAGACAUUUGGUCCCCAUCGAUGAUGUCACUACUAAUCGAGUAGAUGAGUUAGGUAUUGCAUUGCCACAGCCAUAUAGAUAGACAGAUUUAUUGGAAAAGAUAUAGAUAGACCGAGAUGAACAAGUGCAGGAAUCCAACGUUAGCUUGAAUAAGGUUAUCGGAGGACGGGCUACCUCUUGCAUGAAGAUUGUCACCCGCAUUGCUCCAUUUCUUGUAAGAUAUAUUAAGUUGGUAAAUGUAUAAUUUUAUUAAUUGAACUUCCUAAAAUAUAUGUGAUUAAGUUGCAUAUAGCCAAAAAUCGGUCAAGGAUUCACGCGACUCCGAGUGGAGCGGUGUCAAGAAUUCCCACCCCACCAAGCAUGGCGAAAACUUUCUGUGGAGUGGUGUCUUUGUUGCCGGCCUAUACGGGCAAAAGACCGUGCUGUUGUUUCUAUUGGUCCUGCCACUUUACUUAGGAUUAUUUGAAAACAAGGAUUUCAAAGUGUAUUGCCUACUGAUCCUACUAAUGUGAUAUUUAUUUUGUGUUCAUUGUUGUAAUCAUGGGUCGUGCUGAUGAAAAAAAAAAGAGGACUACUAGGCUUGCUUGCUUAGUGAGAUUUUAAAAGUCUCUGCCCUGUGGAGGGGAGAAGCCUCUAACCGUUCACGUGGAUGUGUCCCUGUUGUCCGACGAUUCUGUUGAUUUUGAUAGGGUACCGUUGUGUCAAGAAUGGCGAAAACGGGCCGGGUCGUGGCUCGAAAAAAGCCACACUUAUAAAUCAGCAAAUAAUCAUCAAGAUAGAGGCACCGCAAAGUAACACAAUGCGUGGAUAAAUAGAACUGAAACCAAUCUCCGGGGCCGCUAAACUAGCAGAGGUCUCCUAAAAAACUAAACUAGCAGAAACAGAGGAGGAGCAGAGGAAUCAAGCAAGGGACCGCUGAACCCUACACCAUGAAUCGACCAGCAAAACCAGAGCAGGGAGAAACACGGCCGACAGUUACCGGGAGUGAAGGGAAGACGAACCAACGAAGCACGGCAAUGGCGAGGGAGAUUAGCUGGAGGAGGCAACCUCGCCGGGGUGGGGAGUGGAACGAAAACCAAACCUUUUGGUUGUGGGGAGGCAGAGCGAGAGGAGUAGUGGGUAGGAGAGGAGUGAGAGGCGAAGGCCUUACUUGUCCGUGACAGAUUUACAUCAAGUAGUACUAAUGCAGGAUCCAUACUAGCACGUGACAGAUUUUGGCUGGCUUCUGAGCCGACAACCGGAGACAAGCACGCGUGUAGGGACCGUCGGUUCAGCCAUCAACGUCGACGCGCGCGGUCGACAUGCGCUAAUGUGCCACACCACACCACACCAAAAAAGUUGAUGUCGACCGAAACACGAGAUUCAUUUUUUUUUCCCGAAAUCUAAGGGCAGAAGCCGAGUUGAACACCCAUAGGAGAGUACGAAAAAUAGAAAUUACGGACGUGCUGAAAGCGUCGGCGGGGUCGUCGCCCGACCCACACAGCACAAGCCGCAGCUCGAGGGUGGCCGGGAAGUGGAGAAUAUCAUACGGAAACCAAUGUUCAAAGAAAACAUCUGAGAAACCACAUUUGGAAAUUUCAAAAAAAUAUAAAAAAAUUGAGAUGUUAAGAAGAUGAUGUUCUAUUGUCAUGUGAAGUUUGAAGUAAAAACAUAUUGCGGGAUGCAAGCCAUGAAAAUAACAAAUUCAGCAAUUAAUGGUGACGCUACUGUUCGGCACUAUUCAAUGCUAACUUUUUUCUGAUUUUUCGAAAAUUGAAAGCAUCUUUUUUUCGUGUGGCUUUCAUCGGUUUUCACUAAAUAUUUGUUUUUGUAUGAUAUUCUCCCAGUCGGAGCAGGUGCAACCGGAGCGGUUGAACACACUACAUGAACAUUAUGUUGCUGCAAUGAGAACACACUAUACAUUUUAAUCUGCCCUUUCAAAUAUCGGGGCCUAAAUUUUGAUUCGCACACGGCCUCUGAUUUUUUAGGUACGGCCCGUCCGUCACAUAUGACGGGGAAGCAAGCACUGUACUCCCUCUGUCUCAAAAUGUAACGUUUUUAACACUACACUGGUGUCAAAAACGUUUUUAUAUUAUGGGACGGGGAUAGUGUCAAAAAUGUUCGGAGGGAGUAAUAAGCAAAGAAAACCCCCGAGCUCGCCAGUAACUGAUGAGCUGAAACCAGUCUCCGGGGGCAAUAAACUAGCUCUAGCAGAGAAAAGGGGAGUAGCUAGAUGGAGGAGCAGAGGAAUCCUUACCUGGACGAAGCGCAGCAAUAUAAUGGCUACUCGGGAGGAGCCAAACCUCGCCGGAGACCGGGACGGAAACCUCACCGGAGCAGCACGGCCUUGGAUUGGCUGUGGGGAAGGGAAGGGUCCGCGAGCGAGCGAGUGGAUUCCAAGUUUAAUUUGCCUCCGGAGUCCAUCCACUAUAUAUAUAUAUAUAUCCCCGGCCGACACGAAAAAGUUAUCUCGAUUUCGUGACUCACAUACGUUUUCGGAGAGAAAGAAUCAGGAUGAGCGGACACGUGGUACGUACGUGCGGCUCAGCGGCUGGUCGACCGCUUCCACUAGCCAGUAGCAGUAGUAGAAAGUUGAAGGAUUGCAUGCGAUGCGCGAUGCAUAUCUUCGGACGUCGGCAUAUACAACUUUAAUGAUUCAGAGGUUGGCAGGUGCCUCUCUUGUCUUGGCUCGAUGUUUCUGUCUGUCGUCUCACUCUCAGCCAACCUCCGGAGAAGCGCACAUACGUGGUGAUGCACGCGUGUACGUGUACGUGUCGGCCAGACAGCAUGAGAUAUUUGGAGCCUGGUAAAAAGUAGUAUACUAAAGCAGUCACGUACUCUUUUUUUUGAUUUGACGGCAACAUGAGAUUCAAAAACUUUCCCAAAGGGCCGUCGUCAUCGUCAGCCCGCACAAGCCGCACAUUUCCAUACCUGCUCAUAUACGUUUCCUUCUUUUUUAUAGUGCCUGAAAAUAUAUAAAUAAGCUUGGGUCGUUUCAAUGAAUAAGUACAGAAACAGGCGAGGCGGACACCGCGUGACCGCAAAGAGCUGCAGCCAGUAAGAAUUUUUGCUGAAACCAUGAACUAGGAGAAAACCUACGUAAUGACCAGUAAAGAGAUAGCAAAUCGGGGCAAUCUUGGUAAGAUGCCAGACACCCAUUUAUUAGUAUGAAAUUUCUACCAGUGCCAUAAUAUUUGGAUUGGACGUCAAAAAACACGAAGGUUUUCAUCAUAAAGAUCCACAAACCUUGCCAUGGCAAACUUCACAGCUUCUGUUGUUACCUCUUGAAAACAUCAUAACUACUUUAACAUUCACGAAGACCCUGUUUCUGUAAUGUCAGAGUAUACUUCUUUUCGCCAUGGGUUUUCAUCAUAAAGCUCACAACUAUCCCCUCCGUUACCUAGCUCGUGACAACUUAGUAUCAGAGCCAGGUUUUGAUCCUGGGACUUAUGGUUUUGGAUAUAGUUUGCAUUCGGAGGAAACUAUGUACCUAGUGGCUGUUAGAGGGCAAGGGGUUCAGGCUAGGGUGCCGUGACAUUUGGGGAUAGAUCUGUUCUGGAGCUUAACCACCGUACAUAAAGCGAUGCAAAGCCUGCUUAGAAGACCGAUUUAGAGAAUGAUAAGAAGCCACAUAAACUUAACGGUGCAAAUUGUACUGUUUACAAGAAUUUUGAUUGUAUGCAACAACUAAAAAAAUUACACCCAAAGCAAUUCAAGUGAUGUUUAUCUGAAACAUGAGAUUUUGUUUUUCUUCUCUGGCUAGCUAAGUACUAGUACAUGAGAAAACAGUUUGGCCACACUGACCAAUAACAAUUCCUCCAGAUUGGGUUACAGAAUGAUGCACCUAAAACCAAUCAUGGAUAACAAAGUACAGCACCUGCUAGAACUUGCAGUUGGUUUAACUGGCAGCUCAAAUGCAUUACUAAUGAGAAAUAUCAUGACAUUAGACUGGACAUAAGACAUUGAUCUUGUUCCUUACCGGGUUGCAGGUGAGGGAGCACGGAUCGAUGUCGAUUAGCAGCUGCAGGUGGAGGUGACCGGGCAGUCGGCCGCCGGCGUCGGAGUCAGCAGCGGCAGGUCAGCACGACGGCCAGGCGCAACGGGGGUCCGAGGCCGAGGGCGAGGUGUGACGGCGGCGGGAGUGCGACGAGGUGGGCGGCGCCGCGGAGGGCCCAGGAGCGCGCACGGGUUGGCAGGGAGUCGGGGAUUGGCGCGGCGGCUAGCGGGGGGUGGCGGCGGCGAUUCGCCGGCGAGGGUCACCGGUAGAAGAGGGAAUCGGGAGGGGACCUUUUUUUCUUCUCGUAAAUAGUUUUUUUUAUCACGGGAACCUUCUUCUUGGAAAAGGGGCAAAGAUCCGAAUUGGGCCAACCUCGUGGCUGCAGCCGGCCCGCGGCCCAGAUACGAAGAGAAUGUAAAAUUUGGGCAAUUUUCGAGAGCAACUAGUUAAUGAGCGCUCCUUCGGAAACUUGACAACGAUCAGCGCCACUUGGAAAGCUCUGAGCCAUUCGCCAUGUGUCGUGCUCUGGGCUCCCUCCAGAUUUUUUAUUCCACAUGCGUUUUCGGCUUUAUAAAUGGUUUUUUUGGGUUUUUUCGAUGUUUAGGUUUUCCACCAGUCUUCCUUAGCUUUCCGAUAAAAAAAUCGAAAACAAAGUUUUGCGCAAAAAGACACAUUUUUUUCUUUCGUGAAAGUCACGAUUUUUCUUCCGCGAGAGGCACGAUUUUGCUUUCGUGAGAGUCACGGCCAUGCCUCUCGAAAAUGAAAAAAACAUGUUUUCUUUUUCUUUUUCUUUCGCGAAGUCACGGUUUUGCUUUCGUGAGAGGCACGGUUGUGCUUUAGUGAGAGUCACGGCCGUGCCUCUCAGAAAUGAAAAAAAUGUGUUUUCUAUUUUUUUUCCUUUCGAGAGUCACGGUUUUGCUUUCGCGAGAGGCACGGACGUGCCUCUCAGAAACGAAAAAAACGUGUUUUCUGUUUUUUUUCCUUUCGUGAGAGUCACUGUUUUGCUUCUGCAAAAGGCACGGUUGUGCUUUCGCGAGAGUCACGACCGUGCCUCCUCGGAAACGAAAAAAAUGCGUUUUCUCUUUUUCUUUCCUUCCGCAAGAGUCACAGUUUUGCUUCCGCGAGAGGCACGGUUGUGAUUUCAUGAGAGGCGCGGCCGUGCCUCUUUCGAAAAGGAAAAAAAUCCGUGCUCCUGGUUCAGUUUUUCUGUUCUAUUUUUUCAUGAAAGAAAAGUUCAUCAAAAACUAUCAACAUGGGAUCUAGUUUUGAAGAUCUCGACGCGAUGAAUCCAAUGGUGAAAGCGGUUCGAGAUUUGGACAAGUGGUUUAAGAGAUAAAACAUUUUAAAUAAAUGGAUCUACGAAAAAAAGGGAAAACUCCCAGGUUGCGACAAGUGACGCACAUGUAGCGCGUCACUUGUCGCAACCUGAGGAGGUUGGAGUGAUCUUUGCAACGAGUACGACUCAACUAGUGAUUUUGCAAAUUUUCCAAACCUCGUGAUGGAUGGGGCAGUCCCUCUAUUGGGAGCUCCUAAUUACUGCAUUCUGCGGCAAAUAGACGCCUCUUCGCUCAUAGCACGCGGAACUGGCCGGCCAUUAGGGUAAAUCUCUUAGCGAUCAGUCGGGCGCAAAACUUUCGAAAAAGAAAAUAUGCUCAACCAACCAAGGAUUUGGUCUCCAGAACUUCUAUUGAGGCCGACACCUCGCCAGCCGGUCGAACUGACCAACGGCUCUUGAAAAUGUGCAGCGCCAAGUCUAAAGAACACACUGCAGCAGCGUAACUCAACAUUUAAAAAAUGCAAUCAAUUUAUUAUAUUCCAUUUCUUUUGAAAUUGAGAACAAUGUAUUGAAAACUCAAACAAUCUUCGAAAACUUGGAACACCUUUUGGAAUUAUGAAGAUAUAUUGAAAAAUGAGGACAAAUUUUUGAAAUUCCGAACAAUUUUUUAAAACACGAAUAAAGUUUAAGACUCCGAACUUCAUUGAAAACAAUAAAAAAAUUUAAAAAAUCUGAAGAAUUUUUUAGAAUUUGAAAUAUUUUUAGAAAUACGAACAAAAUUUUGAAGCUCUCAACUUUUUUGAAAUCAUGAACAAUUUUUGAAAUUCCAAACAUUUGUUUGAAACAGUGAUUUUUUUUAAACACAAGCAAAAAAUUCAAACUCCAUUUUUUAUGAAAACAUGAUCAAAUUUCGAACUACCGAACAAUUUUUAGAAACAAGAAAAAAUUAAAACUCCAAACUUGCUUGAACACACGAAAUUUUUUUUGAACAUUUUGGACAUUUUUUGAUAUUGCGAACAAUUUAGAAUACAGUAACAAAAAAUUAAAAUCCAAACAUUUUUUGAAAACAUGAACAAAUUUUAAAACUCAGAACAUUUUUGGACACCGACGCAACGAGCGCAAGAAACAGAAUUUCAAAAAUGACACUUAAAAAUAAAACAGAAAAAAUAUAAAGGAAACAAAGAAAAGAAAAAAAUAGAACAGAAAAUAAAACAAGAAAAACCAAAAAGCCGAGUAGAAGAAAAAAAACAGUUCUGGGAACCAUCUAGAAGGUUCCCAAAACCGCUUGGCUCCCACUGUGGCCAUGCUUUAAGUGGGUGGGCCCAAAUCCCUAGCUCUGGUGCGUGGCGCAACUAGCGCAACGAGUGAUUUGAACCAAGACCUUCUAGACAUCAGAAAGCUGCGCUAACCACACGAGCUACCUCACUUUUUGUGUUACUUAUAGCUAUUUAUUACUUUUCUUCUUUCUCCUUUCUUUUUUUUUUACCUUUUUAUUUUUGUUGGAACAGUUUUGUUCCAUUUUUCUCUCUAAAUUAGUGCAUUUUUUCUUCAAAUUGAUGUAUUUUUUUAAAACAGAUGAACAUUUUUUCCCAAAAUUGAUGAACUUUUUUGCUAAAAUCUGUGAACUUUUUUAGAAUUGGUGAACUUUUUUCAAAUUUGAUGAACGUUUUUCAAAUAUCAUAAACAUUUUUUAAUAUUUGAUGAACUUUUUCCAAAUCCGAUGAACUUUUUCAACUUCGAUGAUUUUUUUUUUCAAAUUUGAUGAACGUUUUUUUAAAUUGAUGAACCUUUCCCAUUUUUUGCUAUUUUUUUCAAUUGGUACGGUUUAUUUCAAUUCGUGAUUUUUGUGAAUGCGUAAUUUAUGUUUUUUUGUUCAAAUAAUUAUAGUGCGUAUAUAAUACUAGUAUAUUUUUAGUUUUUGUACUGAAUGAAUGGUCAAAAGUGCUUUAUUUCCUCUAGUAAUCAACAAUCUGAGUGUGUCCUUGUGGUGAACGUGUGUGCAUUUACAUUGAUUUUCGGAGUUCGAAUCCCAGAACUCCCUAUUAAAUGUGAACGAUUCCCUCUAAACAUUAUGAAAUGAAAAGCUUUACACCCCUUACAAAAAAGAGUUCGCCGUGCCUGAUGAACAUUGGAUUUCAGACCAAAUGGCGUAUAACUUAUUGCUAUGAUCAAUGGUGAUGCCAUCGAAGAUGUUAAGUUGAGUGAUCCACAUCCCCUCUCAAUAACCUCAUUAACUCUCUCUUUGAACUGUAGCUUCUGUUAUCAUCCAAACUGACAUUAUUCACCAAGAUUGCCCGGAUAUAUUAUGUUGGGAUCUAACCACUAAUGGUACUUGUUCUUCCAAAUCCAUUUAUUAAUUGUGUUUGCAGGAUAUUCAUGCAAAUCCAAGAAAUACUCCUUGCCAAGUUUCUUUGCAGGUCAAAAAUCUUCUCAAGUUGAUUUGGAAGCAAAAGUUGAUGAUCCCUAGAGUUCAAACUUUCGCUUGGAGACUCCUUCGGAAAGCGCUUCCCACAAGCUUGAGGGCUGGGUGCUUUUCCAUACAUAUUUCUCAAUGUUAUUGCAGAUGUGGUCAACAAGAGGAUGAGGUUCACCUGUUUUUUCUUUGUGACUUUGCUAGAGCUACUUGUUUUUCUCAUCCUUGGUUCAUUAGAACAGAUGUUUUAGUUCAAAACUAUCCCAAUAUUCAAAGUAUUAUUCUUGCUUCUGUUAUCAUCAUUCUAUAUUUUAUGGGGUGUAUUUGGAAAGCAAGGAAUGAUUAUCUUUUUUAUAGAAAGAAAGCUGCCCAUCACCAAGUUAAUACUGUUGUUGCUUCUCUAUGUGCUGAUUUUUGUGAUCUUCUUAAUAAUUCUUCACACCAUCAGUCUCGAAACUCCAGUUGUAUCUUAAUCCAUACUAAUCAACUUCCCUUGCAGGGACAAACGCUUAAAUCCGACCUUCUUAUCACAGGGCCGGAAGUAUAUACUGAUGUAGCUUUUAAGUGCAAAAGGAUUCCAGGUUUAUUGCAGGGAACAUCAGCCACUGGAGUUGGUAUCUACAUUUCUUUGUCGCAGGAUCAGAAGCAAGUCAAUGUUAAGAUUUAAGCUUUCACCUCAAAUACAAGUACACCUCUUGGCUGCAACUUUUGCUCUUCUCCUGGCUGCACUAGUGGCCAAACGUCUCAGCAUCAACCAGCCGACCUUCCUCACAAACUAUCUCUCUUUGGCUUCAUUUGCGGCUAGUAGGAAGAUUACUGAAACUACUACCCCUUGGACUAUCAGGAAAGUUUUAGCUGAUUUCUCAUGUUACUCUUUAGACCUUCAACCUAGGGUGUUCCAUAUUUUCCAAGGAAAUUAAUGGAAUUGCUCACAAUGUCGCUCAUCAGGUUCUUAGAUCAAAUGGAGAACCUGGUAUAUGUUAUUUUGCUUCAGCUCACAGGAACGUGACUUGCGCGGUAGUUUCUCUCCUCUCCAAUUUCCAGUUCAAGGGAUUUGUAAUUGAUGUUGUACGUUGCUAUUGAGCUGAGCUGAAUGGAAAGUUUGGUGCUUCGUGCGCCAUUUGUUGUUCAAAAAAAACAUCCCCUCUCAAUGCUUGUUGACCCACCAACUCUUCCUUUUAAAGAUUAUAAAGAUGUCUCAUGCAAUUUCCUUGGGGUGUUCUUCGUUGUCCGACGAAGAAUAGUGCCAAAAGUCAGUUUGCUUGCCACCCCCAAUGAUGAUUCUAGUGGCUUCACGUUCAUAUUAGACUUACGGAUUAUUUUUACCGGAACUAACGGACCAACUCUUCUCCCCUCACUAAGAGCAUGUGCAACAGUCUAGGAGGGUCAUGUCUAUACCCUCUCUUCAUGUCAGAUUACAGAUGCACACAACCCGACAAAAAAGGAAGGAGAAGAAAAAAAGAUCCCGCUACGGUGAUCAAAACCGUGUAGUUGCAACACAAGCCACUGCGAAGGCAGCACCCGGAGUCCAAAUUCUCCAAAAGCGAUGCCUCCAAGAAGAAAACAGUGCACAAGCGCCGUGCCACCCGACCAUAGACCUCAGGUUUUCAUCUGGAGAAAGUCCGCUCUCAAAACAAUGCCUUCAACAAGAUCAUUGCCAGGCACAACCACUUAAAGUCAGACCUUGGAUUUUCACCAUGGAACAUAAGACUAUGUACUUCUCCGGUGCUGCCGGCCCCGCUUGCCGAUGUCGCUUCUACAAGUCAGGAAACACCAAGCAAAGUCCUCAUCGCCUCGAGGACUCAGUUUGCUAUAACUAGACUUCAAACCUCAGCCGCCAUGACAUUCUCCGCCACUAUCUUCACCAUGGAAAUUUGAAGACCGACAUGUCCCAUGAUGGCAACACACAGCGAAGCUUAGCGUCACUCCCUCUUGAAGCCGCACGGCUAAAAAUACGGGUUCACACGACCGAAUCUCAUCCAAUCCAGCAAUCUAUAGGCGUCAGGCGCCGAAUGGAGAUCGCCGACGGAGCCUUCUAGAACUUGUCACCGGCCAGAUCGAUAAGGACAUGCGUCAAGUAGAACACCGUCUUGACGCGAGAAGAACACUAGGACCACCUCCUUUAUUAGGCAGAUCGGCAGGCCCCCACGCCGCUGCCCACUGGUUCCUGAUUAAUAGUCUGGAGAACUCAGCGGGCACCACCACCACCACCCGCAUCACGCGGAGAUGAGGGGCUGGGCCGCACCGAGACCCCUGAACCAGGCGCCAUGCCACCCACGUGGCCACAGCGGUCGCCCAAGAAGUUCGGGACCGCCGCCCCGGUGUCCAACUCCGUCAUACGAGCCGCGUCUGUUUCAGGGAAGGAGAUCGAACACACUGGUUCCAUUCAUCUGUGGAGAUACAUAUACAGGGGAGCAGCGGGUGCUUGAGCCACGAUGGUGAUCGUGGAGUGACCAUGCUCGAGAGGUGGAUGGACGUGUGUGCGUAAAGGAAAACUGCACACACGUACGCUAUACUAGCCUGAUGUAGAGACUACGUACAAUACUCACACACACACACACAUACAUGUAGCUUAACACCCCCCCUCCCCGCAGUCGGGACGGUGCGAGGAGCGACGCAGAGACUGGAGCGGAAAUCGUGGAAGACGUCGACGGGCAAUCCUUUGGUCAUCACAUCGGCGAAUUGCUGCCGCGUGGGAAUGUGAAGGACGCGAAACUUGCCCAGGGCCCCGCGCUCGCGGACGAAGUGAAUGUCGAGUUUGACAUGCUUGGUGCGCCGGUGAUGGACUGGAUUGCUGGACAGGUACACCGAAACCGAAGAGAUGUUGUCACAGUACAGUACACGAGCGUCGCCGUCUUGAUAGAGCACCGGAGUUCGCCCAGAAGUUGUCGGAGCCAGACGCAGUCAGCCACCGCAUUGGCAACACCGCGAUACUCAGUGUCAGCACUCGAUCUGGAGACGGUCAGCUGGCGUUUGGACGACCAGGACACAAGAGUGUCGCCAAGAUAGACGCAGUACCCCGAGAUGGAGCGCCGCGUAUCCGGGCAGCCAGCCCAGUGGGCGUCGGUGUAGGCGCGGAGAUCAAGUGUCGAGGACGCGCGCAGGUGUAACCCGAGAGAGGCAGUGCCGCGGAUGUACCGGAGAGCGCGCUUGAUCAGCGCACGAUGGCACUCACGCGGAUCAUGCAUGGGCAAACAUAUUUGCUGGACGGCGUAGGCGAGCUCUGGGCGCGUGACGGUGAGGUACUGCAGGGCACCGGCGAGGCUGCGGUACUCUGUGGAGUCAGCCACGCGGGGGCCUGUCGCCGCGGGCAGCUUGGCCUUGGUGUCCACCGGAGUAGGCACGGGCUUGCAGUUGUCCAUGGAAGGAUGCUCCAGCAUGUCCUCCGUGUACUGCUCUUGCGAGGGGAAGAAGCCAGCAUCGGAGCGCGUGACGCGGAUGCCCAAGAAGUAGUGCAGGGCGCCGAGGUCUUUCAUGGUGAACUUGGUGGUGAGCGCGGCGAUGAUGCGAUGAAGGAAGGCGUCGGAGGAGGCCGUGAGGACGAUAUCGUCCACGUAGAGCAACAGGUACGCGGCGUCAGCGCCGCGUGCGAGCGUGAACAGCAAACUGUCCGAGCGGGUCGCCGUGAACCCAAGGGUGGUGAUGAAGCCGGUGAAGCGAAGAAACCACGCGCGCGGCGCCUGCUUCAAGCCAUACAAAGACUUGGAAAGGCGACACACGUGGUCUGGCUUGCCAGUGUCGAUGAAGCCCGCAGGUUGAAGACAGUAAACCUCUUCCUGAAAGUGCCAUGCAAGAAAGCAUUCUUCACCUCGAGUUGAUGGACUGGCCACCGACGCGACGCGGUGAGAGUGAGGACGGUGCGGAUGGUCGCUAGUUUAACCACAGGGGAGAAAGUCUCCCCGUAGUCGACACCAGCACGUUGGUUGAAGCCACGUACGACCUGUUGGAAAUAUGCCCUAGAGGCAAUAAUAAAAGUAUUAUUAUAUUUCAUUGUUCAUGAUAAUUGUCUUUUAUUCAUGCUAUAACUGUAUUAUCCGGAAAUCGUAAUACACGUGUGAAUACUUAGACCACAAUAUGUCCCUGGUAAGCCUCUAGUUGACCAGCUUGUUGUGAUCAACAGAUAGUCAUGGUUUCCUGACUAUGGACAUUGGAUGUCGUUGAUAACGGGAUCACAUCAUUAGGAGAAUGAUGUGAUGGACAAGACCCAAUCCUAAGCAUAGCAUAAAAGAUCGUGUAGUUCGUAUUGCUAGAGCUUUGUCAAUGUCAAGUUCUCUUCCUUAGACCAUGAGAUCGUGUAACUCCCGGAUACCGUAGAAGUGCCUUGGGUGUAUCAAACGUCACAACGUAACUGGGUGACUAUAAAGGUGCAUUACAGGUAUCUCCGAAAGUAGCUGUUGGGUUGACACGGAUCGAGACUGGGAUUUGUCACUCCGUAUGACGGAGAGGUAUCUCUGGGCCCACUCGGUAAUGCAUCAUCGUAUUGAGCUCAAUGUGACCAAGGUGUUGGACACGGGAUCAUGCAUUACGGUACGAGUAAAGUGACUUGCCAGUAACGAGACUGAACAAGGUAUUGGGAUACCGACGAUCGAGUCUCGGGCAAGUAACGUACCGAUUGACAAAGGGAAUUGCAUACAGGGUUUGAUCGAAUCCUCGACAUAGUGGUUCAUCCGAUGACAACAUCGAGGAGCAUGUGGGAGCCAUCAUGGGUAUCCAGAUCCCGCUGUUGGUUAUUGACUGAGAGCGUCUCGGUCAUGUCUGCAUGUCUCCCGAACCCGUAGGGUCUACACACUUAAGGUUCGGUGACGCUAGGGUUAUGAAGAUAUGUAUAUGCAGAAACCCGAAUGUUGUUCGGAGUCCCGGAUGAGAUCCCGGACGUCACAAGGAGUUCCGGAAUGGUCCGGAGGUAAAGAAUUAUAUAUAGGAAGUGCUAUUUCGGGCAUCAGGACAAGUUUUGGGGUUAUCGGUAUUGUACCGGGACCACCGGAAGGGUCCCGGGGGUCCACCGGGUGGGGCCACCUGUCCCGGGGGGCCACAUGGGCUGUAGGGGGUGCGCCUUGGCCUUCAUGGGCCAAGGGCACCAGCCCCUAUAGGCCCAUGCGCCUAGGGUUUCCCCCUAGGAGGAGUCCUAGUGGUGGAAGGCACCCCUAGGUGCCUUGGGGGGGAGGGAAACCUCCCCUAGGCCGCCGCCCCCCCUAGUAGAUCUCAUCUACUAGGGCCGGCGCCCCCCUGGCACCCCUAUAUAUAGUGGGGGGGAGGAGGGACUUCAUACACCAGCCCCUGGCGCCUCCAUCUCCCCCCCCGUUACGUCUCUCCCUCGUAGUCUCGGCGAAGCCCUGCUGCUGUGACGCCCUGCAUCCACCACCACACCGUCGUGCUGCUGGAUCUUCAUCAACCUCUCCUUCCCCCUUGCUGGAUCAAGAAGGAGGAGACGUCUCCCGUCCCGUACGUGUGUUGAACGCGGAGGUGCCAUCCGUUCGGCGCUGGUCAUCGGUGAUUUGGAUCACGUCGAGUACGACUACAUCAUCACCUUGCAAGCUUCCGCACGCGAUCUACAAGUGGUAUGUAGAUGCAAACUCUCUCCCUUGACUCGUUGCUUAGACGAACUCAUAGAUGGAUCUUGGUGAAACCGUAGGAAAAAUUUUAAUUUUCUGCAACGUUCCCCAACAGUGGCAUCAUGAGCUAGGUCUAUGCGUAGUUCUCUUUGCACGAGUAGAACACAAUUUUGUUGUGGGCGUGGAUUUUGUCAUCUUACUUGCCUCUAAUAGUCUUUUCUUGCUCAACGGUAUUGUGGGAUGAAGCGGCCCGGACCAACCUUACACGUACGCUUACGUGAGACCGGUUCCACCGACUGACAUGCACUAGUUGCAUAAGGUGGCUGGCGGGUGUCUGUCUCUCCCACCUUAGUUGGAGCGGAAUCGAUGAACAGGGCCCUUAUGAAGGAUAAAUAGAAGUUGACAAAAUCACUUGUGGUAAUUCGUAGGUAAGAAAAUGUUCUUGCUAGAACCCAAUUGCAGCCACGUAAAAGAUGCAACAACAAUUAGAGGACGUCUAACUUGUUUUUGCAGCGAUUGAUCAUGUGAUGUGAUAUGGCCAGAAGUUGUGAUGAAUGAUGAAUUGUGAUGUAUGAGAUCAUGUUCUUUGUAAUAGGAUUCACGACUUGCAUGUCGAUGAGUAUGACAACCGGCAGGAGCCAUAGGAGUUGUCAUUAUUUUUUGUAUGACCUGCGUGUCAUUGAAUAACGUCAUGUAAACUACUUUACUUUAUUGCUAAACGUUAGUCAUAGAAGUAGAAGUAGUCGUUGGCGUGACAACUUCAUGAAGACACGAUGAUGGAGAUCAUGGUGUCAAGCCGGUGACAAGAUGAUCAUGGAGCCCCGAAGAUGAAGAUCAAUGGAGCUAUAUGAUAUUGGCCAUAUCAUGUCACAACUAUAUAAUUGCAUGUGAUGUUUAUUAUGUAUUAUGCAUCUUGUUUACUUAGGACGACGGUAGUAAAUAAGAUGAUCCCUUAUAGAAUUUCAAGAAGUGUUCUCCCCUAACUGUGCACCGUUGCUACAGUUCGUCGUUUCUAAGCACCACGUGAUGAUCGGGUGUGAUGGAUUCUUACGUUCACAUACAACGGGUGUAAGACAGUUUUACACAGCGAAAACACUUAGGGUUAACUUGACGAGCCUAGCAUGUGCAGACAUGGCCUCGGAACACGGAGACCGAAAGGUCGAACACGAGUCGUAUGGAAGAUACGAUCAACAUGAAAAUGUUCACCGACGAUGACUAGUCCGUCUCACGUGAUGAUCGGACACGGGCUAGUCGACUCGGAUCGUGUAACACUUAGAUGACUAAAGGGAUGUCUAAUCUAAGUGGGAGUUCAUAAUUUGAUUAGAACUUUAUUAUCAUGAACUUAGUCUAAAACCUUUGCAAAUAUGUCUUGUAGAUCAAUGGCCAACGCUAAUGUCAACAUGAACUUCAACGCAUUCCUAGAGAAAACCAAGCUGAAAGAUGAUGGCAGCAACUAUACGGACUGGGUCCGGAACCUGAGGAUCAUCCUCAUAGCUGCCAGGAAACAAUAUGUCCUAGAAGGACCGCUAGGUGACGCUCCCGUCCCAGAGAACCAAGACAUUAUGAAUGCUUGGCAGUCUCGUGCUGAUGAUUACUCCCUCGUUCAGUGCGGCAUGCUUUACAGCUUAGAACCGGGGCUCCAAAAGCAUUUUGAGCACCACGGAGCAUAUGAGAUGUUCGAAGAGCUGAAACUAGUUUUUCAAGCUCAUGCCCGGGUCGAGAGAUAUGAUGUCUCCGACAAGUUCUACAGUUGUAAGAUGGAGGAAAACAGUUCUGUCAGUGAGCACAUCCUGAAGAUGUCUGGGUUGCACAACCGUAUGACCCAGCUGAACAUUAACCUCCCAGAUGAGGCGGUCAUUGACAGAAUCCUCCAGUCGCUCCCACCAAGCUACAAGAGCUUUGUGAUGAACUACAACAUGCAGGGGAUGGAAAAGACCAUUCCUGAAGUGUUCUCGAUGCUGAAGUCAGCAGAGGCUGAAAUCAAGAAAGAACAUCAAGUGUUGAUGGUCAAUAAGACCACUAAGUUCAAGAAGGGCAAGGGUAAGAAGAACUUCAAGAAGGACGGCAAAGAUGUUGCCGCGCUUGGUAAGCCAGUUACCGGGAAGAAGUCAAAGAAUGGACCCAAGCCUGAGACUGAGUGCUUUUAUUGCAAGGGGAAGGGUCACUGGAAGCGGAACUGCCCCAAAUACUUAGCGGAUAAGAAGGCCGGCAACACCAAAGGUAUAUUUGAUAUACAUGUGAUUGAUGUGUACCUUACCAGUAACCGUAGUAACUCCUGGGUAUUUGAUACCGGUGCCGUUGCUCAUAUUUGUAACUCACAGCAGGAGCUGCGGAAUAAACGGAGAAUGGCAAAGGACGAGGUGACGAUGCGCGUCGGGAAUGGUUCCAGAGUCGAUGUGAUCGCCGUCGGCACGCUGCCUCUACAUUUACCCACGGGAUUAGUUUUGAACCUUAAUAAUUGUUAUUUAGCGCCAAGUUUGAGCAUGAACAUUGUAUCAGGAUCUCGUUUAAUACGAGAUGGCUACUCAUUUAAGUCUGAGAAUAAUGGUUGUUCGAUUUAUAUGAGAGAUAUGUUUUAUGGUCAUGCUCCGAUGGUCAAUGGUUUAUUCUUAAUGAAUAUCGAGCGUAAUAUUACACAUGUUCAUAGUGUAGAUGCCAAAAGAUUUAAAGUUGAUAACGAUAGUCCCACAUACUUGUGGCACUGCCGCCUUGGUCACAUUGGUGUCAAGCGCAUGAAGAAGCUCCAUGCUGAUGGACUUUUAGAGUCUCUUGAUUAUGAAUCGUUUGACACGUGCGAACCAUGCCUCUUGGGCAAAAUGACCAAGACUCCGUUCUCCGGAACAAUGGAGCGAGCAACCAACUUGUUGGAAAUCAUACAUACCGAUGUGUGCGGUCCAAUGAGCGUUGAGGCUCGCGGAGGAUAUCGUUAUGUUCUCACUCUCACAGAUGACUUGAGUAGAUAUGGGUAUGUCUACUUAAUGAAACACAAGUCUGAGACCUUUGAAAAGUUCAAGGAAUUUCAGAAUGAGGUGGAGAAUCAACGUGACCGAAAGAUAAAAUUCUUACGAUCAGAUCGUGGAGGAGAAUACUUAAGUCACGAAUUUGGUACACACUUAAAGAAAUGUGGAAUCGUUUCACAGCUCACGCCGCCUGGAACACCUCAGCGAAACGGUGUGUCCGAACGUCGUAAUCGCACUCUAUUGGAUAUGGUGCGGUCUAUGAUGUCUCUUACCGAUUUACCGCUAUCAUUUUGGGGAUACGCUCUAGAGACAGCUACAUUCACUUUAAAUAGGGCACCGUCUAAAUCCGUUGAGACGACACCGUAUGAAUUAUGGUUUGAAAAGAAACCUAAGCUGUCGUUUCUGAAAGUUUGGGGAUGCGAUGCUUAUGUCAAGAAACUUCAACCUGAAAAGCUCGAACCCAAGUCGGAAAAAUGCGUAUUCAUAGGAUACCCUAAGGAAACUGUAGGGUAUACCUUCUACUUAAGAUCCGAAGGCAAGAUCUUUGUAGCCAAGAAUGGAUGCUUUCUGGAAAAAGAGUUUCUCUCGAAAGAAGUAAGUGGGAGGAAAGUAUAACUCGAUGAAGUACUACCUCUUGAGCAGGAAAGUGGCGCAGCGCAGGAAAUCGUUCCUGUGAUGCCCACACCAACUGAAGAGGAAAACAAUGAUGAUGAUCAAGGUACUUCGGAUCAAGUUACUGCUGAACUUCGUAGGUCCACAAGGACACGUUCCGCACCAGAGUGGUACGGCAACCCUGUCCUGUUAAUCAUGUUGUUAGACAACAAUGAACCUUCGAACUAUGAAGAAGCAAUGGCGGGCCCGGAUUCCAACAAAUGGCUUGAAGCCAUGAAAUCCGAGAUAGAAUCCAUGUAUGAAAACAAAGUAUGGACUUUGACAGACUUGCCCGAUGAUCGGCGAGUGAUAGAAAACAAAUGGAUAUUUAAGAAGAAGACGGACGCGGAUGGUAAUAUUACCAUCUAUAAAGCUCGACUUGUCGCUAAGGGUUAUCGACAGGUUCAAGGGAUUGACUACGACGAGACAUUCUCUCCCGUAGCGAAGCUAAAGUCCGUCCGAAUCAUGUUAGCAAUUGCCGCAUACUAUGAUUAUGAGAUAUGGCAGAUGGACGUCAAAACAGCAUUCCUUAACGGGCAUCUUAAGGAAGAACUGUAUAUGAUGCAGCCGGAAGGUUUUGUCGAUCCUCGGAACGCUAACAAAGUAUGCAAGCUCCAGCGAUCCAUUUAUGGACUGGUGCAAGCAUCUCGGAGUUGGAACAUUCGCUUUGAUGAGAUGAUCAAAGCGUUUGGGUUUAUGCAGACUUAUGGAGAAGCCUGCGUUUACAAGAAAGUGAGUGGGAGCACUGUAGCAUUUCUCAUAUUAUAUGUAGAUGACAUACUCCUGAUGGGAAAUAAUAUAGAAUUUCUGGACAGCAUUAAGGCCUACUUGAAUAAGUGUUUUUCAAUGAAGGACCUUGGAGAAGCUGCUUAUAUAUUAGGCAUCAAGAUCUAUAGAGAUAGAUCGAGACGCCUCAUAGGUCUUUCACAAAGCACAUACCUUGAUAAGAUUUUGAAGAGAUUCAGAAUGGAUCAGUCCAAGAAGGGGUUCUUGCCUAUGUUACAAGGUAUGAGACUGAGCUCAGCUCAGUCACCGACCACGGCAAAAGAUAAAGAAGAGAUGAGUGUCAUCCCCUAUGCUUCAGCCAUAGGAUCUAUUAUGUAUGCCAUGCUAUGUACCAGACCCGAUGUAAACCUUGCCGUAAGUUUGGUAGCAAGAUACCAAAGUAAUCCCGGCAAGGAACACUGGACAGCGGUCAAGAAUAUCCUGAAGUACCUGAAAAGGACGAAGGACAUGUUUCUCGUUUAUGGAGGAGACGAAGAGCUCGUCGUAAAGGGUUACGUCGACGCUAGCUUCGACUCAGAUCUGGAUGACUCUAAGUCACAAACCGGAUACGUGUAUAUGUUGAAUGGUGGAGCAGUAAGCUGGUGCAGCUGCAAGCAGAGCAUCGUGGCGGGAUCUACGUGUGAAGCGGAGUACAUGGCAGCCUCGGAGGCAGCACAUGAAGCGAUUUGGGUGAAGGAGUUCAUCACCGACCUAGGAGUCAUACCCAAUGCGUCGGGGCCGAUCAAACUCUUCUGUGACAACACUGGAGCUAUUGCCCCCGCCAAGGAGCCCAGGUUUCACAAGAAGACCAGGCACAUCAAGCGUCGUUUCAACUCCAUCCGUGAAAAUGUUCAAGAUGGAGACAUAGAGAUUUGCAAAGUGCACACGGAUCUGAAUGUCGCAGAUCCGCUGACUAAACCUCUCUCGCGUGCAAAACAUGAUCAACACCAGAACUCUAUGGGUGUUCGAUUCAUCACAAUGUAACUAGAUUGGUGACUCUAGUGCAAGUGGGAGACUGUUGGAAAUAUGCCCUAGAGGCAAUAAUAAAAGUAUUAUUAUAUUUCAUUGUUCAUGAUAAUUGUCUUUUAUUCAUGCUAUAACUGUAUUAUCCGGAAAUCGUAAUACACGUGUGAAUACUUAGACCACAAUAUGUCCCUGGUAAGCCUCUAGUUGACCAGCUUGUUGUGAUCAACAGAUAGUCAUGGUUUCCUGACUAUGGACAUUGGAUAUCGUUGAUAACGGGAUCACAUCAUUAGGAGAAUGAUGUGAUGGACAAGACCCAAUCCUAAGCAUAGCAUAAAAGAUCGUGUAGUUCGUAUUGCUAGAGCUUUGUCAAUGUCAAGUAUCUCUUCCUUAGACCAUGAGAUCGUGUAACUCCCGGAUACCGUAGAAGUGCCUUGGGUGUAUCAAACGUCACAACGUAACUGGGUGACUAUAAAGGUGCAUUACAGGUAUCUCCGAAAGUAGCUGUUGGGUUGACACGGAUCGAGACUGGGAUUUGUCACUCCGUAUGACGGAGAGGUAUCUUUGGGCCCACUCGGUAAUGCAUCAUCGUAUUGAGCUCAAUGUGACCAAGGUGUUGGACAUGGGAUCAUGCAUUACGGUACGAGUAAAGUGACUUGCCAGUAACGAGACUGAACAAGGUAUUGGGAUACCGACGAUCGAGUCUCGGGCAAGUAACGUACCGAUUGACAAAGGGAAUUGCAUACAGGGUUUGAUCGAAUCCUCGACAUAGUGGUUCAUCCGAUGACAACAUCGAGGAGCAUGUGGGAGCCAUCAUGGGUAUCCAGAUCCCGCUGUUGGUUAUUGACUGAGAGCGUCUCGGUCAUGUCUGCAUGUCUCCCGAACCCGUAGGGUCUACACACUUAAGGUUCGGUGACGCUAGGGUUAUGAAGAUAUGUAUAUGCAGAAACCCGAAUGUUGUUCGGAGUCCCGGAUGAGAUCCCGGACGUCACAAGGAGCUCCGGAAUGGUCCGGAGGUAAAGAAUUAUAUAUAGGAAGUGCUAUUUCGGGCAUCGGGACAAGUUUCGGGGUUAUCGGUAUUGUACCGGGACCACCGGAAGGGUCCCGGGGGUCCACCGGGUGGGGCCACCUGUCCCGGGGGGCCACAUGGGCUGUAGGGGGUGCGCCUUGGCCUUCAUGGGCCAAGGGCACCAGCCCCUAUAGGCCCAUGCGCCUAGGGUUUCCCCCUAGGAGGAGUCCUAGUGGUGGAAGGCACCCCUAGGUGCCUUGGGGGGGAGGGAAACCUCCCCUAGGCCGCCGCCCCCCCUAGUAGAUCUCAUCUACUAGGGCCGGCGCCCCCCUGGCACCCCUAUAUAUAGUGGGGGAGAGGAGGGACUUCAUACACCAGCCCCUGGCGCCUCCAUCUCCCCCCCGUUACGUCUCUCCCUCGUAGUCUCGGCGAAGCCCUGCUGCUGUGACGCCCUGCAUCCACCACCACGCCGUCGUGCUGCUGGAUCUUCAUCAACCUCUCCUUUCCCCUUGCUGGAUCAAGAAGGAGGAGACGUCUCCCGUCCCGUACGUGUGUUGAACGCGGAGGUGCCGUCCGUUCGGCGCUGGUCAUCGGUGAUUUGGAUCACGUCGAGUACGACUACAUCAUCACCUUGCAAGCUUCCGCACGCGAUCUACAAGUGGUAUGUAGAUGCAAACUCUCUCCCUUGACUCGUUGCUUAGACGAACUCAUAGAUGGAUCUUGGUGAAACCGUAGGAAAAAUUUUAAUUUUCUGCAACGUUCCCCAACACGACCCACCUCGCUUUGUAUCAUUCAAGAGUGCCGUCCGCGCGCAGUUUUUGACAGAAAACCCAUUUUCCCGUGAUGAUAUUUGCGCGUGGAGGUUUAGGCACAAGCUCCCAGGUACGGUUUUCAGUGAGAGCGGCGAACUCCUCUCGCAUGGUGGCGACCCAGUUGGGAUCACGAAGAGCAAUGCGCACUGAGCGCGGAAGGGGGGAGAUCCUCGGUGAAGCGGCGACAGAGGCAACACAAACGUAGUCCGCGGCGUACUUCUUGUUUGGCCGGAACACGCCGGCGCGUGCACGAGUGACGAUCGCUGGCGCGGGAGGAGGUGGAGCAACGGAGCGGCCCGAUCCAUCGGAUGAGGAUCCAACGGAUGCAUGGGAGCCGGACGUGCAUGGGCUGGAGCAGGGAGUGGACGUAGCCCAAGACGCGGGGGAAGUGGGUGAGGGAGGGUUUGAAUGUGGGCCGCAGGAUGGGGAUCUGACGGCGCUGGUCAAUGCAGGUGUGUGCGCGCGAGAGAGAGAGCGGCAGGGCGUGGGCUGACUGAGGUGCGUGGUUAGGGAAGGAUGGGUGGGUACCGGCACGAGGCGUGGGUGAGAGAUCGUGGGAGCUGGUGGCAGUUGCGGUGUGGCAAAGGGGAAGGUGAGUUCGUCAAAACGAACAUGGCAAGAAGUGAGCACGCGAUGAGUGUUGGGGUCGUAGCAGCGAUAACCACGAUGAUCUGGGGGAUAGCCCAAGAAAACACAUGCCAUAGAGCGAGCAUCAAGCUUAUGACGCGCGGUCGAGGUGGUGUUGGGAUAACAUAGGCAGCCGAAAACGCGCAAGGCGGAGUAGUCGGGAGCUACGCCAAGGAGGAGUUCAUGCGGGGUACGCGGCGAGCUAGACGCACAGGGUUUGUAGUUGUGAAGGAGCGUGGCGGUGGCGAGCGCUUCAGCCCAGAAGCGAGGCGGGAGUGAGGUGUGAAAGAGAAGUGCGUGCAUGCUCUCGUUCAGAGUGCGGAGAGCACGCUCGGCAACCCCGUUUUGUUGGCUCGUGUAGGGGCAUGACAGGCAAAGGACUGUGCCGUGGCGAGAGAGGAGGGAGCGAACGGCGAGGUUGUCAAACUCGCGGCCAUUAUCGGUUUGCAAAGCCAGGAUAGGACGCUCAAAUUGAGUGUGAACAUAGGCGUAGAAAGCAGUGAGCACACAAAUCACACCAGACUUGUUUCGAAGAGGAAAGUCCAUACAUAGCGCGUACAACUAUCAAUGAUAACUAGGUAGUAUUCAAAACCAAAAACGCUAACAACUAGAGAAGUCCAAACAUCUAAGUGUAAUAGCUGAAAUGGGAAAUAGCUAGUAGACGUGGAGGCAGCGAACGGCAGGCGUGUGUUCUUGCCGAGGCGACACGCUGAGCAGGAGUGCGGAGUGGAAGGCGCGCAGGUGAACUCGAACUGACCCAGAGCACGACGGAGCACCUCCGUGCCGGGAUGCCCAAGACGGCUGUGCCACAACUCAGCAGACGCGACGCCGACGAAGUAGCUAGCGCACGGGACGGCAGGGUUGCAGCACACCUGGUACAGGUCGCCGAUCGAGUCACACCGAAGGAUCACCAGGCGGGUGCGGAUAUCCUUGACAGAAAACCCAAAGGCGUAAAAUUCCACGGAUACAGGAUUAUCGCGAGUAAGACGACGUACAGAAAGAAGAUUGGUGAUGAUGGAGGGAGAGAGGAGCACAUUGUGGAGCUCGAGAGAGGAGUUGUUGGCGAUGAGCGAGCCACGACCAGUGUGCGUAAUGGGCAUGCAGCCGCCAUUGCCAACAAUAAUAUCACGAGGAGGAAAGGAAGGACGAAGGGAGUGGAGAGUACCAGGGUUGGAGGUCAUGUGCGAUGAGGCGUCCGAAUCCAUGUACCAGUCAGAGGUGCUGGCCGGUGGCGGCGGCGAGGACGAGUGCGCGGCCUGAAGUGCAGUCUGGAGGCCACCCAUGUCCCAUGGCUGCUGCGGCGGGGGAGGCGCGCUGCUGGAGCUGGCCCCUGGCGACCCAUAGGUGAACCCGGGGAGGAGCGCAGGAUACCCGACGUAGGCGGCAGGCGCACCACCGACGAAGAGAGCUUGCUGCGUCGGGAAGCCCGGGCGGGGCCCGAGGACGCUGGCCCCUGGCGCACGCCAGGGCAUAGGCCACGCCUGGACCAUGCCAAUCCAGGAGUGGGCGCUCGAGGAGGAGCCUGGUAACGCAGCCGGACGUGGAACGGGCGGAGUCGAGGGUGGUGUAGUCGAGGACGAGCCCCCCGUUGCCCCGACCGCGGCGACGGUUGCGCCCACGCCCGCGACCAGCCCCGCCGUCGGAAGGAGGCAUCGGGGGCGCUGGGCUAACCGGCAGACGCGCCGCGAUGAGAGCAUGGGCGGAUUGCUGACGAGCCGCCUGCUCGGCGCGAUGUUCUUCGAGGAGGAGGAAGGAGUGGGCCUCAAGGAACAUGGGCAGCGGGACACGCGAGGUGAGGUGGGGGAUCGCGGUGUGGUACUGGAGCCCGAGCCCGCGCAGCAUGUUGAACAGUUGCUGCGGCUCGGAGACAGGCUGGCCGAGGUCACGAAGUUGAUCGGCGAAGGACUUGAGGCGAGUGCAGUACUGCAUCACCGUGAGGUCGCCCUGCACCACAGCGUGGUACUCGACAUCGAGAUACACUGCCCAGGAGAGGUUGUUGUCGCGGAAGAUGCCCUCGAUCGCAGCCCAGAGCACGUCGGCGGUGUCGUCGGGCUGCAUCACGGCGUCGAGCAUCUCGGGAGAGACAGUGGAGUAGAGCCAAUGAACGACGCAGUGGUCGACCAUGACCCAUUCGGGAUAGCGACGGCGAGGGGCGGCAGGAGCGACGAGGUGGUCGCGCACACCGAACAUGCCGACGAUGGUGCGGAAGAAGCGUCGCCACUGGGCGUAGUUUCCGGCAUGGAGGUCGAGGGUGACCGAAACGUGAUGCCAGAUGCAGCGGCGCCGGGGGCACGGUGGACAGAGGCGCGCUCGCGGGCUGGGCGGGCGCCAGAGCAGAGGGCGGAGGCGCGCUCGCGGCCAGAGCGGACGCAUCAUCGUCGGAGGUGUCAGGGGUGGCUAGGGGAUUGGUGUCCAUGGCAGCGGAAGGAGAGGACAGAUCGGGCGCAAACGGGUUGGUUGCGGCAGCGUCUGAUACCAUGUUUCAGGGAAGGAGAUCUAACACACUGGUUCCAAUCAUCUGUGGAGAUACAUAUACAGGGGAGCAGCGGGUGCUUGAGCCACGAUGGUGAUCAUGGAGUGACCAUGCUCGAGAGGUGGAGGGACGUGUGUGCGUAAGGGAAAACUGUACACACGUACGCUAUACUAGCCUGAUGUAGAGACUACGUACAAUACUCACACACACAUAUACAUGUAGCUUAACAGCGUCAUCUUGGCCCGCCACGAAACUCCAGCGAGAGAUCCCUCCACGCGAGAAGGAAGAGGCCCGGAUGCUGCCAGUUGCACUUGGGGAUGAGAGCCCGCCACCGCCGUCAGCAAGGCGGCCCUUGACCGGCGGCAUCCUUCAGCGGUAGUGAGGGGAACAAGGGCGGAGGAGAGGGAGGUGGCAGCUCUAGGGAUCCGCCCGAGCCACCCCGCGUGGGAGCGACGCGGGGGUCACACCCACACGAUGUAUAUAAUGGAAGGAAAGGAAAAAGAAUAUGACCAACCAUCUUCUCAAUGCCAGCUAGUUUUGCAUGUAAAGCCUCCAUGGCAAUAAAAUGGCGCAGGUUAACAAGCUUGUUGCCUUUCGGCAAAUUUGUACUUGUUAAAUUGUGAUCGAAAUUCUAACGUAUUGGACUAGACGUAGUACAUGCGGUGUAAGCCUUUUCGUUGGUACCGAUGCAUACGAGUACAACUCGUUUACUUGUCCUCAAGGACUCUUAUUUAUUGCUCUCAUAUAUACUCCAUGUAGUCUCACCUAAAGACUGUCUGUCGUCUCGUGCUUGUAAUACUCCUCCAUCAUAGUGAUGCUCUUGUCGUCUCGUGCGUCCGUGAUUUCUCCCGUAAGGGUUUUCAUGUAAAAAUCCGUGUGCUCUCGUGUCUCGUUUAUCUCGUUUUAUCUAACAAGUGGUAUACACGAAGUAGCACAUACGAGAUUUGAGACGAAAGAAUUAGGGUUGCGGUCUGGUCCGCCGCCGCCGACCUGCAAUUCGACAAAUCGCAGGUUUUGCCGAGAGUGCCGACAGGAGUUCAGUCGACCGGGUCAAGUUCGGAUAUUCCUCUGCGUAUCCGAGAUCGAUCGCUGCUAGCUGUACGAGCUGCAGCCGCAUGUCGCCGGGACCGACAGGGUUUCCAUCGCGCGCCGCUUCGAAAGCAUGGCCACGUCUUCCCGUCCAUAGCAGCCUUGCUUCAAGUCCCGACGAAUCGGCUCAAGUUCAACUGUACAUCACGUGAAGACAAGUACCGCACUAUCUCUUGGAUUUUUUACUACGUGAAGCUUAUCCUGAUUCACUAGUACUAGAGUACAAGUUCAGAUUCUGUUUUUCUGUCUUCGACUGCCACGUCCACCCGAAGCUACCAGGUGCUACUGUUUUUUGUUUCGUUUGAUCCCCAUAUUAAAUUAUGUCAAGAAUUUUCUACCGGCUUAUACUACUUGUGUACACAGAUUUAAUCAACUCAUGGCAUCGAUGAAGUAUGAUGUUCCGCUGCUGGAUCAUGACACAAGGUUUACCUUAUGGCAAGUCAAGAUGCGGGCGUUGUUGGCAUGUGCUGACUAUGAUGAAGCAUUGGACAGUUUUGGAAAGAAUCGGACUCAAGACUGGACUAUGCGGAGAAAAGAAUAGAUCGUAAGGCUUUGUCACAAAUUCAACUCCAUUUGCAUAACAUAAUAUUUCACAGAAAGUUUUGAGCAAAAAAACUGCCGCUGUUCUAUGGUUAAAGCUGGAAGGGAUUUGCAUGACUAAAGAUUUCACCAACAAGAUGCAUUUGAAGCAAAAAUUAUUCCUGCACAGGCUAUCCGAGGGGGGUAAUGUUUUGAAUCAUAUUUUAGAAUUUAAAGAGAUUAUAUCUGAUCUAUCUGCAAUGGAGGUUAAGUAUGAAGAGGAAGAUACUGCUUUAAUGUUACUCUUUUCACUGCCAAGUUCUUAUACCAAUUUUAGAGACACCAUAUUAUACAAUUGUAAUACUCUCACACUUAAUGAAGUUUAUGAAGCUUUGAACUCCAAGGAAAAGAUGAAAUUAAUGGUGCCUCAUGAUGGUUCAAGUUCAUCCCAAGCAGAGGGAUUAUCUGUUCGUGGCAGGACAAAGGAGAAGAACUCCAAUAAUGGAAAUAGAGGCAAAAGUAAAAAUGGCUACAGGGGCCGGUCGCAAUCCAGAGACAAGAAAUAUUGCAGAUAUUGCAAGAGAGACGGGCAUUACAUUUCAGAGUGUUACAAGUUGCAGAACAAAGAAAAGAAGAAAGGUAACAAACAAGGUGAAAAUUCUUCUAACGUUGCUCGUGAUGAUAGUUCCGAUGAUGCUCUUGUCGUUAUUGCUUGAUGUGCUGAGACCAAUGAUGAGUGGGUACUUGACACUACAUGCACUUUUCAUAUGUGCCCGCAUAGAGAUUGGUUUACUACUUUUGAUUCCACUUCUGCUGCUGGUUCUGUUUUGGAUUUUGGUAAUUCACCAUGCAAGAUUGAAGGCAUAGGUUCCGUUCGAAUCAAGAUGUUUGAUGGCACAAUCAAAACUUUGACAGAUGUUCGGUAUAUUUCGAAGAUGAAGAGAAAUCUUAUCUCUAUGAGUGCCCUUGAUACAAAAGGUUACAAGCAGGUGGAGAUAGUGUUUUGAAGGUCACCAAAGGUUCCCUUAUUGUGAUGAAAGGUGACUUAAGUUCGACCAAUGGUCUUUAUUACCUUCGAGGUUCUACCGUUUCAGGUAAUGCUACUCUAGUUAUUUCAAAGAAUUCUGAUUGUGAUGCUGCUAACCUUUGGCAUAUGCGUCUUGGACAUAUGAGUGAACUUGGUUUAGCAGAGUUAAAUAAGAGAGGUCUUCUUGAUGGAUAUGAACCUGGUAAAUUGAAAUUUUGUGAGCAUUGCGUCUUCGGCAAGCAUGAGAGGGUGAAGUUCAACACUUCGACUCAUACAACCAAAGGUAUUCUUGAUUAUGUUCAUUCUGAUUUAUGAGGAACAUCUCGCAGAAAGUCACUUGGUGGUGCUAGUUACAUGCUGACUAUUAUUGAUGAUUAUACGAGAAAAGUUUUGUCUUAUUUCUUGAAGCGUAAAUAUGAAGCAUUCUUGACAUAUAAGGAGUGAAAGAUUAUGAUUGAGAGACAAGCUGAAAACAAGGUAAAGAUACUUCGCACUGAUAAUGGUAUCGAAUUCUGUUGUAAGCAAUUUUAAAAUUAUUGCAAGUCUGAAGGCAUUCUCAGACACUGCAUCAUUCCUUAUACACUUCAACAAAAUGAGGUUGCUGAGCGUAUGAACAGGACCAUUAUUUUCAGAGCCUGUCGCAUGUUGUCCAAUGCAGGUUUGCAUAGGCAUUUUUGGGCUGAGGCCGCUUCCACUGCUUGUUAUCUCAUCAAUCGUUCACCAUCUAUUGCUCUUAAUAAGAAAAACUCCAAUUCAGGUAUGGUCUAGUUCACCUGCUGAUUAUUCACAGUUGAGAGUUUUUGGUUGCACUGCUUAUGCUCAUGUUGAUAAUGAAAAGUUGGAGCCUAGGGCUGUUAAGUGCAUCUUUCUUGGUUGUAAGUCUGGUGUUAAAGGUUUUAAGUUGUGGAAUCCUGAAACCCAGAAGGUUGUUAUUAGCAGAAAUGUUUGAUACGUCUCCAACGUAUCUAUAAUUUUUGAUUGUUCCAUGCUAUUAUAUUAUGUGUUUUGGAUGUUUAAUGGGCUUUACUAUACACUUUUAUAUUAUUUUUGGGACUAACCUAUUAACCGGAGGCCAGUCCAAAUUGCUGUUUUUUUGCCUACUUUAGUGUUUCGCAGAAAAGGAAUAUCAAACGGAGUCCAAACGGAAUGAAACCUCUGGGAGAGUUAUUUUUGGAACAAACGCAAUCCAGGAGAAUUGGAGUGGACGUCAAGAAAGAAACAAGGAAGCCAUGAGGUAGGGAGGCGCGCCCAGGGAGGGUAGGCGCGCCCCCCACCCUCAUGGGCCCCUCGUGGCUCCCCUGACCGACUUCCUUCGCCUAUAUAUACUCAUAUACCCUGAAAACAUCCAGGAGCACCACAAAACCCUAUUUCCACCACCGCAACCUUCUGUACCCAUGAGAUCCCAUCUUGGGGCCUUUUCCGGCGCUCCACCGGAGGGGGAAUCGAUCAUGGAGGGCUUCUACAUCAACACCAUAGCCUCUUCGAUGAAGUGUGAGUAGUUUACCACAGACCUUCGGGUCCAUAGUUAUUAGCUAGAUGACUUCUUCUCUCUCUUUGGAUCUCAAUACAAAGUUCUCCUUGAUCUUCUUGGAGAUCUAUUCGAUGUAAUUCUUUUUGCGGUGUGUUUGUCGAGAUCCGAUGAAUUGUGGGUUUAUGAUCAAGAUUAUCUAUGAACAAUAUUUGAAUCUCCUCUAAAUUCUUUUAUGUAUGAUUGGUUAUCUUUGCAAGUCUCUUCGAAUUAUCAGUUUGGUUUGGCCUACUAGAUUGAUCUUUCUUGCAAUGGGAGAAGUGCUUAGCUUUGGGUUCAAUCUUGCGGUGUCCUUUCCCAGUGACAGCAGGGGCAGCAAGGCACGUAUUGUAUUGUUGCCAUCGAGGAUAAAAAGAUGGGGUUUAUAUCAUAUUGCUUGAGUUUAUCCCUCUACAUCAUGUCAUCUUGCCUAAUGCGUUACUCUGUUCUUAUGAACUUAAUACUCUAGAUGCAUGCUGGAUAGCUGUCGAUGUGUGGAGUAAUAGUAGUAGAUGUAGAAUCGUUUCGGUCUACUUGUCACGGACAUGUUGCCUAUAUACAUGAUCAUGCCUAGAUAUUCUCAUAACUAUGUGAAAUCACAAGUGCUCCCUGGGUGAUUUUGGUAAUUAAUGUCAACAUAUCUCUUGUUGGACUAACACUUCUGAUGCGGAGCAUCCCUCGACCAUCCCCAUGGAUGUCACACCGCCACCACAAGCAUGGAGAGGACCUACGACGAGAGCUCAUGAACGCGACGUCGGAACCGAGGUGAACUCUUUCCUCUUUGAGUUUCAUUCGGAUUCCCACGAGAGUCGGGUUCUACCUCAAAUGGAUACAUCGUGCAUUCUUAGGUACUUGGGAGAUCGUCACGGGGAAGCACGGAGGCAACACCAAGUUCACCCGGAGACGCAAGAAGGAAGGAGAAGGAAGAUGGGCACGAAGGAGUGGAGCCACUAGACACCUCGGGUGCCCGCCCCUGCGUCCGCGGGUGCCCGGCCGCCGGCUGUGCUGGGCCUGGUUGCCCCGGGUGCCAGGCCAGGAGGCCCCGGGUGCCCGGCCGCCCCAGCCUGGGCGCUUCCCGCUGCCCCGGGUGCCCGGCCAACUGGCCCCGGGUGCCCGGUCCCUCCUGCUGGCGCUGCUGCCUUCCACCCCGGGUGCCUGGCCCAUGCCCCCAGCCGCCUAGCGCGCCCCCGGGUGCCCGGGCCAUCUGCAGCCGGCCCUGUCCAACCCGGGUGCCUGGCCCUUCGGCCCCGGGUGCCCGGCCACCUACAGCCGCACCACCUCCGGGUGCCCGGGCCUCUUUGCAUCGGGUGCCCGGACCACUCCGAGGGCCUUCCUGCCUUGUUGGGCUUUUGCCCAGUUACCCAUCUCCACCUCUUAUUUCACCCCUAGACUAUAAGUACCCCCCACCUAGCUCAUUUAGAGGGAUGGCAAAGUAUUUGAUAGACAUUUGUGAGCUUUUCUCCAUGGAUCCACUCCACUAGGAGAUCAAGACCUCCUCUUGGAGUGACCAAACAUCAAGACCUCCUCCUUGGGGAAGGAUCCCCAUCAUAGGAUCAUCAAGCCCUCAUCUCCUUCAUAGGAUUUGGGAUGAACUCUACCAUGUAUCUUAUUUCCCUUUGAUUGUUCAUGUACCUUGUGGAUCUUGUAUGUUUGUUAGUCUAGUGGAUGUGUGAUUUGGACUUGUUCUUGAGUGUUCCUCUUGUUUUCCCUCUUGUGUUCAUCUUGUUCUUUGGGAUUUCCCCUCCAAUUCGUGAAAGAUCUUCACCUAGGGUUCCACCCUACAACAUCUUGGUAUCAUGAGCCAUGGUUUCUCACAAAAUUGGAGCCCCCAUCUUGUUUUCUAGCCUAAUUUUGUGUGUUCUUCCCCAAUUUCAAAAAUUCCCCACCAAAAAUAGCCCCAAUUUUUUUGUGAUUUGUUGGUUUGAUGAGAUUUUGUUGGAUUUGAUCCGUGGAUUUGCUUGGUUUCAAGUGAAUCUAGCAUCCCCCCAUCCAUCUCCACCUUUCCCUCCACAAAAUCCACCAAUUUCUUGCAUCUUCCCACGAAUUUCCGUCCAAAUCCGACACCCCUGGGCACCCGGACCUCAAACCCCGGGCACCCGGACCUCCCCGCCCACCCCCCUGACCACCCCGGGUGCCUGCACCCCAAACCCCGGGCACCCGCACCCCCGGGCUGUUUGCCUNNNNNNNNNNNNNNNNNNNNNNNNNNNNNNNNNNNNNNNNNNNNNNNNNNNNNNNNNNNNNNNNNNNNNNNNNNNNNNNNNNNNNNNNNNNNNNNNNNNNNNNNNNNNNNNNNNNNNNNNNNNNNNNNNNNNNNNNNNNNNNNNNNNNNNNNNNNNNNNNNNNNNNNNNNNNNNNNNNNNNNNNNNNNNNNNNNNNNNNNNNNNNNNNNNNNNNNNNNNNNNNNNNNNNNNNNNNNNNNNNNNNNNNNNNNNNNNNNNNNNNNNNNNNNNNNNNNNNNNNNNNNNNNNNNNNNNNNNNNNNNNNNNNNNNNNNNNNNNNNNNNNNNNNNNNNNNNNNNNNNNNNNNNNNNNNNNNNNNNNNNNNNAACACCUUUAGGCCAUAACUUUCGCUCCCGGAGUCCGAUUUUGACGUUCUUUAGCUCGUUGAGUAGCUAUUGACAUCCCCCAGCCAUCUAGAUAGGUUCCAACAUCAUUUGAAUCCAUAAAUUGUUUGGCAUUUUGGCAUCUUUGCAUAGGCCAUCCACCAUAUCAUUCGCAAAACCACCAUCGCUUUCCGCCACCGAACCCAUUUUAGUCUCAUAUAGAAUUUGUGGUUGCUUGAGUGGUGACUUGAGUCUCCUAAGGUAUUUCGUCUACUUAGGGACGGUUGCUUUGUCAUCAACCACCACCACCACUUCCGCAUUGCUAACUCCGGAACCACCAACGCAUUUCGCUACCACCAUUUGACAUUUUCCUUGAGAUUUUGAGUUCACGGUUUUUUACCGUUUCCUAAGGUGUUUCGGCUACUUAGGGACGGGUCUACAUCAUCUUGGUAUCUACAUCAAGAACACCGCCACUCAUCAUCGCCACGAGGUCGUCAUCGACAUCGACCACUUCACCAUUUUGACAACCUAACCGUAAGCAAGAACGGUAACCUCCAUAUCACUUUGGUAUCGUGGUAUCCCUUCAUUGUACAUUCUUGCCAUUAAAUUGUUAACCCCUUAGCCCAUUUUGCGUCACUUGCCUAUCGAGACUUGCCAUUUGAGUAUUGCCGACAACGUUACUUGUGCACAUUAGUGAUCCAUACCUUCCAUUGCAUACAUAACAUAUCAUAUUGGUAUCAUCGUGGUAUCAUCAUAUCAUCCCUUGUGUCACAAGAUCGUUCCCGCAUAUACACAUUGCUACUUGGUUUGUGCAUUUCGCAUAAGUGGCCAUAUCAAAAAAAAAAAAGCUUUUAAGCAAAAAGAGAGCAAAGAGCUUGUAAGCAAGAGCCAUAGCAUCGCCACAUUGCAUACCAUACUACCAUAUUGAUCAUCUUGGAUCAUCGUGUGCGAAACACCGGGAACAUCAUACACAUAGCAUACUUGGGAUAGAAAGCUCAUACAUCUUGCAUCUUAUAGGUUGUGCACAAGUGCCAUAUCCGCCUAUUGAGCAAUCGUGCUAGAGUCUCUCUUGAGUUGUGCAACACGACCGUUUUCCGUGGAUUCCACAUUUUGUGCUCAUUCCUUGAUUGCAUGACCCCAUUUAUCUAUCCUUAUGUGUGUUUCUGUGUGCCACAUAUUGCUAUUGGUCUACUUGUUUCACUUGCAAAUUUGUGAAUCUUUUCCAACAUUAUUGACUCUUGCUAACAUUUUGCAUCAAAUUUUGUGCCACUAUCCUCACCGAGCUCCACUAUAAGCUUUACUUGAUAGGUGUGAGUGAACAAGUCCGGUACCAAUUCCACUAUUCUUUCAUCUCACAUUGAGUGAAACGGGAUACAUCCUCAACUUUGGGAAAAGGUAACUUGGUAUUGUUUAUCUCAUUUCCUACUCACCUCUACUCGAGUCUUGUGAUGGAUAGGCAAGGCAUUUCAUCUCCGGUCUUCCACGACAACGACGGCAUGAACAACUACAUCACCAAAAUGCCCAUCUUCGGACUACAACGAGUAACACGAGGCAUUGAGCGACUCACCGCCGACAUUCAUCAACUUGAAGCACGAACAAGAGACUACCUCGACACCAAGUUGGCCGAACAAAGGGAUCAAGUACGAGACAUGAUGGCCAACCACAAGUCUUCUUCCCCUUCGUCAUCUUCAAGGCAGCGGUGCUCAAGUUGCCAAUCUUCGGAACGUCAUCGAGCUCAAGCACUACAACACCAUCAAGAUGAAGAUGCUCGCGAUGCGUACACCUACAAGUCCCAGAAAGCUCUACAUCAAGCUACGGCCAAACGUCAUGAGCACAAGAGAAGACCGCGAGACAAGCACCACCAAGACGGAGCUACGACUACUACCACCACUUCGGCAUCUUCGCCAAGUGUUCUCAAGGCCAUCCACGACGACAAUGACGAGAUGAUCGAGCAUGGGAUUUUCCCUUCGGUCAUGGAGGAGAGUGAUGAUGUGCCAUCUUCGGCCUUCAUCCACGGCGACAAUGACGAGAUGGUUGAGCAUGGGAUUUUCCCUUCGACCACGGCGAUGUAUGAUGACUUGAGUGACUUGUGCCACCAUAUUGAGAGUGAGAGUGACUUCACCACUAGCCCCAUAUAUGACGAGUUGCCCCAAUUCCCAUGUGAGGAGAGCCACCAACACCACCACUUGAGUGAUUUGAGUGACUCCACCAUAUGUGACAUUGUGUGCACCUACCUUGAGGGAGUGAGUGAGCAACCACCACAUAGAGAGCGUGAGGUAGUUGAUAGGGCACGUGAGGCCAUUUCGAUUUCUAACAACUUAACCUCUACCUCUAUUGUGUCUUCUCAUUUGGUGCUAGGUCCCAUAUAUGAUGACGCGCCGAUUCAUGACGACUAUGUCCUCCCUUUGGACAAGACGAUGGCCAUGGUGAACUAUGAUGCACCUCCCACAUGGUUCCAUCACGAUGAUGACGUUGGCCACGCUUUGGUCUUUUGCACCUCACCUACACCACUUGAGUGGAACGAGAAAGGUAACAUAGGUGAAGGUGAUGCUCUUGUCCCACUAGUGGACAUUCUUGACAUUGAUUGCUUGCAUGAUGUUGAUCCACCUAUUUCCAUGCUUCAUGCUAGUGCGAUUACCCCAUACGAUGAUUUGCCCAUUUAUGAUGAGUAUGAUGAUUCUCAUGUGGACUCUAGUAGUUGUGAUGCCAUGUUACAUAGGAUUUCUUGUGACAAUUCUCUAGGUCACAUCAUGUUUGAAAAUCCUCUUGACUUGUCAUAUGCUAUGCAUGAGAACAAAAAUAUGUCAUAUUUGCAAUCUCAUCUUAGUGCCUAUGCAUUUGCCAUCAACAUAAACCCAAUUUGCACAUAUGGCAUAGACGACAAGCCCUUGGUUAUUGGCAUUUGUUUUUCUUGUGAUGAUAUUGGUAUGCUUCCUUUGCAUCAUUUAUCUCAUAUGCCAUGCCAUGACCACCUAGCUUUGGAUAUGCAUUGUUUUGGAUGUUCUCCAUUUUCUCCAUAUGAUGUUUCCACUAUUGCUCAUGAGGACACCCCCAUAGUUUCCUCAUACAUUUUAGGAGAUUUUGAUUCAUCCUAUCCAUUGCAUGAUCUCACUACGUGUGUGCACCAUAUGCUCCCCAUGAAUGAAAAUGCUAUUGUUGUGUCACACACUUGCUAUAAUUUGCGUCCAAAACAUGUUGAACACAAUAACUAUCAUUGCAUGAUGGAUGACAUAUUUCUCUACCAUGCCUCAAAUUUCUUUGAGCGAUGCUUAUCUUGUGCUAACUCACAUGUGCACAUACAUAUCAUGAUGGAUGAUGUGUACAUUUACCACGCGCACAAUUUUUUUGGUUUGUGUUUCUUUUGUGUAGGUACCCAUGAAUACUUGUCAACCUCACAAUCCCAUGAGUUGAAAAAACGAGCUCUAGAGAGCAACGAUGACUUGGGAUCACAUGGAUUGCCUUUCCCACCGCUCUCUUCGCGCACAGACUUCGUGCAUUUCUUCUACAUGGCUCUCACUUGGUUAUGGGUUAUUUACCACUUCUCACUUUAUGCCCAUAUUGCCAUGUUCACUUUGCGUGAUAUGCUCAUUCAUAUGCCUUUGCCAUGCAUUUGUGACCCAUGCUUUGCAUUACACAUGAUGAUUGAUUCUACUACUUGUAUGUGUAUUUGCAAGCUUGGUGGAGAUAUUGCUUGUUAUUGCCAUGUUUGCUAUGUGCCCCAUGCCUACAACGAUACUAUGAUCUUGCUUUGUGUUCGUGCUCGCGAUAUGUCAUGUGCAUUGUCUAUGCCUAUUAUUUGCUCACAUGACAUGAUUGCCAUGAUUUCCUCUAGUGUGUUGCAUCUUCGCUCCACUAGUUCACACGACUUGAUUUUUAUGCUUUCUCAUGUUGCAUCCACUUCUUGGAUUACUUGCUACUAUCACAUGUUUGGUUGCAACAAUGUCAUUCCUUCACAUAUGCCAUGUCCCAUUGAUUGCUACAUGCUUGCCUUGAUUGCCUCACACAUGAUGAACAAUUGCUCUUGCUAUCGUGUUGAGUGCCACUCGAUUUUCACUACACCCUAUGCACAUUAUGCUUGGAUUGUCUUACACUUGACCCAUGUGUUUAGACAUUGCCUUUCAUUUGGCGUUGUGAAUGAUUCUUAUGCUUACCAUAGACCGUUCAUUGAGAGUCUUAUGCAUGCUUGCUAUGACAUUGAGGUAGAUGCUUGUUCACUUGUCCCACAUAUUAGCACCUUUACCUCACCCUUGCAUGAUCGUUUCCAUGAUGCUUCUCCAUAUGAUAAAUUUAUGUGCUUACAUGCUAUGCCACACUCCCUUGUCAAACCAUAUGCUAUGCUUGAUGACAACACUUGUUGGGUGAAGCACCUCUUGAAUGCUUGAUUUUGCUUUAACGCCAACCAUAUUUGUUUUUCCAAGUGCUUGUUAUCUUUGCUCCUUUUGAAGGAAUUACAAGACGGUGCGACAUUGGAGAGUGACCAUUUCGAGCUUCAACGUGACAAGUGCUUGGUGGUUGUCCACUUCCACUCGGCAACGCCUUCUCUUCCCCAUGGUGAUGAAGAUCACGAUCCAUGGACGGAUCUCUCCCAAGGGGAGAGAUGAUGCGGAGCAUCCCUCGACCAUCCCCAUGGAUGUCACACCGCCACCGCAAGCAUGGAGAGGACCUACGACGAGAGCUCACGCACGCGACGUCGGAACCGAGGUGAACUCUUUCCUCUUUGAGUUUCAUUCGGAUUCCCACGAGAGUCGGGUUCUACCUCAAAUGGAUACAUUGUGCAUUCUUAGGUACUUGGGAGAUCGUCACGAGGAAGCACGGAGGGAAACACCAAGUUCACCCGGAGACGCACGGAGGAAGGAGAAGGAAGAUGGGCAGAAGGAGUGGAGCCACUGGACACCCCGGGUGCCCGGCCCCUGCGUCCCCGGGUGCCCGGCCGCAUGCUGUGCCGGGCCUCGCCGCCCCGGGUGCCCGGGCAGCAGGCCUCGGGUGCCCGGCCACCCCAGUCUGGGUGCUUCCCGCCGCCCCGGGUGCCCGGCCCCUCCUGUUGGCGCCGCUGCCUUCCACCCCGGGUGCCCGGGCCUUGCUCCCCCGGGUGCACGGCCCAUGCCCCCAGCUGCCUGGUGCGCCCCUGGGUGCCCGGGCCAUCUACAGCCGGCCCUGUCCAGCCCGGGUGCCCAGCCCUUCGGCUCCGGGUGCCCGGCCACCUACAGUCGCACCACCUCCGGGUGCCCGGGCCUCUUUGCACCGGGUGCCCGGACCACUCUGAGGGCCCGCGUGCCUUGUUGGGCUUUUGCCCAUGUACCCAUCUCCACCUCUUAUUUCACCCCUAGACUAUAAGUACCCCCCACCUAGCUCAUUUAGAGGGAUAGCAAAGUAUUUGAUAGACAUUUGUGAGCUUUGCUCCAUGGAUCCACUCCACUAGGAGAUCAAGACCUCCUCUUGGAGUGACCAAACAUCAAGACCUCCUCCUUGGGGGAAGGAUCCCCAUCAUAGGAUCAUCAAGCCCUCAUCUCCUUCAUAGGAUUUGGGAUGAACUCUACCAUGUAUCUUAUUUCCCUUUGAUUGUUCAUGUACCUUGUGGAUCUUGUGUGUUUGUUAGUCUAGUGGAUGUGUGAUUUGGACUUUUUCUUGAGUGUUCCUCUUGUUUUCCCUCUUGUGUUCAUCUUGUUCUUGGGGAUUCCCCCUCCAAUUCGUGAAAGAUCUUCACCUAGGGUUCCACCCUACAACAACUUCUACCUAGUAUGUUUCAAACAAGUUCAACAAUGGAGUGGCAUGGACUAAAGGAUGUGGAACCCCUUCAAGAUGCUAAGGACAAAGGAUUGGCUCAAGCUCCAAGAACAAGACUCUACAUUUUGUAUUUUAGUGAUCCAAGAUCACAUUGAGUCUAUAGGAAAAGCCAAUACAAUCAAGAGGGGAUGAGGUGUUGCUUAAUGGCCUGCUUGCUCAAAGUACUUAGUGAUAUUCUCCAAAGCCCUCAACUACUUUCUCACAUCCACAUAUUUCCUAAACCAAACGUCUAACUCGGUCCUACCGAUUCUUUCCAUCCGGCGCCACCGAGUUCAGAUGUCUUAGCCACUGCCACAAACCCUAGGCAAAUCGAUCUCACCGAUAGGGAUCUUGGUCUCACCAAGAUGGGAUUGUAAUCUCUCUGUGUAUGUCCAUUACCAAAAUCGGUCUCACCGAGUUUGAGUAAUUGGUACUACCGAGAUUACAAUGCAAACUCUCUGGUUAACUUAUUACCAAAAUCGGUCCCACCGAGUUUGUGUAAUCGGUCUCACCGAGUUUGUCUGACCAACUCUCUGGUCAGCUUAUUACCAAAAUCAGUCCCACCGAGUUUGUGUAAUCGGUAUCACCGAGAUUACAUUAACCCCUAACCCUAAUCAUAUCGGUCCUACCAAGUUGCAUGUCGGUCCCACCGAAAAUCCUAACGGUCACUAGAUUUGCUGAAUCGGUCUGACCGAGUUUAUCAAUUCGGUUCCACCGAGUUUGGCAAGUUGUGUGUAACGGUUAGAUUUUGUGUGGAGGCUAUAUAUACCCCUCCACCCACUCUUCAUUCGUGGAGAGAGCCAUCAGAACGAACCUACACUUCCAGCAUACAUUUUCUGAGAGAGAACCACCUACUCAUGUGUUGAGGCUAAGAUAUUCCAUUCCUACCAUAUGAAUCUUGAUCUCUAGCCUUCCCCAAGUUGCUUUCCACUCAAAUCCUCUUUCCACCAAAUCCAAAUCCUAUGAGAGAGAGUUGAGUGUUGGGGAGACUAUAAUUUGAAGAACAAGAGCAAGGAGUUCAUCAUCAACACACCAUUUGUUACUUCUUGGAGAGUGGUGUCUCCUAGAUUGGCUAGGUGUCACUUGGGAGCCUCCGACAAGAUUGUGGAGUUGAACCAAGGAGUUUGUAAGGGCAAGGAGAUCGCCUACUUUGUGAAGAUCUACCGCUAGUCAGGCAAGUCCUUCGUGGGUGACGACCAUGGUGGGAUAGACAAGGUUGCUUCUUCAUAGACCCUUCGUGGGUGGAGCCCUCCAUGGACUCGCGCAACCGUUACCCUUCGUGGGUUGAAGUCUCCAUCAACGUGGAUGUACGAUAGCACCACCUAUCGGAACCACGACAAAAACAUCCGUGUCUCCAAUUGCAUUUGAACUCUCCAAACCCUUCCCUUUAUAUUCUUGCAAGUUGCAUGCUUUACUUUCCGCUGCUCAUAUACUCUUUGCAUGCUUGCUUGAUAUGUAUUGUGAGUGUUAAACUUGUGCCAAAACUCCACCUAAACUUAAAGAAGUUAAAAACCGCAACUUUUGGUACUUAGUGUCUAAUCACCCCGCUCUAGACACCUCUUGUCGAUCCUUUCAAUUGGUAUCAGAGCUUUGGUCUCCAUUGCUUUGGUUUAAACACCAUUGGAGGAAGAUGGAUGAGUCUACAAUUGGGAGUCUUAGACAUAGAGUGCCUAUACUUGAUGGAGAGUACUUUCAUGAGUGAAAAAAUGAGAUGCUUGUGAUUUUCAAUCAAUAUCAUUUGAACAAGUACAUUGCUAGCCCUUGUGCACCUCAUGUUGAUCCUAUGCAUCCUACUCUUGAUGAGUCAAUUGACAUGAUUCACAAUCUUAGAACUAUUGAACUUAUCAUUAGAGGCUUGCCUAGAAACUUGGUUGGAUGUUUGCCUACUCUUAAGUGUGCCUACACCAUAUGGAAAUUUCUUGAGGAACGUUUUCCAAAUUAUUCCUUGAAAAACCUUGAUGAAAUUCUCCAUAAGUCUAUUGCAUUGAGUAAGAUGAAUUCUAGUGAUCCUAUGUUUGGUGAUUGUCUAUUUGAGCUUACAAACCUUAUGCGUGCCAAAGGAGAUGUUGGAAUUAUUAGUGAUAUUAUUUCCGAAGCUAUAAAACUACAUAAGCAAGAGCAUUGUCAAACUCACUCUAAUGAAUCACCCUCUCUAGGAUUUGAUCCACCACAUGACGAUGUUGAACAUGGAUACUAUGAUGAGGAUGAUGAUAGUGACUUCUAUCUUGGUGAUGCAAUGAGACACUUUGGUCUUAUGGCAAAUCUUCGGGGAUAUAUGGCAGGAGGAAAGGAAUGGGUUCUUGAUAGUGGAUGUACCGAUCACAUAACCGGAGAUAAAGAUAUGUUUCGUGAGCUUGCUGAAAACGAUGGUCCACGAAAGUAUGUCACUUUCGAUGACAACUCAAAGGGUAAGGUGGUUGGCCUCGGUAAGGUGGCCAUAUCACAUGAUAGCUCCAUACAAAAUGUCAUGCUCGUUGAAUCUUUUGGCUACAACUUACUUUCAGUAUCUAGACUUGCUGAUUUCGGUUUCAAUGUCCUAUUUGCUGAAGUAGAUUGCCAAGUGUUUCGUAGAGAUAAUCAUAAAAUGGUCUUUAUCAGUGUACGUAGAGGUGAUCUAUACAUUGUUGAUUUCACUAAAAAGGCUCAACCUAGAACUUGCUUUGUUGCUAAAUCCUCUAAAGGUUGGUUAUGGCAUAGACGAUUGGGUCAUGUUGGCAUGAGAAACCUUGACAAGCUUAUUAAAGGAAAUCAUAUCCUUGGAGUUAAUGCUGUCAUAUUUGAUAAGGAUAGACUUUGCAGCACUUGUCAGGCAGGUAAACAGGUUGGAGGGAGGCAUCCCGUGAAGAACAUCAUGACCACAAGGAGGCCACUCGAGCUACUUCACAUGGACCUUUUUGGUCCCAAUGCCUAAAAAGUCUCGGUGGAAAUUCUUUUGGUCUAGUUAUAGUUGAUGAUUUUUCAAGAUUUACGUGGGUGUUCUUUCUCGAUGAUAAAUCGUAGGUUCAAAAGAUCUUCAAAAACUUCGCUAGGAAGGCCCAAAAUCAAUUUAAAGUGAAGAUCAAGAAGGUUCGCAGCGACAACGGAACGGAGUUCAAGAACGCAAAUGUGGACACCUUUCUUGACGAAGAAGGUAUUUCACAUGAGUUCUCGGCUACGUACACACCUCAACAAAAUGGAGUUGUUGAGAGGAAGAACCGGACGCUCAUCGAAAUGGCAACAAUGAUGCUUGAUGAGUAUAAGACGCUGAAGCACUUUUGGGCGGAAGCAGUUGAGACAGCUUGUCAUGCAACAAAUCGCUUGUAUCUUCACAAGCUACUCGACAAGAUGGCAUACGAGCUUCUCACCGAUAACAAACCCCAAGUUGGAUACUUUCGAGUAUUUGGCUCAAAGUGCUACAUUCUUGAUAAGCAUUGUCGUUCUAAAUUUGCUCCUAAGUCUCACGAAGGUUUCCUACUUGGCAAACUCUCACACAUACCAUGUCUACAACAAUUUCACCCGAAAGGUUGAAGAAACGGUAGAUGUGAAGUUUGAUCAAUCUAACGGCUCGCAAGUAGAGCAAUUGCCAAUUGAUGUAGGAGACAAAGAUCCCUCGAAAGCAAUCCAAGACUUGUCUAUUGGCAAGAUUCGUCCAACGGAGGUGAAGGAGAGUACCUCGUCCGUCCAAGUGGAAGCUUCUACCUCACAACAAGGUGAACCAAGAGUUGAUACGGAAGCAUCCACAAGUGGGACACACCAAGAUGAAGAAAACGAGGAAGUGCACCAAGACGAAUGUCAAUGACCCCCUUCUCCACCACGACAAGAGAACGACAACGCCAACAAUGAAGAAGGCCAAGAAGAAGAACAAGAUGAACAAGAUGUUCAACCAAGACCCAAGAAAAGGCUUUCACGAGUUCGAGCAAGAAUUGCUAAAGACCAUCCCGUCGAGCAAAUCUACAAUGAUAUCCAAACCGGGAGAAUCACUCGCUCUAAAACUCGUUUAGCUAACUUUUGUGAACACUAUUCAUUCAUCUCUAGGAUUGAACCUAUGAAGGUUGAAGAAGCAUUGGAAGAUCCGGAUUGGAUAAACACCAUGCAUGAAGAACUACUAGAAAAAGGGCUAUAGAUCGGAUUGACACUAAUGGUGCACCAGACAAGUGGUGCGCCAUUAGUAUAUACUAAUGGCGCACCACCUUCUGAUGCGCCAUUAGAGUUGAAACUACUAAUGGCGCACCUUGCCCACGGUGCGCCAUUAGUAUCAAUUUUUUUUUGAACUAGUGCGCCUGUCCAAACAUACUAAUGGCGCAUCCACAGGAAGUGCGCCAUUACUAGUUGUAACUAGUAAUGGCGCACCAGCCAGAAAGUGCGCCACUAAUGUUAUUUUUUUUAUUAUUUUUUUAUUCCUUUUUUUGCAAAACUACUAAUGGCGCACUCACACGCGGUGCGCCAUUACUAGUUUAAACUAGUAAUGGCGCACCGUGGGGGAGUGCGCCAUUAGUAUGUUUUUUUUCAAAACUACUAAUGGCGCACCACCAGGGGGUGCGCCAUUAGUAACCUGGAUUACUAAUGGCACAUUUGUGGUUGGUGCGCCAUUAGUAAGUGGGCAGCAACAAGAUAUUUUGGACAACCUCUCCUCCCACACUCACUUUCUCCCCACUUCAUUCUCUCCACCGCCUCCUCCUUGUCUCGGGUGCCUCCUCUUUUUCACCUCAUUUCCACCAUAGAUUCAUUCAAAUUAAGUGGUUAAGUUACCUUUUUUUGCUAGGUAAGUAAGGGGGGAAGCUAUAUUUAUGUUGUUCUCCCUACAACAAUGUGCACAUGCACUUUUUAUGGCCUAGCUAGAUCUAUGUACGUUCGUGGUGUUGCAUAUGUUUGUGGUGUUGCAUAUGUGUUUGUGUUUGGAGGUGUACCGGUAUUUGAAAUGCGAUAGUUGCCAAUAUUUUGCCGGAAUGUUGAUUCAUUUCCGUUUUGGCGAGAAUUUUGGCAUUAAGCAUUCUUUUUGGUCCUAUUUUUAGGGAAAGUCAUGCCAAAUUUUUUCUUGGUUCUAAAAUAUCGUUUUGCUCUACCCCGCAGGCGACCAUGGUCCGCACGAUGACCGAAGGCAUCAUGAAUAGGUUUUUGAGGUCCGCGAAGGACGAGAUGCUUCAAAAGAACGAGACGGAGAUAAGAUGUCCGUGUCGAAGAUGCAAGCUGAAUAGCCUUAUUGCGGACCCGGAUUCCGGGCAGGUGCGGGACCACCUGCUCUUGCGUGGUUUCAUGGAUGGCUAUCGGUGGCAAGGUGAUGAAGAUGACUACGAAGUCGUCCAUGGGGGCCGGGCAAGAAAUGAGGAAGGGCAGCAAGACAACCACCGCGGCUCGGGUGGGCGAGAAGACGAAGAAUCCCCAGGAGAUGAUCACGAUGGUGAUGCUGUACACAGUCAUCAUGUAGAAGAUGCAGGACAUGAUGAUGAUGCCGGCGGAGCAGACGACGCUGGACCAUCGAUGGGCUGGGUGCAGGACCCUCAUAUUCAAGAGCUGCUUCUCAAGCAGACGGAUAACACAAGAGCUGCCGCCCGAGAGAAAGCCAAGAUGGAUCAACUUGAGUUAGACGCGGUUACUCCAUUGUAUGAAGGAUGCAGGCCCGAGGAUACCCGCCUGAAAGUAACGCUCAUGGCUCUGGAGAUGAAGGUAAAACACAAAAUGACCGAUGCAUGCUUCGACGAGAACAUGUCAUUCUGGCACGAACGUCUUCCCAAGGGGAACAAGUGCCCGACCAGUUUGGAGGAGGCAAAGAAAAUUGUGUGUCCUCUGGAUUUACCGCACGUGAAAUACCAUGUGUGCAUGAACAAUUGCAUCAUUUAUCGGGACGAGCAUGCGGAGUCUACCAUAUGUCCGGUGUGCGGUGUCACUCGAUACAAGAAGAGGAAGAAAGCUCCUCGAAAAGGGGUGUGGUACUUUCCGAUCACUCCUCGUCUGCAGCGGUAUUUCAGGGACCCUAAGGUAGCAAAGCUCCUGCGUUGGCACGUGGAUAGGGAGGAGAAGAAGCGAGAAGAUGACGCAAAUGAUCCAGAGAUAGAUAAAAAAGACAAGAUGCUGAGUCACCCUAAGGAUGCGAGCCAGUGGCAAGCGUUGAACUUCGAAUACCCAGAAUUUGGGAACGAUCCAAGGAACAUCGUGCUGGGCGCGAGCACCGAUGGAGUCAAUCCGUUUGGCAGCCAGAGAAGCACACAUAGCACCUGGCCUGUGUUUGUGUGGAUGUACAACCUUCCCCCCUAGUUGUGCAUGAAGAGGAAGUACAUUCACAUGAGUAUGCUAAUUGAAGGGCCGAAACAACCAGGGAACGACAUCAAUCUGUAUCUGGGGCUGCUGAAAGAGGAGCUUGACACGCUGUGGAAAACGCCAGCCAAUACGUGGGACGCCGCAGAGAAAGAAUAUUUCCCUAUGAGAGCCGCACUGCUCACGACGGUGCACGACUAUCUCGGUUACGGAUAUCUUGCGGGGCAGGUAGUCCACGGAUUUUCUGGAUGCGUAAGGUGCAUGGAUGACACAACGUAUCGCCAGCUAGAUAGAGAUCCCGGGUCUUCGAAAACCGUGUUCAUGGGACAUCGAAGGUGGCUUCGCGACGAUGACCCGUGGAGGAAACGCAAGGAUCUGUUCGAUGGUGAAACCGAACCCCGAAAACGCCCGUGUACGAGGAGCAGCGAGGAAACAAGCUGUUGAAAAAUUGGAAAGACUGCCCACUGCCGGGAAAGAAGCAAAAGGCGCCAGAGCCGGGAAAGAAGCGAAAGGCGCCAGAGCCGCUGCUGAAGGUAUGGAAAACGAGGUCUGUUUUCUGGGACUUGCCGUAUUGGAAGAUCCACCGUGUGCCUCACAGCCUUGAUGUCAUGCAUAUCACGAAGAACGUGUGCGAGAGUCUGCUUGGUACCCUGAUCAACAUGCCAGAGAGGACCAAAGAUGGGCCGAAAGCAAGGGCAGACUUGAAAUCAAUGGGCAUCAGGCAGGAGCUUCACGCUAUAUAUGAUGAUGAUGAUGAUGAUGAUGAUGAUGAUGAUGAUGAUGAUGAUGAUGAUGAGGCAAAGCAGGACACAGAAACUCGUCGCAAAGGCAAAAAGGCCAAGAAGACCGGAAAUGACUACCCUCCCGCGUGCUUCACUCUAAGUCAGGAGGAGAUCGAGCAGUUUUUCACUUGCCUCCUAGGAGUAAAACUUCCUUACGGUUACGCGGGGAAGAUAAGCAGAUACCUAGACCCAGCGAAGCAGAAGUUUAGCAGGAUGAAGUCUCACGACUGUCACGUGCUGAUGACGCAGAUACUUCCAGUUGCAAUCCGUGGGAUCAUGGACGCGCACGUCCGUGAAACGCUAUUUGGCCUAUGCAACUUCUUCGACGUCAUCUCUCGGAAGUCGAUUGGCGUGAGGCAACUCAGAAGGCUACAGGAAGAGAUCGUGGUGAUACUAUGCGAGCUUGAGAUGUACUUCCCGCCCGCAUUCUUCGACGUUAUGGUGCAUCUGCUGGUCCAUAUAGUGGAGGAUAUCAUCCAACUCGGGCCGACGUUCCUGCACAGCAUGAUGCUGUUCGAAAGGAUGAAUGGUGUCAUCAAACGAUACGUUCGCAACAUGUCACGUCCAGAAGGAAGCAUAGCCAGGGGCUUUCUGACCGAAGAGUGCAUCUCCUACUGCACGAAUUAUCUAGGCAUCGAGAACCCCGUUGGUCUGCCCGUCAAUAGGCACCUCGGCAGGCUCACUGGAUGGGGUCACCGUGAGGGUCGCCGCGAAAUGCAUGUCGACUUCGAGGGUCGACUCGCCGACUUUGAAAGAGCAAACCUAGUCGCGCUACAACACAUAGACAUGGUCGAUCCUUGGGUGGUAGAGCACAAAACCUUUAUUAAGAAGACGUACAAUGACCGAGGCCAACAGAGGACAGACGGAGAUAUACUCAAAGAGCACAACUCAUGUUUCAUGCGUUGGUUCAAGCAGAAGCUUCUGUCGUACCCUUUACAUGAGGAUUCUUCCGCGGAAGAACAACUCAUAUUCGCCUUGUCACAGGGCGCCGAGCACAACCUGAUGACCUAUGAGGCGUACGAUAUCAACGGCUACACAUUCUACAUCGAGGCCAAGGACAUGAAGAGCGAUGGUUAUCAGAACUCCGGGGUAACGAUGGAAUCCUACACCGGUAACAACAAGGACAGAUACUACAGAAGGAUCGAGGAGAUCUGGGAGCUGAGCUACGCUGGAGAGAAGGUCCCGAUGUUCCGUGUCAGAUGGGCCAAGAACGUCAUAAAAGAAGACCGGUAUUUCACCACCAUGGUUAUACCCGAAGCCAAAUCCAAGACCCCGGGCGCAAACGUCACCGCGAAAAAUGAGCCAUGGGUACUGGCUUCCCAAGUGGACCAAUGCUUCUUCAUUACCGACCCGCCAAAGCCCAGUCGUGUUGUCGUGAGGAGAGGCAAAAGGAAGAUCAUUGGAAUGGAUGGAGUAGCCAAUGAGCAAGACUUCGACAAGUACGGCGACCCGAGGAUCGAACAUGACGACGAUGAUGAAGUAGCAGCAUACACCACAAGAAGAAGCAGGACCACCCUACCUAAAGGACGUCCGUUCCAUAGAAGAACUCCAUUUGCGAAAAAGAAGGGCAAGAAGAUUGUGAACAGAUAGCUAGCUAAGAUCGAUUGUAUUUAAAUCGUAGACUUCAUUUCUCGAUUGUAUUUCAUGGGCACUUUUUGAACUAUCAUGAAUAUUUUUUAAUUUCNNNNNNNNNNNNNNNNNNNNNNNNNNNNNNNNNNNNNNNNNNNNNNNNNNNNNNNNNNNNNNNNNNNNNNNNNNNNNNNNNNNNNNNNNNNNNNNNNNNNNNNNNNNNNNNNNNNNNNNNNNNNNNNNNNNNNNNNNNNNNNNNNNNNNNNNNNNNNNNNNNNNNNNNNNNNNNNNNNNNNNNNNNNNNNNNNNNNNNNNNNNNNNNNNNNNNNNNNNNNNNNNNNNNNNNNNNNNNNNNNNNNNNNNNNNNNNNNNNNNNNNNNNNNNNNNNNNNNNNNNNNNNNNNNNNNNNNNNNNNNNNNNNNNNNNNNNNNNNNNNNNNNNNNNNNNNNNNNNNGCUCCACCGGCAUUACUGUUUGAUGAUAUUUUUUAAAAAAUUAUUACUGUCUUAUAAAAAAAUUAUUACUGUUAUGAUUUUAAAAAGUUUGAACAUAUUAAAACACAAAUAAGUAUCAAACAGCAUUUUAAAUGCAUAAAAAAAUUGUGGAGCCUGGGAAUCGAACCCAGGACCUCCUGGUGUGAGAACUAGCUGCUGACCAAUCGAGCUAGUAGAGAAGACUUGACAUGUAUCAGGUCAGGUGGUAGAUAACUGUUGGCUCGAGCAGAAAUAAAAAAAAUACUAAUGGCGCACCAGGGUGAGGUGCGCCAUUAGCAUGUAUGUACUUAUGGCGCACCGACGGGUGGUGCGCCAUUAGUAUUGUGCCACCCCUAGCUACUUCGUACCGAUCCCCUCUCUCUCCCUCGCCCUCGCCCGCGAUCCCCUUCCCCUAUCUCCUCUCCCGACGCCACCGUUGCCCCGCCCCGACACCACCGUCGCCCCGCCGCCCUCGACGCCACCGUCGCCCCGCCCCGACACCGUCCGUCGCCCCGCCGCCCUCAACGCCACCGUCGCCCCNNNNNNNNNNNNNNNNNNNNNNNNNNNNNNNNNNNNNNNNNNNNNNNNNNNNNNNNNNNNNNNNNNNNNNNNNNNNNNNNNNNNNNNNNNNNNNNNNNNNNNNNNNNNNNNNNNNNNNNNNNNNNNNNNNNNNNNNNNNNNNNNNNNNNNNNNNNNNNNNNNNNNNNNNNNNNNNNNNNNNNNNNNNNNNNNNNNNNNNNNNNNNNNNNNNNNNNNNNNNNNNNNNNNNNNNNNNNNNNNNNNNNNNCGCCCCGCCGCCCCGACACCACCGUCCGUCGCCCCGCCGCCCCGAAGCAAGGUAUGCGACUGGUUCGUCCCCUGUCAUGGCCAGAUUGAUUUUUUUUCGGUAAACUAGGCUAGGGUUCGAUGGAUUAUGGAGAUUCAUGGUGAUUCAUCAGUAAACUAGGCUAGUCCGGUUUCUGAAACUGAAUCCUGUUUGGUUCAUUCAAUAAGGAACGGUGCCAAUGUUUAUCUAUCAGCAUGAACAAGUUAGCUUUCUGUAAAAAUAAAUUGGCUGAGUGAAUAGCCUCCUUUCUACUACUACAGAAGAAGUAACCCAAGUCGCCGAUGCUGUAUGAUCUUGUGAAUGUUACACAACGCAGGUGCUGAACUGACUAAGUUUGGAAUUUGUUUAGUUCUUUCAUAGGUGUCAGGCCUCAGAGGUUUUUAUUAGGGGACUCAAGAGGUUUACUUCUGAUGUUAUUCUUUUGAGUAGUUGCAGCAUGCUCACCAAUAGCUGGUCCAAACAGGAUCUAUAGAGGUAGAUAGAGUUUACAAUCAUCCUGAUGAAGAUAGAAAAUGACAAAUAUGAAACACAUUGAAAAUGCUCAUAUAGUUGUCAAUUCCAUGAAAAAUGAAGUGUACCCAAAUUAUAGAAUCAAAUACAAUGUUACUUGUGAGAUAUUUGGUACUGAAAUCUUGCAUUGAUGUAGAAUAUGGUCUUCCCUGGUAUUGUAAAUGAUUUUAGAGGUCAUCUCUCUGAAUAUUCAUGGAAUUUUUGGUCCUGCCGUCUAAUUCUGUUAGGCCAGAGUUCCAGUGUCUCAAUACUCUAGAAUAUAGUGAUAUCUGAAAAUUGUGGUAUCUUAUAUCUUCAUGCUAAAAUACUGUAGUUUUUUAAUACUUUGGUUUUUUAGCACUUUACUAUCAAACACAGCCUUAAUGCUUUUAUUUGCUACAUAGAUCUCCUGAUUGGUAGAAAGUAGUGGUACAGUUUAAUUCUGAGAUAGGUCUAUAUAUGCUAGCUUCGUAUUUGUUUGCUAAUGGCUAGGUGCAGAUGCUUCGUAUUUGUUUCUGCUGCCUAGUAAAAUUGCAACAUGUAAACAACCUCUGGUGAUGUGCUCUGGAGUUGAUAAUAUUGCCAUCUUAGGUCACUGCUGAGCUUGUCAAUCCAAAAGUCUGCAAGUAGAAGGCAGCGUUUGAUUAACUUCCGUUCCGGCAUGUGGCUUCAUGUGGGUGUGGGAUCCAUGGGUGUGGGAUCCAUGUGACAUGUGACAUUGCAUCCAUGUCCACCUGGGAUAAUAUUUUGCAGGUACCCCGAGAGGCCCUUGAGUUUGCCGGAAUGUCGAUUAACUUCCGUUCCGGCAAAUUCGGGUACUCCAUAUGUCCUAUUUUCAGCAAAGGUCAUUCUGAAAUUUUCCGUGAAUUUUAGCAUGACUUUGCUAAAAAUAGGACAUAUGGGGUACUUGUGACUAAUGCAUGGGCCGGGGUAUCGUAGUAGUUAAUUAAGUAGGAUCAAGUGCCCCGGCGUACUUGUGACUAAUGCAUGGCUUUUAGGGUGCCUCGGUGUCGAUAAAAACCGAAAUGAUGAAAGCUUAGGCUUUUAGGGUGCCUCGGCGUCGAAAAACCCUCAAUGAUAAAAGCUUAGAUUUUAGGAUGCCUCGGUGUCGACAAACCCUAAAUGAUGAGACCAUGAUCUUGUUCCUUGACAAUAACCAACUUUUUGACCAAACUUUGUUUCUAUUUAGAGAGAAACAUGGCCCACAACGAUGAGGCCGGGGGUUCGGCAUUCUGGGAGCUGUCCCAGGAGAUGGAGGAACAACCUCACUUGUAUGAGGCCGCCGCCUUCCCCACCGAUCCUGAGACCACUGAUGAUGCCGCCGAGGAUGACCCCACUGAUGCCACCACUGAUGGUGCCGCCGAGGAUGCCACCACUGAUGAUGGCGGCGCACGCACAGAUGGCAGCCAACCGAAGAGGCAACGGAAGGACCGGCGCCCGAUCGUGCUCCUCACCCUCAAGGAGGAAGUUACUGAAGUGGACUCCAACGGGAAUCCAACGGCGCCUGAAUGAAUAGUCAAGGGGUACUCGCUUCAGCUCGCGUGCAUUGUCCGGAGCACCGUCUCGAUCAACACCGAGAACCUGAGGCAUCCUGACCGAGGGAAUUUGCGCCACCUCCUCUUCACGAAGCUGCACGAACGAUACAAGUUCCCCGCUGAAUUUGCAAACACAAGCCUCAAAGGGAAUAAAGUGAACAAUGCUGCCCUCACGAAGAUGAGCAAGGCCUUGUCUACUUGGAAAAGCAAUGUGAAGAAAAUGAUCGAGAAAGGUGAGAGUUAUCAGAAGAUCAAGGAGAAAAAAUCCUUCGAUCACCGAAGAUGACUACAACGACUUCAAGAUCAAUUGCUCGAGCCCCGCAAAAUCCCAAUCAAGUGAGUGGGGGAAACAAAUGCGGGAGCUGAACAUAGGGGAACACACACUCGGUCCCGGCGGUUACAGAGUGGCGGAGCCUAUAUGGGACAAGGAGGAGGCGGACCGUGCCGAGCAAGGCCUACCGCCCCUCUUCGAUAAAUACGGUGACAAGCAGACCAGGAACUUUGUCAGGGCCCGGUACAAGAAGGACCCGAAAACAAAGGAGCUUACCAUGGAUCCGAAGACCAGACAGCUUGAGCUUGUUCUGGUAAGGAAUACACCCCCGCGUAAUUAGCUCCAUAUGGUUGCAUUCUAAUUAAUGAAGCCAAAUUUCUAAAUGGUUCACAUUCCUUCCGCAGGCGACUGAAAGCAGUGGCGCGGGGUCGACUAAGAGCAACCCUUGGGACACCACUCUAAAUAGGGCGUUGAAUGUAAUGAAGAAGAAGGAUAAGCUCAGUAAGCCGACGUCAGCUGGUCGUGUGGCCGGCAAAGGCUUGUCGACAAAAUGGGGGUCAUACUAUACCGCUGGUGUGCGGAAGGAGAAAAAGACCAGCUCGGAAAGCCAAGCGCGAGAGGUUCAAGAACUCAAGGCACAGGUGGUGCGGAUUCUGGAGAUUGUCCAAGAGCAAGUGGAACAACGACUCAGAGCAACGAUCACCGCCAUUGUGCCUACCUUGAUCUCGGGGUUGAGUGCGUGGAUUGCGGGCGGCCAACAGGGGCCGCCCCCGAUUCCUAGCUUCACGGCCAGCAACUCGCAUAAUGCGAUGGCGGGGCCAUUGGUGCCUCCGGCGGAGGCGGCAUUGGUGUCUCUGAUGCCGGCACGGGAGCUUAAUGCACCCGGGUGUACGCCGGCCGGCACCUCUGCAGCAAGCGGCCCCUCCGUCAACUGCACGCCCGCCGUUGGCGGUGCGUCAACAUUAGCCGAGCUCGACGCCAUCAUCACAGUAACUAAUUAAGCCUCUCUCGGCCGAGGACUUCAUCUCCUUGCCUUUGACUGGGCAUCCCUGACGCCCUACAUGUUUUCGCAGGGCGCCGCCGACGUUCCGUGCACUCUCCUCCACUUCGUGAACAACGAGUUGGUCGAUCUCGCCAAGGGCAAAAUCGUUCAACCGGGCAACCCCUUGUUCCACGGUACCCAGAUGCCACCCAACUUGUUUAGGGUUCAACUGGUUCGGGUGCUGCCAGGCUGCGACGACUUGUUACCUCCGAUUCGACCCGUCGGGGCCGACGAUGAUGACGUGAUGACCCUCAGCGCCUGACUGAGCUGGCCCCUGCUUUGGCCGAAGAGCUAGAUUCGUUUGGGGGCGGGGGACACCACCCCAAAGACAACACCGCCAGUCAUGCCGGAGCCAAGUCAGCCCCAUGGCAAGACCGCCGCAACGGUGCCGGACAUCCUUAUGCCACUGGAUCCAAACAUGCAUAUGGCACAGGAUCAGAAGAACGACGACGACGACGAUGAUACAUUUGGCAACGUUGAUCAGUACUUUGCUGAUCAUGGGUACGAUGGCGACUUCAUGGGGCCUCCUUCUCAAGAACCAAACCCAACAAAAAGACGUGUGCGAUCUAGCUGGUACCGCGGAGAAGCCAAGUUGCAACAGGCGCCGUCUGGCGUUCAGCUCUCAGGAGACGCCUCCAGCUGCUGACUUCACCGAGCCUCAGAUAGGCGAGGUGCGAAAUAUUAUCAGCCCCAACACACUCAAGAAGGCGGUCUGUGAGCAGAACUCGGUCCCAUUACAGGAGAAGAAGAAGGCACGCAAAAGAAAGACUAAGAAGGGUGCGAGCCAGCCGGCACCGAGUACGAUCCGUGCUCAGGACGGGCCACCUUCACCGCAGGAUAUCUCGAGGAGGGUGCAUGUGGCGGGUAGGGCGAUGCUACCGACAAAUAUGCUCAAUGCUGCAACCGGUGCUAUGCGGAGUCUGCAUGACAGUGUUCUUUCUUUGGAGAAGCGGCGUCUCAGAGAGAAGGAUGUGGCAUACCCGGUUUUCGCGGCCAAGGUGCCAGAGGGCAAGGGCUUUGUGGAUAACUCCAUCGGGCGUACGAUCGUCCUGCGUUUUGAUGACAUCCACGCUAUGUUGAACCUUCAUCCGCUGCACUACACCUUCGUUCGGCUAUUUUCGCUGAGUAUGGAGAUGCGGAUCAUUCGCGACAAGACCCCGGACAUCGUGAUAGUCGACCCCUUCUACAUGCGUGCCAAGAUCUUUGGCAGCGCUGGGGACCGGCAAGUCGCGAGUUCUUACCUCGAAGGCGUCAUUCUGGCAAACCAAGAUAAGGAUAACUUCCUCGUGCCUUACUUUCCCGAGUAAGUCCUCCCCUCAACCGGCCCGUAACAUAUGAAUUCUUACAUUUCGAUCGUUUUUCUUUUAAGAUUCCGUGUUUUCUGCAGUGACACACGUUGCACGCUCAUCCUCCUAAGCCCCAAAUAUUCCAUGGCCACGUAUUUCGACCCGGACCGUCAGUCGAACGUAGACUACACAAAUGUCAAGAAGGUUCUUGAUGAUGUUCUCCCCGGCUACGCCAAAUCUGGAGGCACCUUCACCAAGCCUAUUCGUAAGUACGGCAAGCAUGUGUUCUCCCACAAUACGACGUUCUGCUGCGUCAAGCAGCCGCCUGGCGGUCAGAAGGGUGCCUACUAUGCCAUCCAUCACAUGCGGGCGAUCGUACGGGACCAUCAUCAACUUCUGCUACCGAGUAAACUCAAAGAUUGGGCAAAGAGCGUGUCGGCAAUCCAGGACGCGGACCUCCGACAAGAAUUCUUUCGCAUCCAGUCGGAGUUUGCGGAAAUCAUCCAUCAAGAUGUCCUUCGUACCUCGGGGCAGUUCUACCUCAACAAUCAACCGUCCAACAGUGACAUCGACACAAUGCUACAAAUGCAGGCUGACAACGACUGUUAUUUCAUGACUCCCACGAUAGACGGCGGCUUCAUCCAUGCUCCGGUCCCUUGAGUCGAGUCAAAAGCAGUGAUGCUGUGUCUAGUUCUGAAACAUCGAUUGGCUCAUGUUGUAAUUAAACUUUAAUGAACUUGUAGUAUGUCUCUUUGGUUUCGAGAGUCAUUCAACUUAGAUGUAAUCGAUGCUAUUAAUGUCUUGCUUUUCUCUUCCGAUCGUUCUGUUGCAUACUUAUAUAUUGCUUAUGUAUUGUCUGUGAAUUGGUACUAACGUUUCGUUUGGCUAGUGCAUAGCGAUGCCGACGUAUGUCGUGUACAAGGGUAAGGUUCCCGGAGUCUACGAUGACUGGGAGGAGUGUCGGAGACAGGUUCACCGAUUCAGCGGUAACAGUUACAAAGGGUACACCACUAGGGCCGAGGCCGAAUCUAGAUACGCCCGCUAUCUAGCGGGAGAGGGGAGGGAGCGUUGGAGGAACCGGAUGAAGACGAGUUUCAUCGUGAUGAUGCUCAUCGUGAUGACCGCAUCUCUCUUCUAUGUGAUGGUAGUUUAGAUGAUCGAUAUCGACUUGUAAUGUGAAGACAAACUCGCUACUCGCGGUCUCGGGACUUGUAAUAUAAUGUUCUAUCUUUGUUCGGUCUUUUCAAUUCGGAGACUAAUAUGAUGAAUUGUAUUCGGAGACUAAUAUGAUGAAUUGUAUUCAAAGACUAAUCUUCUAUUGUAUUCGAUGAAUCUGUUGUUGAUGUGUGCUGUCUAUAUUUUGUCAAAUUAUACAUUUUGUAACCUGUGCAAAAAACAGAAAAUAAAAAAUAAAAAAACCUAAUAUUCAUACUAAUGGCGCAUCACAUGACAGUGCGCCAUUAGUAUGACAAAGCAUACUAAUGGCGCAUCACUGGACAGUGCGCCAUUAGUAUGCCGCGGUUACUAAUGGUGCAUCCCGUUGUAGUGCGCCAUUAGUAUGCCAAAGCACCUGGGUAUACAUGGCCCCUGGGAGGCAUACUAAUGGCGCACCCUGGCCUAUACUAAUGGCGCACCAGUGGUGAGCCAUUAGUAUACCAGAUACUAAUGGCGCACCAGUGGUGCGCCAUUAGUAAAAAUUACUAAUGGCGUGCUAGUAAUGGCGCACCACUGAUGCGCCAUUAAUGGCCAAAUUAGGUGCGCCAUUAGUAGGGGUUUUUCUAGUAGUGACAACUUUGAGAGAAAUCAAGUUUGGACAUUGGUUGAGAAGCCCGACAACAACCACAACAUCAUUGGUACCAAAUGGGUGUUUCGCAACAAGCAAGAUGAAGAUGGACAAGUAGUUCGCAACAAAGCACGUCUCGUCGCCCAAGGCUACACAAAAGUCGAAGGUAUGGACUAUGGUGAGACUUAUGCUCCCGUUGCUAGACUUGAGUCCAUUCGCAUCUUACUUGCCUAUGCUAAUCACCAUGAUGUCACCUUAUACCAAAUGGACAUUAAAAGUGCAUCUCUAAAUGGUGAAAUAGAGGAGGAAGUUUAUGUUAAGCAACCUCCCGGCUUUGUUAAUCCUAAGAAACCUGAUCAUGUUUACAAACUUCACAAAGCUCUUUAUGGUCUUAAACAAGCUCCUAGAGCGUGGUAUAAAUGCUUGACCAAAUUCCUUAUUGAAAAAGGCUUUGAAAUUGGAAAAAUUGAUUGUACUAUUUUUACUAAAAGGGUUAAUGGAGAACUACUUGUAUGCCAAAUUUAUGUCGAUGAUAUUAUAUUUGGUUCUACUAACCCUCAUUUUAGUGAAAAGUUUGGGAAGCUAAUGUCGGAGAAGUUUGAGAUGUCUAUGAUGAGUGAACUCAAAUUCUUUCUUGGUUUGCAAAUCAAGCAAACUAAGGAAGGUACCUUUGUCUCUCAAACGAAUUACACCAAGGAAUUAUUCAACAAGUUCAAUAUGCAAGAAUGCAAAGGUAUGACUACACCCAUGCCUACUAGUGGACAUCUUGAUUUUACAAAAGACGGUGAACCGGUCGAUCAAAAAGUUUAUCGCUCUAUGAUUGGUUCAUUAUUAUAUCUAUGUGCUUCACGUCCCGAUAUCAUGCUAAGUGUGUGCAUGUGUGCACGAUAUCAAGCUGCUCCUAAAGAAUGUCAUCUUAAGGCCGUGAAAAGGAUAGUGAGAUAUUUAAUCCAUACACCAAAUUUUGGCAUUGGUAUCCUAAGAGGGCCUCUUUCGAUCUUGUUGGCUACUCCGACUCGGGUUAUGCCGGUGAAAAGGUUGAUAGAAAGUUCACUUCGGGUACUUGUCAAUUUCUUGGUAGAUCUCUUGUGUCUUGGUCUUCCAAGAAACAAAACUCGGUAUCCUUAUCCACCGCUGAAGCAGAAUACAUUGCCGUUGGUUCAUGUUGUGCUCAGUUACUAUGGAUGACCCAAACUCUUAAAGAUUAUGGGAUAUAUGUGAAACAUGUUCCAUUACUUUGUGACAAUGAGAGUGCAAUCAAGAUUGCUCAUAAUCCCGUGCAACACUCUCGAACUAAGCAUAUUGAAGUUCGUCAUCAUUUCAUUCGAGAUCAUGUUGCUAAGGGUGACAUUAAUCUUAAGCAUGUUCGCACCGAAAAGCAAUUAGCGGAUAUAUUCACUAAACCACUUGACGAGAGAGUGUUUUGCAGGUUAAGAGGUGAAUUGAACAUCAUUGAUGCUUCAAACUUGGAGUAGGAGCUCCAUUGGAUACAUGCAAGACAUGAGCUUAUGACUAAUCCUUGAUAUUUCUCUUAUGAUGAAAAUCUUAUGUCUUGGAUAUAUUUGCACCUUGCAUGUUAUCUAACCCUUGUAGGUACUCGGAUGAAUCCAAUUCUAUGAGAUAGCAACUCACUCACAUCUUGAGCAAUCUCUACAUCACCAAGUCCCUACACAAUGGUGGUUGAAGACAAUGAAGCACGGAACCACUCAAACAUAUCCUUUGACAAAUUCUAUGUUGAUCUUCAUGAUUGUCAUUUUGGAUACACAAGUGCUCUUCCUUGCAAAAACUAACCCAUGUAGGUAUAUGAACUCAAAUUCCAAGUGGUGCUCCCAACUCUUGAUGAGCUACAUCAACCUUGAGCAACCCACACAAGUUCAACUACAUGAUCACGAUCAUCACCACCACCCAAGGUAUGUUAUUCCAUCUUAGAGAAGCUUUACUCCAAGACACGAGUCAAAGCAACUCGACAAAGAUGUGAAUACAUCAAGAUGCUUAAACAAAAAAUGGUAACCGAGCUUAAAAGAUGAGUAUGACCUAUGAUCAAGUGAUCUCACUUGACUCCUAAGUCAAUAUACUCUAACACAGGUGACUUUGUCGCCGACCAAUUCUAGAUGAAGUUCUCUCGUGUUCUUUUCCGUGCUCUUGCAUUUGUCUCAUGCAUAUUUGUUUCCCCUUCCAAAAAAAAACCUCAUCUAGAUUUCUUUUCUUUUCCUCUCUUUUCUAUUUGUUCUGCAUUCCCUGCAUCCAAUUCAUUGCAAAUCUUUCUAUUAAUUCCUUGCAAAUCCUUGUGAGAUCUUACUUGACUAGUGAGCUGAGGUGACAAGUGUUUUCUCUGCGAUGAACUCGGUCUCACCGGGUUGACGCUUUCGGUCCAACCGAAUCCUUUUGCUGCAACCGAAGCAUACCACUCGGUGCCACCGAUUUCACCACAGGAAAAACAUUUUGCCACUUAUUCCUGCAUUACUCUUGAUCCAGCUCCACUCAAUGAAUCUUGUCCUCUACAAGCAUCACAUUUUUAUCAGUUCUUUGUGUUGUGACUCAAGGACCAAACCCAUUCACGACAAAUUCCAGAAGGCCCUUCUUGGAAAUUGAUGUCAAAGGGGGAGAGAGAGAUCACAUCAAAGCUUAUCACUUCAACAGGGGGAGAGAGAUAUCCCUAGGGGGAGAGAAUACUCAAGGAGAGAGUAAUCUUCAAGGAUCCCAGAUGCUUGGUGUUCAAGAGGAGAGAUGCCACAUGUCUUCUUGAGGGGAAAGACAUGUUCAUAUGUGCCUAUUUGCAUUAGCUCUGUUCAUUUGCUUCCUUGAGCUCUGAUUUUGCAUUUAGCUCUGGCUUUCUGUUCCCUAUCUUCUCCCAGUAUCCCAUGCUAGAUUCAGGGGGAGCAAGCCAUCUAAGGGAAAGAAAUUAUUUAAAUUCAUUACACAUCUUUACCUUUGGGGACAUGUCUAUGUUCAAUGUGGUACUUAGUACUCACUCUCUACAUGUCAUCCCAAUCUUGGUACUCUUGUGGUUUAUUCUGUUUGCUCUGGCUAGUAGGUGUAUAUGUGUUAUCUAACCUUGUUUCUGCAGGUUCAUUCCAUCCUAAGCCAACUCAAGACCACAAGGUAAGUAUAUGCAUCACAGUCAUGUGUAUGAGGAAUUCUUGCUGAUGUACAUAUUGUUUGCAAGAAGGACUCAUGAGCAUGAAGGUACAUUUCCCACAUACACAUCUGUUGCUAUCUUUUGCUCUGAUGCAUAUGGCCAAGAUACAUGUAACACAUUGCUUACUCUGUCAUGUUUAUGCAUUCAGAUGCUCCUAUAUUCCAUAUUCACAUGAUUGCAUGCAUGUAGGGGGAGCCUAUGCUUGUUACAUGUCUUUCCAAAGCUUUACUUGCUAUUCUCUAUAUCUUUAUCUAAAGCUUUGAUGUAUGUUGUCAUCAAUUACCAAAAAGGGGGAGAUUGAAAGCAUAAGUGCUCCCUGGGUGAUUUUGGUAAUUAAUGUCAACAUAUCUCUUGUUGGACUAACACUUCUACCUAGUAUGUUUCAGACAAGUUCAACAAUGGACUGGCAUGGACUAAAGGAUGUGGAACCCCUUCAACAUGCUAAGGACAAAGGAUUGGCUCAAGCUCCAAGAACAAGACUCUACAUUUUCUAUUUUAGUGAUCCAAGAUCACAUUGAGUCUAUAAGAAAAACCAAUACUAUCAAGAGGGGAUGAGGUGUUGCUUAAUGGCCUGCUUGCUCAAAGUACUUAGUGAUAUGCUCCAAAGCCCUCAACUACUUUCUCACAUCCACAUAUGUCCUAAACCAAAAGUCUAACUCGGCCCUACCGAUUCUUUCCAUCCGGCGCCACCGAGUUCAGAUGUCUUAGCCACUGCCACAGACCCUAGGCAAAUCGGUCUCACCGAUAGGGAUCUCGGUCUCACCGAGAUGGGAUUUUAAUCUCUCUGUGUAUGUCCAUUACCAAAAUCGGUCUCACCGAGUUUGAGUAAUCGGUACUACCAAGAUUACAAUGCAAACUCUCUGGUUAACUUAUUACCAAAAUCGGUCCCACCGAGUUUGUGUAAUCGGUCUCACCGAGUUUGCCUCACCAACUCUCUGGUUAGCUUAUUACCAAAAUCGGUCCCACCGAGUUUUUGUAAUCGGUCUCACCGAGAUUACGUUAAGCCCUAACCCUAAUCAUAUCGGUCCAACCGAAUUGCAUGUCGGUCCCACCGAAAAUCCUAACGGUCACUAGAUUUGCUGAAUCGGUCUGACCGAGUUUAUCAACUCGAUCCCACCGAGUUUGGCAAGUUUUGUGUAAGAGUUAGAUUUUGUGUGGAGGCUAUAUAUACCCCUCCACCCACUCUUCAUUCGUGGAGAGAGCCAUCAGAACAAACCUACACUUCCAGCAUACAUUUUCUGAGAGAGAACCACCUACUCAUGUGUUGAGGCCAAGAUAUUCCAUACCUACCAUAUGAAUCUUGAUCUCUAGCCUUCCCCAAGAUGAUUUCCACUCAAAUCCUCUUUCCACCAAAUCCAAAUCCCAUGAGAGAGAGUUGAGUGUUGGGAAGUCUAUCAUUUGAAGCACAAGAGCAAGGAGUUCAUCAUCAACACACCAUUUGUUACUUCUUGGAGAGUGGUGUCUCCUAGAUUGGCUAGGUGUCACUUGGGAGCCUCCGACAAGAUUGUGGAGUUAAACCAAGGAGUUUGUAAGGGCAAGAAGAUCGCCUACUUUGUGAAGAUCUACCGCUAGUGAGGCAAGUCCUUCGUGGGUGACGGCCAUGGUGGGAUAGACAAGGUUGCUUCUUCGUGGACCCUUCGUGGGUGGAUCCCUCCAUGGACUCGCGCAACCGUUACCCUUCAUGGGUUGAAGUCUCCAUCAACGUGGAUGUACGAUAGCACCACCUAUCGGAACCACGAAAAAAACAUCCGUGUCUCCAAUUGCGUUUGAACUCUCCAAACCCUUUCCUUUAAAUUCUUGCAAGUUGCAUGCUUUACUUUCCGCUGCUCAUAUACUCUUUGCAUGCUUGCUUGAUAUGUAUUGUGAGUGUUAAACGUGUGCCAAAACUCCACCCAAACUUAAAGAAGUUAAAAACCGCAACUUUUGGUACUUAGUGUCUAAUCACCCCCCUCUAGACACCUCUUCUCGAUCCUUUCACUAUGCACUUUUCUAUCAAUUGCUAGACAGUAAUUUGUUCACCCAUCGUAAUACUUACGCUAUCUUGAGAGAAGCCACUAGUGAAACCUAUGGCCCCCGGGUCUAUUUUCCAUCAUAUAAGUUUCUGAUCUAUUUUAUUUUGCAAUCUUUACUUUCCUAUCUAUAUCAUAAAAAUACCAAAAUUGUUUAUCUUAUUAUCUCUAUCAGAUCUCACUUUUGCAAGUGGUCGUGAAGGGAUUGACAACCCCUUUAUCGCGUUGGUUGCAAGGUUCUUAUUUGUUAGUGAAGGUACGAGGGAUUUGAGUGUAGCCUCCUACUGGAUUGAUACCUUGGUUCUCAAAAACUGAGGGAAAUACUUACGCUACUUUGUUGCAUCACCCUUUCCUCUUCAAGGGAAAACCAACGCAUGCUCAAGAGGUAGCAAGAAGGAUUUCUGACGCCGUUGCUGGGGAGUCUACGCACAAGUCAAGAAAUACCAAGUACCCAUCACAAACUCUUAUCCCUUGCAUUACAUUAUUUGCCAUUUUCCUCCCUUUUUCCUCUCCCCCACUUCACCCUUGCCAUUUUAUUCGCCCUUCUUCUGUUCGUCUUUUCGUUUGCUUUGAUGUCUUACUUGGCUCGUUUGCUCGUUUGGUUGGAAUAGUUGUUUAUUUAUUGCUAAACAGAGAACCUAGGAUCUAUGGAUCCUCAUCCGCUUGCCAAUCUUUUUAAGAGAUCCAAUUAUGAUGAACCAAAUUCUAGUGAUUUGAGUGCACUAGAUUAUCUUUAUGAGGUUUUGCUUGAAAUUCGUGAAUCUGAAAAUUGUGAUGAAGAAAUUUAUGAAGAGAUUCAUGAUAGCUCCUUGAAUAAAAAGCAUGAUUGCAAUGAUUUUAUUUUAAAUUCUCUUGAUGUCAAUUGUGCUAAUAAUAUCCAAAACCCUAAGCUUGGGGAUGCUAGUUUUGCUAUGUCUACUACUUGUUGGAAUGAUCAUGAUUGGGGUGACCCUUCUUAUGAUCUUGAAAAUUUAUUUAAGACCCAUGAUGAAUAUGAGAUUGAUAAUAGUGUUUGCAAUAAUAUUGAAAGUGGGUUUGGAAGAGUGUCAACUUUAGAUCCCACAUAUUUGGAGAAUGUUCAAUCUUAUGGUAUUUUUGAUAAAAGUGGGUUUGGAGAGGUCAUGACUUUAGUUAAUGAUAAUCCCACUAUUUUGGAAGUGUGUCAACUUCACAUGCAUGUGGAUCAUGUUGAGAAUAUGUUAUGUGAUAGCUAUUUUGUUGAAUUUGCCUAUGAUCCUACAUGUAAUUAUUAUGAGAGUGGAAAAUAUGGUCGUAGAAAUUUUUAUCUUACUAAAUUACCUCUCGUCAUGUUGAGAUUACUAUCGUCUCUUUCUUCUUCCUUGCAUGUGCUAGUUUUUUCUUGCCUUGCAAAUUUGUUUGCCUAUAAUAUGCCUAUGCAUAGGAAGUAUGUUAGACUUAGAUGUGUUUGUCACGUGUUUCAUGAUGCUCUCUUUGUGCUUCAAUUCUUGUCUUUCAUGUGAGCAUCAUUAAAAUUAUCAAUGCCUAGCUAAAAGGCUUUAAAGAAAAGCGCUUGUCGGGAGACAACCCAAUAUUUUUCCUUGCUGUUAUUCAAUAAAUAAUUCAUCUAGAUUCUGUUUAGAUGUGGUUUUAUGUUUUAAUUAGUGUUUGAUCUUGCUGAAAAACAGAAACUUUUGCAUGCACGAGAAUAAUUUUAAUAAAUCACAGAAACGUGCUUUUCAGUUGAUUCUUUUCGCAGAAAAUUAAAAGACAAAUUGCCUAGGACUUACUAUUUUGGUAGAAGCUUUGGGGUUCCAGAAGUAUUCGGAAGUUACAGAUUGCUACAGACUGUUCUGUUUUUUGACAGAUUCUGUUUUUCGUGUGUUGUUUGCUUAUUUUGAUGAAUCUAUGGCUAGUAUCGGGGGGUAUGAACCAUAUAGAAGUUGGAAUACAGUAGGUUUAACACCAAUAUAAAUAAAGAAUGAGUUCAUUACAGUACCUUAAAGUGGUGGUUUGUUUUCUUAUACUAACGGAGCUUACGAGUUUUCUGUUGAGUUUUGUGUUGUGAAGUUUUCAAGUUUUGGGUAAAGAUUUGAUGGAUUAUGGAAUAAGGAGUGUCAAGAGCCUAAGCUUGGGGAUGAACAAGGCACCCCAAGGUAAAAUUCAAGGACAACCAAAAGCCUAAGCUUGGGGAUGCCCCGGAAGGCAUCCCCUCUUUCGUCUUCGUCCAUCGGUAACUUUACUUGAUGCUAUAUUUUUAGUCACCACAUGAUACGUGUUUUGCUUGGAGCGUCUUGUAUGAUAUAAGUCUUUUCUUUUUAGUUACCACAAUCACUCUUGAUGUACACACCCUUUGGGAGAGACACAAAUGAAUUGGAAUUUAUUAGAAUAUUCUAUGUGCUUCACUUAUAUCUUUUGAGCUAGACAAUUUUGCUCUAGUACUUCACUUAUAUCUUUUUAGAGCACGGUGGUGGUUUUAUUGUUUAGAAAUUAUUGAUCUCUCAUGCUUCACUUAUAUUAUUUUUAGAGUCUUUUAGAACAGCAUGGUAUUUGCUUUGGUUAUAAAAUUAGUCCUAAUAUGAUGGGCAUCCAAGUUGGGUAUAAUAAAAACUAUCAUAUAGAGUGCAUUGAACACUAUGAUAAAUUUGAUACUUGAUAAUUGUUUUGAGAUAUAAGGGUGGUAAUGUUAGAGUCAUGCUAGUUGGGUAAUUAUGAAAUUGAGAAAUACUUGUAUUAUAGUUGGCAAGUCCCGUAGCAUGCACGUAUGGUGAACGUUGUGUGACAAAUUUGAAGCAUGGGGUGAUUUUUGGUUGUCUUCCUUAUGAGUGGAGGUCGGGAUCGCGUGAUGGUUAACUCGUACCAACCCUCCCCCUAAGAGCAUGUGUAGUAGUACUUUGCUUCAAGAGCUAAUAAACUUUUGCAAUAAGUAUAUGAGUUCUUUAUGACUAAUGUGAGUCCAUGGAUUAUACGCACUCUUACCUUUCCAUAAUUUGCUAGCCUCUACGGUACCGUGCAUUGCCCUUUCUCACCUUGAGAGUUGGUGCAAACUUUGCCGGUGCAUCCAAACCCCAUGAUACGAUAUGCUCUAUCACACAUAAACCUCCUUAUAUCUUCCUCAAAACAGCCGCCAUACCUAUCUAUUAUGGCAUUUCCAUAGCCAUUCCGAGAUAUAUUGCCAUGCAACUUUUGUUGGAAAUAUGCCCUAGAGGCAAUAAUAAAUAAGUUAUUAUUAUAUUUCUUUGUUCAUGAUAAUAGUCUUUUAUUCAUGCUAUAACUGUAUUGUCCGGAAAUCGUAAUACACGUGUGAAUACAUAGACCACAAUAUGUCCCUAGUGAGCCUCUAGUUGACUAGCUCGUUGUGAUCAACAGAUAGUCAUGGUUUCCUGGCUAUGGACAUUGGAUGUCGUUGAUAACGGGAUCACAUCAUUAGGAGAAUGAUGUGAUGGACAAGACCCAAUCCUAAGCAUAGCACAAAGAUCGUGUAGUUCGUUUGCUAGAGCUUUGCCAAUGUCAAGUAUCUCUUCCUUUGACCAUGAGAGCGUGUAACUCCUGGAUACCGUAGGAGUGCUUUGGGUGUAUCAAACGUCACAACGUAACUGGGUGACUAUAAAGGUGCACUACAGGUAUCUCCGAAAGUAUCUAUUGUUUUAUGCGGAUCGAGACUGGGAUUUGUCACUCCGUGUAAACGGAAAGGUAUCUCUGGGCCCACUCGGUAGGACAUCAUCAUAAUGUGCACAAUGUGACCAAGGGGUUGAUCACGGGAUGAUGUGUUACGGAACGAGUAAAGAGACUUGCCGGUAACGAGAUUGAACAAGGUAUCGGUAUAUCGACGAUCGAAUCUCGGGCAAGUAAAAUACCGCUAGACAAAGGGAAUUGUAUACGGGAUCGAUUGAGUCCUUGACAUCGUGGUUCAUCCGAUGAGAUCAUCGUGGAACAUGUGGGAGCCAACAUGGGUAUCCAGAUCCCGCUGUUGGUUAUUGACCGGAGAACGUCUCGGUCAUGUCUGCAUGUCUCCUGAACCCGUAGGGUCUACACACUUAAGGUUCGAUGACGCUAGGGUUAUAAAGGAAGUUUGUAUGUGGUUACCGAAUGUUGUUCGGAGUCCCGGAUGAGAUCUCGGACGUCACGAGGAGUUCCGGAAUGGUCCGGAGGUAAAGAUUUAUAUAUGGGAAGUCCUGUUUUGGUCACCGGAAAAGUUUCGGGCGAUAUCGAUAUUGUACCGGGACCACCGGGAGGGUCCCGGGGGUCCACCAAGUGGGGCCACCUGCCCCAGAAGGUUGCGUGGGCCAAGUGUGGGAGGGGACCAGCCCCUAGGAGGGCUGGUGCGCCCCCCACAAGGAGUCCAAGGCGCAAGAGAGAGUGGGAGGGGGCAAACCCUAGUCCAGAUGGGCCUUAAGGCCCAUAUUGGUGCGCCUCCCUCUCCUCUCCCCCCUUGGCCGCCUCCCCUUUGCCAUCUAGGGCUGGCCGCACCCCUUGGGGGUGGGAAACCCUAAAGGGGGCGCAGCCCCCCCCUUCCCCCUAUAUAUAGAUGAGGUUUGGGGCUGCCAUAACACAUGAGUUCUCUCCCUCUUGGUGCAGCCCUACCUCUCUCCCUACUCCUCCUCUCCCAUGGUGCUUGGCGAAGCCCUGCGGGAUUGCCACGCUCCUCCACCACCACCACGCCGUUGUGCUGCUGUUGGAUGGAGUCUUCCUCAACCUCUCCCUCUCUCCUUGCUGGAUCAAGGCGUGGGAGACGUCACCGGGCUGUACGUGUGUUGAACGCGGAGGUGUCGUGCGUUCGGCACUUGAUCAUCGGUGAUUUGAAUCACGACGAGUACGACUCCAUCAACCCCGUUCACUUGAACGCUUCCGCUUAGCGAUCUACAAGGGUAUGUAGAUGCACUCUCCUUCUACUCGUAGCUGGUUUCUCCAUAGAUAGAUCUUGGUGACACGUAGGAAAAUUUUGAAUUUCUGCUACGUUCCCCAACAGUGGCAUCAUGAGCUAGGUCUAUUGCGUAGAUUCUUUGCACGAGUAGAACACAAAGUAGUUGUGGGCGUCGAUAUUGUUCAAUAUGCUUGCCGUUACUAGUCUUAUCUUGAUUCGGCGGCAUCGUGGGAUGAAGCGGCCCGGACCAACCUUACACGUACGCUUACGUGAGACCGGUUCCACCGACAAACAUGCACUAGUUGCAUAAGGUGGCUGGCGGGUGUCUGUCUCUCCCACUUUAGUCGGAUCGGAUUCAAUGAAAAGGGUCCUUAUGAAGGGUAAAUAGCAAUUGGCAUAUCACGUUGUGGUUCAUGCGUAGGUAAGAAACGUUCUUGCUAGAAACCCAUAGCAGCCACGUAAAACAUGCAAACAACAAUUAGAGGACGUCUAACUUGUUUUUGCAGGGUAUGCUAUGUGAUGUGAUAUGGCCAAAGGAUGUGAUGAAUGAUAUAUGUGAUGUAUGAGAUUGAUCAUGUUCUUGUAAUAGGAUUCACGACUUGCAUGUCGAUGAGUAUGACAACCGGCAGGAGCCAUAGGAGUUGUCUUUAUUUUUUGUAUGACCUGCGUGUCAUUGAAGAACGCCAUGUAAACUACUUUACUUUAUUGCUAAACGCGUUAGUCAUAGAAGUAGAAGUAGUCGUUGGCGUGACAACUUCAUGAAGACACGAUGAUGGAGAUCAUGGUGUCAAGCCGGUGACAAGAUGAUCAUGGAGCCCCGAAGAUGAAGAUCAAAGGAGCUAUAUGAUAUUGGCCAUAUCAUGUCACUACUCUAUUUGAUUGCAUGUGAUGUUUAUCAUGUUUAUGCAUCUUGUUUACUUAGGACGACGGUAGUAAAUAAGAUGAUCCCUUACAAAAUUUCAAGAAGUGUUCUCCCCUAACUGUGCACCGUUGCUACAGUUCGUCGCUUCUAAGCACCACGUGAUGAUCGGGUGUGAUGGAUUCUUACGUUCACAUACAACGGGUGUAAGACAGUUUUACACAGCGAAAACACUUAGGGUUAACUUGACGAGCCUAGCAUGUGCAGACAUGGCCUCGGAACACGGAGACCGAAAGGUCGAGCAUGAGUCGUAUAGUAGAUACGAUCAACAUGAAGAUGUUCACCGAUGAUGACUAGUCCGUCUCACGUGAUGAUCGGACACGGCCUAGUUGACUCGGAUCAUGUAAUCACUUAGAUGACUAGAGGGAUGUCUAUCUGAGUGGGAGUUCAUAAGAUGAACUUAAUUAUCUGAACAUAGUCAAAAGGAUUUUGCAAAUUAUGUCAUAGCUCGCGCUUUACUUCUACUGUUUUAGAUAUGUUCCUAGAGAAAAUAUAGUUUGAAAGUUGAAAGUAGCAAUUAUGCGGACAGUAGAAAGCUUAUGUCCUUAAUGCAUUGCUCAGUGUGCCAAACCCCAAACGUCGUUUGUGGAUGUUGCGAACAUCGGACAUACACGUUUUGAUAACUACGUGAUAGUUCAGUUAAAUGGUUUAAGUAGAGGCACCAAAGACAUUUUCGAAACGUCGCGGAACAUAUGAGAUGUUUCGAGGGCUGAAAUUGGGAUUUCAGGCUUGUGCCCACGUCAAGAGGUAUGAGACCUCCGGCGAUUUUCUUAGCCUGCAAACUAAGGGAGAAAAGCUCAAUCGUUGAGCUUGUGCUCAGAUUGUCUGAGUGCAACAAUCACUUGAAUCAAGUGGGAGUUAAUCUUCCAGAUGAGAUAGUGAUGUUUCCCCAAAGUCAUUGCCACCAAGCUGCAAGAGCUUCAUGAUGAACUAUAACAUAUCAAGGAUAGAUAUGAUGAUCCUUGAGGUAUUCGCGAUGUUAGACACUGCGAAAAUAGAAAUCAAGAAGGAGCAUCAAUUGUUGAUGGUUGGUGAAACCACUAGUUUCAAGAAGGGCAAGGGAAAUAAGGGAUACUUCAUGAAACGGCAAAUCAGCUGCUGCACCAAUGAAGAAACCCAAGGUUGAACCCAAACCCGAGACUAAGUGCUUCUGUAAUAAGGGGAACAACCACUGGAGCAGCAUUACCCUAGAUACUUGGUAGAUGAGAAGGCUGGCAAGGUCGAUAGAAGUAUAUUGGAUAUACAUUAUGUUAAUGUGUACUUUACUAGUACUCCUAGUAGCACCAGGGUAUUGGAUACCGGUUCGGUUGCUAAGUGUUAGUAACUCGAAAUAAAAGCUACGGCAUAAACGAAGACUAGCUAAAGGUGAGAUGACGAUAUGUGUUGGAAGUGUUUCCAAUGUUGAUAUGAUCAAGCAUCGCACGCUCCCUCUACCAUCGAGAUUUGGUGUUUGCGUUGAGCAUAGACAUGAUUGGAUUAUGUCUAUAGCAAUACGGUUAUUCAUUUAAGGAGAAUAAUGGUUACUCUAUUUUUUGAAUAAUACCUUCAAUGGUCUUGCACCUAAAGGAAUGGUUUAUUGAAUCUCGGUCGUAGUGAUACACAUUUUCAUGCCAAAAGAUAUAAGAUAGUAAUGAUAGUACCACUUACUUGUGGCACUGCCAUGUAAGUCAUAAUGGUAUAAAACGCAUGAAGAAGCUCCAUGUUGAUGGAUCUUUGGACUCACUCGUUUUUGAAAAGUUUGAGACAUGCGAACCAUGUCUAUUGGUGUAUAUGCAUGAAGAAACUCCAUGCAAAUGGACCGUUCGGACUCACUUGAUUUUGAAUCACUUGAGAUAUGCAAAUCAUACCACAUAGGCAAGAUGACUGAAAAGCCUCGGUUUCAAUAAGAUGGAACAAGAUAGCAACUUGUUGGAAGUAACACAUUUUGAUGUGUGCAGUCCAAUAAAUGCUGAGGCAUGCAGUGAAUAUCGUUAUGUUCUUACUUCACAGAUGAUUCGAGUAGAUGUUGAGAAUAUUUACUUGAUGAAACACAACUCUGAAUUAUUGAAUGGUUCAUGUAAUUUCAGAGUGAAGUAGAAGAUCAUUGUGACAAAAGGAUAAAAUGUCUAUGAUACGAUCAUAGAGAUGAAUAUCUGAGUUACGAGUUUUGGCACACAAUUAAGACAUUAUGGAAAUUGUUUCAUAAUUAAUACCGGCUGGAACACCAUAGUGUGAUGGUGUGUCCGAACAUCAUAGUUGCACCCUAUUGGAUAUGGUGCGUACCAUGAUGUCUCUUAUCGAAUUACCACUGUCGUUCAUGGGUUAGGCAUUAGAGACAACCACAUUCACUUUAAAUAGGGCACCACGUAAUUCCGAUGAGAUGACACCGUAUGAAUUAUGGUUUAGAGAAACCUAAGUUGUCGUUUCUUAAAGGUUUGGGGCUGCGACGCUUAUGUGAAAAAGUUUCAGGAUUAAGCUCGAACCCAAAGCGGAUAAAAUACAUCUUCAUAGGACACCCAAAACAGUUGGGUAUACCUCCUAAUUCAGAUCCGAAAGCAAUAUGAAUUGUUUCUAGAAUCGGGUCCUUUCUCGAGGAAAGGUUUCUCUCGAAAGAGUUGAGUGGGAGGAUGGUGGAGACUUGAUGAGGUUAUUGAACCGUCUCUUCAACUAGUGUGUGGCAGGGCACAGGAAGUUGUUCCUGUGGCACCUACACCAAUUGAAGUGGAAGCUUAUGAUAUUGAUCAUGAAACUUCGGAUCAAGUCACUACCAAACCUCGUGGGAUGACAAGGAUGCGUACUACUUCAGAAUGGUACGUAAUCCUGUCUUGGAAGUCAUGUUGCUGGACAACAAUGAACCUACGAGCUAUGGAGAAGCGAUGGUGGGCCCGGAUUCCGAUAAAUGGCUCGAGGCCAUAAAAUCCGAGAACGGAUCCAUGGACUUUGGUGGACUUGCCCGAUGAUCGGCAAGCCAUUAAGAUAAAUGGAUCUUUAAGAAGAAGACGGACGUGGAUGGUAAUGUCACCGUCCAUGAAGCUCGACUUGUGGCGAAAAGUUUUUCACAAGUUCAAGGAGUUGACUACGAUGAGAUUUUCUCAUCCGUAGCGAUGCUUAAAGUCCGUCAGAUUCAUGUUAGCAUUAGCUGUAUUUAUGAAAUCUGGCAGAUGGAUAUCAAAACGAGUUUCCUUACCAGUUUUCGUGAGGAAAGAUUGUAGGUAAUACAAUCAGAAAGUUUUUGUCGAUCCUAAGGAUGCUAAAAGGUAUGCUAGCUCCAGCGAUCCUUCUAAGGACUGGAGUGAGCAUCUCGGAGUUGGAAUGUAUGCUUUGAUGAUGAUCAAAGAUUUUGGGUUUGUACAAAGUUUAUGAGAAACUUGUAUUUCCAAAGAAGUGAGUGGGAGCACUAUAGAAUUUCUGAUGAGUAUAUGUUGAUCAGAAAUGAUGUAGAAUUUCUAGAAAGCAUCUAGGGUUAUUUGAAAGGUGUUUUUCAAUAGAAAACCUGGAUUAAGCUACUUGAACAUUGAGCAUCGAGAUCUAUAAGGAUAGAUCAAAAUGCUUAAUAAUACUUUCAAAAUGAGCAUAUACCUUGACAUGAUCUUGAAGGUGUUCAACAUGGAUCAGUCAAAGAAGAAGUUCUUGCCUGAGUUGUAAGGUACGAAGUUAAGACUUAAAGCUCGACCACGGCAGAAUAGAGAGAAAGGACGAAGGUCAUCCCCUAUGCUUGAGACGUAGGCUCUUCAGUAUGCUAUGCUGUGUACCGCACCUGAAGUGUGCCUUGCCAUGAGUCAGUCAAGGGGUACAAGAGUGAUCCAUGAAUGGAUCACAGGACAGCGGUCAAAGUUAUCCUUAGUAACUAGUGGACUAAGGAAUUUUCUCAAUUAUGGAGGUGGUAAAAGAGUUCGUCGUAAAGGGUUACGUCGAUGCAAGCUUAACACCUAUCCGGAUAGCUCUGAGUAGAGAUACCGGAUACGUACAAUGGAGCAACAAUUUAGAAUAGCUCCAAGUAGAACAGUUAUUUGGAAUAGCUCCAAAUAGAACGUGGGAGCUGCAUCUAGGAGAUGACAUAGAGAUUUGUAAAGCACACACGGAUCUGAAAGGUUCAGACCCGUUGACUAAAACCUCUCUCACAAGCAGAACAUGACCAAACCCCAUAUCUCAUUGAGUCUUGAUCACAUGAUGAUGUGAACUAGUUUAGUGACACUAGUAAACUCUUUGGAUGUUGGUCACAUGGUGAUGUGACCUGUCAGUGUUAAUCACAUGGUGAUGCGAACUAGAUUAUUGACUCUAGUGCAAGUGGGAGACUGUUGGAAAUAUGCCCUAGAGGCAAUAAUAAAUAAGUUAUUAUUAUAUUUCUUUGUUCAUGAUAAUAGUCUUUUAUUCAUGCUAUAACUGUAUUAUCCGGAAAUCAUAAUACACGUGUGAAUACAUAGACCACAAUAUGUCCCUAGUGAGCCUCUAGUUGACUAGCUCGUUGUGAUCAACAGAUAGUCAUGGUUUCCUGGCUAUGGACAUUGGAUGUCGUUGAUAACGGGAUCACAUCAUUAGGAGAAUGAUGUGAUGGACAAGACCCAAUCCUAAGCAUAGCACAAAGAUCGUGUAGUUCGUUUGCUAGAGCUUUGCCAAUGUCAAGUAUCUCUUCCUUUGACCAUGAGAGCGUGUAACUCCUGGAUACCGUAGGAGUGCUUUGGGUGUAUCAAACGUCACAACGUAACUGGGUGACUAUAAAGGUGCACUACAGGUAUCUCCGAAAGUAUCUAUUGUUUUAUGUGGAUCGAGACUGGGAUUUGUCACUCCGUGUAAACGGAGAGGUAUCUCUGGGCCCACUCGGUAGGACAUCAUCAUAUGCGCAAUGUGACCAAGGAGUUGAUCACGGGAUGAUGUGUUACGGAACAAGUAAAGUGACUUGCCGGUAACGAGAUUGAACAAGGUAUUGGAUACCGACGAUCGAAUCUCGGGCAAGUAACAUACCGAUAGACAAAGGGAAUUGAAUACGGGAUUGAUUAAGUCCUUGACAUCGUGGUUCAUCCGAUGAGAUCAUCGUGGAACAUGUGGGAGCCAUCAUGGGUAUCCAGAUCCCGCUGUUGGUUAUUGACCGAAGAACGUCUCGGUCAUGUCUGCAUGUCUCCCGAACCCGUAGGGUCUACACACUUAAGGUUCGAUGACGCUAGGGUUAUAAAGGAAGUUUGUAUGUGGUUACCGAAUGUUGUUCGGAGUCCCGGAUGAGAUCCCGGACGUCACGAGGAGUUCCGGAAUGGUCCGGAGGUAAAGAUUUAUAUAUGGGAAGUCCUGUUUUGGUCACCGGAAAAGUUUCGGGCGAUAUCGGUAUUGUACCGGGACCACCGGGAGGGUCCCGGGGGUCCACCAAGUGGGGCCACCUGCCCCAGAAGGUUGCGUGGGCCAAGUGUGGGAGGGGACCAGCCCCUAGGAGGGCUGGUGCGCCCCCCACAAGGAGUCCAAGGCGCAAGAGAGAGUGGGAGGGGGCAAACCCUAGUCCAGAUGGGCCUUAAGGCCCAUAUUGGUGCGCCUCCCUCUCCUCUCCCCCCUUGGCCGCCUCCCCUUUGCCAUCUAGGGCUGGCCGCACCCCUUGGGGGUGGGAAACCCUAAAGGGGGCGCAGCCCCCCCUUCCCCCUAUAUAUAGAUGAGGUUUGGGGCUGCCAUAACACAUGAGUUCUCUCCCUCUUGGUGCAGCCCUACCUCUCUCCCUACUCCUCCUCUCCCAUGAUGCUUGGCGAAGCCCUGCGGGAUUGCCACGCUCCUCCACCACCACCACGCCGUUGUGCUGCUGUUGGAUGGAGUCUUCCUCAACCUCUCCCUCUCUCCUUGCUGGAUCAAGGCGUGGGAGACGUCACCGGGCUGUACGUGUGUUGAACGCGGAGGUGUCGUGCGUUCGGCACUUGAUCAUCGGUGAUUUGAAUCACGACGAGUACGACUCCAUCAACCCCGUUCACUUGAACGCUUCCGCUUAGCGAUCUACAAGGGUAUGUAGAUGCACUCUCCUUCUACUCGUAGCUGGUUUCUCCAUAGAUAGAUCUUGGUGACACGUAGGAAAAUUUUGAAUUUCUGCUACGUUCCCCAACAACUUUUCACCGAUCCAUUUAUUAUGACACGCUCCAUCGUUGUCAUAUUGCUUUUGCAUGAUCAUGUAGUUGACAUCGUAUUUGUGGCAAAGCCACCUUUAUAAUUCUUUCAUAUGUGUCGCUCUUGAUUCAUUGCAUAUCCUGGUACACCGCCGGAGGCAUUCACAUAGAGUCAUAUGUUGUUCUUAGUAUCGAGUUGUAAUUCUUGAGUUGUAAAUAAAUAAAAGUGUGAUGAUCUUCAUUAUUAGAGCAUUGUCUCAAGUGCGGAAAGAAUGAUGGAGACUAUGAUUCCCCCACAAGUCGGGAUGAGACUCCAGACUUUAUGAAAAAUAGAAGAGGCCAAAGAAGCCCAAAUAAAAAAAGAGGCCAAAGAAGCCCAAAUAAAAAAAGGAGAAAAAAAUGAGAGAAAAAGAGAGAAGGGACAAUGUUACUAUCCUUUGUCCACAAUUGUGCUUCAAAGUAGCACCAUGAUCUUCAUGAUAGAGUCUCCUAUGUCGUCACUUUCAUAUACUAGUGGGAAUUUUUCAUUAUAGAACCUGGCUUGUAUAUUCCAAUGAUGAGCUUCCUCAAAAUGCCCUAGGUCUUCGUGAGCAAGCAAGUUGGAUGCAUACCCACUUAGUUCUUUUUGAGCUUUCAUACAUUUAUAGCUCUAGUGCAUUCGUUACAUGGCAAUCCCUACUCCUCGUAUUAACAUCAAUUGAUGGGCAUCUGCAUAGCCCGUUGAUUAGCCGCGUCAAUAUGAGACGUUCUCCUUUUUUGUUCUCUCACAUAAUCCCUAUCAUCAUACUCUACUCCACCCAUAGUGCUAUAUCCAUGGCUUACGCUGAUGUAUUGUGUGAGGGUUGAAAAGGCUGAAACGCGUUAAAAAGUAUGAACCAAUUGCUUGGCUGAAACCGGGGUUGUGCAUGAUGGGAGUAUUUUGUGGGACGAAAUGAAGCAUGGCCAAACUAUAUGAUUUUGUAGGGAUAAGCUUUCUUUGACUAUGUUAUUUUGAUAAGACAUGAUUACUUUGUUAGUAUGCUUGAAGUAUUACUAUUUUGAUGUCAAUAUUAAAAUUUUAUCUUGAAUCUUUUGGAUCGGAACAUUCAUGCCACAAUAAAGAAAAUUACAUUGAGAAAUAUGCUAGGUAGCAUUCCACAUCAAAAAUUCUGUUUUUAUCAUUUACCUACUCGAGGACGAGCAGGAAUUAAGCUUGGGGGUGCUUGAUACGUCUCCAACGUAUCUAUAAUUUUUGAUUGUUCCAUGCUAUUAUAUUAUCUGUUUUGGGUAUUUAAUGGUCUUUACUAUACACUUCUAUAUUAUUUUUGGGACUAACCUAUUAACUGGAGGCCUAGUCCAAAUUGUUGUUUUUUUGCCUAUUUCAGUAUUUCGCAGAAAAGAAAUAUCAAACAGAGUCCAAACGGAAUGAAACUUUCAGGAGAGUUAUUUUUGGAACAAACGCGAUCCAGGAGACUUGGAGUGGACAUCAAGAAAGAAACGAGGAAGCCACGAGGCAGGGAGGCGCCCAGGGGGGUAGGCGCCCCCACCCUCGUGGGCCCAUCGUGGCUCCCCUAACCGACUUCCUUCGCCUAUAUAUACUCAUAUACCCUGAAAAUAUCUAGGAGCAACACGAAACCCUAUUUCCACCGCCGCAACCUUCUGUACCCGUGGGAUCCCAUCUUGGGGCCUUUUCCGGCGCUCCGCCGAAGGGGGAAUCGAUCACGGAGGGCUUCUACAUCAACACCAUAACCUCUCCGAUGAAGUGCGAGUAGUUUACCAUAGACCUUCGGGUCCAUAGUUAUUAGCUAGAUGGCUUCUUCUCUCUCUUUGGAUCUCAAUGCAAAGUUCUCCUUGAUCUUCUUGGAGAUCUAUUCGAUGUAAUUCUUUUUGCGGUGUGUUUGUCGAGAUCCGAUGAAUUGUGGGUUUAUGAUCAAGAUUAUCUAUGAACAAUAUUUGAAUCUCCUCUGAAUUCUUUUAUGUAUGAGUGGUUAUCUUUGCAAGUCUAUUUGAAUUAUCAGUUUGGUUUGGCCUACUAGAUUGAUCUUUCUUGCAAUGGGAGAAGUGCUUAGCUUUGGGUUCAAUCUUGCGGUGUCCUUUCCCAGUGACAGUAGGGAAAGCAAGGCACGUAUUGUAUUGUUGCCAUCGAGGAUAAAAAGAUGGGGUUUAUAUCAUAUUGCUUGCAUUUAUCCCUCUACAUUAUGUCAUCUUGCCUAAUGUGUUACUCUGUUCUUAUGAACUUAAUACUCUAGAUGCAUGCUAGAUAGCGGUCGAUGUGUGGAGUAAUAGUAGUAGAUGCAGAAUCGUUUCGGUCUACUUGUCAUGGACGUGAUGCCUAUAUACAUGAUCAUGCCUAGAUAUUCUCAUAACUAUGCACUUUUCUAUCAAUUGCUAGACAGUAAUUUGUUCACCCACCAUAAUACAUAUGCUAUCUUGAGAGAAGCCACUAGUGAAACCUAUGGCCCCCGGGUCUAUUUUCCAUCAUAUAAGUUUCUGAUCUAUUUUAUUUUGCAAUCUUUACUUUCCAAUCUAUAUCAUAAAAAUACCAAAAUUAUUUAUCUUAUUAUCUCUAUCAGAUCUCACUUUUGCAAGUGGCCGUGAAGGGAUUGACAACCCCUUUAUCGCGUUGGUUGCAAGGUUCUUAUUUGUUUGUGCAGGUACGAGGGAUUUGAGUGUAGCCUCCUACUGGAUUGAUACCUUGGUUCUCAAAAAUUGAGGAAAAUACUUAUGCUACUUUGCUGCAUCAUCCUUUCCUCUUCAAGGAAAAACCAACACAUGCUCAAGAGGUAGCAAUGUUAUCUUCAAUGAAUUUGAUAUGUUACAUAAUGUUCCAUCUACUAAUGUUCAUGUUGAGAGUGAACAUCAGCCUAUUGUUCAGUAGCCUGUUGUUCCAGUGUAGCAUGUUAUUGAUUUAGGUGAUACAUCUGGUAAGGAAAAUGUUGAUGCAGAUGAUGAUCCCGUUAUUGAUGAUGAACAUGUCACUCCCACUUCAAAUCAGCCUAUUGUUCCACCCAGUUGGAAUCUCACAGGUGACAGAGUUAGGCGCGGUAUUAAUAAAGCCGACAGAUUAAUUGAAGAGUGCAACAUUGUUUCUUUUGCUUUAUCUGUUGUAGAAGAAAUUGAAGGUAAUGCUGAGCCUUCUUCAUAUUCUGAGGCUAUUAUUUCUGGUGAUAGUAAUAAGUGGAUGACCACUAUGCAUGAUGAUAUGGAAUCACUUGAAAAGAAUGAUACUUGGGAUUUAGUAAAAUUACCUAGAGAGAAGAAACCUAUUCGUUGCAAGUGGGUUUUCAAAAGGAAAGAAAGUGUUUCUCCCAAUGAUGAGACAAGAUAUAAUGCAAUGUUAGUUGCUAAAGGUUACAGUCAGAUUCCAAGUAUUGACUAUAACGAAGUCUUUUCUCCUGUUGUGAAGCAUAGCUCUAUUCGCACUUUACUCAGUAUUGUUGUCAUGCAUGAUUUUGAGCUUGAACAAUUGGAUGUUAAAACUGCAAUUUAAAUGGAGAAAUAGAAGAGGAUAUUUAUAUGAAACAACCUGAAGGAUUUGUUAUUCCUGGAUAAGUUAAAGAAAUCUCUUUAUGAAUUCAAGCAAUCAUCUAGAGAGUGGGACAAGAGAUUUGACACCUUUAUGCUCUCUCAAGGUUUCAAAAGGUCUAACUAUGAGUUGUGUUUAUUUGAAAACCGUCAAUGAUCCAUGAUGGUGUUGACAUCAUCAACGGUGAGCUUCGGCCCUCCUGGCUUUAGAAAGGGGGCGGUGGUGAGGAGCCGUUGACGGGGGCAAGGGUGACGCUUGGAGCCGCACGAGGACGUCAGGCGCGGAGUGCCACACGUGGAUCACGGCACACCUGAGCGCGACCUGAGUCCUCUCGGAGGCAGGGUCGGGGAGCAUGAGCUCCGCAGUGUACAGAUCGUGCUCGACGAGCAGGACGGCGCGAGCGAGGUCGGCGCCUACCCAGUGAAGGUAGCGGGUGGCCUGUUCUUGGGUGAUGCAUCCGAAGUAGCUCAUCAUGAACCUGACGAGAGCCUGGCAGGACGCCUGAGCAAUUCUGUGCCAGGUAACCCUGCGGCAGGACGACCCAAUGGUACUACCGGACGACCAGGUAUCCCUUUGCUGUGCCGUGCCGGCCAGGUUAUUGGACCUUCUGGUCCUCUUGGCGGGCGGUUCCUCCUUUGCCCGAAAGUGGUCGCGCGGGAGGAGGGCCAUGGUGCUGAGGAUGACGUUUGAGACUGGGUCCAAAAGGCCGAGGGAGAGGCCGCCGUCACGCAUGGUUUCGUAUAGCUUGUCGGCGACGGCGUCCGGCAUGUCUUGGACGGGCAGCCGGUCGAACGCCUCCCCGUACAAGUCCGGGAUGAGGUCGAGGAGGUCGGCCUUGAAGUUGAAGUUAGGGGGGCCGUCGCGCUCGCCGCGCUUGAAGUUGAAGUUUGGGGGGACUGUCGCGCUCACAGCUGUACAGGCAGGAGAAGAGCCCCAUGCGGCCGGGACCCGCGGGUGGGUGGACCUUGUUGGGCGGCAUUACAUCAGCUGCGAUCCAUUGAUGUGGCGGUUCGAUCGGCGGCAGGAUAUAUGUAAGGCGGACGACGAGCUAGUUUUCUGACCGGACUCAGAUGACAAGAGAACACACACGGUGCGUCUGAUAUGGGCAGAACACACACGGAACAAGUCGAGUCAGUUUGGAGGCCGUAGGAAGAAAAUCCUAAACGACCCUUCCGGUCUGGUAGUAGGGAUGAAGAAGAUGAUCGUAUGCAUGAGCAGACGAUGACACACGACGCGCGCGUCUGAUAUGGGUCAAAAGUCCCUGGCCCGUUCCACCUUUCUAUCCGGUGUGGCUAAUGAGAGGGAUACUUUCUUAUUUAGUACCAAUUUUUUCUGAAUACAUAUAAACCGGUUUAUUCUUUAUCUAUAUCUAUAUAGUUUGCAUGAAUAACGUUGAGUGUGCAUCAUUUUUUUUAUGAAAAGGCCAAAGGCCAUAUAUUAAGUAGUAAAACCCCUUUAAAAACAUUCUUAUAGAAAUUGAGAAAUACAUCCAAAUCUUUGAGAGUAGUCGAAGUUUUCUUCCUCCUGCAUCCAUCGCUGGUCCCCGGUGAGCAAAGCUUGCUGCUGUCUCUCGACUCCGACUCAGCGGAGCAAACUUGUUUACACCCGGUAACUUAUAGAGGUAGCCACUGGAAAGUCGUCAAUGUAGACCGACGACUAAGAAGAAGGGCAAGGCCAAAAGCACGGCUAGAGUUUGUUAGAGCUUGUUGAGCCCGAACCGCCUGGCGAAGAAGGCGUCACGUGCCCAGGCCGGUGACAUGGCAAGCACGGCGAACAACGCCGUCAUGCUCCCAUACACGAUCUCCCGCGGUGGCCUCGGCCGCAUGACCCGCACCGCCACGUGCCUCACCAACACCGACACCUCGGUCGCCCCCGGCCCCUGUGAUGCCCGCACCCUCUCCUCGAUCGCCGUUGUGAACUCACGGUACAUCCCUUUGGUGUUGGCAUGUCAGGAUAUCAUGCUUGAUGCGGUCACUGGGUAUAUGAUCAAACCAGUUCAAAGUAUUGGAAAUGCAUCAAGGAAUGGCAAAUAUCUCACAAACCAAUGGGAUAGAAUCCUAGAAAGUUGCAACCGUCAGGAGGUCCUGAUUCCCUUGUAGCUGUAACCUUGUAGAGGGGCUUGGCUGCUGUUUUCCUUUUCCCUCGGAGCCUUUGCUCUGUUGGUUUUCAGCUCUAGACACCUAGACUGUUAACCCUUUGUACUGACUCUCCUUUUGUCUAAUAAAAUUUCGGUCAAUGGCCCUUCGAGAGAUGGAGAUUAACUGCACGGUUCACGUAAAUGGUGCAGUAAUUCACUACCAGAAUCUGAAAUUUUACUGUGAGCCCAAAACCGACAGGAAAAUCGGGUUUACCGUCAGGAAAAGUAUUUCCUGUCGGCCACCCGUCAGGGAUAGCUUGACAGGGAAAAUAAAUUAUGCCUGUCGGUUGACCGACAGGGACUAUAUUCCUGUCGGGUUUUCACAUUUCCCUGAUGGGUUUGGCCCUACAGGAUUAUAUAGGCGUCAGAUUUGGCAAACAAGGGAAAUACUAUAUCCCUGUCAUACAUUACCGUCAGGAAAAAAAGAAACCCAAUGAACAAAAAAAUAUAGACAGUUUUAUAAAUAGCUAUUCCAGAAUAGAAACAUCACUAUCAAUUGUUUCCUUCAACCAGAGAUACAAAUUCACAUGUCUUCGGAUACAAUUGCAUAGAAUUUACAUAAUGAAUGGAAGGUCAACGAAAACAGAGGUUCAACAUCUAAAAACACACAAGUGCAUCAACUAAAUAUACACAAUAGACUUCAUUUUCUAUAAUCUUUAGUUGCCAGCUUAAGUUGCAAGCUUCUCUUCAAGGUUGCCCUGCAGUGGACAUAUAAUUGAACUUGUAAAAAAUUGUGCAAAUGUCAACAGUUUGCUACAAAAAGGUAACUAGAAACAGGAACAAUACCUAUAAGAAAUAAUAAGCAUAAUCUAUUUGGUAUCUCAGUUUCUCGCAAUAACAUUGGCAGCUUGCUUUUGUCACAGCAAAGUUACCCACUUCUACAGCUUAUAGACUAAUAAUGGAGGAAUUAUUCUAGAAUCAUAUCUCAAAUCUGAUACAAAUUAUGCAACUGACAAAAUCCAUUUAAAUGAUAACCUGGGCACAUGCUUUUGGAUUAGCUUGACAAAAUUAUCAGCUAACUUCCUGAGAAGAUGAGUCAUUAGAGACUUCUUGCAAGAAAUUACACUACCAAUGUCAAUACCCUUAAGUCUAUCCAUUUCAAAUGUUGAAGAAAAAUAGUCAGAGUCAUCAUCAUCUCCGUAAGAAUAAAAAAAGCCAAAACAUUAUGCAAUUAUUCGAUAAUGUAACAACAUGGGAACUGAACAUCAUGGUGAGACAAUAAAAGACCCCAAAGAAAUAGAAAGAGGCUGUGUUCAGACUAAACCAACAUAGCAACUACUGGAUCAAUAAUGUUGAUCUCAUGAUCUUGGGCACACUGGACAUAGCAUGAUACGAUUUUAAUACACACGAGAAAACUUGACUGGCAAUUAUUCCUGAUAAAACUUUGGGGAUGAUGGUGAAUGCAAAAGUAAAAAUACCUUGAUUAGAAGCUCUUGAAUCUCUCAUAGACCCCGAAUCUUGAAUUUUUCUACGAAUAAUAAGUUACAAAUUCACAUAUCUUCUGAUAUAACUGCAUAGAAUUUACAUACAUGAAUCAAAAGUCAACAAAAACAGAGGUACAACUUCUCAAAAAUGCACACGUGCAUCAACUAAAUAUUCACAAUUUGAGACCAUUUUCUACAAUGUUUUGCUGGAGCUUAGGUUGCAAGAUGCUCUUCUUAACCUGCACUGGACAUAACUGAACUUGUAAAAUGUGCAAGUGUGAACAGUUUGCUACAAUAAGGUAACAAGAAACAAGAAUAGUAUCCAUAGGAUAUGAUCAGCAUAAUCUAUAUGGUAUCUCAUAUUCUCACAUUAACAUAGGUAUAUAUAGGCAACUUGUUUUUGUCACAGCAAAGUUAAACAAAUUGACAGCUAUAUAGACAUGAUAACUGAGUGGUUUCUUCUAAAAUCUUGUGACAAAUUUGAUACCAACACAACAAUUGACAAAAUCCAUUCAUCUAUCGGAACUAUCAGUUAUUAGAGGCUUCUUCAAGUUAAGCUCAAGCCAUAAUAUCGCCAGUAAGUGCAACUUCUCAAUGAUGCAUAACCAGAAGAAUGUACUCUCUGUUUCAAAAUGCAAGACGUUUUUUGACACUAUCUCAUUUGGAGACAGGUAGUACAAUAAGAAAAUCAGGGGAGUACCUUUGAGGAAAUAGUAGUAUACAAUCUCAAGAGGAUGUGUGUCCCGACAUAGAAUAGUUUCAACUAAACAGUGAAGUGGCAAUAUGGCAAGCAGUUUCAUCCAAGUUGAUUCUGUGAUAGAAUGCACAAACAGAAGUAUAUGGUUUUGCAUCAGAUAGUAGUAAGAAACCAAAGCAUCAUUUGAUUUUUCCUAGAGUAGGGAAUGGUACCUGCAUUUGGAAGGAUAUGAUGCAACUUUUUGCCAUCGAGUGACAACCUUAACUUAAUUAUUGUCGCAGCCUCUGUUGCAUUGAUGAUGCUCCGUAUACUUGUAGUGCAACUUGCUCAAUGCUUCCUAAAUCCUAAGAUAAUGAUAGAACAAACAGUAUGUACAGAAAAAUUAGAGAAUAAAAUUAUCAAGAAGGAAACAGAAAUGUAGUAACAUUCAUACUGAACAAAAAUAGCAGCUAGGGGCUCAACACAGAUAAGAUGAUCUUGGUCAUACUGGACAAAGAAUGGUAUACAAACAGUAUGAUAAGAUUAAAGUAUACAAACAACAUAAUUAAUUGCCUGAUAAUACUCCCUCCGUUCCGAAAUAAUUGUCUUUCUAGCCAUCUCAAAUAGACUACAACAUACGGAUGUAUGUAGACAUGUUUUAGAGUGUAGAUUCACUCAUUUUGCUCCGUAUGUAGUCACUUGUUGAAAUCUCUAGAAAGACAAUUAUUUCGGAACGGAGGGAGUAGAAGUUAAGCCUUCUUCCAAUUACAUUUUAUUGCUCUGCGUCAGAGUUGAAAUUAGGUGAUCCAUGUGCCUUCAUGUACACAAGGUCAGAACAAAAGCCAAGAUCUGUCAUGAAAAAAAAUCAAGUUUACUUGCAUGCAUACAUGUCACUGCAUAAAAAAAGCAUGGGAUUGCACUUGAUAAAUACACAAGCAAGAAUAAAGAUGCAACAGUAGGAUCUAAGAAAAAUUAUACCGGUGAGCGCCCUGGAGAGUUCGUCAACCCGAUGCAUAGUACUCCAUGUCCAUGGAGCCACCACUCACCUGGUCUCUCAUUGUUCAGGAUGCGUCUCUCAACAGAAAGUAGCCGCCGGCUUCUUGGUGUGGAGGAUCUGUGAGGCGGAUCUGUGAGGGGACGGUGCUUGAUCUGCUAGGGGAUAGGGGAGGGGAGGAGCCAGCGUUGUCCUCGCUGCUUACCGACGGUGGUGACGAUGUGAGGAAGGCGCGCUCGGGCUCGUGGUGAGGCUGCGCGUAGGCGCGAGGAGGACAAGGUGUGGUUCGCUUGACCGGCGAGAGGAUAGAGAAGGUACAAGAAACGAGGGGAUGUGCAGUCUCAAGGGUGGAUGCGCCGGCCUGGAGCAGCGGAGUGGGACGACAAAGGCGGCGACCGCUGCUGCGGCGGCAGCGGUGGCGGCGAGGGUUAGGUCUGGCGGCGGAGGCGAGGGUUAGGUCUGGCAGCGGCGAGAUGGGGUGGAGACGAGGGCUGGGGCUUCUGAUUUGGGGAUCGAGGGUUUCUAUCUAUUUCAUUUUCUACGGGCCUUUUCCUUUGAGCCCACAGGUGGCGGGACGCGAAAACAAAGCGCGCCCAACAAAAAUUGUUCACCGCGGGAAGGCCUUUUUAGCUGGGCGUUGGAGCGCGAAACACUAAAUUGUUCCCUGUGGGCCAAGACUCACAGGAAUAUGGCCUUUCACAAACUGACAGGAAUAUAUUUAUCCUGUGAGUUCUACCCCAGCCCAUAGGAGUAUACAUGGUAUUCCUGUGAUCCACCGCGGGCCCGACAGGAAUAUAGUCCGGCCCACAGAAAUAUUCACGUUUCUGGUAGUACGGUUACACACCUAAUACCCCCUCCGUUCCUAAAUAUUUGUCUUUCUAGACAUUCAAAUGGAUUAUCACAUACCGAUGUAUGUAGAUAUAUUUUAGAAUGUAGAUUCUUUCAUUUUGCUCGGUAUGUAGUCACUUGUUAAAAUAUCUAGAAAGACAAAUAUUUAAGAACGGAGGAAGUAAAUUAAUCAUUCACUGAGGAGGACGCUCCCUACAGUACUAGUACAACGUAGUACUACUACUAUUUAUAGUUCAGCUUCCAUCUCCAGUACUAGUACGAUAGUACUACUAUUCCUAUUUAUAGUUCAGCUUCCACCUCCUCAUCACCAACCACCCAGAUGUGGACAAGUAUCUAUAACCAACCACCCAGAUGUGGACAAGUAUCUAUAAUAGUACAUGGUCUAACACGUUAUUGAAGAAAUUUCACUCCGGACGAGACCCGAACAAAUGAUAUUUCACAAGUCAUGGCAGAAGAAAACGAUAUCCCCACGGCACCAUUCUCAGAAGAGAAGGUGAGAGUUGCGGUGUUUCAAAUGGAACAUAACAAAGCUCCAGGCCUUGAUGGUUUCGCCGCAAAUUUCUAUCAAUUUUUUUUGGGAGAUCAUCAAGUCUGGCCUUCUGGAGUUGUUGAAUUGUCUUCAUGCCGACCGACUUAAUUUUGAAGGCCGAACGGAUUCAACAGUUCAGACCCAUAUGCCUCCUUAAUGUCAGCUCCAAGAUUUUCAUCAAAGUGACGACGAAUUGGUACGGUUCAACUCGGUAGCCGAGCAUGUUGUCCAACCAUCUCAAACGGCUUUAAUGUAAGGAUUGAAUAUACUCGAUAGCGUAGUAAUCCUACAGCAGACCAUCCACGAGAUGCACCGGAAAAACAUGAGUGCAGUAGUAUUCAAAAUUGGCUUUGAAAAAGCCUAUGACAAGGUCAGAUAGUCUUUCCUCCAACAGGCCCUAAGGAUGAAAGGUUUCUCCGAUAAAUGACGCCAGUGGAUCAAAAAAAAAUUAACUGGAGGUAGCGCGCGUGUGGCCAUUAAAGUCAAUGAUGAUGCCGGCCAUUACUUUCAGACAAAAAAGGACUACGACAUGGUGACCCCAUGUCCGCAAUGUUAUUUAACAUUGUGGCUGACAUUGUGACCCCAUGCUCACCUGCUUGGUUGCGCACAUGGCCAAAUCCCGAUUCAAUAUCUGGGAAUACUGAUUCAUGAUCGACGUCUCAUCAUUGCGAAGUGGAAGCAUGUAGAGGAGCGGCUAGAGAAACGGUUGAGCAGCUAGAAAGGCAAGUUGCUCUCAGUUGCAGGACUACUGGUUUUGAUAAACUCUGUCCUCACAAUAUGGUUCUCCAUGCUUUAUUUCUUCUAGCUCCCAAAAGGGUUCUUGCAAAGACUGGACUAUUUUAGGUCGAGGUUCUUUUUUAAAUGAGACGAUGAAAAGAAAUAUAUAGGCUGCCGAAAUAGAGCAUGGUUUGUAGGCCGAAAGAUCAAGGUGGCCUUGGUAUUCAUGACCCGCGGGUCAAGAAUGAGGCCCUACUUUGUAAAUGGUUGUUCAAACUUCUUUCCAAGGAUUGUCUUUGGCAAACCAUGCUACGCAACAAGUACAUAGACCAAAGGCGGUGUCUCAUGUAUGUUGAAAACCUGGAGACUCACACUUUUGGACCGGCCUAAUGGCGGCAGAGAAACAUCUCUUUCGCAUUGGGUAUUUCGAGAUAAAGGACGGGUCAGAGAUUAGUUUUUGGGAAGACAUCUAGCUAGACAAUGCUAGUCUCUGAGAACAAUACCCAACCUUAUACAUCAUUGCACGCGACAAGAAUAAUACUACUGCGCAGGUACUCAGCUCAUCCCCGCCAAAUAUUUCGUUUAGGUGGGAUUAGAUUUGCACCCGACAUAUGUCAUGGCAUAAUAUCUUGUCCCGUCUGGAUUCGAUUAACCUGACACAAGGCCGAGAUAUAUUUUGCUGAAACCUUACUACAUCAGGGUCUUUCACAGUAGACUCUUUGUAUCGUGCGCUCACGCAUUCUAUGGUACCGAUGAGUAAUAACAAAAAAAGGAAAGCAAAGAUACCACUUAAGUUAAAAUCUUCAUGUGGUUUUGAGAAACCUUUCCAUAAAUUGAGCUUCUCCUGAAAUUUGUAAGUUGUUUACAUAAUUAAAAUUUUCACAGAAGAAAAGAACUAGUAUGAAUCAUGUGUACAUAAACAGUACUUGAAUUGCAAUUGCACAGUCCUAAUGUAAAACUUACUUGACAUUGUGCGCUGCUUCCUGCUGUCCCAGACAAUUGCAAUAUUUGUUCUCCAGUCAGCAGACAACUAUUUCAAAGAGUACAAUCAUUCAGUACAAUCAAAAUCUCUAGUCUAAUCCAGUACCCCUAAUUCCGUAGGGUUAGAGAAACAAAGCUAUAAUUAGAACAAGAUUUGCAAUGGAGGCAGAGGCACACCGCAUUGGGGGUCUGAUGCAGCGUACUUGUUCCUUCUUUCUCCACAGAAUCAGCGACUUGCGGCGAUCUGGUGUUGGUGGGCGAGUACGGUGUAGGUAUGGGAAUACGAACGAAGCCGAAGGGUCGAGGGCACGAAGCGUAGCGUUUACAAGGACGAAAUCAAGGUCUUCGGGUUGUCCUAACCAAACAUGGCGACCAACCCCCAACUUGAGUACAUGCUUGGUGAGAUUAUGCGCCUCAACAUUUGAGGUCUUAAACUCGUGUUUAAAAAUAGAAGAAACAAAAUACGACGACCACUCUAUGAUUUCAUGUAUCACAGCUCCAAAGCUUUGCCGAACUUCCACUUUUUAUAUAGCUUCAAUAAUGACUUUACUAGAUGCCACCACCGUCCUAUGCAUGUACAGAUCCGAGCCCAGGGCAAAUCAAUGCAAGCGCUACUUCAAAAAAUCUAAUGUCAUCGUGUAAAGCUUGCCGAACUUCCACUUUUUAUAAAGCUUCAAUUCAAUCUGAGGCCAGGGUAAAUCAAAUCAAUGCAGAUUUCCUAUGAAAUUCCUCCAAACAGAAGAGGCCUAAAACUUAUAAACUACUAGAAGUAACUUGUUUAGACCUUUUUUUAAAAUAGUACAAUGGUAGAUGCUUGCAUAGACGCAGAUCAUUGAAAUUACCACAAGCGGCUCACAAUCGACGGGAAUGUCACAUCCCACUGAACAAAGAUUGUCGGAAAGUCUGAAAUUAAUCUAGAAAAAUGUGAGUAUGAGUGCCAAAUCUAAUACUUGAACCCUGGUGGGCUUUUUGCACCACAAUACGCUCAGUAAGUUUAACCAUUUGAGAUGCGCUCAGUUUUUUUCUUGUUUGCAAGAACACAUAGAUUCGCCACCAGUUACAUGAUGUCGGCGAGAUUAGCUAGUGAUGCGAUGAGUGGCAUCUUGAGGUUGUGAACUGUAGUGGAGUGGCAGCGACGAACAGCCACCACUGGACGUGGCCAUUGUUGCAGUAUGGGAGCGGAGCUAGGUCUUUGAGGUACUCCAUCGAGGAAGCCACCACAGUAUGGGAGCGGACGCCUCAUGACCGACCUCAUCGAGGAGGAGAGCGCUGACUUCAUGGCUCGGCUGCAUGAGCGCUCCGGGAUCGGCGAGGAGACGAGCGUGCCCAAUUCUUACCGCUAUAUGCCCCCCAAGCGCGGCGUGGAGGCUUCCCGGGAGGAAGCCGAGCUGGUCAUCUUCUCCGCCGUCGACAAGGUGCUGGCAAGGACGACGGUGAAUCCCGAGGACAUCGACACACUCAUCAUCGCCUGUAGCUUCACCACGCUGACACCGGUGUUCGCCGACGUGGUCGUCAACAAGUACAAGCUCCGCGCGGACGUGCAGAGCGUGAACCUGUCCGGGAUGGGGUGCAGCGGGGCGCUCAUCUGCGUCGGCCUCGCCGAGAAACUCCUGCAGGCUGCACCACCAGGGAAGCACAAGCACGUGCUGAUCAUAGCCACCGAGAUCCUGUCGUCGAUGAUGUACCACGGCACCAAGCGCGAGAUGCUUGUGCCCAAUGUGCUCUUCCGCAUGGGCGCCGCCGCCAUGAUCAUGACCAACUCACCGGAACGCGCGCGGUUCCGGCUCGGUCCGAUCGUGCGCACGCUGACCGCUGCCCGGGACAGCGACUACCGAUGCGCAUUCCAGGAGGAGGACGACAAGGGGAUCACGGGCAUCAACCUCUCCAAGGAACUUCCCGUCGUUGCUGCGAACGCGCUCAAGAGUCACAUUGUCACCUUCUGUCCCCGGGCCCUGCCUGCCUCGGAGCUUCUCCGGGUCGCCUUCUCCCUCGUCAAGCAGUACGUGUUCCCGCUCCCGGGCGCGCGUGGGCGUGCGGAGAAGGGCGCGCGGCCGGCCUUCAACAAGGUGUUCCAGCACUUCUGCAUCCACCCGGGCGGGCGCAGGGUGCUCCAGGAGGUGCAGCAUGGCCUCGGCCUCUCUGACCGUGACAUGGAGGCGUCGCACAUGACGCUGCACCGGUUCGGGAACAUGGCCAGCAGCUCGUUGCUGUACGAGCUGGCCUACAUCGAGGCCAAGGGCCGGAUGACCGAGGGUGACCGGGUGUGCAUGAUCUCCUUCAGCCCCGGCAUAGACUGCAGCAGCGUCGUAUGGGAGUGCAUCAACCCGGCGGCGGCAGAUCCCAACGGACCCUGGGCCGCCUGUAUCCACCGCUACCCUGUGCAGGUCAAGACGACCUAAGGCCAGGUUCGCUUCUUUUUAGAGCCUUGGCUUAUGCAUAAUUAAGCUGCAGUGUGCAGUGAAAAUAAGCUCAUGAGAAUAAAGCAUCCACUUCUUUUCUGCUCCUAUCUACUACCUUCGUCUGGAAAUACUUGUCAUCAAAAUGAAUAAAAAAGAUGUAUCUAGACGUAUUUUAAUUCUAGAUACAUCUAUUUUUAUCCAUUUUGAUGACGAGUAUUUUUGGACGGAGGGAGUAUUAGGUGUAAAGUCAGUAGUACUAAUAUCGGUGCACUGUAAUUCUGUUCUCAUUGAAAUAAAUUAUAUUUCCGAAUUUCGUGAAAUGUUACGAUUUUCUUUUUUUGCGGAGAUGAAAUAUUACAAGUUGAACCGAUGAAAGAUCAUUGUCACACAUACGAACGCCAUAACGAACGUGAAUUGCUCCUUACAGUUUAGCAGCCGUAUGGAGGCAAAUCAAUCAAGAGGACAAGAAUUCUGGUGUGGCUAUACGUCAGUCAGCUGAAAGAAAGUUUGGGGUCAGUCGAUUUUUCUCAACCGUCGGAUGCGAAAUCAACGGCCUGCACCUUACUUCAACCUCCAACCUUUGUUCCUCCUAUCGCCAGCCUAACCGCCAUCCCCCGCGGCCCGUGGCGCUCCUGCGACCGCCUUGCCACCCCGCUCUACCUUGAACCGCCCUCCACCGCGGGGCUUGUUGUCGCCCCCGGCAAUCCCCUAGCCCCGCCUGCGGCCCGUGUCCAGUUUUUGGGGUUUCUAUAUUCAUUUUCGCUUCUGCAAAAAAAUAAUAUGAAAACAAAUAUGGUAGCAUCAGUUCCGUCCGUUUCCGCUCCGAUUUCAUCCGUAGUGUCUUGAAACUUUUGUUUGUCGGGGUCAGCCAACAAAACUAUAUUAUGGCGAGGUGCCUCGACUUAGGCAUGUGAGUUUGAACUUCAUGCAAAUUGGAGAUAACGGCAGAAUUACUAGCUUCAGCUCGAGCAGGUAAGAAAUGUAAAGUUGACUCACGAUACCAGGUUUAGAGAUUAUAGUCUUAUAAGAAAUGAAUUUAGAUAUUGAAACUUCAUCAAGUUUACCUGACUUGUAAGGGUUAUAAAGAAUAUUAUCGUAUAUGAAUUUAUUGAUAAUUCUAAUUGGGGGUCUCAUAUCCUGAAUGAUUUAAUUAUUACAAGUUUUACGGUGAUUGGGCUUUUUUGGAGCCCUUCGUUUGUCUCAAUCUAACGGCACACACAUACGUAGUACUGGCUAGUACUCGGAUGAAGUAUUUCAAAGUACUAAAACUUGUGGGGAUGGUACUAAUGACAAUGUGGGGACACCUUUUAAUCUAGGAGCAUUUUAGUCAUUGGAAAAAUGUGCACGUGCCGCCCCUCUCGUCCAAUGCAAAACCGCCGCCAUGGUCCUCUCCUCUUCCAUUACGGAACUGCAGCCAUCUCCUCCCUCUCUUGCAUUCCAAAUCCACCGCAGCCAUCUCCUCCUUCUCGCCGCCGCAACUUUGCUCUUCUCNNNNNNNNNNNNNNNNNNNNNNNNNNNNNNNNNNNNNNNNNNNNNNNNNNNNNNNNNNNNNNNNNNNNNNNNNNNNNNNNNNNNNNNNNNNNNNNNNNNNNNNNNNNNNNNNNNNNNNNNNNNNNNNNNNNNNNNNNNNNNNNNNNNNNNNNNNNNNNNNNNNNNNNNNNNNNNNNNNNNNNNNNNNNNNNNNNNNNNNNNNNNNNNNNNNNNNNNNNNNNNNNNNNNNNNNNNNNNNNNNNNNNNNNNNNNNNNNNNNNNNNNNNNNNNNNNNNNNNNNNNNNNNNNNNNNNNNNNNNNNNNNNNNNNNNNNNNNNNNNNNNNNNNNNNNNNNNNNNNNNNNNNNNNNNNNNNNNNNNNNNNNNNNNNNNNNNNNNNNNNNNNNNNNNNNNNNNNNCAGUAGAUCGAGCAGAUCGCCGGCGGCGACCAGGUCAAGACGGCCAGGUUGAGGGAGAUCCGUUCUUGGUUUGACAACACAAGGCAGAUGAACUGGGCGGCAAGGUACAUUUAUAUGUUGUAGGAUUGGAUAGAUCAAGGUACAAGAAAAAGCCCAAGAAGGGUAAAAGAAAAAGCCCAAGGAGAAGGGAAAAGCAUGUGUCCUCCUGUAUUGUUGGAAAUUCUUCGAGACUAAUGAGAAGUAGAACAUGACAAAUAGGGAGGCUCCUCCAUACCACUUCUUUCUCUCUUGAGUUUGAUGAUGGUGCCGGCGGUGGUGGUGGUGGUGAUGAUGAUGAUGAGUGGAUGCAUAGGAGUCCUACACCCGGAUCAAGUAUGGGGUGCCGGACAAAGAGAUCGACGAAGAUGCUCAAGAUAUAAAGAGAUGUGGGGGCUGAUAAGUACAAGAUUGCAGAGAUGAAAAGUCAAGGAAGGAAUUGGUGGAGAAGAGCAAACAAGAGAAGCUGGAGUUCGGGAAGAGGAGGAUACAAGAGAAGAUGGAACGAUGGGAACAAAUUAAUGGAAGUAAAAUGCGAGAUGGAUGCACAUAGGCUUCAACUUAUUGAAUACAAUCAAUUGAUGCAGGAGAAGAUGGCUGAAAAGAACUGGCUCAUGAUGUUAGAAAUUCCAUGUAUGAAACAUCAAGAAGAUUUGGGGAGAUGAGUCUAGCAGAGAUCGUGACUUCUAGGAUGCCAUGGAGUUGCUAGUGCACCGGAGGAGGGGGCGAUGCACAAAUGGGAGGAUGCCGUGCUCUUGACGACAUGUGAUUUUUACAUAUCAGCUGAAUGUGUGCAUUAUGAUUCAUCUUUUGUUUAUGCAUUUGAAGCCUACGAGCAUUGCUUUUGCCUUAAGUUUAUAUUAUGUCUAAAUUUGAAUUUGAAUCUUGAACCUGUCGAUUUGGUUUGAACUGCUGGUCAAGUGUGUGUGAUGUUUAACAACGACAAGCUCGGCUUAUAUAUGUGUGAAAACUCGGGAUUGAUUAGAGUGCACAGAUAUAGGAAAGAUAAAUUUUUCAAGGUUGCAUGUUUGCAACUUUGAGUUUACACACAGCCUCUACGUUUGGCGAGUUUGAGUUUGCGCACAACCUCUGCAACCUUAAAUAUUUUUUGGAGGGUCCCCAAAACUGUUUUGGAGGCCGUGAAUACGGCUGAUCUGCUAGAGUUGUUCUAAGACUUUCAACUUCACACCUGAGAACUGUGAUGUUGUGUACUUGCAUGUCUACUCUUACAGAUAUGGGAACAAAUAAACUGAACCUCCACCGAACAAGAGAAAAAUAAAGGUUAUUUGUGCCCGUGAUUAAAUACAAGAUGGAAUACAGAAGUAUUUACAAGCAUAAUAAUAUUAUUUCUAUGUCAGGCUUAAUAAGGUUCAAGACCUAAUACUAAGUACUCCUGCAGUUGAAAUUAAUACUCAUCACACUCCGGCAACUUCUGUUGUUCACCGUACAUUCUCAGAUCAUCUGCAAACUGCACGUCUCUCCUAAAAUCGAAGAUGAAAUCUGUGUCUAGCAUUCCAUCUGUGUUCAUUGUUCCACCGUGAGUAAUAUCACCAUCACACUCAAAAUAGUCUGUUGAAUCUGGAUAAACAAUCUUCCUCGCGGAUCCCUUUCCAUAGAAGCAACGGCCUGUCACCAAAACCAGAAUUGAUUAUGUAUCAGUCACAAGAAAACAGCUCCGACAGUAAUUCUUCCAAGUGAAAUGUUUGGCAAACCAUGUCUAUUUUGCAUUGGUUCCACUGACCACACCAUAAAACAGUGGCAGUUUUAAGCAACCAUGCUUGACACAAUAAAGGUUACUAGACAAAGUGUAUCCGUAAAACAUCUUAAGAUGCUGAAAUUUUCUGCACGCGAUCAGCAGCAAAGCUGCAAGAACACACAAAUGUUUUAAUUUAUUUCGGAAUUGCUACAUAUAUUCAAGUUAUAUUGAUCGAUAACAUGGCCUAAAUGUUGUAUAGCAAGAUUCAGAGGUGUACACAAGACAUGAAACCGAAUUAGGUAAGCCAGAUAACAUGAUCUCAGCUGCGGGCACAAGCCAUUUUAUUAACUGAAGAAUAAGACUUUUCGACAAGAGAGUUAACAUGAUUGCAGCAAGCAUAAGGCUUUUCGACAAAGCAUAAGGCCUUUCCUAUGUUUGGACGAAACAAGCAAGCAUCAUUGGUUGCAGAAAAAUAAGAAUAAGCAUCGUAGGAUCAAAAGACGAAAAGGUCGUAGAAGAAAUCAUAAGGCUUUUCGACAAAUCAGGGUGGAAAUUCUCCUCUUUAAUUUUCAAAACCUGCAUUUUUUUAAACUGAGGCAAAACUUUUGCCUGGUUGAUAAAUUAAGGAGAAGAGAAUUGCCCAGUUAAUUUAUGGAAAACCGGACGAAAACCAAAAACCUGCGUAUAUAGCUGCUCAAGGAACGGGGACUUACUGGUGUGUGUGAAGAGUAGAGGGCAGCAGAAAUUUGGUUCUGUCUUCUGAUAGGGAAACGAACAAUUGACUUGGGCGAAGAAAAACUAGUUAUGGGCCCCUGAUUUGGGAGCAGCCACAAAGUUAAUGUGGUAGCAUUCCCUGCCCAAGGAUUCCGAAGCGGACUCCACGCCACAGGUAACACUCGUUGCAUACUUUGGUUCCUAAAACAAGCAGCAACAAAGGUCAAUUAAUACAGAAAUGUAUGGAAUAUAUAUGUACUACGUAUGUACCAACUAAAUAACAAUGAACACAAAUAAAUUAAAGCCAGGUUGAUGUACCCGAGGAUGCUCCGAUGCAUAUUUUUGCAGUGCUUGUGCGACCCGAGAGCGAAUGUGUUGGGGAUAUAACUAUUAGGUAUGACCCGCCCACGAGGGGCCGGGCUAUACCUAUGGCGAUUCAUCAUAUGAAGCCCACGAGGAUAUUGAAGAUGGCGGUUUAGUUAAGGGCCCAAGGCCCAAAGGCGACUUAAAGCCCGUAGGGGUAAACCGCCAUAUAUGUAAAGACUUGCAUUGUAAAGCACGUAAAAGUAGUCACCGAGCCGGACACUUAUCUAUGAGCCGGCCGGGACUCCGUGAGCCGCUGGGCGUCAACCUGUGUAUAUAAAGGGAAGACCUGGCGGCGGUUCAAGACAAGAAAGACAACAGAUCGAAAGCUAGGUCAAGCGGAUUCACUCCCUGGUAAUCGAGACAUAAGCAAUACCACCUCAAACUGGAUUAGACCUUUACCUUCACUGCAAGGGGCCGAACCAGUAUAAACUCCCGUGUCCUUUGUCCCGUUUACCCCUUUAAACUACCUACUUGCGAUGGCUCCACGACUAAGUCCUUUUGCUAGGACAUCUGUCGUGACCUUUCCACGACAGUUGGCGCCCACCGUGGGGACAACGCAUGGUGGUUUCGAGUUCUUAAAGGGCAGCUUUGCAGGGCUCAAGGGAUACGCUGUAGGCCGGAUGACCAAGAGUCGUCGCGGCAAGCUCUACAUCGACGAUGCAGGCUGGGGCCCGAGGCCGGCUCAAUUGAGAACGGGUAUAGGGUCCCCUUCGGUGGAAUCCACGUCUUCAUCGGCAAAAUCGGCGAGCCGGGCCCUGAGCCGGACACCUGCACCGACAUCAUCGAGAUGGCUCAGUGUGCGAGACCCGCCCGAGCUCAGCCUGUCAUGAAGCGUGCCUUCGUGGGAUGCAUCCAUGGAGCGGAAUUUGAUAAAGGAUCUAUGUCUGGCGGUGAGACGGCCAUCUACUCUGAUGGUGAGUCUUCCACGGGUGAGACUACUUCAUUGUAUUAGCUGCAAGAUGGCGGGUUUGGGGGCUAUUCCAAUGGCGAUAGUAUUCUGGACCCCUAUGAGCCGCCAAACAGAGUCGGGAUCUUCAUGGCUGGUACCCAGCCUGGGUAAAAUUCUUCAACUGCAGCGGCGAUGACUUACGGGUCAGCGCGGUAACGGCAGCCGAGGCAGGAGGCCCUGCUUUGGAUGCUCAGGCCCAACGGAUUCAGUCGGAGGCUUUCCAGCUUACGAUGGAUCAAAACGCUUCAAAUGAAAUCAUGAGGAGGAGGCACCGGUCCCGUCUACCUCCGGUUUACGAGGCUAGAAACCUCUUCCGCACGCCUGGUGCAGGGCCCAGUAACCCGCCAGAGUUAAACCGGGCUGCGGCACCCGGGGUUGGGACGCCGGUUCAACCACGCAUGACGGAACCCCAUCGUCUGAAUACCGCUCCGCCUCAGCAUGUACCGACACCACCGGGUCAUUAUUCUAAUCCUUUGGAGAACAUGAUUGUUGCGGCGGCACGAUUGGCGGCUCUCCCGGUGGAUGGCGACUCUCCAACAGUGAUUGAAACACGAAGGGUCAGAGAACUUCUUCAAACAACCUUGGCGCAGCAGGAGGCAUAUUCUUACAGUCAAGAUAGGAUUCAUUCGACUCCUCGCCCAAGCCGGAGUUACAGAAGGCACAUGGACUCACCAGCCGUUUCAAGCAAUGCCCAGCGCCGUGUCCAGCCGCAUGGGCAUGACCCGGCGCAUGAUGGAGCUCUUAACUUGGUUGAUCAAGAUAGAGUGCGUCAACAAGCCGAGCAGGCGGCUCAGCAGGCGGCUCACCAGCCCCUUCCAGUUUAUCCAACGACUUCGGUUGAGGCAGUCGUGACCUCUAGAUCUACAGGUGUACCCUGUUUGGUGCCAGCUCUGCAUAAUGAGCGUUUGCCCAAAGAUUUCAAAGGACCUCAAAAGGUGCCUAAUUACACAGCCGACUUACCCCCUGAGGCGUGGAUUGAAAGUUAUGAGAUGGCCAUGGAAUUAUUGAAAGUCAGUGACGCUGCGUGUGCCAAGUACUUCACCAUGAUGCUGGAUGGAACGGCCCGCACUUGGUUAAAGGGUCUGCCGGCUAAUUCCAUCGGGUCAUGGGCUGAGCUAAAGGCCCAGUUUAUUCAGAACUUUAAAGACACAUGCAAGAAGCCCAUGUCGAUCGUGGACUUAGCGACUUGCGCCCAAGAGGAGGAUGAAUCAAUGACUCAUUGGGUGCGCCGGGUCAAAGCUAUCAUACAUUCAUCUGAUAACAUGAAUGUCGGCUCUGCGGUCUUAAUGUUGGAGAAAAAUUGCCUUUUUUGCCUCUUAAACAGAAGCUGGGGCGGCUCAAGCGCAAUUGUAAUGAUAUGGGGCAGCUGAUGGUGGCUCUAAUCAAAUAUGUUGACUUUGAUAGUACCAAGGACCCCCGAGUCUGACGAUGAGAAGGCAGGGAAGGGAAAGAAGAGCGGUAACGCCAAGGGUCAGCAGCAUAACCUGGCGAAUCAGGGGGGCAACAGUAAACGCAAGGCGGAUGGUAGCCCGGAGUUUGUGGCUAACACCAACGUACUGGGCAAUAAUCAGUGUUGUAAGGGGUACAUAUCUACACAUAUGACUACAUAAGAUAUUAGUGGAGAAUUCAGAUUCAGAUUCUCUGAGAACGCGUUUAGCCUUAUUGCUGAUAAUGCAGCGUGAUCUUUUUUUUAGAAAAGGAGGAUGACCCCCGGCCUCUGCAUCUGGGCAAUGCAUACGGCCACUUUAUUAAUUAUUCUCACAAGACCUUACAAAGUCAUACAACAGUAAGACUAAAGCCGCCGUCUAAGCAACAAACUGUCGCUACACCUGUCCAGUUGAUGAAGGGGCGCAGAUAGUCUGGGCCUAAUACCAAACAGACAUCGCAGCCAAGCCUAACAUCUAAGACCUGAGACCCCAACCUAGCCACUUGCCAGGUAUGGGGCACACACUGGUCCGGCGUGCUCUCAGAGGCCGCCGCCACCAACUGCCACCGCUCCAUCUUCAGAACUGUACUGAUGCAUGAAUCUUUCUCGGUCUAGCUAUCGUCGACGCCACCAUGGCGCCCAACGGAACCUCCUCCCUGUGCACAAACAGCUGAGCACGUCGCGGUCGCCACUGAUACACCUCAGCGCCAUUGCUGCCAAGUACCACCAGCCAACACAGCUUGAAGUUCUUGGAAAGUCUGUCGUGCGUAGCACCUGCCGACCAGGCAUGACAAAGCGUAGCACCUGUCGGUCAGGCAUGACUUGACAUCUCCACCGAAGCUCCGUGCAAGACGAAGCCGCUCCACCUGCUGCCUCUGACUUCCAGCGCUACUCUGCAAACGAUGCUCCCAAGAGAGAAACGACACCGCAGUGACGCCAUCGUCCGAUCUGGAACACCAGAUCCUAGGGUUUCCCCCAGAGCAGCACGAGUGGGUCUACAGUAGUUACACGACAAUGCCUUCAUCAAGGUAACGGCGAGAACGCUGCCAUCUCCUGCCGUCGGCUCGGUUUUCACCAGCAACCAUGUCUCCCCUACUCGCAGCUGGGACAAGAUGAUGGAUCUCGAGAUCCGAUCACCAAGCCUCUGGCCGGCCAUCUCUGGAAGAAGACGACCACCACAUCCACCAGCGUCACCACGCCGGGCACGCGUCGCCGCCGGCACCCCCAUGGUUCCUAGAGGCCGACAAGCCCCGACGAACACCAUGCCUUGCCAGCCGCCAUGGCCUAGACCCAAGCACCACCAGAUCCAGAUCGGAUCGGGGUCAAGGGCCCCAAGCCGCAGCAGCCGCGGAGGCUGUUGGAAAUAUGCCCUAGAGGCAAUAAUAAAAUGGUUAUUAUUAUAUUUCUUUGUUGAUGAUAAUUUUCUAUUAUUUAUGCUAUAAUUUUAUUAUCCGGAAAUUGUAAUACAAGUCCCUAGUGAGCCUCUAGUUGACUAGCUCGUUGAUCAACAGAUAGUCAUGGUUUCCUGACUAUGGACAUUGGAUGUCAUUGAUAACGGGAUCACAUCAUUAGGAGAAUGAUGUGAUGGACAAGACCCAAUCCUAAGCAUAGCACAAAGAUCGUGUAGUUCGUUUCGCUAGAGCUUUUCCAAAUGUCAAGUAUCUUUUCCUCAGACCACGAGAUUGUGCAACUCCCGGAUACCGUAUGAGUGCUUUGGGUGUGCCAAACGUCACAACGUAACUGGGUGACUAUAAAGGUGCACUACAGGUAUCUCCGAAAGUAUCUGUUGGGUUGGCACGAAUCGAGACUGGGAUUUGUCACUUCGUAUGACGGAGAGGUAUCUCUGGGCCCACUCGGUAAUGCAUCAUCAUAAUGAGCUCAAUGUGACCAAGUGUCUGGUGACGGGAUCAUGCAUUACGGUAUGAGUAAGUGACUUGCUGGUAACGAGAUUGAACGAGGUAUUGGGAUACCGACGAUCGAGUCUCGGGCAAGUAACGUACCGAUUGACAAAGGGAAUUGUAUUCGAGAUUGAUUGAAUCCUCGACAUCGUGGUUCAUCCGAUGAGAUCAUCGAUGAGCAUGUGGGAGCCAACAUGGGUAUCCAGAUCCCGCUGUUGGUUAUUGACCGGAGAGGCGUCUCGGUCAUGUCUGCAUGUCUCCCGAACCCAUAGGGUCUACACACUUAAGGUUCGGUGACGCUAGGGUUGAAGAGAUAUUAGUAUGCAGUAACCCGAAAGUUGUUUGGAGUCCCGGAUGAGAUCCCGGAUGUCACAAGGAGUUCCGGAAUGGUCCGGAGGUGAAGAAUUAUAUAUAGGAAGUGCAGUUUCGGUCACCGGGAAAGUUUCUGGGGUCACCGGUAUUGUACCGGGACCACCGGAAGGGUCCCGGGGGUCCACCGGGUGGGGCCACCUAUCUCGGAGGGUCCCGUGGGCUGAAGUGGGGAGGGGAACCAGCCCCUGGUGGACUGGUGCGCCCCCCCUUGGGCCCGCCCUGCGCCUAGGGUUGGAAACCCUAGGGGUGGGGGGCGCCUCCACUUGCCUUGGGGGCAAGCCACCCCCUUGGCCGCCGCCCCCCCUUGGAGAUCCCAUCUCCUAGGGCCGGCGCCCCCCUAGGGGGCCUAUAUAAAGGGGGGGAGGGAGGGCAGCCGCACCCAAGUCCCUGGCUCCUCCCUCUCCCUGCAACACCUCUCCCUCUCGUAGAAGCUUGGUGAAGCCCUGCCGUGAUCGCUGCUGCAUCCACCACCACGCCGUCGUGCUACUGGAUCUUCAUCAACCUCUCCUUCCCCCUUGCUGGAUCAAGAAGGAGGAGACGUCUUCCCAACCGUACGUGUGUUGAACGCGGAGGUGCCGUUCGUUCGGCGCUAGGAUCUCCGGUGAUUUGGAUCACGACGAGUACGACUCCCUCAACCCCGUUCCCUUGAACGCUUCCGCAUGCGAUCUACAAGGGUAUGUAGAUGCAGUCCCCUCUCGUUGCUAGAUGACUCCAUAGAUUGAUCUUGGUGAAGCGUAGAAAUUUUUUAUUUUCUGCAACGUUCCCCAACAGAGGCAGCACCACUGGACGGUGCCCUGCCCUCCACCCCGCCAUAGGACCGAGUCAUCGCCGGAGCUCCGCCGCGCCACGCCGCCAAGCCGCAGCCGGAAGAACUCAUGCCGCCGCCAGGGGAGAGAGAGAGACACGCCAGGGAGAGGCCCCGCCGCCGCCGGCACUGCCUGGGCUCUGUCCGGCUAUGUCCCUUGGCGACGGCGAGGGGGGAGGGAGGGUGUUUGAGGGCCGGCGGCGAAGGGAGCUAGGGUUCCCCCGAGUCGCCUCAGAGAGGGACGCGGGGGACGUGGCUGUCCGGCUGGGUUGUUGCUCUGACCGUGGACUGCUGCAACGUUGUUGUUGCCUCCCUCUGUUGGGUUGGUCAGCGGUGGUGUGGUGGUUCACGACGAUUAUAUUAGGCAGUUCCGACUGCGGUGAUGAUUCGACUCUGUUUCGAAGUCGGCUCAUUUGCAGGCGGCUCGUGUUGGCCUCCGCUCCAAUCCCUAGUUGCGCUUAUGCGGGAUGAGACAGAGGGAUGGCCCUCUCCGAGAUGAUUUCCAUCUCUAAGGGAUGGAUUCGUCAUCAGGAGGGCCACAAGGUCAGCCUUGACUCCCAUCUGGUGGAGGUGCGCACCGGGGAGCUCGUCCUCUAGGCGGGGAAGGUGGGGCGGUGGAUGUCAGAUCUGGUUGGCCCAGAGGGCUUCGACCUCGGGGCUGUCCAGGGAUGUAGCAGGAAGUGCAUUCGCGCCGGUCUCUUUGGUCAUCGUAGUUGCAAGCCUGGGUUGAGGCUGGAGUUGGGUCCAUGGAUGUCGGGGCGGCCACCUUGGUGGGGGGAGGAACAAUGUUCAUACCAAAGCUCGUGGGUCAGGUGUUGGGUGGUUUCCAUGGCCAUGUGGGCGGCGUGGUGGCCAAUGUGCGAAGGUCAGUGGUUGUGGUACGACAGUCGGUGGUUGUGGUACAACGGUCGGUAGCUUGUGGUACAAGGUCUGGGGAUGAAGAGGGCUUGCCGGGCCGGGUGAACACCCUCUCUGGCUCUACCUGUCCGAAGAUGGCGCCUAUUGGCUUCGUCUCCUUCUUGAAGGCAUCGUCACAGUUACUUCUUCAUCCUCUUUGUUGUUAUGGGGAAAGACUUGAUCCCUAAAUCGGGUAGUGCCAGCGCUCCGCGAUCGUGCUCUUUCAGAAGUCCCGACUUCGAGUACUCGGUUCCUUCGCAGUGACUCGUUCGCGGUUGAGGGCUCAUGGGACUUCAAGCGGUGCCUUAGGUUCCUACUUGUAGAUUGCUUGGAGUGGUAUGAGGUUAUGUAGUUAUUCCUAAACAUCCCCGUAUCUUGCCAUGCAUGUGUUGUGGUGUCGAGUUGUAUUGGUUGGAUUGUAUGUUGGUUGGUGCUUUAUCUGUAAAGCGGGUCGUGGGCCUUUUUUUGUCAUUUUCAUUACUCUCUCAUUCUUUGUUGUAAAUAGUACUCGCUUCGUAAAGAAAUAUAAGAGCGUUUAGAUCACUAAAGUUGUGCAACGAGUGCUUGUAGCAUAGUGAGGGUCCUAUUAUCGUCCAGUCGUCCAGGGCAUAUCUUUACGAUGGAGUUGAAGAGGUGUGGAAGGAGGUGCAUUCGCGCCAUAAUAGAUCACUAAAGAAAUAUAAGAGUCUAUAUAGAGGGAGUACAUAUUUUAGUACCUAAGAAAAUCUCUGCAUGGAAGGUAGCAACGAGUGCAUUAGCUACCAAUUUGUGCAAAAAAAAUUCAGACAUAUUCCCACUAGGGAUACAUGUCAUGUAUGCAGCACGGAGGCUGUGUUUGUUUCAGCUUUUGUAGACAGUUUCCUGCGAGAAAAAGCUAAAGCUGUACCAAACAGCUAAAAUAGAGCAGUUUUGUGUGCAAAGCCCAUAUCAGUUUCGGCCAGUUUUACGUGGUAUAGCCCAAAGCACCUCGCCGCGUACUUUCGCUGCGAAGCUGCUCGUAAUAGGCAGUUUUCCCAGCGCUAACCCUGCCCUUUGUCCAGAUUUACAACAAAAUUGCCAUCCGUCCUAUGCCCUGCGAGAGCUCCGGUUCCGCCAGAUUUGUACGAACAUCUAAUUAUAUGUACGGAUUAUGAAUUAUAAUGGACGGUCUAAUCCUUUAGCUCUCUUUUGUAUGGAUUAUUAGUUAUAUGGACUAUCUUUUGUAUUGUACGGGCAAUUGUGACUUGCAUGGACUAGCGAUGUGACAACAUAAUUAUUUUGCUCACUAUUAUUCUAUGUAUAUAUGAGCAAGAAAGUGAGAAAAAUAUUAUUAUGAAAGAUUUUAUGCAUUAUCAUAGAACAAAUCAUUUCCUGUCAGUCAAAAUACCAUUUAAACAAUCUAUUAACACUGAAUCAACAAGUUACACUGACCUUAGUACUCUAAGGGCAUUUUGGGCUUUUCAUCAGCUCAAAGUCGUUUCCACAACUGGUUGCCAAAUAGCUAACCUUCACUACAGCUGUUUCCUCAGCACAACAGUUUUGCCAGCACAGCAAGUCCACAGCUGAAACUGUUGAAACUGAAGCCCAAACAAACACAGCCAGAGGCAAAAACUACAUAUCACGUCCUUGUUAGAUGCGAUCAUGCACACAUACUAUGGGAGCUUAUGCGGUCAGUUUAGGUCUUGCCACAAAAUACCCAACUAGUUAAUGCUGGCAAGGACUGGUUGUUGGAUGUGCUGGCGAAUUCGAACGAGGAUAAGAGGGAUCGGGUUAUCAUGUUGGUGUGGUGAAUCUGGUCAUUGAGAUCAGACAUGGCCCAUGGCAAGGAAGUACCUUUUCCUCGUAUUUCGGUCGAGUACCUUCAAAGCUACAUGUCAUCCCUAAGAGUGCCAAGGCGGUUCAGUGCAGAAGAAAUCAUAAUAGGGAAAAUGACAGUCGACAUGGGGCCUCCUUCUACCACGAAAACAGCUAUGAUGGUGCUGCCUUGGCCUCCUCCCUCGGCAGACCAGGUUGCUCGAUCGGUGGAUGGUGCCUUUUCAUGUGUCGAUGGUUCUCCGGCAGCAGGUACGAUCCUUCGACAUGAUGGCAAUGUGAUCUUUGUGGCAUACAGAUACCUUUUCAACUCCAAUGACGCGCUUGAAGCGGGAAUUCAUGCAUUAACACAAGAUAUGGCAUUGGCAUUGUAGCAUAGUGAGGGUCCUAUUAUCGUCCAGUCGAACUCUUCAUAGGCCUUGGCAUCUGUAACUGAAAAAAGUCUGGAUCGUUCAACAUACGGGCAAUUGGUAGCUGAGAUUAAGUUUCUUAUGCUUGAUAGAGAAUUUAUUCCAACAAAAAUUAGACGUGAAAAUAAUAUGGUAGCAUAUCAAUUGGCUACAUAUAGUCGUGCAGAAUGUACCACUGCAAUAUGGGUAAGCCAAGGUUCACCUUGCAUGGAGGAACUUCUGCCUUGCAACUCUAACCCUCUAUUGACUUAAUAAAACUCUAUUACCCCUGUUAGAAUAAAUUCGAGGUAUACCGUCGAUCAUCCGAGGACUAAGCAAUCACACGAGCACGACACCGAGAUUUGUUAACGAUGUUCACCGAUAUGGCUACAUCCCCGGGGCCUGACUACGGGCGCUCCUCCCCGUGACACCGUCACAAUACCGCACACCGGCCACUUGGGCGUCGGCACACGUCGCCGGCUCCCCCUUGCGCGCCUGUGCUAUUAUGUUGGCAUAGAUUAUAUCGUGUGUCUACCCCCGCUAUAUAUGAGAGGCAUAGGAUACAAGUGUUCUACUAGGACACGACUCCAUAUCCUAUCUAAAUACAAUACAACUACAAGUCCAACUGCAACCUACCUUGUACACUUUAUUCGACACAACUCUAACAAACUCCACCUUGGCGAAUAUUCUCCAGCACCUUGAAUUCGUUAAUGCGUCAAACUUCCAUGUACAUUGGACUUGAGCUUAUCCCAUGUGUAUCGCUGCUACUCCAAAGACUCCACGUGACUCCACCUGCAACUUGUAGUACCUUCUUUUCUUGACCACAGUCAACACUCGAGCAAAAUUAAGUUCCUUGUUACUCUAGUUUGUGCUUCCAACUUCCAGAGUAUCCGUCCAACGCCAUCACACACUGAUUACUGACCUGCGUAAAAGUGAACAACUCACAUAUUGGAUGCCACAUAUAAGAGUUACCUGAACUCAACAUCACCGCUCCUUUCUUGACUGUCGGUCUGAAACAUGAAGAGAUUUCACCAUUGCUUGUAGUCAUCCCGAGUUAACUUCGCAGUUGUCUCACCACAUGUAUGACCACUAGAGCCCUGGCCCGUCUCCAUGUCCCGUGCAUACCGCACGCCUCGCCGCUAUUUCCGCGUUGAGCCUCCACUGUCCCGGUCGAGUCUCAAGGGUCGCAAACCCACACCACUCAACCCCCACUGCAGAGUACCACCGAUCAUCACCGACCGAUGACGAGUUUCACACUUCCAUCAGAUCGCUGGGCUCCAGUCCGAACUACGUGUCCCUUGCUUUUUCCCACUGAAUAGGCUUCGACUCUCUGUGCACUUAUGCUGUAGCCCCUCAAUCAGCACCGAGUGAAGUCCUCCAGACUCUAGCUCCACCUUCAACAUGACUCCAUGGUAGAUGAUCAGUCCACCCACGCGCUCCGUCGACUACAAGAUCACAUGUGCACCGUCUUGAAUCAACCCCGCGCCAUAGCCUCACUAGUAGAAAAAUGGCCUAUUGUCCCGGUUCGUAAGGGCCAUUUGUCCCGGUUGUUGAACCGGGACUAAAGUGUCGUUACUAAUGCCCUAGGCCUUUAGUUCUGGUUCUUAUACAAACCGGGACAGAUGGGCCUCCACGUGGCCGGUGCGGCAAGCCCAGGCAGGAGCCCUUUGGUCCCGGUUGGUGGCACCAACCGGGACCAAUAGGCAUCCACGCAUCAGUAUUUCAAGGGAUGGGGUUUUUUUUGAAGGGGGGGGGUUGGNNNNNNNNNNNNNNNNNNNNNNNNNNNNNNNNNNNNNNNNNNNNNNNNNNNNNNNNNNNNNNNNNNNNNNNNNNNNNNNNNNNNNNNNNNNNNNNNNNNNNNNNNNNNNNNNNNNNNNNNNNNNNNNNNNNNNNNNNNNNNNNNNNNNNNNNNNNNNNNNNNNNNNNNNNNNNNNNNNNNNNNNNNNNNNNNNNNNNNNNNNNNNNNNNNNNNNNNNNNNNNNNNNNNNNNNNNNNNNNNNNNNNNNNNNNNNNNNNNNNNNNNNNNNNNNNNNNNNNNNNNNNNNNNNNNNNNNNNNNNNNNNNNNNNNNNNNNNNNNNNNNNNNNNNNNNNNNNNNNNNNNNNNNNNNNNNNNNNNNNNNNNNNNNNNNNNNNNNNNNNNNNNNNNNNNNNNGGGGUUGGUGGUUUUGGGGGGUUAAUUUAGGUGUUUCAUAUAUUGUGUUAGCUAGCUAAUUAAUAGAGAGAAGUGUCCUCUCUUAUCUCCGUGCUUGGUCGACGCUAUGUACUAUACGUAUAGAGAGGACUAGACACGCUAGCUAGUAAGCAAAUGAAGGAAACAGAAGAUCGUCAUGAACAUAUGCAUACAGAGAGAAGCGAUAUCGACCAUCUCUCCUUCUCUGAGAGAUUGGUCGAAUAACAAGUUCUCGUAUAUCUAUCCGACGCUACUGGCUACAUAUAUACAAUAUAAUUAUCUCUUACAAUAUAAUCUCCUAAUUAUAUAUGAACUCAGGGUCCACAUGGUAUUCUUCGUCUUUAUCGAUCACGUGGUCAAGAAAGAAUGCUGCCAAUUCUCUUGAAUUGCUUGCAUACGAUCUGGUGGUAGGAGUUCAUCCCGCAUCCGAAAUAUCUAAUUUGAAGAAGGGGGUCAAUACAAUAUAUGAAUAAAUGAAACUCAACACAAAUGAUGGUAAUAAAAUAAAAUUGUGAAUAUUAUUAUUUACGCACUUCAUAUUGUUUGUUAGAGUAGCCCCGCUCACAGGUCGUGUGGCGGAUGGACUCACAAAUGUAGUAUCCACAGUAAUCAUUCCCUUGUUCCUGCCACAACCACUUUACAAGAAAUAGAGGUCAAUCAAACUGAUAAGCAAUCAUGCUAAAUGGUAUUGAUGAAACUAGCGCUUGAAUCACUAGGAGAUGCGCGGAACAUGCUACUAUAGUACUUACUUUCGGGUGUUUAAAUUGCAGCUUCUUCGGCAGUCUCGGAGUUUUUGAGGUGAAUUUUUUCCAAACCCUGCCAGACAAAGAAAACAAUUACUUGAUAUCAGGAAAUGAACAAAGUUGCUGAUAUGGUGCAAUAAUGAUCGAUUUAACUUACUUCUCUAGAAUUUCAGUCAUGUCCGCAUACUCCUUGGGAUCUUUUCGUCUCGAGUCUAAGACGGUUACUAGUCCCUGCGCAAGCUUAAUCUCUAGAAGAAUAUAGUGGAAGCUGUGCACGCAUGCAUAACUCAUCAAUUACAUUACUAUAACCUCGACUAAUAAGGGAAACCGAAUAUGCACAAGACAGUAACACUCACUUGAAGUUGUAAGGAAAGAGUAUUAUAGCUUUGUUUUGAUUUAAUAUAAACGAUUGUAGCAACUUGGCGUCGGUAUCUCUGGCCUGAAAUUCAACAAUAUAUGCAUCUACGAGAUUUGUGUUAAUGAACCCAAUAUCACCGAUUUGUCUUUUCUUCAAUUCGUCGAUCUUUGAUCUGCAUAAUAUAGUAAGGAUAAUUAAAAAUACAUGCAAUGAAAGAGCUGACCUAUAUAUAGAGACUCAAUGGCAGAAGUAGUACUACUUACAGGCAGUAGCAAGUGACCGUUAAUUUCUCGAGGGCCUUUUGAUUGAAAAACAUGAAGAACUCCUCAAAUGGAACAUUCAACAGUUCAAUUCCAAUGAGGUCAUGCUCCUCUCUAACUCUCAGCGUCAAAGUAUUCCUCCCCCAGACUCUCUGCAGGUUUUCAUGUACCAAUCAUGGAAUCUUCGCAUCAUCAUUGUUAGAGAUUUUUCAUCUUUGACGAGAGGCUUCCCGUACUCGUAUUUGUGUUCUUCCACCUCCAAGAAAUCAUAAUGUACAUCGUCGGGCAGGUAAUCUCCAAGGUUGUUAUAACCGGGCACCAUCCCCGGAUCAUUAGCGACGAUAUCGCUAGACACCUGGAGCGGGGGGAACGAUUGGUUCGCUUGUUCGCCGAGCUGGGCAAUUUUUUUCCCAGCUCGUCGUUCUGCUAACCUUUGACCACUGACAGUACUUCCCGGCCGCUCCGCUUUGAUAAAUGACUUUUCAAUAAUGCGCUCAUAGUUGCCGGAGACUUUGGUGGUUUCUUCAGGGCAGCCAGAGUACGCUUCGCUUUCACCGAAUCUAUCUUCUCCGCCGGAGGUGCAUGUUUCUUUGCUUUCACCCCUUCAAAGAAGUUCUUCACUUCGGCUCGCACGAUCUUCGCAUUUUCCUCCAGGCUCCUCUCGUAUGGUAACUUCUCUGGAGUCUUCAGAGAAGGGCCGAAUCUGUAUUGCCUCCCGCAUGUGGCUGUAUAGCUAGACGCCGGAGCAGACGGAGCGGCUGUGGCUGUCUUUCCUUUCUUACGAGGCGGAGGAGAAGGACUAUGACGCGCAGGAGCGGCGACGGGUCUCUUCCGGCCUUGUUGACGAGGCAGAGAAGGAAGAGGCUAGCUGCUCGGGCACGCCGGCGCAGGCGGAGAAGGAGGCGGAGUGCCGCCACGUGCUGGAGAAGGAGGCUGAGUGCCCUGAUCACUCGCUGGAGGAGGAGGCGGAAGAGGAGGCGGAGUGCCCUGACUCGCCAGAGGAGGAGGAGGAGGCGGAGGCAUCCAGUUCGGAAGGAUGAUGAGCUCCUUCCGCCAUAGGCAUGGAGUCUUCAGAGAAGAACCCAGCCGAAUCUCCCCUUCACCCGUAGGGUGGUCAAGCUCGAGGUCCUCAAAUCCGUCCGUUAUUUCAUCCACCAUCACCCUAGCAUAUCCUUCUGGAAUAGACCAGCAGUGGUAGGUUGCGCCAGGUUCAGUAGGUAAAACAGAGCCAACAGCCGCCUUGACUUUGAAUUUCAUCCAUUGCGUCAUAAGGUGGCAAUGUUGAGACUCCGUGAUAGCAUCCACGGGGUAGCUAGCAGGAGCCGUGAAGACAGGCUCCAGCUGAAGCUGCUCAGUGGAAGCCACGCUGCUUCUCCGCUGAGAUGGCGGGGUAGCUUCAGGAGAAGCUUCGGCAGGUCGUUUGCUGCGAUUUGCUUAUCAUUCCUCUAUCGCUUGUACCCUUGCGUGCAGCGCUUGCAGUUGGCUAUGCUCCACUUUCUUCCUCCUCUCCUGGCAUUUGUAAACCCCUGCGUCCGGAAACCCAGCCUUCCACCGAAUGGAGCCUGGCAUGCCUCGUGUCCGUCCAGGGUGCUCAGGAUUCCCGAGGGCCAUUAUGAGCUCGUCCUUCUCUCUGUCUGGAACGAACUUCCCUUGCUGUGCUGCCUCGAUAUACACCUGAAGCCUCGUGACGGGUAUUCGCAGUUGCUCGUCCGUCCAAAUGCACUUCCCUGAUACAGGGUCCAAGGUUCCGCCAACCCCGAAGAACUAAGUCCAGCAACGGUCUGGCCAGUUCAAUGUCUCUGGUUGACCCAUUUAUCAAUCAGGUCAUUCUCAGCCUUGGCCCACAACGGUCGGGCUUUGAGGUAGCCUCCUGACCCCGUGCGAUGGUGAUGCUUCUUCUUCGCAACAUUUUUCUUGUUUGUCACUGACAUCUUAUUACACUUGUCCGAUGUCUUGUGGGACACAAAUGCGGGCCAGUGAUCUUUGAUCUUCUCAUACUGGCCGGUGAACUCUGGUGUCUUUUCUUCGUCGACAAACGAUGUUUUCAGCUUAUUCUUCCACCUCCUGAAUAGUUCUGCCAUCUUCUUAAGAGCAUGAGACUUGAUCAAUUCCUCUUUAACUGGCUUCUCCGGAUCCUCCUGAGGCCGUAGGGUGAAAUUUUCCUUAAGCGUUGUCCAAAGAUCAUCUUUCUGCAUAUCGGAGACAUAAGACACCUCAGGGUCUUCAUUCUUAGGCUCUAACCAUUGGUGGAUACUGAUCGGGAUCUUGUCCCUAACAAGAACCCCACACUGAGCAACAAAUGCUUCCUUUGUCCGGAUGGGUUCAAUCGGCUUGCCAUCGCGCAUGAUUGCUGUGAUCUCAAACCUUUCAUCCGAGCGCAACUUUUUCUUCGGGCCUCUUCUCUUUACCGAAGUUGUGCUCGCUCCGGUGGGCUAGAAAAAAGAAGAAAGGCGAGACUUGAUUAAUAUGUGUACAUACGAAAACAAUGAACGCAUCAAUUAGCUAGUCAGCACAGGCUUAACUAAUAUAUAUACCUGGCCGGACUCGGUUCGAUCACCGGAGCCGUCUGAAGGAAAUAUGCCCUAGAGGCAAUAAUAAAGUUAUUAUUUAUUUCCUUAUAAUCAUGAUAAAUGUUUAUUAUUCAUGCUAGAAUUGUAUUUACCGGAAACAUAAUACAUGUGUGAAUACAUAGACAAACAAAGUGUCACUAAUAUGCCUCUACUUGACUAGCUCGUUAAUCAAAGAUGGUUAUGUUUCCUAACCAUGAACAAUGAGUUGUUAUUUGAUUAACGAGGUCACAUCAUUAGCAGAAUGAUCUGAUUGACAUGACCCAUUCCAUUAGCCUAGCACCCGAUCGUUUAGUAUGUUGCUAUUGCUUUCUUCAUGACUUAUACAUGUUCCUAUGACUAUAAGAUUAUGCAACUCCCGUUUACCGGAGGAACACUUUGGGUACUACCAAACGUCACAACGUAACUGGGUGAUUAUAAAGGAGUACUACAGGUGUCUCCAAUGGUCGAUGUUGGGUUGGCGUAUUUUGAGAUUAGGAUUUGUCACUCCGAUUGUCGGAGAGGUAUCUCUGGGCCCUCUCGGUAAUACACAUCACAUAAGCCUUGCAAGCAUUACAACUAAUAUGUUAGUUGUGAGAUGAUGUAUUACGGAACGAGUAAAGAGACAUGCCGGUAACGAGAUUGAACUAGGUAUUGGAUACCGACGAUCGAAUCUCGGGCAAGUAACAUACCGAUGACAAAGGGAACAACGUAUGUUGUUAUGCGGUCUGACCGAUAAAGAUCUUCGUAGAAUAUGUAGGAGCCAAUAUGGGCAUCCAGGUCCCGCCAUUGGUUAUUGACCAGAGACGUGUCUCGGUCAUGUCUACAUUGUUCUCGAACCCGUAGGGUCCGCACGCUUAAGGUUACGAUGACAGUUAUAUUAUGAGUUUAUGCAUUUUGAUGUACCGAAGGUUGUUCGGAGUCCCGGAUGUGAUCACGGACAUGACGAGGAGUCUCGAAAUGGUCGAGACAUAAAGAUUGAUAUAUUGGAAGCCUAUGUUUGGACAUCGGAAGUGUUCCGGGUGAAAUCGGGAUUUUACCGGGUUACCGGGAGGUUACUGGAACCCCCCGGGAGCCAUAUGGGCCUACAUGGGGCUUAGUGGAAAGGAGAAAGGGGAAGCCCAAGGGGGCUGCGCGCCUCCCCCCUUCCCCUAGUCCUAUUAGGACUAGGAGAGGUGGCCGGCCACCCCUCUCCCUCUUUCCCCCUUGGGAAUCCUAGUUGGAAUAGGAUUGGGGGGGGAGUCCUACUCCCGGUAGGAGUAGGACUCCUCCUGCGCCUCUCUCUCAUGGCCGGCGCCCCCUUCCCCCUUGGCUCCUUUAUAUACUGAGGUAGAGGCACCCCAUAGACACACAAGUUGACACAAGUUGAUCCACGUGAUCUAUUCCUUAGCCGUGUGCGGUGCCCCCUGCCACCAUAUUCCUCGAUAAUACUGUAGCGGAGUUUAGGCGAAGCCCUGCUGCUGUAGUUCAUCAAGAUCGUCACCACGCCGUCGUGCUGACGAAACUCUUCCCCGACACUUUGCUGGAUCGGAGUCCGGGGAUCGUCAUAGAGCUGAAUGUGUGCACGAACUCGGAGGUGCCGUAGUUUCGGUGCUUGAUCGGUUGGAUCGAGAAGACGUACGACUACUUCCUCUAUGUUGUGUCAUCGCUUCCGCAGUCGGUCUGCGUUGGGUACAUAGACAAUACUCUCCCCUCAUUGCUAUGCAUCACAUGAUCUUGCGUGUGCGUAGGAAAUUUUUUGAAAUGACUACGAAACCCAACAGUGGCAUCCGAGCCUAGGUUAUUUAUGUUGAUGUUAUAUGCACGAGUAGAACACAAGUGAGUUGUGGACGAUACAAGUCAUACUGCCUACCAGCAUGUCAUACUUUGUUUCGGCGGUAUUGUUGGACGAGACGACCCGGACCAACCUUACGCGUACGCUUACGCGAGACCGGUUCCCUCGACGUGCUUUGCACAGAGAUGGCUUGUGGGCGACUGUCUCUCCAACUUUAGUUGAACCAAGUAUGGCUACGCCCGGUCCUUGCGAAGGUUAAAACGGAGUCUAUUUGACAAACUAUCGUUGUGGUUUUGAUGCGUAGGUGAGAUUGGUUCUUACUUAAGCCCGUAGCAGCCACGUAAAACAUGCAACAACAAAGUAGAGGACGUCUAACUUGUUUUUGCAGGGCAUGUUGUGAUGUGAUAUGGUCAAGGCAUGAUGCUGAAUUUUAUUGUAUGAGAUGAUCAUGUUUUGUAACCGAGUUAUCGGCAACUGGCAGGAGCCAUAUGGUUGUCGCUUUAUUGUAUGCAAUGCAAUCGCGAUGUAAUGCUUUACUUUAUUACUAAACGGUAGUGAUAGUCGUGGAAGCAUAAGAUUGGCGAGACGACAACGAUGCUACGAUGGAGAUCAAGGUGUCGCGCCGGUGUCGAUGGUGAUCAUGACGGUGCUUCGGAGAUGGAGAUCACAAGCACAAGAUGAUGAUGACCAUAUCAUAUCACUUAUAUUGAUUGCAUGUGAUGUUUAUCUUUUUAUGCAUCUUAUCUUGCUUUGAUUGACGGUAGCAUUAUAAGAUGAUCUCUCACUAAAUUAUCAAGAAGUGUUCUCCCUGAUAUGCACCGUUGCCAAAGUUCGUCGUGCCCAGACACCACGUGAUGAUCGGGUGUGAUAAGCUCUACGUCCAUCUACAACGGGUGCAAGCCAGUUUUGCACACGCAGAAUACUCAGGUUAAACUUGACGAGCCUAGCAUAUGCAGAUAUGGCCUCGGAACACGGAGACCGAAAGGUCGAGCAUGAAUCAUAUAGUAGAUAUGAUCAACAUAACGAUGUUCACCAUUGAAAACUACUCCAUCUCACGUGAUGAUCGGUCAUGGUUUAGUUGAUUUGGAUCACGUAAUCACUUAGAGGAUUAGAGGGAUGUCUAUCUAAGUGGGAGUUCUUAAGUAAUAUGAUUAAUUGAACUUAAAUUUAUCAUGAACUUAGUCCUGGUAGUAUUUUGCAAAUUAUGUUGUAGAUCAAUAGCUCGCGUUGUUGCUUCCCUGUGUUUAUUUUGAUAUGUUCCUAGAGAAAAUCAUGUUGAAAGAUGUUAGUAGCAAUGAUGCGGAUUGGAUCCGUGAUCCGAGGUUUAUCCUCAUUGCUGCACAGAAGAAUUAUGUCCUUAAUGCACCGCUAGGUGACGGACCUAUUGCAGGAGCAGAUGCAGAUGUUAUGAACGUUUGGCUAGCUCAAUAUGAUGACUACUUGAUAGUUUAGUGCACCAUGCUUAAUGGCUUAGAACCGGGACUUCAAAGACGUUUUGAACGUCAUGGAGCAUAUGAGAUGUUCCAGGAGUUGAAGUUAAUAUUUCAAGCAAAUACCCGAGUUGAGAAAUAUGAAGUCUCCAACAAGUUCUAUAGCUAAAAGAUGGAGGAGAAUCGCUCAACUAGUGAGCAUGUACUUAGAUUGUCUGGGUACUUCAAUCGCUUGAAUCAAGUGGGAGAUUAUCUUCCAGAUAAGAUAGUGAUUGACAGAAUUCUCUAGUCACCACCACCAAGUUAGUAGAACUUCGUGAUGAACUAUAAUGCAAGGGAUGACGUAAACAAUUCCCGAGCACUUCGUGAUGCUAAAAUCAACGAAGGUAGAAAUCAAGAAAAACAUCAAGUGUUGAUGGUAGACAAGACCACUAGUUUCAAGAAAAGGGCAAAGGGAAGAAGGGGAACUUCAAGAAGAACGGCAAGCGAGUUGCUGCUCAAGUGAAGAAGCCCAAGUCUGGUCCUAAGCCUGAGACUAAGUGCUUCUACUACAAAGGGAUUGGUCACUGGAAGCGGAACUACCCCAAGUAAUUGGCGGAUAAGAAGGAUGGCAAAGUGAACAUAAGUAUAUUUGAUAUACAUGUUAUUGAUGUGUACUUUACUAGUGUUUAUAGCAAACCCCUUAGUAUUAGGUACUAGUUCAGUUGCUAAGAUUAGUAACUCGAAACGGGAGUUGCAGAAUAAACAAAGACUAGUUGAAGGGGAAGUGACGAUGAGUGUUGGAAGUAGUUCGAAGAUUAAUAUGAUCAUCAUCGCACACUCCCUAUACUUUCGGGAUUAGUGUUGAAACUAAAUAAGUGUUAUUUGGUGUUGGCGUUGAGCAUGAAUAUGAUUUGAUCAUGUUUAUUGCAAUACAGUUAUUCAUUUAAGUAAGAGAAUAAACUGUUGUUCUGUUUACAUGAAUAAAACCUUAUAUGGUUACACACCCAAUGAAAAAUGGUUCAUUGGAUCUCGAUCGUAGUGAUACACAUAUUCAUAAUAUUGAAACCAAAAGAUGCAAAGUUAAUAAUGAUAGUGCAACUUAUUUGUGGCACUGCCGUUUGGGUCAUAUCGGUGUAAAGCGCAUGAAGAUACUCCAUAAAGAUGGAUUUUCGGAAUCACUUGGUUAUGAAUCAUUUGAUGCUUGCGAACCGUGCCUUUUGGGCAAGAUGACUAAAACUCCGUUCUCCAGAACAAUGGAACGUGCUACUGACUUAUUGGAAAUAAUACAUACCGAUGUAUGCAAUCCAAUGAGUGUUGAUGCUCGUGGCAAGUAUCAUUAUUUUUUGAUCUUCACAGAUGAUUUGAGCAGAUAUGAGUAUAUCUACUUAAUGAAACAUAAGUCUGAAACAUUUGAAAAGUUCAAAGAAUUUCAGAGUGAAGUUGAAAAUCAUCGUAACAAGAAAAUAAAGUUUCUACGAUCUGAUCGUGGAGGAGAAUAUUUGAGUUAUGAGUUUGGUGUACAUUUGAAAAACUGUGGAAUAGUUUCACAACUCACGCCACCCGGAACACCACACCACAAUGGUGUGUCCGAACGUCAUAAUUGUACUUUAUUGGAUAUAGUGCAACCUAUGAUGUUUCUUACCGAUCUACCACUAUUGUUUUGGGGUUAUGCAUUAAAGACAGCUGCAUUCACGUUAAAUAGGGCACCAUCAAAAUCCGUUGAGACGACGCCUUAUGAACUGUGGUUUGGCAAGAAACCAAAGUUGUCGUUUCUUAAAGUUUGGGGCUGCGAUGCUUAUGUGAAAAACCUUCAACCUGAUAAGCUCGAACCCAAAUCGGAGAAAUGUGUCUUCAUAGGAUACCCAAAGGAAACUGUUGGGUACACCUUCUAUCACAGAUCCGAAGGCAAGAAAUUCGUUGCUAAGAAUGGAUCAUUUCUAGAGAAGGAGUUUCUCUCGAAAGAAGUGAGUGGGAGGAAAGUAGAACUUGAUGAGGUAACUGUACCUUCUCCCUUAUUGGAAAGUAGUUCAUCACAGAAAUCUGUUCCUGUGACUACUACACCAAUUAGUGAGGAAGCUAAUGAUGAUGAUCAUGUAACUUCAGAUCAAGUUACUACCAAAUCUCGUAGGUAAGCCAGAGUGAGAUCCGCACCAGAGUGGUACCGUAAUCCUGUUCUGGAAGUCAUGUUACUAGACCAUGACAAACUUGCGAACUAUGAGGAAGCGAUGAUGAGCCCAGAUUCCGCGAAAUGGUUUGAGGCCAUGAAAUCUGAGAUAUGAUCCAUGUAUGAGAACAAAGUAUGGACUUUGGUUGACUUGCCCGAUGAUCGGCAAGCCAUAGAAAAUAAAUGGAUCUUCAAGAGGAAGACGGACGCUGAUAGUAGUGUUACUAUCUACAAAGCUAGAAUUGUCGCAAAAAGGUUUUCGACAAGUUCAAGGUGUUGAGUAUGAUGAGAUUUUCUCACUCGUAUCUAUGCUUAAGUCUGUUCGAAUCAUGGUUAGCAAUUGCCGCAUUUUAUGAAAUCUGGCAAAUGGAUAAACAAAACUGCAUUCCUUAAUGGAUUUAUUAAAGAAGAGUUGUAUAUGAUGCAACCAGAAGGUUUUGUCAAUCCUAAAGGUGCUAACAAAAUGUGCAAGCUCCAGCGAUCCAUCUAUGGACUGGUGCAAGCCUCUCGGAGUUGGAAUAUACGCUUUGAUGAGUUGAUCAAAGUAUAUGGUUUUAUACAGACUUUUUGAGAAGCCUGUAUUUACAAUAAAGUGAGUGGGAGCACUACAGCCUUUCUGACUAGUAUAUGUGAGUGACAUAUUGUUGAUCAGAAAUAAUGUAGAAUUUUUCUGCAAAGCAUAAAGGAGUGUUUUAAAGGAGUUCUUUAAAAGGAAGAAAAACCUCAGUAAAAGCUACUUACAUAUUGAGCUUCAAGAUCUAUAGAGAUAGAUCAAGACGCUUGAUAAGUUUUUUCAAUGAGUACAUACCUUGACAAGAUUUUGAAGUAGUUCAAAAUGGAGCAGUGAAAGAAAGAGUUCUUGCCUGUAUUACAAGGUAUGAAAUUGAGUAAGACUCAAAUCCCGACCACAGCAGAAAAUAGGAAAAAAAUGAAUGAAAAGUCAUUCCCUAUGCCUCAGUCAUAGGUUCUAUAGAGUAUGCUAUGUUAUGUACCAGAACUAUUGUAUACCUUGCUCAGUAUUUGACAAGGGAGUACAAUAGUGAUCUAGGAGUAGAUCACUGGACAUUGGUCAAGAAUAUCCUUAGUGAGGACUAAGGAAAUAUUUCUCGAUUAUGGAGGUGAUAAAAGAGCCCGUCGUAAAAGUUACCUCGGUGCAAGUUUUCACACCGAUCCAGAUGACUCUAAGUCUCAAUCUGGAUACAUAUUGAAAGUGGGAGCAAUUAGCUAGAGUAGCACCGUGCAGAGCAUUGUAGACAUAGAAUAUUUGCAAAAUGCAUACGGCUCUGAAUGUGACAGACCCGUUGACUAAGCUUCUUUCACGAGCAAAACAUGAUCACACCUUAGUACUUUUUGGGUGUUAAUCACAUAGCGAUGUGAACUAGAUUAUUUACUCUAGUAAACCCUUUGGGUGUUGGUCACAUGAUGAUGUGAACUAUGGGUGUUAAUCAUAUACAGAUAUGAAUAUUAGUGUUAAAUCACAUGACAAUGUGAACUAGAUUAUUGACUCUAGUGCAAGUGGGAGACUGAAGGAGAUAUGCCCUAGAGGCAAUAAUAAAGUUAUUAUUUAUUUCCUUAUAAUCAUGAUAAAUGUUUAUUAUUCAUGCUAGAAUUGUAUUUACCGGAAACAUAAUACAUGUGUGAAUACAUAGACAAACAAAGUGUCACUAGUAUGCCUCUACUUGACUAGCUCGUUAAUCAAAGAUGGUUAUGUUUCCUAACCAUGAACAAUGAGUUGUUAUUUGAUUAACGAGGUCACAUCAUUAGCAGAAUGAUCUGAUUGACAUGACCCAUUCCAUUAGCCUAGCACCCGAUCGUUUAGUAUGUUGCUAUUGCUUUCUUCAUGACUUAUACAUGUUCCUAUGACUAUAAGAUUAUGCAACUCCCGUUUACCGGAGGAACACUUUGGGUACUACCAAACGUCACAACGUAACUGGGUGAUUAUAAAGGAGUACUACAGGUGUCUCCAAUUGUCGAUGUUGGGUUGGCGUAUUUCGAGAUUAGGACUUGUCACUCCGAUUGUCAGAGAGGUAUCUCUGGGCCCUCUCGGUAAUACACAUCACAUAAGCCUUGCAAGCAUUACAACUAAUAUGUUAGUUGUGAGAUGAUGUAUUACGGAACGAGUAAAGAGACUUGCCGGUAACGAGAUUGAACUAGGUAUUGGAUACCGACGAUCGAAUCUCGGGCAAGUAACAUACCGAUGACAAAGGGAACAACGUAUGUUGUUAUGCGGUCUGACCGAUAAAGAUCUUUGUAGAAUAUGUAGGAGCCAAUAUGGGCAUCCAGGUCCCGCUAUUGGUUAUUGACCAGAGACGUGUCUCGGUCAUGUCUACAUUGUUCUCGAACCCGUAGGGUCCGCACGCUUAAGGUUACGAUGACAGUUAUAUUAUGAGUUUAUGCAUUUUGAUGUACCGAAGGUUGUUCGGAGUCCCGGAUGUGAUCACGGACAUGACGAGGAGUCUCGAAAUGGUCGAGACAUAAAGAUUGAUAUAUUGGAAGCCUAUGUUUGGACAUCGGAAGUGUUCCGGGUGAAAUCGGGAUUUUACCGGGUUACCGGGAGGUUACCGGAACCCCCCGGGAGCCAUAUGGGCCUACAUGGGCCUUAGUGGAAAGGAGAAAGGGGCAGCCCAAGGGGUCUGCGCGCCUCCCCCCUUCCCCUAGUUCUAUUAGGACUAGGAGAGGUGGCCGGCCACCCCUCUCCCUCUUUCCCCCUUGGGAAUCCUAGUUGGAAUAGGAUUGGGGGGGGGAGUCCUACUCCCGGUAGGAGUAGGAUUCCUCCUGCGCCUCUCUCUCAUGGCCGGCGCCCCCUCCCCCCUUGGCUCCUUUAUAUACUGAGGUAGAGGCACCCCAUAGACACACAAGUUGACACAAGUUGAUCCACGUGAUCUAUUCCUUAGCCGUGUGCGGUGCCCCCUGCCACCAUAUUCCUCGAUAAUACUGUAGCGGAGUUUAGGCGAAGCCCUGCUGCUGUAGUUCAUCAAGAUUGUCACCACGCCGUCGUGCUGACGAAACUCUUCCCCGACACUUUGCUGGAUCGGAGUCCGGGGAUCGUCAUCGAGCUGAACGUGUGCACGAACUCGGAGGUGCCGUAGUUUCGGUGCUUGAUCGGUUGGAUCGAGAAGACGUACGACUACUUCCUCUACGUUGUGUCAUCGCUUCCGCAGUCGGUCUGCGUUGGGUACAUAGACAAUACUCUCCCCUCGUUGCUAUGCAUCACAUGAUCUUGCGUGUGCGUAGGAAUUUUUUUGAAAUUACUACGAAACCCAACACCGUCAUCACGGUCUCCUUCUUGUACCGGCCUUGGGUCACCGGAGCCAUCAUAAUCAUAGCCUUCUUCUUCACCCUGUCCUUCCAGACCAUCGGUGUCGUUGAGAAACGACAAGACGGCAUCACUUCCUUUUGCGAUUAUGUCCCCCAUCAUCGCUUCUGUUGCUUCGUCUCAGGGUGCUCCAUCGUUUCUGCAAAUAUUUACAACAUGGCAAUUAUUAUUCAAACAUGACAGAUGGAUAUAUUAGUGGCAAACGUAGAACUAGCUAGCUAAUCACAAUAAGGAAUCAUAUUAGUGGCCUCGACGCUGCUUCUCUAGGGUUUGGGGUGGCCUCGACAACACUUCAAGGGUUUCGGGUGCCCUCGACGACAACGCUCUUUUAACUUGGUAAAUUUGGGUGGCCUUGAGAGAGUUUGUCGGGUAGGGGCGCGGCGGGAGGGGGUAGGAGACCGACAUCGUUUUUUUCUAGGGUUUGGGGUCCUCGAGAGUUUUGGCCGAGCGAGAGGGCCGGGGAGGUGCUCCCGUGGUAUAAGUUAUCAUGGUCGAGAGGGUGACCCUCGACCCUCGACCCUCUGCCCUAGUUCGCGAUAAAAAAGAAGAAAAAAAAGAGGAGAAUAAGAAGGAAUACAUGAGUAGAAGAAUUCUUCUACUCCUCUAUUCCUUCUUCUUCUCCUCUUUUUUUCUUCUUCUUUCUCUUCUUAUUUUUUCUGACGUCCCCCCUCAUGUAAAUGCGGUGGAAACACUUUAUGAAAAUGCGGUGGUGGCCGAGCCGGGCGGUUUUCUUUUCCUUCUUCAUUUUUUCCUUUGUUUUUUCUUAUAUGUUUGUUUUCGUUUUCGCUCUACAUUUUUGUACAUAUGAAAAAAAUAAAGUUUCUAUGCAAAAGGGCACAAUUUUUAUGAACAAAUUACAACAUCUAAAUUAACUACACAUCUAAAUAAAUAUAACUACACAUCUGAAAUUUUCCUAAUCUUAAAACUAAACUAAGCAUAAACUAAAAUAAUCUAAAAAACAUGUAAAAACAUCUAAAAAUAGCAUCUAAAAACAUCUAAAAAUCUAAUAGUAGCUCGACGCAGGGGCGGAGGGGCACGACGGAGGGGCCGGCGCCGGCGCUGGCGUGGUAGGGCUGGGACGCAGGGGCGCGGGACAGGGGAGGGGCGCGGGAGCAGGCUGGUGGUCAUAGGGGGCGGCAGGGCACGGUGGUCGGCGCGUCGGGGCCGACAGGGGCGAGAGGGUCGACACCGUCGUCGGGGCAGAGGGCGUCAGCGGCGGUGGCGGCGACGUUGUGUAGCCUGACAGCGUCGGGGCGGCGACGUCGAGCAGCCUGACGGUGUCGGUGGCGGCGGCGACGGCAAGGUGGAGCAGGGGCGUCGGGCGGCGACGGCGAGGAGGAGCAGGGGCGUCGGGGGAGAAGAAGUGAUGGAUUUGGUCGAAACUGCUAAGUGUUUUAUUAUAUACCCAGGGCAUUGGUACCGGUUCGUGGCACCAACCGGGACCAAGUCCCGGUUGGUGCCACCAACCGGGACCAAAGGUCUCUUUUCAGCAGCCCAAAGGGCAGGAAGUAGAGGCCUUUGGUCCCGGUUGGUGGCACCAACCGGGAAUAAGGGGGGCAUUUGUCUCGGUUGGUGCCACGAACCGGUACCAAUGCACCGCUUUAGUCCUAGUUCGUACCACCAACCGGGACCAAAGGCCUUGCACAACGGCGUGGUGGUGGGAGUUUAGUCCCACCUCGCUAGUUGAGAGCGUUCGACACAUGUUUAUAAGCUCGGUUGCCUCUUCCCUUUCGAACUCCUCUGAAUUGCAGGCCUGUGGGCCAAAUCUAACACUUCUAUGCCUGUGGGCCUACUGGGCCUUCUGCGGGCCUAAAUCCUGGCCCAUGGAUGGGUUUCUAGUCGUAUUCACGCUGUGGUGGCCCUGCAGGUGGCAAUUUUUUUAUUUUUUCCCAGUUUUUUUCUUUUUUUCUUUCUUUAUUUUGUUUUGUUUCUACUUACAACAAAAUAUUAUUUAUUUUAUUUUAUUUUGUUUCAAGUUACUUAUUUAUUUUAUUUUAAGAUAAUUCUUUUUGCUAUUAAAGUUUCUAACAAAAAAAGUUCAUAGUUUUUGCUAGUUGAAAAGCAUUUGAAAUGAACUCUGAAAAAGUUGACAGUUGGCAUGGUAUCAUCAUUUCGCCCACAUAGCAUGUGCAAGAAAGUAGAGAGAGUUUCGGCAAAAGCAGGAUGCACUUCGUGUACAAAACGGACAAUCUCUUUCAAAGUAUCAGGGUUUCAUACGGAAACUCGUCUGUUACAAAGGGAAUUUAUUUUUUUUGAACUUAUUUGAACUCCAUAGUUUUUCUGCGUUCAAAAUGCACCAUUCAAAGCCACAUCAUCAAUUUUGAACCCUUUCUGACUUCAUUUGUUAUUUGUCAUGCAUUUACUGAUUAUUUUGAGCUAUAAGACCAUGAAAUUGAAAAGCAUUUGAAAUGAAAUUUGAAAAGGUUGAAAGUUGGCAUGGUAUCAUCAUUUCGCCCACAUAUCAUGUGCAAGACAGUAGAGAGGGUUACGGCAAAAACUGGAUGCACUUCGUGUACAAAACGGACAAUCUCUUUCGAAGUGUCAGGGUUUCAUACGGAAACUCUUCUGCUACAAGGGGAUUUCAUUUUUUUGAACUUGUUUGAAAUGCAUAGUUUUUUGUGUUCAAAAUGCACCAUUCAAAGCCAUAUCAUCAAUUUUGAACCCUUUCUUACUUCAUUUAUUAUUUUUCAUGCAUUUAUUGAUUAUUUUGACCUAUAAGACCAUGAAAUUGAAAAGCAUUUAAAAUUAACUCUGAAAAUGUUGAAAGUUGGCAUGGUAUCAUCAUUUCACCCACAUAGCAUGUGCAAGAAAGUAGAGAGGGUUACGUCAAAAAUUAGAUGCACUUCGUGUACAAAACGGACAAUCUCUUUCGAAGUAUCAGGGUUUCAUACAGAAACUCGUCUGUUACAAAGGGAUUUCAUUUUUUUGAACUUAUUUGAACUCCAUAGUUUUUCUAUGUUCAAAAUGCACCAUUCAAAGCCACAUCAUAAAUUUUGAACCCUUUCUGACUUCAUUUGUUAUUUUUCAUGCAUUUACUGAUUAUUUUGAGCUAUAAGACCAUGUAAUUGAAAAGCAUUUGAAAUGAACUCUCAAAAGGAUGAAAGUUGGCAUGGUAUCAUCAUUUCACCCACAUAGCAUGUGCAAGAAAGUAGAGAGGGUUACGGCAAAAACUGGAUGCACUUCGUGUACAACAUGGACAAUCUCUUUCGAAGUAUCAGGGUUUCAUACGGAAACUCGUCUGUUAUAAAGGGAUUUCAUUUUUUUUGAACUUAUUUGAACUNNNNNNNNNNNNNNNNNNNNNNNNNNNNNNNNNNNNNNNNNNNNNNNNNNNNNNNNNNNNNNNNNNNNNNNNNNNNNNNNNNNNNNNNNNNNNNNNNNNNNNNNNNNNNNNNNNNNNNNNNNNNNNNNNNNNNNNNNNNNNNNNNNNNNNNNNNNNNNNNNNNNNNNNNNNAACUCCAUAGUUUUUCUAUGUUCAAAAUGCACCAUUAAAAGCCACAUCAUCAAUUUUGAACCCUUUCUGACUUCAUUUGUUAUUUUUCAUGCAUUUACUGAUUAUUUUGAGCUAUAAGACCAUGAAAUUGAAAAGCAUUUGAAAUGAACUUUGAAAAGGUUGAAAGUUGGCAUGGUAUCAUCAUUUCACCCACAUAGCAUGUGCAAGAAAGUAGAGAGGGUUACGACAAAAACUGGAUGCACUUCGUGUACAAAACGGACAAUCUCUUUCGAAGUAUCACGGUUUCAUACAGAAACUCGUCUGUUACAAAGGGAUUUCAUUUUUUUGAACUUAUUUGAACUCCAUAGUUUUUCUGUGUUCAAAAUGCACCAUUCAAAGCCACAUCAUCAAUUUUCAACCCUCUCAUGAAUAGAUAAGUGACCAAAUUAAUAGAAGUUCAUAAUCACAUUAAAACCAAAGUACAUACAUAGUUCUCAUUGAACAACAUAUAGCUCUCCAGAGCAUCUAAUUAAACCUUACAUUGAAAUUAUGUAAAACAUUUCAAUGCAACAACAAAUGUGAUCAUAAUUGCAACCAAGGUAACAACUGAUCCAAGUGCAUAAUGAUACCAAGCCUCUUUAUGAAUGGCAUAUUUUCUAAUCUUUCUAAUCUUCAACCGCAUUGCAUCCAUCUGGAUCUUGUGAUCAUCGACGACAUCCGCAACAUGCAACUCCAAUAUCAUCUUCUCCUCCUCAAUUUUUUUAUUUUUUCCUUCAAGUAAUUGUUUUAUUCUUCAACUAAAUUUAACCUCUCGACAAUAGGGUCGGUUGGAAUUUCCGGUUCAACCACCUCCUAGAUAAAUAAAAUUGAUGUCACAUUGGUCGGCAUAAUUGUCAUAAACAAUAAAUGAACCAAAUAGUUAUCAAAAGAUAAUAUAUACCACAUCUGAAUCAUAGAUAGGAUGAGGGACGACGGGGGCGGAUACCAAAACCAUCGCACUAUAUAAUAACAAGGAAUAAUAAAAGUAAGAAAAUUAGACAAGUAUCUAUCUGAAGUAAGAAUUUUUUUUCUUUCAGAAAGAAGAUAAGAACAAGAGGCUCACCACGGUGGUGCCGGCGACGAGAUCGGCGCGGGCGAUCGACGGCGGUGAAGACGGGGACGGGACGUGACGGACCGCUAAACCUAGAAAAAUCUCGGGGAAAAUGGAGCUCGGAGGUCGAGUUUCGAGAGGAGAAAGAUUAACUAGUGUGGCUUGGACAUUUCAUCGAACACCUCAUGUGCAUAGGAGGUGAGCUAGAGCACCCAAAUGCCCUCCCCUCGCCGGCCAGAAAAAACAGAGCACUGUGGAGUGCUCUGCUGUUGCGAUGGGGUAUAUAGGCAACUCAUUUGUCCCGGUUCGUGGUAGAAACCGGGACUAAAGCCAAGAAAUAUGUCCUGGUUCAAGCCACAAACCGGGACCAGUGGUUGUGGGCCAGGAGAGAGGACCAUUGGUCUUGGUUCGUGCCUGGAACCGGGACAAAUGGGUCCAUACGAACCGGGACCAAUGCCCAUGAGGCCCCGGCCGACCCCCUGGGCUCACGAACCGGGACGAAUUCCCCCAUGGGUCCCGGUUCAUGACUGAACCGGGACUAAUGGGCUGGCCAGGCCCGAAUGAAAGCCCUGUUUUCUACUAGUGCCUUGUCGAAGCCACACAAGCACUUAGGCCCGUGCCAUGUGUUUCCACGCCCAUAAGUCGGUCACUAUCAGCAUCACGCUCCUACGUCGUCGUCGCCGAUCCCACCACCGUCUUCUGUACCAACCGACUUACGUCGAUCCCGUCAGACUGCCUAGUCUGACCCAGCCGAACUCGUUCGACUGUAUGACACGCUCAAGGCUCCCAAAUCGUCUUCCACGAAAUUUCCAUCCGUCACAAGAUAAUUCCAUCUCAGCUGACAUGACUUCAUGCAACGCCUUCACGCAUCCUUGUUGUGCCAACAAAUUUUUCACUCAUGUCUUCCAUGACCCAAGGUUUUUAGUUCCGCAAACUUCUCCACCUCAAACCUAGUACCCGUUUGCGCCAUGGUUCUUUGUACGACUGACCCUGCAAAAAAUUAUCCAAGCUUUCUUCUCACACAAUGCCCAAGUACACGAUGUUGUACUACUAGCAAAUUCCAACCAAAACUUAUGGACACCGAUAACUGCCACACAUGUGGUGUAUCAGGUGGUUGUGCCGCACGCCUCGUGUGGCAUGGAGAAGAACCCGCCCGCACGACCGUCUCCAGGCGCGCGCAGCCACAGCCCGCAUGUCCGGUGUGUGGCAAAACCACCCACACGUCCGGGCCAAACGACCGCGCUGCCCGCACGACCGUCUCCAGGCGCGCGCAGCCACAGCCCGCAUGUCUGGUGUGUGGCAAAACCACCCACACGUCCGGGACAAACGACCGCGCUGCCCGCACGACCCAGCCGUCCCGGCCUCCUUUCGAUCCCCAGUCCGAACUGCCGCCAUCGUCUCCCACCUCUCGAUCCCCUACCUCCAUCGCCGCCCUUCUCUAGUUGCCAUGGCAACCAGAGCAAAUCCAUAACACCACACGGAUUUGUGUGUAUUCGCAUUUGCCAACCAACAUACGCCAGAUCUGCCAUGUACUAUGCUAGAGUUGAGCUAAGGUUCUCGGCUGGCUUGGUGCAAGUAGUUGGUAAUGAAGGACGCGUAGGAAUCCCUAAAAAAGGAAGAGAAAGGAGAAAUUUGGCAUAAGGGGGUAGGAAAAAUAGUUGCCACUUGUGUCUAACAUCAGUUGCCACCUAUCAUUGUCGUUAAGUGCCACCAUGUUAACCUGUUGCUUGCCAUCCUAUUUUAGUGGCUUUUGCCAUCGCUUCAAAAUGAUAGCUGGCACCCAAAUUUCAGAAAAGAUAGUGGAUGUGCAUGUCCUACUUGCCAUGAUGUGUUGGUUGCCUAUGCAGGAAAUGUGAUAAGAUUGCCGUGUUAUCUUCUACGUGCAAACAGCAAAAAAUGCAUUUUUUGUGGAUUGUUGAUGUGUUCUUGUUCAUGCAGUGACUGAGAACACAUUGGCAGAAACAAAACACAGAAGAAUGAAUCACGAAGACGGCACUGAUCCUUGGGUUUCUCAAAGGCCAGAAACACCCCCUUGGGAUGCAACAGAGUACAGUCAACUCAUUUCGGCAGGGCCGUUGCUGCCACUACUAGAGCAGUACGCAGGCAUCGGUAUGAUGCAUGAUAAAAAAAGAACAUUUGCCAUGUUCGCGACGAUGAAGAUGACAUUCUACUUAUGUCCUACAAUGUCAUUUUUCGUAGGUUCUUAUGACCAAAACACAUUCAGGGGGGCACCAUAGCAAGUUCAGUCACAGGGCCUAACACUGACAAAUGUACAGGCAACCAACUUUAAGUAGCUAAUGUGGCAAAUCAAGGUAACGCAUACGAAAAAAAUGUAGGACCUUCAUGCAGCACGUGCCAUCAGGCGGCAACCAUGUACCUGCCAUCAACGUCAUACACAGGUGAGACCAUAAAAGUGAAGUUGCGGACAGUGAACUAGCAGAAGGAACAUAGCUGACAACUGUAGUUGCCAUGCCUGGACAACUGCAGUUGCCAUGCCUGUACAGAUUUAGUUGCCAUGCCUGGACAACUGCAGUUGCCAUGCCUGGACAACUACAGUUGCCAUGCAUGAUCAAAUGUGAUUGCAAUGUCUAAACAACCAUGGAUGACAAGUGUGAACAAAUCUGUGCGGCAUGAUUGGACCACUACAUAUGCCAUGUUGAACAAACUACAGUUGCCAUGCAAUGACCAAUUGCUACCAUGAUCACAGGUUGUUACGGUGGGACUACAUCGGCAAACGUCUCAUGGCAAGCUUCACAGUUGCAGGACAACGCUACUGCAGAUAGAGCACAUCAAAUUGGAAUGACAGACCACACAAGAUCGGCACAUGCGGCACAACAAGGUAAAACAAAUUUGACCCAGAAAACAAUACUGCAUUUGUUUUUGUGGGAAUAGCAUGUGAGGAAAAUAAGAUUUGUAACAGUGGUGGUGGAAAAAACAAACAGAAAAUGCUACCAAGUGGUCGUGUGCAGAAAAGUCAUAUAUUGUCUUCAGGAUUUGCCAAUUGCUAAAAGAGUGUGUGCAACACUAAUGAUUGGUCGCAUUUGCCUAGUGAGCUCAAGCCUAGAAUACAAGUUUUGAUGAUAUAAUAUACUGGUUGCCAUGUAUUGGCAGCAGUAGUUGCCAUGUAUGUUGGACUGCAGCUGCCAUGGAUAUAGAAUCCAAGUUUUGGUACAGAAAGAAGAUGGUUGCCAUGCAUUGGCAAUAGUAGUUGCCAUGUUUGUUGGACUAUAGCUGCCAUGACUGGAGAACUACAGUUGCCAUGCAUGUCCAUAUGCAGACUCAUGGCUUGCUGUGUGAAUGAUGUCAUGCCAAAUCACAUGCAGUUGAUGUACUCCGUUACGAUAAACAUGCCAUUCAAGCAAAAUCUUACGCUCAUACUAUUUUUUUAUUGCAGGACCUUCAAAUACAAUCAACAGCGGUGCGGGGACAUCUACUGCGGGGAGCUCUGAGCGCACGGAAGACGCGUUCCACCAGCCAGCCAACAAUCAUGCCACAAACAAUGCCGAGUCAGUGUCGGAAAUGGCAAUCGUUCCAACAAUGCCUACAAGCACACCUUUGAACACCAGCACAAGCAACACUCGAGUAGAUGAAACAGCCGCCGAUACUGAAGUGAAUGAUGAAACUGAUGACAAAGCACAAGGGGAUGAAGAUGGUGGGCAAUCAGAAAUCAUGGUACCUCAGCCACCGUACGUUGGACAGAGAUUUGAUUCGUUCGCAGAAGCAAAGGAAUUCUACAAGACCUAUGCAAAGUUCCAUGGGUUUGCGGUCAACACCAAAUACCAUAGGAAAAUUAAAAAAACUAACGAGUACAAUAGAGGUGAGAUGAGGUGCUAUAAGGUACGAAAGAACAAGAAGGGUAAAGGUGUUGCGCCUGUCGUUCCAGAACGAAAGAGAGGUAUCAUUCUCAAGACGGAAUGCCCUGUCCGGUGUAAGCUGAACAUAGAUGGAGCACGGUGGGUGGUCACUGAAUAUUUUGACGAGCACAACCACGAACUCACAAAGAAGUUCGACCUGGUAAAAUUUCUGACCGCCCAUAGAGGAUUCACCCCCCUCGAGAAGAAAUUCAUAAAGCUGCUACAUGAUUGUAACGUCAGUCCAUCAAGAAUGGUCCAGAUACUAUCCCUCAUCCACAGCAAAAAUGGGACUCUGAGUAGCAUGCCCUAUAUACCAGCUGAUGUCACAAACCUAAAGGCAAAGUACCAUAGAGAGAGCAAGUUGGCUGACAUAGAAGCUACGAUGGCCUACUUCGAUGAGAAAGCGAAGGAAGAUCCAGAUUUCUUCCACAUGAUAAGAUUGGACGAUGAGAACCGUGUCAGGAACAUGUAUUGGGUGGAUGGUGCUGCAAGAAGAGCCUACAAACAUUUCCGAGAUUGCAUUUCAUUCAACGCGACAUAUCUCACUAAUAUGUACAAGAUGCCAUGCGCUCCAUUCAUGGGAAUAAAUAACCACAAUCAGUCAUUGUAGUUCGGAUGCGGGCUCGUUCGGAACAAAGACACGGAUGGGUACACUUGGCGGUUCAAGACCUUCUUGGAGUGCAUGGAUUGACUUGCUCCGAUGAACAUAAUAAUAGACCAGGAUUUUAGCAUGCGUGCAGGCAUGGAGGAGGUCUUUCCGUUGGCGGUGCACAGGCACUGCAGGUGGCACAUUAUAAAGAAGGCUGAGGAGACGCUAGGACCAUUCUUUGCAGACCGUCCAGAGCUGCACAAGGCAUUCGAGCUGUGUGUGGACCACAGCUUGACGGUGGAGGAGUUUGAAAGGAGCUGGAUGGGCAUGAUUGAAACAUAUCAAGUCCAAGACAACGAGGCGCUUGCUAGCCUGUGGGAGAAGCGAAUGUACUGGGUGUCGGCCUACUUCAUGUAGUGCUUCUUCUCGUUUCUGCAGACUACGCAGCGCAGCGAGGGGUUCAAUGCUGUUUUGAAGCGGUAGGUGAGCCCUGGCAACUCAUUGCUACAGUUUGCCAAGCAAUACACCGCUUUGCAACAAAAAAUACUGGGAUCUGAGCUACAACAAGAAGCGAACACCGUGCUAAAGCAGCCAAAAUUGCUAAUGUACUUACCGAUGGAGAGGCAGAUGAGCAAGAUAUACACCAACAAGAUCUUUAACAAGUAAGUCAGUUGUGUUACAAUCUUAUUUGCACAAGCAUGAAGGUAGUAGGUGCCAUGUAGAAUGCAAUGCAGUUGAAAAGCUUAUUUGAAAAUGAUGAUUUUUUGAAAGGUAGCCAUUGAGUACAGAGUAACCAUGAUAUGUAGUUGCCAUGUUUAAUGAACUACAGUUUGCCAUGUUUAAUGAAGUACAGUUGUCAUGUUUACUCAAAUGCAGUUGCCAUGUUUGAUGAACUGUAGUUGCCAUGUUUAAUGCACUGUACUUCCAUUGGGCAUGAUGGUAUGGAAAUGCAAAUGCCGAUUAAAGAUGUUAUGCAAGUUGCCAUGUUUAAUGAAUUGCAGUUGCCAUGUUUAAUGAAUUGUAGUUGCCAUGUUUAAUGAACUGCAGUUGCCAUGUUUAAUGAACUGCAGUUGCCAUGUUUACUCGACUGCAGUUGCCAAGUUUAAUGAAAUGUAGUUGCCAUGUUCAAACGAAAUGUACUUAUAUUGGCCACAACAACAUAAGGUGCUACAAAAAACAUCACACAAGAGUUUAACAAAACCACACAAAACUUGCAGAUUUCAGGAAGAGAUAAAGUGUGCCAGCAUGUACAUGGCUUUCCAGUUGGACGAACAUACGUUCAAGGUGUGUUCUAUCUUGGGCAUGUCGGAUUCAGAACCUGAGACCCGGACAAGGGAAGGAACUACUUCGUGAAGGCCUCGAUAUGCAAAGGCAAAUACUACUGCCAAUGCUGCAAAUUCAAACGGGAUGGCAUUGUGUGUUGUCACAUACUAAAAGUAAUGGACAUGAACGCAGUGACACGAAUGCCCCGCCAUUUAAUAAGGCGGCGAUGGACUUGGGACGUUGACGACGCAUUGGCGCCGCAAACAUCAAACACAGUCAACCAUGACGAGAGACCGGAGUCAACCAUAGAAGCCAUGAGGCAUGUUGUGUUGACAAAGAACUAUGCUGAACUAACUAAUGAAGCCUGCAAGAGUGAUGAGACAGCGAGGGUCGCAGAAAAACACAGGAAGGCCCUGAAAAGAGAGCUUGAUGAAAUCAAUAAGAGGAAAGCGGAGGAAGCCUUACACAGGUUCACCAGCACAUCAAGUGUGCCUUCGUCCAUGGGGCCAUCAUCUGGAAACUCGGAGAUAGGAUCUGGAACAGCAAGCACACAAACCCAGGUCUGGAACCCGCCCCGUUCCAUCACAAAGGGGCGUCCAAAAGAGAUAAGAUACAAAUCGGGAUUGGAGAUUUAAGCAAAACACAAGAAAACAAAGAAAGGGACGGGCAAUCCGUAAGCAACAUUGGAGCACUGUGACAUGGUCCUUGGUGAGAUGUUCUAAAAAAUUUAAAAAUGGGAGAAUGACUCUUGAGGGGCAUCAGAAUUUGAAGGAAAGUGCCAUGAAUGGAUAAAUACAGUUGCCAUGUGUAUGGUACUUAAUUUGCCAUGUCUUUUAUACUGAAUCUGCCAUGUUAUUUAUACUGAAUCUGCCAUGUUAUUUUCUACGGAAUCUGCCAUGUUAUUUUCUACUAAAUCUUCCAUGUUAUGUAUACUGAAUCUGCCAUGUUAUGUAUACUGAAUCAGCCAUGUUAUUUAUAUUGAAUCUGCCAUGUUAUUUAUACUGAAUCUGCCAUGUUAGUUCUACUGAAUAUGCCAUGUUAUUUGUAAUGACUCUGCAUCACGUAGAUUUUCGUGUUCAGUCAACGCAUUUUAGUCACACAUAUUGUAUUAUGUGCAAACUAUGGGAAACAAGUUGAAAGGGUCACGUGCAGCAACUGCAAAAAGGUUACAGUUAGCAAUGAAAAAAAGAACCAAACAGACAAAUGAAAAAGGAUGAUAACUUUCACUAACCAUGUCUGAUGAACUACAUUUGCCAUGUUUUCAAACAUCGUAGACGCAUUCGAAACACCAAACUGGAGCUACCAACGAUGAAAGCAUAAUAUUAAUGAAAAACAUAAACGUAUCUACUGUCACACCUAAAUAGAUUCACAUCCACACAUAUAUUACAGAAAAUAUUCAAAUGUCGCUCACACACCACCACUACAUACUAGGCUACACGGAGAUGCAGUCAUAACAUAGUACAUGGACAUAGUUUUGAAAGGAACAAAGGUAAUACCUUACAUUCCUAGGCAACAGAAUGUAAGUUAGGCAUUUGAUAUGGAGCACCACGUGAUCACUUGUACUUCUUGGUGACUUUCUUGACAGCUUCCUCUAUGAACUCACGUGCAUUGGACCGCGUGUUAAAAUCUUCAUUUGUCAACCAGUUCCAUGUGUAAAUUUUGCGGAGCUCAAUGAACAUUGCAGCUGUGACGACAGGAACUAGUCUACCUUCCCACUUUGCAAGGUAUUCCAACGUGUGAAAGCCACAGUCCUGCCUGUACAAGAAAAGAAUCAGGUGAACUCACAAGAACAGAGAUAAAAAUAAUAAACUUCAAUUCAGAGGUGACAAGAGGGUUAGCAUUGGUGUAGAGGACACAUGAAGAAAGAGAUGGGAAAAUACCAAUUUCCUUGCUUCAAAGUCACCACGUACUCAAUUGGAAAAUGUCUGAUUUAGACUUUUGGGUGUUCGUUGUGACGGUUCCAUGUCUCUUUGAGGUUGUUGAUGAAUUAUUCAGCAUGCGUAGUAAGGUAUGCAUCAGCUGCCGAACGCAUUGAAUCAAGCACCUCAAAAUGUUGGUUAUUCAGGUCAAGGCAGAUCGCGUAGUGGUGACCACACUUGUCAUGUAGGUCGUGUGGUGCAAGCUCCUGGAACAUGGGGAAAGAAGAAGGACAGUUCACAUGAAGAACAGAAAUGGUGUAAUUGGGAAAAUGACGUGUAAGGAUGUCACCGAUUGCAGUAAGAGGCACAUGAGUGACAUACAGCAGCAAGGGGCCAAAAAGUAGACCCACAUAGAAUGUUUAAUUAUAGUGGGUAAUUAAAAUAAGUUGCCAUCCAUGUAUAAACAGAGUUGUCCUGUAUUUUAGUUUGAAGUUGCCACAUAGUUUGUACGGGGAUACAAAUCAAAAGUCAGUUUACAUGGCAGUUGUUGCCACGUGAAACAGUUGUCACAUAAAUAGGGUGUAGCCCACAUGUGAAGCAUAUCUACUGGCAAAAACAUACCAUGGGAGGAAAAAUAUGCAAAAAAGGAUGGAGUACUCACACAUUUUUUCAUUGUGAGCUUGAAAUCACCAUGCGCAGCAAAAUGCUUCCUCAGGAUUUUGUGGUGGAAGUCACCAUCCCAUAUUUUGCAGGUCACACUGUAAUGCAUGCUUAUUUUAUCGGGAGACAUAUCCAUAUGCUUGUUGAUGAAGUCAAUCCCACAUGCAACUACACUCGUCGACAUUUUACCGACUGGCCUCACACACUCGGCAAGAUCACCCAGGUCGACGUACGUCGGUUCGCAUUGUAUGAUCUUGAUUCUGUCCAAACAUGAGUUGUAUGAAAAUGAUAUAACAUGAAAGAAUCAUGUCUACUAAGUAAAAAAAACGUAAACGGAUCAUAUCUAGAAAUAGCAAAAAGAGGAAUGGUAAAAAGAGCAAAGCAAAAUGAGAGGUUAUGUGGUGUGGUCAUUACGCUUUCAGCUCCUUCAUGUGCUUGCUGCUGGCCCUCGCGUUUCCAAAGCACUUGACAAUAUCGUACAGCUGGUUCUGCUCCUUUGUGGCCUUGACUUCGGGCUCGUAGUCAUCCACGGGAGGUGCGUGAACUACCCUAUGCUGCCUCACAGAACCAGGGGUUGCACUUCUAAUGGUAUCCUCAGAUACCGUCUCAGCAGGCACGUUGGAACUUGAUUGCCCCUAACCUCGUGAGGACCUCCUCUGCAAUGCUGCCUCCUCAAUCCUGCGGUAAGCUUCAUCAGGUGACGGCGAAAUCUCCUCAGGGGUGCCUGCAAGGAUCAAAAAGGGGGUUAGGAUACCUGGAAAACAAAACAAAUGUAGUGUGAAAGAAAGGGUGCAGGAUAUGAAAUGUAGGUACAAAAAGUAGGGAGUUGCCAUGUGGAGGAAACUCCAGUUGCCAUGUGUAGUGCAUUGUAGUUGCCAUGUGACAACAACUACAAUUGCCAUGUUGUAUCAACUCCAGUUGCCAUGUGGUUGCCGAAUGGAAAAUGCAGCAUGGCAACAAAAAUGUAGGUGACAUUGUGCAGCAAAUCCAGUUGCCAUGUCAUCAGAUAACAGUUGACAUCACAAGUGAGAACCAAAAAAUGCUUGGGACAAAUGUUAGACUAAAAAGAUGUAUACAAGAAAAUGAUAAACGCAGAAGAAAUGUACCUUGCACGAUCGGCUCUGCGAACUUGACAGCCUUUCUGCCCUCGACCAUUGUCUGCGCCAUCAUUGUGGCCAUGCCUGCCGGGAAAGCAAAAGCAACUGGCGUAGUACUUGCACCACUGGUUGAUCUUGACUGAUGUCAAGGCUAAAGCUCGGUGGGGUGAAGGCAAUUGGGUGCCUCUCCUGCCUACUGGCCGGACCGCGAACAACUUGCUGGGCAGAAUCCAAGGGUGAAAGAUCAACAAACAUUUCUGAAUCGGCCGCUCCAGAAUCAUCGGGCUUAUUCGUAGGGUGUGGCGUGUUGUCAGCGGUAUCAGUCGCAGCUUUCUUGACAAUCUUCUUGUUUGGGCUGUAGGGGACACCAACGUUGACUGGGAGCUUAGAAGUGCACAAAUUUAAGCUGGAGUUAUCCACUCCGGGUAAAGACACAGUUUGCUCCAGACGUUCACCUCCGCCAGUCGUGCCUGGCUUGCCACCUGUAUCAGUUGUACUCCGGUCUUCCGAUUUCUCCAUAACAUUGCUUUUGGCAGGCGGUGGGAAUAGUGUGGAUGCAGGAACAUAACUAGAGUCAUCUCUGCUGCUCCUAGAUACAGCCAGUGCGUUGGGUAUGUCUGUUGAUUUCUUGCGGGGGCUACGACGCCUAGGUGGAAGGCCAGAUUGCGAAACGGUUGCCUUAGCAACCUCUGCACCACCAGGAGCUGGAGCUGUUGUGCCAAGACUCUCACCUGUGGAUGGCAUAUCAUUAUGAAUUGUCGCCUCAGCUACUUCUGUCGUGGACAUAGAAUUGCCACCACCCACGCGCUUGGAAUCCGUGUCAAAUGAGCGGGAAUCUUCCUUGCUUAGGUUGGUCUCGGGGGCGUCCACUUCAACACUUGCUGAUGGGGUGGCAUGGCUCACAGCAGCAUCCUUCAUUGCCAGCAGAGUGGGCAAUAUUUCAGCAGUCCUGGCAGAUACCGACUCAUCACUCCCAGAUGUACGGGUGCCUAUUCUUGUAGCCUGCACAUCUGCAACCGGCAGAGAUGGUCGGCCGCUUGCGUCAGAGCUAGUGGGAAUAGUUGAUGGUGCAUCAGCGGUUUUGUUGACUGGCGCCUCAUGAACAUCUGAGUUGCCACCUGUCAACAACUUUGAAUGAAGGCGUUCGAGUGGGUCCCUAAUGAUCUGCUUGGUCACGCGUGUAGUAGUCUUCUUCACCCUGCAAAGAAAAAGCACAUGAAAAUUAUUAAAAAUGAACAAAAAAUAUUUGCCAUGGUAGCCAUCUUAAAAAAUGGAAAAAAUGUGUGAUGUGCCAGGGCUGCCAUUCCAAAACUAGGUAUGGAUGAGCACACAAGCCAAUGGAAAGCUGGUAGUUGCCAUGCAGGUGGAAUAAGAGUUUCCAUGUGGCAUAGUUAGUAGUUGCCAUGCAGAACAAGCAGGAGUUGCCAUGGUAGCCAUCUUGAAAAAUUAAAAAAAUGUCUGAUCUGCCAGGAAUGCAAUUUCAAAACUAGGUAUGGAUGAGCACACAAGCCAAUGGAAAAGAUGGUAGUUGCCAUGUAGGUGCAAUAAGAGUUGCCAUUUGGCCUAGAUAGCAGUUGCCAUGCAAAAACAAGCAGGAGUUGCCAUGCAGUUAAAAGAAAGAGAUCAUUGGAAAAACAGCAGUUGCCAUGUGGGACUGAUGGCAGUAGCCCAUGUGGCAAGCUGAACAGCUGCAUUGAAAAGCAAAAAUAUAGCACUAUGGCAAUGAAAGAACAGGGAUAACCUACUUCUUGACUGGCUUCCUCAUGUCUGGCAACACGACAGGAUCCCCGGUGUUGGACGUCGUCGUACGAGGAGAUGACCUGGUGGAAGGGGUGUCACCAGCAAUGGGGGCACCUUUGUUCAAUCGAGCAGAAACACAGGUUGGCGUUGGUGCUUGUUUCUUCGUAACUGCUCGUCCACCAGCUGUCGCCUCACUGCAUGUAUAAGAAAGUGGCAAAAAAAGGUGCCAAGUGUCAGACACGAAAAUCAUUGCCACGCUUAGCAAAACGAAUGCAAAAAAGGGUCACUCUGUUCAAAAAGAUAGACAAAACAAAAAACUAAAAUAGAAGUCGAACCUCCCCCUAGCAGCUACGGGAUCGGUCCUAGACCUCUUGCCAGGAGAGCCCUGCCCAACAUCCUUUGGAGCCCUCCCCCUCUUUGAGGGCGACACCCCCUUGCCUCUCGCAGCUGUAUGUUCUUUGACUUUCUCCGGUGAGGGGACAUCUGGUGCAGCCUUGCCCUUCUUACCACCUGCACGAACUUCAACAUGUUCAUCAUCGUCAGUGUCGUGCUGCAUGUUCUCCAUGUCAUCGUCAUCGUCCUUGUUGAGAGCAGCAUCUCCAUCUAGUUCAUCUUGUGUGUCAGGAAGCUCCUGGGAAUUGUUGUAGUUGUACCGGCCACGGCAACCAGUUGGCCGAUGUGUCCGUUCUGCAACAAAUGUAGUGAACUGCCUCACAACCGCGUCUCUGUCAGAGCCAUUAAGGGACAUCCAACCCUCAACCAACUUCCCGAGCAAGCUGGUCAUUCCGGAUGCAAACUGCCCAAUUAGAUGCUCAACAGGUGCCCUCGCCUGUGCAUGAAACAAGAAGCAGCAGUAACCAACCAUAUUAGAGUCACGUGCACAAGAUCAAAAUAAACCAAAGCAACCAUAUAUAUAUAUCCUUGAUUACCUCAGUAGGACAAGACGGAGCUGAGUGCAUGUCCAUCCACUUUCCAAAGUUUUGGGGCCCCCCAAACAUGCUGUAGUCUAUAGCAUGCUUGGCCAUCAGCUGGAAAUAACCAAAAAACAGCUAGGAUGUAAGAGAGAAACUAACUAACAGUUCAUGUAUUGCAAAAAAAAGAGGAAGAGAAUAGAAGUUUCAGCAUGGAUGACAGAUUUGCCAUGUGGCGUGGGACAUGGAUACCAUGCGCAGACAGCCAUGGCUAACAAGGUAGUCAUCUCUUGUUAGCCACAAACGGUUGCCAUAUGAGGAUUUUUUUUUUCAUAUGUUAUGCAGCAACAAAAUUGAAAGAAUGCUGUGUAAAGAAAGAAACCAGAACUAACCUGUAGUUUCCCAUAUUUCGUAUCAGUUACCCUGUCUGCAGCAAGCACAGCCUUGACAGCAUCGUAAGUCCACGCAGAAACAGCAAACUUGUGUGUAGGCGGCGGGCCUCCUGUCCCAGUGAAGUCCACGGUGGAUAGGUCAAGACAAUCGACGUACAUGAGCUGAUGUACAACAAUUUAAAAAGGAAAAGAUAUCAGUUGCCAUCAUGGUAUUUUGCAAAAACAAGCUAAUGUAUGUUCCUUCAAUCAUCAAGUCGAAGGGGAUGAAAAGAAAGAAAAAGUUGCCAUCUAUCUGUGUUAGUUGCCAUCAUGGUGUGCUGGCAGUUGCCAUCUUGUUAUGAUGUUAGUUGCCACAAUGUCACCAUCAUGGUUGCCAUGCAUAAUCAAGGUGUGAAGAGUGUUUGCAAAGGACUAGUAAAAAAUACCAUUAAAUGGAGUCGACAACCCUUCUGGUACUUGUUUGAGAAUGCAUCAUGUAGGAAGUCCGCAAUGAACUUACACCAAUUCAUGGUCUUCACAUCUUUCAGUUUCGCCUGCAUGGCACAAAUUUCAGGACAAGAAGUUGCCGCAUCAGAAAUAAAAUGAAAAAACAUCAAAAUAGCUGCCAGUGACUAGCUUACACAUGACAUCGGAGCCAAAAGAUUGAAGGAAAUAAAGGAGUAGAGAUAGAUCAUUCACCAAGAUGGGGAAGCAUUAGUUGCUUGGGCGAAGAGAAGUGGUCGGUGCAAAAACAGCUGAGAUUAGGUACAUGAGUAGCUUCACCUUAAGAACCUCGCCAUGGCUUGUCAUGGCCUCCAGCGAAUUUGCCAGGAAAGUCGUGUUCGACAUGGAUGCCAUCCCAGGAAACAAACGGGCAAACAACGUUUCUUCGAUCUUAUUAUUGACCUCAUAUGGGACUUUGAUUUCUCCACGGGGCACACCCAAAGUGCAGAACACGGAUUCCUCGUCCAACGGCAGUCUUCCAUGUCUCGGAAUCACAAAUUCCCUGGAGGCAGGGUCGUAAAUAUCACCAAGCCAGUCGCAUACAGGGUUCACUAGAUUCUUGCACCGGACAUCCAUCAGAGCCUGCAUACCCAUCUCAGCAGCAGCUCCCUUCUGAUCGUCGGUAAAUCUCUCGGUCAAUGAAGUCAGGCGUUCCUGUGAAGCCCUAUUGCGAUUACGUUUCUUCUUCUGCAAAACAGACAAAUGAUCAUUUAUUGCCAUGUUUUCACUAUCAUGAAAAUUUAGUUCCUAAUAGAUGAUUGCAAACUCAAUGUGACAUUCAAAACAUAUGGGGGAGGAGGGGUGGACAGUUACCUCAUCACUGUCUUUUGUCCGUCCAGUUGCCCGAUUCUGCUGCGGUACAUCCAUGAAAUCAUCAUCAUCGUCUUGAUGAUCGCCGCGAGCCAUUCUGCUGAGGUAAGAACAAACCAAAAUGUCAGGGUGAAAAUUAAAAGUAUGAAGUAAGCAGUUGCCACCUAACAGAAUGUACUUGCCACAUGGGCUCAAUUGAAAGUGGCAAAUAGUGAAGGCAAUAUCAUAUGAACACACACACACCCUAUGAUUGUCAAACCAUAAAUGUGGCAACUAAAUACAUUGGCUUCAUUUGAAAAAUGUACAAAUCAUAAUGCACUUAAAACAAAAUGUUGAAGUUGCCAUGUUAGCACAAGAUAGUACGAAGAAAGGCACAAAUCUUCCACUGCACAAACAUAUAAUGUGGCAACUCACACCCUGUCCUCAUACAAAAAUGAGUUGCCAUGUGUUCAAAGGCAAAAUGUGCUAGGUUGAAAUUGCCAUGUUAAAAUGCAGAACAAUUGAAAAAGAGUUGAAAACAUCUUCUGAACAACCUGUAAUGGCAAUUCACACACUGACCUCAUAUUAAAAAUGAGUUGCCAUUUAAUACGGCCAAAUAUGUUCAGAUAUCACAAGUCAGCGUGGCAAAACACAAAAUUGGGUCUAUAAUACAGUGCAUUUGCCACAUUAUCAUGCCUACAUCAUGGCAACAGCCAUAGUUCACAGAAAUACUUGCCACAUGGAAAGCAUAUUUGUGGCAACUGACACAGUUGAUCAGGAAAUUAGUUGCCAUCCAGUGCACGUAGUUGCUGAAACUGCCAUGACUACCUAUUUAAUACACUUUAUCAUGCCUACAGCAUGGCAACAGCCAUAGCAUGUGCACAAAAUUAGUUGCCACAUGGAAAAUAUAUUUGUGGCAACUGUCAAAGUUGAUCAGGAAAUUAGUUGCCAUACAGUGCAGAUAGUUACUGAAACUACCAUGUCUACCUUCAUACUGCACUUUGAAAAACAACAACCUAGAUCUAGGGUUCAUUGGCAACUAUCAUAACCUAAAAUUCAUCAACAAAAAUCUUCCUGCACUGAUCGCAAAUAGAAUUUCGAGACAAUACAUAACUAACGCUAGAAAAACGCCGGCCCAAUCCCAAGGCAGAACCAGGAUGUGGCUGCGCACAGGCCGAACCACAACGGCAUGACCGCCGCUGCGGCGGCGACGAAACUGCUCGAUGCCAUCGAAAACGGCAAGCACAAGACUCCGCCGCCAGCGGGAACGCCGGCGCAUCGCGAACCGCCUGCAUCUCGAUGAAUCUCGAGCGGAACAUCGACCACGGAGGAGAGGGGAGAAAUGCAGGCAAGGACUUUGAGCGUGGGAAGGAGCAUUACCUUCAAUCUGCAGGCGCUCCGGCGAAGAUGCUCCGGUCCGGCGAGUCCCACCGACGGUCGUGAAUGUCGUCGACUCUUCCGCCUCCGCCGUCGCCUUCUCCUCUCGCCUUCUCUUCCAAUCAACUGAACUGCGGGGUGGGUUGUGCGAGUAAUGAAGUGGAGAGUAAAUGGAACCGUGAGGGGAGGGGGGGCGAAGUGCGCGACGUGGUUGACGGCAACUGCAGUCGGGCGUGGUAUGCGGGCGCAAAGCAGUUCCACCGAACACCCCCGAGUGGCAACCGUUGACCGCGGGGAGGCAACCGGCGUGUGGGCGAACUCUCUCACACAUCACACAUGCGACUUGUCCUACGUGGCACACAAAAUCAGCCAAAACGUGCCAAGAUUCGUGCAAAAACUGCUGAACGGUGAUGGAGGCGUGUGGUUGAGUUGGCUAACGCCCACGCGUGUGGGUGUUAGUGUUUCCGAAACUUAUUUGGCCUUCACGUGAUCGCUCGGCUCCUUGCACAUAACUCCGAUGCUAGCUUUCCUUUGCUUUGCCCUAAGCCUUCCCAAUGGAUUCGUAUCAUGUAUCAAUGGAUUUCAUCUUUCCGGUGAUUGAUGCUUGCCCAUCUCUGUGUCACGUGGAGACUCAGUCUCCCUUUUGGUCCAAACAAAUCUCCUACCCUGUACGCCAGCGCCUCCACAUCGCUAGCGGCCACCUUGGCCUGCCACCGCUAACCCAUAUGAUCCAGCCCACUGACCACGCUGGCCCCGCUUGGGCUUCAGCCCACCUGCACGCACGGCUGCACAGGGCAUAUACCCAACCGAUCUCGAUAACGAUCGAUCUACUCCAUUGCCUGCACGUUCCGCCGCCGCCGCUACGCCAACGACUUAUCUCGCCGAACCGAUCACUCCUGUUUCGGACCAGAUCGUCUUGCUGCUCCUUGCUGUCAUGUCCCACACGAUUGCUGAGACAAGAUUCCGCCGACUAGGCCAUCGACCAGCUUCCGCAACCACGAUCUCUUCAAAACCUCUCCUUUAGAUCAACAAUCCACAACCUCCAGAUAACCUAGCUCUGAUACCACUUGUUAGAAUAAAUUUGAGGUAUACUGUCGAUCAUCCGAGGACCAAACAAUCACACGAGCACGACACCGAGAUUUGUUAACGAGGUUCACCGACAUGGCUACAUCUCCGGGGCCUGACUACGGGCGCUCCUCCUCGUGACACCAUCACAAUACCACACAACGGCCACCCGGGCACCGGCACACGUCGCCGGCUCCCCCUUGCGCGCAUGUGCUAUUAUGUUGGCAUAGGUUACAUCGUGUGUCUAUCCCCGCUAUAUAUGAUAGGCCUAGGAUACAAGUGUCCUACUAGGACACGACUCCAUAUCCUAUCUAAACACAAUACAACUACAAGUCCAACUGUAACCUACUUUGUACACAUUAUUCGACACAACUCUAACAACCCCGCAAAAAACGGUAAAUAAAAAUUGAAUUAAUCGCUGUUUAGUAUAGAUUUGUGAGGUGGCUAACUACACUCACAAAUAUAAUUUCUUCAUCUUCUCCACUUUAUACCAGUUAGCCCAAAUAAACUAGAAGAUGAUAGUCUAGACACAUGAUCAUAAGAUAGACAAUUUAAGCUCCCAUGGUAAACAAAAGAAAAGGAUUAACACUAAACCUAGUAUAUUUGCAAAAAAACAUAAAAGUACGGAAAUGGCUCUCCUUUCCAACCGGUGGCACAUACAGAAAGUGACUUGGGGCCCUUUUUUUCACUCUAUUCUCUGGAGAAUCAGAGUCUAGAGAAUCAGAAGCUCAAUAGAACUUGAUCUGAUUCUAUAGAAUCCGGAGAAUCAAUCCACAAUCAGCAGCGCAACACAGAAGAAAAUAUUUGAAUUUUAGGAGCAUAACUCUGUUUCAGCUUGAAACUAUAGAAGAAAUGCCCUCCCGUAGCCGAGCCGUCCGCCCCCUCGAGAAAAUGAUUGGCCUGGGCUCUCUCGUGUUUCCUCACUCUAUUCCCCUGCCACCUGAUCCUCUCCUCCUCCCUCAGAAUAUCCCCUCAUGCCACCCCUUGCAGCAGCCAAUGAGCAUGACCUCGAUGCACCCAUGCCGCUAGCCCCUGCUUUCCUCCGUCGGCCCCGAUGCGCCCGACCUCUACUGGCUCGACGCACCUAUCCCGACGGCCUCCUCCUAUCCCUGCAGCAGUCGGCGAGCAAGGCCCCGAUACGCCAUCUUGCUGACCCUUGCCGUACUCCGCUCGGGAUCCUCCGACCCGGUCACUCUAGCAACAGCCAACAAAUGAAGGACGUUGUCGUGAUCCUCCUCGCCACCUCCCGCCAUCUCUUCCUGUCCGUGUCCAAUGCUCUUCUUCGACAAUUGCCUUGUUCCCCUGUUGUUAGUUACUAGUUACAUGGAUCAAUGGAUGUUUGAUAUAUGGACGGAUGUUGAUGUUUGGUAGAUGAUUUGCUUGAUGGAUGGGUGAAUGGUGAUACUUUCUUCCUAGAUGGAUGGAUGAAUGGUGCAAGCAUGUAAAAAAAUUGCUACCGUGAAUGCUCAAUGCUAUGGUGAAUGGUAGUAAUUUUUUGGGGGUGAAUGGUAGUAAUUGGUUCCCUUCUGCUGCUGCUUGUGCUAAUUUGCUACUUUGAAGGGUAGUGAUUGGUUCCAUUUCGCUACUGCUAUGUGCUAAUUUGCUUCAAUAGAUGCAUGUAUGUACGUGCUAAUUGAUAGGCUCUAUAGAUACGAAAAAUUGUUUUCGUGCCCAUAUUCGACAAGAAACUGUUCGAAACAACUUAGUGUUUGCAAACCAACACACAAUUAAAGUUCAGGGACAUUACAAACAUUUAAGCACACAACUCAUCCCACAAACUCAUGCUGCAAUCUCAGAAAAGAAAUGGACACCAGAUUCUAUGGGCAGCUAAUUCUGUGGUUGGUUUCUCAGAAACUGAUUCUGGAGAAAUGAAAGCUGAAAAGAACUGACCCUUGAGAGCGAGGCAAAAGAACUGCAAUGUCAAUCCUAGAAACGAAAUCUGACCCAAAAUAAAUUCAACAUAUCUUUUGUUGGCUUGCUAUUUUUUCAAUUUUUUUCAUUGACGAAAAAUUGUUCACUUGGUUUGACUACCAUUCAGUUUGUUGAGAUUCCUGCUCAUUCCUUUACACAACUAUUAGAGAAAAUACCUAACGAAGGAUAUGAGAGGGGAAGGAUGUCAUUGUUGAUAUAGUGACUAGAGAAGGUUAUAUGAUCUAGAUCCAUCUAUAAGCAAUUUUGCACAAUAUAUAGACAUGACAUUAUUUCCAGUCUAUGAUCAAAAGUGGGCUUUCAUACUCUGUUGUUGAUUCCAAAGAAUGCUCUCUGAGUGUUCUUCCAAAUAAGAAAAUAUGUCAUCCUCAAUUCCUUUCCAGUAGAUAUCCUCAGGUAGCGAUGGUUGUAAUAUCGUGUUACCCUGCCAUAUACUCAGGUAGUGAUGUUAAUAAGUAGCAAUAUACAUUAACAAGCACUUUGUGUUAGAUAUUUGUCCUUUGUACAAGUUAAGCUUUGAAGUUUCAUCUUAUUCUCCCAAUUUCAGAAAUUUCAGUUUUAUUUCACAUAAUUAGGCCAAAUCAUCUCUAUCAUAGGAUUUGUUCAUCUACAAGUUUAUACUGUACAUGUUAGAGCACAAAAACUUGAGUUGUAUCUUCAUAAAUUGGAAUAUGCAUGCCCCGACAGACGUAUCUGUAAUUACAUUUUAUUUCUAUGUAUGACUUCCGAUUUUUUAUUCUAACUACUUUCAUGACUAUGUAUUGGGUUACCAUGUGUUAUUUUUGGUGUUGCUUACAUCCAAUUUCCUAUUGCAAAUCGUUUUUUCAGUUGAGUACAACAAAUCUGUACUCCUAAUAGGGGAGUUAGUAGUCUGUUACGCAUGGUUUAUUUUCGUCUCCAUGGUUUAUUUUCACCUCCGCCUCCCACCACCACCCUGCACGCUGGUGUUUUCAACCUCCCACUAAAAAUCGAAUCGAUUAGUCCGACACUUCUUUUGGUUUUUUGUGCUCGCUUUGAUAGGUGUCAAUUCAAUUCAAUCAUGUAAAUAUUACGUAAUUAAGAAAUUUAGCAAUUACACCAUAUAUGUGAGAUAACCUUCCUAAAAGACAGACAGAAGGACAUCAAUUAGAGAGCAAAUUAAUUCCAUGCUUACAUUAGAUAGAACAUCAAUUACACUGCAACUCUGUGAUUGCAUUGACGCUAUAUAUGGUAUGAUAUUAAUUUUAGGCUAAACAUGUUGAGCGCUUAUGGAUCAAUCUAGGUCGUUGGAUUGAUACUAUUCGAUGACCGAGAUUAAAUGGAUAUGCCUUUUGAGUCUUUUUAUAUCGCGAGAGGAAAUUAAUUCCAUGCUUGUAUGUGCAUUUUCUUUGUUAGCCGUGGCAACGCACGGAAAUUUAGCAAGUUCUCAUAGGUUAACUCUAAAAUAUUGAUUUUAAUGAUAGUUCUUUGGAUUUGAUAUAGUCAAGUAAACCAAAUUCUAAUGGGUUCCCUUAAAAUAUAGCUUUUACCAAUAGUUUUCUAUAUUUCACUCUCUUUUCUCUCUUGUGCUUUGUAUUGCCAAAUUUACUCAAUAUAUGUUGAGUUCAAUAAAAAUUCUGCAACGGUUUGACUAUUACCAGAUGAACCAGUGAGGCGCGGUGGCAUGCCUCGCACUACCUGCUAGAUAAGCAAAGCACUCAUCUUUAUUUAGUUGCCAUGGAAGCGAUUAAAUGGAAACGAAUAAAGAAUUUUUUAGAAACCGAAACAAGAAGGUUCACUUGAGGAAGCAAAUUAAAAUUUUGGAUUCAAGACGGCCGUUUACACAGCCAUUCCAUUUCGAAAGUACGGACUCUCACGCUUGAAAUCUUUGUAGCAACUCCGCCAUAUGUACGACAGAUCUCAUGACAGGCGUAUGAUAUGCGUUGAUUUGAGGAAGGGGUUGUUUGAAAACAAAUUAAUCAUAACUAAUGCAAAAUCCUGCGCGCAGGCUGUCUCACAAACUGCACAUUUGACUGGAGCAUUGCACGCUCCUGGUGAAAGCAAUCGUAUAUUAUUUUUACCCGCAAAAAAAAGCAAUCAUAUUUUUGGCCUAGAUGUUUUUUGAAGGGAAAGCCUCAUGACACUUCAUUCAUCUCGUGACAAGGUUACAUCAUAGAGUCGCCCUAUGCCAUCAGCGUUAACUACCCCAAAUCUUUAUCAAUUAAUACCAAUAAGAGGAAGGUUACUAUUAAUUAGUAUUAUCAGCUCUAUCUUCUCUAAAAUACAAGUGAUAUAUGCGGUAAGCCAUAAACACAAACCAAAAUGGUAGACAUCAAAAUAUUUCCUAAAUUGCAUAUCCAGGAUAUAUUUCCAUACUACUGAUAACACUUGUGCUUCUCUAUAAAUCCACACUCUGAACUUGUAGACCGUGCAUUGCUUUCUCUCAUACAACCUAGCUAGACCAGAUAUUAAGCCCAAAGCUAGUGUUCUGCACUUCCACUUCUUGGCCGAUCAUGGCUUUCAAGAUCACCGUCCUGGUAUUUGCAUUGGCGCUGCUCCUUACGUCUUUCGGUAUGAUUCUAAAAGAUUUAAUUUGUAGUUUCUGUAAGUACAAUACCUCUUAUCUUAUAAGAAAACCUCCUUUUUCCCCUACGCAUAUAGAUGUUGGUGCAAGCAGGGAUUUGCAUUGGGGCGGCCCCCCAGCCAGAGUUCCUGCCUGCGCCGCCCAGGCCUGUGCCGAGACAUGCGUCGAUAAUGGCUAUUGUGGCGGGAUUUGUGACGAAUCUGUCUGCAAGUGCGUCCUCUGCAGAUCACUCGACGCUGUCGCUGAAAACAUACAGUUCUAAUCUAUCUAAGGGGUGGAUCAAUAAACAAAUAAUCGAUCCUCUCUAUCUCUUUUUGUCCGGGACAAUAUUGUUCUUUGUCUCUUUUUAGCAGAUUAUUAUUCGAGAAGAUCUGAUGUUUUUGUUGUCGUGAGAUUACAUUGUCUCGGUGGAUUAAUCAUGAUUGUUGAUUGUGUGAAUCGGAGUUUGUGUGUAUCAGACUUGUACGAGUAUGAAGCUGGUGGUACAUAUGUUUACGCUAACAUAAAAUACACACUAAUAAUUAAUAUCAGGUAACCAGAUUUUGAACUAAUGAUCAAACAAAUAAUCAGAUCUAUAUUAUUACCUUCUCCUUUCCAAUGUAUCUUCCAACGAAUAAGGGGCACACGCAUCCCAAAACUAACUUUGACCAAAAACUACACUGACCAAAUGUAUCUUCUGUCAUAAAAGUUAUACCGCUGAAUUCAAAUCCAAAGGAUCGAUGUAAUUUACGGUCAAAGUUGCAUUUUGGAAAGCGUAUACGCCUUACUCAUCGGGAUGGAGGGAGUAUAUAUAUGUCAGGGACUCCUUGUUCUGGAUCCAGCCCGUUAUUCCAUUUUCUUCUUGCAAGUAAUCACUAUUACCUUUCAAAUAUUUUGCUUUCCAUUUUCUGCUUGCAUGCACUAGUACCUCCACAGCCAUUCAUUUCAGAUUAGUUUCCAGAAAAUUGCAUACUACUCCCUCCGUUCCGAAUUACUUGUCGCAGAAAUAGUUGUAUCUAGACAUAUUUUUAGUUUUACAUACAUUCAUUUCUAUACAUUUCUACGGUAAAUAAUUCAGGACGGAGGAAGUAUUGAUUACUCAUGCACUAGUACCUCCACCACCGCGAACCAACCCGUGGGCCCACCAGGGUUCAAAUCCUGGUGCUCGCAUUUAUUCCUGGAUUUAUUUCAGGAUUUUCAGCGAUGCGCAUUCAGUGAAGGAGACGUUCCCGUCGUCGACGAGAUGCCUACGGUGACUUCAUAAAUUUCAAGAUGAUAUGUCGGCUCAGUCUUUCGAAGGUGCUCAUAGGAGGAGGGUGUGCGUGUGUGCGUUUAUAGGGGUGAGUGUAUGCGCGUGUACAUGAGCGCUUGCGUCCAUACUGUGUUAAAAAAAAGUACCUCCACGACCAUUAUUUGGAGAAUAGUUUCCAAAAAAAGAUGCAUGCUAUUCAUUCUUUCAUAUAAACAAUUUCUUUCCUUAAACAAUUCUACAAGUCUCGUUAAAAAUAGUCCGAACACUUGUACCUGUGUACAUAUAUGCCCAAUGAUUUGUUUUAGGUUUUAUAAGAUACCUACAUAGUCCAAGAUACUUUUAAGUGCAUACCCAAAUCCCCGUGAAAAACAGUACAUAAUCAAGAUAUUUCACUGUAUGUACAAACUUUGAUGUGAAAUUCAUUGGUAUUUACCCAUAAAUGUCACUACCUUUUAAUAAGUCGACACAUGUACGAUCUAUGGACAUCUAUACACCGUCCGGGACGCGCACGCCGGAAUCAGAAACGCACGCCGCCCGCUGCGAGAGGUGGCGGGCAAGACACAGGGACGCGACUGAGCAGUCCAUGCCACUGCCGCGGGAUGCAGGCGGAGCCCGACAAGGACGAGCGGCUCCUCGCUUGGGUCUACAGCUGGUCGCUUACGACGGUGGAGAUGGACGCUUGGGGGCUCCGCCGGAAGAACACCAAGGCGCUCUGGAUUGCCAUUGAGCAGUUCGAGCGCGAGCCGGCGGAAGCGGCUCGGCUGGCGAAGCUCAAGCGGCAACAGAACAGGGCCGUCCUGCGGCUCAAAGGGCUCAUCAUCCUCUCCAACGAUGACAAUGACGGCGAUGACCAUAGUGCCUCGUCGACUCGGACGAUCCUCCACUAGCCGCCGAUUCCUACAGCUACGUGGGCAACCGGAAGAGGAAAGGGUCGGUGAGGAAGUGGUGAUGAUCCGCCUUCUCCACUUUAAAUUCAAGUUUUUAGAUGUAGUUUAAACUUGCCCGUCGUAUUAUGUGCAUUAUGUGAACUGUGGCGAUCUUUUGAAGAUCCGACUGUGAUUUUUUGGUGAAUGGAUUGUGCAUUUGUAUGUCCGUCGCUCAUGAUCUACGUUGUUUUUAUCGACGUUGCAUGGUUUAAAAUAGAUAUAGGGAAUCGGAUAUGAGAUACGUGGAUGUGGACGGCGCAAUUUGAGGACUGAUGAUCAGUUCCCGUGGAUGUUUGAGGGGCCGAGUUUGCCAUGUCCGGCUGUAGAUGCUAGUCCACCUAGCAAAACUUUCCUUGGUUGAUUCUCAACCCUAGAUCCAUUUGUGAAUGCAGUUAUUAAUGCUAAUUACAACUUGCAUCAUUUUCAUCUUUGCCACUUGGUUCAUAUGGUAGCUUACAAGUUACAAACAGGAAACUGCGCCCAACACGACACCAAAAUUAGCUAGUCGAGACAUGCACGCACUGCACUGCACUGCGCCGGGCUGAGAACCCAAAGUUAUUCUGUCUUCUGAGAUCGAUCCACAGGUUCCAUGCAACUUCAUCAUAUGUUUUUUAGCUAGGCAGAGGUUAAGCUAAUUAUAUAGUACCAUCACUUUAUAGCUUAUAACGAAAUGCGGCGAUGCGAUUAAAAGACAAUCUUCAUGCAUCAGUUAGACCGUCGUCGAGCAAUGAGAUUGGCUUAUAUAUGAAGAUUGAUCCAACCCAGCUAGCUGUCAGUUAGAAGAUCAGUAAAGAUAAAAGGUAAUCAAGAGUAGUGAUGAGCUCGAAGAUGGCGAAGAACAAGAAUGGUCUGGUGGUGGCGGCCGGCGUCCUCGCUGUGCUGACGGUCUUGUUCGGAGUCAUCGGCGCGAUCUUGGUCGCCGUGGUAUGCACCACACGCCUAGAUCUCUUUCUCGAUCAGCGAUCCCUGUGUGUGCCGGCUCUUCUUAACCGUGUGUGCGUCCGUUCAUCAGACGGUGGCUCCGCGAAGCAACCGUGAUGACUGCAGCUACAGGCCGCGGGCGAUGCCCUGUGGCCUCGUGGCGGCGGUGUUGGCGCUGACGACGCAGAUUGUCGCCAGCACGGCCAUCGGCUGCUGCGGCUGCUGCUGUGAGAAGUGGCCGACUCCCAAAAGCAAGGGCAAGCGCGUCCUCACCGUCCUCUUGUUCAUCCUCUCCUGAUACGUGGCAGCUAACCAGAAACCAAAUACGCCUACUUUUCUGUGUUUAUUCCAAUUUACUUCCUAGUGUCAAAAACCCUUUAUUAUAUUAUUUUUGCAAAAAUAUUUGUAAAAUUUGAAAACACAAGUUCAAUAGGGAACCGAUAUAUGGUUGCAGGUUUGUUCAUUUAAGUAUCAUUAAUUUUCAAGUAUCAAUUAAUUACUUUGGUCUCUCCGUGCAUACUCUUGCAGGGUCUUUGCGAUUGCAGCGGUGAUAACAUUUUUGCUGGCUGCAACAUUGGUCGGGUCUAGAGGCUAUUUUAGUAUUUAUAUGGGUAACGACAAUUGUAUCACACCGGAUGUUCUAAUUUUCGUGGUUGCGACGAUCUUAGUCAAAAUAGUUGUUGGCCUCGACAUCGCCUGGUACGUCCUUCUUUAGAAGGCAGGCCACAACCAAGAAGCUGUCGGGACUGAUCCACGAUCGGUGCCAACUGCGGCAUCUAAGACGGCUCAUGCCCUUCUCCUGCAUCAUGCCACUAUAUAUGGCAUAUGGUUGUCGUGCAUGUGGGUGUGGGUGUGGGUGUGGCAGGGGGGCCUAUGGCUGGUAUUCGACAAUACUUAUAUUAUGUUUUUUAUUUUCUGGUUGCCAGUACAGUUAAUUGGAUGCCUUCCCGGCAAUUUGUUUGUUAGUAUUAUCUUAUAAUCCCUUUUGACUUGUUUGUUUUAUUCACUCAUUCUGAUUCACUGAAUGGAAAACCCAUACUCCUCGUAGGCACACACACCCACUAGAACAUUUCUGAGAAGAGAAGAACGGAUAGGUGCCCCAACAUGAUAGGGAAAUGGACUUCCCUUGCCCCCUGAAAGAAAAUAGACAUCAUAGACCUUCGGAAUCUUCUACACAAAAUCCCAGCCACAUAUCUUUAAACCAGUAGAACUAAUCGGGCCACCCACGUAUAUCAUAGGAAAGUUCUCCACUUGGCAGUGAAAGACAUCAACAUAAGUUUGCACAGUAUUAUUAUCACCUCCGAUAGACAAAACUUCACUUCUCAACAAGCUAAUCUUAAGUCCAGGCAUCAUUUCAAACAAUUAUAGUAGAAGUUUCAGAUUGAUUGCUUUCUCGACACUAUGAGAUAUGCACAAUAUCGAGUCAUCUGCAUAUUGCAGAGUGGCCACAUCGUUAGGGAUCAAAUCAUCAGCUAAGAAUCUAGUCAACUUAGUGGGUCACUCUGCCUCACCCGUUUUGAACUUUGAAAGUAGGGGACAGUUUCAUCAUUCAAUUUAACACUACUAGUACCAUUAAAAACCACUUGUUUGACCCAGCUAACCCAUUUAUCACCAAAUACUCUCAUAACAUGGUAAACAAUAAGAAUUUCCAGCCCACCUUGUCAUAUGCUUUCCCAGAAUCUAAUUGCACCACAAUACCGGGGUUUUUUUCCAUCAAGCGUGUGAUGCAACACCUCAUGCCGAGUCAUAAUACCAUCCAUGAAGUUUCUCUUUUAAUAAAAUCUUUUUGAUGACAACUAAUCAAUUUGCUACUAACAAACUCCAAUCUCAUAGUCGUGACUUUAGUGACAGUUUUGUAAAUGCACCGAAGUAAACAUAUAGGCCAAGCAAGGCAUUUUGGAGACUGAGGGCCAUGGAGGUUCAAUUUAUAAAAAAAAAAUCAAAAUACAAUCUAUUAAGCUUAAAAAAUUUCUAAAAAAUAUGCAUGUAUACAAGCAAGUAAUGUUUAUGUCUGUAAAAUUUCAGGAUGAAAUAGUUUGAAUUGCAAUAUGGACAAAAUAAAAUGAAAUCAUGAACUUUGAGGAUGAAUGCUACAUAUGCUAAAAGGCCAUAGAUUUGUUUUUUUUUGUUCUCAAUUUUACAUAUUUCGACCUGAAAAUUUACACAUAUGUACAUUAUGUCUCUUGGUAUAUGUGUAUUUGUUUCAAAAAAAAUUAAACUAAAAUGUUUGAAUUUUUGAUGUUUCCAAAUUCAGCAUGCAUGGAGCUCGGCUUCCAUUGACAUUUUCAUAAAUUUUUGAAUCAAAUUAGCAUUAGAAAUUUUAAGUAGUAAAGUUGUAAUAACAUAGUUUAAACCGUUUCACAUCCAAGGUUUCAGCAUAAAAGCUAUCAAACAAGUUUACAGUAGGAACAUUGUCAGGACCAGGGGCCCUAUUUAUAUCCAUGGAGAAAACAACAUCUUUUUUACUUCUUCCACAGUGAAUCGUUUGGUAAGAUAUGUGUUAUCCGCAACAUUCAGCUUAAUAUCAUCAGUAAUAAACACUACUAGGAAAAACACUAGUAAUAGUGUGGGGCUUUUGCCUAGCGCUACUGCUAGGGCGCUACAGGUAACUUUUGAUGGCGAGAUUUUUUUUGCUUAGCGCCUGUCUAACCCCCGCUACUGCUAAUACGGUUAUCAAUAGCACUUGUUCAGACCUGCGCUACUACUAAGUAGUAGCAGCGCAUGUUGUAGCCCGCGCUACUACUAUUCGUCCAUAUUUCAUUUCUUCUUUUUAUACUGUAUUUAUACUUCAUUAUAUAAAUUUUGAUGCAGUGGCAAUUAAGAUAUUGUUAUAUCAUUGUGAUCAUUAUGAGUUUUUAUAUCAGUGGGUGGAAGAAACACGGAUUAGAUUCAAAUGCAUGCAUUUUUUAGCGAAAAGGGGCGCUUUAUUACUUAAAAGGUUUAAGCAUUACAACCGGUCUCCGCAUAACUAAGAUGCACACAGCCAACAAGGUUCUUUCACACAAACAAAAAAGGUGAAAUGUAAAGAGACAUGUAGAGUCUGUAUAAUGCCCAAAUCGGAGGGGGGCCAAUCCUAAGAUCAUGCUAGCACCCAUGUUGGGUAUAAGAAGGAAUACUAUUGACUCUUGAAUAAAAGUAAAUACAUGAAAAUAAAAAAAUAUGUCCUUCGCAGUGGGAAGCAGAGGUUGUCAUGCGCUUUUUAAUUUUGGAUGCGCAAACCCUUAAUGCAAAGGAACGUCACGUUGUAUUGCCCUUUGUGAUAGCAACUUUAAUUAUGCAGUUUGUCGCUUUUAUUUCUUUACUGCCACAAGUUCGUACAACGCUUAUGUUCCAUUACAAUAAAAGAUCAUACAUAUUUAGGAGCAAUUUUUAUUGCUUUUUGCACCGAUGAUAACUUACUUGAAGAAUCUUAUUCAAUCCAUAGGUAGAUAUGAUGGACACUCAUGGCAAGAAAUAGGGUUUAAGGGUUUUUGGAUGCAUAAGUAAUAUCUCUACUUAUUAUAAAUUUUGGCUAGCAAAAGAUCCUAGGCAAGCACCACAUGUGGGAGGAUCCAUAACAAUAUAAUUUCUAUAAAAAUAUAGCCAAACAUAACUCAUUACGUUGUCUUCCUUGUCCAACUUCAACUAAUUUGCUCAAGUUUAAAAGUAAUUAAUGCGGCUCACAAUCAUAAAAGAUGUUCAAGAUAGUAUAUUUAUAUGUGAAAUCUCUCUUCCUUCAAUAUUAUUUGAUGAAUUAUUCAUGUGACCAAUGCGAUGUUUGCUAACUUUCAAUAAAUUUUACCACAUAUACUUCUUAUAUGUGAAGUCAUUACUCCCCAUCAAAUAAGCAUAUAAAACAUAUAUAAUUUCUGAUUUAUGUUAUUCAAUUCAUUCAACAUUUACUCAUAGGAUAUAAGUAAAGUAUGAGAGUAAAUGACAAAAUUACUUCAAAAAGCUAUAAGUGACGAUCAAUGCAUAGUCAACUAGUUAAAUAGCCAUGUGAGGACUCUCGCUCAUUAAAGAUUUCAGAUCCAAGUAUUUUAUUAAAACAGCAAGCAAAACAAAAUAAAAUGACAUUUCAAGAAUAGCACACAUCAUGUGAAGAAGAAAAAAAACUUACGUUCAACCGAUACUAACCGAUAAUUGUUCAUAAAGAAAGAUGGGAUGCCUACCGGGGCAUCCCAAGCUUAGAUGAUUGAGACUUUUUGGAAUAUUAUUUUGGGAUGCCUAGCUUGAGUUUUUGUGUCUCCUUACUUCCUUUUAUAUCACGGUUUUCCUAAAUCUCAAAAACUUCAUGCACACAAAACUCAACUGGAACUCGUGAGAUGAGUUAGUAUAAAUCAAUGUAAAAACCUUAUCAUUCACUAUUGUAGCAAAUCACUAAAAUUAUUAUUCAACAUCGCAUUCUAAAUGCAUCUGUAUAUUUAAUACUUCCAUCCUCAAACAGAAUCAUUAAACAAGCAAAUAUAUGCAAAUAAUGCAAACAUAACAGCAAUUUGUCUAAAUAGGACAGUUUAUAAAAAGUGCAAUUAUACUCAUACUUCCCAAACUCCAGAAAUUCUAAAAUGUUAGCAUGUUGUAGAAAAUUUGUUGCUUCUUACUUGCAAAAUAAGCAUGGUAAAGGUUAUCCUUGACAUUUUUAUUGAAACAACAACAUGUAGACUUGCAAAAUAAGCAUGGUAAAGGUUAUCCUUGACAUUUUUAUUGAAAUAAAAGAUGCAAAAUAUUAUUCUAAACAACAGUAAGCAAAUACUAAACAAAUUUAAUGACGCUUCAAGCAAAACUCAUAUCAUGUGACGAAUAAAAAUAUAGGGUCAGUCAAAAAACAAGCCCAACCCAACAAACAACCCAUGACAGGAAAAACAACACGAAUCUUAGAGCAAAAAUCAAUGGGCAGAAAAUUGACUGGCCCAAAUUCAAAAUUCAGGCAACUUACAAGUAGCCAAAGUGACAAUAAAAGGUCCACCUAGCAAAACUCGUUCCUUGUCUCAAAAAAAGCAAAACUCGUUCCAUCGUUGAUUCUCAACCCUAGAUUCAUUCGUCAAUGCAGUUAUUAGUGCUAAUUACAACUUGCAUCAUUUUCAUCUUUGCCCCUUGGUUCAUAUGGUAGUUUACAAGUUACAAACAAGAAACUGCAUGCGCCCAACACAACACUAAAAUUAGCUAGUCGAGGCAUGCAUGCACUGCACUGCACCGGGCUGAGAACCCAAAGUUAUUUUGUUGUCUUCCCUAUAUAUGCACGCACACAGCGACUAGAAUCUGGAAGGUUUCCCUAUAUAACGAGUUCUGAAGUCGAUCGGCGGGUUCCAUGCAACUUCAUCAUAUGUAUUAAUUUAGCUACACAGAUGUUAACUAAUCAUAUAUGUACCAGAGCACUUCAUAGCUUAUAACGAAAUGCAGCGAUGCAAUUAAAAGACAAUCUUCGUGCAUGAGUUAGACCGUCAUCGAGCAAUGUGUUUACCACACCACCAUCUUGCAUAUAUAUGAAGAUCGAUCCAAUCCAGGUAGCUGUUAAUUACAAGAGAAAUAAACAUCAAAACUAAUCAAGAGUAGUGAUGGGCUCGAAGAUGGGGAAGAACAAGAACGGUCUGGUGGUGUCAGCCAGCGUCCUUGGCGUGCUGACGAUCUUCUUCUGAGUGAUCGGGGCGAUCCUCGUGGUGGCAGUAUGCACAGCAAGCUAGAUCUCUUCCUCGAUCGGUGCUCCUUGUGUGCGGGAUUUUUUGACCGUGUGUGUGUACGUUCAUGCAGACAGCUCCGCAUAGCAACCGCGAUGACUGUAACUACAGGUCGUCGGCGAUGCCCUACGACAUCGUGGCGGCGGUGCUGGCGCUGACGACUCAGAUUGUCGCCAGUGCGGCCAUCGGCGGCUGCUUCGGGAGGCGUCCCACUCCGAAAAGCAAGGGCAAGCGCGUCCUCGCCAUCCUCUUGUUCAUCCUCUCAUGGUAUGUAGCCAGCUAUCGAGGAACCAAAUACGCAAAUGUUUCCGCAUCUAUUCGAAUCUACUGCUUCUCUCAUGUGUUAUACUCCCUCCAUUCCAAAAUAAGUGUUUCAACUUUGUACUAACUUUAGUAUAAAGAGAUACUAAAGUGGAGACACUUAUUUUGGGACAAAAUGAGUAUGCUCUGGAAUCGACAUGUUAUAGGUUUGUUCAUUUAUAUAUUAAAUUAAUGAAAAAACUAACGCCCACACGUGUGGUAUCUUACACAUCGCUCACACGCCUCCAUCACCACUCAUUUUGCCACGUAUGAAUAGAUGACAUCAGCAGGAAUCUUUUUGGUUUUCGGCUUAAAUUUUUUUAUCUCCUAAUUAAAAAAUCAAAUUAAAAAUCCACUUUCAUCAUUAAAUCUGUCUCAACGAGAUCUUCAAAACUAGACCCCAUGUUGAUAUGUUUCGAUGAAAUUUGUUUUUGCCCAAAAGUUGCCAUGAUGUUUACACUAUAGUUGCUAUAGUGCUUAAACUAAAGUUGCCAUGUGGCAAUUUUAGUUUGUAGAGCAUUGCAAUUUUAGUUUUUUGAUGAUGACAAUUCCAGUACUUUGAUCAUGAAAAUUAUUUUUUGUAUGAACCAUAGCAAUUUUAAGUGCAUGUAUCAUGGCAAUUUUAGUUUAUGGUUCAUGACAAGUCUAGUUUCUUAAUUCCCCAUUUUAUAAUAUGUCAAAAUUUACUUUUAAAUGUAGAAGAAAAUAGUUGAAACAUAUCAUGGCAACUUCAGUGUAAACAUCAUGGCAAUUCAUCUGCAAUAGACAUGGCAACUUUUAACCCAAAAAAAUUCAUCGAAAUAAAUUGAUAUAAGAUCUAGUUUCAAAGAUCUUGUCGCGAGGGAUUUAAUGGUGAAAAUGGAUCUUCAAUCGGAUUUGUCAUUUAAGAGAUAAAACAUUUUAAAAACUCAAAAUCCAAAAAAAUUCUCACAUGCAUGCAUGCGGUGACGUGGCGCAGUGUGUGUGUUAUAGGGCGUGUGAGCGGGUUUGGCUCCCACAACACAUGUGGGCGUUAUUGUGAUCUCUUCGUGCAUACUUGCAGGACCCUCGCGGUUGCAACGGUGAUAAUAUUUUUGCUGGUCGCCGUGACGGUUGGGUCUAGAGGCUAUUUUCAAUUUUACUUGGACGAUGCCAAUUGUAACACACCAGGUGUUUUAAUUUUCGUGGUGGCGACGGUCUUAUUUAAACUAGUUGUCGGUCUUGACAUAGUCUCGUAUAUCCUCUUUUAGAAGGUUGGCCUCCUUCGGUGCCGACCGUGGUGUCUAAAGUUGGUGCCGGGCCUUCUCAUUCUGCAUGUUGAAAUCAAGUGUGAGGUUAGCUCAUGCCGCAAUGGCAUGGUUGUCUUGUGUAUGCCAAUGAAAUAUCCCUCAUUUGGCCUUUUUUAGUUUAUUGACUGGUUCUAAUCUUUCAUUAAGAACACUGCUCAGCAACGGUUGACUGAUCAGUGCUGAGAACGCUAACCAUGCUAGUUGUCAGAUGCCUCCAUGCCUGGCCCUUGGAUCAGGUCUCCUCGCCCUUUGGUUCUCUCAUGCAUGCGUCUUCGUUUCCCUGCAUCACUCGUGUAUCAUUUUUUUAUAAAAGAAGGGCUUGCCCCUUCCGAUUUUCAUUACUGAAAACCACCACGAUUCACAGAAGGUUCAGAACAACUCCAACCUAACACGAAGAACUAAAAGCUACCAGAUUCAACCGAGACAACACAAAAGGCCAACACAGGCCAAACAUCCACGCUAGAACCCAACAUCGCAUCCUAAGACAUAACCACCAGUCUAAACCAACCAUUACAUCAAAAGAAAACCAGGAACUAAAAGAAGCCCAGCCGCAACUAGGAUUAACAGCAACGCCAGGGUCACCACAGCAAGAGUUUCUUCAUUCCAGUCUAGUGACGUUGAUCCUCCACCCCUGCCUGGCUGUGAACACCUCACUUGCUGCCCGUUCUAGCACUCUUACUCCCAGCUCCAGCAUUUUUUUGACGGCUCCUUUAUCUGCAGAAUAGACCAGUCAGUUAACCAUCCGCAUAUCAUUUUGAUAGUAUAGAAAGGAUCAUUUAUCCUUUUCUUUUCAAAUAUAAUCGCAUUUCUACUUUACCAAAUUGCCCAAAAUAGGGCUGAAACCCUAACCAUAACCAUUUUCUUAUCCUCUUUAUUGAAUUUUCUGAUCCAAUCUCCAAAACAAUCUUUCACAUUUAGUGGAACGGUUUUUAAACCACGCACACAUCUAACCAAACUCCACAGCAGCGAAGUUGCAGGGCAAGAAAAUAAAAGGUGAUCAAUUGAUUCAUCUUUCUCACAAAGAACACACUCCUUCCCUCCUUUCCAGCCUUUUUUUAAUAAUACAUCCCUAGUCAGGAUACUUUUUUUGUUAACUAACCAUAAGAAAACUUUUAGCUUUGCAGGUACCUUAAUUUUCCAUAAGUACUUCUGUGGGAAUUUCACCCCUACGGUAAUCAUUUUCCUAUAGAGGGACCCCGCAGAAAACUUACGGUCAUCAGUGAGGGUCCAGGAAACUUUAUCUGCCCCUUCUUGCAAAGGUAUUUCUUCACAUCUUUUUUUAAGGCAAUUCCAUAACCCAAGAGUCUCCCCAUAUAGGGUUCUUCUAAAUUUGAACCCAUGCCACCCUUUUUGAAUGGCCUCAUCCACAGUUAUAUUGUGGUCAAAACAUAUGUCAUACAAUCUAGGGUAGGCAUCUCUGAAAGGUUUAUCAUCUACCCAGGUGUCUUCCCAGAACCUAGUGUUCUUCCCAUUCCCCACCUCUUUUUUAACAAAUUUGUAGAAGAUCUCUUUGAUCUUUAACAAACUAGCCCAGAAUUGGGAAUCUCCAGGUUUCUUACUAACUGAUGCCAGACAGCCACCUUUUUUGUACUUUUCAUCCAGUACAUCCUGCCAGAGACCUUCUUCUGUCUCCAUUUUCCAGAACCACUUAGCAAGCAACGCAAUAUUCAUUACUUCCAAAUUGAGUAUCCCUAAAGCACCUAUCUCUUUAGGCAGACAACAUUCUUCCCAUUUUACUAGGUGAUAUUUUUUAAUAUUUUCAUCUUCCUGCCAAACCAACCUAGCCCUGAAGAAAUCUUCUUUUUUGAUAAUCCCUUUGGGAACAGUAUAGAAGGACAUCAUGAAUAAGGGGAUAUUAGUCGGGCAUGCUUGCGCCAGAGUAAUUCUGCCAGCAAUGGAACCCAACAGCUUCCCUUGCCAGCACCCACAUCUCUUUUCAAUUUUAUCAGUCACACAAUCCCAAUGUGUGUUUCUAAUUCUAGUUUCUGACACAUGCAUUCCCAGGUAGCUAAUAGGUAGUUCCCCCAUUUUACAUGUUAGAAUUUCUUGAUAUAUCAUUUGUUUCUCUUUGGCCUUGCCAAGCAGCAGCAAUUCACUUUUGUGAAAAUUAAUUUUGAGCCCAGACAUUUGUUCAAAAGCUCCUAAAAUGAAUUUGAGGUUUUUCACACUUUCCACCUCAUCUUUGAUUAGGAAGAUGGUGUCAUCAGCAUACUGUAACAUAUUUAUCCCUUUAUCCUCUCCUUUUUUCAAUCCCCCUUUGACAAUAUCAUGUUUCAGAGCAUUAUUCAUUAGAAUGGCCAAGGCAUCAGCAGCCAAAUCAAAAAGUAGAGGUGACAUAGCAUCUCCUUGUCUCAGACCUUUAAAAGUUUUAAAAUAUGGACCAAUUUCAUCAUUCACUCUGACUCCAACAUGUCCCCCUCUCAUAGUCUCCAUUACCCAGUCACACCAUUUAUCUGGAAAUCCCUUCAAAUUCAACAUUUGAAUCACAAAGGGUCAUUUGAUUUUAUCACACGCCUUCUCAAAAUCUACUUUGAAAAUCAAAGCAUCUUCUUUAUUUUUGUGGAAAGAGUUCAAAGCUUCAUGUAGUAUAACCACCCCUUCCAUUAUAUAUCUACCCUUAAUAAAGGUAGUCUGGGUUCUGGAGAUCACAGGAGCCACACAUCUGGCCAACCUAUUCAUCAGCACUUUAGUGAUGAUCUUAAAGCUAACAUUUAAUAGACAUAUGGGUCUAAAUUUUUGAAUUUGUUUAGCAUCACUGGUUUUAGGGACCAAUGUAAUUAUAACAUAAUUAGGUCUGGCAAUAUUAAUUUCCCCCUUUGCAAAGCUAUCAACCAGAGCUUUCAGAUCCCACUUGACCAACUCCCUAAAAUCUUGAUAAAAGUCAGCAGGGAACCCAUCAGGGCCUGGACUUUUAUUUCUUUUCAUCCCAAAAACUACUUGAUGAAUUUCAGUUAGAGAGAAAGGGGCUAAUAGCUCCUCUUUAUCUUGUGUACUAAUUUUGGUCAUUUCCAUCUCCCUCAGAGAGAUAUUAGACUCUUCAGGGUGUCCAAAUAAUUCUUUGUAAAAUUUGGUUAUAUACUCCAUUAGCAUGUCAUCUUCUUAUAUAAUCCCUUCAUCCUGUUCUAGAGAGACAAUUCUACUUUUUCUUCUUUUCCCAUUCACCUUAGCGUGAUAGUAUCUAGUGUUCCCAUCCCCAUAUUUAAUUUCUGUAUCUUUAUAUCUCUGCAACCAUUUCAUCUCCUCUUGUAACAUCACUCUUUUCAGUUGAGCUCUAAGCUCUUUCUGUUCAGUUCUGUCCACAGCAGUUAAUCCCAUUGUCUCAACUCUCUUAUCUAGUGCAUCUACUUCCCUAAUAAUUUCUAGUUUGAUUUUCUUAUACCAAGCAUCCAUGUUCUUAUUCAAUCCCUUGGCUUUCUUUCUCAGUUUUCUGAAUCUUAGUUGCCAUCUUUCCAAGAUAUCUCCUAUAUAUAUCUCUCAUUCCAAGUUUUAUAUACCAGCUCUUUGAACCCCUCUCUCAAGAUCCAACCAUUUUCAUAUCUGAAUGUAUAUUUAUGUUUGUAUGUCUCCCCUGUAUCUAAGAACAAAGGGGUGUGAUCAGAAAUUUCUCUAGCAAAUGCUUGUAGUAUGGUUAGUGGAUAUUUCUCCUCCCAAACUGGGCACAGGAAAACCCUGUCUAGCUUCUCAAAAGUAGGAUCUUCCUGGUUAUUGGCCCAGGUGUAUUUCCUCCCAUUCAAAGGCAACUCUCUCAACCCUGCUUGUUCAAUGAUAGCAUUAAACAUAAAGGGCCACUAAUCAUUUAGCAUAGGUUUGUUUUUUUUCUUUCCCAUUUCUAAUGAUGUUAACCCCCCCCCCCUCCCCCCACCAAGCAAGGCAGAGGGUUGUCAUGAUAUAGUCUUGCAAGCUCAGCAAGAAAGCUAGCUUUUCCUUCCUUCUGCGCAUCUCCAUACACAGUCACCAAAUUCCAGUGCAUUUUAAUAUUUUUAUCAAAAACUAGCACUCUCAAAAAAUAUUGUCCUUUUUCAAUAGACUCAACAUCAAACAUAUCAUUGUUAAUCCCAACUAAAAUCCCUCCAGACAUCCCUCUAGGGUUCCAAUACCAUUGGUAGUUUUUCCCUCCACACAAAUCACUACAAGAGGACAGACCUUUUGUAACACCCUCUUGUGUUACUACAGGUCCAAAAGUGUGUUACUGGGCCAUAUAGUAACACAGUUUGAAAUGUGUUCCAUUAGACCAUGUUACUAAGUGGUGUCAACUGUCACACAUAAUAAUUGUUACCAUAUGUUAAAAAAAUGUGUUACAGUUGCAUUAUAGUAACAUGUGUGUUAUGUGUUACCGAACACACUGGUAACACACUUUUGUAAUUAUAGUAACACCGAUAGUAACAUAUUUUGAUAGACGUAGAACAUCGGUGGUAACAUGUUUAUGUAACUAUCGUAACACAACUGGUAACACAUUUUUUAGCACCGGAACCCAACUAGUAACAUAAUAUCCAUGUAUCGUAACACUAUAAUUAUAGUUGUCAACUACUCUAGUAACAAAUUUUGUAGCUAUAGUAACACCAUCAGUAACACUACUAUGUCAAUAUGGUAACAUAAUUAAUGUAUUUGUUUUUUAUUAGUAACCACAAAAUUGGAUACCCAUUCUAUGGAAUAUAAAUUUAUUUAAUAAAAUAAAUGCAAUUGCAUAAAUUGUUAAUCAUUUUAUUAUUAUGCUUGGCAGCAUAUCAAAAUGAUAUUUAAACUGAAGCAGUACACAUACAGAAAUUCGGACGAAGAUAUUUAUUACGAAUAUAGAAGAGUGUAUGAUACAUAUGCAUUACAAUAAAGAUACCAGUCAUAUAAUUUUGAGGAUAAAAAACACAACUAUGGGGAAUAUUACACUGUCGCAUUUGCAUCAAUUCGAUGAAAGAGAAAGAUCUUCUGGAUGAUAUUACACUUUUAAAUCUAUCAAUGUAAACUACAACUAUUGGUAGCUAAAAUCUUCAGAUUUUAUUUGCUUCUUGAUCCAAGAAUUCAACUGCAAAUCAACCAUCCUUCUCUCGAAUCUGUAGAAGAAAAUUGCACCUUAGAUAUGUGUGAUUAAAUGUACACAAAUAUGAUUUCAGAAUGUGGAAGGGAAGAUUGUAACUUACAAAAGCUGAAGGCCAGGCAAUUAAGUAUCCUGAAGUGAAAGCCUCGCCAGUUGUCUUGCAAUCAGAAACUUCCCUUACCAACUCCUCAUUAUCAAGAAUAGGUUCGUCUAUGCGCACAAGAGCAAAUUCAGCACCUAACUCAAUACCACCAGCCUUAGUUCUUGGAUCAGUACUCCGAAUAGUACCAUACGCAACAUUCCGCUUGUUGGGAUAUGUUGAAGUCUUUAAGACUACUUCGGAAGCAGCCUAUAUUAUGAUCAAUAUUAGAAUUCUAUGACAUGAUAAUAUAACUUGCAUGAAUAAUAUGAGAUCUUUUUAAUGUCAACCCACUAAGGUGCCCUAAGAAACUAAAUAAACUGGACCCGGCAACGAAGUCUAAUGCCCAAGGUCACCUCGCAAGCUCAUGCUUGGUUAAAUUUAUCGUUUACUUGCAUAUAGCAGAUUGAGCAAAAAUUGUAAUAAAAUCCAUUUUUCAAGCAGACAUGAUAAUGAGGGUUUGGGUUGGUAAUUUGGGUGCAGUAAACCAUGCUACUUGGUGAAUCUCUACCUUGAUGGAAGAAGAACGCCCUCUUUUUGAGCGGUGUGGGUGUUCAGUUCUAGUCCUUUGCUGGUUCGGUCUUGAAACAGAUUCACCCGUAAUAUUCCUCAUUUCCCUCACCUACCAAGAUACAACAAUAUUAGAUGGAAUGAUAUUCAUACCUUGAAGCUACAGAAAGCUACAACUUCAAAAAUCAAAAGGCACGAAAAUUACCUCUAGCACAGAAUCAAUAACAAGGUCUUGUGGUGAUGAUGAAUUUUGUUGAAUUUGUAAUUGGUUGACAUCAUGGUCGCCAACCUAGUUCCAUGACACAACAAUGGUAAGCAAGCAAUUAUUUUAUAUUCUAUCUUUGUGACAUGAGUAAGAGUAACUACAGGCAUAACCUUUUCAUGCGAACGUGAUAAAGUAUUAUCCUCAGGAAUGUCAUGUUGCAUAGACGAGCGUGCCUCAACGGGUCCAUUGCAUUGGAUUCUCUGCAAACUGAAAUAUUAAUAUGAAGGUUUCGAGUGACAAGCAAUGAUGUAGGCAUUUAUUAACAUUACCUUUGUUUUACCAAGCAGUACUGGUGACCGAGAAAUACCAUUAUCAUUUGAUUGGAGGUUUUCCUACAGAACUAACAAAUCUGAGUAAACUAUUGAUAGAAAUGCAUGCAAAGGGUGGGAUAAAGAAGUCCUUUACCUCUUCUAUGCCAUUAUUGACAUAGCCUUCUUUGUUAUUCAUAUCUUUAAUAAUCUGGUCUUGCUUUUUUAUAUGCUCCUUCAUCUUUGCUAUUACCUCCCAAACGUCAUGUUCAACUUCAUAUGGUGAUCCAUCAGUUGUAGUCAUAUUGAUGUUCUUUAGAUACCGUGGCGUCCGACCGUAGACUUGCUUAGGAGUUGGAAGCAAACCCAUGCCAUGCACUUGUCCAAUCUUUUCUUUCCCUAACACUUCCUGCAGGGCAUCACCUUCCCAUGCGACUCUUCCAUUCAAAUUUUGUGCCAACUCUGGUCGUUCGGUUAUUAGAUUCUCCAAUCGAUCCUAUAAGAAAAGAAUCAUGUAUACACUACUUAGAUUGAACCAUAACUUGAUCCGGAGAACAAUUAGACAAUUUCUAUAUUAAUUGCCUACCAGGCGCUUAUUUCUAUCUUUAUUUUUAGCAUCAGCAUCGUCCUUCUUCUUGUGAGUUGCUAAAUAAACCUUUGAUCUGUGUGGUCGUUUCUUUUCAGGAUCAGCUUGCCUCUACAAAACAGAAACAACACCCAUAUGACAAAAGAGACACAGGACAACACUUCAGGAAUCAAGAUUACUCACCAUGUCUUCGCCCCAACAAGCAUAACUCUUUGUGCCAGCAUUAUGUGAAUCCUUCACGAGGGAACGACUAAUUAUGUUCUUCUCGGCAAGGGCCUGUUAUGAUGUAAUCAUAUCGUAAAUGCAACUUUUAAGAUAAGCCCGAGAACUCACAUUUAAAUGUCAAAACAGGAAAGUACAGUAUCUCAUUCAUUACCCUUCCUUUUUUGGACUUCCAAUAUUUAACAAGCCCACGCCAUUGAUCGCUGUCCACAUCUUCUGGACAGAGCUUAUACAAAGCCUUUCGCUUGAUGUUUGGAUUUUUUUUCAAUGGCGGGUUUGAAGAAAACAUCUUUCAAACUAGACUUAAAUUUCCUCCAGUCUCUUCCAAUUGAUUUGAGUGUCCAUUUUUCACAUGAUCGAGGAUACACGAACUUUGUCUGAAAGUACAAAAUAAUGAAUGGAUGUAAAUAGACAUGCAGACCACACUACAUCUCAUGUAGACAAAUUAGAUAUAAAUAGAAGGGCAGCAAAUAACAUAUUUUGUUUUCUUGUUAAUUGCGAAAUACCUGUACGCACUGCAAUCAUUUAUGUUUAGUGGGCAAAAUCCUCCAUUUCUAGCAACCGUGCCCAGAAACUUCCCCAAGAUUGCACCUUCAUCUCCUAUAGGCUGGCUAUCUUCAUUGCAUUUCACAACUAUUCUCUGCCCCUUUGGCAUGUUCCAGAAAAUUGGCAAGCUCGUUCUCUUGUGCUUGCGUACUUCCUUGUCUACUACAAGAUUAAUUAAGAAAAGUACUAAUGAAAUGACGCCCGCCGAUUAUUCUUUCGAUACUAAGCAUAUACAAGUUAAUUAAUAGAAGCACAAAAUGUAAUAGGUUGUUACCUUGAUUGUGAACUUGACCCUCUUCAUCGACCAAUGCUUGUGAUUCAUGACCUUGUGGGAAUUGCUCACCAUUGUUGCAGUCUCCAUCUUCAUCGUCACGUUGGUCCGUAACCUGAAUCACAUUCAACCUUUUUGACCUACGUGGUGGUCCUGCAGAACAACCACACAUCUUUUAUUCCAAUAAUUACAACAGUACAUACAGAUAUGUAAUAAGCAUGGUUCAAGAGGGAUACUUUGCGGCCCUUGCGUAGUAAGUUGCCCUGCCCCUUCAGCAGAGACACCACCGUCCUGUAAGAGAACACUCUCAUUUGGAUGGUUAGAUGGAGCAACAUCAAUUUGCUUGCUAGGCGGAGCAAUAUGAUCGUCAGCCUUCUCCUUAGACACAUACAGAUGGACAGCUUUCACAAUCUCAGGGUCGGACAACAUUUUCAUCACAAGACCUUCAUCAUAAAUGUGAACUAAGUAGGAGCUGCCUAGACGGGUUUUUUCGCAUAGUACAGAAAGUCAAUUGCCUGAAAGCCAACUUCUUCGAUCAUCAAGAUUAAGUCGUAAUACGAGACAACACGUCUCAUCAUGGAUCUUUGUAAAAUUUUGGCUUCCUGAUUUGUAUCUUCAUAGUGCAGGUAUAUGGUCAACAUGUCCGUCGCCAUCCUAAGUUAUAUAUAAAAAUGUCAAUUAAAUCAUUACAAGUAAAGCCAAAUUAACUAAUGACAUAACAGGGACAAUUUAAUUUGCCAAUAGACAUGUGAAUGGAGAGGGCAGAGAAGUACACAGUAGCACGUCAAUACACUAUCAGCUUAUCAUAACUUAAAACAGAGAGAUGAGGUACAAGACCAUGGGUCCAGCCACACCCACACUAAGAUAUAACGCUGUCGACAUAUGGAUUCAGGACAGGUUUAAGUUGAAAAGUGUACAGGGCUUGAUGAUGUUCAUUGCUUCCCUAAACAGAAGGGAAAUUGAAAGUACAUAGGAUCAUCAGGUGAUGGUGCAAAUCUUAAGCAUUUUCUCUGUUCGUAAUUUCAGUCAUUUUUUAUCCUAAUGGUUCAAUUUACCCAGGCGAAACUGUUACAGUAGAUCGGCUGCAUCGAAUUGAAGAGCAGAGUUGGGUUUGAUCAUGAUAGUCUUAGGGCAUCAAAGAAAAUGACAAAGGAGCCGAAUGAGCCCAGAUUUGUUUCGUGUGCCCAGAUUGCAAACUAGACAUGUUAAAAAGAUUGGAGCGGGCGCAGCAAAGCGCGCCGUUUGCUUCUAGUUUCUCAAAAAGUCUGAUCAAAUUUAAACAAUAGUCAAUGGAUCGAUCUAGCAGAAGUGUAGAACACGCACGUAUAUCAAUGGAUCGACCUGAUUAGUGGAUUAGGCAUUGGCACAUCACAAAACUAUAGUCAGACACAACCUUAUAUGGUUUAUGGGCUUUUCAACAUAUGUGAUUGCUUAAUUAUUUGUCUACGUAUGGGCUAAUUAUGCAAUUAGCCACGGCCAUUAGGCAUCUACAGUACACACAGUGCUACGAAUUGUUGAGGGAGGGAGCGACUGGCAGGGGAAUCCCUGCUGGCCGCUCCCUAUCCCCGCCCCUGCAUCACUACAGUGGUGUUUCACCUAGCAUACCUCAGAGAAUUCGUAGCAAUCAGAUCAGGGAAGGGUGGCGUUCAGAUCCAUACCAGCCACGAGAUCGUACUCCUUCAGGAUGUAGGUGGCGGAGCUGAAGACCGACGAAGCCGUCGCCGCAGCAAUCCAAACGGCGCCGGGACAGAUCGAGGUAGCGGCGCCGAUGCAGGUCGAGGAAGCGGCAGAUCCUACGGGGGUUGAGAGAUGGNNNNNNNNNNNNNNNNNNNNNNNNNNNNNNNNNNNNNNNNNNNNNNNNNNNNNNNNNNNNNNNNNNNNNNNNNNNNNNNNNNNNNNNNNNNNNNNNNNNNNNNNNNNNNNNNNNNNNNNNNNNNNNNNNNNNNNNNNNNNNNNNNNNNNNNNNNNNNNNNNNNNNNNNNNNNNNNNNNNNNNNNNNNNNNNNNNNNNNNNNNNNNNNNNNNNNNNNNNNNNNNNNNNNNNNNNNNNNNNNNNNNNNNNNNNNNNNNNNNNNNNNNNNNNNNNNNNNNNNNNNNNNNNNNNNNNNNNNNNNNNNNNNNNNNNNNNNNNNNNNNNNNNNNNNNNNNNNNNNNNNNNNNNNNNNNNNNNNNNNNNNNNNNNNNNNNNNNNNNNNNNNNNNNNNNNNNNNNNNNNNNNNNNNNNNNNNNNNNNNNNNNNNNNNNNNNNNNNNNNNNNNNNUGUUCACAGCACAUAUUAAGAUAACCCUAAAAAUUUCAGAUCAAAAUUCGAAACAUACAUCGAGAAACAAAAAAGAGAAAUCUGUCAUGAAUAGUUCCUGAACAGUUCUCUGUAGACUAUUCACAUCUGAGUUUCUCUUUUUUAUUUCUCGAUGUAUGUUUCGAAUUUUGAUCUGAAAUUUUUAGGGGUUAUCUUAGUAUGUGCUGUGAACAUGCAUGAUUUUUUUCAGAUUUUUUUGCAAUGUUUAAAUUUGAAUUUGAGCCGCAUGUCACCGUGCAUGUCACCGUAGCGCAUGUCACCUGAUCCCAGUCCGCGGCGAGGUAGCCGCCGAACGGUGGGCGGCUGGGCUGGAUGUGGAUGGGUUUGAGACCCAAUUUAUCUAGCCUUUUUUAGUUAGUUGGAGGGAAAAGUAAGCGCGAAAGUAAUUGGAGGGAAAAGUAAGCGUCAUGGUCGAGAACUGGAGGGAAAUUUGGAUAUAUUUUUUUUAUCAAGGAGAACAGGAGGGAAAUUGUUUUGGAAGAACCGGGACAUUGUUACAUAUAUUAAUUUGUUUGGAAUAUAAAUUUUCCAAAAAGUGUUUUUGGCAUGGAAAAAUAGAGUAUACUGUAUUUAUUUUCCAAAAAGUAUUAAUAAUGAUAUUAGAUGGCUAGCACGCGGCCCAGUAGAUGCAGCAAAAAGGUACCGCGCUUACAACUUCAGAGGAUAUCGGUUUAGGCCUAAACGGUUAGACAGGGUGAGUCAAAAUAGUGGAGUGGUGGUACAUGCCAGAACAUCUACAUAUGCUGCACCAGGUGAUGCGACCCCUGUUUUAGGUGAUGUGACUUACUAUGGCAGGAUAAUUGAUAUUAUUCAGUUGAACUACUCUGGACAAUUUUCGGUGGAUUUAUUUAAGUGUGAAUGGGUUGAUAUUUCUGAAAAAGGAAUUAAGAAGGACAAGUAUGGCUACACACUUGUUAACUUCUCACAUUUGAUGCACAAAGGAGACAAGAUUGAGCAUGAGCCUUUUAUUUUGCCUAACCAAGCCGAUCAAGUGUUUUACCUAGAAGACGAACUGAACCCAGGUUGGUCAGUGGUGAUGCAGAAUAAACUACCUAGAGAUAGAUGUGACACUGGAAAUGAUGAAUGCACACGAGACGUAGAAGCUGAGCCAUUCCAUGUUUCUCACCUCACGGAUAUGUUUAAAGCGAAAAGGAAAGAUCAACAUUGGGUAAGGUCUGAUAUUGAGGGAACAAUUGUGGAUGCUAAUGAUAAUUCUUUGAUCGACGAAGAACGGUGAUGGUACAUCAUAUAAAGGUAUUUCUUUGUUCAAGCAACAUUUUCUUGAUUAUAUAUACAUUGUAGUUUUAGCUAAAAUCAAAGCUGAGUUUGCAGGACAUUAAUAACCAUUGUAUGUUCUUGCAGAUCGUUGGCUGAGCUUACACCCUUCAAAAAAUUCGAAGGAAUGAGGUCUUUCACUCAACAUAUAAACCCAAUUUUUCUUUUUCUUUAUUGCUUUUCAUUUUCUCAUCCUAUUUUCCAUAGAUGCUGCCAUUGUGGAUCCCUAUAUGCAUUGAAUUUAACUUGACUCUUUUUGAUUUGUUAUGAACUUUUUCUCAUGCGCUUCAGUGAAUCUUCUUUUUCAGAAAAAAUUGCAAGUCAAGAUUACAAGGAUUGUUCUAAACUUCUGGAUGAAGCAAUGUGUUCUUUUAGCGGGCUUUUAUAUGUUUGCAUAGUUUUUGCUCUUCAAACAUGAAGCUUGGAAAAAUUCAGAAAAUUGUUACUAAAGUUAAGCUUUAUGUACGACAUGUUGUCAUUGGAAAUAGAUACACUUUUGUCGAAGAAGUAUUAUGUCAGAUUUACCAUCUUGUAAACUUAGUUUACGUCUGUUUGAAAUUGGCGUUUUAAUUUAUGUGGGAUGCUUGUUUGCUGUCAAAACCUGAUUCAAUAUUUUCUUUGUUGUUGUGAACCAACCAUUGCACGUGUUACUUCUGUUGCUUGCACUUGCAGCUAGGUGCAGGUAGGUGCUAGCUGUUGUGCCUGUUGCUUACACUUGCAGCUGGUUGCUAGCCAUCUUGCCGCUCAGAUCGGGUGCCUAACUAUUGAUGAUAUGCAUUUGAACUGCUGAUGCAAUGGCCAGUAGUAGAGGAGCCAUGGGGACGCACUACAGCAGAGGAGCCAUGGGGACGCACUACAGCAGAGGCGCUCAAAGAAGAGCAGCAGAGGUUGAGGUGUUCAAAAAAGACAGUAGCAAAGUAGCCUUGGUCGCGUGACAUUCCCUUCCUUCUCGCUUUUGCCCUUAUCUCUCUCUCUGUGAAAGCGUGGCUCCCCUUGAUCUUUUUUUCGUGAGAAACUGUCAAAUCUAUUCAACUUCAAUCAUGGCAGUACAACGGACACUAGAAAUAAUAAAAAUUACACCUAGAUUCAUAGACCACCUAGCGAUGAUUACAAGCACUAAAGCGAGCCCAAGGCGUGCCGCUGUCAUCGCUCCUCCCUUGCCAAAGUCGGGCACAACUUGUUGUAGUAGACAGUCGGGAAUUUGUCGUGCUAAAGACCUAUAGGACCGAUGCACCUUAACCGAACGAGGCCUUGGUUCCCUUUUCUCCACUCGAACCACCGGUCCGGUUCUUAAAACUAUCUUCAAAUUUAAGCUCUCGUUCGCUGUUGGUCUUCCACUCCUUUGUGAGUAUUCACAUCAAAUACUUAAUUUCAUAUGAUCAUUUUAAAGUUUGCAUUUCACAUUUAUGGUUGUUGAGUUAUCCUAAAAUUCGUGUAAAAAUAUAGUUAAUAUUAUAUUCACUACAACCAGACCGAAAAUAGUUUGGUAUUGACCAAUCAAACUGUAUUCUUUUUCAUACCAUAUUACCAAAGAAUGAAAACACUAUUUACCAAAACAAGAACGUAUUAUCAUGUUGACACAUGGGCCCUAUGUGUCAAGGUAUUUGUGAUCUAUGCAUGCAGUUGAUUUUAGUUUUUCUAGUCCCCCUAUAAUAUAGCUUGUAACACUAUGUAUCAACCAUGAUUAUGUGUUACUGCCAUUGUUGAACUACGUAACACAUUUCGGUAACACAUAUUCAUAUGUUACCACGUCAAGAUCUAUGUAACACACUUGACCAACACAUAUUUACAUGUUACUAUUACAAUAUCCCGGUAACACAUUUUGAGGCCUUAUAUAGUAUGUGUUACUGCUGUCGUUCGACACAAAAUGUUGUGUUACAGUAAUUUCCCUUGUCACACAUUUUUCAAUCUGUUACAUAAUUGUGUUACUUAAAGUCUGUUUUGUUGUAGUGAAUUGUGCAGCUCAUUUUUAGUAAAGUCUUGCUUUAUGGUCUCAGAGAUCCCAAUAAAGUCCAGCUUCUGAUCUAUUAUCAUUACUCUAAUAUAUCUCUUUUUGUGGUCUUGUCCAAUACCUCUGACAUUCCAAAAAAAAACCCUCUCAUUUUAUUAUAUUUAAUUUUUAUAUACUAAUAAGAAACUACUUAGUCUUUCUUCCUUUUUUUCUUCUUUGUAAGACCCCAAUCCCAACAGUUUGCUUCACACAGUCUAAUGCUGGUGAGCCUUUUUAACCACUUUUUUUCCCUGAGAGCAUUCCUUUCAGUUUCUUAAUUUGUUGUUCCUUAAUAUCAGCAUCAGAGUGUUCAAAAUCAGAACAUAAUCCCUCCACAUCUAUAUCUCCAGUAUUUAUAUAUACUGGGAUAUCCUUUUCUUUCUCUCCUUUCCCCUCAAAAUCCUCUCUUCCCCUGUCACUGUAUUCUUUUUUUAUAUUUUGGAAAUAUAAUUCUCUUCUGGCUAUCUCCAUCUUAUUGAUUAUCUCUAGGUUUUUGUCAAUCAUCUCAAUAGAACAUCCCAGGUCAAUCCCCACCAAGGAACUAAUAUGUAAUAAAGAAGCAUCGGCAAACACUAAAUCAGGAUUCUUACCAUAGUUAUCUCUUUCCUCAGCUCUAAUCUUUGUCAUCUCUUCAAUUUUUUGGUCUUCAUUUCCUUUGUUCCUGGGACUUCUUUUUAUCCCCACUUCUCUUUCCUCCCCAUCUUUCUCCAAGACCUCACUCCCAUGUAACUCAACCAUUUUCCCCCAAGGUCCCUAUCGACUCUUGGCUAGCAUUAUAAUCAGUAGGCUCAUUAUAUUUCCCAGAAUCGGUUUCCUCCUUUUUCUGCUGAUUUUCUUUCUCAUAAUCCUCUAGAUCCAUAUUGGCUAACUCCAUUUCAUAUUGCUCUCUGUUGGCAGCCUCUUGUAUUAGCCUCUGAAUUUCUUCUUAUUGUUUUCUGCUCAACUCUUGCAAGUCCAAUUGGUUAUUUUCCAGCUCCUUAAUCCUUUUCACUUUUAACCCAUAGUGCACUAUUUCUGACUUUGUCUUCCUCUAGAUUUUUUAUUUUGAUGAACAUGAUUUCACUCUCUUUUUGCCAUUUCCUUCUUUUUGUAACCAUCUCAUUUUGCCACUGCAUCAUGCUCUCUUCCAUUUGUGAUCUCAUUUUCUCAAUUCUCCCAUCUAUCUCCUCACUUUGUUUCAGAGAUAAGCACCCCAAAGAAACCCCUUUAUAUUAUAUAUCUUCCAGCUUUGUUCUCUCCUAUUUUCCAUCUCUUCCUCUCCAACUUCUAGGAUAUUGUUAUUGUCAUUCUUUCUUUUCUCUUCCUCGUACCAGCUAAUUUCCACCACCUUCUCACCUUCUGCCCCAAUUCUGAACAUAAGAAGAUCAGGGGAAGUGAUUUCCACUUGAGAGGGGAUUUUUUCCACAUCCCUAAUGCCACACAUAACCCUGAUCUUCUCUUCAUUAAUAGUGUCCAUGUCAAUUUCAAGCACAGGCCCUACUGCAGCAGCAACCUCACAAAUGCCUAAGAAAUGUCUAAACAAUCAGGGACCUUGGUCAACUUGAUCCAAAUUGUGUGCAUUUUUUCAAUAGCCUGAUGAUCCAGAGACCAGGGUUGGACUUUGAUCACCACCCCUGUCCCCAGCAAGUUGAAAUCAUUGAACUUUGCUAACUCCACUAGUUUUGCCUUGUUGGGAAAUCUCAUCAUGUAGCCAUUUUUUCCAAACUCUUUCACUCUCCAUUGCCAUCCCCAAUCAAACAUUUCUCCCAAAGCUUUAACAAGCUCAGUCUCAUUAAUCUGUCCUUCUCUUAUGACCACCACACCCAAGGGAUUAGUGUGUUCAGCUACCAAAACAUCCUUAUAGCUCUGCACCAAAAGUAUUCCUAAGCCUUUAGCAGCAUAUCCCACAUAUUUAGUUACUGGCUUUAUUUGUUUCAGCAGAUUGCACUCUCCAGUUAUGUGAUUGUCCCUGCCACAGAUCAAACAGUGUCCCACCCUGCAUUCCUUGGUGGUAUGUCUGGGGUCCUUGCACUUGCCACAAGCCUGCUUACUGAACCUAUCAAAACCUUUCUUGUUAUCUUCAAAGUUUUGUUGCCAACUGUUUCUUCCUCCCUGUGUCUUAAGUUGCAUGCCAGAAAUCUGUUCAAAUCCUUUGUCAGCUCUAUGUUGUCCUUCUCCACCUCUUUAUUCUUUCCUUUAACUGUCUUUCCCAGACAGAUUUCCAGAAUGUUUCCCAAACAUCUCCUCAAUCUGAUUUUUCUCACUGUUCUUCAUCCCCUGCACUAACUGAGAGAGCAGAGAGGUCAGCAGUAUCUAUUGUUGAUUCUAAUCUAGCUGAAUCAGUUGCUCCUUAUUUCUGUCCUUUUCAAGCCCAGCAACUCCUGCAUCUCCAUUGGCUUUUCUUGUGAUCUCUUCCCCUGCAUCUUUCUUCCCUGUCUUGGCUUGCCAGACCAAAUUUUCUCCAUUUCUCUCAGCCACAGAGUCCUCUUCUUCUUCAUCUCUGCCAAUUCCAUUUCCUAAACCAAGUCGGCCAUCCCUUCUUCCAAAACCACCAGAUCUCCCUGGGAAGGCGUGUCUGCCCCCAUUCCAUCCUCCCCCCUGUCAGCAUAGUUGAAUCUUCCUCCUGUGUGUCCACUCCCACCUCCUCGAUUGAAUCUGGGAGCUCCAAACCCUCUCCCAAAGUUUCCUGACAUCUCUUCUUCUUGCGGCGGCGAGGGGAGGGGAGGGGGAAACCCUAUGUGGUGGGAUUGCUUCCCUCCCACCUCUGCUCCCUCUUUUAUACCUGCCAGGACCCCAUCAUCUUUUUGGGUUGGGCUGGACUUCAGCCCACAAGGCCUCCACCAACGCAGGCCCGCAUCCAUAUCAAUACUUAAAUCUUUCCCAACUGAGCCCCCAAAAAUGAUUAGGGGUCUCAACUUUUUCUCAGAAUUGGUGUUCAAACUCUCCCUCUUUUGGAGCCAAAUAUGCUGCAAUUGGGGUCUUUUGUAAUUCUAUUUCACCAAAAUCCAAAUCCUCACCCCCAAACCAAGGUGUGAUAGGAUGCACAUUAUUUUUCCCCAUAUGUUUUUGCACAAUAUGAGCAUCAAUGCCAGUAAGCUUAAAGUUAUCUCCCAACCUGUCCCUUCUCUCAUCCCAACCCUCUUUUUCAUUAUCUAAACUAUCAAAAACAGAGGGAAUCCUAUAACACCCAUCAUACUUCCGAGAUCUAGGCCCUUUUUGCACUCUGUUUUCAUUACAGAGCCUUUUUCCCAAAUUUGCCUCUAAUUCUAGUAUCAUCUACCUCAAUCGAAGUAGUAGAUACUAAAUAUUUAGCGGAUUUUGUCAUACCUGCAUCGUAGAUGAGGACCUCCCCCUCCCCCUCCUCCUCAGAGCCCUCUCCGGCCAGCAACCAGAAGCGAUUGCCAGCCGGGGAGUGCCCUACUGCCGGCGGGAGAGAGCAAGGAGGCGAGGCGAACGCAUCUGGAAACGCGGGGAGCGGCGGGGAAGUGAGGUCGGGGUCGGAGGCACCCUGGCCCUCCUCCAUGGCGGCACAUCCACCUCCUCCUUCAGCUCUUCGACCACUUUCGCAUCCUCCUCGAUCUCGAUCAGAAGCCAUCUAGAUCCGGGAGCAGGGAUCCCCAUCACCACCACCUGCGGCGGCGCCUGCGGCACCGGUGGCGGUGCCCUCGGCUGGAUCAGACAGUAGCGGAGGGAGCGGAACAACUUUCACUUCUCCCUCUACUCCAGAAUCAGCGAUUCUGCCUCGAGCAUCACCCAGAGGAUCACCCCCAUCGCCGGCUGGCGGUCGUAGUUGGGGAAGCACCUGAGGAUCUCCUCGCCUCGCAGCUUGUCCCUCACCAUCUCCGACGCAUCGUUGAGGGCCUUCGCCAUUGGAAACCACCGAUCUAUCUCCUUCAAUCUCCCCAUCAGCACCUUGUCGCCGGCGGACAGCGCCCACAUCUGCUGCUCGCGCGUCGUCAUGGAACCCUAACUCUCGCAGCGGCAGCGCGCGGUGGUUUUCGUGGAUGAGAUUUGUGCGCGGGGGGGGGGAGUGGUGGAGAGCCGAGGCGACGGCCUAAUAACCUCUCUCCCCUCCCCCAACUCGCCAUUACUCACCUCGGAAACCACCCCAAUGUCGCCCCACCGGUCAGCCGCCGCAAGUCUCGCGACGUGGCACGGGAACGCCACCCUCUGGCCCACCCGCCACUCCGCGCCGACAACCCAUCUACACGCAUCCACCACCACCCCCUCGUCGUCGAGGAGCUCCACCCGCUGCUCUCGCCGGCGAACAUGGCCGGGCCGGGGCUCCGGCAGCGCCGUGCAGAAGUCCGGUGCGAAAUCGCAGGGGAGGCGUGUAUCGCACGGAAACAUCCCAAGGUUCUAAUCCUUCCCCGGGCAAAUGAUGCUCCUGCCUGUCUUGUGUCAGAGGAGAAAUGUUGAGGACCAGAGAAUCAGAAUUCAGAACUGCAUCUCACUCGUGUAUCAUUGCAUAUAUAGGAGAGUAAAAAUAGGUGUACAUGGUAUGGUCAUUGCUAACAUGUGCUCAUCGAUGAUGGCGUAAAUGUGAGUGACCGGAGCAGACACAUGGGAUGCUCGGCCCAACAUGACCAAAGCCUAUCUCUUGGGCAACAAACUUCUAAGCCGGAGGCCCCUGCCUUGGCCCAAUGGCGCGCCUCGUCUUGGAUUUGUUGUCCGUCGAAGAUGCACUUAUUCCGGUGCUUCCAUACCCACCAAGCAGUGAGGAUGAUGAUGAAGGCGUGGGCCCACCACUCGGCAAAGACCAACCUUGGCGUCGGGAUGGCGAUUGUGGAGGUGGAGCGGCACCAAGAGAGCACUUCACGUUUUGUAAAGUGGAUGGCGAUUGUGGAGGUGGAGCGGCAUCAGGAGAGCACUUCACGUUCCGUAAAGUUGUGGUUUUUCGGUAAUGACGACGUUGUAUUGUGGGUUCUAUGCAUUCUACUCCGGCCGCGACGUUGAUAUGGGUCCCUAGUGCCUGAUCUUCGACAUCUCCGGCUGCCCGGCCGACACGUACACGCGUGCAUCACCGCGCAUGUACGCACGCGUAUGUGUGUCCUCGGAGGCCGGCUGCCUGCCUGGACAGAAACAGCUAGCAAGAGAGGCACUCGCCAACCUCUGAGUAAUGUUUGAUGCAGACCCUGCCGGCAUCAUGCAUCGGUCGCAUGCAAUCCUUGAAUAUUCCGCUCCUUCUCAUCCUUUCUUCCGGCCUGAAACGUACUUGAGUCAUGAGCUCUAGGUAAGUUUCCAUCCUAUCCACUUUUUUGUAGGAAGCUAUCCACGCUAGUACUCCCUCUGUAAACAAAUAUAAGAGUGUUUAGAUCACUAUUUUAGUGAUCUAAACACUUUUUACGGAGGGAGUAUUUAUUAGUGAUAGUAUUGGUUGGAUUUUUGUGUCGAGGAUCCAUUCCAUUCACACCUCUCGACCAAAAGCGUACUCCGGCCGGCGAGGUUCCCGUUCCAGUCUCCGGCGAGGGAAGCCGCGGCCUGCUCCUGGUGGCCGUCCUCUUAUUUUGCUGGUCGCUUCGUGUUCGUGGUGUAGGGCUCUGUAGGCGGCAGUCGCUUGCUUCAUUUGGGCCGUCGACUUGGAGCUAACGUAAGGAUUCCUCUGCUCCUCCUUCUGUCCUCCUUUUUUUCAGCUAUAGUUUGGUGCUCCGGCAGAUUUGCUUUCAGGGCAUGAUUCCCACUCUCUAUUUAUCCACGUAUUAUUUUCAUCCGUUCACCGGCUUGGAGUCUUCUUUGCUCACGGUGUAUACUUCCUCCGUCUCAAAAUAAGUGUCUCAAACUUAGUAUAUAAUUUUAUAAUAAAAUUAGUACAAAGUUGAGACGCUUAUUUUGAGACGGGGGAGUAUGUGCUUUUGUUGAGUUAGUUUGUGGGGCCUCUUUUGAGGUUUAGUUGCCGAUUUAAGUGAGGCUUUUUUUGAGCCGCGAGCCGGCGACCCUCUUGUUUUCGCCAUGCUUGGUGAGGCGGGAAUUCUUGACACUACUCCACUCGGAUUGCGUGAAUCCUCGACAAAUCUCUUGGCUAGGCACGACUUAAUCAAAUAUACUUUCGGGAAGUUGUAUUAGAGUUGCGACAAUUAAUUUGAAUGGAAGGGAGUAGUGUAUAUAUAUAUAGCUCAUCACAAAAAAAUGGAGCAAUUAAUGCGAUUGAUAAUCCUUAUGCAUGAGUUAGCCCGUCGUCGAGUAAUCAUAUUGGAGCUACCAUUGUAUUCCUGCACUUGUUCAUCUAUUUAUAUGUUUGCGCCUAAUGCACUAUCCAACUCAUCUCCCCCGAUUAGGAGUGUAGUGUGAUCAUCCAUGGGGAAGAAAGGUAUAGUUGUGGCGACCACCAUCGUCGCCGUGAUGACUGUCAUCUUUGGAGUCAUCGGCGCGGUUUUCUUGGGACUGGUAUGCACGCGAUAUUACCUCUUCCUCGGUUGCAACCUCCGGUCAACCAAUAAUGUACAAUCACUGUGUACAAUUAUUCAUGCAGAGACGCUAUGAGGAUGACCGCGAUGACCGCAGCGUGUGUAAGUACGCGCGAUCGCCGGCGACGGCUUGCGGCGUCGUGGCGGCCGUGCUGGCGCUAACGACACAGAUUCUCGCCAGCGUGGCCAUCGGCUGCUGUGGGGCAUGGCAGAAUCCCAAGAGGGCCAAUCGCAUCGCCGCCGUCGUUUUCUACGUCAUCUCAUGGUAUGUAAAUAAUUUUGUCGCUGAAACCUCCAUAUCUCAACUACUUUCUGUCAGUAGUCAAGGAACAUAUCAUCUUCGGGCAAAAAAAUACUGUCACUAAAGUUAAUAUUAAAUGUUUUUUUAGAAAAGGGAGGAAAUUCCACCAUGGGCGCUAAACUUGAAACCUAGGAACACAACAGUCCAGUAGAUAGAAAAUCACGCUAUGUUAGAAGUGUCACAUAUGAUAAAUAUUGAGGUGAAUGGGAGAGAAACGGGAGAAAAGGUCUUCUUUCUCCUAAUUACGAGAUGAUUUCUUAGCAACAAUAUCUCUCAUUACAUAUUUAUGCAUAACCUGUUGUACACCAUUUUAUUGUCAUAUCAAGACUACUUGAUGAAUUUAAGAUAAGAUUACUUUAUCAACCACUCUACAUGCCCUUAGGCAUGCAACUCACAAUUCAAAUCGCUACAUGUCAACCUAAUUUGCCACGGUGAAUGUUGAGGUUGUCGUGUCGAUGUCAUGUAUGCAUCAUGAUCAUAUGGCUGCCACGGCCGUGAGUCAAAAUUAUGUGGUGCAGGCUCUGUCGUGCUGGAAGGCAACAGGGAACCAGGAGAAAGUUCGUUCGCUACGGUUUUCAAAAAAAUGCACCUCUGUUUAAAAUUUGCAGACUAAAGUUCAACAAGAUUUAUGUACACUUGGUGGAUUGUUUGUUUAAGUAGUAUUUAUUCAUGUGGUCUCUAUGCCAUUCAUGUAUACUUGCAGGAUCCUAGUGAUCAUAGCGGUGCUGGUGUUUCUGGGAGGCGCCCUAUUAGGGAUUGAAGGAUAUACAGAGAAAGUUAUUGGGAAAACUAUUGAGAACGGUAGCUGUGUUGGAGGUGUCGGAGGUGAAGGAGUUUUCGUGGACGCGACAUUCCUGUUUCUUGUAGUUGUCGCCCUUGAGGUCUCCUCGUAUCUUCUUAUUCAGAAAGAUGAGCACCACCAAGCAGCCGCAAGCGAUAAUCCUCCUUCGAUACCAACCGCUACAUCUCCUUUGGCAACAACAGCUUCUUCUAAAGAUGAUGCCCACGCCUCCGCUCCCGCACCAGCAAAUCAAGUCUGACGUUAGCUCGCAACUAUGGAACAGUUGUCUUUGCCUUCCAAAAGGAGGAACAUGCUUUCUGGACCGUUGUAAGUGGAAGGCACUCGUUGCGGUCUUUCGAUCCAAAAUACUUUGUGGUUUUAGUCCAAAUUCAAACCAAAACCAGAAGAAAUAUUUUGAAAGGAGGGAGUACAUGUUUAUCAUAUUUAAGUACAUAAUGAAAUUGUCUUCUUAAUAUGUGUUUUGAGGGCUAUUUUAUGUCAUAUGGAUUGUGCAAUUUCAUAUACAAUAGAAAUUAUUUUCUAUACUCGUUUAACACUUCUCAAAUACAUGAUAAAUAUUGUUUUAGCUUAUGUUUGAUGUGUCCUUUUUCGGUAUAGACUUUACAUUUUUCGUAUACAUAAGAAUUUUUUCUGAUAUACUAUAACAUUUUUCAAAUAGUCCCUUCGUCUCAUAUUAAUUGAUGCUAAAACAGAUAUAUCUAGAAGCACUUGAAUGCUAGAUACAUAAUUAACAUUUUUCAGAUAUAUGUUUUGAUGUCUAAUUUUUUUUAUACAUAGUGUACAUGUUUUUUAUACAUAAGAAACAUUCUUGAAGUAAUUCGUUGUGAAAUAUAUGUAUUUUUAUGUUUCAAAUGUGAAAAAAUAGGAAAAAAAUGCAAGAAAGUAGACUAAGUUAACGAACGGAAAAAGAAUAGAACCAAUUGUGUUGUUGGGACGGUACAUGACCACGCCACUUCAGGCAACGCGAUGGUCUAUCUCACUAUAAGGGAGUUAUAGAUGCGCGCCUACCCUGGAGGGAGGGACUAUAUCCCGCUUAGUUUGAGACCUAAGGCAUUUCCUAUUCGACGCCUUCAGAACCCGUUAAAGUGCAUGUCGUUAACUGGUGCAAAAGACGCUCUUACCUGGCCAGUUGAUCUAUGUCUGGAACGAGAGAGAACUCUUGCCUUCGUUUUUCUUUCUUCAAUUAUGGUUUUUUCUUUCUUCGCAUUUUUUCCCCUUUUCUUUGUUCUGUACUCUUUUCCUUUUUAUUUGGUUCUACUUUUCGUUUUACUUUUUCCUUUUUUCUUGAGAAAUGCACGAAUGUUAAAUGUGAUGAACUUUAAAAAAAAUCAAUGAACUUUGUUUUCAAGUUCAUGAUUUUUUUCAAAAUUUGUCAACGUUUUUAACAAACCAAUGACCUUUUUCCAAAAUCAGAAACUUUUAUUCCAACUGCAUACACUUUUUGAAUUCGUGAACUUUUUUCGUAUUUUUAAUAUAUUUUUUAAUUACGCAACGAGUAUGUAUGUAAAAUAGAGGAUGGAGCACGAGAGCAAAAAGUAGUGUCCAUUCGUCUGAGUGGAGUUUCCAGCCAACCAAACGAGAAGGGCAGAGAAAGAGAGAACAAAACGUAAACGAUUGUAUAUAGCCAGCCAAACUAGCUGAAUAUGCAUGGUGAACGUAGCCAUACGUGGAUCUACUAGAGCACGUCGACGUUGAUGGGUGAGCCGGGCCGUCGCUCUCGUUGGUGACCUCGUCUUGCCUGAGCCUCCAGCGGGCGGCUCAUCUGCUGAAGAGGAAAAAUCCAUCACAAAUGGGCUGGAUGGGUGGAUAAUUACCAGCUUAGUUAGUCUUAAAGCGAGGAGACCCGUGGAGGCUCUCGUGUUUUUACGGAGAGGCACAAACUCAUCUUCGUCACAGAACGUGGGACACAAUGAAAAAUCUGUCUGCCCUUCAAAAUAUGCCAUGAUUGUGCAUCGGGGACUUCAACGAGGUUCUCCGCUAUGAUGAACACAAGGGGAUUGGACAGAGAAGUCAAACUCAGAUUCAAGGUUUUCGCGACGCGGUAGAUGUGUGUGGCCUGAUUGAUCUUGGCUACCAGGGUCGUAAGUGGAUUUUCGAAAAGAAGGUCACCGGUGGAUCAUAUACCAGAGUCAGGCUAGACAGGGCCUUAGGCACGCCCGAGUGGUGUGCUCGCUUUCCACUAGCAGUGGUCGAUCACUUAACAGCAGCGACAUUUGACCACUCUCCUAUCAAUCUCACUUUGGCUCCAGUGGAUAGAAGGAAGCAGGGAGACAAACCGUUUCGGUAUGAAUGUAUGUGGGACACGCAUCCCGAGUUGAUCCCUACAGUCCAGCAUGCAUGGUAGGCGAAUGGCCCAAAUCUAACGGCGACAGAAGUUCGAGCAAAUUUGCAAUCCCUGUCCAAUAACUUGGGGGAGUGGAGCAAGUCAACUUUUGGGAGUGUCAAGUCAGAGAUAAGGAGGUUGAAGAAAGAUUUGGAGCGGCUCAGGAGCGAUCCAGCGAGGACUGCACCUAGUCAUGUUGAGAUCAAAACAAAUGAUCGUUUGAUUGAGCUGUAUCUUCGGGAAGAAAUAAUGUGGCGCCAACGUUCACGGGUGGCCUGGUUGUCGGAGGGGGAUAGAAACACGCAUUUUUUUCACCUCCGAGCUUCAAAUAGAAGGUGCAAGAACCUGAUAAAAUCACUGCAGAAGCAAGAUGGGCAGCUUACGGAGGAGUUAUUGGAGAUGCAGCAAAUGGCACUGGACUUUUAUAAAGCCUUAUACACUUCGGAAGGGGUGGAAGGGCUGGAUGAUGUGCUUCAACAUGUCCCCUCGAGGGUAACAGAUGCGAUGAAUGAGGCUUUGUUGGCGCCGUACAAGGAGGAAGAAGUCAAGAACGCACUCUUCCAGAUGUUUCCUACAAAGGCUCUGGGGCCGGAUGGGUUUCCUGCGCACUUCUUUCAGCGGCAUUGGGAUAUUUGUGGUGCGGCGGUGACACGGGCUGUUCUGAGUAUAGUUCGAGGAGAAGAGAGCCCUGAGUGCGUGAAUGACACUGUUUUGGUAUUAAUCCCCAAGGUAUCAAAACCAACUCUUUUGUCUCAAUUUCGACCUAUCAGUCUAUGCAAUGUCUUUUACAAGAUAGCUUCAAAGGUUCUAGCUAAUCGGCUGAAGUUAAUACUUCCUGAUGUUAUUUCUGAAGAGCAAUCAGCCUUUGUGCCUGGCCGGCUUAUUUCUGAUAAUAUUAUCUCAGCAUAUGAGUGUUUGCACUUUAUGAAAAGGAAUAAGUCAAAGAACAAUAACUAUUGUGCUCUCAAGCUUGACAUGAUGAAGGCGUAUGAUCGAGUGGAGUGGAACUACCUGGAAUCUAUAAUGAGGAAACUCGGCUUUGCAGCAUCAUGGGUUACCACUGUCAUGACCAUGGUGAGAACAGUUUCUUUUUCGGUAAUGUUUAACGGAUGCAAAUCACAAGAGUUUUUACCAUCCAGAGGUAUUCGUCAGGGAGACCCUAUCUCUCCAUACCUAUUCUUGUUGGCAGCAGAGGGCCUUUUGUGCCUGUUAAAAUCUCAGAAUGGAUCAUCCCAGCUCAGCGGCAUCAAGGUGGCUCUAUCGGCUCCGCCGGUGAACCAUCUUUUAUUCGAGGAUGAUAGCCUGCUGUUCUUCAGGGCUACUGUUGAUGGAGCAGAAAAAGUGUCACACCUUUUGGAUACUUAUUGUUUGUCCUCGGGCCAGAGGAUCAACAAGGAAAAAUCUUCGAUUUUCUUCAGCAAAGGAUGCCCACAGAUUGUUAGAGAUGCAGUGAAGGGAAGUCUCCAGGUUCCUAACGAGUCUUUAAGUGACAGAUAUCUUGGCAUGCCCACGGAUGUUGGACAUGCAAAAAAGGGCACCUUCAAGCACUUGAGCGACAGGUGUGGGACAAGGUGAAAGGCUGGAUGGGCAAGUGCCUGUCUACAGGGGGUAAGGAGGUGCUGAUCAAGUCGGUUGCACAGGCUAUUCCGGUUUACUCUAUGUCAUGUUUCAAGCUCCCCAGAGGCUUAUGUGAACAUAUAAAUUCUAUCAUCCGCAAGUUCUAGUGGGGCUGCAAGGAAGGGCAACGAAAGCCGGCUUGGGUAUCAUGGGAAGUAAUGACGAGGCCAAAGUAUUUGGGAGGAAUGGGUUUCAGAGACCUUGAGCUUUUUAAUCUAGCAUUGUUAGCUAGACAGGCGUGGAGGGUGCUGCACGAUCCUUCAUCACUGAGCGCUAGGAUCCUCAAGGCGUCUUAUUUCCCAAAUGUGGAGUUUCUUAUGGCGGAGUUGGGUUCACGUCCUUCGCAGAUUUGGCGAGCCAUCCUAGAGGGGCGAGACAUUCUAAAACGGGGCAUAAUCAGGAGGAUUGGCAAUGGUCACACGACGAACAUAUGGGAUCAUAACUGGAUACCGAAGGAGGGAUCACUGCGGCCAAUUGUAUCUCGGGUCCUAGACCCACCACAGUUAGUGUCGGAGCUACUCCAACCAGCAACGGGAUCAUGGAAUGAGAACCUUGUUCGUGAAGUAUUCUUGCCUACAGACGCCGAGGCAAUCCUGCGGAUUCCUGUUUGCACGACUAAUGUUGAGGAUUUUUGGGCAUGGCAUCCGGAGAAGAAGGGUCGUUUUACAGUGAGCUCGGCUUAUAAGUUCAUGAUCGAGACGAAAAUUUCUCGGGAAAACUGGCUUGAAGGGAGGAGUGGAUCCUCAAGCAACGAUAGAGAAGAGCGGGACUGGACCUCGCUUUGGUCGUUGAAGGUGCCAUCAAAGGUCAGAAUCUUCCUAUGGUGACUUGCCCGCCACUCACUCCCAACGAUGGAUGUUUUGAACAAGAGAAACAUGGCAACACGCGAUGCUUGUCCGUUGUGUGGCUCUCCAGACUCAUGGCGGCACGCCCUAGUGUCGUGCACGUCGGCACGCUGUACGUGGGCGCUAUCGGACGCGGCCCUGGUGGCACAUAUGGCGGAGAUCGAGGAACCCAGCGCCAAGAACCCCAUAUGGCGGAGAACGUACGGAGCAAAAUGGGUGAAUCUACAUUGUAAACUACGUCUAUAUACAUCCGUAUGUACUCCCAAUUGAGAUUUCUAGAAAGACUUAUUUUUAGGAACAGAGGGAGUACUAAGCAGAGGCAAUGGAAACCUGACUUCAUCGUCCCAGUGAAAUGGCAAGAAUCUACACAACAACACGCCUUUUUUUUGGAUGGGCAACUCAAGGCGCUUUCAAAAAAUAUUAUUGAUAAUGUUUGUGCGGGUGAAAGAGUGAUAACAUCGUUGCUCCGGUCCAAUUGCAGCCUCUUUACCGAAGUCUUUGGAGUAUUUCUUCGAGCAGAGAUUGACGCUGUGAAGAAGGUGUUUUCAAGAGAUUUCAUUGUAAUUCUUAGUCAUAGGAGUUAUUUUGUAUUUUCUUGGAUGUUAGGUCCAAAUUAAUGUACCUGUAAUUGUUAUGAGUAUGAAUAAAAUUACAUGUGUUUCUCAAAAAAGAAGCAAAGUAGUUGUCUGCCUCAACCAAAAAUGCGCAAAACUGUUGUUGCACGAUCCGCCACUUUCUUUUUUUGCUAAUGAAUAACUUGUAGUUGAAGAUAGCUCAACUGCAUUGAGAGGGCCAGAGUCAAACCAAGUCAUGGUUCUACCUUCUGACCUAGUAAAAUUUGCUAAGCUAUUGCUAACCUGAUACGUCUCCAACAUAUCUACUUUUCCAAACACUUUUGCCCUUGUUUUGGACUCUAACUUGCAUGAUUUGAAUGAAACUAACCUGGACUGACGCUGUUUUCAGCAGAACUGCCAUAGUGUUGUUUACACGAGGCGUCGCGCCGGGUUUGCCAAUUCCGGGGAUACGUCGUAGAGGAAGGCACAUGUUAGUGUUGCCAGCACCGGGCAUGCGUAGAGGAAGGCACAUGUCAGUGUUGCCAGCACCGGUCAUGCGUAGAUUGCUAUGGAUAUUUUAAUUAUGGGUUGCUACUUGCUAGAACGUGUGGAUGCAGCGCAAUGAUAAAAUCUUCAAGAAUGAAACCCUCAAGGAUUAACUCUUGGCGACUCAGACUGAAGCAAGAUCUUAUUCUUAUUGCAUUAAAAAAUGAUAGUGGCUGUAAAGUCUGAAAUCAGCUAAAGAUAUUGUAGAUGACAGCUCAAGAGCUGCCACCAAAUACAAAAAUGAUUGCGCAUGCUUCUUCAUAAAUACAGAUUAAGUUCAUCAAACAGAGUUGCACGCCCUCAGCCGGGCAUAAAACCCAAAAUUCUUCAAUAUUAUGAUACAAUAUACAGAGCAUCAAAUGAGAAGAAUUCCUAAGAAAUUGAUCAUAUCCACGAUUUCGUAUCAAGAUUUCACAACUGAACAUAUCAAGUGAUAAUGUGAUACUAAUGUAUGAUAUUAUGCAAUGUGGAUGCAGUAACUAAAGUAGUAUCAUGCGUUAUUUUGAUACUAGCCCAUGAUACUAUGCAUUGUGGGUGGCCUUACUUCCUGUUUGUCCAAACUUGGAACGCUGCCCUAAACAAAAAUUGCACCCCAAUAACUAUGAUGAUGCUUCACUUGGAUUUUCUAACUAAUGCGUGAUGUAUACUAUACUUGUAUGUAUGACCUAUACUGACGUACAUUUACACAAGCUGACGGACAGAUAAACGGGUUAGUUAGUGGUUAGUUCAUCAAUGCGCUAUCGCCGGACCUCUUCUUUGCAGUCCAGAGGAAAGCGAUGGAUCUCACGGAAUCCCGCAGACGGCUAACAGGGAGUCCCUCCAGAGUAGGGUGACACAGAUCCCUUCCGGGCUCUUGUUCCUUGCAGGUUUGUUCUCCGUUGGGCUCGCUCGAGCUACGACCUUCAUCUUGGUCCUCGUCAUUCCGGACGGUCAGGAUUUUCUCCAGCUUUAUAUCUUCAUCAGGGAACUGGCGAUACGCGGAACGGAGUCCAUGGUGAAUAUGUUCCAUUCUUCCUGACCUUUCGUCUUCCCUGUCCAAGUCGAUUAAGUCCUGCGCGGUCGGAACGGAACACACCCGAUCAGUGGAACAGGAUAACAAAACUCACCAGUCACCACAACAAUAAUUACCCCUCCUGGGUUAUUAUUCCCCACUAGUUUGGAGUAUUAUGGAAAUAAUAAUACGAACCUGUGUGGGAAAAGUUUUGAAUAGAGGAAGAAACCGGGUUCUGCAGUACUGAUUGAAUGAAAGAAUAAAGAAUAUAGGAGGUAUGGUGAAGCCUGCAGCUACUGGUGAUUUUUUUAGGCCAAAUACGCCGAAGCAGAUGAUCUGGGUGAGCACGAGAGAGAACAUCACCGUGUUGUGUGCAAUUGGCCAAUACAAACCACCACUGUCAUAUCUCAUCCGGUAAACGUUGAGUAGCUAAAAACAAAUAAAAAAAUGGCAGAUCAUUAGCAUACAGAGCCAAUAGGGUUCAAAUAACAAAAUUAGUUUUUUUUCAAGUAUUUGCCAUCAAGAGCAUGUGCUUAAUUUUUCCUAUUUUAUAUCCGCAGAUAGCACUUUAAGCUGCUAAACAAUGUUCACCUGUAACUGUAAUGGCAACAUAGUUCUAAGAAAAUAGAAUGCAACAUAGCAACCGUCCUGGAAUUAUUAGUACUGUAGAAGCCAUCUCCAGUUUCUCUCUCACCUGAUUGCGGUAUACGACAUAACCCAGGAAGAAGUAGACUAGCAGAAAAGGUAGGAUCAAGGGUGCCAGUACAGAGCAUGAGAAGCCCAACAGGCCAAACAACAUAACUUUUGGUACUUCUGUGUGAUACGGAAACGUGGGGACGAACGCUGUAUCUUCUUUCAUUCUCAGAACAUACUUUAUUAUAAAGUUAUAGAUCAGACCAAAGAGUUGCAUAAGUUCAGACGAUAAACUGGCCCAUCCUGAAGUCAGAACAUAGGUGAUGAAGAAUGUAGUCUGAAAUCACAUAUUUACAGAAUUACUGUAUUUGUUUAAGAAAUUUAAAGGAAGGACAAAUAUAUUAUUACUAUUGACCUUCGAUAAACAGCAUGAAAGACAAGUUAGGACUAACCUGCCCAGGUAUGACACCAGCUAGCUGGACAGCGAUGUCCUUUGUGGUUGAAGAAGAAUUCAAUUGGCUUAUGACAGCACCAGAUGCUAAAUUAACAAAGAACACAUUCCAAAUGAAGAAGUACAGCACUUUAGAGCAAGCACUCCUCUUCCUUUCACUGUGAGAUGUAGGCCCCUCCAAUGUCGAAAACAAUAUCAUUAUUGGCGAAACGGUGUACAGGAAUAGUAGCAGUAUGACACUUGGAAGGUAUCCAGUUAUUAUUUGGCUUAUGUAUGGCCUGCACAUGAAAGGGUGGUCACUAGAGGCCAACUACAAAUGAAGAACAAGCCAUGUGUUCAAGAUACAUCAGAGGGUAGAAUGUGUUAAUCAGUCUAAAUACCAACGAUUUUGCAUGGUGUUUCAAGUUCCAACUUUAAAAUGAGACCUGAUGCAUACUGGAGUCUACGAGUCAGCGGGUAUGAAGAUGAGCUUAGAGAGGUCAGUUCCAGUACAACAUGGGUACUUACUGCUUUAAUAACCCAUUAAGAAAAGGAAGCUUCCGAUGCACCUGAUCAAGCUGGGACAGACCUUGUAUAAAUGUCACUGGUAGCAAAAAUAAGACCGAAAAAACAAGAGAACCUAGAAGCGUAGCUAUCCGUCGAAUCCAAAGCUGCUUAUAGGGAAGCCAAAUGUUUGACCAAUACACAUCAUCUGGCUCUGGAGCUAGAUCGGUAACCCACUUCGUAGGGUUCGAAGUCUGAAGUGCUUGUGAAGCAAGAAGUGCGCCAUACCGAGUUUUGAAAAAUACAAAAGCAGCCGCACAUUCCUGUAAAUAGUUCCAGGACCGACGUUACUGAUUUUAUACUUACUGAUGAACUCAGUGACACAAUCAAUAUUUGCAAAAUUGCAAAGCAAACCUCGUUAUCUAUGUUCUUUGCAACUUCGUCAGUCGGUAACAACUGGAAAGAAUUUGAAGAAGCUCCACAAACACAACACGGGUAUGUAAUUGCUUUGCGGCUCUGAUCUAGAGUUGUGUCUGUGGAAGUGGAAUGGUCCAACUUUCCACAUGCCUUCUUCGCACCAGUCUGCAGCAUAUUAAACAGUUUUACUCCAAAAGCAGAAAGCAAAAUACUAAUAUGCAGAUAAAAGGUACAGAUCCAAAUCAAACGAUUUGAGAUCAACUCACUAAUUCACAGAGCAAGCAAAUAUAUCACAUGGAAAGGAAUCAGCAAAUAUUGCAGUUACCUUUGCAGAUAAAAAGUAUAAAUCAAACACGAAUGAUUUCAGAUCAUUUCACUAAUUCAUGGAAAAGACAGAAAAAUAUCAUAUGAAAGGAAUGUGCAGCAUCAUAAAUAGCUAUCCCUUAUACGCCAUAGUGAUUAUAAAACCACAAGAAAAGUAAGCCUAAGACUAACAACAUUAAAUCAUAAAAAUACUAUGGUAGCAAUUAUUUUGCAUUCUCACUCAUCCCCCACCUUCCAAACAAAUAGAAAUGUUGUAUGAGAAAUGCUUACCAUUAUCUUCUGAACUUUCCCAGCCUUGUAAACAACUUGAUGGAAUAGGUAACUUGAUGCAUGAUACUUGGUGAAGAAAUCAUCAACGUCACUACUGCACGAUUCGUUUGCUGUCUUUGGUAUUCCGCGAACAAGCACAGUAAAUUGGCCUGGAUUUAGUGUUGUGCGUUUAAGGUGAAGGAGCCUCAGCCUAGCAAUGUGCUUAUACUCCUGAAAGAUUGGGUAGAGAAACAACAUUACAUGUGAUCCUCAAUAUGAGGAUACAGAAUACUCUGUACUUUUUAUGAGCAAAAAACUUACAAUAUGUAGGAGAAAGCAAGCUACUCCAGAUAUUAUGUAGAGGACUAAAGAAUGAACCCAAAGCCUGCAAUACAACCAGCACACGUAUGAAUGUUGCGCCACCAUACAAUUUCAGCCUUGAUAAAACCACCUUAUGAUAAACUCAGAACAAAUUGUUCAGCUCACCAUCUUGAUUGCACUUCCACAUUCUGAACUGUGAACAUAUGCAAUUGUUCUGAAGGAAUCUCAAGGUGAUGCGUCUUUCGUCCGAAAUAAUGCACUGGAAGAAUUCCAAAAAGGCACAGGAUGGCAGCUAGGGAAAAGAUGCGUAUGCUGCAGAAAAAAAAAUGAAUGUAUCAUCAGUUUGCGAAUUUGGAAUCUGACGUCCGUUAAACAGAUAGAAAAAGGAUGUCAAGACGAGAACUCGGAGUACCUGAACACUAGUAUUCUGUUGAAAGCAAUAGCAUCCAGCCCAGCAGCUGCCAAGAGAUCUUCCUCGGUACACUGCAGGGCCUUGACGAUCCAGCCGGUGGAUGGAACAAACCUCUCCAAGAUGAAGGCCUCUCGGAGCAGUCUAUUCUCCUCGGCGAUCCUCCGGCCGAAGUAGACCCUGACAAAUGCUGGCUGCUUUCUGAGAACGGAAUAGAGGGACCACAGGAGCACGCAGAUCCCAAUGUUGAUGCCCGCAGAGGUCAUGAGCGCGCUGAUCUUCAUGGCUUCCUAUCCUAUCAGACCAGCCACGGACAAGAAACAGGGCACAUGUCAUCUAAGCAUCAUCCUUGAUGUCCUCGGGACCUACAGGUACAGGAAGAUGAAGAUAUUGCUUAACAGUAGUAGACACUGAAGUAGUCUAAAGCCUAAACUGCACAAGUUCCAGAUGAAGCAAAAAGCUGCUCAACGUGGUAGUGUGACAAGACCAUAGUUAACAAGGCGUGCCUGGGCGAUACCAGCGCGUAUUACGCGCAUAAUUACGGUUAAGCGUGUGCUUUUGUCAGAAAAGCACAAUUAACUCCUAGUGAUGUUUUCUUUUUUUCAAACUUUGGAUGUAUCAGUUAACUGAGAUUACCAAAGAUCCCCCUCUAAGUGGCUACAGAAUCCGAGCACCGCCCCCCUGGCUCGAUCAAAGCACAAAUUCCAUCAGAUAUGAACUGGAGGAAUCCAAGCUGUCCCGCUGACUCAUGUCAUGUAAGCAUAUACAGAAGCAUCAUUCUUGAUGUCCUCAGCACCUACAGAUACAGAAAGAUGAGGAUAUUGCUUAACAGUACUAGAGACAGAUGUAGUCUAAAGUCUAAACUUCACAAGUUCCAGAUGAAAAGUGUUUAGUGUGACAAGACAAUAGUUAAAAAGGUGUAGCAAACCCCCUAGCGCUUAAUUGCGGUUAAGCCUGCGCCUUUUGUAAAAAAGCGCAAGGCGGUGGGAAAAGCACAAUCAACUCCUAGUGCUGUUUUUUCAGCUUUGGAUGUAUCAGUUGGCUGAGAUUACCAAAGAUUCACCUCUAAGUGUCUACCGAAUCCGAGCACCGUCCCCCCUGGAUCGAUCAAAGCACACAUUAUCUAGCACAACAUGGUAAUAUCGCAUACUCGGAGCACAAAUUCCAUGAGAUAAUAUUUUUUGCGGCAAAUUCUGAGCAAAAAUUCCAUGGGAUGAUUUUUCUGAGCACAGAUUCCAUGAGAUAUGAACGGGAGGAAUCCGAGGUGUCCGGCUGAGUUUAACAGCUAGUGGGCUAUAUAUUGGACCAAAAGUAGUGAACAGGAACGCUUCAAAAUCAGAUUCGACCAACUUGGAGGCUAACAAUUUUACUACUAGAAACAAGAUGGAAACUUCCAACAUCUGAACAAAAUGCCGAGAACACUUGAGACGAAUUCAAUCUGCCGCUCUGAUGGAAGUAGCAGAAGAACAGGAGCAGAAAAAAGGGGGGAGGAGGAGGAGUAAUCCGCUACCUCCAAGCGGAAUGGACUGGACAGGAGCAACCGCCGGAGCCAAGAAGUCGUCCGCCCGCCGCCGCAGAGGCAGGAGGAACCCUACGCCACCCUCAGGCGACCGGCAAAAUCAGAAGGGAAACGCGGCGGGCAUCGCAUUGACUGGCGGGGAGAGUAGAGGUGCGGCGCCGACCUCGACGGAGCGCGGUAAUGGCGAGGGGCCGAGGUCGCCGGCGAUUGGUUGGUGGGAGGGAGGCGGGAGGGAGCGACAGGUCAGAGGAGUUGAUGCGUCUCUGCAGAGCAGAGAGAGCAGGCAGAGCCCAUCCACUCCUCCGAAGACCAACCAAUUCCAAUGCGGGGCCCGCCCCGAGUGUAUUAAAGAAAAUUAUGACAUGUCUAAAAAUUGGACACUUGUAUACAUUUAGAAAACUUCAUGCGUUUGAGAAAAGCUGUUCAUACGUGUUAAGAGUAUAUGUUUAUGUGAAUUCUUAAUUAAGUUCGUGCAUUCCUCCUCAAAACAAUGGGAAAAAAAGGAAAAAAAGGAAAAAAUGAUAAAAUAAUAAACAUGAAAACACGUAAAAGCAUGAUUUUUUUUCUUCAAAGGCAGGAAAAAAUGAUAAACGAAAAAAAUUUAACAAGAAAGCUCAUGAAAGGAACAGAAGAAACAAAAAAAAAGAAAGAAAAACACUUGACGCUUGCCAUGUCGGCUCAACAGUGGAGACGCUUCGGACGUCGACUCCUUGACGCCCGCAACGAGCGGUGUACAUAGAAACUGCGGACCCUCCCAAAUUGCCAGGAUUAUUAUUAAUUAUUAGCCACCUGAUAAUUGCUCUCCAAUCAACAUCAUUUCAUUUCAUCAUCAUUUAACCUCGGUUACUAUUUUUGGACCGACCAUAUCACGUCCUAGCCGCCAAUAAUACUUUACAAGAUACACGUGGACAGCAGAAAUGGCAUCUCCCCCAUGAUUUUUUUUAUCCUGUGACAAUAAUGGCUGAUGUGGAGUUCACAGUCGACCAAAUAUAUCGUGCCUGACCAAUGCUAGAUGCCAAGAGCCAGUAAAAAAAAUGAUUGCACAUAUGCUUCUCGACAAAAAUUGGAUGUUUACAGGACAGAGCCAAUCAGACAAGCAUGACGACCAAAACCUUGGAUGUUUACAGGUAUAUAACAAGACUUUACAGGUAACCAUGAUGAUCAUGACACCCCACGACACCGAUCACUUUCACGUCCGUCGAAACAUCCGGACGCUGCCCUAGGACCAAAAUUGCAACCCCCAAUUAACCACCAUGAUGAUGCUUUGUGUGUAUACUUCACUUGGACUACUGGUAUUUCUUAACCUAUUCUUCUCUAAUGUGUCUUGUGUACUUUGUAUAUGUAUGAUCUAUAACCCGCUCUUUUUUUUCAAAAAAGAAAAAGGAAAAAAAAACUUGUACGGCCUGUAUAUAUCGCUCUGUACAGUUGCAUGAGCGGCCACAUGAUGAACGGGUUGGGUUAGCGGUUCGGUUAGUUGUCCGACGCUGGCUGGCUGCAUCAUGACCACAGGCCUCUUUUCUGCAGCCUGAUGAGGAAAGUGACGCAUCUCACCGCAUUCUGCAGACGGCUGACGGGGAGCCCUUUGAGCGUCGGGUGAGACAGGUCCCUCCUGGGCUGCUGCUGUUCCUCGAGGGUCUCUUUGCCGUUGGGCUCGCCCGGGCUACCUUUGCCGUUGGACCCGCCCGAGCUACAACCUCCGCCGUCCUCAUCGUUCCCGACGGUCCGAAUCUCCUCCAGUUGUACAUCUUCUUCGGGGUCAGGGAACUGGCAAUACGCGGUGUGGAGCCCGUGGUGAAUAUGUUCCAUUCUUCCCGACACCUCGUCCUCCCUGUCCAUGUCGAUUAAAUUCUGCACGGUCAUAACAACUCACCCGUCAGCAAAUGGCAAUAAAGUUCUGCCCCUGGGCGGCUAUUAUUCCAUAGUUUGUGGUGCACCUAGGUUCAUGUUCAUCAACACGUUAUGUCCUACUACUAGCUUGGAGUAUUAUUGAGGCAAUACAAACCUGUGCUGGGAAAGUGCUGAACAGUGGAAGAAGCCGGGUUCUGCAGUACUGAUUGAACAGAAGAGUGAAGAUGAUGAGAGGUAUGGUGAAGCCUGCAGCUACUGGUGAUACUUUCAGCCCAAAUAUGCCGAGGCAGAUGAUCUGGGUGAGCACGAGAGAAAAUAUCACUGUGUUGUGUAUAAUCGGCCAAUACAAACCACCGGUGUCGUAUCUCGUGCGGUACACAUUGAGCAGCUGAAAACAUAAUACAAAUGGCAGAUCAUUAGCAUAUGCCGAACAAGAUGUGUAUCAAGUAUUUAAUCGUCGGCAAUAACAUCUCAAAUUUUCCUACUUUAUAUCUGAGGAUAGCACUGUAAGCUACUUCCUCCGUCCCAAAACAACAAAAUUCACCAUUAAGGGCAACAUAGUUGUGCUACAAAAACAGAAUACUGCCAUGGACUUCUCAGUAUCCAUCUAGAGUUUCUCACCUGAUUGCGGUAUACGACAUAGCCCAGGAAGAAGUAGACUAGCAGAAAAGGUAAGAUCAAGGGCGCCAGUACAGAGCAUGUGAAUCCCAAUAGUCCAAACAACAGAACUUUUGGUACUUCAGUGUGAUAUGGGAACGAGGGGACAAACUCUGUAUCUUCUUUCAUUCUCAGAACAUACUUCCUUAUGAAGUUAUAGAUCAGACCAAAGAGUUGCAUAAGUUCAGAUGAUAAACUGGCCCAUCCUGAAGUCAGAACAUAGGUGAUGAAGAAGGAAGCCUGAAAUCAAAAUGGAUUUACAGAAUUGCAGUCAGAAUAUAUUGACCUUCCAUAAACAAACUGAUCUUCUGGAGUUAUCAAAAAGAAAAAAGAUCCUUCUACAGCGUGACAACAAGAUAGAACUAACCUGCCCAGGUAUAACCUUAGCGAGCUGGACAGGAAUGUCCUUCGGGCUUGAGAAAAAAUCCAAUUGUUUUAAGACAGUGCCAGAUACCACAUUAACAAAGAAUACAUUCCAAAUCAAGAAGUACAGCACUUUACAGCACGCACUCCUCUUCCUUUCGCUGUGAGAUAUAGGCCCUUCUAGUGUUGAAAACAGCAUCAUUAUUGGCGCAACGGUGUACAGAAAUAUUUGCAGUAUGACACUCGGAAGGUAUCCAGUUAUUAGUUGGACCAGGUGGUGUGGCCUGCACAUGGAAGAGGAGUCGAUAGAAGCCAAAUACAAAUACAUGCCAUAUGUCUAAGCUGAACAGUAGUACCACAAUAAUCCCAAAGCACUCAACUAAAAUGCGUUAAUAAUCGGUCUAGAUAUACAUGAUUUUGCAUGCUGUUAGCUCUACAUGUUAGUGGAUAAGAAGAUGAAGUUCAAUAGUAGUAGAUGUCAGUUCCAGUGCAACAUAGGUACUUACUGCUUCAAUAUCCCGUUAAGGAAAGGAAGCCUCUUCUGCAACUGAUCAAGCUGAGAUAGACCAUUUAUAAACGUCACCGGUGCCAGAAAUAAGAGCAUAAAAACAACAGAACCAAGUAGCGUCGCUAUCCGUCGAAUCCAAAGCUGCUUAUAGGGAAGCCAAAUGUUUGACCAAUACACAUCAUUUGGUUCUGGAGCUAGAUCAGUAACCCACUUCGUAGGGUUUGAUGUCUGAAGUACGUCUGACGCGACAAGUGCUCCAUACCGAGUUUUGAAAAAUACAAAAGCAGCUGCACAUUCCUGUAAAUAGUUCAAGAACUGAAGUUACUGAUUCUAUACAGACUUGUUGAUGAACUUAGCAGAAAAAUCAAUGUUUGCAAGAUUGCGAAGAAAACCUCAUUAUCUAUGUUCAAGCUAGAAUCGUCCAGGUCAACUUUUCCUUUGCUCGGUACAACUUCAUCAGUGGGCAACAAUUGGAAAGAAUUUGAAGAGGCACCACAAAGACAACACCGGUAUGUAAUUGCUUUGCAGCUCUGAUCUACAGUGGUGUCCGUGAAAUUUUUCAACUUUCUACAUGCCUUCUUCGCACCAGUCUGCAGUAUAUGAAACAGUUUUACUCCAAAAGCAGAAAGCAAAAUACUAACAUUCAGAUAAAAGGUACAAAUCCAAAUCAAGCGAUCUGAGAUCAAUUCACUAGUUCAGGGAGAAAACAAAAUAUAUCAUAUCAAAAAGAAUGUGCAAUAUCACAAAUACCUUUGCAGAAGUAUAAAUCUAACUUUAAUGAUAUGAGAUCAUUUCACAAAUUCAUGGAGAAGACAAAAAUUAUCAUAAUGAAUGUGCGGUACAUGAAUUAUCACUUGCAUGACAUAGUGGUUACCGAACCACAAGGAAAGUACUCCCUCCGUAAGCUAAUAUAAGAGCGUUUAGAUCACUACUUUAGUAAUCUAAACGCUCUUAUAUUAGUUUACAGAGGGAGUAAGUCUUAAGACUGACAGCAUUAAAUCACAAAAACACUACCUUAGCGAUUGUGUCGCAUUCUCCCCCACCCCCACCCUCCAAACAAAUAGAAACGUUGUAUGAGAAUUCUUACCAUUAUCUUCUGAACUUUCCCAGUUUUGUAAACAAUUUGGUGGAAUAGGUAACUUGACGCAUGAUACUUGGUGAAGAAAUCAUCAACGGCACUACUGCACGAUUCUUUCUUGGUCUUUGGUAUUCCGCGAACAAGCACAGUAAAUUGGCCUGGAUUGGGUGUUGCACGUUUAAGGUGAAGGAGCCUCAGUCUAGCAAUGUGCCUAAACUCCUGAAAGAUUGGGUACAGAAACAACAUUACAUGCGUUCCAAAAUAUGACGAUGUAGAAUACUCCGUAGUUUCUAAAAAUACUUACAAGAUAUAGGAGAAUGCAAGCUACUCCAGAUAUUAUGUAGAGAACUAGACAAUGAACCCAAAGCCUGCAAUGCAACCAGCAAAUAAAAUGAAUACAGAAGUAUGUAUGCUGCGCUCCCAUAUGCAUAUUCUUUUCUCAUGUUUUGAAGAGUAGAGAUGUGCACGGAACUAAAUCAAGUCCAGUUAGAGGCAAAACAAAUAACAUUAUAAAUACCAAUAAAAAAUGCCGUAUACCACAAACAAAUAUACAAUUUCAGCCUUGAUAAAACACCUUAUGAUAACAUUAAAAUAAAUUGGUCAGCUCACCAUCUUGAUCGCUUUUCCACAUUUCCAAUUGUGAAGAUAUCCAAAUCUUCAUAAGGAAUCCGAAGAUGCUGUAUAUUUUGUCCAUGAUAAUGCAGUGGAAGAAUUCCAAACACACACAGCAGGGCAGCUAGGGAAAAGAUACGUGUGCUGCAGAAAACGAAUGUAUUCAGUGUGCAAAAUUGGAAUCUGAGGUUAAACUGAUAUAACAGAAAAUAGCCAAAAAAGAAGAGAGAGGGAACUACGUUUUUGCAUAACAGCAUUAUAAGAAGUUCUAUUUUAUAUGCGGCUGCCAGAUUUACAAGUUUUCGGCUCCUUGUGAUUCAGGUCACACGUGGAUGCUAAAAAGCUCAUCAAUCAGAUGUUGAUGCCUUCUAACCAAACAUAAUGAUAGCACAAAGGGAUACGUGGAUAUCAAAGACGAAAUUUGGUGUACCUGAAGACUAGCAUUCUAUUGAAAGCGACAGCAUCCAGCCCAGCAGCUGCCAAGAGCUCUUCCUCGGUAUACCUCAGGGCCUUGACGAUCCAGCCAGUUGAUGGAACAAACCUCUCCAAAAUAAAAGCCUCUCGGAGCCGACUAUGCUCCUCGGAAAUCCUGCGGCCGAAGUAGACCCUGACAUUGGCUGGCUGCUUCCUCAGAACAGAAUAGAGCGACAGAAAGAGCACGGAGAGCCCGAUAUUGAUGCCCGCAGAGGUCAGGAGUGCGCUGAUCUUCAUGGCUUCCUGCCGGGUCAGUCACGGAAAACAGAGCAUAUGUCAUCUAAAUAUGCACAGAGGCAUCAUCCGUGAUGCCCUCGGCACCUGCAGUAUCAGUUAGGCUGAAGUCAUGUUUUGUUGAUGACAAUGUCAGAAAAACCAUACUGAAAUUACCAAAGAUUACCCGCAAAUUAGCCCCCUCCCCCCUCUUAGUCGAUCAAAGCACAUAUUCAGUACCACUCCAAGGUCAUAGUUUAUAUAACCAAAUUAAAUUCGAUGAUUGGGCAGCAGCACCGCCAGCAAGCAGUGCAUUGCAUUGCAAACUGGAAGUGGGCGAGUCGGAGCUGUCCGGUUGAGUAGAACAGGUAGGCCAGAUUCGGUGGCUCAACUGUGGGGUUGGUUCGCGUGCAACGCAACGCUAGGCUAGGCUAAGGCUACCCCGCAAUCCUCAAGUGUAAGUAGUACAAGACUAAAUAAAGCUAGCACGGGACGGAACAAUACAAAAUCAGAGCAGAACAACUGCUGGAAAAAAACACACCAACCAACGCAACACUGGGCUAGCUAAUACACCAACCAUCGCUGAAGAAAAAAAAAAGAGAGGAAAACUCCGGUGGUGAAGGGAAUGCGUCGCAAUCGUCGGCAGGAACUCGCCAGAACCGAAACCAAUCUGCCCAACUAAAGUAGUAGUAGUAGUAGCAGCAGCAGCAGCAGCAAAAUAAGCGCGGAAACGGAGGAGGAAUCCGUUACCCUCUCCUAGUCGAGUCGACGGGGAGGGAAACCCGCCGGAACCAAGGUCGUCCUCGAGUGAGUCUCGUGCCGCCGCCGCAGGACCCUGCACCAUGAAGCGGGGUCAGAAGGGGAGGAAUAAGGCGGCCGACGGUUACCAGGAGCGCGCCAGCGCGGGCGGGCGGGGGGAGGGGAGGAGCGAAGCGGCUGCCGCCCACCUGGGAAUCGGGAAUCGGGCGCGGCAAUGGCGAGGGAGCAGCCUCGCCGGAGAUUGGAGCGGAAGGCUCGGCCGCCGGGCGUGGAGCGUUUGGUCGCGGGGAGGCGGCCGGGAGCGAGAGCGAGAGGAGUUGAUGGAGGGAUUCCUUCCGAUUUUUAUUUCCCUUCUCCUCCGUAAGCAACGCGAAAAAACCAACCAAUGGCAUUUAUUUAUUUCUGGCAAAUAAAUCAAUCAAUCAAUCUAUAGGCGAACAAUAAAUAAAUACUAAAUGGAGGGGCUUGCGGCUCUCGGGGCACGUGGUGGGAGCCGGAUGGGCCGCGGGGCCCAUUUGCGGCGGCGGGUGUCAUGCGGAGAGCCACGUAGGAGGACCGGGUCCGGCCGUGGUCGUGUCGUCAUGACGGCCGCGCGCGCUCCUGGGCCGUCGGAUCGGAGGCCAGCGGCCGCGAUCUGGUCCGCCUCGAGCGAGCAAGGGAUUGCCGGACUGGUCCGCGGAUCACGCGCGUGCUGUCUGUUCAGUCGACCACGAGGGGAAAACGCGUGCCAAAUUUCAGGUAGAUCACGUCGCCUUUUGCUUUUAAGAACGGGGCACUUGGCCGGUAAUUGUUUCGUACUGUAUUAAAAUAAUACCCUUCCUGCUUGCUCUUACAUCCUCUUUAGAAAACUUGAAUCUACUGGGACCGAUUUUGCGCCCAGUCGUCGGCCCCAGCUCGCCACCAGGGCGUCGAUGUUGGCCCACUUUUUAGCCCCAUUUCGGCGAAUAAAGCCCAUAUGGGCGAGAAUAGGCCCAUAUUCGGCGUGGUUCGCCGUGGCUCGGCGUUCAAUUGUCAACAUAAAUAUAUUUUUUAUCACAUAUUUCAUCACAGAAAAAUCAAAUACUUCAACGAGAUAGUACAACAACAAAUAGUUCAAUACAAAUUAUAUAGUUCAGCAAAUAAAAACUCAUAUUUCAUCACACGUCGCGCCCGGCGUCACCCUUGAUCCUCCAUAGGUGCUCUAUCAGAUCUUGCUGCAGUUGAUGAUGCACCUGUGGGUCUCGGAUCUCCUGACGCAUACUAAGGUAGGCAGUUCAGGUUGCUGGUAGCUGGUGAUCAACUUGGGCAAGAGGACCCUGCCUGUGAUAUGGUUCAGUGUCAAAUACUGGCUCUUCCUGCUCGCUCUCAAUGAUCAUGUUGUGCAAGAUGACACAGCAGGUCAUGAUCUCCCACAUUUGAUCUUUCGACCAGGUCUGAGCGGGGUACCGGACAACAGUAAAUCAAGAUUGAAGCACACCAAAUGCCCGUUCGACAUCCUUCCUGCAAGCCUCCUGAAUCUUCGCAAACCAGGCGUUCUUGCCUCCUGGCACAUGAUUUUUGAUGGUCUUCACAAAUGUCGACCAUCUCGGGUAGAUGCCAUCAGCUAGAUAGUACCCCUUGUUGUAAUGCCUUCCAUUGAUCUCGAAGUUCAUCGGAGGAGAAUGACCUUCAACAAGCUUGGCAAAGACAGGAGAGCACUGCAGCACGUUGAUGUCAUUGUGAGUUCCUGGCAUACCAAAGAAGGAGUGCCAAAUCCAGAGAUCCUGUGUGACCACGGCCUCAAGUACCACACUGCAACCGCCUUUGUACAUCCCCUGCCGAGCAAAUGGGCAAUUCUUCCAUUUCCAAUGCAUACAGUCGACACUUUCAAGCAUCCCAGGAAAUCCUCUUGCUGCAUUCUAUGCUAGGAUCCGAGUAGUGUCUUCCGCAUUGGGUGUUCUCAAGUAUUGCGGUGCAAACACUGCCACCACUGCCCGACAGAACUUGUAGAAACACUCUAUGCUGGUGGACUCGGCCAUGCGCUCAUAGUCGUCCUGUGAGUCACCGGGAGCUCCUUAUGCAAGCAUCCUCAUUGUUGUCGUGCAUUUCUGGAUCGAGGUGAAUCCAAGUUUGCCGGUGCAAUCCAUCUUGCAUUUGAAGUAGUUGUCGAACUCCCCGAUGGAAUUUACAAUCCUGAGGAAAAGUUUUCUGCUCAUCCGAUAACGCGCGUCGAAAUGUUCUGUCGCCGUGAAGUGGAGCAUCGGCGAAGUAGUCGGCGUAGAGCAUGCAGUAGCCUUCGAGACAAUGCCGGUUCUUUGCUUUCACCCGCCCCGGCGCCGAGCCACCUCGCCGCGGCUUUUCAUUGCUCGCCAGCAGCUGGGCGAGGGCGGCGAGCACCAUGAGAUGCUCUUCUUCCUGGACGUCGGCCUCGGCUUCCUCCUCCAGCAGUGCGGCGAGCACUUCCUCGUCAUCCGAGUCCAUCACCGGGGCAGGCAAAUCGCCUAGCACCUUGCGCCCGAUGGGCGUCCACCCGCCGGUAAAUUGCCCCUCCGCGGCCGAAAACGGCGGCCAGAAACGCCCAACUGUUGUCGGAGGGGCUGCUGCGGCGAACCUCUGCUAUUUUUUCGGCGGGGAAUGGCUAUCUAACGGUGAAGGGCGGCGGGCGGCGCCGAGAUAUAGCUAGUGGCGGCCGAGAGCGCGGGGGGUGGGAGGCAGGUCGGGGAAGAAAAUCUUGACUUUUCACCUGACGGGUGGGCCAGCCGCGCUUUUCCCUUGCACCGGAGCCCCCAGGCGCCCCCCGCGCGCCGGGUUCGGCCUGCGGCCGCCGGGCGGAAAAACGGGCCGAACCGGCGUUUUCCGUCGUCCUGGGGCGUGACUGGGUCGUUUUUUUUAUGCCGGCGCCGAAAAAGUCGCCUGGGGGCCCUGUUGGAGGCGUAGCUGAAGAUGCUCUAAGGUGUAUUGUUUUUUCAAAAAGUCAAACUUGUCUAACUUUGACCAAAUUUAUAUACAAAAAUAUCAAUGUCUAGAAUACCAAGUCGCGGAAGCACCUACCUUACCUAGUCAAUGACCGCUGAAAAGUCUUCAUGCACUUACAAUUAAAAGACAAGUGCCUCGGAGCUGCAACAAUCAUCCUUGACCCCUCGAAUCGAUCUAAAGAGACAUGACAUCAAAUCUUAGCAUCGCGUCCGCACUAUGAGAAAAUUAUAUGCUAUCCCAACGAGGUAGUGCGAAUCUACAUUUGCUGAAGCUACGUCUAAUCCGUUUUGAAAGACGGACUCAAAAAGAAGUGUUGUCAUCCGCCUUACAAGGACAAAACACUAGCCUACGUUCUAACGAGAGCCCAUGCAUCAGGAUUUUCAUACCAGCCAAUGUAGCGAGAAAAAGAAAGGAGGAAGGCGAAUCCACAGGCUUAUCGUCGAAGAUCGAGGGGAGGAGGGUUUGGCCUAAUCGCCUUGCAAAAAAGGAAGGGUUGGAGUAAAACGUUAUCUUCUCGUUUCGUUUACUCUUAAGCGCUCUGUGUUGUCGCCAAAUGCUAGACUUGCAGGAGCUGGUGAGCUAAUUCCACGCCGGCCACACAAGUCACAAAGGACAGCGACGUAUGGCUUUAUUUGACCAGCCAAAAAAAAAGCUUAUUCCGAUUUCCAUGACGUGCGUAUUGGAAGGGAAGAAUCAGAACGAGUGGCCACGUCCGCGCGGCUGGUUCUGAUUCACACGAUGAUUUGUUCGUCCAAGUUCGACCAGCCAGCCAGCUUUUUUUUUUGAUGGGAUGACUAGACAGAUCUUAUUUGUCUCACUUCACAGCCACACCCCCAACUUAUUUGUCCUCCUCAAAUCCAUACAAAAUUGUGCAAACUACAUAAAUAAACUACCUAGAUUAGUCAGUGGGGAGAGAUGAGUAAAACUAUCAAUAGCACUCAACUGAGCCAGGGGAAUGAUCAGGUUUACUGGGGCUUAAUAGUAAUGGCAAAUUCUCCACUAGAUCUUUGUAUAAGUGGUUAGAAAGUCCUCUUAGUCGAUGCCACUAUAGGUGGAUCUGGAAAGCUAAAAUCUCACUCAAAAUCAAGAUUUUCUUGUGGCAGUUGUCCCGGGACGCGGUUCUUACUAGACAGGUUAAACAACCAGUCAGCUUUUGAAUGUCAUGCACUCGCACGGGGCGUUUCAUUCGGAGGAUGGUAUCAACUUUUUCUGGAUUGGCGUCGACCCCUCGUUCGGAAACGAGAAAACCGAGUAACUUUCUUCCUGAAACUCCGAAUGUGCACUUUAACGGAUUAAGCUUGAUAUCGUACCUCCCACUACUGGAAUCAGCUACUUUGCGAUCUGCCAGUUCUUUGCCGUCCGCUAGCGGACGGCAAGGAAGCUCUUUGCCAUCAGCUUCCAGAAAGCGGACGGCAAAGAACAGGCUGAUGGCAAAGACCAAGUUUGCCAUCAGUCAGUUCUUUGCCGCCUGCUAGCGGACGGCAAAGAUUCUUUGCCGUCGGCUAGCAGACGGCAAAGAGAGAGGGGCCCCACUGACGAGCUNNNNNNNNNNNNNNNNNNNNNNNNNNNNNNNNNNNNNNNNNNNNNNNNNNNNNNNNNNNNNNNNNNNNNNNNNNNNNNNNNNNNNNNNNNNNNNNNNNNNNNNNNNNNNNNNNNNNNNNNNNNNNNNNNNNNNNNNNNNNNNNNNNNNNNNNNNNNNNNNNNNNNNNNNNNNNNNNNNNNNNNNNNNNNNNNNNNNNNNNNNNNNNNNNNNNNNNNNNNNNNNNNNNNNNNNNNNNNNNNNNNNNNNNNNNNNNNNNNNNNNNNNNNNNNNNNNNNNNNNNNNNNNNNNNNNNNNNNNNNNNNNNNNNNNNNNNNNNNNNNNNNNNNNNNNNNNNNNNNNNNNNNNNNNNNNNNNNNNNNNNNNNNNNNNNNNNNNNNNNNNNNNNNNNNNNNNNNNNNNNNNNNNNNNNNNNNNNNNNNNNNNNNNNNNNNNNNNNNNNNNNNNNNNNNNNNNNNNNNNNNNNNNNNNNNNNNNNNNNNNNNNNNNNNNNNNNNNNNNNNNNNNNNNNNNNNNNNNNNNNNNNNNNNNNNNNNNNNNNNNNNNNNNNNNNNNNNNNNNNNNNNNNNNNNNNNNNNNNNNNNNNNNNNNNNNNNNNNNNNNNNNNNNNNNNNNNNNNNNNNNNNNNNNNNNNNNNNNNNNNNNNNNNNNNNNNNNNNNNNNNNNNNNNNNNNNNNNNNNNNNNNNNNNNNNNNNNNNNNNNNNNNNNNNNNNNNNNNNNNNNNNNNNNNNNNNNNNNNNNNNNNNNNNNNNNNNNNNNNNNNNNNNNNNNNNNNNNNNNNNNNNNNNNNNNNNNNNNNNNNNNNNNNNNNNNNNNNNNNNNNNNNNNNNNNNNNNNNNNNNNNNNNNNNNNNNNNNNNNNNNNNNNNNNNNNNNNNNNNNNNNNNNNNNNNNNNNNNNNNNNNNNNNNNNNNNNNNNNNNNNNNNNNNNNNNNNNNNNNNNNNNNNNNNNNNNNNNNNNNNNNNNNNNNNNNNNNNNNNNNNNNNNNNNNNNNNNNNNNNNNNNNNNNNNNNNNNNNNNNNNNNNNNNNNNNNNNNNNNNNNNNNNNNNNNNNNNNNNNNNNNNNNNNNNNNNNNNNNNNNNNNNNNNNNNNNNNNNNNNNNNNNNNNNNNNNNNNNNNNNNNNNNNNNNNNNNNNNNNNNNNNNNNNNNNNNNNNNNNNNNNNNNNNNNNNNNNNNNNNNNNNNNNNNNNNNNNNNNNNNNNNNNNNNNNNNNNNNNNNNNNNNNNNNNNNNNNNNNNNNNNNNNNNNNNNNNNNNNNNNNNNNNNNNNNNNNNNNNNNNNNNNNNNNNNNNNNNNNNNNNNNNNNNNNNNNNNNNNNNNNNNNNNNNNNNNNNNNNNNNNNNNNNNNNNNNNNNNNNNNNNNNNNNNNNNNNNNNNNNNNNNNNNNNNNNNNNNNNNNNNNNNNNNNNNNNNNNNNNNAUCGACACGACACCCCGACCCCCCGACCCCGAAACAGCACCCCGACCCCGACACGGCACCCUGACACCGACAGGACACCCCGACCACCGACACCUCCCGAAAAGGUGUUCUUUGGCCUUCCAGAGGCCGACGGGGUCAUAUAUUUGUGAAUUAUUAGUUAGGUCAUAUAUUUUUCGAUUUUGUUAUGAAAAACAUCAUAUAUAAUUGUGUUGAUCGUGUAGUUUGAAAUGUGCAGUUGUUUCAUCGCUGCGAGGUUUGGUGUUCGACGACCUCGCUGUGCGUUUGACGAGCUCUGCCCCUUCGUUCGUGGGUGAGCACAAAUGACAAGUCCUCCUCCCCCAUUAAUUAUUUGAUCUAUUCCGAUGAAACUUGAUAGCUAGCUAUAUAUGUGUCUUGAAUCAUCAGUAUGCGUAACCAAUAUGUGUCUCUCGUUCGAAAGCGUCAUAGUUAUAAAUAUGCAUGCAUUUGCAUAUUUAUAAUCUUGAUUCUUUCGAAUUGUCCAACGCUAUCCAUGGACAGCCCGAGUAUGUGUAGAUUGGGUUUGUUUUCCCAUAUGCUUUGCUCCGGAUCCGACGCAUAUAUUUCGUCAGUGCCUGGCCGGAUCAGCCCGAGGAUCCGAGUGGCCAUGCUGAUGAUGGCGGGGAGCCGACUGAUCUUGAGGAGGAGGGGGGCACCGUCUACCAGCCUGGUGCUACACGGCUCCCGUCCGUGCUGGUGACCCGCGAGCAGAGGUGGUUGAUUUUCCCUGAUGGGGAGAGGUACGUAAGUGCAUUUAAUAUUUUUGUACCUUGUGCAUUCAUGUUUUUUCAAAUAACUAAUGCGUUGGCCUUGUCAUGCUGCAGGGGUUGGGACCACCAUCAUAGUGUCCGCCGGCCCAACUCCGUCCUUGGAGUUCUUUGCCGGCAAAACUUCCCGGGGUUUGUCACGUUGCCUGGUGAGGGUCGGCUUCCAGAGCUUGGAUUGAGCUGGGAGCACUACGUGGCUGCCCCGGCCCUGCCGGAUGAGAUUAUCGACGGUGUCGUGUGCGACACGAGGGCAGACAUGGUGAUCAGAAAGUUCUGGGUAAUUUCUCCUUUACACAUUUAAAAAUCUUCAACUAGCUAGUUAUUAAUUGUACUAAUCAAUAUUGUCUCAUUUGAUUGCAGACAUUCUACAGGUGUGAGGAGGGAUACGAGGAGGACGCGGCACAUGUUAUCGAGAACGUCUGCAAGCGCCUACUCCAGAACUUACGGCACGAGGCUCGGGUGCAGGCUGUUCGAGACUACUACGCCUUGCGUAGUAUCAAGAAGACCAAGCCGGCGUGCCGCGAUAAGUUCCUGAGUAAGGAGCAGUACAUGAAGGUAAUUCUUAAGGCCUUCUCUAUUUAAGUUCCUUCAUUUAGUAAUUCUUAGCCGUAGCGCUCAAGUUUCUAUUUGCUAACUUAGGCGCCUCCGAGAUGGUGUGCGGAUCGGAUGGAUUGUUGGGAGGUGUUGGUCGAUGAGUGGUGCUCAAAACAAUGGCUAGCCCUCCACAACGAUCUGUACUUAGCUUACUUAUGUCAAAAAUUGCAUAAUUAGCUUAGUUAGCUCAUAGACGAUCCAUUUUACCUAAGUUAGCUCUAAAAUGACCCAUUUUACCUAGGUUAGCUUAUAAAUGAUCCAGUUCAUCCAAGUUAGCUCAAAAAUGACCCAUUUUACCUAGAUUAGCUCCUAAAUGAUCCAUUUUACCUACGUUAGCUUUAAAAUGACCCAUUUCACCUAGGUUAACUCCAAAAUGACCCAUCUUACCUAGGUUAUCUCAUAAACGAUCCAUUUCAACUAAUUUAGCUCAUAAACGAUCCAUUUCACCAAGUUAGCUAAAAAACGAUCCAUUUCACCUAAAUUAGCUCUUAAAUGAUCCAUUUCACCUAAGUUAGCUCAAAAACGAUCUAUUUCAACUAAAUUAGCUCAUAAAUGAUCCAUUUCACCUAAGUUAGCUCAAAAACGAUCCAUUUCAAUUAAGUUAGCUCAUAAAUGAUCCAUUUCACCUAAGUUAGCUAAAAAACGAUCCAUUUCACCUUAGUUACCUCAAAAACGAUCCAUUUGACCUUAGUUAGCUCAUAAACGACCCAUUUCAACUAAGUUAGCUCAUAAAUGAUCCAUUUCACCUUAGCUAGCUCAUAAACGACCCAUUUCAACUUAGUUAGCUCAUAUAUGAUCCAUUUCACGUAAGUUAGCUCAUAAAUGAUAUACUCUUCUUGUUCUAGUCUUCUUCUUGUUCUACUCUUCUUGUUCUAGUCUUCUUCUUGUUCUACUCUUCUUCUUGUUCUACUCUUCUUGUUCUAACUUUCUUAUUUUUCAUUUUGCAGAUUUCAUUCACUUGACGAAAGCUUGCAUAGAUGGAGUGCUCUUUAUCCCUUUCUCUGUUUCUUUUGUAUCGUUGAACUAUGCAUAUAUCGUUGGAUGAAACUGUUGUAAUAUAUAUGGUUGGAUGCCUCUUUGUUGAACUUGUUAUGUAUGAUGGAACUAUGCAUGUAAUAUAUAUGGUUGGAUGAUGAAGUUAUGUGUUGGAUAUCUUAUAUGUUUGGUCUGUAAUGGCCUUCUGAAAUAUAUCUAUAUAUGUCAUAUAUAUUUGUGAUGAAAAUUGUUGGAUUUAAUAAAAAACAGAUAAAAGAGCCAAUAUGCAGGCUCUUUGCCGUCUGCGGCGGACGGCAAAGAAGACACGUGGCAUCUAGCUGUGCUUCCUGGGAGCUGACCCAUUUGAUCAGUUUGCCUAUAGUGGCAGACGGCAAAGACUUUGCCAUCAGUGGCGGACGGCAAAGAACCUGCACUUUGCCAUCAGUGGCCGACGGCAAAGAACCUGCCAUGUAGUGACGUGUAGAUGACAUCAUACGGCGGACGGCAAAGACACUAGAAAUUUUGCCGUCAGCGGCGGACGGCAAAGGCCUGCCGUUAGCCACUUAACGGACUGACAGCGCAAUUAUUACCGUCCGCUCUCUUUGCCGUCCGCCGCAGACGGCAAAGGGCCUUUGCCGUCAGCCGCCAGGAAGCAGACGGCAAAGUAGCUGUUUACCGUAGCCUACUUUGCCGGAGCCUUUUGCCGUCCGCGGCUGACGGCAAAGGCCUUUGCCGUCCGCGGCUGACGGCAAAGGCCUUUGCCGUCCGCCGUUCAUGCCUUUGUCGUCCGCCUUGGCAGACGGCAAAGUAGCUGAUUCCUGUAGUGUCCUAAGGUUGACAAAGGUUUCUGCAAGGUCAGUCCGUAGGUCGGAACCUUUGCGAGACUUGACCACAAUGUCAUCCAUGUACGCUUCCACAUUCCGACUGAUUUGAGUGAGCUGACACUUCUGAAUCAUUCUCAUGAAUGUGGCUCCGGUAUUUUUCAAACCAAAAGGCAUGGUGACAUAGCAAAAGCACCCGAAUGGGAUGAUGAAGGCUGGUUUUAUUUCAUCGGGACCAUACAGUCAGAUCUGAUGAUAUCCGGAAUAUGCAUCUAAGAAAGACAAGCGCUCGCACCCCGCAGUCGAGUCAACAAUCUGAUCGAUGCGAGGGAGAGGGAAGUGAUCUUUCGGGCAGGCCCGAUUGAUAUGCUGGAAAUCAAUGCACAUACGAAGUGAAUCAUCCUUCUUAGGAACCACGACUACAAUGGCUAACCACUCGGAGUGGUAGAUUUUACAGAUGAACUAUGUUGCCAACAGUCGAGCCACUUCUUCGCCAAUUGCUUUCCUCUUCUGCACGGCGGACCGCCGAAGGUGCUCUUUGACGGGUUUUACCUUGGGGUCGACACGCAAGCGGUGCUCGGCCAGUCCCCUGGAUACACCUACCAUGUCAGAAGGUUUCCAUGCAAAGAUGUUCCAGUUCUCACGGAGGAGCUGGACGAGCGCUUCUUCCUAUUUGCUGUUGAGUGUUGUUGAUAUAUGAGUCGGUGUAGCAUUGGGAUCUGUCAGGUGAAUAUGAAUUGGCUUCGUCUCACCAGUCGACUAAAAUGGAGAAUAUGUGGCAGGCUUCUUGGCUCGGAGCAAGUCACUCGGAUUUGCAUUCUUCUGAUACUCUUGGAAUUCAACCGUUGCCAUCUGUGCAUCGGCGAUUUUGGAACCUUUCUGGAAACAUUUCUCAGCCUUCUGCCGAUUGCCAGUAACUGUGAUCACACCUUUGGGACCAGGCAUCUUCAGUUUGAGAUACACAUAAUAUGGUCGAGCCAUAAAACGUGCAUAGGCUGGCCUACCCAGAAUGGCAUGAUAGGCACUCUAGAAAUCCAUAACUUCAAAUGUCAACUUCUCCUUAAGGUAAUGUUUAGAAUCACCGAAAACCACGUCGAGGGCGAUCUGGCCGAGUGAUUCGGCUUUCUUUCCAGGGAUAACACCAUGAAAACGCAUGUUGCUCUCGCUAAGUUUGGACAUCGGAAUGCCCAUCCCCUUCAAGGUUUCAGCGUAAAGGAUGUUCAGACCACUGCCACCGUCCAUCAGUACUUUGGUCAGUCGAGUGCCCCCAACCACGGGGUCGACCACCAGUGUUUGCCUCCCAGGGGUGGCCACACAAGCAGGAUGGUCAGACUGGUCGAACGUGAUGGCUGUCUGAGACCAUCUCAGGUAGGUGGUCGUCGCCGCAGGAGCGACCAUAUUCACUUCUCUGUUGAUGACCUUCAAUCGACUCUUGCUUUCAACAUCAGCAAAAAUCAUCAGAGUAGAAUUGACUUUGGGAUAACCAUCGUCUUCCUCUUCAUCUUCAUCUUUGUCCGACUCUUUCUCCUUCUCAUUGGGUUGUUUCUCUCGGAACUGCUAGAUUAGGAGUCAACAUUGUCAGGUGGUAUGCUUCGGGUAAAUCAGAUUACCUUCUUCGUCUUUCUUCGUGUGGAUGUGACAUGGCAAAUCCAGCAUGUCAUUCCCUGCUUAAUCUUUUACCUUCUUAGGGAGCUAGGGCCCAUUAGGUUUUCCCUUAAACUUUCCUUGAAUAACUGCCGCAAUCUCUCCAGGUGCCGCUGGUUCGGCCUUACGCUUCUGCUUCCGAAUGGAGUUACCUCCACUGGCCUCUUGGCCGACUGGUUUACUCUUCCCGCUACAGAGUCGAUCCUCUUCUUCUCCGUUAGCGUACCGGGUUUCUAUCUCCAUCAUCCGAGUCAGAGUCAUAUCUCUAGUUCGACCGAAUUUCAAGACCAACUCUAUAUUUGAUGCCUUCCUUGAAAGCGCAUGCGCUUGAUACUCUGAUACAUUCUCGACGGUGUGAUGCAAAGUGGUCCAUCUCUGAAUGAAUUCCCUCAAAAUCUCAUUCGGCUUCUGCACACAAUGCUGCUACUCGGGCAACCCUGUUGGUCGCUUGCACGUGCCCUCAAAAAGUUCUUACAAACACUCGAGAUAGCUCCUCCCAACUGUGUAUACUGCCCGGAGUCAACUGAGUCAACCACGCACGGGCCGACCCUUCCAACAUAAGAGGGAGAUGCUUCAUCGCUAUCUCAUCGUUUUCGCCUCCAAUCUGCACAGCCACUCGGUAAUCUUCAAGCCAGGUUUCAGGCUUGGAUUCACCGUUGAACUUACUGACCCCGGACGCCAACCUGAAUUUGGAAGGAAUCACCGCUGCCCUGAUGGCCCUGCUAAAACAGUCGGGACCAGAAACAUGCAUUGUGCUGCCACUUGGACGAUCUCUGCCAGGGUCUUCUCUGUGUGCUCUGUUUUGGUCGACCAGGCCUUGAAUGAGGAUAGACCUCGCGUCGAAGCCCAGUUCCCUUGGGUCAACUGAGGCUCUGCGCUCGCCACCGUGACGGCGCCUGUCAUCGUCCGCCGAGGCACAUAUGACGCACUCCUUGGAGGAGGCGUGGGUCCUCGACGGCGAUUGUCACGGUCGAGUGGAUGAUCAUACUGCCCACGGCCUUCACGCCGCAGAGGCGAUCUUGGGCUGUGAGUCGACUGAACCGUGUUCGCUGCAACGGAUCUGCUAUGAAUCUUAUUCCGUGACUGAGAUACUGCUGUGUUUUGCUCUCGUGCUGCCCGGAGCAAGGCCCGGUUCUGCAUCAACCCUCUGCCAGCUUCUGACUGGGAAGGUUGGAUCGACUCCGCUAUUCGGGCCGCAGCUGUGAGAUUCUGAAUCGGAGUGCGGUAUACCUUAGAUGGAGGCGGAAAAAGUUGUCGUCGACUGGACUCAUGGAUCCGCUCUUGAGAGCCCUCGUCGAGGGCCCGCUAAAGGUUAUCCAGUCGAGUGCGCUCAGCCAAGUUAGCUAGGCGCACCUCCUUCAAGGCCCGAGCCUCGGGGGUUUCUCCAACGAUAGGCGUGUGGAGUGCAUCCAUGUUGCGGCAACGAAGUUCUUCCCUCUGCUGUGAAGAGAGGGGUUCGGGUCGGUAUUCCUCGUGGCCGCGCGACGAAUCGCCGCCCCCGUCUCCACCGCCUUCACGGCGGAAAUCGAGCGGGCUGUGAGGUCCGUCGACCAUCAAGACUUCAGCCUCAGGGUCGCUGCUAUCGCACUCGGAUGCGGUCUUCGCGGAGCCAGUCGACAGGUAGAACAGGCCGUGGAGAGUUUCGUCGGGUUCGAUUGCCGCGACUUGAUGGGUGGUCGAACGUCGAGCCACCACGUGCUUCAUCCACCGCUGAAGCCGCGAUCGACCGAAUCACUUGCGGCGACGAACGGUGGGGAGUGAAAACACCGUCGGGGUCGACUGAUACUGAGUCGACGGCUGCCGAAGGAGAACGCCGCAAACGCACGCUCGGAAGUGCGUUGCCCUCGGACGGGGAGCGCCUCAACGUCUAGGGGAGCUUCUUGAAGCCACGCGGAGUCGUUGGCGACGAACACGAGCGCGCUGAGACGGAUCUCGCAGCCCUCAGCCAAUCCGCCGCCGGAAACCAUGACGAUGAUGAUCGGAAAAACUUGCAACUUCACCAGGAAGUCGCUAAGAUACCGGCCCCAAGGUGGGCGCCAACUGUCGUGGUCCUAAGACUGACAGUAGAAAGGGAGGUAGGUAUGGAGAGGCAAGAUCCUAGCUAUGGUGAAGGUGUACACACGAGGUUUACGAGUUCAGGCCCUUCUUGGUGGAAGUAACAACCCUACAUCUCGGUGCCUGGAGGCGGUCGAUUGGAUUAUGUGUGUUGUAUUACAGGGAGUGCGAACCCUUGUGCCAGAGGAGGAGGGUGGCUUAUAUAGAGUGCGCCAGGACCCUCGCCCACCUCCAUUACAAGGAACUUAAUGUACAUAAAGUAUGGGCGUUACUGGUAACGUCGGCCUUAAGUGCUAUUAAUGAUCUUAAAGACUAUGGAGUGAAUCCCUGACUGUUACAUCGUUGAGUGACUCCUGGCCUUCGGCAUGGUCGAGUGACUCUCCAUAUGGUCGAGUGACGGUAGGGAGGAAGACCUUCGAGUGAUGUGGCCGUCGAGUGGAUUGCACUCGACGUGUACAACCGGGGUCUCCUGUUGUCUCUUGGUCUUUUUAUCUUUCAGGGUAGUGACCUUGGGUAUGACGUAUAGGUGAGGCCUAUGACCCUACCCCAGGCCUGUAUCCUCGUCAGCUGCUAUUCUCUCUAGUCUGACCGUCCGCGACGCUCCUAUUGUUCGCAAAGCUACCGCUAUGAUUGCGGGGGAUGUUAGAUAUAUAUUUGGGAUAAAUGCAUUUGGUAGUUUAGGAUUUGUAAUCCUUCUCCCACUUAUCUCUAGGAAAGGUGUCUUGCCCUUCAAGUCUUGUACUCAAUAUAUACUCGCCCUCGAGACUCAAUAAUAUAUCCAUCAUAUUCCGCAACAAUCCCUCUCUCUCCCUUCUAACAGAAAUGCAUCCUCCUGCUGAAAACCUAAGAUUUAGGAUCGAGUGAUGACGAUGCUUGUGCACUAUUUCCGAGGCGUCACUUUUGAAGAUUUUGGAUUUUGGAUGUUGUCUAGUUGGUGGUUCAUGCUGCACCUAUAAGGAAUUGAUCGCUGUAGCAAGAUAUUUUUUUCUGUUUGUUACAAUGGUUGGUUAUAAUAGAUAUCUCCGCAAUAUUAAUAUUUUCUGCUUGUCGAAAAAAGCACAUAUUGUCGCUAUUUUGACUUGUUAGUAUGCAAGCGGGUGGGCUAACACGCACGGACAAGGUCGUCGAUUGCCCGGUCACAAUGACAACGGCAUUUCAUUUGACAAAAUCACUUCAACUUCAUGGCGUACGUAUGAUUUUGGAAAAAGGAAGAAUCAGAGCGAGUGGACGCAUGCGUGCCGUUGGUCCAUCGCUUCCACAAGAAAACACACAAAAUAUUGGACGCACAUCAACAACAAUGUAUAUAUAUUUCCCCCGCAAAAAAAAAAAACAAAAAAAAAACAACGUAUAUAUAUUCAGAGAUUUCGGCAGAGAGCGCGGAGGGAGUACGCCUGGCAUUUGGCAAAAUCAAGUGCUUCAGUUCUUGUGUUUCUUUCUUCUUUCUGUCGAGGCAGAAACGCUUCCAAUGUGUACGUGUCGGCUUGCCGGCCGGUGAGAGAGAUCCAAUUAUUCGAUUCGGACCCAGGCAGUAGGCACCGCCCGGUUCAUCCAUCAGCGUCGCACCCGGUCUGCAUGCGCUAGCUAGCUAUAGUAGAAAACACUCUCUACGAGCUGUAAAAAACUAGAAAUAUAUUUAAAAAAAUUGGGAAUUGAAAAUAUAUAAUUUUGCACGGAUAGAUAUAUGUUUGCCACGUCACAGAUUUCAUAUUCAAAUGAGCUAAAUGUACAACUCUAGAAACAAAAUGAUCACAUGUAGUUAUGACUAGCAGUUAUUUGGGAUUGGGCCGCAAUUCUGGUCCGUUAACACUAUCAAUGCUAAAUUUGUACUCCCUUUGUAAAGAAAUAUAAGAGCGUUUAGAUCACUAAAGUAAUGACUUAAACAUCCAUAUAUAUCUUUAACAAGGGAGUCUUUAAUCGGGCUCUUUUCAGACUUGGUAGUUUUUAGUCAAGAAUUAAUGAGGAAAUGGUAGUUUUCGGCACAAAUUUGUAGAGUGAUAGUUUGUAAGCACGGUUCCAUGAAUUGUGGUAGGUUCUUUUUUAAAUACUCCUCUACGAGCUGUCAAAAAACUGAAAAUAUAUUUACAAAAAAAUUGGGAAUUGAAAAUAUAUAAUUUAGUACAAAUAGAUAGUACAAUAUAUGUUUGCCAUGUCACAGAUUUCAGAUUCAAAUUAGCCUUAUAAAAGCGGACGUGCUUGCGGUGCUCUUGUGCCCAAUAAACUCGAACGGAGUAAUUAAUACAAAAUGAUUGUGUAAAUAUUUUUGACAAUCAUGAUUAUGUUCAUCUUUUUUUUGCGGGAAAAGUAACUUGCAUUACUCAAUCAAAAUGUCUUUACAAUCAAGAGAAGCAAUCUCCAUCAACUCAACCGGCCCACCUCCCAGCCAGGUCAUGGUUCUACCUUGUGUUCUAGCAAAUCCUGCUAAUAUACCACUAGCUUUAUUCUGAGAUCUAGCAAUAUGAGAGAUACGAGUCUGUCUAAGGGAUAGUAAGUGCUUAAUCUCCUUCACGAUGGAAGCGUAGACGGAUAGUAAGUGAUUAUGUUCAUCUUGAUGCAGAGGCCCGGUUUCAACCCCCUUUUCUUCGAAGAAAAAUAAAAUCUUGCGUGCACAUGUGGUUUGGCAUGGGAUCGGUAACGCGUGGUGCUGCCGACGAGUGAAAGCGUACCGGAUUUUUUUGUCCCGUGACAAAGCCGGUUGAGCGAAACGUAAAACAAAGCUACACGUUAUCUUUGCUUUAAAACUAGCUAAGCUGGUAAUUAUCCACCCAUCCAACCCAUUUGUGCUGGUUUUUUCCUCUUUCCGGGAGCAGAUGAGCUGCUCAUUGGAGGCUCAAGCAAAACAAGGUCACCCACGAGAGCGACGGCCGGUUUCAUCUCACCAAUUUCCACGGCCACGGAAGCAAGAAGAAACGAGUGGGCACCGAAGUUGCAUGCAUGCAUGUGAUCGAUGGACAAUAUUCAACGAAUUUUAUCCAAAAGGGGAGAGGGAAAUAGUAUAAAGCGUGCGUACGUGCUUGAGAGGAAUUGGAUUGGGAGGCAGGCAGUAGGCACCGCCCGGCUCACCCAUCAACGUCGACGCGCUCUAGUAAGAGCCUCUACACCUGGACCUCUCAAAGCCGCCUCAUACACUUGGACGAGCUGCCGGUCACUGUCCGGUCACGUUUUUUUACCCAGAUCGACGGGUUUCUUAAACGGGUCUCAAACGCUCGGACUAACCGACACCCCCAUAUCUAGCCUAAUAUGAUACGGAUAUGAGGACGUCCGGGCCUGCCCGGGCACGCCUGCCACAUCCGACCCGACCCAUGCUGCCCAUCCACCCCACAUACAUUCGUUCCCAUCCACUCGUCGGAGCAAACCCUAGUCACUUCACUCCACUCCCCUCCCUCUCCGCCACCCUAGCUCGUGUCCGGAAGUUCCGGCCGUCUCCGGCAUGGCAACCAGCGGAUCGGACUCCAACCACUCCGGAUCCGUCGACUGGGUGUUAGCCCGUGCGGUUUGGAGCUCCCGGGAGACAGCGGCCGACCGAUGGCCGGAUCCAUCCGCCGCGACUCCGUAGCGUCGGCUCACCGGGCACUCGGGUCAAAACAGUUUGUGAAUAAUAAACAUUUUACAGACCCCUAUUUUGUCUUCUUUGCCGAGAGAUGCUCAAAUGUCCAAACAAGUUGAAAUUUUCAGCAAACCUCACGCAUCAAAUUAUCUACCACACAAAAAAUUAAAAUUUUAAAAAAAUUUCUAGUAUUUAUUUCGAUUUUGUUCGUCGGCGCGGGAGCCAAAAUUGGCCUUCUCGUUAUCUUAGGGGCUAUGUGAUCUGGCCAAAUGCUAGGCUUGCAGGAGCAGGUGAGCUAAUUCCACGCCACACAAGCUAGUCACAAAGGACAGCGACGUACGGCUUUAUCUCACCAGCCAGCUUACUACAGUAAUUUCAAUUUUCUUGACGUACUUAGAGCAUCUCCAGCCGCGCUCCCAACAGGCCCUCCCCAAGCGUUUUUGCCGCGCCGGCGCCGAAAAAACGGCCUAGUCGCCCUCCAGAAGCCCGUUUUUUGCCGGCUCGGGCCGAAACUGGUGCCGACGGACCUAGGCGGAACCCGGCGCCCUGGGCGCCUGGGGCGUCGGCACAAGCGAAAAGGGCGCGUGGGUCCGCCCUGUUGGCGAGUCGAGCGUCUCUUCCCGCCGUUUCUUCCCGCUUCCCCCCACUUCCCUCCAUUUCCUCCUUUCCUCCCGCCAAUCUCCCUCCCGCUCGCCUCCCAGCCGGCCGUCAUGGCACCGAAGAAGUACGUCAUCCCCCGCGCCGCGGCAACCGCGCCCGCCUUCGUCGCCCAGCCGAAGCAGAGGAAGCCAAGGGCGCCGCCGUCCAAGCCGGCGGGCUUGACAAACGCCGAUUGAAGGGUAGAAGUGCAGCGACGGGAGGCCGUCACCGCCGACCGGCGGAAUAGGGCCCUCGCCAAGAAGGCCCGCGACAACGCGGCACGCACGGAUGCGGCUGCCGCUGCCGCUGCCAUUUCGGCGGACCAGGUCGAGGCCGAGGCGACUCGCGCGGGGAUGAUGAGUCCCCCCGACAACCACGCGCCCUGGGGCCAGCAAGGCGUCGGGUCUCCGUCGCCGCAGCCGUGGGGAUCGCUGGGCUACGCCGACGGGGACACGCACGGUGGGUUCAACCCAAACGUCACUUUCCCCCAUGGACACCCGGCCCAGCGCACGCCCUCGUCCGCCUUCGCCGGCGUGCAGUACCCUCCAUACAACUACUCGCCGCCCGCGUACGCGUCCUCCCCGACGCCCCCUCUCCGCCAUUGCGCACUGUCCUUCUCGCACCUCGGCGACGCCGACGAGACCGAGGCCGACAUGGACGACAUCAUUGCGGAAGGUUCGGCUGCGGCCGCCGCGUCUCUCGGCUUCAUCGCGGAUGAGACGGUGGAUCUCAGCGGCGGCAUGGACGGCAAGCUCGGCUACGUCUACGGCGACGAGGAACAGGAGGAGCAGGAGGAGAAGGACGAGGAGGAGGAGGAGGAGGAGGAGCCGGCGAGGAGGCGCAAGAAGAAGAAGCGGACGGCCAGGUCAGGCGAGCCGCGCAUCAAGUGGGCGUCCAAGAAGGAGGAAUGCCUCGCCGAAGCAUGGAAAAUCGUCUGCCUCGACCCGACCACCGGCGCGAACCAGAGCAUCGAGACGUAGUGGACGCGCAUCAAGGCCGAGUUCGACGAGCGCAAGCUCGUCGACCCCUACUUCAAACGUGUCUACAUGCAGCGCGGCUCGAAGGCGAUGGCGAACCAUUGGGAACGUAUCCAGGGGGCGUGCAACAAAUGGCAUGGGGUCGUCGAGGAGGUCGCCGCUCGCCCGGAGAGCGGCGCCAGCAUUGAGGAUCAGGUAUGCCACGCCGGUCUCCCGCCUCUGUUCGUCGUGUGCGCCCGCCAACUGUUUGUUCGUCCCCCCGCAGCUGUUGUGCAUGUUCGGCCUGUAUCGGCAGAGCAACAGCGACGCCGAGUUCAAGUACCUCCACGUUUACAAGCACAUUGACAAGUGCGAUAAGUGGGCGGAAGUCCGGCGCACCCUCGAGAAGGCCAAGGAGACCUACAAGCCAGACGCGCCGACUUCGGGCGCGUCAGAUGGGCGGUCGGACGGUAACAAAGGUGCCAAGAAGGGGAAACACGCCGACGCGGCCACCGCUCGCGUGGAGGAGUCCAUCCAGCACUACCUCACAGACGCACAGGUCCGGGCCGCCCUUCGUGUGGAGAAGACCGAGGCGCGGUGGUCGGCGUUGAUGUCGACUAGCGCAGUCAAGCUCGACCUACUCCGGACCAACGUUGCCGCGAAGAAGAGGAACACCGACCCGGCGUUCCUGUUGGGCGGGGCGGACAUGCUCCAGAGCACCGACGAGGCGGUCAAGGCGUGGUACAGGGCGCAUGUUGGCCUCAUCCUGGACCAGCUUCCCUCGACGACGCCGCCCACGCCCACGACGACGCCGCCCACACACACGCCGACGCCGCCGGCAAGCCCGACCGAUGAUGCCGCCGAGACUGCCCGCAGCACAGAAGCCACGCCGCCAAGCACAGAGACCCCGUCAAGCCCGCGCACGCCAACUCCGCCGACACCGGAGGCCGACCUCGCCGCCUGAUGCUUUGCCAUCCGUCCUUUCUGCUUUUUAUACGCUGAACUUUUCAUCCGAUCGCCAAUCUACUGGACGAUUGAUCACCGGAUUGUAGCGUCUAUUUUAGGCGCGGGAAUGACUACAUUUGAAUUUGCCGUUGCUGGGGGACGGCGCCUGGGAGCGUGGCUGGGAGUUAGGCCGGUCCAAGAGGCCGAACUAACGCCGGCUCGUCCCCAGGCCGCAGUUUUCGGCGCCCUGGAGGCCGAACGGCUGAAGAUGCUCUUACGUGUUUUUGAAGCGGGAGAACCGGAACGUGGCCAGGUUACGACCGCUUCCGCUACAAAGUUCAACUAUUUCAUGCGAUGCGAUGGUACAUGCCGGUUUCGGAGGGGAGCGCUGCGAAGAAACAGUGAUAGGUUGGGCUGGUUGGCAGAUGCUUCUGAGCCUGCCGUUUCCGUGGAGGCAGCAGCGCCUGAGCGGCGCGCCGGAGACAAGCACGCAGGAUGCCUGCCUGCGACGUCCAUCCACAGACCACACACACAUACAUAUGCGUGGUGAUGCUGCCUGCGUGGGCGUGUCGGCCGGAGAUAUUCGUUCGGGGCCAGGCAGUAGGCACCGUCCGGGGGAUCCAUCCACGUCGAUCGCCGUCUAGACGCGCCACACCACCACCAAUUACAUCACUAUCGCUACGCUAGCUGCUUCCGGUUAAACAGCCACGCGCCUUUUUUUUUAAAAAAAAAGUUGACGACGACAACACCAUUAUUCAAGGUUUUUUUCCCCUUACAUACAACACAAAAAGGGCAGAAGCCAUUCAUUAGCCAAGCCAGGGUUUUUUUUGAUACAGUACAGACGCAAGGGCUCAUACAUACGCGCAUGCACUCACUCCUAUGAAUGCACACACGCACGCCUUGCCCCUAUGAGCACCUUCGAGAGGCUGAACCGGCGUAUUAUCUUGAGGAGAUUUACAAAGUCGUCAUAGGCUUCUCGUUGUCGACGGAAACAUCUCCUUUCACUAAAAGCGUAACACCGGAAAUCCUAAAAUAAAUAAAUUCAGAAAUGAUGCGAGCAACAGGACUUAAACCCUGAUAGGUUGGGAUACCACUGUCCCUCUAACCAUCCAAGUAUAGGCUGUUCGCGCCAACUAGAGCCUUGCAAGACACUCUCGGCGAAAAUAAGAUGUUACGGACGGGCACCACCACAUAUCGUCACUAUUCUUUGACUUUUUAGAGUGCAAGCGAAGCGGGUGAGCUAAUAAUAACUUUUUUUUUUGCGAAGAGAGCUAAUAAUAACUCGAUGCCACACACACAAGGACAAGCUCGUCGGUCGCAGUGGCAGCGGCAUUUUACCAGACGAAAUUACUUCAACUUCAUGGCGCACGUACGGUUUUGGAAGUGGGCGUGUGCGUGCCGUUGGUCCAUUGCUUUCCACUAGAAAAUACACAAAAUAAUGGACGCACAUACACACGCACAGGUCGUGGGCACAGAUUUCGGCACAAAGCAGCGUUAAGGGAAUACGCCGGGCGUUCCCGUGAUGGAUCGCCUGGCAUUUGGCAAAAUCAGGUGCCGCUUCUUUCUUCUAUCUGUCAAGGCAGGAACACGCUUCAACCGCGCAGCAACGCGUACGGUGUGCUCGUUCGUGUCGGCUUGCCGGCCGGCCGGAGAGAUCCAGUUAUUCGGCACCAUCCGGUUCAUCCAUCAGCGUCGCACCCGGUCUGCAUGCGCCAAUUUUUUUUUAAAAAAUACAUAUGAAAAAAUGAGAAUUAAAAAUAUAUAAUUUUGUAUGCUACAUAGAUAGUACAUACUAUGUUUUGCCAUCUCACAGAUUUCAUAUCCAAAUUAGCUAAAUGUACAACUCUAGAAACAAAAUGAUCUCAUGUAGUUAUGGCUAGCAGUUAUUUCGGAUUGGGCCACGAUUCUGGUCCAUUGACACGAUCAACGCUAAAUUUGUACAUAGUUUUAUUCUUGCUUCUCUGGACGUGUUUCAAAUUUAUUGCAUGGUGGAUGUAUUGUCAGCGCCCCCACUGCGGUCAUCGACACCGACAAGCAGGACCCACAGGCCAGCGGCUCGCGAGGCUGGCCGACUAACAAGCUGCUACCACGGUCUCGGAGGCCCAACCCACGCAACAUUGGGCCGGAGUGGACCCGGUGAGGCCCAAGGCCAGCUACUCCUACUUAAGCCACCACCAGCGCUUGGCGGACCAUCCAGAGGAUCAACAAACCGACGGUGUUGCUAGCACCGGGCAUGCGUAGACUGGGAUCUGCACGAGCUAUACGCCAUGUCGAAGAAGUCGGAGAGGCCAGCAGAGAAGGACUCGAUGAUGGUUGCGGCGCCAAUCGGCGCAGGGCCAAUGUCGCCCGCGGUUGUCGAAGUACAUGAAGAUGACGACGACGCUGGUGACAGGCUGGUGCUGGACGAAGACGAAGGGGGUGGACGGGCAGCUGCGGCGGCUACGGGGGUAGCUACGGCGGCGGCCGAAGAAGAGCGGCGGCGACUAGAUUAGGAGCGCGGCGGUGAUGCUCGAAGUAGGCGAAGAACCCUGACAGCAUGACAAAGACCGGUGCGGACGGUGGCGUGCCCGCGCCAAGGGACACGGCGCGACGCAUACCACAGGAAGUCGACGCGCGGGGACGGCGAAGUGGACCACGGGCCGCGGCACUAUGGCCCGAAGGGGCGACGCAGCGGCGGCGGGCAGGUCGGGGCGACGACAGGAAGACCUGGGGCGGCGACAGGGACCGCGGACCGCGGCGCUACGACCCGAAGGGGCGGUGCAGUGGCGGAGCGCGGGUCGGUGCAACCGCAGGAACGGCCUCGGGGCGGCGGCUGGGACCGCGUAUCGCGGCACUACGGCCCGUAGGGGCGACGCAGCGGCGACGCACGAGUCGAUGCAGCCGCAAGGAGAACCAUGGGGCGGUGGAGCUGCGGCCCAACGGGGCGACGCAACGGCAGCCCGUUGCUCGAUCGAUGGAGGGGCGCGCUGAACUCGGGGACGAUCUUCACGGGGUCUGCGGAGGCGCGCGUAACCGACGGGCCAGGUCGGUCGCGCGACGUGGAUGAGGCGGAUUGCGGCGGCGAGCGGGUGAUCAAGCCGAUCGCGCGCGAGGCCGGGGACGCCGCUCGAUGGAGGCGAGGUGGUGGCGAAGUCUAAGAUGAGGCCGGCGACGACGGACGGCGUGGGACGUUAUGUAGACGAGCUUGUCAGCACCGGCACCCGGGCUGCCAAAGCAGCAUCGGCACCCGGGCUGCCAAAGCAGCGCCGGCGCCCAGGCAGCGAGGCCCGAGCGACCAAUGGAGCAGCGGCGCCCGAGUUGAGGCAGCCGACGAGCCUGAUACAGCCGUACCGAUGCAGCCGAGGACGAGGCCGACGAGGUAGACCGCCGGGCCGCCGUGUUGACGCGGCGGAGGCGGGUGGCGUGGAUUGAUUAGUGGGCCGGCACGCGAACGGUGGCUAUGAUUGGCCACCGCAUGGCGCGAGGCCACCAGGUGUAGGCGAUGCAAGUGUCUCGAUCGGAGCAGGGCGAUGACGGCCGGCGCAGGGCGAUGGGCGGGCCAGCAUGUGGACGGCGGCCUUGAGGACUGCCUGUCGCGCGAGGCCGCCGGGUCGGUGAAGUAACCGGCUGAUAACCCACAAGUAUAGGGGAUCAAUUGUAGCCUCUUUCGAUAAGUAAGAGUGUCGAACCCAACAAGGAGCUAAAGGUAGAACAAAUAUUCCCUCAAGUUCCAUCGACCACCGAUACAACUCUACGCACGCUUAACGUUCGCUUUAUCUAGAACAAGUAUGAAACUAGAAGUACUUUAUAGGUGUGAUAGGAUAGGUUUGCAAUAAUAUAAAGAGGACGUAAAUAUAAAGUAGGGGAUGUUUUAGAUAAAAAAAGCAAUAAAGUUAGUAUAGCGAGUGUGGAAAAGUGGUGGUAGGAGUUGUGAAAUUGUCCCUAAGCAAUUGACUACUUUACUAGAUCGAUAGUAAGUUUUAUGUGGGAGAGGCCACUGCUAGCAUGUCAUCCCUGACUUGGAAUUCUAUGCACUUAUAAUUGGAACUAUUAGCAAGCAUCCGCAACUAGUAACGUUCAUUAAGAUAAAACCCAACCAUAGCAUUAAGAUAUAUUGGUCCCCCUUCAAUCCCGUAUGCAUUAUUUCUAUGCUAGGUUAAAGCUUCUGUCACUCUUGCCCUCCAAUACAUAGUCCUGUCAAUAUACAACUAACCCUAUGGUGUGAUCCACGCGCGCACUCAUAUGAUGGGCACCAAAGGACAUCAACAUAACCACAAGCAAAUUAAACCAAUCAUAGCAAUUCAUGAAUUAUCGAUAGGACAACGAAAAUUUACUCAGACAUCAUAGGAUGGCAACACAUCAUUGGAUAAUAAUAUGAAGCAUAAAGCACCAUGUUCAAGUAGAGGGUACAGCGAGUUGCGGGAGAGUGGACCGCUGAAUAUAGAUGGAGGAAGGUGAUGGAGAUGUUGGUGAAGAUGACGGAGGUGUUGGUGUAGAUCACAGUGAUGAUGACACUAGUAGAAAAGGGGGCAUCAGUCCCGGUUCGUGAGGGCCAUUAGUCCCGGUUCUUGAACCGGGACUAAAGGGUCGUGACUAAUGCCUCCCCCCUUUUGUCCCGGUUCUAACACGAACUGAGACAGAUGUGCCUCCACUUGGCCGGUGCGCCGAGCCCAUGCAGGAGGGCCUUCAGUCCUGGUUGGUGGCACCAACCGGGACCAAAAGGCAUCCACGCGUCAGCNNNNNNNNNNNNNNNNNNNNNNNNNNNNNNNNNNNNNNNNNNNNNNNNNNNNNNNNNNNNNNNNNNNNNNNNNNNNNNNNNNNNNNNNNNNNNNNNNNNNNNNNNNNNNNNNNNNNNNNNNNNNNNNNNNNNNNNNNNNNNNNNNNNNNNNNNNNNNNNNNNNNNNNNNNNNNNNNNNNNNNNNNNNNNNNNNNNNNNNNNNNNNNNNNNNNNNNNNNNNNNNNNNNNNNNNNNNNNNNNNNNNNNNNNNNNNNNNNNNNNNNNNNNNNNNNNNNNNNNNNNNNNNNNNNNNNNNNNNNNNNNNNNNNGCGUCAGCAUUUCAGUGGCCGUGGUUUUUGUUUUUUUUAAAGAGGGGGGGGGGGUUGGGAGUUUUGGGGGGUUAAUUUAGGUGUUUAAUAUAUUGUGUUAGCUAGCUAAUUAAUAGAGAGAAGUGUCCUCUCUUAUGUCUGUGUUUGAUCGACGCUACGUAUUGUACAUAGAGAGGCCCUCAACACGCUAGCUAGUAAGAAAAUGAAGGGAACCAUUAAGUACAGAAGUUCGUCAUGCAUACCGAGAGAAGUGAUCGAUCAACCUCUCCUUCUCCGAGAGAUUGGUCGAACAACAAGUUUUCGUAUUAUCUAUCCGAUGCUACUGGCUACAUACAUAUACAAUAUGUAAAAUCUCUUACAAUCCCCUAGCAAUUGAAAUCAAUUUCCACAUGAUAUUCUCCGGCUUUAUUGAUGACGUGGUCAAGAAAGAAUCCUGCCAAUUCCUCUUGAAUUGCUUUCAUGCGAUCUUGUUCUAGGAGUUCAUCCUGCAUCUGCCACGUCUAAUUUGAAGAAGGGGGUUAAUACAUAUAUGAAUGAAACUCAACAGAAAUGAUGGUUUAAUAAAUUGAAAUUGUGAAUAUUAUUGCUUACGCACUUCAUAUUGUCUUUUAGAGUAGCCCCGCUUAUGUUUCAAAGUCGCGUUGUAGAUGAACUCGCACACGUAGUAUCCACAUAAAUCAUUCCCUUGUUCCUGCCACAAGCACUUUACGAGAAAUAGAGGUCAACCAAAUUGAUAAUGAAGCAUUAUAAAUGGCAUUGAUGAAAGUACAACUAUAGAAUCAACGGGAGAUGCGCGCAACUAGCUAGCUAGUAGUACUUACUUUCGGGUAUGUAUAUCGCAGCUCCUUCGGCAGUCCCGGAACUUUUGCGGUGAACUAUUUCCAAACCCUGUAAGACAAAGAAAAUAAAUAUUAUUACUUGAGAUAUCAGGAAAUGAACAAAAAGUUGCCGAUAUGGUGCGAUAAAUGAUCGACUGAACUUACUUGUUGAGUAUUUUAGUCAUGUCCGCAUAGGUUUGGGGAUCUUUUCUUCUCGAGUCUAAGACGUUUACUACUCCCCACUCAAGCUUAAUCUCCAGAAGAACAUAGUGAAAUCUGCGCACACAUGCAUAACUCAUCAAUUACAUUACUAUAACCUCGCUCGAGUAAUAAGGGAAACCGAAUAUGCACACGACAGUAACACUCACUGGGAGUUGUAAGGAAAGAGUAUUAAAUCUUUGUUUUGAUUUUUGAUCAACGAUUGUAGCAAGUUCUCCUCGGCCUCUGCGGGGUGCUUUUUAACCAGAAAUUCAUCUUUGAUAUUUGUGUUAACGAACCUAAUAUCAUACAUUUCUUGUUUUUUUGCACUCGACGAUCUUCAAUCUGCAUAAUAUAGUGAGGAUAAUUAAUUAUAAAUACAUGCAAUGAAAGAGCCGAGCUAUAUAUAGAGACUUAAUGACAGAAAUAGUACUUACAGACAGUAGCAAAAGAUCAUUAGUUUAUCGAGGGCCUUUUGAUUGAAGAACGCGAAAAACUCAUCAAAUGGAACAGUCAACAGAUCAGUUGCAACGAGGUCGUGCUCCUCUUUAAUAUUCAGAUACAAAGCAUUCGUCCCCCCAGACUCUCUGCAGGUUUUCAUGUACCAAUUAUGGAAUCUUCGCAUCAUAGUUGUCAGAAAUUUUUCAUCUUUGACGAGAGGCUUCCCGUACUCGUAUUUGUGUUCGUCCACCUCCAAGAAAUCAGGAAGUUGAUCGUCAGGUAGGUAAUCUGCAAGAUUGCCAUAACCGGCCACCGUCCCCGGAGCAUUAGACACAUUGAGCGGAGGGGGGGCAUGAUUGUUGUGCUUGUUCGCCUAGCUGGGCAAUUUUUUUCCCAGCUGCUCGUUCUUUUAACCUUUUAUCACUGACAGUACUUUCUGACCGCUGGGCUUCGAGAUAUGUCUGUUCAGUAAUGCGCUGAUAGUUGGUUCUCGGCGGAGACUUUGGUGGUUUCCUUAGGGCAUCGAUAGUGCGCUUUGCUUUCACCGGAUCUACCUUCUCCUCCGGAGGUGGAUGUCUCUUUGCUUUCACCCCUUCAAAAAAGUCCUUCACAUGGGCCCGCACGAUCGUCUCGUUUUCCUCCUCGGUCCUCUCCUACGGUAACUUCUCUAGAGGCUUGAGAGGUGGACCGUAUCUGUAUUGCCUCUCACCUCUGCUGGCUGCUGUACUGCUAGACGCCGAAGCAGACGGAGCGGCUGUGGCGCCUGUCUUCUUUCAUGGUUGCUUAUGAGGCGGAGGAGAAGGACUACGACGCGCCGGAGCAGCCGGGGCGGCGGCGGGUCUCUUCCGCCCUUGCUGGCGAGGCGGAGAAGGAGGAAGGUGCUGGCUUCUCGGGCGCGCCGGCGCAGGCGGAGAAGGAGGCGGAGUGCCAUCACGCGCCGGAGAAGGAGGAGGCUGCUGGUUGCUCGGGCACGCCGGCGUAGGCGGAGAAGGAGGCGGAGUGCCACCAUGCGCCGGAGAAGGAGGAGGCUGCUGGCUGCUCGGGCGCGCCGGCGCAAGCGGAGAAGGAGGCGGAGUGCCGCCACGCGCCGGAGAAGGAGGCCCAGUGCCCUGAUCGACACUCGCGGGAGGAGGAGGCGGCGGAGGAGGCGGAGUGCCCUGACUCUCCGGAGGAGGAGGAGGCGGAGGCGUCCAGUUCGUAAGGUUGAUGAGCUCCUUCCGCCAUAGGCAUGGAGUCUUCAGAGCAGCACCCAGCCUAGUCUCCCCUUCACCGGUAUAGGGUAGUCAAGCUGGAGGUCCUCAAGUCCCUCCGUUAUUUCGUCCACCAUCACCCUGGCAUAUCCUUCUGGAAUUGGCCGGCAGUGAAAAGUUGCGCCUUUUUCAGUAGGAUAAACAGAGCCAACAGCCGCCUUGACCUUCAAAUUCAUCCAUCGCGUCAUUAUGUGGCAAUUUUGAGUCCCCGUGAUAGCAUCCACGGGAUAGCUGGUAGGAACCGUCAAGACAUGCUCCGGUUGAAGCAGCUCCGUGGAAGCCACGCUGCUUCUCCGCUGAGAUGGCGGGGUAGCUUCGGGGGAAGCUUCGACAGGUCGUUUGUCGCGAUCUGCUUCUCAUUCCUCUAGCCCCAUUACCCUUUCGUGCAGCACCUGCAGUUGGCUCUGCUCCAGUUUCUUCCUCCUCUCGUGGGUUUUGUAACCCCCUGCGUCUGGGAAACCAACCUUCCACGGAAUGGAGCCUGGCGUGCCUCGUGUCCGUCCAGGGUGCUCAGGAUUCCCGAGGGCCAUUGUGAGCUCAUCCUUCUCCUUGUCUGGAACGAACGCCCCUUGCUGCGCUGCACGGAUAUACUGCCGAAGCCUUGUGACUAGUGUUUUCAGUUGCUCGUCCGUCCAACGGCACUCCCCUAUUACAUGGUCCAAGGUUCCGCCAGCCCCGAAGAACCAAGUCCGGCAACGGUCUGGCCAUCUCAUUGUCUCUGGUUCGAUCCCUUUAUCAAGCAGAUCAUUCUCAGCCUUGGACCACUUAGGCCAGGCUUGCAGGUAGCCACCUGACCCCGUGCGAUGGUGAAACUUCUUCUUCGCAGCAUUUUUCUUGUUUGCCGCCGACAUCUUCUUACUCUUUUCCGAUGUCGUGUAGGCCACAAAUGCGGGCCAGUGAUCUCUGAUCUUCUCAUAUUUGCCGAUGAAUUCUGGUGUCUCUUCUUUGGCGACAAACUUUUUCAGCUCUUUCCUCCACCUCCUGAAUAGGUCCGCCAUCUUCUUAAGGGCACAAGACUUGAUUAAUUGCUCUUUAACUGGCUUCUCCGGAUCCUCCUCUGGCGGUAGGGUGAAAUUUGCCUUCAGCUCAGUCCAAAGAUAAUCUUUCUGCAUAUCAUUGACAUAAGACACCUGAGGGUCUUCCUCCUUAGGCUUAUACCAUUGAUGGAUGCUAAUCGGGAUCUUGUCCCUAACAAGAACCCCGCACUGAGCAACAAAUGCGUUCUUUGUCCGGAUGUGUUCAAUCGGUUCGCUGUCGCGCGCGAUUGCUGUGAUCUCAAACUUUUCAUCCGAGCUCAACUUUUUCUUUGGGCCUCGUCUCCUUACCGAAGUGUGCUCGAUCCGGAGGGAUAGAAAAAGGAAGAAAGACGAGAGUUAAUUAAUAUGUGUACAUAUACCAAAACAAUGAAUGCAUCAAUUAAUUAGUCAGCACGGGCUUAACUAAUAUAUAUAUAUACCUAGCCGGACUCGGUUCGGUCACCAGAGCAGUCAGCACGGUCUCCUUCUUGUACCUCCAUUGGGUUAUCACCGGAGCCAUCAUGAACAUAGCCCUCUUCUUGUACCGGCAUUAAUGGGCCGGAGCCAUCAUGAACAUAGCUCUCUUCUUCACCCAAUCCUUCCUGACCAACGACGUCGAUGAAAAAUGACGCAACGACAUCAGUUCCUUCUGCGAUUAUCUCCCCCAACAUCGCUUCUGUUGCUUUGUCUCGGUAGUGCUCCAUAGUUUCUGCAAAUAUUUACAACAUGUCAAUUAUUAUUCAAACAUGCAUGGUACAGAUGGAUAUAUAUUAGUGGCAAACGUAGAACUAGCUAGCUAAUCACAAUAAGGAAUCAUGUUAAUUAGUGGCCUCGAUGCUGCUUCUCUAGGGUUUGGGGUGGCCUAGACAAUGCUUCAAGAGUUUGGGGUGGCCUUGACACAACACUUCAAGGGUUUGGGGUGGCCUCGACGACAACGCUCUUUUAACUUGGUAAAUUUGGGUGGCCUCAAGAGUUGUCGGGUAGGGGCACAGCGGGAGGGGGUAGGAGACCAACAUCGUUUUUUCUCUAGGGUUUGGGUGUCCUCGAGAGUUUUGGUCGAGCGAGAGGGCCGAGGGGGGGUAUAUCGACGACGACAGAGGAGAAGAUCAAAGAAAAAAAGAAGAAAAAAAGAGGAGAAGAAGAAAGGAAUAGAGGAGAAGAAGAAAAAAUAGAAUUUCUUCUUUUUUCCUCUUCUUAUUUUACUUUUUCCUCUACACUAAACUAAAAUGCACUAACCUAAAACCUAAUACUAACAACCUAAAUAAAAAAUUAAUACAUAUAUUAAAAAACAUAUAUAAAUAAAAAAUGCUAUGAACAUUAUUUUCAUACAUAGAUAGCCACAUCCAUUCAUCAUAUAGCUACCACAUACAUAUAUACAUUAUAUAUAUGAAAAAUGCAUAUAUACACAUAUACACAAAAAAUACACAUAUAUACACAUACAAACACAUAUAUACACAUAUACACAAAAAAUGCAUAUAUACACAUAUACAAAAAAAAUGCAGGGCAGGGGCGGCGGCCGCGCAGGUGCGCGGGACGGGAGGGGCGCGGGACUGCUCACAGGGGGCGGCGGCGACGACGAAGGCGAGCAGCCUGACGGCGUCGGUGGCGGCGGCGACGACAAGGUGGAGCAGGGGCAUCGGGCGGCGACGGUGACGGCAACGAGGAGGAGCAGGGGGCAUCGGGGGAGAAGUGGGGGAUUUGGUCGAAAACUGCUAAGUGCUGUAUAUAUAUCAAGAGCAUUGGUCCCGGUUCCUGGCACCAACCGGGACUAAUACACCCUUUAGUUCCGGUUCGUGCCACCAACCGGGACCAAAGGCCUCUUUUCAGCAGCCCAAAGGGCGGGAAGCGGUAGCCUUUGGUCCCGGUUGGUGCCACCAACCGGGACAAAAUGGUGGGCAUUGGUACCGGUUGGUGCCACGAACCGGUACCAAUGCCCCCCUUUAGUCCCGGUUGGUGGCACCAACCGGGACCAAAGGUCGUGUGCUGGCAUGGUGCGGCACGAAAGUUUAGUCCCACCUCGCUAGCUGAGAGGGGCGCGCAGUGGUUUAUAAGCCCCACUGCCGCACCCCUCUCGAGCUCUUCUCCACUGCAGGCUUACGGGCCUACUUACUACUGCUUUGCCUGAUGGGCUUACUGGGCCUCCUGCGGGCCUGAAUCCUGGCCCAUGGUGGGUUUCUAGUCCUAUUCAGGCCGUGGGGGCCCAGUAGGAGGCACUUUUUUUCUUUACUUAUUGUUGCUAUUUUUAUUUUUUCCCCAGUUUUUUUGUUACGUUUUCUGCAUUAUUUAUUUUCUUUUAUUAUUUACUUUAUUUUUUAAUUCUUUUUGCUUUUAGUUUUAAAAAAUUAUAAACUUUCUGUUAGUGCCAUUAGUUCUCAAAUUUGAAAACACUUUUUUUGUUUUUUUGUUUUGUUUCUUGCUUUAUUUAUAUUAUUUUGUUUCUACUUACAACAAAAUACUUNNNNNNNNNNNNNNNNNNNNNNNNNNNNNNNNNNNNNNNNNNNNNNNNNNNNNNNNNNNNNNNNNNNNNNNNNNNNNNNNNNNNNNNNNNNNNNNNNNNNNNNNNNNNNNNNNNNNNNNNNNNNNNNNNNNNNNNNNNNNNNNNNNNNNNNNNNNNNNNNNNNNNNNNNNNNNNNNNNNNNNNNNNNNNNNNNNNNNNNNNNNNNNNNNNNNNNNNNNNNNNNNNNNNNNNNNNNNNNNNNNNNNNNNNNNNNNNNNNNNNNNNNNNNNNNNNNNNNNNNNNNNNNNNNNNNNNNNNNNNNNNNNNNNNNNNNNNNNNNNNNNNNNNNNNNNNNNNNNNNNNNNNNNNNNNNNNNNNNNNNNNNNNNNNNNNNNNNNNNNNNNNNNNNNNNNNNNNNNNNNNNNNNNNNNNNNNNNNNNNNNNNNNNNNNNNNNNNNNNNNNNNNNNNNNNNNNUAAACUUUUUGUUAGUGCCAUUAGUUCUCAAAUUUGAAAACGCUUUUUUUGUUUUUUUUGUUUCUUGCUUUAUUUAUUUUAUUUUGUUUCUACUUACAACAAAAUACUUAUUGUUGCUAUUUUUAUUUUUAUUUUCCAGUUUUUUUGUUUUGCUUUCUGCAUUAUUUAUUUUCUUUUGUUUUUUGCUUUAUUUUUUAAUUCUUUUUUGCUUUUAGUUUUAGAAAAGGAGUGAACCGGGAUUAAUGGUAUUACGAGGGCCGAACCAUAAGACAUUAAAGCAUUUCAAAUGAACUCUGAAAAAGUUGAAAGUUGAAACUUGGCAUGGUAUCAUAAUUUCGUGUGCUACAAAGUUGGCAUGGUAUCAUCAUAAUAGUUGCGGGAGAAAGUCUUCACUUUUUCUUCGCUUGUGUCAUUUGCUUAUUGCGCCAUAACCAUGGAUAAUCUUCAUCGUUUAUCAGGAUGCUGGGGUCAUCCUUGACUUUGAAGGGAGGAAUUUCAUGAAACUUUUCAUAAUCUUCAGACAUGUCUGUCUUGCCCUCCACUCCCACGAUGUCCCUUUUUCCUGAAAGAACUAUGUGGCGCUUUGGCUCAUCGUAUGAUGUAUUCGCUUCCUUAUCUUUUCUUUUUCUCGGUCUGGUAGACAUGUCCUUCACAUAGAUAAUCUGUGCCACAUCAUUGGCUAGGACGAACGGUUCGUCAGUGUACCCAAAAUUUUUCAGAUUCACUGUUGUCAUUCCGUACUGUGGGUCUACCUGUACCCCGCCUCCUGACAGAUUGACCCAUUUGCACUUAAACAAAGGAACCUUAAAAUCAUGUCCGUUGUCAAGUUCCCAUAUGUCCACUAUGUAACCAUAAUACGUGUCCUUUACCCUCUCGGUUGUUGCAUCAAAGCGGACACCGCUGUUUUGGUUGGUGCUCUUUUUAUUUUGGUCAAUCGUGUAAAAUGUAUUCCCAUUUAUCUCGUAUCCUAUCCAAAUCGUAACAGUCGAAGAUGGUCCCCUGGACAACAAGUACAUUUCAUCACAAACAGUGUUGUCACCUCUGAGACGUGUUUCCAACCAACUGCUGAAAGUCCUGAUGUGUUCACAUGUAAUCCAGUCGUCGCACUGCUCCGGGUGUUUGGAGCGCAGACUGUUCUUGUGUUCAUCGACAUACGGGGUCACCAAGGUAGAGUUCUGUAGAACCGUGUAGCGUGCUUGAGACCAAGAAUAUUCGUCCCUGCAUAUUAUUGAGUCCCUUCCAAGCGUGCCUUUUCCAGUCAGUCUCUCCUCAUACCGCGAUUUAGGGAGACCUAUCUUCUUAAGGCCAGGAAUGAAGUCAACACAAAACCCGAUGACAUCCUCUGUUUGAUGGCCCAUGGAGAUGCUUCCUUCUGGUCUAGCACGGUUACUGACAUAUUUCUUUAGGACUCCCAUGAACCUCUGAAAGGGGUACAUAUUGUGUAGAAAUACGGGGCCCAGAAUGACAAUCUCGUCGACUAGAUGAACUAGGACGUGCGUCAUGAUAUUGAAGAAGGAUGGUGGGAACACCAGCUCGAAACUGACAAGACAUUGCACCACAUCACUCCUUAGCCUUGGUAUGAUUUCUGGAUCGAUCACCUUCUGAGAGAUUGCAUUGAGGAAUGCACAUAGCUUCACAAUGGCUAAUCGGAUAUUUUUCGGUAGAAGCCCCCUCAAUGCAACCGGAAGCGGUUGCGUCAUAAUCACGUGGCAAUCAUGAGACUUUAGGUUCUGGAACCUUUUCUUUGCCAUGUUUAUUAUUCCCUUUACAUUCGAUGAGAAGCCAGUCGGGACCUUCAUACUAAGCAGGCAUUCAAAGAAGAUUUCCUUCUCUUCUUUGGUAAGAGCAUAGCUGGCAGGACCUUCAUACUGCUUUGGAGGCAUGCCGGCUUUUUCGUGCAAACGUUGCAGGUCCUCCCGUGCCUCAGCUGUAUCUUUUGUCUUUCAUACAUGCCCAAGAAGCCUAGCAGGUUCACACAAAGGUUCUUCGUCACGUGCAUCACGUCAAUUGAAGAGCGGACCUCUAGGUCUUUCCAGUAGGGUAGGUCCCAAAAUAUAGAUUUCUUCUUCCACAUGGGUGCGUGUCCCCCAGCGUCAUUUGGAACAGCUAGUGCACCGGGACCCUUUCCAAAGAUUACGUGUAAAUCAUUGACCAUAGCAAGUACGUGAUCACCGGUAUGCAUGGCGGGCUUCUUCCGGUGAUCUGCCUCGCCUUUGAAAUGCUUUCCUUUCUUUCGACAUUGAUGGUUGGUCGGAAGAAAUCGACGAUGGCCCAGGUACACAUUCUCCCUGCAGCUUCCCAGGUAUAUACUUUCGGUGUCAAGUAAACAGUGCAUGCAUGUGUGGCAUCCCUUGUUUGUCUGUCCUGAAAGGUUACUGAGAGCGGGCCAAUCGUUGAUGGUCACGAAUAGCAACGCCUUUAGGUCAAAUUCCUCCUGUUUGUGCUCAUCCCACAUACAUACAUCGUUUCCAUUCCACAGCUAUAAAAGUUCUUCAACUAAUGGCCUUAGGUACACAUCAAUGUUGUUGCCGGGUUGCUUAGGGCCUUGGAUGAGAACUGGCAUCAUAAUGAACUUCCGCUUCAUGCACAUCCAAGGAGGAAGGUUAUACAUACAUAGAGUCACGGGCCAGGUGCUGUGAUUGCUGCUCUGCUCCCCGAAAGGAUUAAUGCCAUCCGCGCUUAAAGCAAACCAUACGUUCCUUGGGUCACGUGCAAACUCAGCCCAGUAUUUUCUCUCGAUUUUUCUCCAUUGCGACGCGUCAGCGGGUGCUCUCAACUUCCCGUCUUUCUUACGGUCCUCACUGUGCCAUCGCAUCAACUUGGCAUGCUCUCCGUUUUUGAACAGACGUUUCAACCGUGGUAUUAUAUUAACAUACCACAUCACCUUCGCAGGAACCCUCUUCCUGGGGGGUCGCUGUUAACAUCACCAGGGUCAUCUCGUCUGAUCUUAUACCGUAAUGCACCGCAUACCGGGCAUGUGUUCAGAUCCUUGUACGCACCGCGACAGAGGAUGCAGUCAUUAGGGCAUGCAUGUGUGUUCUGCACCUCCAAUCCUAGAGGGCAUACGACCUUCUUUGCUGUGUAUGUACUGUCGGGCAAUUCUUUAUCCUUUGGAAGCUUCUUCUUCAAUAUUUUCAGUAGCUUCUCAAAUCCUUUGUCUAGCACAGCAUUCUCUGCCUUCCACUGCAGCAAUUCCAGUACGGUACCGAGCUUUGUGUUGCCAUCUUCACAAUUGGGGUACAACCCUUUUUUGUGAUCCUCUUACAUGCGAUCGAACUUCAGCUUCUACUUUUGACUUUCGCAUUACGUCCUUGCAUUGACAAUGACCUGGCGGAGAUUAUCAUCAUCGGGCACAUCGUUUGAUUCCUCUUGAUCUUCAGCAGCUUCGCCCGUUGCAGCAUCAUCGUGCACAUCGUCUGGUUCCUCUUGAUGUUCAAUAGCAUCACCAUAUUCAGGGGGCACAUAGUUGUCAUUGUACUCUUCUUCUUCGCCGUCUUCCAUCAUAACCCCUAUUUCUCCGUGCCUCGUCCAAACAUUAUAGUGUGGCAUGAAACCCUUGUAAAGCAGGUGGGUGUGAAGGAUUUUCCGGUCAGAGUAAGACUUCGUAUUCCCACAUAUAGGGCAUGGACAACACAUAAAACCAUUCUGCUUGUUUGCCUCAGCCACUUCGAGAAAAUCAUGCACGCCCUUAAUGUACUUGGAGGUGCGUCUGUUACCGUACAUCCAUUGCCGGUUCAUCUGCGUGCAUUAUAUAUAAUUAAGUGUGUCAAAAAUCAUUAUAGAACAUCAUGAAUAGAUAACUAAGUGACCAAAUUAAUAGAAGUUCAUCAUCACAUUAAAACCAAAGUACAUAUAUAGUUCUCAUCUUCAAGCGAAAAUCAUUACAGAACAACAUAAAGCUCUGCAGAGCAUCUAAAUUAAUUAAACCAUACAUUGAAACUAUGUAAAACAUUUCAAUGCGAAAACAAAUGCGAUCAUAAUCACAACCAAGGUAAGAACUGAUCCAACGGCAUAAUGAUACCAAGCCUCGGUAUGAAUGGCAUAUUUUCUAAUCUUUCUAAUCUUCAAGCGCAUUGCAUCCAUCUUGAUCUUGUGAUCAUCGACGACAUCCGCAACAUGCAACUCCAAUAUCAUCUUCUCCUCCUCAAUUUUUCUUAUUUUUUCCUUCAAGAAAUUAUUUUCUUCUUCAACUAAAUUUAACCUCUCGACAAUAGGGUCGGUUGGAAUUUCUGGUUCAACAACCUCCUAGAUAAAUAAAAUCUAUGUCAUGUUGGUCGGCAUAAUUUUCAUAAACAAUAAAUGAACCAAUAGUUAUGAAAAGAUAAUAUAUACCACAUCCGAAUCAUAGACAGGACGAGGGCCGACGGGGGCGGAUACCAAAACCAUCGCACUAUAUAAGAUGCAAUAAUAAAAGUAAGAAAAUAAUACAAGUAUCUAUCUAAACAUACAAGUAAGAAUAUUUUUCCUUUCAGAAAGAAGAUAAGAACAAGAGGCUCACCAUGGUGGUGCCGGCGAUGAGAUCGGCGCGGGUGAUCGACGGCGGUGAAGACGGGUACGAGGCGUGACAGAACACUAAACCUAGACAAAUAUUGAGGAAAAUGGAGCUUGGAGGUCGAGCUUGGAGAGGAGAAAGCUUAAGUAGUGUGACUCGGGUAUUCCAUCGAACACCUUGUGUGCAUAGAAGGUGAGCUAGAGCACCACCAAGCCCUCUUCCCCUCGCGGCUGCCAGAAAAAACAAAGCAGUGUGCUCUGCUCUUACGCAAGGGGGUAUAUAUAGGCACCUCAUUGGUCCCGGUUGGUGGCUUGAACCGGGACUAAAGGGCAGCCUUUGGUCCCAGUUCGUGGCACCAACCGUGACCAAUGGUGGUGGGCCAGGAGAGAGGCCCAUUGGUCCCGGUUCGUCCCACCAACCGGGACCAAAAGGUCCAGACGAACCGGGACCAAUGGCCCACGUGGCCCGGCCGGCCCCCGGGGCUCAUGAACCGGGUCCAAUGCCACCAUUGGUCCCGGUUCUGGAUUGAACCGGGAGUAAUGGGCUAACCCUGCCUGGACCAAUGCCCCCUUUUCUACUAGUGUGAUGGCCCCCGGCGGCGUUCUGACGCCAUCGGAAGCGAGGGGGAGAGAGCCCCCCUUCUUCUUCUUCUUCCUUGACCUUCUCCCUAGAUGGGAGAAGGGUUUCUCCUCUGGUCCAUGGUCUCCAUGGCGUGGGAGGGGCGAGAGCCCCUCCGAGAUUGGAUUUGUCUCUCUGUCUCUCUCUGUUUCUGCGUUUUCAGAUUCUGCCCUUUCACCAUUUCUUAUAUUCCCGGAGAUCCGUAACUCCGAUUGGGUUGUCCUUUGCACACGAUUUCUAUCCGGAUAUUGGCUUUCUUGCGGCGAAAGAAGAGCACCAACCGCCUUACAGGGUGGCCAUGAGGGCUCAGGGCACGCCUGACCCCCUGGGGCGCCCCCCUGCCUCGUGGCCCCCUCGGGCAUUGUCUCACGUUGAUUCUUCUUCCCAAAAUUCAUAAAUAUUCAAAAAAAAUCUCCAUCCAUUUUUAUUCCGUUUGGACUCCGUUUGAUAUGGGUUUUUUGCGAAACAUAAAACAUGCAACAGAUAGAAACUAGCACUGGGCACUAGAUCAAUAUGUUAGUCCCAAAAAUAGUAUAAAAAGUUGCCAAAAGUAUAUGAAAGUUGAAUAAUAUUGGCAUGGAACAAUCAAAAACUAUAGAUACGACGGAGACGUAUCAGCAUCGCCAAGCUUAAUUCCUGCUCGUCCUCGAGUAGGUAAAUGAUAAAAAAGAUAAUUUUUGAUGUGGAAUGCUACCUAGCAUAAUCUUGAUCAUGUAAUCUAAUCAUGGCAUGAAUAUUAAGAAACGAGUGAUUCAAGGCAAUAGUCUAUCAUUUGACAUAAAAUAAUUUAAUACUCGGGCAUCCCAACAAACAAUCAUGUCUUUCAAAAUAUCAAUGCUAAAGAAAGUUAUCCCUACAAAAUCAUAUAGUCUUUUAUGCUCCCUUUUCUUAACACAAGGUACCCCUCAUGCUCAUCUCGGUGUCAGCCAAGCAAAUGGUUCAUACUUUUUAACGCGCUUCACCUUUUUCAACCCUCACACAAUACAUGAGCGCAAGCCAUGGAUAUAGCACUACAGGUGGAAUAGAGUAUGAUGGUGGAGGUUGUGUGGAGAAGACAAAAAGGGAGAAAGUCUCACUUUGACGUGGCUAAUCAACGGGCUAUGGAGAUGCCCAUCAAUUGAUGUCAAUGCGAGGAGUAGGGAUUGCCAUGCAACAGAUGCACUAGAGCUAUAAGUAUAUGAAAGCUCAAACUGAAACUAAGUGGGUGUGCAUCCAACUUGCUUGCUCAUGAAGACCUCAGGCAUUUGCGGAAGCCCAUCAUCGGAAUAUACACGCCAAGUUCUAUAAUGAAAAAUUCCCACUAGUAUAUGAAAGUGAUAACUCAAGAGACUCUCUAUAUGAAGAACAUGGUUCUACUUUGAAGCACAAAUGUGGUAAAAGGAUAGUAACAUUGCUCCUUAUCUCUUUUUCUCUCAUUUUAUUUAUUUAUUUUAUUUUUUAAUUUUUUGGUGGGCUUCUUUGGCCUCUUUUAUUUUUCAUAAAGUCCGGAGGCUCAUCCCGACUUGUGAGGGAAUCAUAGUCUCCAUCAUCCUUUUCUCACUGGGGAAAUGCUCUAAUAAUGAUGAUCAUCACACUUUAUUUACUUACAACUCAAUAUUACAACUUGAUACUAGAACAAAAAUAUGACUAUAUGAAUGCCUCUGGCAGUGUACCAGGAUGUGCAAUGAUCUAGCAUAGCAAUGGCAUAAAAAAACGGACAAGCCAUGAAAACAUCAUGCUAGCUAUCUUACGAUCAUGCAAAGCAAUAUGACAAUGAAUGCUCAAGUCAUGUAUAUGAUGAUGAUGGAAGUUGCAUGACAAUAAUAUCUCGGAAUGGCUAUGGAAAUGCCAUGAUAGGUAAGUAUGGUGGCUGUUUUGAGGAAGAUAUAAGGAGGCUUAUGUGUGACAGAGCGUAUCAUAUCAUGAGGUUUGGAUGCACCGACGAAGUUUGCACCGACUCUCAAGAUGAGAAAGGGCAAUGCACGGUACCGUAGAGGCUAGCAAAUUGCGAAAGGUAAGAGUGCGUAUAAUCCAUAGACUCACAUUAGUCAUAAAGAGAUCAUAUACUUAUUGCAAAAGUUUAUUAGCUCUCGAAGCAAAGUACUACUACGCAUGCUCCUAGGGGGGAUGUUGGUAUAGGAGUUAACCAUCGCGCGCCCCCGACCUUCACGCAAAGAUAAACAAUCAAAAUACAAUGCACGCCAAUUUGGUUACAUAGUUAGGAGACCAUACGUGCAUGCUUCGGGAAUCACAAACACUUACACCAAUAUUCUUACUAAACACAACCAUUUACUAGAACCUCCCACAUAUUAUCAUCUCUAUAUCGCAAAACUAUUGCAAGGAAUCAAACAUAUCAUAUUCAGUGAUCUUCAAGUUUUAUGUAGGAUUUUAUGACUAACCAUGUGAAUGACCAAUUCCUGUCAUCUCUCUAAAUAGAUAUAAGUGAAGCAAGAGAGUUUAAUUAUUUCUACAAAAGAUAUGCCCACGCUCUGACAAAUAUAAGUGAAGCAAAAGAGCAUUCUACAAAUGGCGGUUUUCUAUGUGAAGAGAAACCGGCAAUACAAACUUUAAAUGAUAUAAGUGAAGCACAUGAAGCAUUCUAUAAAGCCAUACUCAAAAGAUUUAAGUGAAGUGCAAUGAGCAUUCUAUAAAUCAACCAUGGACUAUAUCAUACCAGCAUGGUGCAUAAAAGAAAAGUGAAUACUAAUUGCAAAAUACGCUCCAAGAUUUGCACAUAUCGCAUGAAUGAAACGAAUCCUAAAACAUACCGAUACUUGUUGAAGAAAGAUGGGUGCCUUCCGGGGCAUCCCCAAGCUUAGACGCUUGAGUCUCCUUGAAUAUUUACUUGGGGUGCCUUGGGCAUCCCCAAGCUUGAGCUUUUGCCUCUCCUCCUUCUCCUCAUAUCGAGACCUCCUCGAUCUUCGAACACUUCAUCCACACAAAACUCCAACAGAAAACUCGGUAAGAUCCGUUAGUAUAACAAAGCAAAUCACUACUCUAAGUACUGUUGCAAACCAAUUCAUAUUAUGUUUUUUCAUUGUAGCUACUGUAAUAUAACUCUUCCAUGGCUUAAUCCACUGAUAGAAAUUGAUUGUUUCAUCAAAACAAGCAAACUAUGCAUCAAAAACAGAAUCUGUCUUAAACAGGACAGUCUGUAGUAAUCUGAACAUUCACCAUAUUUCUGUUACCCCAAAAAUUCUGCCAAAAUUAGGAAAAAUAAACAAUUUGUAUAGAAAGACAGCGCAAAAAGUUUCAGAACCUUUGACGUUCCAGUAAAAAAAGUAAAAUCACGCAUUACAGCCAAAGUUUUUGUCCUGCACCGCACAAACCAACAAGCAUUGUAAACAUCCUAAAGGCAAACCUUGUCACAUUAUUUUUAUAAUACAACGGAAUUGUACAAGGGGAUAAUUAUUUUUGUUGAAAAGUUUCUGUAAUUAUGAUUCACAAGGUUUCCGUGAGCAUUAACAAAGUUCAAGGCUAGCCCCCACUUUAACAAUGCUUAUCUCUCUCACUUUCACUUUCCUUUUAGAAAAGUUUUGGGUUCCCCUAUUUAUUUAUUUUGUUUUUAAACUUUAUGAAAGCACUCAACAGAAAUAAAUGACUCUCUAAAACUUCCGGGUUGUCUCCCUGGUAGCGCUUUCUUUAAAGCCAUUAAGCUAGGCAUAUAGUGUUCAAGUAAUGCAUCCACCCGGAUCCGAAGGUAUAUCAAAGCCAAUUUUAAUUAACAAUGAUUUGUAAUUUGGUAGUGAGCACAAAGUAACAUAUAUCACGCAAUAACGAAGUCUAACUCUCUUCCUAUGCAUCGGCAUGUCAUAAAAGAACAAUCCAUGCACACCAAGUAAAGGCCAGUGCAUAGUAUAUACAGUUUCUUGCAAUUUUAUCAUAUUGGAAACAUGGAGAGGCGGAGAUGUAGUUCCUCUCUCAUAAUAAUUGCAAGUAGGAGCAGCAAGCACAUGCAUAUUAUAUUCAUCAAAAUCAUCAUGUGCAACGGUAAAAGGCAACCCAUCAAUAUAAUCCUUAAUAAGCACAAACUUCUCCGAUAUAGUGUAGUUUGGAGAAUUCAAAAAGAUAAUAUGUCUAUUAUGUGUGGGUGCAAUAGCAAAAAUUUCAUGUUUAACAUAAGGAACUAUAGCAAGUUCAUCUUCAUAAGCAUAAUUCAUAUUGGCAUCUUGGCCACAAGCAUAGCAAGCAUCAUCAAAAAGGGGUAUUUCAAGAGAAUCAACGGGAUCAUAACAAUCAUCAUAGCAAUCAUCCUUCGGUAAGCACGAAGGGAAAUUAAACAAUGUAUGAGUUGAAGAGUUACUCUCAUUAGAAGGUGGGCACGGAUGAUCAAUCCGCUCUUCCUUCUUUUGUUCUCCGCUCUCCUCCUCAUCUUUUUCAUCCAAUGAGCUCACAGUUUCAUCAAUUUCUUCUUCCAUAGAUUCCUGCAAAAUACUAGUCUCUUCUUGGACAGCGGAGACUCUCUCAAUAAAUUCAUCAAUAUUGGAAUUGAAUUCAUAAUUCUCAUAGCAAUAUUUAAGUAUAGCAAAAUUUUCAGGUCUGUAAACAGCAUCAUCAAGAUUUUCACACUCUUUAAACAAAGAUUCAAUUUCAUAAGCACCCAUAAAAGCAAAAAAUUAUUUUAUUUGUUCCACAUCAUAGUAAUCAUAUAUACCAUUAGCAUAAGAAGGCAAGGUUUAAUCAUCAUUGAAUUUGCAUGAAAAGGGAAGGUGUGGAGCCUUCAUCCUAGAGCAACAAGUAUAAUCAUAUCUCAAGCAUAAUUGACGAGCAUACCAAUGCAACAUAUGAAUUUGAUCCCAUAACAAUUUUCCUUUUUGAGUCAAGCGAUAAUCUAAAGUAUUCACGUUGAUCCAACAUGUCCCCAUUACAUAAUUGAAUGGGGUUUUCUCAGGAUUAUUAAAGUAGUACAUAAUAUUUUUCACACUAGUAAGCGUGCACGUGCGACACGUCUCAAUCAAACAAUAUCAAACUCAUUCGGGUAUAUAAAAUUUUGAAUUCAUACUCUAAGCUGACCCCUUCUUUAUAAACAGAAGUACAAACACAUCAAUUAUCUUUUGAUGAUGCCAUGUGAAGUUCAAGCAGACCACAAAAAAAAUCAUAACUGUACGGAAAAUGUCACAAAUCAAUGGUAAACAACUGGUUGAAGAACUUAUCCACAGAGAAUGUAGGGGCCUAGACAAUUUAGUCUAUGGUAUAGUGAAAAUGAAAUCAAAUAUCCUACAAAGAUUUACAAAUGUUUAUUUUCUUGGGUGAAAAAUCAAAGAUACAUAUAAACAUUCUGCAAGUGGACAUGGUGUUAGGAAUAAAGAUACUCAAAAAGAUAGGAGUCUUUGCUGAAAUUGAAUUAGUUUCCUGCUUCUUGGAUUCGGGCUGCUUGUUAUAUUCAGAAUUUGAAGGCUUGACGGCAGCAGUAAAGCCACCCAAGGGAGUCAUAGCGGGCACCACCUGCGAGCAGGAAGAGUCAGACAAUUAUUUUUCUCCAUUCUCAGUUUAUCUCAGCUUCUCAUGGAGUGGAACUACAAUUCAGACAGAAAAUAUCUAUUGUGUAUAUAGUUGCAGAAUAUUUGGAAGCUAAAAACAAAUCAAUAAAGCAUUAGAUUCAUGGUAAGGAAAUGGAGAGAGGGAAUUUAAUAUUUUCUCUAUGACAUGGAUGUCAUGCAAGCAACCCUUUCUCUAGCCUAGACUUAGUUCUGACAAUAUUAAACAUGAGUUAGACAUGUCGUCGUGCUUCAACAUCUUAGCAGUGCAGAAAACCUUCUAUUCUAGAAUGGCAAACUGUGCAAUAUAAGGAAAUUGGGCAUGAGCAGAUCAAGGGCUAAAAUAAUUAUUGUUUCGAAAAGCUAACCAGACUGGAAAAAGAAUCCAGGCAAAAUUUAGGAUGACCAAACCACUCAAAGGCCUUCCUAACUAAGAUGAAUAUACACUCAGGAGAAGAAAUCAUACUAAGUCGUCGGAUACAUAAGUAGUUUAAUGGCUAAAAUGAAGGAAAUGUGUAAUGUCAUGGCACUUUUAGUUAUUCAUGUGCAUAUCCAACAGUAAGCAUGAUAUCAUGAAAGAAGCAAAGAUCCAAAGUUAUCAGUUGAUACAAAAUGUGUUGAAUGUAUAGUGCAUGAUGCACCUUAUUAGAGGAAAAACAACUACAUAAAAUACCGAUAAAUUUAAGAAGAAAGAUGACACUAAGAUCUGUAGAAAGAUCUUACCAGUGCUUGGAAAGGAGUCAAUUGUAGUAGCGGUUGCGUAAGAUACGAUGGACCGAUCUCUUCGGAAGCUUUCUUGCCUAUUCACACUUAUUGAGUUUAGCAUACAACACAUCAGGAUUUAACACUUUGGUUGGUUGUAGCCGAUUUUCCAUGUGAUGUUUUACCAAAAUGUUGAAGCUCAGCAAAGUUGGUUCCUGGAUCAGUGUAAAAUAAUUAUGUGGCCGUCAAGUCUCUAUCCCAUAUUAUUUACAAUCUCAAACGACGGAAGCUUGCUUUCUGCAGUUCACCAAAGGUCUUAAUUUACCUUUUAUUCAAGGAUCUGUUGUGUGCUGAUCUCUACAAAUCUUAUGGUUGACAUUAACAUAAUUGCAGAAAGCAACAUCGACUUAAUUUUUACUCUGCAUUGAAAACCACCAAAGGUAAAUCUAUACAGGUAAAUCUAUACAGCAAGAUACUUUUUGAAAACCAGAGGAAGUAUAUGACUUCCAUUUGUCUAGGAAUUAAUAAUGCAGGUAAAUCUAUACAAAGAGCACACAUGUAUGCAUCCGUACCUGGUAAUUUCUAACUGCUCAUGACUUGAAACCAGCGACAGUAUAUACGAGGUAGAAUUCCUAUAUAUGGAUGAACUUCUCGAUAAGAAACUGAGGAACCAAUUGCAACAUAUAUGCAUAUACUCGUCACUAGCAGUAUUCUCCUUGUAGUGAAUGACAAGUGAUACUUAUUUUUACUCCCACAUGCACCUGCUUCUCGUUGUUGCUCGUCCACCAUGGCCAUGCAGCCGCAGCCGUUGUGCGCUACACAUGUGUUGAUGUCCGCCGAUGUGCUGCUGCCCCCGGUCGACCCUACAACCAUUCAUACCCCCUUUUCACAUUAGUUACCCCUGAUGUUGUUCUACAAAUAUGACCAGAAAUUGUCAAUAUCCCUUCCCCCAGCACAGAAAUUCAGCGCAGAUCAAUUGUUUCUUCACAUAGCCUAUCAGGAAAACACCAAAUCAGAUAUGGCUGAAUAUUGAAUGAAUAGAAAUCACCAUGAGAAGCCAUGAACGGCAAGGUCAUGUGAUGUAACCUUUCACCCGACAGAGAAGCCAGGCGUGUGGCAAGGGCAACACUGCCGCCCCUGCUAGAGGGCGCAGAGGGCUCCCGAGUGGCGCAUGGGAACAUGGCGGUGAGGUGGAGGAUGAGCUAGAAGAGGGCGGUGACAUUACUAGAAAAAAAGCUGUUAGUGGCGCAUCUGUUUUUGCCAUUAAUGGCGCACUACAGGUGCGCCACUAUUAACACGUCACUAAUAACAAAUAGUAAUGGCGCAUCUCUGGUGCGCCACUAGUAUCCUAGAUAAUAGUGGCGCACCACAUAGUGCGCCAUUACUAUGUCCACUAGUGCGCCAUUACUAUGCCUCCCAGGGGGCCAUAUUUAUCGUGUGCUCUGGGUUACUAAUGGCGCACUUUUAGAUAAUGCGCCACCGGUGUGUUUAUCUCAGUGCGCCACUAAAGUGCAAUAUGAUGCACCACUACUAUAAAUAUUAGGAUUUUUUUCUUUUCUGAUAUUUGCGCAAGUUACAGAAUACAUUACUGCACAGAAUAUAAACAACACGACAUAUAAACAGCAGAUUUAUCGAAUACAAUAGAAGAUUAGUCUUCGAAUAUAAUUCAUCAUAUUAGUCUCUGAAUUCAAAAUACCAAACAAAGUUAGAACAUUACAAGUCUCGAGACCGCGAGUAGCGAGUUUGUCGUCACAUUAAAAAGUCGAUAUCGAUCAUCUAAACUACCAUCAUAUAGAAGAGAGCUGCGGUCACGAUGAGCAUCAUCGCGAUGAAACUGGUUUUCAUCCGGUUCCUCCUUCGCUCCAUCCUCUCUCCCGCUAGAUAGCGCGCGUAUCUAGCUUCCGCCUCCGCCCUAGUGGUGUACCCUUUGUAACUGUUACCGCUGAAACGAUGAACCUGUCUCCGACACUGCUCCCAGUCGUCGUAGACUUCGGGAACCUUACCCUUGUACACGACAUACGACGACAUCUCUAGGGUACACCACAGACAAUACAUAAGCAAUAUAUAAGUAUGCAACAAAAGGAUCGGAAGAGAAAAACAACACAUUAAUAAGCAAUAUAUAAGUAUGCAACAAAAGGAUGCUCAACAUGCCAGAGAGGACCCUGCUCAACAUAUAAGUUGAACGACUGUCCAAACUAAAGAGACAUACAAGUUCAUUAAAGCUUAAUUACAACAUGAGCUAAUCGAUAUUCCAGAACUACAUAGCAUCACUACUUUCGACUCGACUCAUACCGGAGCGUGGAUGAAGCCGCCGUCUAUCGCGAUGGUCAUGAAUGUGCGGUCGUUGUCGGCCUGCAUUUGUAGCAUUGUAUCUAUUUCACUGUUGGACGAUUGAUAUCUGAGGUAGAAAUGCCCCGAGGUACGAAGGACAUCUUGAUGGAUGAUUUCCGCAAACUCCGACUGGAUGCGAAAGAAUUCUUGUCUAAUGUCCGCGUCCUGGAUUGCCGACAAGCGUGCGGCCCAAUCUUUGAGAUUAAUUGGUAGCAGAAGGUGAUUACGAUCCAGUACAAUCGCCCGCAUGUGAUGGAGGGCGUAGUAGGCAUCGUUCUGACCGCCAAGAAGCUUCUGAACACAGGGGAACGUCGUUAUGUGGGUGAACACGUGCUUGCCGUACCUACAAAUUUGCCUCUUGAAGGUGCCUCCAGAUUUGGUGUAGUCGGGGAGAGCAUCAUCAAGAACUUUCUUGAUAUUUGUGUAGUCUUUCUUGGACUGACGGUCCGAGCCGAAAUACGUGGCCAUGGAAUAUUUCGGGCUUAAGAGGAUGAGUGUGCAAUGUGUGUCACUGCACAACAUACGGAAUUUUAGAAAAAAAAAGAACGAUCGAAAUCUAAGAAAUUAUAUGUUACGGGGCGGUGAGGGGAUGACUUACUCGGGAAAGUAAGGCACGAGGAAGUUAUCCUUAUCCGUGUUCGCCAGAAUGACGCCUUCGAGGUAUGAACUCGCAACUUGCCGGUCCCCAGCGCUGCCCAAGAUCUUGGCACACAUGUAGAAGGGGUCGACUAUCACGAUGUCCGGGGUCUUGUCUCUAAUGAUCCGCAUCUCCAUACCAAGCAAAAAUAGUCGAAUGAAGGUGUAGUGUAGCGGAUGAAGGUUAAACAUAGCGAAGAUGCCAUCAAACCGCAUGACGAUCAUACCCCUGAUGGUGCUAUCGACAAAGCCCUUGCCCUCUGGCACCUUGGCCACGAAAACCAGGUAUGCCACAUCAUUCUCGGAGAGACGCCGCUUCUCCAAAGAAAGAACACUGUCAUGCAGACUCCGCAUAGCACCGGUUGCAGCAUUGAGCAGAUUAGUCGGUAGCAUCGGCCUACCCACCACAUGCACCCUCCUUGAGAUAUCCUUAGGUGAAGGUGGCCCGUCCUGAGCACGGAUCAUACUCGGUGCCGACUGGCUCACACCCUUGUUAGUCUUUCUUUUCCGUUCCUUCUUCUUCUGCUGCUGUAAUGGGAUCGAGUUCUGCUCAAAGACCACCUUCUUGAGUGUGUUGGGGCUGAUAAUAUUUCGCACCUCGGCUAUCUGAGGCUCGGUGAAGGCGGAAGCUGGAGGCGUAUCCUGAGAACUGAACGCCAUACAACGCCUAUUGCAAUUGGGUUUCUCCGUGGUACCAGCUAGAUCGCGAUCGUCUUUUGCAGGGUUGGGUUCUUGAGAAGGAGGCCCCAAGAAUUCGUCACCGUACCCAUGUUCGUUGAAGUACUUAUCGACGUUGGUAAAUGUACCAUCAUCGUCGUCCGGAUCCUGUGCCAUAUGCAUGUCCGGAUCAGCUGACAGCGGUAGCGUUGCGGCGGUCUUGCCAUGGCUUGGCGCCGGCACGACUGGCGGUGUUGUCUGUGGGGUGGUGUCCCCCGCCCCCAAAUGAAUCUGGCUCUUCGGCCAAAGCAUGUUCCAGCUUAUGCAGGCGCUGAGGGUCAUCACAUCAUCUUCGUCGGCCCCAGGGGGUCGAUACGGAGGUAACAAGUCGUCGCAGCCCCGCAGCCCCCGAACCAGUUGAACCCUAUACAUGGUGGGUGGCAUCGGAGUACCGUGGAACACGCUACUGCCCGGUUGAACGAUUCUGCCUUGGCGACAUCGAUCAACUCGCCAUCCACGAAGUGCAGGAGAGUGCAUGGAACAUCGACGGCGCCCUGCAAAAACAUGUAGGGCGUCAGGGAUGCCCAGUCAAAGACAAGGAGAUGAAGUUAUCGGCCGAGGCUUAGUUACCGUGAUGGCGUCGAGCUCGGCUAAUGUCGAGGCACCGCCAAUGACAGGCGUGCAAGUGACGGAGGGGCCGCUUGCUGCCGAGGUUCCGGCCAGCGUAUUCUUCCCACACCCGGGUGCAUUAAGCUCCAAUGCCGUCACCGGUGCAAGAGACACCAACACUACUAGGAAAAAGCUUAUAGACAGAGCAAUAGCAGCAGCGUGGGAAUGAAAGCCGCGCUACUACUAUUUAGUAGUAGCGCGGGUAAAAGCAGUGCGCUACUACUAAAAAAUAGUAGUAGCGCGGGUCUACUGUUUCCACACUACUACUAAAUAUCCCCAUGACAGCUUAUAGUAGCAGCGAGGGGUAUAAAAGCCGCGCUACUACUAUUUUCUAGUAGUAGCGCGUGCUGCUAUUCCCACGCUACUACUAUAAACUGACCGAAUCAGCUAAUGUACCCCACUUUAGCAGCAGCGAAGCACCCAUGGCCCGCGCUACAACUAGUGGCACCGCACCGCAACCCUAUCUCCUCCUCCAUCGCCCCUCCCCCUCCAUCGCUCCUCCCCCAACCAAUCUUGCCCACACCGCAGAUGCCUCCUCUGCCCCCAAACGACGGCGACAAGGACGCCGGCAACCCGCGUCUCCUUCCACCUCCCCCAGCUCGUCUUCUCGCCGGCCACUUUGGAGGAGCCUCCUUUUGUGCGCCACCGUGGUCGGGCUGCGGCGACCACCAGAGGUCCGCCGCCGGCAGGAUCUCCCUCCUUCUCCACUACGAGGAACCAGCAGAGGGGGACGACUCCUUCCAUCCCUAGCCGCGCCGUCCAACCUCUAACGCUGCUUGAAACCCUAUCCCGAAUCCGGCAGGGGUGCAGCAGCACGUGAUCCCCUACAAAAGUAGCAUCUUCUUCUUCCUCUGGUUCUUCUUCUUCUUCCCUGGGUCUGAUGCGUGCGUGUGUUCGCGUGGUUGUGUGCAGGCAGUUGAAGGAAGGGGCGGGCCAUGGAGAAGCUGCUAGGUGUGGGCCUGAAGCCAUGGAUGGGUAGCGGACGGCGAGGAGGCACUGAAUAGAGCGGCGGGCAAGGACGAAGUGAAGCUGCGUGCACCGUCGUCAUAUCCUUCCUCCACCUGCUGUUACUGGAAGCAAGCGCAGUACCAUCUUAUCUCAUCCACGAGGUGAGCUCCUGUCCGCGUGCCCGCGAGCUGCUUGUGUUUAUGCCCAUAUCGUUUUUCUGUUCACGACACCCCCAUGGCUGCCUACAGCCUCUGCCCACCUACAACCCUCAUUGUUUGUUUAGUGCUCAUUAACCCACAUUGAACGAUCCCAGUCGAUGAAUGAAUGCAUCUGGUCCAGCAAGAGGGGAGGGCAGAGCAGAGCAGGGCAUACAAUGUGUUUCUUUCCCAUAUACUUUUGCCUGCUUCAAGUACUAGUAUACGUAUGAUCAUCAUUAGAGGCUAAUCUCCUUUUUGCCGGGUCAUUGGAUGCUAAUCAUAGUUUAAGACGUUGGUCGGUCAAGUCAAGCAAAACUAGUACGUAUGUAGUGACAUGUGAUUCAUCGGUCAAGUCAAGCAAGACACAACUACACUCACUCUAAGUGACUCUGCUCUCCCCGUCCGGCCCUCGCAUCCGCCACUUGCUGCUCAGCCUUGCCGGCCGGCAACACAGAGUUUCGUCCUGCACUAUAUUUCUUGCUCAAUUGUUGUUAGUGCUUAGGUUGUACUAGUAGCAGCAGCAGAAGUACAAGAAGGGUUUCAGAUUUCUCACUUGUGCAAAGAAUAAGUUUAGUCAAUCUAAUAUUCAUACUUACACUGUAAAUCCCUAUGUACUUCUAGUGAAUUCCCUUUGUAAUGGUAGUGUUUGCAAUGUAAAAUUGCAUUGUAAGAUAGACUAAUAAAAGACUGAAACUACAGUACAAAUCAUUGUUACUAAACUGAAAAUAUUUAGACUGAAAAUAUGCACUGUAAUUUAAUGUGCAUUUUUGCCCAGUAAUGUGUAUUCCUUCUCUUUUUGGUUGCCUGAAUUUAAUGUGGUUUUGGACUGUAAUUUUCAGUAAUGUGUCACUUCUAGUUUACCUGAAUAUUUUUGUAUUCUUAUCAGUUUUGUGCCCCAUUCUAAAGAAGUUCAGUAAAUGUGUACGUCCCAUUCUGUAAAUACAAUAUUUUACAAACCAUUUAGAUACGACAACCUGAUCUUUGUUUCCUUUUUCACAAGAGCUAUUUUUGGCUUACAUGAAGGGAUGCAUGCUCUUCAUCUUGCAUGUAUGACUCAUCCUCGCAUUCUUACUUCGCCUUUGUUUCCUUCAGCUUCUUGAUUCUGAAAUUUUAAGAUAAAUUGUAAGUACUCAGUAUCAUGUUCUUAAGCAAAGCUACUGUUUUUUGCUUGAAUUACAGUGUUUUGUCUGACCUAUGUAUAGUGUCAAUGAAAUCUAAAUUUCAAGAUGGAGAUACAUUUUCUGGUGGCAUCUUACAUCACAGUAAUUUACAACCAAGAUAGGUUUACAAUGUCUUUUUGAUAGCAACUAUAAUGCAUAGCUUCAGAUUUUGUCGAACACACAUGUAUUUGUAUGCAUGACAAAUACUGGGGUCAAACAGAAUAACAAGUAAAACAUUCAUUUUGUCUUCAUACUUACUUGAAGGACUGCAUGUUCUUCAUCUUUGUAUGCCCCAUGUAUUUGCUUGUAAGCUUCAGUAGUGUUAUCUAUCUAGUCUGAUUUAUAUACUCCAUUCCUAAGCUGAAAUAUUUUUUGUAACUGAAAUAUAUAGUCUGAGUUUAUUUUACUGCCUUUUGUAGUAAAAGAAAAUGGAAAUCACAAAAAAAUGUUUGUUUCUCUGCCUUUUGUACUAAUGGAGAGGGAAAGUCACAAAAAAAUGUUUGUUUUUAGGGUCGAGCAGUCAGUUGGUUUGUUGCUCACUCAGAAAUGUUUUUGGUUUUUGGGGGUUCGAUGUGUACAUUGUGCAUCAGCAUACACUGCUAGUUGCCCGUGGAGAUCAGCACUGAAGAAUAAACAAAUCCUGGUAAUUCUUUCAUCUAGGAUGCUUAUGUCGUCUCGAAACUGUCAACCUGACUCAUAGAAUGAUCUUUUUAUUUAGGAUUCAUGGUUAUUUUUUCUUUUUCUUGUUAUUAUGCAUUACUAUAAGUUCAUUGUAUUAAGAUUCCUUACAACUUUAGGCACCUGAGCAAUUUACACAAGGAGGGGACCCAGCCUUCUUCACGGCUCGCGGCAGUGUCUCCCAUUGAUUCUUUCGUGCAACAAGGAGGGGACUCGCCCUUCUUCACGUCUCGUGCAACAAGUAAGGACCAGCCUCUGGCUAUACUAUUGAUUCGUGUGCAUGUGCUAAAAAGUAAGAAAAUACCCUACUGGAUUUGGACGCUGACGAGCACUAACAAGUUUUUACUUUCCCGACAUGGCCACAGGGGUGAUCGACGCGGACUACCGCUGCCUGGUGGGCGUCGUGCUCUUCAACCACUCGGAGGUGGACUUCACCGUGAAGCCCAGCAACUGCAUCGCACAGAUGAUCGUCCAGGUGAUCGUGACGCCAGAGGUCGCCGAGGUGGAGGACCUCGAUACCAUCGUUUGGGGGGAGGGAGGAUUGGGGUCCACCAGCAUCUGAACUCCGAGCCUUGGUAGAUACAUCUGAAGUGGUAUGUUUAGGCUGCUGGUGGAACACUAGGAAAGGUACCCACCUUUGGUUGUGUGCGUUUAUUGUUAAAUGGAAUCACGUGAUCUCUUGCAGUUGAGAUGUUCAAUGUUGCAUCUAUGAAUGGUGCAAGUGUUAAGAUGGUCCUCUGACCUUAAUUUAUUUUGCACUGGAUGUGUCUCUUAUCUUCAUCCAUGAAUGCUGCAUCUAAUUUUUAUUUUUUUAAUUCUUAAUUUGUUAGUAGUAGCGUGGGGGAAAAUGUGUGCUACUAGUAUUUAAGAUACUAGUAGCGUGUGGUAUAACAGAUGCGCUACUACUAUUCUGUUAUUAAUAGCGCGGGUUUCAGAUAGUAGUAGCAUGGGUGGCAUCCGUGCUACUACUAACUUUUUAGUAGUAGCGCGGGUUGCACCCAUGCUACUACUAACUUUUAGCUGUAGCGCGAUAUUAGUAGCGCGUGUACCCGCGCUACUAGUAGCCAAUUUACCCGCGCUGCAAGUAGCCUUUUCGCUAGUAGUGCAAUGCCGCCUCCACCGGAGACACCAGUGGCGCUGACGCGUUAUGCGAGUUGCUGCCCGUGAAGCUGGGAAUCGGGGGCGGCCCCUAUUGGCCGCCCGCAAUCCAUGCCUGCAGCCCCUGAACCAAUGUAGGCAUAAUGGUGGUGAUCAUCGCUCCCAGUUGGUCUCGCACUUGCUCUUGGACCAUCUCCGGAAUCUGCGCCACUUGUGCCUUGAGUUCUUGAACCUCGCGCUCCUGGCUUUCCGAGCUGGUCUUUCUCUCCUUUCGCCCAGCCGUAUAGUAUUCUGACCAUUUCGUGGACAAGCCUUUGCCGGCCACACGAGCAGCUAACGAUGGCUUACUGAACUUAUCCUUGUUUUUCGAUAUGUUCAACUCCGUAUUUAAAGUGGUGUCCCAAGGGGUAUUCGGGGACCCCGCGCUACUUCUUUCAGUUUCCUGCGGAAGGAACAUGAACCAUUUAGAAAUUUGGCUUCAUUAAUUAGAAUGGAACCAUAUGGAGCUAAUUACGCGGGGGUGUAUUCCUCACCAGAACAAGCUCAAGCGCCUUGGUCUUCGGAUCCGUGGUAAGCUCCUUUGUGACUGGGUCCAUCUUGUACCGGGCCCUGACAUAGUUCCUGGUGUGCUUGUCAUGGUAUUUAUCGAAGAGGGGCGGUAGGCCUUGCUUGGCACGCCCCGCGUCCUCCUUGUCCCAUAUAGGUUCCGCCACUCUGUAACCGUCGGGACCGAGUUUGUGGACCCCUAAGUUCAAGUCCCGCAUUUCUUUCCCCCACUGACUUGAUUCCGCGGAUGCGUUGCUCUUGCACUUGAUCUUGAACUUCCGGUAGUCAGCUUCGCUGAUCGAAGGAUUUUUCUCCUUGAUCUUUUCAUAACAAUCACCAUGUAGAAUCCUAUGCCUCACCGCGCCUCUCCAAGUAGACAGGGCCGUGCUCAUCUUCGUGAGGGCAGCAUUGUUCACUUUACUCCCUGAGAGGCGUGUGUUUGCAAAGUCAUCGGGGAACUUGUAUCGUUCAUGCAACUUCGUGAAGAGGAGGUUGCACAAAUUCCCUCGGUCACGAUGCCUUAGGUUCUCGGUGUUGAUCGAGACGGUGCUCCGGAGAAUGCACCCGAGUUGUUCCGGGUACCCACUGACUAAUUCUUUAGGCGCAGUUGGAUAACCACUGGAGGACACUUCAGUAAAUUCCUCCUUGACGGUGCCGAGCACGUUCGGGCGCCGGUCCUUCCAUUGCCUCUUCGGUUGGCUGCCAUCUGUGCGUGCACUGCCAUCAUCAGUGUUGGCAACCUCGGCGGCACCAUAAGUGGUGUCAUCCCCGACGCCACUAGGGGUUGUGUAGUCGAGAUCAGUGUCUUCCGCGGCGUCCUCAUAGCGGUGAGGUUCUUCCUCCAUCUCCUGGGACAGCUCCCAGAAUGCUUGCUCGAACCGCCGACCUCAUCAUUGUGGGCCAUGUUCGCUCUAAAUAGGAAAAAAGUUUGGUCAAAAAGUUGGUUAUUGUCAAGGAACAAGAUCUCUAAGUUGACCAAAUAACCUAAUUCUCGAGGAAUGUCGCCAAAAAGUUGGUUAUUAUCAAGGAACAAUUGAGAGAUGUUUGUGAUAUUGCCUAGGUGUUUUGGGAUGGAACCUGUUAGUGUGUUGUUGCUAAGGUCCAAGUCCCUUCCUAACCCCCUUCUUCUUGUCUCCUCUCACUAUCUCUCUCACACACAUGGAAAGCAAGGGUGUCUGAGUAUGUGAAAAAAUACUAAACUAAUCCAAGGGCUGAAAAUUGAUCAUCUGUUUCAGAUUGCAGUUUUCUUUCUUGGGGCUUCGGUGUGUGAUACAAAACUGAAUUUUGGAAAUCUACAGAAAUUGUUAGGAAUUGUCUUAGUCAAGAGGUGCUAGCAAAUGGCUUAAAUGUAUCAGGUCCUACUCUAGUUUACUCCAGUUUAGGUUGCAGUAGAAAUGCACCACUAUGGAGUAUCAGGUCCCUAGCAAAAAUGCACUAGAGAGCAAGCAAUACUGGUACUCCAAUUUUCACAGAUUAAAGCAAUACUGACUGCAAGCAAUAUUGCAAAAUUACAGAGAACCAAAAUUGCAAAAUUCAGUACUCCAUAACAUUACUGAAACUUUACUGUGCUUCAAACUAUACUGAAACUUUACUCCAUAUAUAUAUGAUCAUUUUUGUUUGAAAAGUUUCAUUUAAUUUUGUGUGGAGUAGUUUUAAUUAAAUAAAGUUUUUAACUGCUUGAGAUGAGAGAAAUGAGAAGAAGAGAGAAGGUCUACUGCUUGCAAGCAUAGCUGCUUGCAAGUCCUACAGUAAAUGGUUUCAGUUAAACAUCUAUUAUUUAUUCCAUAAGAAUAGCAAAUCAACUGCAUCUGUCCUACAUUGAGCCUGAUUUCCCUUGGCACGGUGAGACAAUUUCAUUUAUUUGCAUCUUCUUUGAAAAAAUACAGUUGGAAUAUCACCCAUUGUGUUGCCUAAAAAAUGUCAUGCUAAAUACACAUACAUGUAGUUUAUCGAGUGAUGGACAAAAAAAAUUGUUGAUCCUACUUAAUUAAGUACUAAGAUGCAUUAGUCGCAAGUACCGCAUAUGUCCUAUUUUUAGCAAAGUCAUGCUAAAAUUCACGGAAAAUUUCACUAUGACCUUUGCUGAAAAUAGGACACAUGGAGUACCCGAAUUUGCCGGAACGGAAGUUAAUCGACAUUCCGGCAAACUCAAGGGCCUCUCGGGGUACCUGCAAAAUCAUUAUCCCACCCCCGCCCCGCUGCAACCCCACAACACCCCAUAAUAUCAUCACGACAUGAUGGUCGGAGAAAAAACCUCCCAAUAUCAUCUAGACAAAACCCAGCAAUAUAUCUUCUAGCCAUGAAACCCUACCCUGAUUCUCCUUUUCUUCCUCUUUUUUCACUUAAACCCGCAAACAUGUAGGGAAAACAAUUAAUACAAGGCACAGAAAUGGCAUGCUAUGUAGCCUUAAUGCUACAGAACAUAUGAAAUACAUGCCAGCAAUAUAUAUGAUAUAAACUCCAAUAAUUUUUGAAUAAAAAUAGGAGCUAAAAACAGUAGCAAGCAAGCAAUUCAUUUGACUAACUAUUUAAAACAGUAGCAAGCAAGUUGUUUUCAUGGCUGUGCAUGGCUCACUUGAUACCAUGCAUGGUUUAUUAAUUCAAGGGAAACUAGAAGAGACCAGAUUAAUUCAUGGGAAACUAGAAGAGACCUGGUCUUUGUCUCUACCAUUUGGUGGCAUGAAUUAGUUAACACCGUAAACAAAGGUACUAUUUUUGCUAGCAAGCAAGCAAGUAUAUAAACAGCUCAAGCAAGCUUCCUGAAGAAUAUUAACAAAAUUUAUCUGUACCAAUGAACUAAAUCUAUCUGCUACCACCUCUCGGCCUCUUGCGAAAGAAGAUCAGAGGAAGCAUAUCAAUGAACUAAAUCUAUCAGUUUUGCUGAAAUAAUAAAGCUCUAACAAAAGUGAUUUUUAGCACCCAGAUACAAGCAUAUGAAGCAAAUUUUAUGACAGUAUAUACAACAACUUAUCCUCUUAAGCCAAAACAACUUUGUAAAAGCCAGAUGCAACUUGUUGAGCUAAUUUUGAGCAGAACUCCUUGAGGAACUAGCAGCAAGGAGUGGCUAGAACUACAAACAGUGGCUAGAACUGCAUAUUUACACAUUAAAGGACACAAACUCAAGCAAGCUUUCUGAACAAUACCCUGACAGAAAACAUAGGACAAGCAAUGAAUUUCUAUAACUAGCAGAGAUCAUGUGCAGCUGCAGUGAAUCAUUUGUAUUCUUGUUGCUAAAACUUGCCAAGUUUGUGUCUAGGUAAGGAGCAGAAAGAAGAGGAGCCAAGCAAUUUCUAAUUGAUUUCUAGCACUGGUUUAGUAGUGGAAAGAUCAAUUAAUUUAUAUGCUAAUUGGUCCGUGAAGUGCAUGUUUCUAACACAACUAAAAAAAUAGGUUAAUUGAUUGUUGAAGUUCUGACCCAGAAAUGCAAAAUGGUGAUGGAGCUCAUGUGCUCCUGAAUCACAGCCGCACAACUUAUUACUUGGGAUAGGUGACCUGCACUGUAUUUGGCAAUGUAUUCUGAUUGUAUUUCGAUUUUUGGUGUUUGCCAUGUGAAAACAUUGAUAAUAGUGGAGCCAGUAGAAUAAGCCAUCACCUCUAUGCUGCCUGACCACAUUUAUUAGAAAUCUGGAACAGCACUGGACAGAUGCAAACUUUCAGAACCUCAAAAAUAUAUGGACAUUUCAAUUGAAUCAAUAAAAUGUACCCUUAUAAGAGAAGCGGUAAAACGCAAGUCCAAAAGUAUGUUUAGGGCCUAUGUUAACAAUAAGCAAUUAACUGAAGUCAAUCACACCUUUUGUGUGUGUAUGAGGUUGAAUAAGUAUCAAAAUAAUGAUACACUGAUGCUCCUGUUUAAGACAUGUAUAAUGAGCAUUUUGAAACAGAUCAUUUUCGUAUUAGCUCUCCAAAUAUGUGACGGACAAAAGCUAUACCAUGAUGGCUCAACAAUGACAAUCAACUUACAUAGUUAAGCAAAAUUGAUGUAUACUGUCACUGUUAGGUGAAACACAAAAAAUCAAGGCAAGGGUUGCUACUUUUACCAACUGUUAGACUAAGUUAUAUAUCAACGAAGAGUUUACACAGGUUUUAGACUGAUUGAUUAUACUUCAGACACAUGUAAGUAUAUCCAUGCAUAAAUAUAAUAUUUCUAACCUUCUAAGAACAUGGGAACUAACAUCCAUCUACAUAAAUGAAAUAUGACAUAGUGAUAUCCAUCUUUCAUGCAAUUUUUAGUGCAGUUUGCAUAUGGCACAAAUCAUUUCUCGCUAGCUCUGCAUAGAUCCCAAAUUGCAUGCAAACGACCCCUAGUUCUUCACCAAACCUAGCCAGGAGGGCGGGGGUGGGGCUCCUCUCAUGACCUAAACCUAGCAAAAGAGAGAAGAAGAGGGCAUGACCGGGAGGGAGGAGAGGAGGAAGAGAGGAGAAGAGAGGCAGAGGGAGAAGGGCAAUGAAGAUUACCUGACCACGAUGAGGUGGUGGCCGGAGCGGAGACGACAAAGGGCGGAGACGGCGAGCUUGGGGGAGGCGGGGAUAUACGGCGGGGAGGUCGCGAGGUGCUCGGGCCUCCUCUCCUGGUGGACGCGGGCCUCCUCCUCCUAGUGCUCCGGCGGCGCAGUGGGUCGGGGUAGCGGCGUGCAAUGGGUCGUGGCUGAGAGAGAUGUGAGAUGGGGAUCNNNNNNNNNNNNNNNNNNNNNNNNNNNNNNNNNNNNNNNNNNNNNNNNNNNNNNNNNNNNNNNNNNNNNNNNNNNNNNNNNNNNNNNNNNNNNNNNNNNNNNNNNNNNNNNNNNNNNNNNNNNNNNNNNNNNNNNNNNNNNNNNNNNNNNNNNNNNNNNNNNNNNNNNNNNNNNNNNNNNNNNNNNNNNNNNNNNNNNNNNNNNNNNNNNNNNNNNNNNNNNNNNNNNNNNNNNNNNNNNNNNNNNNNNNNNNNNNNNNNNNNNNNNNNNNNNNNGGGGAUCGGGGAUUUGGGAUUUUAGUGGGGGGAGGGGGGGGGGGUUAGCAAUGGUGCACCUCCUAGCGGUGCGCCAUUAGUAACUUUUUUUUGGAUAGCAAUGGCGCACCUCCUAGCGGUGCGCCAUUAGUAACUUUUUUUGGAUUUUUGGUUGUAUUCAUUUGUGAAUUGGUAAAACAUUUAUGAAUAUGAAAAAAUAUCAUCAAAUUUGAAAAAGUAUUCAUGAAUUCAAAAAGUGCCCAUGAAAUUUAAGCAGGAAAAGGAACACUCAAAAAUAAGAUACAAGAAUAAAUAUAAAUAAAAAUUUGUAUAUCAAUGGCGCACCUCCUUUGGGUGCGCCAUAAAUACCUUCAUAGCAAUGGCGCACCCUCCCCUAGUGCGCCAUUACUAACUAUUUUUUUGGAUUUUUAGUUGCAUCUAAUAAUUAUUUAGAAAAUGACGAUCAAAUUUGAAAACAUUUAUGAAUGUGUAAAAAUAUCAUCAGAUUUCAAAACAUUUAUGAAAAAAAUAUGAAUAUGAAAACAUUUAUGAAUAUGAAAAAAUAUCAUCAAAUUUGUUAUUUGAUUUUUUUUGGAUUUUUAGUUGCACCUAGUAAUUUUUUAGAAAACAUUUAUGAAUAUGAAAAAAUAUCAUCAGAUUUCAAAAUAUUCACGAAUUCAAAAAGUGCCGCCCAUUUCCAUAUGUCGAAAUACAAUUGAGAAAUGAAGGCUACAAUUUAAAUACAAUCGAUCUUAGCUAGCUAUCUUUUCACAAUCUUCUUGCCCUUAUUUUUCGCAAAUGGAGUUCUUCUCUUGAACGGACGUCCUUUAGGUUGGGUGGUCCUGCUUCUUCUUGUGGUGUAUGCUAGUAUUUCAUCAUCGUCGUCAUGUUCCAUCUUCGGGUCGCCGUACUUGUCGAAGUCUUGCUCAUUGGCGACUCCAUCCAUUCCGAUGAUCUUCCUUUUGCCUCUGCUUACGACAACACGACUGGGCUUUGACGGGUCGGUAAUGAAGAAGCAUUGGUCCACUUGGGAAGCCAGUACCCAUGGCUCAUUUUUCGCGGUGACGUUUGCGCCCGCGGUCUUGGAUUUGGCUUCGGGUAUAACCAUGGUGGUGAAAUACCGGUCUUCUUUUAGGACGCUCUUGGCCCAUCUGACACAAAACAUCGGGACCUUCUCUCCAGCGUAGCACAGCUCCCAGAUCUCCUCGAUCCUUCCGUAGUAUCUGUCCUUGUCGUUACCGGUGUAGGAUUCCAUCGUUACCCUAGAGUUCUGAUAACCAUCGCUCUUCAUGUCCUUUUCCUCGGUGUAGAAUGUAUAGCCGUUGAUAUCAUAUGCCUCAUAGGUCAUCAGGUUGUGCUCGGCGCCCUGUGACAAGGCAAAUAUGAGUUUUUCUUCCGCGGAAGAAUCCUCAUGUAAAGGGUACGACAGAAGCUUAUCCUUGAACCAACGCGUGAAACAUGAGUUGUGCUCUUUGAUUAUAUCUCCGUCCAUCCUCUGUUGGCCUUGGUCAUUGUAUGUCUUCUCAAUAAAGGUUUUGUGCUCUACCACCCAAGGAUCGACCACGUCUAUGUGUUGUAGCGCGACUAGGUUUGCUCUUUCAAAGUCAGCGAGUCGACCCUCGAAGUCGACAUGCAUUUCACGGCGACCCUCGCGGUGACCCCAUCCGGCGAGCCUGCCAAGGUGCCUGUUGACGAGCAGACCAAUGGGAUUCUCGAUGCCUAGAUAAUUCAUGUAGUAGGAGAUGCACUCUUUGGUCAGAAAGCCCCUGGCUAUGCUUCCUUCUAUACGUGACAUGUUGCGAACAUAUCCUUUGAUGACACCAUUCAUCCUUUCGAAUGGCAUCAUGCUGUGCAGGAACGUCGGCCCAAGUUGGAUGAUAUCCUCCACGAUAUGGACCAGCAGAUGCACCAUAACGUCGAAGAAUGCGGGCGGGAAGUACAUCUCAAGCUCGCAUAGUAUCACCACAAUCUCUUCCUGUAGCCUUCUGAGUUGCCUCAUGCCAACCGACUUCCGAGAGAUGAUGUCGAAAAAGUUGCAUAGGCCAAAAAGCGUUUCAUGGACGUGCGCAUCCAUGAUCCCACGGAUUGCAACUGGAAGUAUCUGCAUCAUCAGCACGUGACAGUCGUGAGACUUCAUCCCGCUGAACUUCUGCUUCACUGAGUCUAGGUAUAUGCUUAUCUUCCCCGCGUAACCGUAAGGAAGUUUUACUCCUAUGAGGCAGGUGAAAAACAACUCGAUCUCGUCCUGACUUAGAGUGAAGCACGCGGGAGGGAAGUCAUUUCCGAUCUUCUCGGCCUUUUUGCCUUUGCGAUGACUUUCCGUGUCCUUCGCCUCAUCCUCAUCCUCAUCAUCAUCAUCAUCAUCAUCAUCAUCAUCAUUAGCAUGAAGCUCCUCCCUGAUGCCCAUUGAUUUCGAGUCUGCCCUUGCUAUUGGCCCAUCUUUGGUCCUCUCUAGCAUGUUGAGCAGGGUACCAAGCAGACUCUCGCACACGUUCUUCGUGAUAUGCAUGACAUCAAGGCUGUGAGGCACACGGAGGAUCUUCUAGUACGGCAAGUCCCAUAAAAUAGACCUCAUUUUCCAUACCUUCAGCAGCGGCUCUGGUGCCUUUCACUUCUUUCCCAGCUCCGGCGUCUUUCCCGGCGGUGGGCACCCUUUCCAAUUUUUCAACAACUCGUCUAUUUCCUCGCCGCUCCUCGUACGCGGGCUUCUUCGGGGUUCGGUUUCACCAUCAAACAGAUCCUUGCGUUUUCUCCAUGAGUCAUCAUCGUGAAGCCACGUUCGAUGUCCCAUGAACACGGUUUUCGAAGACCCGGGAUCUCUAUCUAGCUGGCGAUAUGUUGUGUCAUCCAUGCACCUGACAUAUCCAGAACAUCCGUGGACCACCUGCCCCGCGACAUAUCCGUAACCGAGAUAGUCGUGCACCGUCGUGAGCAGUGCGGCUCUCAUAGGGAAAUAUUCUUUCUCUGCGGCGUCCCACGUAUUGGCUGGCGUUUUCCACAGCGUGUCUAGCUCCUCUUUCAGCAGCACCAGAUACAGAUUGAUGUUGUUCCCUAGUUGUUUCGGCCCUUCAAUUAGCAUACUCAUGUGAAUGUACUUCCUCUUCAUGCACAACCAGGGGGAAGGUUGUACAUCCACACAAACACAUGACAGGUGCUAUGUGUGCUUCUCUGGCUGCCAAAUGGAUUGACUCCAUCGGUGCUCGUGCCCAGCACGAUGUUCCUUGGAUCGUUCCCAAAUUCAGGGUGUUCGAAGUUCAAUGCUUGCCACUGGCUCGCAUCCUUAGGGUGACUCAGCAUCUUGUCUUUUUUAUUUAUCUCCGAAUCAUUUUCGUCAUCAUCUCACUUCUUCUCCUCCCUAUCCGCGUGCCAACGCAUGAGCUUUGCUACCUUAGGGUCCACGAAAUACCGCUGCAGACGAGGAGUGAUCGGAAAGUACCACACCACUUUUCGAGGAGCUUUCUUCCUCUUCUUGUAUCGAGUGAUGCCGCACAUCGGACAUAAUGGUAGACUCCGCAUGCUCGUUCCGAUAAAUGAUGCAAUUGUUCAUGCACACAUGAUAUUUCACAUGCGGAAAGUUCAAAGGACACACGAUUUUCUUCGCCUCCUCGAAAAUGGUCGGGCACUUGUUCCCCUUGGGAAGACGUUCGUGCCAGAAUGACAUGUUCUCGUCGAAGCAUGCGUCGAUCAUUUUGUGUUUUACCUUCAUCUCCAGAGCCAUGAGCGUUACUUUCAGGCAGGUAUCCUCGGGCCCGCAUCCUUCAUACAAUGGAGUAACUGCGUCUAUCUUCAGUUGAUCCAGCUUGGCUUUCUCUCGGGCGGCAGCUCUUGUGUUAUCCGUCUGCUUGAGAAGCAGCUCUUGAAUAUGAGGGUCCUGCACCCAGCCCAUCGAUGGUCCAUCGUCGUCUGCUCCGGCAUCUUCAUCUUCAUGAUCAUGCAUUUCGUCUUGAUCUUCCUCAUCAUCUUGUUUGGCAUCUUCUACAUGAUGACUGUGUACUGCAUCUCCUUCGUGAUCAUGUCCUAGAGAUUCUUUGUCUUCUCGCCCGCCCUCAUCGCGGUUGUCUUGCUGCCCUUCCUCAUUUCUUGCCAGGCCCCCAUGGACGACUUCAUAAUCAUCUUCAUCACCUUGCCACCGAUAUCCAUCCAUGAAACCAUGCAAGAGCAGGUGGUCCCGCACCUUUACGGAAUCCGGGUCCAUAAGGCUCUUCAGCUUGCAUCUUCGACACAGACAUUUUGUCUCCGUCUCGUUCUUUUGAAGCAUCUCGGCCUUCGUGAAGCUCAAAAACCUAUUCACGAUGCCUUCGGUCAUCGUGCAGACCAUGGUCGCCUGCGGGGUAGAGCAAAAUGAUAUUUUACAACCAAAAAAAAUUUGGCAUGACUUUGCCUAAAAAUAGGACCAAAAAGAAUGCACAGUGCCAAAUUCUCGCCGAAACGGAAAUGAAUCAACAUUCCAGCAAAAUAGUGGCAACUAUCAUAUUUCAAAUACCGGUACCUCCAAACACAAACAUAUGCAACACCACGAACAUAUGCAACACCACAAACAUACGUAGAUCUAGGCCAUAAAAAGUGCAUGUGCACGUUGUUGGAGGGAGAAAAAGUAGAUCUAGAACAUAAAGAAAGCUUUCCCCUUAUUUAACUAUCAAAAAAAGGAAAUUUAACCACUUAAUUUGGGUGAAUCUAUGGUGCAAAUGAGGUGAGGAGCAGGAGGCAGCCGAGACAAGCUUGGAGGAGGAGGUGGAGAGAAUGAAGUGGGGAAAGUGAGUGUGGUAGGUGGCUGUCCAAAAUAUCUAGCUAGUCCCAGGUUACCAAUGGUGCACCACCUAAGAAUGCGCCAUUAGUAAGGGUUACUAAUGGUGCAUCUGGUGUGUGAUGCGCCAUUAAUAGUUUUGCAAAAAAAUAAAAAAAUAAUUGUUAGUAGUGGCGCACCGCGGUUGUGGUGCACCAUUACUAGUUUUGAAAAAAAAGUAAAAAAAAUUGUUAGUAGUGGCGCACAGUGUGUGUGGUGUGCCAUUACUAGUUAAAACUAAUAAUGGUGCAUUGUAAGCUGGUGCAUCAUUACUAGUUUUGGAAAAAAAAUGUUAGUAGUGGCGCACCGUGGGUGUGGUGCGCCACUGUUAUAUAGCAGUGGCGCACUAGCAGUGGCGCACCACAUACCUGGUGCGCGAUUAAUGUUCAUACUAUUUAUAACCCUUUUCCUAGUAGUGUGAGGAAGAUGGGCCAAAUUAGGAGCGCGUGGAUGAAGACGUUUACCAGGUUGUUGUGGUACGCGCCGGCGCCGUAGAAGGCGAAGUGCCGGUCCAAGUCGAGGAAGCCGCCGCCGCGAGCCAUUGAGAGAUUCGUCGACCAGGCGCUGCCACUUCCAAACAAAUGAGUUGCGAUGGAGGAGGUAGAUUAGAGGAGGUCGUGGAACAUGGGCCGAGGGGCGGAGCGGCAAUGGGAGGAACGGAUUGGGGGACGGCGGCGCCUACAUCUCAAACCCAAAGAGAUAAUGCGAGGAGGCUCCCGUGCUGGAUGGGUUGCAUGUUGCGUGAUUGUAGGGGUUGCGGGGGAGAGAUGUAGGGGACGCGGGACCGGUAGUUACAAGUUUUUUCGCUGGUGGAGGUGAAGGUGGAGUACGGUCAGUCAUUGGAAAUUUCUAAGUGCACAUCACAGAUUUAUUGGAUCAAUGAUGGCUGUUAGACUAAGAUUUGUGGGAUUAAUCUUGUGGUGCUGAUCGGUUCAGGAGGGGUUGUGGGUCUAAUUGCUGGGUAUACGUAAGAAAGUUCUUGUUUGAUUGUUUAAUAGUAGUGUAGAUAACCAGCAUCGAGGGUUUUAGGAGGUUCCCUAUCUCCAUGAGUAGCAAGUACACCUAUUUUUUUUUAAUAUUUCGUGUUCCAUAUGCACAACUAAAGAUAGAGAACAACAAAUAAAAUCUACUUUAGUGAUAAAGCAAACAAGCACACACGAGAAUAUUCAUCCUACGCGAUGACUCCCCGGCAACGGCGCCAGAAAAAGGUCUUGAUAACCCACAAGUAUAGGGGAUCAAUUGUAGCCUCUUUCAAUAAGUAAGAGUGUCGAACCCAAUGAGGAGCUAAAGGUAGAACAAAUGUUCCCUCAAGUUCUAUCUACCAUCAAUACAACUCUACGCACGCUUAACGUUCGCUUUACCUAAAACAAGUAUGAAACUAGAAGUACUUUAUAGGUGUGAUAGGAUAGGUUUGCAAUAAUAUAAAGAGCACGUAAAUAUAAAGUAGGGGCUGUUUUAGAUAAAGAAGCAAUAAAGUUAGUAUAGCGAGUGUGGAAAAGUGGUGAUAGGAGUUGUGAAAUUGUCCCUAAGCAAUUAACUACUUUACUAGACCGAUAGCAAGUUUUAUGUAGGAGAGGCCACUGCUAGCAUGUCAUCCCUGACUUGAAAUUCUAUGCACUUAUGAUUGGAACUAUUAGCAAGCAUCCGCAACUACUAACAUUCAUUAAGGUAAAACCCAACCAUAGCAUUAAGAUAUAUUGGUCCCCUUCAAUCCCCUAUGCAUCAAUUUCUAUGCUAGGUUGAAGCUUCUGUCACUCUUGCCCUCCAAUACAUAGUCCUAUCAACAUACAACUAACCCUAUGGUGUGAUCCACGCGCGCGCUCAUAUGAUGGGCACCAAAGGACAUCAACAUAACCACAAGCAAAUUAAACCAAUCAUAACAAUUCAUCAAUUACCGAUAGGACAACGAAAAUCUACUCACACAUCAUAGGAUGGCAACACAUCAUUGGAUAAUAAUAUGAAGUAUAAAGCACCAUGUUCAAGUAGAGGGUACAGCGGGUUGCGGGAGAGUGGAGCGCUGAAUAUAAAUGGGGGAAGGUGAUGGAGAUGUUGGUGGAGAUGACGGAGGUGUUGGUGUAGAUCGCGGUGAUGAUGAUGGCCCCCGACGGCAUUCUGACACCACCAGAAGCGAGGGGGAGAGAGCCCCCCCUUCUUCUUCUUCCUUGACCUUCUCCCUAGAUGGGAGAAGGUUUUCCCCUCUGGUCCAUUAUCUCCAUGGCGUGGGAAGGGAGAGAGCCUCUCCGAGAUUGGGUCUGUCUCUCUGUCUCUCUUUGUUUCUGCGUUUUCAGAUUCUGCCCUUUCACCGUUUCUUAUAUUCUCGGAGAUCUGUAACCCCGAUUGGGUUGUCCUUUGGACACGAUUUCUAUUUGGAUAUUGGCUUUCUUGCGAUGAAAGAAGGGCACCAACCGCCUUACGGGGUGGCCACGAGGGCCCAGGGCACGCCUGACCCCCUGGGGCGCGCCCCUGCCUCAUGGCCCCCUCGGGCAUCGUCUCGUGUUGAUUCUUCUUCUCAAAAUUCAUAAAUAUUCCAAAAAAAAUCUCUGUCCGUUUUUAUUCCGUUUAAUUUGGACUCCGUCUGAUAUGGGUUUCUACAAAACAUACAACAGACAGGAACUGGCACUGGGCAUUGGAUCAAUAUGUUAGUCCCAAAAAUAAUAUAAAAAGUUGCCAAAAAUAUAUGAAAGUUGAAUAAUAUUGACAUGAAACAAUAAAAAAUUAUAGAUACGACAAAGACGUAUCACCGGCCGGUUGUGCCGAUGUCGGAGUAGAGGCGUGAGAUGUCGACGACGGCGGCGGGCGACGCAAACCGGUCAAGCAUAGAUCGAAAAACCAAAAAGAAAAACGCUGAUCAAAACGACGGCGAGAGAGCGAAAAAACCCGGAGCAAGGGCUCGGAUAAAAGACUCUAGGGCAGCCGGCCAACACGGCCGGUGGACGACCCCUAGGUUUGGGCGGCGCGGCCCCCGACGGCGGUCAUGGAGGCCGACCGCCCCAGGGGCAGCGCCCGGGUGCGGAAGAGGCGACGACUAGAGUUUAGGAUCGAGAUAAGGCUGAUAGCAUGUUAGAAAGGAUAGAGGGAUUUGUGGAAUAAUUUGAUGUAUUGCUUGAGCCUCGUGGACAUAUAAAUAGGAGUACAAAGGUCAAUUUGGAUUACAAGACAAGGCAAGACCAAAUUCUAGUCUAUCCUAUACUUCCUAAUAAUCCUUAUACUCAACAAUAAUGAUUUGACAAUGGUCGUCUUUGUCUUAUACUCUGCUUUUUUUUCUAUGCUCUGCUUAAUAAUUGAUACAAAAUAAUUGUGUACAUCGUUAAUUUUUUUUGACAAUCAUGAUCGUGUACAUCUUGAUGCAAAGGCAACCCCUUUUCUUCUAAGGAAAAAAAAUCUUGCAUGUACAUGUGGUUUGGCAUGGGAUCGGCAACACUUGUGGUGCUACCGACGAGUGAAAGCGUGCCGGAUUUUAUUUCUCCGACCCCGUGACAAAGCCGCUGCAGUGUACGUAACACAAAGUUAUACGUCGUCUUUUUUUCUUUUGAGUAACAGUUACACGUCAUCUUUGCUUUAGGACACCGCUAAGAGUAUCUCCAGCUGUAGAGCCCCCCAGGAGGCAUUUUUAUCGCCCCUUGGGGGGCUGCCGGUGAAUUUUUUUUGCCUGCGAUCGAGAAAAUAUCCACUCGUUUCGUCCCCCACACACGUUCUGCCCCCCCUACUCUUCCUCGAGCUCCCCUCCUCUGCGACCGCGGCUGCUUCCUGACGACGACGACGACGCCGCCGACGGCUGCUACCCUCUGCGUGGACGACUUUUGCGUCUCGCCAGCCUUCCGCGGCCGCUUCCGCCGCGACGUCCCGCAGCCCGCGCGUCCGCCACGCCGGGCGACGAGGAGGAAGCAGGGCGCGCGCGUCCGCCCGGCGUCCAGGAAGCAGGGCNNNNNNNNNNNNNNNNNNNNNNNNNNNNNNNNNNNNNNNNNNNNNNNNNNNNNNNNNNNNNNNNNNNNNNNNNNNNNNNNNNNNNNNNNNNNNNNNNNNNNNNNNNNNNNNNNNNNNNNNNNNNNNNNNNNNNNNNNNNNNNNNNNNNNNNNNNNNNNNNNNNNNNNNNNNNNNNNNNNNNNNNNNNNNNNNNNNNNNNNNNNNNNNNNNNNNNNNNNNNNNNNNNNNNNNNNNNNNNNNNNNNNNNNNNNNNNNNNNNNNNNNNNNNNNNNNNNNNNNNNNNNNNNNNNNNNNNNNNNNNNNNNNNNNNNNNNNNNNNNNNNNNNNNNNNNNNNNNNNNNNNNNNNNNNNNNNNNNNNNNNNNNNNNNNNNNNNNNNNNNNNNNNNNNNNNNNNNNNNNNNNNNNNNNNNNNNNNNNNNNNNNNNNNNNNNNNNNNNNNNNNNNNNNNNNNNNNNNNNNNNNNNNNNNNNNNNNNNNNNNNNNNNNNNNNNNNNNNNNNNNNNNNNNNNNNNNNNNNNNNNNNNNNNNNNNNCGGCGGGUAGCAAGGAGACGGCGGCCAGGAGGCGUGGCGGCGAGCGCGGCCGGAGCGAGGAGCUCUGCUUGCUGCUUGCGGAGAGAGAGGAGAGAGAUCCUUUUUUGCAAGUGGGUGGGGUGGGCCUGACAGAAAAAGGGGGGGAGAGAGAGAGAGUAGAGAGGCUGGCUGGUGGGGUUUGCAUGCAGGAGAAGUAGCGCCGGGCGUCCCAAGUGCAUCCCAAGGCGCUGGGUUUUACCCGGGGUCGCCGGCGCUGUUUUCGCAGAAAUCUGGCGCAAAACGAGGGUGUGGGGGCGUGACUGCGAGCAUUUUUUACAACCGGCGCUAAAAAAGGUGCUUGGGGGGCGUAUUGGGGAGCCUAGUGGAGAUGCUCUAACGCACACACGUGUGAUGGAAGUCAAACUCACCCACACGCCUUAUAGAACAUAGACUUCGUCAUGUCACCGCAUGCAUGCAUGUGGAAUUUCUUUUGGAUUUUCUGUUUUAAAAAUGUUUUAUCUCUUAAAUGAAAAAUCCGAUUGAAGAUUCGUUUUCACCAUUAAAUCCCUCGCGACGAGAUCAUCGAAACUAGAUCUCAUAUCAAUAUAUUUCAAUGAUUUUUUUGGGGUUAAAAGUUGCCGUGUCUAUUGCACAUGAAUUGCCAUGAUGUUUACACUAAAGUUGAAAUGAUAUGUUCCACCUAUUUUUUCUACAUUUAAAAGUAAAUUUUGACAUAUUAUAAAACAAGGAAUUAAGAAACUAGACUUGUCAUGCACCAUAAAUUAAAAUUGUCAUGAUACAUGCACUUAAAAUUGCCAUGAUUCAUACAAAAAAAAUAUUUUCAUGGUAAAAGUACUGGAAUUGCCAUCAUCAAAAAACUAAAAUUCUCAUGAUCUACAAACUAAAAUUGCCACAUGGCAACUUUAGUUUAAGCCCUAUGACAACUGCAGUGUAAACAUGAUAGCAAUUUUUAGGCAAAAAAAUUUCAUCGAAACAUAUCAAUGUAGGAUCUAGUUUUGAAGAUCCCGUCGAGACGGAUUUAAUGGUGAAAACAGACUUUUAAUUUGCUUUUUUAAUUAGGAGAUAAAACAUUUUUAAGCCGAAAAUAAAAAAAAAUCUGCUCAUGUCAUCUGUUUAUACGUGGCAAAAUGAGUGGUGAUGGAGGCGUGUGGACGAUGUGCAAACGCCCACACGUUUUUCCGUUGCUUUAAGACUAACCAAGCUGGUAAUUAUCCACCAAUCCUGCCCAUUUAUGAUGGAAGUGGAUUCUCUACCAUUAAGAAGGGAAGUCACCUAAGAUAUAGUGCAAUCUAGUGCAAAACAAAGAAGGAAAGGCAAGGGCACUGUGGCAAAUAUUGUGUUUAGCUACUAUAGCAGGUUAUGUGCGUGGUUAUUGUUCAUGUAAAUAAAUUUAAAAUUAAUUUUAUUGCAUCAUAAUUUUGUUUGUAUGUAAAUUUUGUAAAUGUAUACAAUAGAUUUGUAAUUUGCAAAUUAAAUCAAGUCAUUUUAGCCUUAAUCAUAUGGAUGUGAAGAAGAAAAGUUAGGAAAUUUAUAGCUUAGGUGACAUCUCUUCUUCAUGUUAGAGGAUCCACUUUCAUUUGUGAUGCAUUUUUCCUCUUCCAGGAGCAGAUGAGCUGCCCAGUAAUCGGAGGCUCAGGCAAGCCAAGGUCACCCACGUACAAGAGCGACGGCCGGUUUCAUCUCACGGAUUUCCUCGGCCAAGAAAGCAAGAAGCGACGUGUGGACACUAAGAAAUUGCAUGCAUGCGAUGCACAGAGCACAACCCGAUCGAUCGAAUAAUAUUCAACGAAUUUUAUCCAAUCCAAAAGAGAGAAGGAAAAUAGUAUAAAUCGUGCGUACGUGCUUGAGAGGGAUUGGAUUGGGAGGCAGGCAGUAGGCACCGCCCGGCUCACCCAUCGACGUCGACAUGCAUGCGCUAGUAAAUCCUACGUAUGGCUACGUCCACCAUGCACAGUCAGCUAGUUUGACAGGCUAUGUACGUCGUUUGCGUUUUGUUCUCUCUUCUCUGCCCCCUCUCGUUUGGUUGGCUGGAAACUCCACUCAGACGAAUGGACACUGUUUUUUGCUCUCAUGUGUCAUCCUCUCUUUUUUUCUUUUUUUUUGCGAGGGUAAAAGGAUUUUUAUUCCAGAGUGAUAGUGAUACAAUCAAGUGGCACAAGUUCCUCCACACAAGGUGGACUCCUACCUAGCCAUACAGCAGUUGUAUUCUCCGUACGACUAUAACACGCCAGCCAAUCUGCAACCCUAUUCUGAACCCGAUUAAUCUUCAACGGAAUAAAUUCCCUUUCACCCAUGAGACGAUGGAUCUCAGCAACUAGAUGUCCAUAAGCGGAGCGGGACUGUCCCCUGUCAAUGAACGUAGAGCUUCAGAGGAAUCGGAUUGAACGAUCACCGGUUCUUCCGAGUGUUGGAUAGCCAAGGCCAUGCCUUGCAUUAAUGCAUGAAUCUCAGCCUCCAGAGCGUCGUUGCAAUUGAAGAUGCAUCUGUAAGCUGCAAAAAUAACACUCCCAUCGGAACGUCGCAGAAUCAUUCCCGCGGCCGCCGACCCGUCAGAACGAUGAAACGCUCCAUCUACUGAUAAGGCCACUCGCCCCACUGGAGGCUUCGGCCAUGGCUGUGGUGUAGCUUCGGGUCUUUGUUGUACCGGGGCUUCCUCCCUCAUUGGCAUCUUUCCUUUCAUGAUCUCCUCGGUCGUAUAUUUCCGGGCCUGGUGUAGAGAAGACAUGUAGCUUUGCAAGUACUCCGUUGUCACCUCCACUGAUGGCACUGGUUUACCAUGAGUCAAGUCAGACCGUAAGGACCAUAUCCUCCAGAUUAACAUGAUAAUACAAUCUCGCAUAUGAUCAUGACAGUUCAGCAGAAGGUUUAGCAACCACUCAGCGCCGGAUUCCUGUAUUACCGCAGGUUUAGGAAGCUCCCAAACCUGGCUCAUCGCCAUCCAGAGCUGACGAGCAUGCCCGCAUGUGACCAGCGUGUGGAAGCUCGACUCUUUCUCCGUCCCACACAGAGGACAUGUAUCCCGCGUAAUGUGUCGAUAUUUCUUGCAUGCGUUCGUCGCCAGUGCUUUGGAUACAGCUUUCCAGGCAAGGAUGCGCAUCUUCAGAGGAACUUUGGCCUCCCAAACCCUUCGCCAUAUCGGGCGCUGGCCGUCGGGCGAGGCGCUUGAUGCGCUCAUACCCAUGUAUGUAAGGCCAGUAGCUAGCCGGUACGCACUCUUCACAGUGAACCUUCCACUCUUCUCCGGGAACCAAGCGAGAAAGUCUUGGCCCCUGUUAGGAGAUGUACGGAUCUUCACAAUUUCUCGGACAUCCAUAUCCCAAAAGUAUUGCCGUAAACACUGCACAUUCCAGGCACCAGACUCCUCGAGAAAAUCUGCUACCCAACUAUACCUGCAUGUACCCUUCGGGGUGAUGGGCCUAAAGUCAUGCCCUCUCGGGAUCCAUGCGUCUCUCCAAGUUUUAAUCAAGGAUCCAUCUCCUACCCUCCAGAUCAGCCCUUUCUUGAGUAGCUCCAGACCAUGUGUGAUGCCUCUCCACACAGCCGACGACGAUGUAGGGAACACAGUGUCUAAUAAGUUCCCAUUAGGAUAAUACUUAGCCCGGAGCAAUCGGGCACAUAAGCUAUCAGGGCUAUCCAAUAAUCUCCAUGCUUGUUUAGCAAGCAAGGCUUGGUUAAAAGCUCUCAUGUCUCGAAAGCCCAUACCACCCAUACUCUUGGUAGCAUCAUCUUUUCCCAACUAAGCCAUGCCAUCUUCCUUUUGCCUUUCUCCACCCCCACCAAUAUUGUCUCAUCAUCUGUGUGAGAUCAUCACACACCGAGGCAGGGAGGCGGAAAACACUCAUGACAUAGGUUGGUAUUGCUUGCGCAACUGCCUUUAUCAAGAUCUCCUUGUUGCCUGACGAGACGUACUGCUCGCUCCAGUCAACAAGCCUCUUCCGUAGUCUUUCUUGAGUAGUCUCAAACUACCCUUUGUGCAUUCUCCCUUCCGGGACUGGUAAGCCCAAAUACUUAGGCUCAAAAACCUGCUGAGUAAUCUCCAGAAUAUGUUUCACUUCAUCCGCCACCGACUGCAUGCAAUUAUCGGAAAAAAGGAUGGAACACUUCCCUGGGUUGAUAAGUUGACCCGUCGCUGAGGUGUAUGUGUUCAAUAAACCUUUAAUAAUGCUUGCCUACUGGGCUGACGCUUCAAAGAGUAACAUGGUGUCAUCCGCAAACAGUAAAUGAGAAAUCACCGGUGCACCCCGGCAAAUGGAUACCCCUCUCAAGUCCCCAUUGUUAACUGAAUUUGAGAUCAGAGAUGACAGAGCAUCAGCAACAAAUAAGAAUAAGAAAGGGGACAGUGGAUCACCUUGCCUCAAGCCCCUAGAAGGGGUAAAUGAUUCUAGUAUUCUCCCGUUGAGCUUCACCGAAUAUUUAAUCGAUUUCACACACGCCAUAAUCCAUGCGAUCCACUCAUCUGCAAAGCCCCAUUUACGCAGGGCUUGCUCCAAAAACUCCCAAUCCACGCGGUCGUAGGCCUUUGAAAGAUCAAGUUUGUAGGCGCACUCCGCCGGUCUGUUUUGCCUCAGUGACUGUAUAUGAUGUAUGCACUCAAAGGCAAUGAUAGAAUUGUCAGAAAUCAGACGACCGGGAAUAAAGGCACUUUGAUUUUCACUAAUCAGAUCUCCAAGUAUAGGCCGAAGCCGGUUGGUGAGACACUUUGAGACAAUUUUGUACAAUACGUUACAUAAACUAAUCGGUCUAAAAUCCUUGAGCUCCUUUGGGUGUGGAACUUUCAGGAUAAGAAUGAUAGCCGUGUCAUUUACCCCGUCCGGCAUUACUCAUGAUUGAAAGAAUUCCAAUACUGCAGCCACUAUCUCUGUCCUCAGCACCCCCCAGUUUCUCUGAUAAAACCUUGCCGGCAGCCCAUCCGUACCUGGCACCUUGAUAGGGCCAAUUUGAAAGAGCGCAGUAGACACCUCUUCUUCGGAAAAGGGGGAACAGAGUUUAUCAUUCAUGGCUUCGGUAACUUUAGGUGCAAUACCCCUCAACACCUCCCCUGGCGAGAGCGUCGGAUCUUUGGUAUAUACCUCCUUGAAGUAAGAGGUCGCCAUACGUUCCAUCUCAGACGGGACGGUACACCACAUGCCAUUCUCACGACGGAGGCGCUGUAUAAAGUUACAUCGUGCACGCCACACUGCCCGCCGGUGCAGGUAUGCCGUGUUCCUUUCCCCCUCCUUUAACCACUCGAUCCUCGACCUCUGAAGCCAUAACAUUUCCUCUCUAUAUAGUAAUUCAUCCAAGGCAUGCAUCUUUUGUCUAAUCAAUGCCCUGUCAGCAUCCCGUAGUUGUAGGUCCGCGAGUUCUCCUCUAAGUUUCUCGAUCUCUGAGGAGACAUGGCCGAAGUUUUUCUUACUCCAAGCCCGCAGUUCAGUCAUCAUUGCUUUGAGGGCAUCCCGUACUGCCCCCAAAUUCCCGUCCGGUUUACUCCUCCUCCAUCUGUUCUCAAUCACCGUCGGUAGCGCAGGAGAUCGCUCCCACAUAAUCUCGUACCGCGGUGACGCCCUUGUUUUUGGUACCUCAUCAUGUGCCACCCGUAUGAAAACUGGACAAUGGUCCGAGCAUGACGACGCCAAAUGCACCAAUUGUGAGAACGGGAAAAGCUCUCUCCAUGCUUCAUCCGCGCAUGCUCUGUCAAGCCGGACCCUGACAUUACCACCCCCAACCUGGCCGUUAUCAUAUGUGAAAGGAGUCCCGAUAAACCCUAGGUCCAUUAGUUCACACGACAGCAAGCAAUCACGAAACAGUUGUAUUUGUGUCUCGGAACGCUGCGUAUGCGAAGUGCUCGUGUUGCCGCAUUGCCUCAUUGAAAUCCCCACAAACUAACCAUGGUUCUGCAGAAAUUGCUCUAAGGCUUGAAAGUAAGCUCCACAUACGAUGCCGAUUUUCUGUCCUUGGUUCACCGUACACAUACGUUGUUCUCCAAGACCUAUCAUUUGUCCUAUCAACGAUCCGCACGUCUAUAAACCGUGCACACGAGUCCAGAACCGUGACUUGAAGAUUCUCAUCCCAAUAUAGCGCAAGGCCCCCACUGAGGCCAUCGCUAGAAACUCCCGCAAAACCCUUCAAUCUUAGCUUCCACUUAAGUUUCUCCAUCUUACUAGAGGCUUGCCUAGUUUCAGAAAGGAAGACAAGCCCCGGGGAAUUGGCUUUAUAGAGGGCCAAAACCUCACGAACUGUCCGGCGGUCCCCCCCCGGCAGUUCCAGAUUAGUGAACUCAUUGUGCCCGACGGUCCUCCUCGAAGGAGACCGCCGAUCUAUUAUCUUCAGAAUCCACUUUGGCACGCUUGCUGCCAGUACUACUGCUGGGUGACUUAUUACCGCCACCAUCUUCUCCUCUACCCAGAGUCAGGGCGAGGGUCUCUCCCUUCGCUGUUUGUGCUUUAGUAGUAGCUGUGUCCACAUCAUCCAAUGCCAACCUCUUCCUGGCUGUGUUGUCAAUCCUUUUCCCUGAUUGCGGUAUUUUUGAGGGGCUGGAGGCCGUAUCCAUGACCUCAGGAUCAACAGCAACAUUCCCUGAUUUUUGGCUCGGCUUGGGUGUAUGGUUGUAUCCACCCCCCGAUCAUACGCUCCCUCGUUCCUCUAUUUAUUUGGACCAUCUGCAUACAACCAUGCCCCAAAUUUCUUACUUUUCUCAUCAUGGAUCCCUGACCCACAUUCCUUGUACUCGUGGCCAAUGAUGCCACAAACGCUGCAAAAGCGAGCUAGUUUCUCAUAUCUUACUAGAAAAACUUGGCGCUCCUUGCCUCUGAUAAUACUCACAAACUUGGUCAAGGGCAGACGCACGUCAUGGCGCACCCUGAUUCGAACAUAGUCACCGCGAACAUUGCCGUUCAACCUCAUAUCCAAAAUCUCCCCUGAAUUCCUCAACAGAUGCUCAACAAUGUUUACUUUGCAGAAUCCCUCUGGAAGUUUAUGUAUCUGAAGCCAGACUGGCAUAAAAAACAUUGGUACCUCUUCUGCCUUAGUGAAUCCAUCAUAUGGACAUAUCAAAACCGCCAAGUUCCUGAACAGCCACGACCCCUGAUCGAGCAUGCGUUCAUAGUCGCCGAGGCAGGAUGCCUGAACGACAAACAGUUUGGGGCCGGCUGGACGAAAUCUUACUUGUUGCGCCGGGUUCCAGGCCGCGCCGGGUUCCAGGCCGCGCACAUGUUCCAGGAUCCGUACGGUAGGGGAUCGAUAGUUGGUUGGGUAGGAAACUCGCGGACGGGAGAUCGCCAGCGAGGAGAUGAAACCCUAGCCUCCUCUAGGGGAAAAAACUAAUCUAAUAUUGCUGCACUAGCAGUAUCCUCUCUUUUUUCCUACACAUACGUGCCACUAUUCUCCUAGUCGCGUUAAGAGCAUCUCCAGCCGUUCCCCCGAAAGCCCCCCUAGAGGCCAUUUUUUUAUCGUCGGCGACCAAUUUCCCCUCCAGUCGUGCCCCCAAGUUUCCAAAUAGCACCGGAUUUGGCCAGAUUUNNNNNNNNNNNNNNNNNNNNNNNNNNNNNNNNNNNNNNNNNNNNNNNNNNNNNNNNNNNNNNNNNNNNNNNNNNNNNNNNNNNNNNNNNNNNNNNNNNNNNNNNNNNNNNNNNNNNNNNNNNNNNNNNNNNNNNNNNNNNNNNNNNNNNNNNNNNNNNNNNNNNNNNNNNNNNNNNNNNNNNNNNNNNNNNNNNNNNNNNNNNNNNNNNNNNNNNNNNNNNNNNNNNNNNNNNNNNNNNNNNNNNNNNNNNNNNNNNNNNNNNNNNNNNNNNNNNNNNNNNNNNNNNNNNNNNNNNNNNNNNNNNNNNNNNNNNNNNNNNNNNNNNNUUUUCGGCCGGAGAGAGGACGUACGACAAGAAGGUCGGCGGGAGGCCGGGGCGGAGCUCACGGCACGGCCGGCGCGGAGCUCAAGCCCGGGGCAGAGCGGCGCGGGAGCGGGAGCGGUCCAGCGGGCGCGGCAAGGAGGAGUCCCUGUGGAGCCAGAGCUACGAGAAGGCCGUGGGUGUCAUGGCGCGCAGCCUGCGCCCCAAGAGGCCGGUGUCGGGGCAGAUGGCCGGCGUGGCCUGGCGCAAGCUCCUGGACGCACCGGCGAGCACGCUGGGCAGCGCGUGAUCGUGUCGGCGGAGGAGCUGCUACAGAUGGAGGCAUAGGGGCGGUUGGAGGACGGGCGCACGACGAGGAGGCGGCUGCACAGCGGGGAGGCCGGCCAUGGGUGCACGGCGGCAGCUGGCUGGCGGGCGUGAGGAUCAGGGAGGAGAUGGUCGCCGUGGCCUGGGGGCUCCACUGCUGUUGGGUGGGGGCUUGCCGUGUACUGGGCGCUUCACUGCUGUUGGGUGGGGGGCACGGCCGUGUAAUUUUUGACCCCCAAGCCAAAUUUGCCGCCGGAUCGACCCCAAGCGGCUGAAAAAGUUGCUCCUGGGGGGCUCAACGGCUAGAGAUGCUCUAAUAGAAGGACUAAGCUAUUUUCGAAUCUUCACAAGUAGCAUAGCGUUGCUGAGAUCUUAUUUCAUGCCUUGUGAUGUUGAUGAAAUUCUUAAGAUUAGGGCUUCACCGAGAUUAGAGGAGGAUACACUUGCAUGGGGUCCUGAAAAGUUUUUUUCUAUUUAAAGUGCGUAUGAGCUUGCGUUUGAGGAGGCCUAUAGAGAUGGCGUGUCAGCAUCAAGUUCGGCUUCUAAUGGACGUAGAACCUGGUGAAAAUGGGUCUGGUAUGCUGAAAUGCCUCCUACGGUUCGCAAUUUUGCCUGGAGAGUAGCAACCGACUCGUUGUCUACAUCGGCCACCAGCGCGCUCUAAAGAAAACCAAAUGGUCGGUACUGCAGAAUGGUAGCUUGCUUGCUCGAUAAAUGUCCAGAAAACAUUUUCUCAACCAUAGAAUUAAAAAAAUAUACUAAAAAUAGGAAAAAAGUUCACGAAUUCAAAAACUUUAUGCAUUUGGAAAAAAUCAUGAACUCGAUAAAAGUUUGUGAUUUUGGAAAAAGUUCAUUGGUUUGUUAUAAACGUUGACAAAUUUUGAAAAAAAUAAUGAACUUGAAAACAAAGUUCAUUAAGUUUUUUAAAAAGUUCAUCACAUUUCAAAAAUAUUCAUGCAUUUUAUCAAGAAAAAUAAAAUAAAACUAAAUAAAAAGGAAAAGAGUACAGAACAAAGAAAAAGGGAAAAAGUGAAGAAAUAAGAAAGAAAGAAAAAACCAAACAAGACCAUUUCAUAAAAACCAUAAUUGAAGAAAGAAAAACGAAGGGAAGAGUUCUCUCUCAUUCCAGACUUAGGUCAACUGGCCAGUUAACGAAGGGAAGAGCGUCUUUAGCGCCAGUUAACGACAUGCACUUUAACGGGUUCUGAAGGCAUCGAAUAGGAAAUGCCUUAGGUCUCAAACUAAGCGGGAUAUAGUCCCUCCCUCCAGGGUAGGCGCGCAUCUAUAACUCGCUUAUAGUGAGAUAGACCAUCGCCUUGCCUGAAGUGGCGUGGUCAUGGACCGGCCCAACAACACAAUUGGUUCUAUUCUUUUUCCGUUCGUUAACUUAGUCUAGUUUCUUGCAUUUUUUUUCUAUUUUUUCACAUUUGAAUCAUAAAAGUACAUAUAUUUCACAAGGAAUUACUUCAUUUUUUAAUAGCUUUAAAGAAUGUUUCUUAUGUAUAAAAAACAUGUACAAUAUGUAUGAAAAAAUAUACAUCAAAACAUAUAUCUGAAAAAUGUUAAUUAUGUAUCUAGCAUUCAAGUGCGUCUAGAUAUAUCCGUUUUAGCAUCAAUUAAUAUGAGACGAAGGGACUAUUUCAAAAUUUUUACAGUAUAUCAGAAAAAAAUUCUUAUGUAUACAAAAAAUGUAUAGUCUAUACCAAAAAAGGACACAUCAAAUAUAAGCUAAAACAAUAUUUAUCAUGUAUUUGAAAAGUGUUAAAUGAGUAUAGAAAAAAUUUCUACUGUAUAUGAAAAUGUACAAUCCAUAUGACACAAAAUAGCCCUCAAAACACAUAUUAAAAAGACAAUUUCAUUAUGUACUUAAAAAUGAUAAACAUGUACUCCCUCCUUUCAAAAUAUUUCUUCUGGUUUUGGUUUGAAUUUGGACUAAAACCACAAAGUAUUUUGGAAAGAAAGGCCACAACGACUGCCUUCCACUUACAACGGUCCAGAAAGCAUGUUCCUCCUUUUGGAAGGCAAAGACAACCGUUCCAUAGUUACAAGCUAACGUCAGACUUGAUUUGCUGGUGCGGGAGCGGAGGCGUAGGCAUCAUCUUUAGAGGUAGCUGUUGUUGCCAAAGGAGAUGUAGCGGUUGGUAUCGAAGGAGGAUUAUCGCUUGCGGCUGCUUGGUGGUGGUCAUCUUUCUGAAUAAGAAGAUACGAGGAGACCUCAAGGGCGACAACUACAAGAAACAGGAAUAUCGCAUCCACGAAAACUCCUUCACCUCCGACACCUCCGACACAACUACCGUUCUCAAUAGUUUUCCCAAUAGUUUUCUCCUUAUAUCCUUCAAUCCCUAAUAGGGCGCCGCCCAGAAACACCAGCACCGCUAUGAUCGCUAGGAUCCUGCAAGUAUACAUGAAUGGCAUAGAGACCACAUGAAUAAAUACUACUUAAACAAACAAUCCACCAAGUAUAUAUAAAUUUUGUUGAACUUGAGUCUGCAAAUUUUAAGCAGAGGUGCAUUUUUUUGAAAAACCCUAGAGAACGAAUGUUCUCCUGGGUCCCUGUUGCCUUGCAGCACGACAGAGCCUGCACCACAUAAUUUUGACUCACGGCCAUGCAGCCAUAUGAUCAUGAUGCAUACAUGACAUCGACACGACAACCUCAACAUUCACCGCGGAAAAUUAGGUUGACAUGUAGCGAUUUGAAUAGUGUGUUGCCUAAGGGCAUGUAUAGUGGUUGAUAAAGUAAUCUUAUCUUAAAUCCAUCAAGUAGUCUUGAUAUGACAAUAAAAAUGGUGUACAACAGGUUAUACCUAAAUAUGUAAUGAGAGAUAUUGUUGCUAAGAAAUCAUCUCUUAAUUAGGAGAAAGCAGACCUUUUCUCCCGUUUCUCUCCCAUUCACCUCAAUAUUUAUCCUAUGUGACACUUCUAACAUAGCAUCAUUGUAUUCAUCUUAAGUUCAUGGCCCUCUUGCGUGAUUUUCUACCUACUGGACGGUUCUAUUCCUAGGUUUCAAGUUUAGCGCCCAUGGUGGAAUUUCCUCCCUUUUCUCAAAAAACAUUUAAUAUUAACUUUAGUGACAUUGUUUUUUUGCCCGAAGAUGAUAUUUUCCUUGACUACUGACAGAAAGUAGUUUUUUUUGCAUGGGAUAGAAAGUAGUUGAGAUAUGGAGGUUUCAGUGACAAAAUUAUUUACAUACCAUGAGAUGACGUAGAAAACGACGGCGGCGACGCGAUUGGCCCUCUUGGGAUUCUGCCAUGCCCCACAGCAGCCGAUGGCCACGCUAGCGAGAAUCUGUGUCGUUAGCGCCAGCACGGCCGCCACGACGCCGCAAGCCGUCGCCGGCGAUCGCGCGUACUUGCACACGCUGCGGUCACCGCGGUCAUCCUCAUAGCGUCUCUGCAUGAAUGAUUGUACACAGUGAUUCUACAUUAUUGGUUGACUGGAGGUUGCAACCGAGGAAGAGAUAAUAUCGCGUGCAUACCAGUCCCAAGAAAACCGCACCGAUGACUCCGAAGAUGACAGUCAUCACGGCGACGACGGUGGUCGCCACAACUAUACCUUUCUUCCCCAUGGAUGAUCACACUACACUCCUAAUCGGGGGAGAUGAGUUGGAUAGUGCAUUAGGCGCAAACAUAUAAAUAGAUGAACAAGUGCAGGAGUACAAUGGUAGCUCGAAUAUGAUUACUCGACGACGGGCUAACUCAUGCAUAAGGAUUAUCAAUCGCAUUAAUUGCUCUAUUUCUUCGUGAUAAGCUAUAUAAUUGCUCCAUAACGACGGGCUAACUCAUACUACUCCCUUCCAUUCAAAUUAAUUGUCGCAACUCUAAUACAACUUCCCUAAAGUAUAUAUGAUUAAGGCGCGCCUAGCCAAGAGAUUUGUCGAGGAUUCACGCGAUCCGAGUGGAGUGGUGUCAAGAAUUCCCGCCUCACCAAGCAUGGCGAAAACAAGAAGGUCCCCGGCUCGCGGCUCAGAAAAAGCCUCACUUAAAUCGGCAACUAGACCUCAAGAGAGGCCCCGCAAACUAACUCGACAAAAGCACAUGCAUGCUACUAAGUUUGAGACACUUAUUUUGAGACGGAGGGAAUAUCACGUAGCUAUAAAUUCCAUCAGACAUGAUGGGGAAGCACUGAGCAAAGAAAACUCCCGAGCUUGCAAACUGAUGAACACAAUGCGUGGAUAAAUAGAGAGUGAGAAUCAUGCCCUGCGGCUUCGCAAGAACUGAUGAACUGAAAGCAAAUCUCCCGGAGCACCAAACUAUAGCUGAAAAAGAGGAGAUGACUGAAGGAGGAGCAGAGGAAUCCUUACGGGAGCUCCAAGUCGGCGGCCCAAAUCAAGCAAGCGACUGCUGCCCACACCCACAGAGCCCUACACCACCAUGCGGCCAGCGAAAUCAGAGGACGGCAGCUACCGGGAGCACGACAAGGGAGAGAAAGGAAGCGCCGGAGUAUGAUUUUGGUUGAGAGGUGUGAAUGGAUCCUCGACACAAAAAUCCAACCAAUACCAUCACUAAUAAAUAGCGUGAGGAGAUAAAGCAAUAAUAAACAAGUGGAUAGCUUCCUAAAAAAAGUGGAUAGGAUGGGAACUUAUCUGGAUCCCAUGAUUCAAGUACGUCUCUCAGGCCGGAAAGAAAGGAUGAGAAGGAGCGGAAUAUUCAAGGAUUGCAUGCGACCGAUGCACGAUGCAGGUAGGGUCUGCAUCAAACAUUAGUCAGAGGUUGGCGAGUGCCUCUCUUGCUAGCUGUUUCUGUCGAGGCAGGCAGCCGGCCUCCGAGGACAUACAUACGCGUGCGUAUAUGCGUGGUGGUGCAUGCAUGUACGUGUCGACCGGGCCGCCGGAGAUAUUCAAAGCUUGCAGGUACCCCCUCCGUUUCAAUUUACUCGUUGUGGUUUUAGUUCAAAUUCGAACUAAAACCACGACGAAUAAAUAGGAACGGAGGGAGUAGUAGGGACCCGUUGGUGGAUCCAUAUCAACAUCGUGGCUGGAGUAAAAUACAUAGAACCAUCACAAUAGUCAUUUGCGAAAAACUAUUACUUUACAUAACAUGGCAAAAGUCACCCCACUGCCAACGUCUCUUCUUCCUGACUCACUGCACUCCUUCCUAACUUACUGAGGUACGAUGCCCUUACUUUAUUUGCUCGAUGGAUUUAGCUUCGGAGCAAGUAGAUGCUCCGGUGCCCUUGAAUUUUUAUUUGGCAUCGGCUUGACAACGUGGGGCAUCGGUGCCAAAUAUCCAAAAAGCAAAUUUGGCAUCGCUUUUAACGUGCAUAGUGGAAGGCCUUAGAUGUCGUGGUUGGCACCGAUGGAGGAUCAGUCCCGGCAGCUUCUUGGUUGUGGCCUGCCUUCUAAAGAAGGACGUACGAGGCGAUGUCGAGGCCAACAACUAUUUUGAAUAAGCUCGUCGCCACCACGAAAAUUAGAACACCCGGUGUGAUACAAUUGUCGUCACCCAUAUAAAUAUUGAAAUAGCCUCUAGACCCGACCAAUGUUGCGGCCAGCAAAAAUGUUAUCACCGCUGCAACCGCAAAGACCCUGCAAGAGUAUGCACGGAGAGACCAAAGUAACUAAUUGAUACUUGAAAAGUAAUGAUACUUAAAUGAACAAACCUGCAACCAUAUAUCGGUUCCCUAUUGAACUUGUGUUUUCAAAUUUUACAAAUAUUUUUGCGGAAAUAAUAUGAUAAAUGGUAUUUCCUCCAUCCCAUAAUAUAAGAGGGUUUUUGACACUUGAAAGUAAAUUGAAAUACACCCGGAAAAGUUGGCAUAUUUGGUUUCUGGUUAGCUACCACGUACCAGGAGAGGAUGAACAAGAGGACGGUGAGGACGCGCCUGCCCUUGCUUUUGGGAGUCGGCCACUUCUCACAGCAGCAGCCGCAGCAGCCGAUGGCCGCGCUGGCGACAAUCUGCGUCGUCAGCGCCAGCACUGCCGCCACGAGGCCGCAGGGCAUCGCCCGCGGCCUGUAGCUGUAGUCAUCGCGGUUGCUUCGCGGAGCCGCCGUCUGUAUGAACAAAUGCACACACGGUUAAGAAGAGCCCGCACACAAGGAUCGCUGAUCGAGAAAGAGAUCUAGGCGUGCUGUGCGUACCACGGCGACCAAGAUUGCGCCAAUGAUUCCGGACAAGACCGUCAGCACAGCAAGGACGCCGGCCGACACCAACAGACCAUUCUUGUUCUUCCCCAUCUUCGAGCUCAUCACUACUCUUGAUUAGUUUUGAUCUUUACUGAUCUUCUAAUUGACAGCUAGCUGGGUUGGAUCAAUCUCCAUAUAUAAGCCAAUCUCAUUGCUCGACGACGGUCUAACUGAUGCAUGAAGAUUGUCUUUUAGUCGCAUCGCUGCAUUUCGUUAUAAACUAUAAAGUGAUGGUACUAUAUAGUUAGCUUAACCUCUGCCUAGCUAAAAAACAUAUGAUGAAGUUGCAUGGAACCUUCUCGAUCGAUCUCAGAAGACAGAAUAACUUUGGGUUCUCAGCCCGGGGCAGUGCAGUGCGUGCAUGUCUCGACUAGCUAAUUUUGGUGUCGUGUUGGGCGCAGUUUCCUGUUUGUAACUUUUAAGCUACCAUAUGAACCAAGUGGCAAAGAUGAAAAUGAUGCAAGUUGUAAUUAGCAUUAAUAACUGCAUUCACCAAUGGAUCUAGGGUUGAGAAUCAACCAAGGAAAGUUUUGCUAGGUGGACUAGCAUCUACAGCCGGACAUGGCAAAUUCGGCCCCUCAAACAUCCACGGACACUGAUCGUCAGUCCUCAAAUUGCGUCGUCCACAUCCACGUAUCUCAUAUCCGAUUUCAUAUAUCCAUUCUAAACCAUGCAACGUCGAUAAAAACAACGUAUAUCAUGAGCGACGGACAUACAAAUGCACAAUCCAUUCACGAAAAGAUCACAGUCGGAUCUUCAAAAGAUCGCCACAGUUCACAUAAUGCACAUAAUACGACGGGCAAGUUUAAACUACAUCCAAAAACUUGAAUUUAAAGCGGAGAAGUCGGAUCUUCACCACUUCCUCGCCGACCCUUUCCUCUUCUGGUCGCCCGCGUAGCUCUAGGAUUUGGCGGCUAGUGGAGGAUCGUCCGAGUCGUCAUACGAGGCACUAUGGUUGUCGCCGUUGUUGUCAUCGUCGGAGGUGUCGGAGAGAAUGAUGAGCCCUUUGAGCCGCAUGACGGCCCUGUUCUGCUGCCGCGUGAGCUUCGGCAGCCGAGCCGCCUCUCGCUCGGACUGCUUAAUAGCAAUCUGGAGCGCCUUGGUGUUCUUCCAGCGGAGCCCCCGAGCGUCCAUCUCCACCGUGGUAAACGACCGGCGGUAGACCCAAGCGAGGAGCCGCUCGUCCUUGUCGGGCUCCGCCUGCAUCCCGCGGCGGUGGCAUGGACUGCUCAGCCGCGUCCCUGUCCCUUGCCCGCUGCCUCACGCAGCGGGCGGUGGGCGCCUCUGAUUCCGGCGUGCGCGUCCGGGCCGGUGUAAAGAUGCUCAUAGAUCAUACAUCACUAGUAGAAAAAGGGUCAAAUGUGAAGCACAUUAGUGCCGUUUGAAUUUGAGCCGGCACUAAUGUGUCCAUUAGUGCCGGUUCCAACGGCUAGGCGGGCGGACAUCAUUAGUACCGGUUCAUGGGCAACAAUUAGUACCGGUUCGUGGCAUGAACCGGUACUAAUGAGGCUGUGUCAGGCUGUGGGCCCCACGAACACCUUUAGUACCGGUUCAUGGCAUGAACCGGUACUAGAGUUUCUUAUUAAGCUGAUUUUUAGUCCCACCUCGCGAGGAGAGAGGUAGUAGGAGUGGUUUAUAAGCCGUGAGUGCAGAGACGAUGAAGGAGAGGCGCAAUGCUCACCUGCAGGUUGCUUAGCUUCAAGCCUUUCGGAAUAGAAUAGAUUGCACGGAGCUAUGUGCAGUGUAGUCUACAUGUUGGAAAUAUACCAUAGAGGCAAUAAUAAAUUAGUUAUUAUUAUAUUUCCUUGUUCAUGAUAAUCGUUUAUUAUCCAUGCUAUAAUUGUAUUGAUAGGAAAAUCAGAUACAUGUGUGGAUACAUAGACAACACCAUGUCCCUAGUAAGCCUCUAGUUGACUAGCUCGUUGAUCAAUAGAUGGUUACGGUUUCCUGACCAUGGACAUUGGAUGUCGUUGAUAACGGGAUCACAUCAUUAGGAGAAUUAUGUGAUGGACAAGACCCAAUCCUAAGCCUAGCACAAAGAUCGUAGUUCGUAUGCUAAAGCUUUUUUAAUGUCAAGUAUCAUUUCCUUAGACCAUGAGAUUGUGCAACUCCCGGAUACCGUAGGAAUGCUUUGGGUGUACCAAACGUCACAACAUAACUGGGUGGCUAUAAAGGUACACUACAGGUAUCUCCGAAAGUGUCUGUUGGGUUGGCACGAAUCGAGACUGAGAUUUGUCACUCCGUGUAAAUGAGAGGUAUCUCUGGGCCCACUCGGUAGGACAUCAUCAUAAUGUGCACAAUGUGACCAAGGGGUUGAUCACGGGAUGAUGUGUUACGGAACGAGUAAAGAGACUUGCCGGUAACGAGAUUGAACAAGGUAUCGGUAUACCGACGAUCGAAUCUCGGGCAAGUACAAUACCGCUAGACAAAGGGAAUUGUAUACGGGAUCGAUUGAGUCCUUGACAUCGUGGUUCAUCCGAUGAGAUCAUCGUGGAACAUGUGGGAGCCAACAUGGGUAUCCAGAUCCCGCUGUUGGUUAUUGACCGGAGAACGUCUCGGUCAUGUCUACAUGUCUCCCGAACCCGUAGGGUCUACACACUUAAGGUUCGAUGACGCUAGGGUUAUAAAGGAAGUUUGUAUGUGGUUACCGAAUAUUGUUCGGAGUCCCGAAUGAGAUCCCGGACGUCACGAGGAGUUCCGGAAUGGUCCGGAGGUAAAGAUUUAUAUAUGGAAAGUUGUUGUUCGGGUUCCAGAAAAAGUUCGGGUUUUUUCGGUAUUGUACCGGGAAGCUUCCAGAAGGUUCCGGAGGAUUCCGGAGGGGUCCGGAGGUCCGGAAAUUGUUCCACCACGUCCAAUAGAGUAGCAUGGGCUGUAGGGGGGCGCCCUAGCCUUAAUGGGCCAGGGGCACCAGCCCCCCCCAAGGCCCAUGCGCAUGGGAAGGGGAAAACCCUAAGGGGGAGGGCCUCCACUUGACUUGGGAGGCACUCCUCCCCCCCUUGGCCGCCGUCCCCUCCUCAGAUUGGAUCUGAGGGGGCCGGCCCCCCUCUCCCUUGCCCCUAUAUAUAUGUGGGGGGUGGGAGGGCAGCCGCACCACAAGUUCUGGCGCAGCCCUCCCCCUCUCCCAAGUACUCCUCCUCUCCCGCGGUGCUUGGCGAAGCCCUGCAGGAUUGCCACGCUCCUCCAUCACCACCACGCCGUUGUGCUGCUGGUGGAUGGAGUCUUCCUCAACCUCUCCCUCUCUCCUUGCUGGAUCAAGGCAUGGGAGACGUCACUGGGCUGUACGUGUGUUGAACGCGGAGGUGCCGUCCGUUCGGCACUAGGAUCUCCGGUGAUUUGGAUCACGACGAGUACGACUCCUUCAACCCCAUUCUCUUGAACGCUUCCGCUUAGCGAUCUACAAGGGUAUGUAGAUGCACUCUCCUUCCCCUCGUUGCUAGUUUCUCCAUAGAUAGAUCUUGGUGACACGUAGGAAAUUUUUGAAUUUUUGCUACGUUCCCCAACAGUGGCAUCAUGAGCUAGGUCUAUUGCGUAGAUUCUUUGCACGAGUAGAACACAAAGUAGUUGUGGGCGUUGAUCUUGUUUAAUAUGCUUACCGUUACUAGUCCAAUCUUGUUUUGACGGUAUUGUGGGAUGAAGCGGCCCGGACCGACCUUACACGUACACUUACGUGAGACAGGUUCCACCGACUGACAUGCACUUGGUGCAUAAGGUGGCUAGCGGGUGCCAGUCUCUCCCACUUUAGUAGGAAUGGAUUCGAUGAAAAGGGUCCUUAUGAAGGGUAAAUAGCAAUUGACAUAUCACGUUGCGGUUUUUGCGUAGGUAAGAAACGUUCUUGCUAGAAACCCAUAGCAGCCACGUAAAACAUGCAAACAACAAUUAGAGGACGUCUAACUUGUUUUUGCAGGGUAUGCUAUGUGAUGUGAUAUGGCCAAGAAGAAUAUGAUGAAUAUAUGUGAUGUAUGAGAUUGAUCAUGUUCUUGUAAUAGGAAUCACGACUUGCAUGUCGAUGAGUAUGACAACCGGCAGGAGCCAUAGGAGUUGUCUUUAUUUAUUGUAUGACCUGCGUGUCAUUGAACAACGCCAUAUAAUUACUUUACUUUAUUGCUAACCGGUAGCCAUAGUAGUAGAAGUAAUAAGUUGGCGAGACAACUUCAUGGAGACACGAUGAUGGAGAUCAUGAUGAUGGAGAUCAUGGUGUCAUGCCGGUGACGAUGAUGAUCAUGGAGCCCCGAAGAUGGAGAUCAAAAGGAGCAAUAUGAUAUUGGCCAUAUCAUGUCACUAUUUGAUUGCAUGUGAUGUUUAUCAUGUUUAUGCAUCUUAUUUGCUUAGAACCACGGUAGUAAAUAAGAUGAUCCCUCAUUAAAAUUUCAAGAAAGUGUUCCCCCUAACUGUGCACCGUUGCGAAAGUUCGUCGUUUUGAAGCACUACGUGAUGAUCGGGUGUGCUAGAUUCUUACGUUCACAUACAACGGGUGUAAGCCAGAUUUACACACGCGAAACACUUAGGUUAACUUGACGAGCCUAGCAUGUACAGACAUGGCCUCGGAACACAAGAGACCGAAAGGUCGAGCAUGAGUCGUAUGGUGGAUACGAUCAACAUGAAGAUGUUCACCGAUGAUGACUAGUCCGUCUCACGUGAUGAUCGGACACGGCCUAGUUGACUCGGAUCAUGUAAUCCCUUAGAUGACUAGAGGGAUGUCUAUCUGAGUGGGAGUUCAUAAGAUGAACUUAAUUAUCCUGAACAUAGUCAAAAGACCUUUGCAAAUUAUGUCGUAAGCUCGCGCUUUAGUUCCACUGUUUAGAUAUGUUCCUAGAGAAAAUAUAGUUGAAAGUUGACAGUAGCGAUUAUGCGGACAGUAGAAAGCUUAUGUCCUUAAUGCACCGCUCAGUGUGCCGAACCCCAAACGUCAUCUGUGGAUGUUGCGAACAUCGGACAUACACGUUUUGAUAACUACGUGAUAGUUCAGUUAAACGGUUUAGAGUUGAGGCACCAAAGACAUUUUCGAAACGUCGCGGAACAUACGAGAUGUUUCGAGGACUGAAAUUGGGAUUUCAGGCUCGUGCCCACGUCAAGAGGUAUGAGACCUCCGACGAUUUUCUUAGCCUGCAAACUAAGGGAGAAAAGCUCAAUCGUUGAGCUUGUGAUCAGAUUGUCUGAGUGCAACAAUCACUUGAAUCGAGUGGGAGUUGAUCUUCCAGAUGAGAUAGUGAUGUUUCUCCAAAGUCAUUGCCACCAAGCUGCUAGAGCUUCGUGAUGAACUAUAACAUAUCAGGGAUAAAUAUGAUGAUCCUUGAGGUAUUCACGAUGUUUGACACCGCGAAAGUAGAAAUCAAGAAGGAGCAUCAAUUGUUGAUGGUUGGUGAAACCACUAGUUUCAAGAAGGGCAAGGGCAAGAAGGGAUACUUCAUGAAACGGCAAAUCAGGUGCUGCUCCAGUGAAGAAACCCAAGGUUGAACCCAAACCCGAGACUAAGUGCUUCUGUGAUAAGGGGAAUAGUCACUAGAGCGAAAUUACCCUAGAUACUUGGUAGAUGAGAAGGCUGGCAAGGUCGAUAGAAGUAUAUUGGAUAUACAUUAUGUUAAUGUGUACUUUACUAGUACUCCUAGUAGCACCAGGGUAUUAGAUACCGGUUCGGUUGCUAAGUGUUAGUAACUCGAAAUAAAAGAGCUACGGAAUAAACGGAGACUAGCUAAAGGUGAGCUGACGAUAUGUGUUGGAAGUGUUUCCAAGUUUGAUGUGAUCAAACAUCGCACGCUCCCUCUACCAUCAAUAUUAGUAUUAAACCUGAAUAAUUGUCAUUUGGUGUUUGCAUUGAGCAUAGACAUGAUUGGAUUAUGUCUAUCGCAAUAUGGUUAUUCAUUUAAGGAGAAUAAUGGUUACUCUAUUUAUUUGAAUAAUACCUUCAAUGGUCUUGCACCUAAAGGAAUGGUUUAUUGAAUCUCGAUCGUAGUGAUAAACAUUUUCAUGCCAAAAAUUAUAAGAUAGUAACGAUAGUACCACUUACUUGUGGCACUGCCAUGUAAGUCAUAUUGGUAUAAAACGCAUGAAGAAGAUCCAUGUUGAUGGAUCUUUGGACUCACUCAUUUUUGAAAAGUUUGAGACAUGCGAACCAUGUCUAUUGGUGCAUACGCAUGAAGAAACUCCAUGCAGAUGGAUCGUUUAGACUCACUUGAUUUUGAAUCACUUGAGAUAUGCAAAUCAUACCACAUGGACAAGAUGACUGAAAAGCCUCGGUUUCAGUAAGAUGGAACUAGAUAGCAACUUGUUGGAAGUAACACAUUUUGAUGUGUGCAGUCCAAUGAGUGCUGAGGCAUGCAGUGAAUAUCGUUAUGUUCUUACUUCACAGAUGAUUCGAGUAGAUGUUGAGUAUAUUUACUUGAUGAAACACAAGUCUGAAUUAUUGAAUGGUUCAAGUAAUUUCAGAGUGAAGUUUAAGAUCUUCGUGACAAGAGGAUAGAAUGUCUAUGAUAUGAUCAUAGAGAUGAAUAUCUGAGUUACGAGUUUUGGCACACAAUUAAGACAUUGUGGACAUUGUUUCACAAUUAAUACCGCCUGGAACACCAUAGUGUGAUGGUGUGUCCGAACAUCAUAGUAGCACCCUAUUGGAUAUGGUGCGUACCUUGAUCUCUCUUAUCAAAUUACCACUAUCGUUCAUGGGUUAGGCAUUAGAGACAACCGCACUCACUUUAAUAGGGUACCAUGUAAUUCCGUUGAGACGACACCGUUUGGAGAAACCUAAGUUGUCGUUCCUUAAAAGUUUGGGGCUGCGACGCUUAUGUGAAAAAAUUUCAGGUUGAUAAGCUCGAACCCAAAGCGGAUAAAAUGCAUCUUCAUAGGACACCCAAAACAGUUGGGUAUACCUCCUAAUUCAGAUCCGAAAGCAAUAGGGAUUGUUUCUUGAAUCGGGUCCUUUUUCGAGGAAAGGGUUGUCUCGAAAAUUGAGUGGGAGGAUGGUGGAGACUUGAUGAGGUCAUUGAACCAUCACUUCAACAAGUGUGUAGCAGGGAACAGGAAGUUGUUCCUGUGGCGCCUACACCAAUUGAAGUAGAAGCUUAUGAUAGUGAUCGUGAAGUUUUGGAUCAAGUCACUACCGUACCUCGUAGGGUGACAAGGAUGCGUACUACUUCGGAGUGGUACAGUAAUCCUGUCUUGAAGGUCAUGUUGCUAGACAACAAUGAACCUACGAGCUAUGGAGAAGCGAUGGUGGGCCCAAAUUCCGACAAAUGGUUAGAAGCCAUGAAAUCCGAGAUAGGAUCCAUGUAUUAGAACAAAGCAUGGACUUUGGUGGACUUUCCCGAUGAUCGGCAAGCCAUUGAGAUAAAUGGAUCUUUAAGAAGAAGACGGACGUGGACAGUAAAUGUGACCGUCUAUGGAGCUCGACUUGUGGCAACGAGUUUUUCACAAGUUCAAGGAGUUGACUACGAUGAGAUUUUCUCAUCCGUAGCGAUGCUUAAGUCCGUCGGAAUCAUGUUAGCAUUAGCUGCAUUUAUGAAAUCUGGCAGAUGGAUGUCAAGACGAGUUUCCUUACCAGUUUUCGUAAGGAAAGGAUGUAUGUGAUACAAUCAGAAAAGUUUUGUCGAUCCUAAGGAUGCUAAAAAGGAAUGCUAGCUCCAGCGAUCCUUCCAUGGACUGGAGUAAGCAUCUCGGAGUUGGAAUAUACACUUUGAUAAAAUGAUCAAAGAUUUUGGGUUUAUACAAAGUUUAUGAGAAACUUGUAUUUCCAAAUAAGUGAGUGGGAGCACUAUGGAAUUUCUGAUGAGUAUAUGUUGUUGACAUACUGUUGAUCAGAAAUGAUGUAGAAUUUCUAGAAAGCAUAUAGGGUUAUUUGAAAAGUGUUUUUCAAUGGAAAACCUGGAUUAUGCUACUUGAACAAUAAGCAUCAAGAUCUAUAAGAUAGAUCAAAAUGCUUAAUAAUACUUUCAAAUGAGCACAUACCUUUACAUGAUCUUGAAGGUGUUCAAGAUGGAUCAGUCAAAGAAGGAGUUCUUGCCUGAGUCGUAAGGUACGAAGUUAAGACUUAAAGCUCGACCACGGCAGAAAAGAGAGAAAGGACAAAGGUCGUCCCCUAUGCUUUAGGCGGAGGCUCUAUAGUAUGCUAUGCUAAGUACCGCACCUGAUGUGUGCCUUGCCACAUGUCUGGAAGAGGGUACAAAGGUGAUCAAGGAAUGGAUCACCAGAUAGCGGUCAAAAUUAUCCUUAGAGGAAUAAGGAUUUGUUUCUCGAUUAUGGAGGUGAUAAAGAGUUCGGCGUAAAGGGUUACGACGAUGCAAGCUUUAGCACCUAUUCGAAUGACUCUGAGUAGCAAACCGGAUACGUAUAGUGGAGCAACCAUUUGGAAAAGCUCCAAGUGGAGCGUGGAAGCAGCAUUUACAAUAUGACCUAGAGAUUUGCGAAGUACAUACGGAUCUGAAUGUUGCAGAUCCGUUGACUAAAACCUCUCUCACAAGCAAAACAUGAUCAAACCCCAGAACUCACUGAGUCUUAAUCACAUGAUGAUGUGAACUAGUUUAGUGACACUAGUAAACUCUUUGGAUGUUGGUCACAUGGCGAUGUGACCUGUGAGUGUUAAUCACAUGGCGAUGUGAACUAGAUUAUUGACUCUAGUGCAAGUGGGAGACUGUUGGAAAUAUGCCCUAGAGGCAAUAAUAAAUUAGUUAUUAUUAUAUUUCCUUGUUCAUGAUAAUCGUUUAUUAUCCAUGCUAUAAUUGUAUUGAUAGGAAACUCAGAUACAUGUGUGGAUACAUAGACAACACCAUGUCCCUAGUAAGCCUCUAGUUGACUAGCUCGUUGAUCAAUAGAUGGUUACGGUUUCCUGACCAUGGACAUUGGAUGUCGUUGAUAACGGGAUCACAUCAUUAGGAGAAUGAUGUGAUGGAUAAGACCCAAUCCUAAGCCUAGCACAAAGAUCGUAGUUCGUAUGCUAAAGCUUUUUUAAUGUCAAGUAUCAUUUCCUUAGACCAUGAGAUUGUGCAACUCCCGGAUACCAUAGGAAUGCUUUGGAUGUACCAAACGUCACAACGUAACUGGGUGGCUAUAAAGGUACACUACAGGUAUCUCCGAAAGUGUCUGUUGGGUUGGCACGAAUCGAGACUGGGAUUUGUCACUCCGGGUAAAUGGAGAGGUAUCUCUGGGCCCACUCGGUAGGACAUCAUCAUAAUGUGCACAAUGUGACCAAGGGGUUGAUCACGGGAUGAUGUGUUACGGAACGAGUAAAGAGACUUGCCGGUAACGAGAUUGAACAAGGUAUCGGUAUACCGACGAUCGAAUCUCGGGCAAGUACAAUACCGCUAAACAAAGGGAAUUGUAUACGGGAUCGAUUGAGUCCUUGACAUCGUGGUUCAUCCGAUGAGAUCAUCGUGGAACAUGUGGGAGCCAACAUGGGUAUCCAGAUCCCGCUAUUGGUUAUUGACCGGAGAAUGUCUCGGUCAUGUCUACAUGUCUCCCGAACCCGUAGGGUCUACACACUUAAGGUUCGAUGAUGCUAGGGUUAUAAAGGAAGUUUGUAUGUGGUUACCUAAUAUUUUUCGGAGUCCCGGAUGAGAUCCCGGACGUCACGAGGAGUUCCAGAAUGGUCCGGAGGUAAAGAUUUAUAUAUGGAAAGUAGUUGUUCGAGUUCCGGAAAAAGUUCGGGUUUUUUCGGUAUUGUACCGGGAAGCUUCCAGAAGGUUCCGGAGGAUUCCGGAGGGGUCCGGAGGACCGGAAAUUGUUCCACCACGUCCAAUACAGUAGCAUGGGCUGUAGGGGGGCGCCCUAGCCUUAAUGGGCCAGGGGCACCAGCUCCCCCAAGGCCCAUGCGCAUGGGAAGGGGAAAACCCUAAGGGGGAGGGCCUCCACUUGACUUGGGAGGCACUCCUCCCCCCCUUGGCCGCCGCCCCCUCCUCAGAUUGGAUCUGAGGGGGCCGGCCCCCCUCUCCCUUGCCCCUAUAUAUAUGUGGGGGUGGGAGGGCAGCCGCACCACAAGUUCUGGCGCAGCCCUCCCCCUCUCCCAAUUACUCCUCCUCUCCCGCGGUGCUUGGCGAAGCCCUGCAGGAUUGCCACGCUCCUCCAUCACCACCACGCCAUUGUGCUGCUGCUGGAUGGAGUCUUCCUCAACCUCUCCCUCUCUCCUUGCUGGAUCAAGGCAUGGGAGACAUCACUGGGCUGUACGUGUGUUGAACGCGGAGGUGCCGUCCGUUCGGCACUAGGAUCUCCGGUGAUUUGGAUCACGACGAGUACGACUCCUUCAACCCCGUUCUCUUGAACGCUUCUGCUUAGCGAUCUACAAGGGUAUGUAGAUGCACUCUCCUUCCCCUCGUUGCUGGUUUCUCCAUAGAUAGAUCUUGGUGACACGUAGGAAAAUUUUGAAUUUCUGCUACGUUCCCCAACACUACACUAUUCUGAAAGGCUUGAAGCUAAUUAACGAGCAUUGCGCCUUUUUUAUUUUUAAUAACUUAUUAGAACUCCGGACUUCUUGUGUUACGGCAAAAACUGGAUGCACUUCGUGUACAAACUGGACAGUCUCUUUCGAAGUAUCAGGGCCAGUUUCGGAGAAAACUCAUCUGUUACACCGACACUUCAUUUUUUAAACUUAUUACAACUCCAGACUUUUUUGCGUUCAGUAUGCACCAUUCUAAGCCACGUCAUCAAUUUUCAACCCUUUCUGACAUCAUUUGCUCACCUAGCACGAACCGGUACUAAAGAGGUUGUGGCAGGGCUAAAAAGAAAAAAACUAUAUAAAAAAUUACUCAAAAAUAAAUAAUGUAGAAAAGAAAAAAAAUAUAUAAAGCAAAAAUAUUCACAAAGAAACUAAAUACGGCAAAAAAAAACUACUCAGAAAUAAAUAGAAGAAAACAAAUAAAGCAGAAAAGAAAAAACUAUAUNNNNNNNNNNNNNNNNNNNNNNNNNNNNNNNNNNNNNNNNNNNNNNNNNNNNNNNNNNNNNNNNNNNNNNNNNNNNNNNNNNNNNNNNNNNNNNNNNNNNNNNNNNNNNNNNNNNNNNNNNNNNNNNNNNNNNNNNNNNNNNNNNNNNNNNNNNNNNNNNNNNNNNNNNNNNNNNNNNNNNNNNNNNNNNNNNNNNNNNNNNNNNNNNNNNNNNNNNNNNNNNNNNNNNNNNNNNNNNNNNNNNNNNNNNNNNNNNNNNNNNNNNNNNNNNNNNNNNNNNNNNNNNNNNNNNNNNNNNNNNNNNNNNNNNNNNNNNNNNNNNNNNNNNNNNNNNNNNNNNNNNNNNNNNNNNNNNNNNNNNNNNNNNNNNNNNNNNNNNNNNNNNNNNNNNNNNNNNNNNNNNNNNNNNNNNNNNNNNNNNNNNNNNNNNNNNNNNNUGCAGAAAAGAAAAAAAUUUAUAUAAAGCAAAAAUAUUCACAAAGAAACUAAAUACAGCAAAAAAAACUAUUCAGAAAUAAAUAGAAGAAAACAAAUAAAGUAGAAAAGAAAAAACUAUAUAAAAAAUUACUCAAAAAUAAAUACAAAAAAAUAAAUAAUGCAGAAAAGAAAAAAACAUAAAAAAAUUGUUGGGGCGCUUCCUGGUGGGCCUGCCAGACCUAGGGUGUGCAAAUUUAGGCCCAGAAGGGCCAGUAGGCUCACAGGGCAGCGUGCCGGAGUUAGGCCCAGAAGCCUGCUAUAUAGAGGAGUUUGAAAGGGCAGCCGCGGCUGGGUUUAUAAAUCAGUGCGGCUGCCCUUCGCGCGGCGAGGUGGGACUAAAAAUAGCGCACCGCGGGUGGCAGCGCACGAUCUUUAGUACCGGUUGGUGGCUCCAACCGGUACUAAUGGUUGUCCUUUAGUACCGGUUGGUGGCUCCAACCGGUACUAAAUGCCCUUGUUUCCCGCCGCUUGGCCUGGCCAAAAUUGGCCUUUAGUACCAGUUGGUGGCUCCAACCGGUACUAAAGGCCCCUCCUAUAAAUACUGCACUUAUGCAAAAUCAGUUCCAUCGUUGACCACUUCUCCACUUUUCUUCUCGCGCUAUCGCCGACGACGAUGCGCCGUCGCCCCCGCCGCCCUCGAUCGCCGCCCCCGCCGCACGUACGUCGUCGCCGUCCCCGCCGCCCGUCGUCGUUGUCCCCGUCGUNNNNNNNNNNNNNNNNNNNNNNNNNNNNNNNNNNNNNNNNNNNNNNNNNNNNNNNNNNNNNNNNNNNNNNNNNNNNNNNNNNNNNNNNNNNNNNNNNNNNNNNNNNNNNNNNNNNNNNNNNNNNNNNNNNNNNNNNNNNNNNNNNNNNNNNNNNNNNNNNNNNNNNNNNNNNNNNNNNNNNNNNNNNNNNNNNNNNNNNNNNNNNNNNNNNNNNNNNNNNNNNNNNNNNNNNNNNNNNNNNNNNNNNNNNNNNNNNNNNNNNNNNNNNNNNNNNNNNNNNNNNNNNNNNNNNNNNNNNNNNNNNNNNNNNNNNNNNNNNNNNNNNNNNNNNNNNNNNNNNNNNNNNNNNNNNNNNNNNNNNNNNNNNNNNNNNNNNNNNNNNNNNNNNNNNNNNNNNNNNNGACACACAGACACACACAUACAUACAUACACACACACAUACACACACACACGCAUACACACACACAUACACACACACAACACACACACAUGUACGUACACACAUACACACACACACAUACACACACACACAACACACACAUGUUGUGCCUCAGGGGAUCGAGACUAAAGGUCGCAUGUCAAUUGUUAGCUUACGGCCAAGAUAUCCUGCAUUGCACAUGAGUGCAUUCAGGAUUUCUAGAAGUGAUGAAUGCUUAAUAGUGAAAGACUGGAGGAAAAUUGUUAAUGAUCGCAGAGAAGUACUAGGGGGCAGCAAUGAGUAGCGCAACCCAUGAUUAGGAGACAGGUUCAUCUGCAUGCUUCAGUAUGAUGAAUCAGGAGAGCUAUACAUGUUCUAUGUUAUUUUACCUGAGAGAGAGCAGCAGGAGUGAUUAGUUAGUUCAUGCUCUUAGUACUUGUCCUUUCAUGUUCGUAUUCUUCGUUCUGAACUUAAUCUCAAAGAGUGAUUUGCUUUUAUGGUGUUAUAUAUGAACACUUAUAAUAUCAUGACAAUCAUGUUGAACUCGAUGAUAUUUUUACUUCUGGUACAAGUGAAUGUUUCUUCUUUAAGCUAGUGUUGGUGGUGAUUAGAUAGCGGUAAUGAUUAUGAUGAUUAAAUAGUGAUAAUGGCGACUACGAUGAUUUUUAGCUAGCUAGCUAGAGUAUAUAUAUAUACUCAUGUUGAUGAUAUGAUGCAAGAGUUUUUAUAUUAAUAUGAUGAUAUCAUAAUGAGUUAUUAUAUCAUUUAAUGAAAGAAACCACAAAUUAGUUUUAGCUGGAUGGAUCCUACCUAAAUGAUCAAGUAUAUAUGCCAUAUCCAUAUAUAUUAUACUUGAUCACCUAAUUAGGUGAUCAAGUAUAAUAUGGAUAUGGAUUUAACAGCUCAUUAUAAUGUAAAACAAUCACUAAGUUAAAUUGAAAACACAAAAUUAAAGGAAAAAUUAAAAAAAACCAAACAUACUAAAGCCCUACGCGCACAUGGGCCUGGCUCGUGCCACGUGUUUACACUUUGAAUUUUUGUCCAAAAGGACCGGCUGCUGAGUCAAAUUGACGAAAAAGACUACCUCUAAAAACAAUUGACAAAAGAGACCGGCUCGGCCCUGGCGGCAGGCGCGUCAGCCGACACGUGGCACCUGCCGCCACACGCGGAGGCGGCAGCACCUGCUGCCACACACGGAGGCGGCAGCACCUGCCGCCACGGUAGUAGGCGGCAACCUUGAAAUUACGGGAAACCGGGCGAGGCUAGCUGUUGCAACGGAACAACAUGUGUUUGAUAGGCCCUGCCACUACAGACCAUGGCGGCAGGCAGGUCUCCAGCAGCAGCUACUGGCUCUCGUUCCGCUCUUUGUUCUUCCUGUGUUGUUAGCAAGUGUGAAAUAGACAUGUUUGACUGAGAUUUGAAUCAAUUUAAAGAUCGAUUUUGAAGAUGCUACAGUUGAAGAAAAGAUAGAUCAAGGUAAGAUGUAUCCAUUUUUGUGUUUUUCGCUCACAUCCAUGGUAGUUAUGUACUGUAUGAUUAGUCUCUAACUUUGUAUUCUCUGCUGUAGUUGGCAUUCGAUAAUAAUUCUUUGGAGUGUUUUGGAGCAUUUGGAAAGUACAAAACGAUCAUGUAUGUAAGCGAAAAACAUAAAAAUGGAUAGAUCUUAACUUGAUCUAUCUUUUCUUCAACUGCAAUAUUUUCAAAAUCAGCCUUCAAAUUGAUUUAAAUCUCAGUCAAAUGUGCCUAUAUUCACAUUUGCUAACACCGAGUAAACUAGAGAACAGACAGACGUGCUGCUGCCGGAGACAUGCCGCCACGGGGUGUGGCGGCAGGGCCCACCAACCCAUCCAAAAUUCCGUUGCAUCAGCUCGCCUCGCCUGGUAUCUCGUAAUUCCAAGGUUGCCGCCUGCUGCCGUGGCGGCAGGUCCUGCCGCCUCUGCGCGUGGCGGCAGGUGCCACGUGUCGGCUAGCGCGUCUGCCGCCACGGCUGAGCCGGUCUUUUCUGUCUAUUGUUUUCAGAGGCAGUCUUUUUCGUCAAUUCGAAUCAGCAGCCGGUCCUUUUGGACAAAAAUUCUUUGCACUUUAGCGCCGGUUCGUGACGAACCGGUACUAAAGGGGGGGGGGCUUUAGUCCCCACUUUUUAGUGCCGGUUGGCGAACCGGCAGUAAAGACCGUCACGAACCGGCACUAAAGGCCGGUUCUGCACUAGUGGUGGUAAAUGGCGGUAGACCCAAGCGAGGAGCCGCUCGUCCUUGUUGGGCUCCGCCUGCUCAGCCGCGUCCCUGUCCCUGUCCCUUGCCCGCUGCCUCACGCGGCGGGCGGCGGGCGUCUGUGAUUCCGGCGUGCGCGUCCGGGCCGGUGUAAAGAUGCUCAUAGAUCGUACAUGUGUUGACUUCUUAAAAGAUAGUGACAUUUAUGGGUAAAUACCAAUAAAUUUCACAUCAAGGUAUGUACAUACAGUGAAAUAUCUUGAUUAUGUACUGUUUUUUACGGGGAUUUGGGUAUGCACUUAAAAGUAUCUUGGACUAUGUAGGUAUCUUAUAAAACCUAAAACAAAUCAUUGGGCAUAUAUGUAAACAAGUACAAGUGUUCGACUAUUUUUAACGAGACUAGUAGAAUUGUUUAAGCAAAUAAAUUGUUUAUGAAAGAAUGAAUAGCAUGCAUCUAUUUUUGGAAACUAAUCUUCAAAUAAUGGUCGUGGCUGUACUAGUCAUCAAUACUCCCUCUGUCCUGAAUUAUUUACCGCGAAAAUGUAUAGAAAUGAAUGUAUUUAAAACUAAAAAUAUGUCUAGAUACAACCAUUUCUAAGACAAGUAAUUCGGGACGUAGGGAGUAGUAUGCAAUUUUUUGGAAACUAAUCUAAAAUGAGUGGCUGUGGAGGUACUAGUGCAUGCAAGCAGAAUAUGAAAAGCAAGAUAUUUGGAAGGUAAUACUCGGUAGUGAUUAUUUGCAAGAAGAAAAUGCGUUAACGGGCUGGAUCCAGAACAAGGUGCCCCAGACAUAUAAUAUAGUCCCUCCAUCCCGAUGAGUAAGGCGUAAACGCUUUCCAAAAUCCAAAAAAUACACAAUAUAUAUUUUUGUGACUGGAAAUUUAUACCAAUGAGAAGUUCUUUCGGAUUUGAAUUCAGCGGUAUAACUUUUAUGACAUAUAAGAUACAUUUGGUCGGUCUAGUUUCUGGUCAAAGUUAGUUUUGGGAUGUGUGUGCGCCUUAUUCAUUGGAAUGGUGGGAGUAGGUAAUAAUAUAGAUUUGAUUGUUUUGUCUGAUCAUUAGUUCAAAACCUGGUUACCUGAUAUUAAUAGUGUGUAUUUUAUGUCAGCAUAGACGACAUAUGUACCACUAACUUCGUACUCGUACAUAUCUGAUACACACAAACUCCGAUUAGAACAAUCAAUGAUCAUGAUUAAUCCGCCGAGACAAUGUAAUCUCACGACAAUAAAGACAUCAGAUCUUCUCGAAUAAUAAUCUGCUAAAAAGAGACAAAGAACAAUAUUGUCUCCGACAAAAAGAGAAAGAGAGGAUCGAUUAUUUGUUUAUUGAUCCACGCCUUAGAUAGAUUAGGACUGUAUGUUUUCAGCGACGGCGUCGAGUGAUCUGCAGAGGACGCACUUGCAGACAGAGUCGUCACAAAUCCCGCCACAAUAGCCAUUAUCGACGCACGUCUCGGCACAGGCUUGGGCGGCCCAGGCCGGAACUCUGGCUGGGGGGCCGUCCCAAUGCAAAUCCCUGCUUGCACCAACAUCUAUAUGCGUAGG